UAAUCGGUCAUAUUCCUCCUCAAAUUGGAAAUUUGACAAGGAUUCAAACAUUGAAUCUAUCGCACAACAACUUGACAGGAUCGAUCCCAUCAACAUUUUCAAACUUGAAGCAUGUCGAAAGUUUGGAUCUUUCCAACAACAAAUUGAAUGGAAAAAUCCCUCAUCAACUAGUGGAGUUAAAGACAUUGGAGGUUUUCAGUGUGGCAUACAAUAACUUAUCAGGCGAAAUUCCAGAAUGGAAAGCACAAUUUGCAACCUUCAACGAGAGUAGCUAUGAGGGAAAUACUUUUCUUUGUGGAUUGCCAUUGCCCAUUUGCAGAUCACCAGCAACUACGCCGGAGGCUUCAAUUGGCAAUGAACGAGAUGAUAAUUUAAUUGACAUGAACAGUUUCUUUAUCACAUUUACAACAUCGUACGUAAUUGUGAUAUUCGGAAUUGUUAUUGUUUUAUAUGUAAAUCCUUAUUGGCGACGUAGAUGGUUUUACUUUGUUGAAAUGUGGAUAACUUCAUGUUACUAUUUUGUUGUAAACAAUCUUAUUGCAACAAGAUAUUGUCAUUGAAAUUAAUUAGCAGUUUAAUUACGAUUUUUUAAGUUCUAAUCAAAUUUGCUUAGGAAAUAUUUUUUUAUUAGAAUUGUAGUAGUAUUUAGCUUUAUAUAGCUUCCAACUUCCAACCACUUCACAUUUGUCUCUACACUUAAAAAACUGAGUGAUCAUGUUUUGCAGAUCUGGAUUUGGAGCAGGAUGGAUCCAAACCCAUAUCUGUCCACCAUAACUUAUAGCUUCCCUAUACUGUGCAGCAUACUUAAAUAAGAGAACCAUCUCCAAUGUUAAAAGCAUUCACUCUAUAACAUUCAUUUAGAAACUAUAUUCAGAAUAAUUUUAUAAUUAAACACAAGAAAUGAAACACACAGAUACACUUGAUCGCCUAUUUUACUCUAAAAAAGAACGAUUAUUGUGCUAUCAUCAUCUUCUUCACUAGCAACAUUAACACCAAAUCGAUGGACCCAUACAUUUCAUCAAGAAAGGUAUAUAUCCAAUAAAGUUGAAGCCUAACAAAAAAUUCAAGAAGAUUAAUGCCUCGCCACAACAAGGGGCACAACAACAUCAAAGUAGAGAUUAAGCAGUAUUCUCAAAGCUAAAACUCUCAAAUCCACCCACCAGAAUUUCAUAUCUCCUCAACAAUUUUAAGAACUAAAGAUAAUUAGGAUUUAACAUUAGUUUUUUAUAUAUUAGUUUCAUAAUUUACAAAUCAAUGAAGAUGAAGAUUAUGCUAAUAAAUUCAAAUUAUACCAUACAUUCUCUAGAUGUUACCAAAAAUUUCUAAGUCAAUCCCACAUAUUUCAUAAUUUUAAGACUAGAAAAUUUCACUAGUUAGAAGUUUCAUUACCUUCAAGUGGAAGAUGAAGAACAUUAUACAAGUGAUUCAGAUUAUAUCAUACAUACUCCAAAUGCAACUAGAAAUUAACAAGUUCAUGCGCACAUAUUUCAUAACAGUAAAAAUUUGUUGCUCAACAUGAUGUGUAUUUUUUUUCAAGGCAAUUUGGAAACACAAUUGUUACUACAGAUAUUCUUCUCAACUUGGAGAUAAAUACAAAUAUUAAAAUGCAUAUGAUCGCACAUAUUACUUCGAGUUUAGUAAGAUUUCAUUAAAAGAAGCAAUCAAACCACUUAUCAAUUGUCGCAGUCGUUCUAUAAACUAAAAUAGCAAUAUAAUACAAGAAAAAGAACAUAUAGAUACUUGGCAAGAGUUCAUUAAGAAGUCGCAUCACAUUCGGGUGAGGAGUUUGCUUCUGAUAUCUUGCUAGCUGGGGCUUUUUCUUGUCUUUCUAUGUAUGCCGAGGGAAACCAACCAGCUUGGCCCUUGCAUUCACCUUCCGACCAUCCAAUAGGAGCCACCUUGAGAAGUUAUAACUAAAACGGUGAAUUAAACAAAAGUUGACCGUUCAAAGACCUAAGGGGAAAACUAAUUCUUUUCACGUAGAAGGAGUGAACUAGUUGUGAUCACUGAAAUAACAACAUAACUAUGGAAGCAUAACAAGAUAUAAAUUCACAUGGCUAUAAGGGUAAACUGAGUGGUUUAGAACUGAGCUAGCAACCCUACUAUAUUCUGAUUUGCACUUCAAUGUAAAAGGGAAUAUAUGGUAGGAAGAAAGAAAACCAACCAGCAUUUGUUAACUCAUUGCUUUUCAAUCAAAAUUUUAAGAACAAAAUGCCAUGUGCUUUGAACAUCAAAUAAGUAUAAGCAUUAGUUCUAAAUUCCACAUAUCAUAAGUUGUUAGAAGGAUAAGUUAAUAGCAGAGUAGAAAAAUCUAUGUGUUGGUAUUUAGAGGGGAAAGUACCUGGCGAACCACAACAUAAUCAUCAAUUGAAAGACUUAGCUUUCCAUUUGCUUGAGCAUCAAAUGGAUGUAUAACCUGCAAGAUAAUGGGAUAAAUAGAACUUAAAAAAAGCAUAACAAAAGCAGCAACAGUAGCAGCAACGUUCAUUGUAACCACUAUGAUCAUGGCCAACAAAGAUAUAUUAGAAACAAAAUUCCAUUUUUACUACGACAUUAAUAUGUACUAUACGAUAUCAUGACGAUUGGGUUACUAAGAGCUAUCAAAGUCUAAUAAGUUCUGUAUAACUUUAUGUAGUUAUUUAAAUUAUGGAUCAGAUUUUAAAUUUGAAAUUUUGACUGCUCUCCACAAAACAUGGCCUAUGCACAAGAAAGUCAUAGAUAAUGAGGAUUACAAGUGUCCGACAUCUUUUGAGUGAUGGAUUUAACAUGAGAGCUUAUGGUCAGUCAAUUUCCUCUGCCUAGCAAUAUAAGCUUUCUCGGCCAGAUUUAUCAUCAAAUACAUAGAUUGCCCCCAAGUCACAUCCAUAUAAACAUAGUUUUUCUAGGUAAACCAAGUAAGGAGUAUCAUAAUUAAGACAUAAUCAUAAAAAGGCUCAUCUAACUUAAGAGAAAAUCUCAAAAAGAGGGAUGCUGAGCUAUCAGUCUUGUAUCUAUAAGCAAUAUCAAGACUUUACAUCACCUGCUACAUCGUGAGUGGCUACACAACUUUCAGUGGUUUGUCUUUCUUUGGCAUGCCUAACUCAGCUUUGAUGUUGCUGAGAUAUUGAUAGUAGAGACACUCAGACACAUGAUACUUCUAGCUCAUGCAUUCUAUCUAACUCAUCCAACAACUAUCUCUUUUUUAAUUCAUUAGUGUUUGCUAAACCUCAUGCUUAAAAGUCCUGUUCUCCUAAACAAAGUUUCCUAAGAAUGACUUCCUUAGCACCACAGUUGGACACUUUUAGAGCAAUUUUAUUUGGGGGGAAAGAAUUUUCAAGGUGUUAACCAAUAAAUUUUAAAAAAUAAUUACAAUUUGUCCUACGAUCAUAUGACAAUUUAUCUGGGAUGAAAGGAUACAGAUAGACAUCUUCCACUUUCAAGACUAAUCACUACUUCCGUAGAUGUUGUCCAAUAAUACAAAUACUUGACCAGAUGGUAGUGAUGGUAGAAAAAAAUUUUAUUGCUCCAAAAUUAAAAUAAGAAUGCAAUAUGUUAAGCAAAAUGCUGUUCAACAUCAAAUUAAUUGAUAAGUUUGUAAUUCAGUAAAUUAACAACUUUCAUGGUAAAAUACAACAAAUUUCUUUUGAAAAAAAUAAAUAAAAUAAAUCUUAAAAGACAGCAUUCAAUUUUGUGCACAUCUUAUUUCUUAAGAUUUUUCAGGAGGAGGGCAAUAGAGGGACUUUCACCUAUGCAAGAGAGCAGAAGCCUUACUUUCCCUAUAAAGUAGACGUCAUUCUGAUUAAUAUGCGUUUGCAAAUCAGCUCCGUUUGAAUCAGUAUUCUGAUAGACACACGAGGCAUUUACAUCCAUUUCCAAAGUCACAUGUUGCGAGGAGGACUCAUUUGAUUGCUCCUAUACGAUCAUCUAAUUCAAGUAGCAAGGGUUGGAAGAGAAUAAAAAGUCACAAUUAUUCUUUUGCAUAAGUGAGACAAAAAUGAUAAAUGCAAUAUUAUCAGCAGUAAACAAGAAGAGAACGCUCCAAGAAAUAGAUAGAUGCAGACAAGCAAGUUAAAAUGCAUAGUCCCAAACCUCCGCAUACAACUUCUCUAAAAUAGCAAUAACGUGUUGAUGCUAUGUUUUCUCAGCAUCUACCUGCAAAGGCCCGAGACCAGGAAAACAACAAUAAAACCACUAGCUGAAGGAGAAAGCAAAGAAAGAAAUACGCUUGACAUAAAUCUUGACAAGAAGCACAAUUUAAGACAUAACAAACCCCAAUCAUAUUGUUUAGAACUACCAUUCGUUAUUUCGUUAUUGUAACAUUUCGAACAAGUGUUGACUUAAUUCAACAUUGUUGGAAAGAUAGGCUUUUAGAAGCAGAAGAAAGCCUCUCAAACCAAAGUGCUUGUCCUUGUAUUGAUCAAGGGAUGUAAACAUAUUACAUUUGCAGGAUGAGAUUUAAUCACUCCCCUGAUUUAUUUGGGUUGCAAUAAAACUAAGCGAGCAACUGUUUGACUUUCAAGCAACAGCUAAAUCAGCUAUUAAAAUUCAAAUAAAAUCAUAAUAGAAUAAUAACAGGCCAUCUUGCAUCAAAAAUUAAGUUUAAUUUGUGAAUUUUUUUCUAUAGACAUGUCAGUUUCUGCUAUUGAAAUGUUAAAAGCAUUGAAAAAUUAUUCAAUAAAUUAUGCAAGCAUUAAAAUAGAGGACAAAUUAAAAAGUUUCUAAUUACAAUGUUAAUAUUUCCUAUAUUUUAGCAUUUGCAUAUUUUAAUUUAUUUAAAAGCUACGUCGAUCAACUUUGGGCAUGAAGAUUUUAGCUUCUACGAGACUUGAUUGGAAUAUGCAUAAGAGUGUUAAAAUAUGAUGCAUCCAACGAAAGACAAACCACGUGUAGUCUUUUAAUUAAGCCAAAGUAGCAGCUCAAACAAAUGACACUUGGACCAACAUGCAAUCAUGAAGUGGCCGGAAAAAGGACAAAUGCUACUUUGGCUUAAAUAAAAAAUAACAUGUGACUUGACUUUUGCUGGACAUGCAUCAUGUUAUUACAAGACAACAGAAAUCAGUAUGAUAGUAAUAAAAGUUGACAAUAACAUGAAGAUAAGAGGCAGAAUGUCAACACAUGCAUAGGCACACACAAGAAAGUAUUAACAUAUAUACCAUAGCAAAAACUCUUUGAUAUGUCAUCUGUUGCUGCUGUGAUUCAACUGACAGCAUGGCAGCUGUCGCUUCUCUACCAAGAGCCAUUAUUGUAGAUUUAAGCUCGGUCAAUCUUGCUUCUGCAUUUCGAAGCUUCACAGCACUCUCUGCUGAUAUAUCAGAUUCCCUAAUCUUUGAUCGGUGCCUAAAUACUUCAGCUGCCUGGUGAAAAUAUUCAAUAUAAAUCUAAUAUAAUUCUCAUCUUGCCUUAUACAUGCAUAUGUUACGUCAAAGCUUACCUGGGCUUCAACUUCAUGUCGAAUACAUCAGCAAUGAUGCUUUCAUAGCAUGAAAGUGUCUAAAUUUAACUGAAUGAUCUUGAUUAAUCAAUUAUGAGUUUUAAUCGAGUAAAAACUAAAUACAAUAAUCGUUAACAAAUAUUGAAAUUGGGUAAAUAUGAUCUUGAUAUUGAUGAAUUUGAAAUCACAACCCACACAGGAAAUUCCCCUUCGCGUGGGGAUGGAGAUGUUUACUGCAGCGAUAUUGAAUAUGUCCACUGCUCUUUGGGUUAUGGUGCGACUUGCCCUGAAACAAUGGAAAAGAUUAACAUACCCUCCAAUGAAUGAAAACGGGUGGACUAAUUCGGAUUACCUAAUUGACUCAGGAUCGGCUGGCAAUAAUAACAGUUUAUUAACAAUGCACAGUCCGAGUACUUUUCCAGGAUCAGAUGCGACGUGGUCUAAUGUUGAUAAUAAUAGAUUAUCAAAUGACAAAUCGUUGUUCUUGGGUGGUGAUUUCAGAAAUAAAAUACAUUCUGAGAGAUGCUGGUGUACUAUUGCAAGCCCCCAGAUUUAAGAAUCUUUUGAUGAUAAUUUAUCACCUGCAGCUGUGCCGGAAGAUUCAAGUAGCACUGAAAAAGAUGAUAAUGUAAUUGAUAUGGACAGUUUCCAUAUCACUUUUAAAUCAUCUUAUGUAAUUGUAAUGUUAGGAAGCAUUAGUGAUCUAAAAGUGAACUAUUAUUGGUGUCAUUGGUGGUUUUAUCUUGUUAAAAUAUGGAUGACUUCCUGUUACUAUUUUAUUGUAGACAAUCUUAUUUAAUUAACAUAUGGUUUAAAACCAUUAUGUUUUAUGUAAAUCAAUCUAUUAAUUUUCGUAAUAUUUAACUGAGUUAAAACCAAGUGCACUCAAUAAAUGUCUUUUCCUUCAAAAAACUGCUACGCUUUGAUUUUAGUGCUUAAUAUUUCGUAACUACAGAUUAUCUAAUUGCGAGUUGCUGUCCAUAGCUGCUAAUUUAUAGUGAUUAUCUAAUUGACGGAGGUGACAAUAAUUCUUUUAUUUUCAAUAGCACAACGUGGAAUUCAAUAAUUAAAUUCUCCUGUUUAAUUUGUUUUAAGUUAAAUUAUUAAUUACUUAAACUCUGUUUUAAGUCUUUAAUUUUCUGUGUUUAUGCAGAAUUGGAUUCUUGAGCGUGUUGGACAUGACCAACAAUGAAAUUGACUGUAAACAAACAUUACAACGUGUGGACUCCGGUAGCUACCCCGCAAGUCUACAACUUCACAAAUAAUAAUUGAGUAAGCACCUUUGAUUUUUUAGCCCCGUUGACUCCACCGACUAAAGUUUUGUAAAAUAAAAAAAAAUACAUAGAAUUCCACCAAAUGCAAAACGCGUGGAAUUUAAUUUUCGGCCGUGUAGAUCAAAACAUAAUUUAACGAAAAAGGAAAAAAAUGAUAAGAUUUUUAAAAUGUGUGGAAGAUGAUCCAUAUUUUACUGAAACAACUUGUUAAAUUUUUCAAGGAUUUAAAAUAUUUGGUCAUAAAUUACGUGCAUGUUAAUUUUUCCGCCAUUGACUAUCAUAUUGUAGACUUAAUGGUACCUUUCUUGAUGAAGGGUGCUUAAUCUCUCUUCUCCUCUUAUAAAAAUUAUAUUAAUUGAUUUCUUGUUAUAGUUAAUAGUCUUCAAGAACGGAUAGAUUUAUUGUUUUCAUGACCAAAUUAUGCAUGCCUAACGUUGCAACUAUUAAUAAAAUUAAUAUUUAAUGUUUGUGUUAAAAUAUAUAAGAUUUUAUGCAUUCAUUAAUUGUUAUUAGCUAAAGGAUGAAUUAUUUUUUCCCAAUCAGUUGAUGCAUCUGCAAGAGUUUUUUUUUUUCUUUUAUUGACCAUAAUUAUAUUCCGGGUACAAUAAAUUGUCUUUGGUGCUUGGAAGAUAUGACAUCUCUCUGUCAACUUACUGGAAAUAUCUCCUCAUCUACUCUCAUUUAUCUAAUAUCAAUUGAAGAUCUCAUAUUUCCAAACUAUGACUUCCAAAUCUCAUUAUCAUUUGAGCAUUCAAAACUAAUCAAGUGUGGAAAUAAUCAAAUAUAUGCAAAAAUCGAGUCACAAUCUUUGGCCCCUCAAAAUUCUAAUUAUAUAACUUCAUAUCUCAUACAUUUUCCAAAUUCCUCUUCCAUCAACAUCACUAGGAGUAUGUUCAUCUCUCACACAUUAACUUGAGUGGAGAGUUUCCAAAUUGAUUGUCAGAAAACAAUACAAAAGCUAGACAAACUUGAUCUGUCUACUAAUUAUCUUUCGGUAAAAUUAAUUAAUUUUAGGGUAAUAUUCAGCCAACCUCUGUAAUUUUAGAGUGAUCAUUAAUUAAUUAAACGAUACAAUAUCUAAAGUGAUUAGAUGUUUGCGGACAAUACAAGUUCAUGGCUUGAAAUUUGAUCUCUAUCGAUUGGUUUACAGAUGGACGUACUUGUGCCUUUGUGGUGAUAAUUGAACCAGAGAUGUGAAGCUGAUAGUAAAUUGUUAUAAAGGCAUAAAGACAAGUUCCCAUGAUUAUUAUUUUUUCCAAAAACUAUUUUACAACAAAUUCAUCUCGCCAAAAAUUCUAUUUUGCUAACUAACAAUAAUUGAGCACUUGACCGCAUUGACUCCACGUCUCCAGCUACUUUCUAAGUAAAAACAUGGAAAUGUAAUCUCCACAAAAUGCCAAACGUGUGGAAUUUAAUUUUUGGCCUUGUGGACCAAAAUGCAAAUGAAAGAAAAAGAAGGAAAAAAACAAGGCCCAAAGACUUCUAAAAGAUGUAAAAGUCUUUGGGUUUUUUUAUAAUGGUGGAUUUUUUAAAAGAAAAAAAUAACAACACUUCUAUGGUUUGUUUUGAUAAUCACAUUUACAUAUACUCUCUAAUUUUCAAAAUGGACACAUAAAUCUUUUUUUUCUACAAAUGUAUAUUAUUCGUAUUGUUUAUUAUUUUUAAUAUCAUAUUGUUAUUUAUUAUAAAUGUUUAAAGUAAUUUUUAGGUUGAAAUAUAAUAAAAAGGUAUAAUCGUUCUCUUAUUAAACACCCAUACUUUUAGUUUCUAUCCAUUUGUCAUCUCAAUCUCUCUCAAUUAUUCUUUAUUGCUAGCUCAAAACGCGUUGCUGUUGCAAAUUAUAGCAAAAAGACAAAUAUGGAAAAGAAAAAAGGGUAGAAAAUUAAUGCAUGAAAGACUUGGAGAAAACAACGAAGUAAGUCAACUAUAAUCUAGCUGGGUGUAUAAAUUGUUUGAUGCUUUAUAAGCAAAUAACAUACAGAGACAGACAAUGUGUGUUCGUUUUUUCAUAGUUAAAGAUAUAGUUAGAAUGGGUGGUUCAAAAUCAAAAAUGGUGAUAAUGUUUGUUAUGUUAUUAAUAAUAUUUAAAAGUGGGUGGAGUGAGGGAUGUUGGGAUCACGAGAGAUUUGCUCUUUUGCGACUCAAACAUUUCUUCGAUGAUACUGGUAGUUAUCUUUACGACUGGGUAGAUGAUGAGGGAGCUACUGAUUGUUGUCAAUGGGAAAGGGUUGAGUGCAGCAACACCACAGGCCGAGUGAUAGCGCUAGACCUUUUUGAAAUGUAUUCGGGAGAGUACAGCUGGUAUCUGAAUGCUUCUUUGUUUACUCCCUUCCAACAACUUGAGUCACUUGAUUUAACUGACAACAAUAUAGCUGGUUGUGUUGAGAAUGAAGGUGCUUCGUUUAAUUUAAUUAAUUUACUUUCUCCCCCCUAAUUUAAGUUGAAUAUCAAGACCGAGCAACUAUACGCAUAUUCAUUUAGUCGACAAUUUUGACUUUUUUUUUAAGUGAUUAAUUAAUUUUAAAAUUACACCAAUAUCUAUGAUCUUUUUUUUUUUUUAAUUUUGCUUGCAGGUCUAGAGAGGCUAUCAAGAUUGAACAACUUGAAGAUGCUUAAUUUAUGUGAUAACUCGUUCAACAAUAGCAUUUUAUCAUCACUAACUCAUCUUUCAUCAUUAAGAUCAUUAAAUUUAUACGGGAAUAGAUUGGAAGGAAGUAUUGACGUUAAAGGUACAUAAUUAAAACUUCAUCCCUUAUCCAAGCUCUUUCAUUAACUUGCUAAAAUAAGAUUCAAGGCUUUGAAUUCAAUUUUUUUUUUAUGAUUAGUAUUAAAAAAACAGUUUCAAGCAAUUUAUAAAUACAAGUUUUAAUGUUUCUCAUAAUUUCAUCUUGUACUUUGAUAUGUCUCGAAUUUAAGAUUAAAAAAAAAAAACUCUAAUAGCGAACCAAACACCUCCACAACUUAUUAUUAUUAUUAUUAUUUGUGGUGAGGUUUGAAACAUUCAACUCAAUUUGUACUUAUUACAGAAUUUGAUUCUUUGAGAGAUUUAGAGGAGCUAGACAUUGGUGAGAACAAGAUUGACAAAUUUGUGGUCUCAAAAGGUACUACAAAUACCAUAAAAAAAAUGCUAACUUAUUCAAAUUAGUUGGAUUCUUUGCCAUUUGGUUUAUUAUUUUGCAGGUUUGAGUAAGCUGAAGUCUCUCGAUUUAAGUGGUAUGAAACUCAAUCGUAGCAUCUUAUCUUCUCUUUCUUCGUUAAGAGAAUUAUAUAUAAGUCGUACGGGAUUCAAAGGAACAUUUGAUGUUCGAGGUAAGUCUAAGCCUUGCUUUCUCAUUUUAUAUAUGCCAACUAGAUUUGUGUAUCAUCGCCAUAAUUUAAUAUUUAAUUUGAUAAGUCUGAAGGAAUUACAUGCUAAUUUAAACAUACUUUUAUUUACUUUGUCCAUUAAUUAAUUAAUUACUAUUUGGCUUGGUUUGGAUGAAAUUCUCAUGAUGUUUUAAUUUCUUUAAAUUAAUUAAUUAAUUAACUCUGUUUUUAAGUCUUAAGUCUGGGCAUGUUUGCAGAAUUUGAUUCCUUCAAUAACUUAGAAGUGUUGGACAUGAGUGGCAAUGAAAUCGACAAUCUUGUGGUUCCUCAAGGUAAACAAUUAAAAUAUUAUUCAAUUACAUUAUUUUAAUUCAUUUGAUUAGAGAAGGCCAAAAAGGUCCCAAAAAAAAAUAAUAAUAAAGAAACAGAUAAUUUGUAUUAUUUAAAAAACAUAGUGUAAUAAAGAUUUGAUUCUAGUUAUUUAAUCUUUAAAGCGAUUGAAAAACAAUGUUACUCUUUUCCCAAAGCAUAAAAUACGAAUUGAAUGCCAAUUAACUUAAUCAUUCAUUUCGUUUAGCUCUAAAUUUAGACAAUGAAUUUUUAUAUUAUUUCAAAAACAAGACGUAAUAGAAUUUUUUUAAAAAACAGAUUGUAAUAAAGAUUUGAUUCCAAUUCUUUAACCUUUACAGUGAUUGAAAAACGAUACUGCUUCCCAAAGCAUAAAAUGCAAAUUGACUCCCAAUUAAAUUAAUCAUUUAUUUCAUUUAGGUCUAAAUUUUAGAAAAAUGAAUUUUGAUUCUCUUCAAUCUUUUCUUAAUUAUUAUUAAAAAACAGGUUACAGAGGUUUGAGGAAGCUGAAAAGCCUUGAUCUAUCGGGAGUUGGAAUUAGAGAUGGAAGCAAGUUGUUACAGUCAAUGGGAUCAUUCCCAUCCCUCAACACUCUUUACCUGAGGGAUAAUAAUUUUACCGAUAUAGCGACAACUACUACUCAAGGUAAGUAAAAGGUACAAAUGUGGCCAAAUUUAUAAAUAAACUGUUAAUUAAUUAAUUUUUCCGUAUUAUUAAUUAAGCUAAAUCCGUUGCUCCUUCCUUCUAAAUCUAAACAGAGUUGCACAAUUUCACCAACUUGGAAUAUUUGAAAUUGGACGAAUCCUGUCUCCAUAUAAGCCUUCUGCAAAGCAUUGCAUCAUUAUUCCCUUCGUUAAAAAAUCUGUCGAUGUCUUAUUGUGAAGUCAAUGGUGUCGUACGCGGUCAAGGUAAAAGAAAAGCGUUGAUUGUGAACUCACUCAAUGGUGUCCUACGUGUUCAACAUUUUUAUUUAUUUAUUUAUUGUUUAAUGUUUCUGCUAGGUUUUCCUCAUUUCAAGAGUUUGGAACAUUUUCACAUGCAUUUCACGCGCAUUGCACUCAACACCAACUUUCUUCAAAUCAUCGGAGAAUCAAUGCCUUCUCUUAAGUACUUAUCACUGUCAAAUUCUACUCGUGGCACUAACAGCAGCAGGAUUCUUGAUCAAGGUUAAUCAGAUGCUCCCACCCUCCCUUCUUAAUCUAUAAUAUUAAUUUUCAAUUCAAUAUUUAAUUACACAAACAAUACGCAUUCAUUAAUUUUUAUAUUGUAUUAAUUGAUGAAUUUAAUAAAUUUUCAGGCCUCUGUUCGCUGGUGCAUCUGCAAGAAUUGCGCAUGGCUGAUAAUGAUUUAAGAGGUAGCUUGCCUUGGUGCUUGGCAAAUAUGACAUCCCUCCGAAUAUUAGAUGUUUCUAUCAAUCAACUUACUGGAAGCAUCUUCUCAUCUCCCCUCGUUCAUUUGACAUCCAUUGAAGAGUUGUAUCUUUCAAACAACCACUUCCAGAUCCCAAUUUCACUUGAACCACUUUUCAAUCAUUCAAGACUCAAGAUUUUUUAUGCUGACAACAACGAACUAAAUGCAGAAAUAACUGAGUCACAUUCUUUGACCGCCCCAAACUUCCAAUUAAAUAGACUCUUGUUGUCUUCCAGUUACGGAGACAGUUUCAUAUUCCCCAAAUUUCUUUACCAUCAACAUGACCUGGAGCUUGUUGAUCUCUCACACAUAAAGAUGAAUGGAGAAUUUCCAACUUGGUUGUUGGAAAACAACACAAAAUUAGAAACUCUUUCUCUCGUCAAUGAUUCUCUUGGAGGAACUUUUCGGUUGCCAAUUCAUUCACACAAGCGGUUAGGAAUAUUGGAUAUAUCCAACAACAACUUCCGAGGCCACAUUCCAUUAGAAAUUGGGGAUAUUUUACCAAGUUUAUACGUUUUCAACAAUUCCAUGAAUGCUUUAGAUGGUAGCAUUCCCUCUUCAUUUGGUAAUAUGAAAUUCCUCCAAUUUCUGGACUUAUCCAACAAUCACUUGACUGGUGAAAUCCCCGAGCACUUGGCCGUCGGUUGCGUCAACUUGGAGUCUCUUGCAUUAUCAAAUAACAACCUACAAGGUCACAUGUUCUCUAGAAAUUUUAACUUGACAAACUUGAAAUGGUUACAAUUGGAGGGCAAUCGCUUCGUAGGUGAGAUCCCACGAAGUUUGUCUAAAUGCUCCUCAUUAGAAGGAUUGUAUCUUAACAAUAAUAGUCUUUCGGGUAAGAUUCCACGAUGGUUGGGUAAUCUCACAAGGUUACAAUAUAUUAUAAUGCCCAAUAAUCAUCUUGAAGGCCCUAUUCCAGUGGAGUUUUGUCAGCUGGAUUUGCUUCAGAUUUUGGACAUUUCAGGCAACAACAUAUCUGGAAGUCUACCAUCUUGUUUCCAUCCUCUCAAUAUCAAACAAGUUCAUCUUUCAAAAAAUAUGUUACAUGGACAGCUAAAAAGAGGUACAUUCUUUAAUUGCGCUUCCCUUGUGACAUUAGAUCUUAGCUAUAACCGCUUGAAUGGCAGCAUUCCGGAUUGGGUUGAUGGGCUUUCUCAGUUAAGUCACCUUAUCUUAGGUCACAAUAAUCUUGAAGGUGAAGUGCCAGUUCAAUUGUGCGAAUUGAACCAACUACAAUUGUUAGAUCUUUCUAAUAAUAAUCUUCACGGUCCUAUUCCUCCUUGCUUUGAUAACACCACACUUCAUGAAAGUUACAGCAAUAGUUCUAGUCCUGAUGAGCAAUUUGAAAUAUUUUUUUCCAUCGAAGGCCAUCAGGGAUUUUUAGAAAAGCAAAACCAUGAAAUUUUUGAGUUCACAACAAAGAACAUUGCGUACAUUUACCAAGGAAAAGUGCUUAGCCUCCUAUCAGGACUUGAUCUUUCUUGCAACAAGCUAAUUGGUCAUAUUCCUCCUCAAAUUGGAAAUUUGACAAGGAUUCAAACAUUGAAUCUAUCACACAACAACUUGACAGGAUUGAUCCCAUCAACAUUUUCAAACUUGAAGCAUGUCGAAAGUUUGGAUCUUUCCAACAACAAAUUGAAUGGGAAAAUCCCUCAUCAACUAGUGGAGUUAAAGACAUUGGAGGUUUUCAGUGUGGCAUACAAUAACUUAUCAGGAGAAAUUCCAGAAUGGACUGCACAAUUUGCAACCUUCAAUGAGAGUAGCUAUAAGGGAAAUACUUUUCUUUGUGGAUUGCCAUUGCCCAUUUGCAGAUCACCAGCAACUAUGUCGGAGGCAUCAAUUGGCAAUGAACGAGAUGAUAAUUUAAUUGACAUGGACAGUUUCUUUAUCACAUUUACAACAUCGUACGUAAUUGUGAUAUUCGCAAUUGUUAUUAUUUUACAUGUAAAUUCUUAUUGGCGACGUAGAUGGUUUUACUUUGUUGAAAUGUGGAUAACUUCAUCUUACUAUUUUGUUGUAGACAAUCUUAUUCCAACAAGAUUUUGUCAUUGAAAUUAAUUAGUAGCUUAAUUACGAUUCUUUAAGUACUAAUCAAGUUUGCUUAGGAAAUAUUUUUUUAUUAAAAUUGUAGUAGUAUUUAGCAUUAUAUAGCUUCCAACUUCCAAGCACUUCACAUUUGUCUCUACACUUAAAAAACUGAGUGAUCAUGUUUUGCAGAUCUGGAUUUGGAGCAGGAUGGAUCCAAACCCAUAUCUGUCCACCACAACUUAUAGCUUCCCUAUACUGUGCAGCAUACUUAAAUAAGAGAACCAUCUCCAAUGUUAAAAGCAUUCACUCUAUAACAUUCAUUUAGAAACUAUACUCAGAAUAAUUUUAUAAUUAAACACAAGAAAUGAAACACACAGAUACACUUGAUCGCCUAUUUUACUCUAAAAAAGAACGAUUAUUGUGCUAUCAUCAUCUUCUUCACUAGCAACAUUAACACCAAAUCGAUGGACCCAUACAUUUCAUCAAGAAAGGUAUAUAUCCAAUAAAGUUGAAGCCUAACAAAAAAUUCAAGAAGAUUAAUGCCUCGCCACAACAAGGGGCACAACAACAUCAAAGUAGAGAUUAAGCAGUAUUCUCAAAACUAAAACUCUCAAAUCCACCCACCAGAAUUUCAUAUCUCCUCAACAAUUUUAAGAACUAAAGAUAAUUAGGAUUUAACAUUAGUUUUUUAUAUAUUAGUUUCAUAAUUUACAAAUCAAUGAAGAUGAAGAUUAUGCUAAUAAAUUCAAAUUAUACCAUACAUUCUCUAGAUGUUACAAAAAAUUUCUAAGUCAAUCCCACAUAUUUCAUAAUUUUAAGACUAGAAAAUUUCACUAGUUAGAAGUUUCAUUACCUUCAAGUGGAAGAUAAAGAACAUUAUACAAGUGAUUCAGAUUAUAUCAUACAUACUCCAAAUGCAACUAGAAAUUAACAAGUUCAUGCGCACAUAUUUCAUAACAUUAUGAUUGAAAAGUUUCACAAAGAGAAAUUCUAAAUUCAAUAUCUUGCAUGAAGGCAGUUUGAUUGAUUUGAGUUACUUUCUUAUCAAGCUACUAAUAUAACAUUCAAGUCAGGGAGAAAAUAAAUUAAAGCAGGGAAGAAAUAACAGUAAAAAUUUGUUGCUCAACAUGAUGUGUAUUUUUUUUCAAGGCAAUUUGGAAACACAAUUGUUACUACAGAUAUUCUUCUCAACUUGGAGAUAAAUACAAAUAUUAAAAUGCAUAUGAUCGCACAUAUUACUUCGAGUUUAGUAAGAUUUCAUUAAAAGAAGCAAUCAAACCACUUAUCAAUUGUCGCAGUCGUUCUAUAAACUAAAAUAGCAAUAUAAUACAAGAAAAAGAACAUAUAGAUACUUGGCAAGAGUUCAUUAAGAAGUCGCAUCACAUUCGGGUGAGGAGUUUGCUUAUGAUAUCUUGCUAGCUGGGGCUUUUUCCUGUCUUUCUACGUAUGCCGAGGGAAACCAACCAGCUUGGCCCUUGCAUUCACCUUCCGACCAUCCAAUAGGAGCCACCUUGAGAAGUUAUAACUAAAACGGUGAAUUAAACAAAAGUUGACCGUUCAAAGACCUAAGGGGAAAACUAAUUCUUUUACGUAGGAGGAGUGAAUUAGUUGUGAUCACUGAAAUAACAGCAUAACUAUGGAAGCAUAACAAGAUAUAAAUUCACACGUCUAUAAGGGUAAACUGGGUGGUUUAGAACUGAGCUAGCAACCCUACUAUAUUCUGAUUUGCACUUCAAUGUAAAAGGGAAUAUAUGGUAGGAAGAAAGAAAACCAACCAUCAUUUGUUAACUCAUUGCUUUUCAAUCACAAUUUUAAGAAAAAAAUGCCAUGUGCUUUGAACAUCAAAUAAGUAUAAGCAUUAGUUCUAAAUUCCACAUAUCAUAAGUUGUUAGAAGGAUAAGUUAAUAGCAGAGUAGAAAAAUCUAUGUGUUGGUAUUUAGAGGGGAAAGUACCACAACAUAAUCAUCAAUUGAAAGACUUAGCUCUCCAUUUGCUUGAGCAUCAAAUGGAUGUAUAACCUGCAAGAUAAUCGGAUAAAUAGAACUUAAUCUUAAAAAAAGCAUAACAAAAGCAGCAACAGUAGCAGCAACGUUCAUUGUAACCACUAUGAUCAUGGCCAACAAAGAUAUAUUAGAAACAAAAUUCCAUUUUUACUACGACAUUAAUAUGUACUAUACGAUAUCAUGACGAUUGGGUUACUAAGAGCUAUCAAAGUCUAAUAAGUUCUGUAUAACUUUAUGUAGUUAUUUAAAUUAUGGAUCAGAUUUUAAAUUUGAAAUUUUGACUGCUCUCCACAAAACAUGGCCUAUGCACAAGAAAGUCAUAGAUAAUGAGGAUUACAAGUGUCCGACAUCUUUUGAGUGAUGGAUUUAACAUGAGAGCUUAUGGUCAGUCAAUUUCCUCUGCCUAGCAAUAUAAGCUUUCUCGGCCAGAUUUAUCAUCAAAUACAUAGAUUUCCCCCAAGUCACAUCCAUAUAAACAUAGUUUUUCUAGGUAAACCAAGUAAGGAGUAUCAUAAUUCAGACAUAAUCAUAAAAAGGCCCAUCUAACUUAAGAGAAAAUCUCAAAAAGAGGGAUGCUGAGCUAUCAGUCUUGUAUCUAUAAGCAAUAUCAAGACUUUACAUCACCUGCUACAUCGUGAGUGGCUACACAACUUUCAGUGGUUUGUCUUUCUUUGGCAUGCCUAACUCAGCUUUGAUGUUGCUGAGAUAUUGAUAGUAGAGACACUCAGACACAUGAUACUUCUAGCUCAUGCAUUCUAUCUAACUCAUCCAACAACUAUCUCUUUUUUAAUUCAUUAGUGUUUGCUAAACCUCAUGCUUAAAAGUCCUGUUCUCCUAAACAAAGUUUCCUAAGAAUGACUUCCUUAGCACCACAGUUGGACACUUUUAGAGCAAUUUUAUUUGGGGGGAAAGAAUUUUCAAGGUGUUAACCAAUAAAUUUUAAAAAAUAAUUACAAUUUGUCCUACGAUCAUAUGACAAUUUAUCUGGGAUGAAAGGAUACAGAUAGACAUCUUCCACUUUCAAGACUAAUCACUACUUCCGUAGAUGUUGUCCAAUAAUACAAAUACUUGACCAGAUGGUAGUGAUGGUAGAAAAAAAUUUUAUUGCUCCAAAAUUAAAAUAAGAAUGCAAUAUGUUAAGCAAAAUGCUGUUCAACAUCAAAUUAAUUGAUAAGUUUGUAAUUCAGUAAAUUAACAACUUUCAUGGUAAAAUACAACAAAUUUCUUUUGAAAAAAAUAAAAAAAAUAAAUCUUAAAAGACAGCAUUCAAUUUUGUGCGCAUCUUAUUUCUUAAGAUUUUUCAGGAGGAGGGCAAUAGAGGGACUUUCACCUAUGCAAGAGAGCAGAAGCCUUACUUUCGCUAUAAAGUAGACGUCAUUCUGAUUAAUAUGCGUUUGCAAAUCAGCUACGUUUGAAUCAGUAUUCUGAUAGACACACGAGGCAUUUACAUCCAUUUCCAAAGUCACAUGUUGCGAGGAGGACUCAUUUGAUUGCUCCUAUACGAUCAUCUAAUUCAAGUAGCAAGGGUUGGAAGAGAAUAAAAAGUCACAAUUAUUCUUUUGCAUAAGUGAGACGAAAAUGAUAAAUGCAAUAUUAUCAGCAGUAAACAAGAAGAGAACGCUCCAAGAAAUAGAUAGAUGCAGACAAGCAAGUUAAAAUGCAUAGUCCCAAACCUCCGCAUACAACUUCUCUAAAGUAGCAAUAACGUGUUGAUGCUAUGUUUUCUCAGCAUCUACCUGCAAAGGCCCGAGACCAGGAAAACAACAAUAAAACCACUAGCUGAAGGAGAAAGCAAAGAAAGAAAUACACUUGACAUAAAUCUUGACAAGAAGCACAAUUUAAGACAUAACAAACCCCAAUCAUAUUGUUUAGAACUACCAUUCGUUAUUUCGUUAUUGUAACAUUUCGAACAAGUGUUGACUUAAUUCAACAUUGUUGGAAAGAUAGGCUUUUAGAAGCAGAAGAAAGCCUCUCAAACCAAAGUGCUUGUCCUUGUAUUGAUCAAGGGAUGUAAACAUAUUACAUUUGCAGGAUGAGAUUUAAUCACUCCCCUGAUUUAUUUGGGUUGCAGUAAAACUAAGCGACCAACUGUUUGACUUUCAAGCAACAGCUAAAUCAGCUAUUAAAAUUCAAAUAAAAUCAUAAUAGAAUAAUAACAGGCCAUCUUGCAUAAAAUAUUAAGUUUAAUUUGUGAAUUUUUUUCUAUAGACAUGUCAGUUUCUGCUAUUGAAAUGUUAAAAGCUUUGAAAAAUUAUUCAAUAAAUUAUGCAAGCAUUAAAAUAGAGGACAUAUUAAAAAGUUUCUAAUUACAAUGUUAAUAUUUCCUAUAUUUUAGCAUUUGCAUAUUUUAAUUUAUUUAAAAGCUACGUCGAUCAACUUUGGGCAUGAAGAUUUUAGCUUCUACGAGACUUGAUUGGAAUAUGCAUAAGAGUGUUAAAAUAUGAUGCAUCCAACGAAAGACAAACCACGUGUAGUCUUUUAAUUAAUCCAAAGUAGCAGCUCAAACAAAUGACACUUGGACCAACAUGCAAUCAUGAAGUAGCCGGAAAAAGGACAAAUGCUACUUUGGCUUAAAUAAAAAAUAACAUGUGACUUGACUUUUGCUGGACAUGCAUCAUGUUAUUACAAGACAACAGAAAUCAGUAUGAUAGUAAUAAAAGUUGACAAUAACAUGAAGAUAAGAGGCAGAAUGUCAACACAUGCAUAGGCACACACAAGAAAGUAUUAACAUAUAUACCAUGGCAAAAACUCUUUUAUAUGUCAUCUGUUGCUGCUGUGAUUCAACUGACAGCAUGGCAGCUGUCGCUUUUCUACCAAGAGCCAUUAUUGUAGAUUUAAGCUCGGUCAAUCUUGCUUCUGCAUUUCGAAGCUUCACAGCACUCUCUGCUGAUAUAUCAGAUUCCCUAAUCUUUGAUCGGUGCCUAAAUACUUCAGCUGCCUGGUGAAAAUAUUCAAUAUAAAUCUAAUAUAAUUCUCAUCUUGCCUUAUACAUGCAUAUGUUACGUCAAAGCUUACCUGGGCUUCAACUUCAUGUCGAAGUUUGUCAUAACAAUGAGUCAGGUGUCGAGCAUCUUCCAAAGGUGCUCCGUUGAUUAACGCCCGUAGUGGCUCAGAUACCUACAUGUCCAAAAACCUGUAACAUAGUUAGAAAAAUGAAAAGAAAGAGCGAAACCUCAAUUAAAAAGUUCAUCCAACAUAAUCAUGGAAUUUGGGCCUACUUUAAGAAUAUAUAUAAGGAUAAUUUAUGCAAUUUUGGGUCUUAGGAUGAUUGGCAUUAGGUUAGUGUUCUUCUCUUCUGUAUUUAAGGUUAAAAUAGAAAUAAACCUAUGCAAGUAUCUAAAUUAGGCCUGUAAGACAUCCACAUGCAUCCUUCAGUCUCAUGGAUUUGAUUUUACUAUAGAUGCAAGUGUCUUUAUUGAAAAUGCUUGGAGUCAAUUGAGAGAACUCAUGGCCAAUAACUUGUCACACGCUAGUCUUUGCUAGUGAUGUAAGAAGUCACAAGGUCUCUUCAACAUUUGAACCAAUAAAAUUAUUAAGUCAUGGAUGUCACUAGCAAUGAUUUUAAUAUAAAACAUUAAGUGCCUGUUUGGUAUGGCUUAUUUAAGAGGCAUAAGUGCUUAUUUAAUCGUAUAAGCACUUUUUAAAAAUUUUUAUGGUGUUUGGUUAUUUUUUUAGUAGAGCUUUUUUAGCUUAAAUAAGCUAAUUUACCUCUACUAGCAAAAGCCCAAAAUUUGAGCUUUUGGGAGUAGAGGUUAUAGAGCUUUUCUAAAAAUAUAUAAUAUAAAAAAUAUUACAUAGUUUAAUGGUUCAAAAGUACUUUUUUUAUUGCAACCAAACACCCAAUGACUUUUUGUCUAAAAGCUCUAUUGGUAUAAGCUCUACUACUAUAAGCUCUAUUGUUAUAAGCUCUAUUUAAUAAGCUGUACCAAACGGAGCCUAAAUAUUUCAGAGUUGUAACUUUAAAAUGGAUUCUUUUAUUCAAUAUCAUAGAACUAAGUUUCCUUAUGAGAAGAUAAUAGUUUCGAUAAUAAUUUUACAUAUAAUUUUCUAUAUUUGAAUUAUUUUCUAGUUCGUGAUGAACUAACCUGAUCACGAAGAAUCCCGAGCAAAGUUUCCCUCUCAUUUUCCAUCAAAUCAUGUGAAGUGCCAAAUUGAAGAGCAGCUCUUGCAACGCAAGAAUUGUCACUUUGAUUCUAUGCUCCAUACUUGCAACAAUCUUCAGCCAACUUUCUCGCUACAAUAUUUGAAUACAAAAAUAUUGUACACAAGAACUAUAAAAAAAACUAAUGAAAAAUGCCAAGAUGGAGCAGAUGCUUCAAUACUGCCUGUACAAACCAUAAAAAACUAAUGAAAAAUAAAUAAAAUCGAGAAAUUUUACUAAUUAAAAGUCUAAAUAUAAUUUUGAAAAAAGAAAAGAAACGGACUUGCUGCUGCUUGGCGACUUGUUCUCGGAGCUUGAUUGCCUGUUUCUUGAUAGCUUCCAUACUGUUUCUUUCAAAAAGCGACGACGGCUCUGCUCAUGGAAGUGGAAAAAAAAAGUGUGAUCGAGAAAAAUGUAAAGGCGUGAAUAAUUUUGGCAAAAAGCGAAAAUCAAGGAAAGCCGGCUAUUUCCAGAAAAUAAAAAAAAAAGAAAAUCAUAAGUUUGAAAGGAGAAGAUGAUAGUGGAAGUAUGCAGUGUGGCUGCCAGGUACUUGGAUUGUAUUGUCGGGUAAGAUAAAAGUGGAGAAUUAUAAGUUUGAACAGAGCAUGUUGGACUUUUGUUGACCAAACUCAAAAGCCCAAUGGGACGGCCCAGAAGCUUUUGAAUAGAAAAACUUGCAAGAAAGCAUCAGUUUAAAUCACUACUUAAACGCUUGCUUUAACUGCACCGCUUUGUACUGUUUUAUGUAUGUAGCGGUUGUGCGGUUGUAAUUCACGGCUGACGCUACGUGUUUGUUUGUACUGUUCUAUUCGGUGACAGAGUAUUAUUAGUUAGGCCAAAACUAUGUUGCAACAGUGAUACAGUAACACUGUUGCUUUUAGUCAUUAGAUCUAUAGUUAUACAGUUGCAUUAACAAGAUUUAAUGGCUGAAAGCAACAGUGGUACCGAACUACUGUUGCAACAUAGCUGGAGCCUAUUAGUUAUUUCAAAGGGAUAAAUAAGAUUGGUUACAACAAACCUACUAAUUUUAUAAAAUUCAAGUAACAUAGAAUAAAAUAAAAAAAUAAAUACAAAAUUGACUUUUAUUUUUUAUGGUUGACUAUAUUUUGUGUUCUCUUCGGGCACUGCUACAAUUGCUACAAUUGUUCCCUAUAUAUCAAUUACACCACAUACUAUCGACACAAGAAAUGAAAUCUAAUAUCACCUAUUUAGUUAAAAAAUCACUCAUGAAAAAAUUUUACCAUUUUGAUUUGAGGAUCCAUAUUUUGAACUACAAGCUAAUGUUCAUCAAGAAUCACUGAUAGCCGUUGAGUAGAAAAAUUAUUUUUGGACAAAUUAUUUUUGUUGAUAGAAGAAUUUCUUUAGGGACUACUAAAUUAUUAAUAAAAAUGUCGAACACACCCAAAUAUCAUCGACACAAUUGAUUUUGAGGAUCCAUGGUUUGAACUGCCGGCUAAUGUUCAUCAAGAAUAGAGUAUGGCUUGUGAGUAGAAAAUUUUCUUAUUUUGGCCCGAAAUAAAAAGAAAUUAAAUUGGAUGAGAAUCUGCCACUUUCUCAUGAAGAAAGGCAUACGGAGCAUACCAUGGUACCAUAAAAUAUAAGGAGCCUCCGUUCUUUGGUUUUUCAAACUCUGAAGGGGCCAAUAUUGCCAAAUUCCCCCUUGAAAAUUCUGAUUACGAAAUUAUUCAUCGCUUGAUGCAAUCAAAGUAGUGACAAAGUAAUUGCUAGGCAAGGUUGCUGAGAGCAAAAUUGUCCUAAGCAUUAUAUGCAUACAUGGUGCGGUACAUAGAGCACGUUGAAUUCCCCACUAUAACACAAAUCUAGAAAGACAAGUAAUAACUCAACUGAUAUAAAGACAAAAAGAAGAUAAAAUGAUAUAGAAAAAAGAAUUUCAAAGAGAGAGCAACAUACGAUAGACUGAAGCCACUUGAUCUGCUCAUUGAUUGCAGCCUUAAACUUGCAAAUAGUUACUGUACGCUAGUGCUCUAAGAAGUGAAAAUGAUGCAAGCCCUGAUUCCCUUUUGACUUCCAUUUACUGUCAAACAUUCUAGUAAUACAAAAAAUUAUUUAGAUAUCUUGCUAUAAAUAUAGCCGUUUGACUGUCAUAAUAAAGUCACAAAUAACCAUUCAUAUUGAUCUACUAUCACACAGCAUGCUUUAUGCAUACAACAGCUGUAUGUAUACCAACUCCUAACCUUAUCAAUACAUUUGGCAAAAACUUAAGAAGAAAACUAUUUCUCCAUCUCUUUUUUGAAAUUUCACAAUAACCAGCACAAUGUGAAAGCUAUGUUCUAACCUUAUGAUAAAUGCUCUAGACUCCAAAAGGAUUUUAUAUAUGAGACUUUGUUGCAGCAGAUAUAUUGACUUAUCAAGUAUGAAUCAUUGUCUGGAUGAACUAUCUUUAGAUAAAAGAAUAUUAGAACCACUGUAGAAUAUCUUUACGCUGCUGGUUCUAACAGGAAUCUGCAUGUGGCAACAAUUGCUAGAUCCACAAUUCCCCAACUUGAAAUACAUAGUUGCACACCAUGAGAUAGUGCUACAAUCUACUGAGAUCUAACUUAUAUGGUACUUUAAGCUACUAAUGUUUGCAUAUUUCUACAUGUUAAAUUAACACUAUCAUCUAUAAUCACUCCAAAACAACAAAUGAUAAGCAGCUUUUGGCCACUUAUUACUAGCAUCCACAAUUAUAAAUAAGAGAUCAUGGGUUUACUUGUUGCACCUACUUAAUUAUCUGCAGUUGACAUCCUGACGCAAGGUUUAAAUAGUGACUGCUUAGAACCCUUGUAGUUGGAUCUUGACCUCUCCCAUUGUAGCCAAGAUUGGUUACUCUGGUAAUGAAUCAACACUCUCCUGCUCAGGGCCAUGAAGAUCUGAAAGCUCAGCUCUAGUGGAGAACUUCAUCAAUCUCUUCUUCUCAGCAUACUUGAGACAAGGUUGCCUUACGAGACCAAUCACCACAGCACCAACGCUUAAAACUGCAACUUUUAAAGAAGAAAGAGCCAACACAACACAACACAAAUCAAUAUGGUUGGAGGAAUACACAUGAUAAUGGCUCCAACAGUGACAGUGGGUAUCUUGUAGGGACGAGAUGCAGCAGGAUAUUGCAUCCUUAACCAUACAAAUGCUAUGAACUCCAUAAUCAUUCCAAAACAGUACAGGAAGUUCUCUGCAGCUACAAUAUCUCAAAAGCUCAGCCAUGAUAGCAAAACCACACCAGAUGCUGAGAAUAUGAUUCCAAUCAAAGGAGUCCCAUAUCAAGACCUCUUAGCAAAAAACUCAGGUAGCAUUCCACGCUCAGCCAUCCCCAAAAGUUGGAAGAGUCGCUGCUCAUCUCAGCCACAAACAUGCCCAUAUUGGACAUUGCUGCAGCCCCCUGGAUGCACCAUCUCAACCAAACUCCUCCAAGCACUUUAGCGAUAUCUGAAAAGUAACCAUCGGUCCACAAGUCGCGAUCUAAUGGAAUAGCUCCAGUUCCAACUAGAAGGGGAAAGAAAUAUCCAAAAACGACCAAGAUCAAAGCAUAAAACAAAGCCUUUGGAAGAGUCUUCUUUGGGUUAUCCACCUCUCCAGCUAGUGUACUUAUUGAGUCCCAGUAGUUGGAGAUUCCAAAACAGGGUGUUCAAAUACAAAUUCCAGUCCACUUCACCUAAAUUUACUACAAGCCAUCUUGAAGGCUCUAACUUGGGAAGGGACACAAGUCCCAUAACCGCAAAAGGAAGGAAUGAGAAAAUCCCUAAAAGAACAGCAGCCCAUCCCACAAUGGUUAGACCCCUAUAGUUCAUGAAAGUGAGAACAAAAGUCAAAGCUAACGCCGCAAAGGCUCUAGGUAACCCAUCGCCCAAAGCAGGGAUACCAGACUUCAAGUAGUCAAGAAACAGAACUGGGUAUAAAGCAUUAUCAAUAACCCCACUAAGCCAUUUCAUCCAAACUUGCUGAAAACCCCAAUAUGGGCCUAAGGCAGAUGAAACCCAAACCACAUAACCACAAUUUUCAGGAAACACGGUACCCAUCUCGGCAGUAAUUAAAGCUUCAGGGACACUCCAUAUAAUCGGAAACACCAAGAAACCAAGAAGUGCUAAAAGAGGACCAGCUGCCUUUACACUAUCCUCAACACCAAACGGCCCCCCAGAAACCUCAUAGAAUAUAAGGAAAAUAAGUGGCAAGAUUGAUACUUUUUUAGCGCCAUGGACUCUAGGAGAAGAUGGUUGGUCAUUGAUAUUAACAUAUUCAACAGCAUCAGACUGCCCCAUUUCUACUGAAAGUUGCCUAUUCACAGUGUUCCUCAAUUUCUGCAUCAAGUUUAAGCAUAACUAUCAAAAGGGUAUCGGCAUCUAAAUUAUGAAACAAAAUGAGCAUUUACUUAUUAAAAAAAAUCAAAAAAACAGAAAUGGAUUUCACAGAACACAUGAAUUUAAGUUCAACAUUAAACAGGCGCUUAAGAAAACAAAAGGGUCUGGUCGUAAAGCCAUCAGAUUGCAAGAUUGAACAACAUUAACGGAAUCAAUAGAAUCGAUGUAAAGAGAUCUGAAAAGAAAAUAAAAUAAAAGAUGAAGAGAGAUAAAACGACCCAUCAAAUAAGUGCAUGCAGAGCAGAGAGGCAGAUACUAGAGAAGCUCCGUCAUGUUAGAGAGAGCCUAAAUCAAUCAGAGCUCACUGAGUUUCUUUUCAACUGACCGGCAAAUUUGGAGUAGCAUGACAUAAUAUUUUUGCUUUUAAUUUUCGGAACACUUUUGAAUGGAAUUUUUUGUUUUUCAAAACUAACGAAAUCGUAAAAAUAAAUAAACACGUGUUUGGUUUUGGGCUUCUUCUUUUGUUCAUUUAAUAUCAUUUGGUUCCCUGAUUUUUGACUAAUUAUCAACGGUAUCCUGUUAGUUUCCAAAUUGAAAUAAUAUUAGGUCAUGAGAUUAUUUACUCCAUUUAGCACUGUAGACUUAAUAGUAUAUUGAAAAAGCUUUGUCAAAUAGUAGUAAUAGGGGCAUAAGAAAUAAGUUCUUCAGAAUUUAGAUAAUAUACUUGGCUCUAGGAAGAUUCCCCUCUUAUCGCUCAAGUUAGGCUUUUACCUUAGAGUUGAGUAAAUCAUUAAAAUAAAUUAUAGCUAUCACAAAUUCGUCAGGGGACUUUCAAUUUUUUUCCAUCAAAUGGAAAUGAGGCAAAAUUACCUCAGCUUAUAUUGCAAAACUAAUACUUCAAAUUCUGACAAUAAAUUUGAUGACAGUCGAUUUUAUGUAUAGUAAUUUUGACUCUUUUGUUUGGUCUAAAAGUAGUUAUUUAAAAUGGCAAUGAUGACUUAUUUAGAAGAAAUGAUAAACUUAUAGUUCGUAAUAUUAUUUACGCAACUAAUAAAGACUAAUUUGAUAAUAAUCUUUCAAAUAAUAAUGAAGUGUUAAUUACUAUUUAAUAUUUUUUAUUAAUUUCUAAAUUUAAAACAAAUAUGAAAGUUGAUUGCUUCGAAGGUUGGAUCGUGACAAAUUGACAAAUGAAAAGAGAAGUAGAGAAUAUAUAUUCUGAUGAAAGGGACAAGAUUAAGCAAGGGGACAAUAUUCUCUAUUGGACCGACAAAUGGGGGAAAAGAAUAUAUAUAUAUAUAAUUUCUUAUUUGUGGAUUGGCCAACACGUGUAACAAAUAUGAAAAGAUAAAAUUUGGCGUGGUUUUAACCGAUAUAAGACAAGAAGAACAAAGCAAAGCCCAUGAAAAUUCACCUUUCAUGUGGGUUGGAUCGGAUAAAAUCAAUAUCUUGAAUCAAACAAAAUGUUUGGUACAUAAAGUUUUUUUUUUUUUUUUUACAUGAUAUUCGAUUUUUAUCCCUCGAAUUUUUACAUGAUAUUAGAUUUUUAACCCUCACUAAUAAUCGAGAGAUGUCUACUCCUCAUUUUUGGGUAAGGGAGAAAACUACAUUCACUUAAUUAUAAUUGAGGAAGGAAAUACCCCCCAUUACACUUGUGGGGGUUCAAACUGUUGCCCUCCAACUUGGAGUGCAGCAGCACUGACCACUCGGCCAAAGUCUGAGUGGCUGGUACAUGAAGGUUUUGAGUGUGUGUAAUGAGCAAGAAUUUACAUAACGAUAUUUUAGUAAAUAUAAGAAAAAAAGGCUCAGGGAAUGGCCUAUAGAUAGAAGCACGCAGCCCAUGAGUGAUGAGAAUACAAUUUAACUGUUCAAACUAAUUAGAAGCAAAUUCUUUCAUAUCUUUCUUUAAUUUUUCCGCUUAGUUCCUUAGCAUCCAAUCAAGUUCAAGUUAAAACACUGUUGAGACAACAAUAUGCAGGCAUCAAUAAGCAUAGUAGUUUUUUAUAUGUAUUCUAUACGAUAUUUGAGGGAUGUCAAUUGUAGAACAUUUUGCAGCAACUUUUUUACAUUAACUAAUGUUUGAAGAACUUGUUAAAAAAAAUGGUAAUUUUAUAAUUUUGAAAAAAAAAGAGUGAAAGUGACGUUACCUCAUUGUCAUUAGAGACUUGUUGCAAUGAUAGCUCAAAAUUAAAAUUUUUGAAGAAUUAGUAGACAACGAUGACGUAAUAUUUAUACAGUCACCAACAUGUUGAUUUUUGUUUAAUGUUUGAUCGAUAGAAAUGUUUGUCGUCGUUGCUGUUGUUGAAUUCAUACUUAGAACACAGAAGAGAAGAAGGGAAGAAAGGGAAGAGAAGAAGAGAGAAGUGGCAUAUAGCAAAUAUGAUAUGCUAGCUACAUACCAGCCUUAGAGAGAUUUUUUUUAAUAUUUAUUAUAUUUUUGUUUUUGUUAUUGGUUUGUCAUAUGCUUCCAGGGAAGCAAUACGUUACAUCAUAAAUUGCACCUUUUAGGGGAGGUGGUAAAAAACGUGAGAGCACUACGCUCCAGCGCAUACAUAUAGAAAGAGUUUCCGAAUUUUAAAAAGUUUCUUUAUUUCUUCCAUGUUUUUGUGCUUAAAAUAAAAUUUAAUUGUAUUUUGCAUUAACUUAGAAAAGAAAAGCCAAUUCUAUAUAUAAACUCAUGCAUUAAUUAGAAGAGUUGAACUAUUGGCACCCCUCUAUUAUCUUUAUAAAAUUCCUCUCCUAUUGUAAUUACAUUAAAGGACAAAAUAAAUCUAAUUAUAUCAUUAUAUUUCUCUUUUCAACUCUUUACACCCGUGCAACUACACCAAAGUCUUUUACAAUUUUUGUUUCCUCACAAACAUUAUUUAAAAGGUAGAAAGAUGGUUAGUGCACAAUCAAAUUUUAAGCCGCUACCUCCUCGGCCCAAAAUUCAAACUUAGAUGAUAAGCCAAAUAAAAUUAUUUGAAAAUCAUUCAAUCAGGUUCCCGGGGCAAAAAUACAAGAUCCUUAUUUGCAUGAUAUAUAUGAAUUAAUGUAAUUUAUUUGAAUUAUCCAAAUUCAUUAGAGAUAAAACUAUAAAAUAUACCAAAAAAGUUAGAAGGAAGGAUGUGUUGGGAUAUUUUACAAACUAUAGGAAUCUGGUGAGAUUUUGAGCCAAACUGUAGGGAGUUGAAGGCAUUUGCCCAAUAUGUUUAGACGUACACUAACCGUUAUUUGCUCUUGUUGUUGGUCCCGGAUGAGCUGUAGUCUUAUUUUAAUUUUAUUUAAACUCACCAUAAGAUUCGCGGAGCUCCUAACUAACUUAAAUGACUCUGCAGAGCAUGUCAACACAUAGCAUGUUUAACCGUUUUAUUUGUAGAAGAAUUUAUGAUUUCCCAUUAGCAUUAUUAUUAAAGAAGUGGGGCGGGUCAAAUCUCAAUUGCUUGAAAAUUUUAUUUAUUAUUAUUAGUCUUGAAGUGGGGUGGGUAACGGUUCGCUCAAUUUGAUUUGAGGGAAUCAAAUAUAUCAUCCAAGGUAGAAUUGUGGAAAAUUAAAGCAAAAUAAGAAAUAUGGAAAGAAAAGAAGAAAGUUAAUGCAUGAAAGACAUAUACAGUUGAAAUUGAUAAUCAUGUUUCUAUUUUGUUAACUAAUCAAAUGGAAAGCUGAACUGUAAACAAACAUUAAAACGUGUGGACCAAGCUAGCUGCCCUACAAGUUUACAAUAAUAAUUGAGUACUUUGAUUCAUCCUUCUAUGAAUUUCUACCCAUAUUGACUCCACCGAAAUUUCCACAAAAUAAAAAAAAAAAAAAACUGAAUUUCCACAAAAUGCAAAACCCGUAGAACUUAAUUUUUGGUCAUGUGAACUAAGAUGUAAAUUAAAGAAAAAGUAUAAAAUUAAAAAAGAUAAGAUUUCUAAAAUGUGUGGAAGGUGAUUCAUGAUUCACUGAAAUUACUUACCCCAGAUAUAAAUGUAAACCUAUCUAAUUUCAUUAAAAAUAGUUGGAAAAAAUUAACUAAUAGAAAGCUACGGAAAUUAACCCCCCACAAAAAUGACUUUUUAUAGAAGAAUUUAUGUUUUUUAAAAUAUGUUAUCAAAGUGUAUUUGAUCAAAUCUCAAUUGCUUAGUAUGGUUAGGAUUUUGUGAACAUCACUAAAAAGUGAAAACUAUGAAUGAUAGGGGUGAUGCUUGCAAUAUGAAUAAAUAAUGGACUGAUUCAAUUGAUGAUUACAUUUAUAUAUUAUUGAUUAUUUAUGAAUUUUCAGAUUUUCGAGUGAUCAACUUAAAUCUAUAUGAAUUUAUUGUCAAAGAUGGUGAUCAUGAUGGGCAUGUGAAUAUGUUAGAAAAAACUUGCACUUGUCGGGAAUUCCAACUUGAACAAUUACCAUGUGUACAUGUUGUGGCGGUGUGUAGGCAUCGAGAUUUUUCAAUCUAUGAUUACUGCUCCUAUUACUAUUCAAGUGAUGCAUGGGUGUUAGCAUAUUCUGAGACUAUUUAUCCUGUUGGUCCUCAAGAGGGGUGGGAUGUUUCUAGUGAUGUAUGUGCCCGCGAAGUACAUCCUCCUCUAGAAAAGCGGUCAAGUGGGCGUCCAAAAAAUAAUAGAAUACCAUCUAGGGGUAAGGAAAAGGUGCCUCGUAAAUGCAGUCGGUGUGGUGGUCGUGGACACAAUCGACUCAAAUGCAUGACGCCAAUGCCGUUACAUGAGUGAUACCUUGUUUUAAAUUUAUAUGCAAUGUAAGUGUCUCAAUUCUUGGUAUUCAUUUAUGUUUUAUUUAUUUCGUUAAUGCUGUUUAAAUAUGUACUAAAUUUAACACUAUGUGUACAAGGCUUGACGGAGGAUUUAGCUUGUAUGUUGUCUUUAAAUGGUGGCAUCGUAGAUUUUUGGGUUAUGGCUUGAGUUCUUGGAGCAAUUAAAGGACUAUGCUAAGUCAUUGUAUAAGGAUUUUCGUAUUGAAAUUGCAUAAGGAUGAAUUUACUAGUUGCUAUUUAAUGUUUCUUGGAUAAGGAUCAAUUUACUAGUUGCUAUUUACUAGUUGAAAUUAUAUAAGGAUGAAAUAGAAUUGUAUUUAAUGUUUCCUGGAUAAUUUAAAGUUGUUGCAUAAAAAAGUCGAGUGUUUCCUGUUAUUUACCCGACUGCACUGAAAAAAGUCGAGUAUUUCCCGUUAUUUACUCAACUUCGAUGAAAAUAAUCUACAUUUACCCAACUUCGAGGAGAUGAGAAUUUUUGUUCAAUAUUUUGCAAGGUCACAUCAAAGUCGAGUAUUCUCGACCUCAUACCCGACUUGGAUGAGUCGAGAAUUUUCAUUUAAUCUGACGCAAUGUUACAUUAAAGCCGAGUAUUCUCGACCUCAUACCCGACUUUGGUGAGAGGAGAAUUUUCGUUCAAUGUUAGAGAAGAUUGCAAUAUAAGUCGAGUUUUCUCAACUGUUUACCUGACUUCAAUGUGGAGAAAUUUUAUUUAAUGUUAGGCAAUAUUACAUUAAAAGUCGAGUUUUCUCGACUGUUUAAGUCGAGUUUUCUCGACUGUUUAAGUCGAGUUUUCUCGACUGUUUACCCGACUUCGAUGAGGAGAAAUUUUGUUCAGUGUUAGGCAAGAUUACAUUAAAAGUCGAGUAUUCCUGACUAUUUUCCUAACUUUGCUUAAGGAAGUCGAGAGUUAAGUCAAUCAGAGGAGAAUUUUUUAGGCAAGCGUACAUUGAAGUAUGGGAAUCAAAAUACCAGACUUUGAUGAAAUAAUAACAAAAACCAAAAUAUUUAACUUAUUCACACAUUUACAACAAUACAAGUCAGUUCAUAAGGUUUUGAUUAACAUUAUCCCAAAAGUUAAACUACAAACUAAUACGAAGUCGAGUAUUCUUGAUUAUCCAAAACAAUGAACUUCUUGUCAUCAUCAAUCGUACUCCUCUAUCAACUUCUUGUCAGAAAACAACCUUGUUGCCACUUGUUUUCGGUAUGAGUUAAUGCCUGCUUGUGUACGAACGUCAUAUGGAAUGUCUAGACCAUAUACAAGUGCCUCCAAAUAAAACAUAACAAAAACCCCACAAUCAUUGCUGCAAGAGAAAAAUAGAAAGUGAUAGUUAUUUGAUAUUACAUAACUCAAGGGAUAAUAUAAGAGAGGCAACACUAUUUCUUACUUGUUUUUUUGUUGUGGGAUGUCUGAAACUCGCACAGCCUUCCACUUACGAGUUAGAGAAUUAUCAUAAGAAUGUGAAGUAUACCAUGAUAUCCUAUCUAGAAUCAAUGGCAUCAUAACUACAAACGGCAACAAUUCCUUCUCAAAUGCACUGUCAUUCAUAUAAUCUAACAUGGAGUCAUACACAAAAAUUAUCUCCUUUUGAAGGUCAAACUGUGCUAGUGCCCAAUGAUCUUGCUUAGGAUGAAGCGGAAUAUAUACCUACAGAAAAAACCAUGUAAACCACUAAAUGGAGAAAAAAAAUUAUAGUCAACAUGUCAAAUAAAUAUAAGCAACUUACUUUGGAAACAUCUUUCCAAUGAACAACACAUUUAAGUUUUUCACCCUUGGCAUAAUCAACGACAUAAUUAGUAGCAUUAUUUGUCCAUACUUUUUCAGGGUUGAUCACGUAAACUGAAUACAGAUGCUCUAACUUUCGCUAUCAUUACAAAAAACAAAAGUGUAAGUGUCUUAUAUAUUUUAUAUUUUCCUAUAUGUUUUAUAAAUGUAAUAACAAACUUACUUGAUAUAUAGUGUCCAUUAUGGCACAUCGUUGCAUACUACAAGAUGGGGAGUUGACCAAGAUGUGUCGUACAACAUAAAAAAAAGAGUCCAAGUGUUGUAUAUAAUAAACAAUAGUUAUUAUAUGCAUUGUUUAACAUAUUCAUUAAAGUACCUAACAAAAAUUAUUACUAAACAAUAUGUUUAUAACAAAAUUCAAAACAAUAUAUAGAUUCUUACACUACAAUCCUUAAUUUCAUAAAUUUACAGAACAAUAUGUUUAUAACAAAAUUCAAAACAAUAAUCAAUAAAAGGCAAAUCCAAUGAACACAAUCAAAUAACCUUUAAAAUUGAAUCAUAAUGUUUCAAAACUAAACACAUCAUUUCUCCAACCGCAAAGCCAAAAUUGGGAAAACUAACCCACAUGAUUCUUUAAUCAACUUUUCUUUAACCACAUUGUUGCCAAAUCUUAAUUGUUGCACUCAAACAAAAAUAAGAAUACAAAAUCCAUAGAGGAAAUAAAAUAAAUUUGAAGUUCUUCAAAUAAAAAUAUGCUGUCUAACAUUUGUUUUUGUAUGUCUCUUCGUGAUAUAUUGUAUUACAUUGUUCAUGUUAUACUUCUAAUUCUUUUCAUUUUCAGUAAUCCCAUAAAUUAUACCCAAUUCACUAAAUCACUUACCAUUUUCAAGCAAAACCCUAAAAUUUUUCUUUGAAUAUUUGUAGGAGAAAGAAGAAAAUGAAAAUUACUUACCUAGUAACCAAUGACGGAGGCAAGACAAGGUGGUGGUGACACGGCUGAGGCAAUGGUGAUAGCUGAAGUGCAGAAUGGGCAGGGAGCCGCUUGUUCUUCAAGGAGUUUUCUCUCUUAUUUUGUUUACUCGACUUUGUGAUUUUGGGUGGGAAUCGAUUCUGUUUUGUUGGCUUUUAUUAAGGUUAUUUUUGUAUUUUCCAUGAUCUUUUUAAGUAUAUAUGUGUAAAGUUAGUAAUUUUAAUAUAUAGAGGUAUAUUUUAGGUAUUUUGAGGAAACCAGGUAUAUCCCACGCAAUUCGGGGUUUUUUUAUUUAAAUAUCCUCAAUUUACCCUUAAAUGCCAAAUUUAUACCCUAUUACAUACAUAUACCUUAUGAAGAUAGGAAAAGUCAAAAAUAACCUUAAAAAAACUAAGAAUUCACAUCUCUCUUCUCCCAUUGCUUCUCUUUUUCGGGCUUCUCUCACCAUUCUCUAUUUUUCUUAUAAGUGUAUUUCCUAAUGAUUUAUGAAUUUUAGUAGUACAUUAUUCAUUUUUUGUGCUUGCACACACACACACUAUUUCAAUGUAGGGAUUUAAGACUACAUUUAAGUUACGAGUGAUUGAAGAAUCAGUGCAGGAAGAAGUCGGGUACGAAGUCAGGUAAAUCGAGAAUUUAGUCGAGUAAGAAUUAGAGAUAAGUAAGUCGAGUAUAUGGUCGGGUAAGAAGUCGAGUAAGCAUAUUAAAUAAGUCGAGUAUAUGGUCGGGUAAGAAGUCGAGUAAGAAAAUUAAAUGAGUCGAGUAAGCAUAUUAAAGAAGUCGAGUAUAUGGUCGGGUAAGAAGUCGAGUAAGAAUAUUAAAUGAGUCGAGUAAGCAUAUUAAAUAAGUCGAGUAUAUGGUCGAGUAAGAAGUCGAGUAAGAAUAUUAAAUGAGUCGAGUAAGCAUAUUAAAUAAGUUGAGUAUAUGGUCGGGUUCAAGAAGUUGAGUAAGAAUAUUAAAUAAGUCGAGUAAGCAUAUUAAAUAAGUCGAGUAAGCAUAUUAACUAAGUCGAGUAUAUGGUCCGGUAAGAAGUCGAGUACGAAUAUUAAAUGAGUCGAGUAAGCAUAUUAAAUAAGUAGAAUAUAUGAUCGGGUAAGAAGUCGAGUAAAAAUAUUAAAUGAGUCGAGUAAGCAUAUUAAAUAAGUCGAGUAUAUGGUCGGGUAAGAAGUCGAGUAAGAAUAUUAAAUGAGUCGAGUAAGCAUAUUAAAUAAACCGAGUAUAUGGUCGGGUAAAAAGUCGAGUAAGAAUAUUAAAUAAGUCGAGUAAGCAUAUUAACUAAGUCGAGUAUAUGGUCCGGUAAGAAGUCGGGUAAGAAUAUUAAAUGAGUCGAGUAAGUAUAUUAAAUAAGUCGAGUAUUUUUAUUAAGGUUAUUUUUGUAUUUUCUCUGAUCUUUUUAAGUAUAUAUGUGUAAAGUUAGCAAUUUUAAUAUAUGGAGGUAUAUUUUGGGUAUUUUGAGGGAAAACAGGUAUAUCCCACGCAAUUCGCUCCGCAAUUCGCUCCCAUCUCAUCAUCUUCUUCAGUUGUACUAACAUUAAAUUCUUCUUAUUCCCUUUCUCAACUGUCAUACCCUAUCCCUAUUCCCUGUGUCCCCACUAAACCACGCUCAAUUCAGUCCAUCAGAUUCUCUCGGAACCACAUUAAUCCAACGGCUCACAAUGACCGACAGCCUCUGCAUCUCCAUUUCAAGCUCCCUCUUCAACUGGCCUCUGCUUCCGUUGUACUCUUUCUCGGAUUCUCGGUGGUCCCACACAGCUCCAUCUCGCUCCAAUUGUCACCCAACAAGACCAAUUGCUUAAUCAAGUCACAGAACAAAAAGAGGAUGAGAAAUUGGAACAAGAAUUUGAGAAUUGGAAAUCGAAAAUGUACAAAUUGACCGUGCCUUUGAGAGUUGUUUCUCUUCAGAAUUCAAUACCUCAAUCUUGGAUUAAGGAUUUUAUGCGAAGUCAAGGAAAGAUAUUGAAUUUUCAGAUGAAUUUGUGUGCUAGCAUUGAUGGGAUCUCAACAAUUUAUCUGUGCCUUUUAACAAAGUUAAGGCUAAAUCAGCUCUUAUAUGGGUGCUGAUUUGGUUAGUGUUGGUGAUUCAUGUCUCAGUUUUGCGAUUAAAAAGAGAUUGAUUGAACCAAUAGUUGGAGCUGAAGAUGAAGAUUGGUUCAAAUGCUUAAGUCACAAAUGGAAGGUAACAUCUUUAUCAUUGUCCAGAUAUUUUUUAAUCAUUGUCCCGAUAUGUUUUAUUGUCUUACAUUGAAGUUUGGUAAUGUAAUUUGUUCUCUAUCUGUGUUCCCUUUGUAGUCAUUUUAUUUAUUUUUUUGUUUGCAUUUAUUUGCACUUACGAAGUCUCAGGUAUAUCUAUGCAGGAAUGAUGCAGAAGAAAUUGAUCCUUGAGGUAAAAUAUGCGCAGCACCAUAUCAGUGGGGCACAGUGGUGAUAGCUUACAAGAAAAGUAAAUUUUGAAAGCAUAAUUUGGCUCCGAUUGAGGUAAUAAUUGUCUUUAAACUCAUUUAGUUUUAUAUCAAACAAAAUCAAGACUGCCCUUCUCUUCAAUAUUUUUUAUGAUAAUAUCUUUAGAAGCAGCUAAUUGACGGGUAAUCAAGGUAUUCCUUAAAGGGUCUACAAACUCAAUGAUAUUAUCUUCUGCAAAUGGUUCAUUAGACCUCUUAGUUGUAGUCAAAUGUCCACUAAGGACAGCAAGAAGCUAUGCCACUGUAGCAUGGUAAUGAUGGCCCUCAAUAAGUGAGUUGGUAGGAUGUGAAGCAGAAAAAUUAAUUAAUGUCUCCCUGGCUAUGCCAGCUCAUAAGUUAGGGUUAAUAUUAGAGCUUGAGUAACUAUAACCUUGAGAAGCUAUUGACUGCAAAUUAAAAUAUCCAUUAAAAUGUUUAGGGAGUUAUGAAGGUGGAAGUAUCUUCCAAUUUCUAAGGCCAUAUUGUAGACAUCAUCCAGGAUCCUAUUAAAGUGCAGUUAGCCUCCUGCUUGAUGCUAAUGUCAAACAAUUAAUAAAUUUGGUCAAUGUAACUGAAACUUGCUAACUGACAUCAGAUUGCAACUUAAAAUGGGAUAGAUGAUUAGUAGCACUGAAUUCUUCUUGCCUAAGAUUGAGCAAUUGUUCUAACUACUAUCUCCUAUUGUAGGUUGAUUAUUAUGUUCUAAUUAGGUCCAUUUUGACCCAAAAAAUUACAUAAUCUUGAUCUGCAUAUUGUCACUGAACAGUGUCAAUAUCGUUCACCAACUAACUUGAGUUUGAUAUAACAAACACACGGUGUGUCUCUCAUGUCUCACCAUGAUGGAGAAUUUUUCUAAUGCAUGAAGUAAGCUUCGAUAUGUGGGUUAGCUUGGAGAAGAUAUCUCAAAAUGAAGAAUAUGGGGAGUUAAUGGGAAGAAACAGUUCAUUAGUUGAUAAUUCUGUCAUCGAGCUGUAUCUCUAACAUGGUCAAAUUUUAUGUGAAUAAGGACAGGGAAUCUUCAUUCCUCUUUUCCUUUCUAUACCCAGAUAUCUCUCAACCUUUAUAUGUUGCCCACUGGAGAUCUGCUUCUAAUAACUAAAAUAAAAAUUUCAUCCACUCAAUAAAUGCUGACCAACCUUUCACAAGAAAAAGUAACAUCUUUAGUGAAGUAAUUUACAGUUCCUUAUCAUCUUCGUGUGAGUCUAUCAGUAUGAUCCAAAAACAUAAUACAUCUUGUUAGAUCUUGUUUAUUGAUGUUUAAAUGUUGUUCAUUGUGAAAUGUAGAAAUGAUGACGUGAAGUUUCUUUGGUCAUCAGUUAGUGAGAUCUUGUCUGAAGUUGUUUUCUGAAAUGAACUGCCAAAUGGUAGUUUUUUUUUUUGGGUGCAUUUGAUGGCUCUUUUCUCCUCAUUUUAAGUGGGUGCCUGCUUGGAAUGGGAAGGAAUAGGCUUCAGAGUUGUUAUAUAUGUUGACAUGCUCUAGUCUUUACACAAUAUGUUCAAAUUGGAAAUUAGAAUGAGAUAUUUGUCGAUGCUUUUUGAGAGAUCUGCAUUCUAAGCACCAUAACAUGAUUAAUGAAAACGGGUUUAAAGACUGGAAAGAUCUGUGGCGGCCCGAGCUUGCAGGAAGGAUUUCAAUGGUUAAUUCUCUCAGAGAGGUUAUUGGUACAGUUUUGAAGUAUAUGGGAGCAUCAUACAAUUGAAACGACAUUGAUUAGCAAGUUGCUGCUGGGAGGAUUGCUGUUCAGCAGAAUCUGGCAUUACUGGGAAACCAGGUACUCUUAACGAAACGAUAUCUGGUCAAUGCAUAUUAUUGCCUGACAGCUGAUUUUGUUUGUAAAGUCUGCCUUUUCAUACAUAUGAAUGCAUAUGUUAGUGUUUUACGAAUGCAUAUGUUGGUUUUAUUUUCUGAGAUGGAUGCAAAUAAAGGCUUUUUCUUCUAAAUUUAGCUGAAGAAAUGGCAAGGAAUGUGAGAUUAUAUCUCAUUAAAUUAUCAAAACCCAAAACAAUGAAAACUCAUAUUAAUGUGAUGUGGAUAAAUUGGCAACAUUUGGCUUGUUUCCUCCACGCGAAUUAGCAAGCAAUAGAGACUAAAAAAAUGGAGUGAUAAUAACAAGUCAUUGUCGUUUGAUGAAUGCAUUUUUAAGCAAAAAUAGGAUUGUAACUGAACAAAUUUUUCUGGCAUGCCAAUUUCAAAAAAUUAAAUUAUGUGGUUAUUAGUAAUGAAGGGGAAUUGUAGGUGCAAUCAGGUCAAUCCAGUAAAGUUCAACAAAGUUCUGGUUUGGUGUAGUGAAAUUGGUUUAUGCAACUUGAGUCUUUCAGAUGAACAAUGAUGAGUUUUCAUUUAAAAAUGUUAUAAAUCUGCUGUGCAUAGUAUUCUAGUGGAAUCAUCUAUAAAUUCAAGUUAUUGAAAUUGUCUAUUUUGUCUGGUCUGAGUUAAGGAGGCAUGUAAUUUAUGAAAAAUAGUUGUCGAAUAUUGUAGGUUACCUAACAUUUGAUCAAUCCUGUGGUGAGGGCUUUAAGAUGUCUAACAGCAUGUAGAAUGCCCCUGCUCCCCUCACAUUGUUUAUCUUAUACAAUAAUCCAUUAUAGAUGCUAAUAUCUUUGUCAAUACCUAAAACAGUAUUACAAAAUCUGAGUUUAUUGGGUUUUAUAUAGGUUCAACUGUUUGACAGUACACACUAUCUGAAGGCAUUUGGAAUUGGAGAUGUCUGGGUUGCUGUUGGGUGGAGUAGCGAUGUUCUUCCUGCUGUCAAACGUAUGUCUAAUGUUGCAGUUGUUGUUCCCAAGUCAGGUGCUAGCUUAUGGGCUGAUCUUUGGGUAUGCCCAUGCUUACCAUUCUACUUUGAUAUUCACUUUGUUAUCUCCAUCAUAGUAAUGAUCAGUAAAUACGAGAAUGUGUGACUGAUAAGUUUGUAUUCUCUUUUUAGGCAAUCCCUGCUGCGUCAAGACUUGAAACAAACCAAAUUGGAGGGUGAGUCAGAGGUCCAUCUCCAUUAAUCCAUCAAUGGAUAGUGUUCUGCUUGCAAACAGCAAGAGCAUUGCCUUUCAAACAAGAGGUUAUCCCUGGCGUACUGAGAUGGCUAAAGUUCUUGAAGUUUUGUUAGAAAUGAAAGAUGAGUGGUUGUUUGAAUAAAGUUGUGGCCAAUCUCGCAAAGGUUAAAAAGGAACAUCACGGAGCUAAUGCCACCGAUUUCUUCAUCAUUGUAGCCUCUAUAGUUGAAGUUUCCUCAUUUGAAGCUCUUUAUGCAUUAUCCCUGCUCAAGUACAAUUGAAGAACUAACCAGAUGUGAUAUGCUGAAAGAGGGAAGUUUUCUUCCUUGAAUGUGGCCUUGUGAUUUGUCAGGGAAUAGGAUGAUCACUAGCAAGAACCCUGUCAAGGUAGAUUUUAUGAUAUUAACAUAUUAUUAAGCAUUUGCCACUUUAGCAACGAUACAUUCAUAGCGUGAAAGUGUUCAAAUUUAACCUAAUGAUCCUGAUUAAUCAAUUAAUUUUCAUGAGUUGUAACCGGAGUUAAAGCUAAGUACAAUCAUCGUUAACAAAGACUGAAAUUUUGGGUAAAUAUGAUCUUAUAUUGAAUCAUUUGAUGACACAACUCACAUUGGAAAUUACUUAUUGCGUGGGGAUGGCGAUGUUUACUGUUGUAUUGCGAUAUAAAAUAUGUGCAAGGUAUUGUCGACUGCUUUUUGGGUUAUGGUGUGAUAGCUGCUGAUUAGUGAUAAAACAAGAAAAAUUAAUUAAACUCAGGCCUACAUGCUAAAUGUGUAUGUUAUCCUAACUUUCACUACAAGAAAAUGUCCUUAACCUGACCGUGUUAGAUGAUUGUAAGUAGCAGUGUUCGUACAAGUUUUUUUUCCUUCAUGGUAUUUACAAUUUCUUAGGAACAUCUAAAAUCUGAAAAUCCUCAUUUACUAAAAAUUAAGUUAUCAUUUACUGGCUGGCAACUUAAAGAUAAGAAUAAAUUCAAGAGCUCAUCAACCAAGUAGAGUUUUCUCAAUAGACGCCGUAGUUAAUUUCUCUCUUCAAUCUUGAUUAUGAAUGAUUGUUUUGUUGCUUUUUAAAGCGCUUUUAAAGUUUUAUUUUGCUCAUGUCUGAUAUUUAAUUACCUGAAGAAGCCUGAUGAUUUCUUGAUAUGAUUGCUCUGCCAAGCUAUCUAAGAAAUAGCUAUAGAAAUCCCUUCAUUACAUUAGAUAAUCUUCAUUAUCUGUGCAAUUUGGUGUUUUGUCUUUGAAGCCAGCCGUUUGCUUUUGAUAGAUUCCAUCUCGUAUUUAUUCCUUUUCUAUAGAUUUUGCAGGAUUGAAGCUAUAUUUCUUCUCUGUAUAUGUGAUUGAUAUUAAGAGUAUGUUUUUGUGUUGUCUCUGUUUUUUCUAUUUGAUCUAGAUUUAAUACCUGAAAGGUUACUAACAAAUUAUCUUAGGUCAAAUUCUCUUUUACGAGACUUUUUUUGCUAAAUUCUUGGAAUUAUAUAAUUAACUAAAUCUUUAGUACAAGGAGGAGUUUGCCCCUAACUUUGCUUUCUUUCUAUAAUCGCAUUAAUAAUCAAUCCCCUGCAUGUUGGUCGCAUUAAUAACCAAAUGUGCCUUUGACAUGCAACUAUACAAUCACAAACCAUCAUAGGCCAAGAUUGGUUCAAAUGCUUAAGUCACAAAUGGAAGGUAACAUCUUUGUCUUUGACCCGAUAAUUUUUAUUGUCUUACAUUGAAAUUUGGUAAUGUAAUUUGUUCUCUAUCUGUAUUACCCUUUGUAGUCGUUUUAUUUAUUUGUUUAUUUAUUUGCUUUUAUUUGCACUAACGAAGUCUCAGGUAUAUCUACGCUGGAAUGAUGCAGGAGAAAUUGAUCCUCGAGGUGCAAUAUGGGCGGCACCAUACAGGUGGGGCACAAUGGUGAUAGCCUACAAGAGAAGUAAAUUUCAAAAGCAUAAUUUGGCUCCGAUUGAGGUAAUAAUUGUCUUUAAACUCAUUUAGUUUUAGUCAAAUGUACACUAAGAACAAUUAGAAGCUAUGCCACUGUAGCAUGUAGUGAUGGCCCUUAAUAAGUGAGUUGCUAGGAUGUGAACUAGAAAAAUUAAAUAUUGUUUCCUUGGGUAUACUAGCUCGUAAGUCAGGGUAAAUAUUAGAACGUAAGAUACUAUAACCAUGGGAAGCUAUUGACAGCCAAUUAAAAUAUCCUUUAAAAUGUCUAGGAAGUUAUGAAGGUGGAGGUAUCGUCCGAUUUCUAAGGCCACAUGGUAGACAUCAUCUAGGAUCCUAGGAAAAUGCAGUUAAACUCCUGCUCAAUGCAAUUAAUAAAUUUGGUCAUUGCCACUGAAACCUGCUAACUAACGUUACAAUGCGACAUGAGCACUUCAAAAUGGGACAGACGGUCAGUAGCACUAAAUUUUUCUUGCCUAAGAUUGAGCAAUUGGCUAACUACUAACCCCUAUUGUAGAUUGAUCAUUAUUUUUUCAAUUUUGUUCAGUUUGACCCAAAAAGUUACAGAAUCUUGAUCUGAAUAUUGUCACUGAACACUGUCAAUGUCGUUUAGCAUAGCCAACUAACUUGAGUUUGGUAAAACAAACACACAGUGUGUCUCAUGUCUCACAAUUCAAAUUAUCAUCUGUAAUGAUGGGGAAUUUUUCCAAUGUAUAAAGUAUGCUUUGAUACGUGGGUUAACUUGGAGAAGAUAUCUCAAAAUAACGAAUAUGGGGAGAAAACAGUUCAGUAGUUUAUUAUUCUGUAGUCAAGUUUUGUCUCAAAAAUGGUCAAAAUUUAAAUGAAUAAGGACAGGGGAUCUUCAUUCUUUUUUCUCUUUUUAUACCAAGAUAUCUCUCAACCUUUAUAUAAUCCCCACUGGAUAUCUGCUUUUAAUAAUUAAAAUAAAAAUUUCACCCCCACAAAUAAAUACUGACCAAGCUCUAACAAUAAAAAGUAACGUCUUUAGUCAAGUAAUUUACAGUUCCUCAUCAUCUUAGUGUGAGACUAUCAGUACGUUCCAAAAACAUAAUAAAACUGGUUUGAUCCUGUUUAUUGAUUUUUAAAUGUUGUUCAUUGUGACAUGUAGAAAUGAUGAGGCGAAGUUUAUUUGGUCAUCAAUUAGUAAGAUCUUGCUUGAAGCUGUUUUACGAAAUGAACUUGCCAAGUGGUAGUUUUUUGGGGGCAUUUGAUGGCUCUUUUUUCCUCAUUUUAAACAUGUGCCUCCGUGGAACGGGAAGGAUUAGGCUGCAGAGUUGUUAGAUAUUUUGACAUGCUCUGGUCAUUGCACAAUUUGUUCACACUGGAAAUUAGAAUGAGAAAUUUGUUGAUGCUGUUCUGAGAGAUCUGCAUUCUAUGCACAAAAACAUGACUAAUGAAAAUGGAUUGUAGGACUGGAAAGAUCUGUGGCAGCUUGAGCUCGCAGGAAGAAUUUCAAUGGUUAAUUCUCCCCGAGAGGUUAUUGGUUUGGUUUUGAAGUAUAUGGGAGCAUCAUACAAUUCAAAUGAUAUUGAUUCGCAAGUUGCUGGUGGGAAGAUUGCUGUUCAGCAGAAUCUGGCAUUACUGGCAAGCCAGGUACUCUUAAAGAAGUGCUAUCUGGUCAUUGCAUGUUAUUGCCUGACAACUGAUUUUGUUUGUAAAAGUCUGCUUCUUCAUACAUAUGGAUGCAUAUGUUAGUGUUUUCUUCUCCUUUUCAUACAUAUGAAUGCAUAUGUUAGUGUUGUCUUUUCCUUUUCAUACAUAUUAAUACAUAUGUUGGUGUUCUCUCCUGAGAUGGACGCAAUAAAGGCUUUUGCUCCUAAAUUUAGGUGAAGAAAUGGUAAGGGAUGUGAGAUUCUGUCUCAUUAAAUUAACAAAACCCCAAAACAAUGAAAACCCAUAAUAAUGUGGUGUGGGUAAAUUGGCGCCAUUUGGUUCGUUUCCUUAAUGUGAAUACACGAGCAAUAGAGACUAACAAAUUGAAGUGACAAGAACAAGUCACUGUCCUUUGAUGGAUGCAGUUUUAGGCAGAAAUAGGUUUGUAAUUGACCAAAUUUGCCUGGCAUGCCAAUAUCAAAAAAAUUAAAUUAUGUGGUUAUUAGCUGUAAUGAAGGGGGAUAGUAGGUGCAAUCAGGUGGAUCCAGGAAAGUUCAACAAAGUUCUGGAAUUGCGUAGUGAAAUUGGUUUGUGCAACUCAAGAGUCUUUCAGGUGAACAAUGAUGGGUUUUGAUUUAUAAAUGUUAUAAAUCUACUGUGCAUAGUAUUCUAGUAGAAUCAUCUAUAAGUUCUAGUUAUUGAAGUUGUCUACUUUGUCCAGUUUGGUCAAUUACCUAACAUUUGAUCAAUCCUAUUAUGAGGGCUUCAAGAUGUCUAACAAUAUGUGGGAUGCCCAUGCUCCUCCCCAUUGUUUAUCUUAUACAAUAAUUUGUUUUCGAUGCUAGUAUCUCUUUCGAUACCGGUAACAAUAUUACAAUAUCUGUGUUUAUUGGGUUUUACAUAGGUUCGAAUGUUUGACAGUACACACUAUCUGAAGGCAUUUGGAAUUGGAGAUGUAUGGGUUGCUGUUGGGUGGAGUAGUGAUGUUCUUGCUGCUGUCAAACGAAUGUCUAAUGUUGCAGUUGUUGUUCCCAAGACUGGUGCUAGCUUAUGGGCCGAUCUUUGGGUAUACCCAUGCCUGCCAUUCUACUUCGAUAUUCACAUUGUUAUCUCCUUCAUAUUAGCGAUCAGUAAACACAAUAAUGUGAGAAAUAAGUUUGUAUUCUCUUUAUAGGCAAUCCCUGCUGCCUCAAGACUUGAAACAAAACAAAUUGGAGGGCGAGUCAGAGGUCCAUCUCCAUUAAUCCAUCAAUGGAUAGAGUUCUGCUUGCAAAUAGCGAGAGCAUUGCCUUUCAAGCAAGAGGUUAUCCCAGGCGCAUCUCCCUCUGCUCUUGAAAGUACUCUGGUUAAGUUGCCUGAAGAACUUCUGAAGGGUAAACCAAGUCUGGAUACUAACUUAAUUUCUGGAGUACCCCGGGCUGAAAUUCUGGCCAGAUGUGAGUUUUUGGAGCCAUUAUCUGAAGCUACUUUGUCAGAUUAUGAGUGGCUGGUUGGUAAUCUGCAAAAAACCUGCUCCUGUCUUGGUGAAAAGGGGGCAAAAUUACUUGUCAUCAUUAAUCCAAAGCUUUCUAGCAAAAGCUGCAUUGAAACGUUAAUGGCACUGCAUGCCAGUCAUUAUAAUGCAGUCAGGGCAAUUGGGUCAGGGCAAUUAGGUCAGGGCAUAACUUCAUCAGGAAAAGAGGCUUCAGCUACGUUAAAUAUUACAGUAUGUACUAAGAUGGCUGAAGUUCUUGAGGUUUUAGGAGAAACGAAAGAUGAGUCUUUGUUUGAACAAAGUUGUUGCCAAUCUUUCAGAGUUCGAGAAGAAAGAUCACGGAGCGAUGCCGCUGAUUUCUUCAUCAUUGUAGCCUCCAUAGUUGAAGUUUCCUCAUUUGAAGCUGUUUAUGCAUAUGCUUUUUCCCUGCUCAAGUACAGGAAAUUGGAGAAUUAACCAGCUGUGAUAUGCUGAAAAAGGGAAGUUUUCUUACGUGAAUGUGGCCUUGUGAUUUGUCUUGAAGGAAUAGGAUGAUCACUGGCAAGAACCCUAUGAAGGUAGAUUUUAUGAUGUUAACAUAUUAGUAAGCAUUUUGUUACAUCAGCGAUGAUGCUUUCAUUGCAUGAAAGUGUCUAAAUUUAACUGAAUGAUCUUGAUUAAUCAAUUAUGAGUUUUAAUCGAGUAAAAACUAAAUUCAAUCAUCGUUAACAAAUACUGAAAUUGGGUAAAUAUGAUCUUGAUAUUGAGGAAUUUGAAAUCACAACCCGCACAGGAAAUCACCCUUCGCGGGGGGAUGGAGAUGUUUACUGCAGCGAUAAUGAAUAUGUGCAAGGUGUUGUCCACUGCUCUUUGGGUUAUGGUGUGACUUGCGAUUUCAAGGUUGCCCUGAAACAAUGGAAAAUAUUAACAUAUCCUCCAAUGAAUAAAAACGGCUGGACUAAUUCAAAUUACUCAGCAUCAGGUGGCAAUAAUAACAGUCCAUUUACUUUUCCAGGAUCAGAUGUUGAUAAUAAUAGUUUAUUAAAUGACAAAUCAUUGUUCUUGGGGGUUAGUUGUAUACGUCCUUACUACUUCAAGGAGAAGAAAAAGGUUGUGCAGGUGAUUUCAGAAAUAAAAUACAUUCUGAGAGAUGAUGGUCCACUACUGCAUGCCCCCCAGAUUUAAGAAUCAUCACUUUUCCUUUAAAAAACUGCUACGCUUUGAUUUUAGUGCUGAAUAUUUAUUGAACUCUGAUAGAAGGAGUUUGAAGUCAAACUCGUAAUUACAGGUUAUCUAAUUGCUGAGUUGUUGUCCAUAGCUGCUGAUUUGUAGUGAUUAUCUAAUUGACUGAGGUAACAACAAUUUUUUUUUUUUAAUUUUCAAUAGCACAAUGUCGAAUUCAAUAAUUAAAUUCUCCUAUUUAAUUUGUUUCAAGUUAAAUUAUUAAUUACUUAAACUAUGUUUUAAGUCUUUAAUUUUAUGUCUUGGCGUAUAUGCAGAAUUGGAUUCUUGAGCGUGUUGGACACGACCAACAAUGAAAUUGACAGUAAACAAACAUUACAACGUGUGGACUCCGGUAGCUGCCCUACAAGUCUACAACUUCACAAAUAAUAAUUGAGUAAGCACCUUUGAUUCUCGUAACCCUUCAAUGAAUUUCUAGCCCCAUUGACUCCACUAACAAAAGUUUUGUAAAAUAAAAAAAAUACAUAAAAUUCCACCAAAUACAAAACGCGUGGAAUUUAAUUUUCGGCCGUGUGGACCAAAACAUAAUUUAACGAAAAAAGAAAAAAAUGAUAAGAUUUCUAAAAUGUGUGGAAGGUGAUUCAUAUUUUACUGAAACGACUUGUUAAAUUUUUCAAGGAUUUAGAAUAUUUGGUCGUAAAUUAGGUGCAUGUUAAUUUUUCCGCCAUUGACUAUCAUAUUCUAAACUUAAUGGUACCUUUCUUGAUGAAGGGUACUUAGUCUCCCUUCUCCUCUUAUAAAAAUUAUAUUAAUUGAUUUCUUAUUAUAGUUAAUAGUCUUUAAGAACGGAUAGCUUUAUUGUUUUCAUAACCAAAUUAUGCCUGCCUAAGAUUGCGACUAUUAAUAAAAUUAAUAUUCAAUGUUUAUGUUAAAAGAUAUAAGAUUAAUUUAUGCGUUCAUUAAUUGUUAUUAGCUAAAGGAUGAAUUAUUUUUUCAACCCAAUCAGUUGAUGCAUCUGCAAGAGUUUUUUCUUUUAGUGACCAUAAUUAUAUUCCGGGUACAAUAAAUUGUCUUUGGUGCUUGGAAAAUAUGACUUCUUACUUCAAGUUUUUGAUAUGUCUCUCUCCAUAAACUUACUGGAAAUAUAUCCUCAUCUACUGUCAUUUAUCUAAUAUCAAUUGAAAAUCUCACUUUUCCAAACUAUCACUUCCAAGUCUAAUUGUCACUUGCCAUUCUUGGACCAUUCAAAACCAAUCAAGUGUUGAAAUAAUCAAAUAUAUGCAAAAUUAGAGUCACGAUUUUUGGUCCCCCAAAUUCUAAUUAUAUAACUUCUAUGUAUCUCAUUGUCAGGUCACGAACUUGUUGGCACAUUUUCCAAAUUCCUCUUCCAUCAGCUCUCACAUGUUAACUUGAGUGUAAAGUUUCCAAGUUGAUUGCUAGAAAGCAACGCAAAAUCAGACACACUUGACCCGUCCCAUAAUUAUCUUUUCUACGUUGAAAAAGAAAAAAAAAAAGAAAAAAGAAAAUAUAUCUAUGUAAAAAUAAAUAAUAAAUUGAGUAAAAGCACAUUUGUUUAAUUAACAUCUGAUCGGGGCAUUUUUGGUGUAAUUUAGUGCUGUGUAACCCACAACUAAAAUCAAACAGCCCCUUAGCAUACUUCUUCCAUUUUAUCUGCUACUUUUGUGGAUCUGAUAGGGUGGGCAUGUGGACAGAAUUUAAAAGUUUUAAUAGUCUCAAAGAAUAAGAUAUGUUAAAGCUAAAGUUGUUGCACCUUCUUAUUAAAUAAAGUUGCACAAUUUCACCAACUUGGAAGAAUUGACAUCAAUGGACUGGUCCCUCUCCAUAUAUGAAGCCUUCUUAAAAGUAAUUUUUAUUUCAGAAAAAAAAGUUUAAGUUACAUAUAUUACAGUAAGAUUUUUUGAGACCAAAUCCCUUCAAAUAAUAAUGGAAAAGUAUUAAUUUAAAAACAAAAUGAAUAUGUAUUGAUUAUAUCCGGAUUUUCAUAGAUUAUAGUGAGAGUUUCUCCAAAUCAAUUCCCUUAUUCAAAUAAUACAGAAAAAAUAGUAAUUUAAUAGUAAAAUAAACAGGUGUUGAUUGUAUAUCCUUAGUUUCAUCGAUUAUGUGAUCAAAGUGGCAUUGAUGAUUUAUUUCUUGUUCAAUGUUAAUUUUUAGGUUAUCUAAAUUUUAAGGAUUUAAAAUCUUUGGUCAUGGAUUGCAUGCUUGUCAAUUUUUCUGUCAUUGACUGUCAUAUUCUAGACUUAAUGGUACCUUUCUUGAUCAAGGGUAAUUAUUCUCUCUCCUCCUCUUAUAAAUUCCUCUUCCAUUAACAUCACUAGGAGUUUGUUGAUCUCUAAGACGUUAACUUGAGUGGAGAGUUUCCAAAUUGAUCGUUACAAAACAGUACAAAAACUAGACACACUUGAUCUGUCUAAUAAUUCUCUUUUGGUAAAAUUAAUUAAUUUUAGGAGAAUAUUCGGCCAACCUCUAUAAUUUCAGAUUGAUCACUAAUUAAUUAAACGAUACAAAUUGCUAAAGUGAUUAGAUGUUUGCUGACAAUACAAGUUCAUGGUUUGAAAUUUGAUCUCUAUCGAUUGGUUUACAAUGGACGUACUUGUGCCUUUGUGGCGAUAAUUGAACCAGAGAUGUGAAGCUGUAAAGAUUUGGCAGUAGUAAAUUGUUAUAAAGACAUAAUGACAAGUUCCCAUGAUUAUUAUUUUUUCCAAAAACUUUUUUACAACAAAUUCAUCUCGCCCAAAAAUUCUAUUUUUCUAACCAACAAUAAUUGAGUACUUGGCCGUAUUGACUCCACGUCUCCACCUGCUUUCUAAGUAAAAACAUGGAAAUGUACUUUCCACAAAAUGCCAAAUGUGUGGAAUUUAAUUUUUGGUCUUGUGGACCAAAAUACAAAUGAAAGAAAGAAGAAAAAAAAGGCCCAAAGACUUCUAAAAGGUGUAGAAGUCUUUGGACCUUUUUACAAUAGUGGAUUUUUUAAAAGGAAAAAAUAACAACACUUUUAUGAUUUGUUUUGAUAAUCAUAUUUACAUAUACUCUCUAAUUUUCAAAAUGGACACAUAAUUUUUUUUUUUACAAAUAUACGUUAUUCGUAUUUUUUAUUAUUUUUAUUAUCGUAUUUUUAUUUAUUAUAAAUAUUUAAAGUAAAUUUUUAGGUUGAAAUAUAUUAAAAGGAUAUAAUCGUUCUCUUAUUAAACACACAUACUUUUAGUUUCUAUCCAUUUGUCAUCUCAAUCUCUCUCAAUUAUUGUUUAUUGCUAGCUCAAAGCGCGUUGCUGUGGAAAAUUGUAGCAAAAUGAAAAAUUGGAAAGAAAGGGAAGAAGAUUAAUGGGUGAAAGAAUUGGAGAAAACAACCAAAUAAGUCAACUGCUCUUUAGUGAGAACAUUUUACAAAAGGAUUGGAUCGAGUUUUUGUUUGAUAUUGAAGGACCUGCGUCCCUGUCGCGAUGUAGAAUAUGUGCAAGGAGUUGUCUACUGCUCUUUAGGCCAUAAUAAUGUGACUGGUGCAUUCCACGUUGCCCUCAAACAGUGGUCUGAAGUCAAAAGCAAUUAGUUACAUAACAAAUCAUUGUUCUUGGGUUAUACCUCGUCAUGUCUUCAAGUGCGAAGAUGAAGAUUAUGCAAGUGAAUUCAGGAAUACAAUACAUCAUUUCCAGCUCUUUGGGUUAUGGUGUGACUUGCGAUUCCCUCCAAUGAAUGAAAACGGGUGGACUAAUUCUGAUUACCUAAUUGACUCAGGAUCGGCUGGCAAUAAUAACAGUUUAUGAACAAUGCACAGUCCUAGUACUUUUCCAGGAUCUGAUACGACGUUGUCUAAUGUUGAUAAUAAUAGUUUAUUAAAUGACAAAUCAUUGAUCUUGGGUGUUGAUUUCAGAAAUAAAAUACAUUCUGAGAGAUGCUGGUCUACUGUUGCAAGCCCCCAGAUUUAAGAAUCUUCUGAUGAUAAUUUAUCACCUGCAACCGUGCCGGAAGAUUCAACUAGCACUGAAAAAGAUGAUAAUUUAAUUGAUAUGGACAGUUUCCAUAUCACUUUUAAAUCAUCCUAUGUAAUUGUGAUGUUAGGAAGCAUUAGUGAUCUAUAUGUGAACUAUUAUUGGUGCCAUUGGUGGUUUUAUCUUGUUAAAAUAUGGAUGACUUCCAGUUACUAUUUUGUAGUAUACAAUUUUAUUCAAUUAACAUAUAGCUUAAAACCAUUAUGUAUGUGCUUUAUUAAGAUUCUCAAGUACCAAUCACGUUUGCUUAAGAAAUAAAAUUUUACCAUUAAAAGCGUAGUAAUAUUUCCAAGCGCUUCGCAUUUAUCUCAACAUUUUGAAGGAAUUUUGAGAAAUACACGUGUCCAAAAGUCUAGUCAUCAUCCUUAUUUUUCUAUCGUUCUUUUGGGUUUGCAGUUGGUGGUGCUUUCAAUGUUUCCCUGAAACAUAGCAAAAGAAGGUACAUAUUCUUGGUAUGAGUUAGAUUUUUAGUGAUUAUCUAAUUGACUGGGGUGACAACAGUAGCACAACGUAGAAUUCAAUAAUAAAAUUCUCCUGUUUAAUUUGUUUUAAGUUAAAUAAUUAAUUACUUAAAACUCUGUUUUAAGUCUUUAAUUUUAUGUCUUGGCGUUUAUGCAGAGUUGGAUUCUUGAGUGAGUUGGACAUGACCUACAAUGAGAAUGACAGUAAACAAACAUUAAAACGUGUGGACUCCGGUGGCUGCCCUGCAAGUCUACAACUCUACAAGAAUAAUUUCUAGUCCCGUUGACUCCACUAACUAAAGUUUUUUAAAAUUUAAAAAGGUACAUAGAAUUCCAUGACAAGCAAAACGUGUGGAAUUUAAUUUUUUGCCGUGUGGAAAAAAAUACAAUUUAGCAAAAAAGGACAAGAAAAAUGGUAAGAUUUCUAAAAUGAGUGGAAGGUGAUCCAUAUUUUACUGAAACGACUUGUUCCGAACAUCACGACGUGAUUUUUUUUAUUUUUUAUUUUUGAAUAACAUCAACUUCCAUAUCUGUCUAACCCCCAGAAUAUGCUCACGUUCAAGUCUAUCUUGCUAAUUUAAAAAAAGAAAAUCAAAUCAACAUCUUCAGGAAGAUUUUCCUCAAUUUGCUCCAGAAGAGUUGGAGCUGUGGUUCUGAUAAACCAAAGAAUUAGUAGCAAUAUUAAUAUUGCCCACCCAAGAAAUAUGAGUGAAUUAAAGUAUUGACAAGACUUCGCUCAGAGGAGCAUUUAAACCACUUCCUUAUCAGUUGCGGCAGCCGUCUAUUAACUAAAACGCCAAUCUAAUACAAGAAGAAAGAACAUUUACAGACUUGGCAAUUGAGUUUAUUAAGAAGUAGCAUCGCAUUCGGGUGAUGAGUUUCCUUUUGUUAAUAAUUUUAGUCUAAUUUCAAUUGUACUGUGAUGGCUUCUCAAGGUAAGUGAAAGUUACAGAUGUGGCAAAAUAAAUAAUUAAAUUAACAAAAUGCUAACUGAUUUUCCUAAACACCUAGGGUUGUACAAUUUCACCAACCUGGAAGAAUUGACAUUAAUGGACUGGUCUCCUCCCCAUAUAAUUAUAAUCCUUCUAGAAAGCUAAUUUUUAUAAUUUCAAUUAAAAAAUGUUUUAAGUUAUAUAUACUCUAAUGAGAUUCUGAAUUCCUUUAUUCCAAUAAUAAUGAAAACGUAUUAAAUUAGAAAUGAAAAAAUGGGUGUUGAUGAUUCAUCCUGAUUUGGAUAGAUUACGUGAAUAAAAUUGAAAUUUUAAUAAAAAAACAAGGAAAGGUUUUUCCGAGUCAUCCAUUAUUUGAUUACCGUCAAUCAAGAAAACGACCAAAUUAAUUUCUCUCCAAAAUUUCCAAAAGCUAGAAAAUUUUGUUAUUUGAAAAUAACAUCAUUAAUUAUAGAGUGGAUCAAACCGCGUUAUUGUCUUUCAUAAAAUUGAUGUCUUUUUAAGAGUCAAUACUUUUUAUUUACGCAAACCAGUCGACAUCAACUUAAACUUCCAUAUUUUUAUUAUUAUGUUAUUGAUUUUAAUCCCUGAUUAUUUGAUUAGCCACUAUAUAUAUCAAGAAAGCGACAAAAUUUAUUUCUCAUGACUUUCAAAAACUAGAAAACAACAUCAUUUAUUAUUUUUUUGCAACCCUAAUUGACAUCAACUUUAACUUUAUUAUGUUAUUAUUUCAAUCCCCCAUUAUGACCUUUCUAAUCCUCCAUUAUGCAUCUUUUAUAGUGCAAAUUUAAUUGCACAUCUAAAUAAAUUGAUUAUUGUCACUCCACCACCAAUAUUUCAAAUAGUCACUAUACCAUUUCUGCCUUUAAUUUUCCCUUAAGUUUAACUAUUGACUGUUUUUAGCAUCUUAAAAUAUACAUUUAUUCCUUGAUUAUGUGAUAAAAUUAUGAAAAUAUCCAUUUUAGCUUAAAUUAAUUGGAAUAACCAUAAACAUAACUUAAAUUUAUAGAACAAAAUUAUCAAGUGUAUGUUCUAUCUUACUUUUUGAAGAAUUUAACAUAUAUAAUGCUAUACUAUUAAUAAAUUUAUCAUUUAAUAUAUAUUUUCAAAUAUUUUAUAUAUUUAUUAAUUGUUAUAUAGUCAAAGGAUGAAUGAUUUUUCUGGUCUACAUGAGUUGGUGCAUCUGCAAGACUCAAUUUUGACAACAAUGAUCUAAGGGGUAAUUUACCUUGGUGUUUGACAAAUUUAACCUCUCUUCAAGAUUUACUUCCAAUCUACUUACUGUAAAUAUAUCCUCAUCUCCUCUCAUUUAUAUGAUAACCCUUGAAGAUCUCACAUGUUCAAACAAUCAUAUUAGGAUUUUUAUUAUUAGCAUCAUUGUGUCAAUAAUAUAUGUUGCAGUAAGAUUUUUUCAGACCAAUUCCCUUCUUCAAAUAAUAAUGGAAAAGUAUUAAUUUAAAAAUAAAAUGAAUAUGCAUUGAUUAUAUCCUGAUUUUCAUCGAUUAUAGCGAGAGUUUCUCCAAAUCAACGCCCUUAUUCAAAUAAUACAGAAAAAAUAGUAAUUUAAUAGUAAAAUUAACAAGUGUUGAUUAUAUAUCCUAAGUUUCAUCGAUUAUGUGAUCAAAGUGGCAUUGUUGAUUUAUUUCUUGUUCAAUGUUAAUUUUUAGGUUAUCUAAAUUUCAAGGAUUUAAAAUCUUUGUUCAUGGAUUACAAGCUUAUUAAUUUUUUUGCCAUUGACUGUCAUAUUCUAGACUUACUGGUACCUUCCUUGAUCAAGGAUAAUUACUCUCUGUUCUCCUCUUAUAAAUUCCUCUUCCAUUAACAUCACUAGGAGUAUGUUGAUCUCUCAGACGUAAACUUCAGUGGAGAGUUUCCAAAUUGAUUGUUACAAAACAACACAAAAACUAGACACACUUGAUCUGUCUAAUAAUUCUCUUUCGGUAAAAUUAAUUAAUUUUAGGGGAAUAUUCGACAAAUCUAUAUAAUUUUAGAUUGAUCAUUAAUUAAUUAGACGAAAAACGUACUUGUGCUUUGUGCCGACAAUUGAACCAGAGAAGUGAAGCUGUAAAGAUUUGGCAGUAGUAAACUGUUAGAAAGACAUAAAGACAAGUUCCCAUUUUAUAAUUUUUUCAAAAAACGUUUUUACAACACAUGCACCUGGCCAAAAAUUUUAUUUUGCUAACUAACAAUAACUGAGUAGCUGACCGUACUGACUCCGCCUACUUGCUAAAGUAAAAAAAUAGAAAUAGAAUUUCCACAAAAUGUCAAACAUGUAAAAUCUAAUAUUUGGCCGUGUGGAACAAAAUACAAAUGAAAAAAAAAUAGAAAAAAGGCCUAAAGACUUUUAAAAUGUGUGGAAGUCUUUCGGCCCUUUUAUAAUGGUGUGUUUUUCAAAGGAACAAAUAAUAAUAAUGACACUUCUACGGUUUGUUUUGAUAAUCACACAUAUACUCUUUAAUUUGAUAAAUGGUUACACAAAUUUUGUUUACAAAAAUAUAUUAUUCAUGUUCUGUAUUAUUUUUUAACAUCAUAUUUUUAUUUAUUAUAAUUGUUUAAAGUUAAUUGUUAGGUUGAUAUAUAAUAAAAACGUAUAAUCCUUCUCUUACUAAACACACAUACUCGUAGUUUCUGUUCAUUUGUCAUCUCAAUCUCUCUCAUUUAUCCUUUAUUGAUAGCUCAAAAUGCGUCACUGUGGAAAAUUAUAGCAAAACGACAAAUAUGGAAAGAAUGGGAAGAAAAUUAAUGCAUGAAAGAGUUGCAGAAGACAACCAAAUAAGUCAACUAUACGCUAGCUGGGUGUAUAAAUUGUUAGAUGUGUUAUAAACAAAUAGCAUAGAGCCCUUUGGUUGGUUACAGAGAUAGAAAGAGUGUGUGUGUUUUUUAGAACUUAAAGAUACAGUUAGAAUGGGUGGUUCAAAAUCAAAAAUGGUGAUAAUGUUUGUUCUGUUAUUAAUAAUAUUAGAAGGUGGGGGGAGUGAGGGAUGUUUAGAUCAUGAGAGAUUUGCUCUUUUACGACUCAAACUUUUCUUUGAUGAUACUUAUAAUUAUCUUCACGAUUGGAUAGAUGAUGAGGGAGUUACUGAUUGUUGUCAGUGGGAAAGGGUUGAGUGCAGCAACACCACAGGCCGAGUGAUAGCGCUAGACCUUUCUGACACGUAUUCGGGAGAGUACAACUGGUAUAUGAAUGCUUCUUUUUUUACUCCCUUCCAACAACUUGAGUCACUUGAUUUACAUGGCAACAACAUAGCUGGUUGUGUUGAGAAUGAAGGUGCUUCGUCUAAUUCAAUUAAAUUACAUUUCGCUCUCCUAAUUUAAGUCGAAUAUCAAGACUGAGUAGCUAUAUGCAUAUUCAUUCAAUUGACAAUUUUUACAUAUUUUUUAAAAUGUUUAAUUUUGAAAUUACACCAAACAUCAUAUGUGAUCUUUGUUUUGAUUUUACUUGCAGGUCUAGAAAGAUUGAGCAACUUGAAGAGGCUUGAUUUAAGUUUUAACUUGUUCAACAAUAGCAUCUUAUCAUCUGUGGCUCAUCUUUCAUCACUAACAUCAUUAGAUUUAUCUGAAAAUAGAUUGGAAGGAAGUAUUAAUGUUAAAGGUACGUAAUUAAAACGUCAUCGCUUCUCCCAACUCUUGCAUUAACAUGCUAAAAUAAGAUUCAAGGCUUUGAAUUCAUUUUUUUUAUGAGUAAAUAUUAGAAAAAUAGUUUUAAGCAAUUCAUAAAUACAAUUUUCAAUGUUUCUCAUAAUUUCAUCUUGUACUUUUGUAUGUCUUGACUUUAAGAUUAAAAAAAAAAAUUACUCUAACUGUGAAGCAAAUACCCCAUGACUAAUUUAUCAUUUUGUCCAGUUAAAAAUGAUAAAAUUUAUCAUUUGUUUAUAUUGAUUAAUUAACUCUAUUUUAAGUCUUAAGUCUUGGCGUCUUGGCAUGUUUGCAGAAUUUGAUUCCUUGAGCAACUUAGAGGAGUUGGACAUGAGCGACAAUGAAAUAGACAAUUUAGAGGUUCCUCAAGGUAAACAAUUAAAAUAUUAUUCAAUUACAUUAAUUUAAUUCGUUUGAUUAGGGAAGACCCAAAAGGUACAAAAUAUAAUAAUAAUAAUAAUAAUAAUAAAAGAAACAGAGAAUCUAUAUUAUUUCAAAAAAUAAAACGUAAUACUAUUAUUUCAAAAAUAGAUUGUAAUAAAGAUUUGAUUCCGGUUCUUUAAUCUUUACAGCAAUUGAAAAACGAUGUUGCUCUUUUCCUAAAGCAUAAAAUAUGAAAUGACUCCCAAUAGAAUUAAUCAUUUAUUUCGUUUACUCUAAAUUUAAACAAUGAAUCUUGAUUUUCUUCAAUCAUAUCCUUAUUAUUAUUGUUAAACAGGUUACAGAGGUUUGAGGAAGUUGAAAAGCCUCUAUCUAUCGAAAGCUAAAAUUAGAGAUGGAAGCAAGUUGUUACAGUCAAUGGGAUCAUUCCCAUCCCUCAACACUCUUUACCUGAAGGAUAAUAAUUUUACCGAUAUAGCGACAACUACUACUCAAGGUAAGUAAAAGGUACAGAUGUGGCCAAAUUUACAAAUAAAUUGUUAAUUAAUUAAUUUUUCCGUAUUAUUAAUAAAGCUAAAUUCGUCGCUCCUUCCUUCUAAUUCUAAACAGAGUUGGCAAUUUCACCAACUUGGAGUAUUUGACAUUGGACUUGUCCUCGCUCCAUUUAAGCCUUCUACAAUUGCUUGAAGAAAGAAUUUAUUUAUUUAUUUAUUAUUGUUGUUGUUGUUGUUGUUGUUGAAGUGAGGUGGGCAAAGCGUUCACUCAAUUAAUAUGUGGGGAAUUAAUAAUUACAAUCCAAGGUAGAAUUGUGGAAAAUUAAAGCAAAAUGAGAAAUAUGGAAAGAAAGGAAGAAAAUUAAGGGCAUGAAAGACUGGGAGAAGACUAAAGACCACCAAAUAAGUCAACUGAAAACUAGCUGAGAGACAGAGAGUGUGCAUUUUGUUAAUUAAAUAUAUAUAUAUAAAAUGGGUGGUUCAAAAUCCAAAAAUGGUGAUAAUGUUAGUUUUGUUAGUAUUAAUAAUAUUAGAAGGGAGGUGGCGUGAGGGAUGUUUGGUGCAUGAGAGAUUUGGUCUUUCGAGACUUAAAACAUUUCUUCAAUUCUCCUUAUAAUUUUUGUCACGACUGACCGUUGUCAAUGGGAUGGGGCUGGGUGCAGGGUUGAUUUACGUUAGAAUAAUAUAGCCGGUAGUGUUGAGAAUGAAGGUGUUUCAUUUAAUUUAAUUAAUUUAUUUUCUCCCUCCUAAUUUAAGUGGAAUAUCAAGAUUGAACAAUUAUAUGCAUCUUCGUUCAGUUGACAAUUUUGACAUAUUUUUUAAGUGAUUAAUUUUGAAAUUACACCAAACAUUAUUUGUGAUCUCUGUUUUGACUUUACUUGCAGGUCUAGAAAGAUUGAGCAACUUGAAGAGGCUUGAUUUAAGUUAUAACUUGUUCAAUAAUAGCAUCUUGUCAUUUGUUGCUCGUCUUUCAUCAUUAACAUCAUUAGACUUAUCUUACAAUGGAUUGGAAGGAAGUAUUAAUAUUAAAGGUACGUAAUUAAAACGUCAUCGCUUCUCCCAACUCUUGCAUUAACAUGCUAAAAUAAGAUUCAAGGUUUGAAUUCAAUUUUUUUUAUGAGUAAUAUUAGAAAAAUAGUUUUAAGCAAUUCAUAAAUACACUUUUCAAUGUUUCUCAUAAUUUCAUCUUGUACUUUUGUAUGUCUUGACUUUAAGAUUAAAAAAAAAUUACUCUAACUGUGAAGCAACUACCCCAUGACUAAUUUACAAUUUUGUCCAGUUAAAAAUGAUAAAAUUUAUCAUUUGUUUAUAUUGAUUUAUUAACUCUAUUUUAAGUCUUAAGUCUUGGCGUCUUGGCAUGUUUGCAGAAUUUGAUUCCUUGAGCAACUUAGAGGAGUUGGACAUGAGCGGCAAUGAAAUAGACAAUUUCGAGGUUCCUCAAGGUACACAAUUAAAAUAUUAUUUAAUUACAUUAAUUUAAUUCGUUUGAUUAGGGAAGGCCCAAAAUGUACAAAAACAUAAUUAGAAAAAAUAAAGAAACAGAGAAUUCAUAUUAUUUCAAAUAACAAAAGGUAAUACUAUUAUUUCAAAAACAGAUUGUAAUAAAGAUUUGAUUCCAAUUCUUUAAUCUUUACAGUGAUUGAAAAACGAUACUACUUCCCAAAGCAUAAAAUACGAAUUGACUCUCAAUUAAAUUAAUCAUUUAUUUCGUUUAGGUCUAAAUUUAGAAAAAUGAAUUUUGAUUCUCUUGAAUCAUUUCCUAAUUAUUAUUAUUCAACAGGUUACAGAGGUUUGAGGAAGCUGAAAAGCCUGCAUCUAUCGGGAGUUGGAAUUAGAGAUGGAAGCAAGUUGUUACAGUCAAUGGGAUCAUUUCCAUCCCUCAACGCUCUUUACCUGAGCUAUAAUAAUUUUACCGGUACAACGUCAACUACUCAAGGUAAGUAAAAGGUACAGAUGUGGCCAAAUUUAUAAAUAAACUGUUAAUUAAUUAAUUUUCUGUAUUAUUAAUAAAGCUAAAUUUUUUGCUCAUUCCUUCUAAUUCUAAACAGAGUUGCACAAUUUCACCAACUUGGAAUAUUUGACAUUGGACGAUUCCUCUCUCCAUAUAAGCCUUCUGCAAAGCAUUGCAUCAAUAUUCCCUUCGUUGAAAAAACUGUCGAUGUCUUAUUGUGAAGUCAAUGGUGUCGUACAUGGUCAAGGUAAAAGAAAAGUGUUGGUUGUGCACUCACUCAGUGGUGUCCUACGUGUUCAAUAUUUUUAUUUAUUUAUUUUAUUGUUUAAUGAGAUGCUUCCACCCUCCCCUUUAAAUCUAUAAUAUUAAUUUUCGAUAAAUAUAUAAUUAUAGAAACCAAUCACUUAUAAAAGAAUGCUAUGCAUUUGCCAAUUUUUUUAUAUUUUACUGAUUGAUGAAUUAAUAAAUUUUCAGGCCUCUGUUCGUUGGUGCAUCUACAAGAGUUGUACAUUGCAACUCUUGUAGUAAUUAAUUAAUUAAGUAUUAGUUAAUUAAUUAAUUAAUUAAUUUUCUGUAUUAUUAAUAAAGCUAAUUUUUUUGCUCAUUCCUUCUAAUUCUGAACAGAGUUGCACAAUUUCACCAACUUGGAAUAUUUGGCAUUGGACUCUUCCUCUCUCCAUAUAAGCCUUCUGCAAAGCAUUGCAUCAUUAUUCCCUUCAUUAAAAAAUCUGUCGAUGUCUAGUUGUGAAGUCAAUGGUGUCGUACGCAGUCAAGGUAAAAGAAAAGGGUUGAAUGUGAACUCACUCAAUGGUGUCCUACGUGUUCAACAUUUUUAUUUAUUUAUUUUAUUGUUUAAUCUUUCUGCUAGGUUUUCCUCAUUUCAAGAGUUUGGAACAUUUUGACAUGGAUUUCACGCGCAUUGCACUCAACACUAGCUUUAUUGCACUCAACACUAGCUUUCUUCAAAUCAGCAGUGAAUCGAUGCCUUCUCUUAAGUACUUAUCACUAUCAUAUUAUACUCUUGGAACUAAUAGCAGCGGGACUCUUGAUCAAGGUUAACGAGAUGCUCCCACCCUCCCCUCCUAAUCUAUAAUAUUAAUUUUUUAUUUAAUAUAAUGACACAAACGAAUCACUUAUAAAAGAAUGAUAUGCAUUUGUUAAUUUUUUUAUUGUACUGAUGGAUGAAUUAAUAAAUUUUCAGGCCUCUGUUCGUUGGUGCAUCUACAAGAGUUGUACAUUGCAAGCAAUGAUUUAAGAGGUAGCUUGCCUUGGUGCAUGGCAAAUAUGACAUCCCUCAGAAUAUUAGAUGUUUCUUCUAAUCAACUUACUGGAAGCAUCUCCUCAUCUCCCCUCGUUCAUUUGACAUCCAUUGAAGAGCUGAUGCUUUCAAACAAUUACUUCCAGAUCCCAAUUUCACUUGAACCACUUUUCAAUUACUCAAGACUCAAGAUUUUCAAUGCUGAGAACAACGAAAUAAAAGCUGAAAUAACUGAGUCACAUUCUUUGAUCGCCCCAAAAUUCCAAUUAAAUACUCUCUCAUUGUCUUCCAAUUACGGAGACGGUUUCAUAUUCCCCAAAUUCCUUUACCAUCAACAUGACCUGGAGUAUGUUGAUCUCUCACACAUAAAGAUGAAUGGAGAAUUUCCAAAUUGGUUGUUGGAAAACAACACAAAAUUAGAAACUCUUUUUCUGGUUAAUGAUUCUCUUGCAGGACCUUUUCGGUUGCCAAUUCAUUCACACAAGCGGUUAAGACAGUUGGAUGUCUCCAACAACAACAUUCGAGGCCACAUUCCAGUAAAAAUUGGAGAUGUUUUACCAAGUUUAUACGUUUUCAACAAUUCCAUGAAUGCUUUAGACGGUAGCAUUCCCUCUUCAUUUGGUAAUAUGAAAUUCCUCCAAAUUCUGGACUUAUCCAACAAUCACUUGACUGGUGAAAUCCCCGAGCACUUGGCCGUGGGUUGCGUCAACUUGCAGUUUCUUGCAUUAUCAAAUAACAACCUACAAGGUCAUUUGUUCUCUAGAAAUUUUAACUUGACAAACUUGCAAUGGUUACAAUUGGAGGGCAAUCGCUUCGUAGGUGAGAUCCCACAAAGUUUGUCUAAAUGCUCCUCACUAGAAGGAUUGUACCUUAACAAUAAUAGUCUUUUAGGUAAGAUUCCACGAUGGUUGGGUAAUCUGACACGGUUACAAUAUAUUAUAAUGCCCAAUAAUCAUCUUGAAGGCCCUAUUCCAGUGGAGUUUUGCCAGCUUGAUUCGCUUCAGAUUUUGGACAUUUCAGACAACAACAUAUCUGGAAGUUUACCAUCUUGUUUCCAUCCUCUCUCUAUCAAACAAGUUCAUCUUUCAAAAAAUAUGUUACAUGGACAGCUAAAAAGAGGUACAUUCUUUAAUUGCUCUUCCCUUGUGACAUUAGAUCUUAGCUAUAACCGCUUGAAUGGCAGCAUUCCGGAUUGGGUUGAUGGGCUUUCUCAGUUAAGCCACCUUAUCUUAGGUCACAAUAAUCUUGAAGGUGAAGUGUCAGUUCAAUUGUGCGAAUUGAACCAACUACAAUUGUUAGAUCUUUCUAAUAAUAAUCUUCACGGUCCUAUUCCUCCUUGCUUUGAUAACACCACACUUCAUGAAAGUUACAGCAAUAGUUCUAGUCCUGAUGAGCAAUUUGAAAUAUUUUUUUCCAUCGAAGGCCAUCAGGGAUUUUUAGAAAAGCAAAACCAUGAAAUUUUUGAGUUCACAACAAAGAACAUUGCGUACAUUUACCAAGGAAAAGUGCUUAGCCUCCUAUCAGGACUUGAUCUUUCUUGCAACAAGCUAAUUGGUCAUAUUCCUCCUCAAAUUGGAAAUUUGACAAGGAUUCAAACAUUGAAUCUAUCACACAACAACUUGACAGGAUUGAUCCCAUCAACAUUUUCAAACUUGAAGCAUGUCGAAAGUUUGGAUCUUUCCAACAACAAAUUGAAUGGGAAAAUCCCUCAUCAACUAGUGGAGUUAAAGACAUUGGAGGUUUUCAGUGUGGCAUACAAUAACUUAUCAGGCGAAAUUCCAGAAUGGAAAGCACAAUUUGCAACCUUCAACGAGAGUAGCUAUGAGGGAAAUACUUUUCUUUGUGGACUGCCAUUGCCCAUUUGCAGAUCACCAGCAACUAUGCCGGAGGCUUCAAUUGGCAAUGAACAAGAUGAUAAUUUAAUUGAUAUGGACAGUUUCUUUAUCACAUUUACAACAUCGUACGUAAUUGUGAUAUUCGGAAUUGUUAUUGUUUUAUAUGUAAAUUCUUAUUGGCGACGUAGAUGGUUUUACUUUGUUGAAAUGUGGAUAACUUAAUGUUACUAUUUUGUUGUAAACAAUCUUAUUGCAACAAGAUAUUGUCAUUGAAAUUAAUUAGCAGUUUAAUUACGAUUCUUUAAGUUCUAAUCAAGUUUGCUUAGGAAAUAAUUUUUUUUUAUUUUUUUAUUAAAAUUGUAGUAGUAUUUAGCGCUAUAUAGCUUCCAACUUGGUAGAAAGCUCCAUUUUUUGUUGGCUACAGUAAAAGCAUGUUGUUUUAUUCUUCUUAUACUUUACGCCUGCAUCAGCUUAAAUCACUUCUUAAACGCUUGCUUUAACUGCACCGCUUCGUACUGCUCUAUAUAUGUAACGGUUAUGCGGUUGUAGCUCACGGCUCAAGCUACGCGUUUGUUUGACGUGGUAGUUACGUUACGAUGUUUCGAGUCUGUUAAACAUUCGGUGAUAAGAUUAGUUACAACAAACCUACUAGUUUUAUAAAAUUCAAGUGAGAUGGAAUAAAAUAAAAAAUAAAUAUAAAAUUGGCUUUUAUUUUUUAGGUUAACCAUAUUUUGUGUUCUCUUCGGGCACUACUACAAUUGUUCCCUAUACAUCAGUUACACUCACGUAUCAUCGACACGAAAAAUGAAAUCUAAUAUCACCUGUUUAGUUAAAGAAUCACUCAUGAAAAAAAAUUACCAUUUUGAUUUGAAGAUCCAUAUUUUGAACUACCAAUUAAUGUUCAUCAAGAACAGAGUGUGGCCGUUAAGUAGAAAAACUAUUUUUGGACAAAUUAUUAAAUUCCAAUAUUGUAUCCAUAUGCAAACGAUGCCUGAAGCAGAGCCUCCAAACAAUGACCAGGGCACAAAACAAGAGUGUAGUAAUCAAGUGUAUUGUCUCAUAAUCAAUUAAAAGCAGAUAUACAGGAUACCAUAUUCAAUUCCAAAAUAACAAAAGCAUAAUGAGGAUGAGAAGAACAAUGAUCACUCAAAUAUUUCUUCACUUUGGUUGUCAAUUAUCUAUUCAAAUUAAUCAGUGUCAUUAUGGACUUAUUUAUUUAGAAGAGCGGGUGAUAAAUAUAUUCAAUAAUGUGAACAAGAAGUUGAUUAACUUUUAUGAUCAUUUGGAAGGUCGGCGUGUCAUCACUCGUCAAACACAUUGCAUCGAUCCACCAGCAUGAACCGACCGGAUUAUGCCCAAAAGUUGAAAUAUCAAUAAAAAAAACAAUUAAUUAAAGGUCGAAGAUGGGUCCUUUACAUAUGUUUUUGUUUUCGUAUUAGGUAGGAGGUUAUUAUAUUAUAUCAUGUAAUUAAUUUAUUAUUACUCAACACUAAGUAAUAACUUAACUAUAUAAAGACAACAAGAAGAUAAAAUGAUAUAUAAAAAAAAAAAGAAUUUCAAAGAGAUAGCAACAUACAAUAGACUGAAGCCAUUUGAUCUGCUCAUUGAUUUCAGCCUUAAACUUGUAAAUAGUUACUGUCAAAUAUUCUAUUCAUACGAAAAAAAUGUUUAGAUAUCUUACUAUAAAUAUAGCCGUUUGACUGUCUUAAUAAAGUCACACACAACCAUUCUUAUUAAAUUAGCAAGAUCAAACACUGCCCUGGAUCUUGAACAGAUCAACACAAGAUGCACAACUUAUGAUUGAACCCAGAAACAAUCAAAUCUUUAGCAAGAACAAUUAAUCAGAGUCAAGAAACAAGUUUAAUGAAUAUAAACCUAUAAUUGAAACAAACAUAGCCAAGAAAAAAAUACAGAUUUUACACGGUUCAGUUGUACCUAGGAUGGCACAACCUACACCACGAGAGAAGCUUUCUGGUGAGAUUUUAUUGAUGAUCAAAGAAGAAUCUUUUGACAAAGCUAAUAAUAGAGAUUUCAGAGAAUAAGCUGUAACCCUCUCUCCCUCUUCAAUCUCUCUCUAUUUUGUUCCCAUUGAUGACCCCAAUCUGCUUAGUUAUCCAGCUUUAUAUCUGCAUCAGUAACAAACCAGCAAACCCAGAUUGAGCAGAUUGACGACACGUGGAUAACGGCUUUAACGAACCUGGUUAAGAACUGCUCACAUGUUCGUCACGCGUGCUGCUUAAAUGAUGGCCAAAACGACUUCAAACAAAUGUCGUUUUGAGGCUUAUGAAUUACAAGUGAUAACACGAGCUUGUCUCAUGACUUUUAAAUGCAACAGCGUGCCCAAAACGCCGUCGUUUUACUCUGUUGAGUUUGAUUCAUUACUAAGCUUUACGACUGGCACUGGAGAAGAUGAUAAUUUAAUUUACAUGGACAGUUUUUAUAUCACUUUUACAACAUCCUAUGCAAUUGUAAUAUUGGGAAUUAUUGAUGUUUUAUUCUGUGAAUCCUCAUUGGCAAAAACUAGUGGUUUUAUCUUUGUUGAAAUGUAAAUGACCUCUCGUUACUAUUUUAUUAUAAACAUAUAGUUUCGUAAGUGAAACUACAUGUUUAUAAUAAAAUUAACAUAUAGUUUCGUUACAUUUCUGCCUCAUUAAGAUUCUCAAAUACCAGUCAGGUUUGCUUAAGAAAUAAAAUUUUUCCAUUAAAAUUGCAGUAGUAUUUCCAAGCAUAUCGCAUUUUCUAUGAUUUUUCAUAAAUUAAUUAAUCUGCGGUGCCAAUAUCAGAUUUAGUUUUUCAAACUAAAUAAUCAAGAAAGCAAACAUACAAAUAUACAGUUUAGAGGGGUAAACUAGGUAGGUGGUUUAGAUUUUAGAACUAAGCCAGCUACCUCACUAAAUUCCGAUUCGUACAGUGAACUGCAAGAAAUUGAGAAAACAAUGAAUUUAUAAUUUAAUAGAAUCAUAAGAAAACAAUGUAGUCAUUGCUCCAUAUAAGAUGAUGAUUUCGGAGAGGCACAUUGUUUUCAAGUUAAUUUGAUCCGUUUAUAAGAGAUGAAGUGGAAUCAAGUUGAAAGUUUAAAUAACAAAUCCUUGUUCUUGAGUUUUACGACGUCGUUACUCCUUCAAGUGGCAGAUUAUGCAAGUGAAUGCAGAAACACAAUGCAUCAUCCGCGGGGAUGAUACAUCAAAAGGCGGGAUUUGUUUAUGCCUGCAGAUUAGCAAUUUCACUCAUAUAGAAAAUUAAUUUUUUAUAUAUACUAAUCAACACUAAAUUGAUUAUGUGUUGUAUGUUUAUAUGCUAAUCAACACGAAAUUAUAUUGAAUUAUUAACAUUCAUAUUCCUAAUAAAAAUUAUUUUCCAUCAGUAUUCAAAAUUUUCACUUAUGGAAAAUGCGUUUUAUGUGAAUACUAGUUAUUGUGUAAAUUUGAAUGAUAGCGAAAAAUAAACCUAUUUGAAAACUGUAAGGGUGUGUUGGGAUAUUUUACAACUGUCGGAAUCUGGUAGGAUAUUGCACCAUUUGCCCAAUAUUUUUAGACGUACUCUAACCGGUAUUCAAGAUAAGUAAAAGUUACAAGCGUGGCAAAAUAAAAAAAUAAAAUUUGUAAUUUGUAAACGAAUUUUCCUGACAUGUAUAGUAGAUGAAGUUGUUGAUCCUUUCUUUGGAUUAUUUCAGCUCUGGUUGUUGGUCACCGAUGAGCCGAAGUCUUAUUUUAAUUUUAUUUAAACUCAUCAUAAGAUUCGUGGAGCACCUAACUAACUUAACUGACUGUGCAGAGCAUCUCAACAUGGCAUAUUUAACCAUCAUUCAAGUGAUGGGUUUAAUAAGACUGCUUUUGUUCUAUCAACUAUCAAGUUCCUCUGCCUCUAAGCAGAAUUACUAUUGAAGGGCCAAAAGGAAAAUGAAAACGUGUGAGCUCCAACAACCACCCCACAAAUUCAAUGACGAUGCUCGGAGAGGGUUAGGUUGGGCCUCUGAGAAAAAAAAAAUUAUUUAGUUAAAAAGUUACCCUUAUUGAAACCUGUAUAAAAAUUUUAUAUUAAUUAGUUAUGUUGCCUCUUCAACUAUGAUCAAAUUUUUAUCCGAGCUCAUCAUUUAAUGAGUAAACAUGUAUUUUAAUGAUCUCAAUUAAUAUUUAGAACAAAUAUUUUAAGAAGUAAAGCUCAUUAUAUCUUCCAUUAUUAUGUAUUUCUUUAAUUUCUUAUUUACAUAAUUAUAUUGUACAUUAAAAAUGUAUUGAAUUUGAAGAAAAAAAAAUUCAACUCACUCAAAAAAAAAAAAAAAUGCUGGUAGCUUCGUAAUAAUUACUGUAUUGACUGCACCAGAUAAAGUUUUGUAAAAUAAUAAGUUCUCAUUAGUGGUUUUUAAUUUUUUUAAUUUUUUUUUCCGGCACACCUGAUCAAGAAUUCUAUUUUGUUAACUAAUCAAUUGCAAAGCAUAAGUGUUGAACGGCAAAAAAAUUUAAAAAAACACUUAAAACGUGGGGAAAUGAGAAAUAUAGAAAGAAAGGAAGAAAGUUGAGACAUGAAACUGAUCUGCAGUGAAAUUGAUAAUCAUGUUUCUAUUUCGUUAACUAAUCAAACGGAAAACUGAAACUGUAAACAAACAUUAACACGUGUGGACUCUGCUAGCUGCCCUACAAGUCUACAAUAGUAAUUGAGUACCUUUGAUUCAUCCUUCUAUGAAUUUCUAGCUGUAUUGACCCCAACUGCUAAAGUUUUGUAAAAAAUAAAAAUAAAAAUAAAAAAACUGGAAUUUCAACAAAAUUCAAAACGUGUGAAAUUCAAAAAUGGACUUUGGCCAUGUGGAACAAAAUGUAAAUUAAGGAAAAAGUAUAAAUCUCAAUUGCUUAGUAUGGUUAGGAUUUUGUGAGCAUCACUAAAAAGUGAAAACUAUGAAUGAUAGAGGUGAUGUUUGCAACAUGAAUAAAUGAUGAACUGAAUCAAUUGAUGAUCGUAAUUACAUAAUGAACAAAAUUUACAAAAUCAACAAAAGUUAAUAAAAAUUUAUUCAAAUAAUAAAAAAUCAAUAAAAACUUAUUAUUUAACGGCGCUCAAACCAUGGAGUACCAUAAUCAUAAUCUUCUUUUAAGAAAAUUAUAACUUAUUAUUUUACAGGUUUGAUCCAUUUGGAAUGAAGUGGUCUCAAGUUGAAAGUAAUUAAUUUAUUGAAUAACUUUCGACUUAUUAAUAGUUAUAUCAACGGGUGUUUUACCUCAUCAUGUCUUCAAGUGGAAGAUGAAGACUAUGCAAGUGAAUUCAGGAAUAUUGCAUGCCUGUUGUCUAAAGCAUUACCUCACAAGGUUUCAUGAGAAACGAAAGAUGUGUUUGCUUUGAACAAUUAAAGUUACUGCUACGAACCUCCCCAAAGGUCAAGAAGACAGAACAGGAAGCUAAUGCCAUCAAUGUCUUGUUCAUUAUAGCUGCUGGGUAGUUAGGUGUAGUUUCCUCAUUUGAAGCUGUCUAUACAUAGGCAUUUCCCCUGCUUAUGUACAAAUAAAUGAACAACCUUGAAGCUUUAUUAUUCGCAACAAAAAGGGAUUACUAAUUGGAGAAGACUAUACAGAGUUUUCUCUCACACUUGCUCUCUGUCAAUUUCAUCCAGAAGUCCCUCUGAAAGCUUCUCCCAAAACAGUUAGUCAUCUUUUAUGCUCUGUUUUCUGAAAACAGAGUCCUAACUAAAUUAAUUGACUGUACAGUGCAUUUCAACAUAGCAUAUUUAACCGUUUUAACAGUUAUUUGGACCGUCUUCAGAGGUAACAUCAACAAACUCAUUCAUAUGCUUAAUAAUGAACGAAUAGUCUUGGAUUGAUGUUUUGCAGCAAGAGCAACACGACACAAUCUGGAUUCAACCUCCUCCUUUCUAACAGGGGAUUUCGAUUUGAGUUACUUUGUGCUCAAGCAAAUUCACAUCAUAGUUUUGAUUCUUUAGAUAUGAAUUCAUCUCAUUACAUAUAUCAGAUUAAGUGUAACAAAAUUUGUAAUUUACUGCGAAAAGAAUAUGCACUAAAAAAUGAUUUCAAGACUAUUUGACUACAAAAAGCAGCUGUCAGAGUGCACUAAAAAUUUCUGUAGGAUAUUUUGUAGCUGUUUAAUAUGUUAUGAUGGGCAUAUAAUUCUCAAAUUUUGAUGCCUCUCAGCGAAAAAUAUAUCAAAGUUACGGAUGAUAUCACGUAAAACAUGCAUGGCUCAGGCUCAGGCUCAGGUAAGAAAGCCACAGAAAUGGAAAAUCUCACUGUCACGACUCACGUCACGCAUCAUUCAAGUGAUGGAUUUAACAAGACUGCUUAUGUUCUAUCAAAUUCCUCUGCCUCUCAGAAGAUAACUUUUCUGGGCCAAAUUUCUCAUCUAAAGCAUAUUAUGCCCCAAAGUCACAGAUAACAAAAUGGGGCACUACCGAUUAUGAAAGAGAACUAGUAGUUGUCAGAAGCCUAAGCCAAAUUCCGGUAGUAAGAAGAGGCCUUUCUUGAGUUUAGAUUAUGUGUUCGAGUUUUAAUAAAUGCCUAAGUUAAUAAUAAUAACAACAGUAAUAAUAAACUAAAAAGCAUAAUUACUAUUGAAUGGUAAAAAAAAAAAUGAAAAUGUGUGAACUCCAAUAACCACCCCAGUGGCGAAUUUUGGAGAGGGCUAGGCCGGGCUUCUUAGAAAUUAUUUUUAUUUAAUUACAAAAUCACCUUUACUGAAACCUAUAUAAAAUUUUUUAUAUUAAUUAAUUAUGUUGCCUCUUCAAUUAUCAUUAAAUUCUUGUCCGUUCAUAAUUUGAUGGAUAAAUGUGUAUUUCAAUAAUUUCAAAUAAUGUCUAGAACAAAUAUUUUGAAUUAUAAAACUCAUUAUGUCCUGCAUUACUAGAUGUAUCUAUAAUUUAUUAUUUACAAAUUAUAUUGUAUGAUAAAAAUGUAUUGAAUUUUUGUUUAAAAAAAAGUUCGGCUCACUCAGAAAAAAAUGUUAUUAGCUUCGCCACUGCACAAAUCUAGAAUAAUAAUUAUUCCUUAUUAUAUUGACUGCACCAAGCAAUAAACUAAUAAGUUCUCAUCAGUGGUUUUUAAUCUUUUUAAUUCUUUUUACCGCACACCUGAUCAAGAAUUUUAUUUUGUUAACUAAUCAAUUGCAAAGCAUAUAUAAGUGUUGAACGGUACACAAGAUUGGAAAAAAAAAAUCUUAAAAAACGUGCGGAUUCGGGUGGCCACACCAGAAAUCUAUUACAAUAAUUAGCUUUGAUGCUGGGAAUCUUUUAAUUUCUGGCCGUAUUGAAGUUUUUAAAAUAAUAAGUUCCCCUUCUCGUUUUUUUUUUUUUUUAAAUAUAUAUGCUUAUAACAAUUUUAGAAUAAUGAUUCAUUUGUAGAAGAACUUAUGAUUUCCCAUUAAUAUUAAUAUUGAAGUGGGGUGGGUCAAAUCUCAAUUGCUUGAAGAAUUUAUGUAUUAUUAAAUAUUACCAUCCAAGGUAGAAUUGUGGAAAAUUAAAGCAAAAUGACAAGUAUGGAAAGGAAGGCUGAAAGUAAGGCAUGACGAAAGGCUUUGAGAAGGCUGAAGACUACCAAAGAAGUCAACUGAAAACUAGCUGGGGCCUGAGUGUAUAAAUUGUUAGAUGCGUUUGUUAUAAAUAACAUAGAGCCCUUUUGUUAUUUAUAGUUAUAGAGAAAGAGAGAAUGUGUGUUUUUUAAUAGUUAGAGAUAUAGCUAGAAUGGGUUGCUCAAAAUCCAAAAUAGUGACAAUGUUAGUUCUCGUAUUGAUAAUAUUGGGGGGGGGGGGGGGGGGGGGGGGGGGGGGGGGGGGGGGGGGGGGGGGGGGGUGUUGGGAGGUCGAGUGAGGGAUGUUUGGAGCAUGAGCAAUUUGAUCUUUUGCGGCUUAAACAUUUCUUCAAUUAAUAUCGAUCUGGGAGAGUGGUAUCUGAAUGCUUCUCUAUUUACUUCCUUUCAACAACUUGGUAACAAAAUAGCCGGCUGCAUGCGUUGAGAAUGAAGGUGCUUCAUUUAAUUUAAUUUACUUAAUUUCUCCCUCCUAAUUAAUGUCUAUAAUCAUUAGGAGGAACAAGGGAUUUUAUUAACUCAAAUAUAUCUAAUGGAUCUCAUUCUUUGGUUUUACUUGCAGGGCUAGAAGCAGGUGUCAUCUAACAGCUGCUUUGAUAAUUUCCCUCCCCUUCAUCUUUGAUGGAAAGAUGAAAUAAAAACAAAUUGGUGAAAAUGGUAUUGGUACCUGAGGCUAUGUAAUCUAAUUCAAAAACUGCACCAUCAAAACGAUUACAUAAGUCUCAGAAGAAUCAAAUAUCAGUUUGCAAAAUAUCAAUUGCUGGAGGUUUGAUUCUAACUUCCGCUCUUCAUUUUAUGGGCAUAUUGUGUUGUACUUGCAUCCGAAAAUCAUAUUUUAGUUUACUUGCACUCAAUGCUUGGAUUAAAGUUUUUUGGGGGGGGGGGGGGGGGGAUUGAAGAAGACUAAAAUUACACCAAAAAAGAGUUGAGCGAGAGCGGGUUUUGUCUUCAUUUAAGGAGCUCUUUAUAAAUUUUGGGAUUUUUUUUCCUGAGAAAAUUUAUGCCAACUCAUUCUUUGCUUCUUUUCUGAAGGACACAUGCAACCGAAAGUAUAUUCUUGAAUUCUCCAGGAUAAGAGACAUACGUUUAGAUUCUGGAGCAUUUAAAACAAUGUCAAAUUUUAGAUUGCUGAAAUUUUAUAUAUCCGAGUAUGAUGGUGUUCCAAUUAUAAGCUCCAGGGUGCAACUUCACUGAGGUUUAGAAUGCCUUCCUAUAGAAUUGAGAAAUCUCCAUUGGCAUAAAUAUCUUUUGAAAAUACUGACAUCAGAUUUUGAAUUGGAGAACCUGAUUGGACUCAGCUUGCCCUGUAGUAAGGUUAAGCAAAUUUGGAAAAGAGAAAAGGUAUAAUGUAUUACUAUUACCAAAGUAUCUAUUUUUCUUUCUUUAAGUAUUUUAUAAUGAAUAACUUUGAAAUUCAAUGAUGCUCAUUUAGUAUAGUUAUGUAUCUUUGGUUAUAGGAAGCUGUCAAGUUAAAAUCUAUAGACCUUCACCACCCCUUUAUCUCAAUAGGAUCCCAGAAAUACUAAAUCUUAAAAAAAUAAAUCUUUCAAAUUGUGAAAGCAUGCUUACGUUACCCCCGUAUAUCCACAAUUUCAACUAGCUGAGUAUGUUGUGUUUCAGGGAUGCAAAAUUCAUUUUGUUUCUCAUGAAAGGAUUGACUUGUCCGGAUGUAUUAGGGUUAGUAACCAACUAAUCCCAUAAUUUGUUGAUGUAGGGUCCUAACAAAUUAUCUGCAGUAGAUUGUAGAUCACGUACACUAUUCGAAAACGUAUUUGAUCCACACAGUGAAGUGGAUAUUGGACCAAUUUGAUGAUAAUGAAUUUCUUUCAAUCUCAAUCUUUUUUCUUUUUAGCAACAUGACUAGUCAUUGUGCAAAUUCAAAACUCUGACAAUAAUUUCUCAAUCGGUUUCUAAGAUGAUGACCAUGCAUGUAUAUGUAUAUGCGUGUGUAUAUGUGUGUGUGUGUAGAGAGAGAGAGAGAGAUCACACGUGUGUGAUUUCCUUUUUGCCAAUAGGAUAUGCAGAGAGCUUGAUCUUACCCAAUAGCGAAACAAACUUCCUAAUAAGUGAAGGUAUAGUAUAAAUACUUAUACUUUCAUGUUAUUUUGUUCAUCAGUAGCUUGAUUAUUUUAUAUGCGUCUUCGAUUUUAAUUUUCUUUCCCUAUAAUCGCUAUUAUCUUUGAACUGGUCAUAAUUUGCCCAUAAGAUUUCUCAUGUUGUUUUGAGGUGCAACGGAUUUUGAAUUUAGUGACAAGCAGUGGAAGCCAGAAGGCAAAUUAUGAAAAUGGAUAAAGAUCUAUAAUUAGCUGUUAUGGGAUGUCACAUAUCAUAUUGAUGGUAACGUUAUAUAUAUGUACAUAUAAUUAAUGGGGUUGGCUCACGAGCCCAUUAAUAAUGGUAUAUUAGCUUAUAUACUUCAAACAAUGUACUAUGAAGCAAUUUCACAAAUACUUGUUAGCUUAUGUUGAGCUUUAUUGAAUCAGUAGUUCACAGUUCAAUAAAAUGCAGGUUUGCUAUUUGAAGUACAUGGUUAUGGUGCGUACAUUCUUCAUAAGGCUAACUACUAAUUUAUCAUUGAAACUUGAAAAAUGUGAUAGAGAGAUGUAGAUAACAGCCGCAAAACACUGAGAUUGAAAAUCAGGGCUACUAAAUUCUAUUAAAAGUCCUUAAAAUAGACAGCGAUCACCCUGAAAUGUAUAUACUGAAACUAAGAAAUAUUAAUCGCAAAGUUAUGCAUUAAUAGAACUAUUGACUACUUAUCUUUAGCAUAAAGUAUAUUUUUAACUACAGCUUUCUGCUUUGUUCUAAGAACUAGGCAAAAGUGGUGUAUCUUCAAUCCAAUCAACAUAUAUACCACUUAUCUUCCUCUUCACUUCUGUCUAUUUUGAUUUGCACUUCAUAUCCUGCACUUGCUGCUUAGAAAUAGUCUUUAUUCUGGACAUUGAAAGUAGAAAAAGUACUUGAAACAAUCAUUGGCACAGCCCGAGAUUCCAUUGAAUCGUGGACUCCAAGCUUUCAUAGUUCUAUAAAGAAGAUGACAAAACUUCAUACAACUGGCAUUCUGCUUUUAACAUUUGCACAACCUGAGCGAGUUAGCAAGCCCCUUGUUGCGUUCCCAUUGAAUAGACCUACUUCUGUUAUCCGCAGAAGAUCCACCACUCAAAAUGUUUAUCACCAGGCUAUUCUUAAACUGAGCCUAAACUGAGUAGAAACUUCCGCACAUCUCUCAGCAUUUACAUGAAGAAAUCGACAACUAUCCUCAUCUCUCAGCAUUCUACAAAGUUGCAUUUCACUAAGCAAUCUAUCCUCUCCAUUCCUAGCAAAGUGACAUUGAUUCCCGUAUUUGUAAUCGCCUAACUUGGGUUUUGGCAUAGCGUGGUCUUAAAAAUUACCACCCAAUACUUUGUUCAGUGCCACUGGCAUCCACAAGCUCUAGCCCUGUUAGUUGAAUCAUAUUCAAUGGGACAGUGAGGCAGCAUUUCACUAACAUAUUCAAUUUGACUACUUAUAUUGACGCAAAUAUUAGAAUUUGAAAUCACUUCUUUUAUUGGAAUAUUAUAUUAAUAUGACCCCAAAUGAAAGUUCUUGAAUGGAAAUGAUUUUUAUUUACUUUUCGAACAGAUUCAAGAAAACCCAGAGAACACAAAAUUUACACAGUAAUAUGAUUAAGAGCUGAGAACGUAUAUGUAGUAAAUGUCUAUCAAAAAACACCCAAGGGUUUCUUUAAAAUUAGUAACUAGUAAACAAAAGAAAGAAUCAUUUUACAUUUUUAGCAACUUUGGGGUGAGUGAGUGAGUGAGAAAUUGAAACCCUCAAGUGAUGACAACAGUAAGAUUCAGUAUGAAGUGAAACCCCAAUUUGAAAUGUAGGCAUGAGUUGCUGAGUCAGUAGAUGAAGCUAUAAAUAGGCAUUCGGUUUCCUUCUUUUCGGUUUGGAGGCCAUGGAAUAGUGUAUUGGAGUGGGCUCCAAGUAAUAGCCUCUAUCACUGGAACGACACAUCUAUAAAAUGUGAUACAUGGGGAAGGAUUGGGCAUUUUAUUCUUAGAUUAGCCCUUAUUUAGGGUGUAUAUUAAGCAGAUUAUAUAUUACAUGGAGAUGGAGUUUAAAUAGAUUAAAAAGAAAAGGAAAUUUUGGUGCCUAAAGUUUGCCACUUGGAAUAUUUCGGUGUCUAAAAAUUCACUCACCACUUAUUUCAUGUUUGAUUAUAUGUUGAAAAGAUAUUAAAAUAGUAUAAUGCUAUUAAGGCUUAACGUAUAUUUUUUAUUAGUAGAGUGUAGAAUUUUUAAGAAAUAAAUUAUUAAAUUAUUAUAACUAACAUAUUAUUUUAAAGUUGUGUUAUGAAAAAAAUGAAAUAAAAAUGUACAGUAAAUAAGAAUAUUUUAAAACUUUUAUCUUUUUAAAAUUAGUUUUUAACAUAAGGUGAACUAUUUUUUUUUUAAAAUCACAUAUUCUAGUUAAAAUCAAAUAUGUAUUUAUCGAAGCUUGUAAAUUUUUUUUUUUAGUACUGAUAUUUGAAUAUUAUCAAUAAAAAAAAGGGUAAUGUUCAUGCUGCAUUAUUUUUGUAGCACACAAAAGGACAACACCGUUUAUGUUAUAAUACUAUCGCUUCUGUUAUGAUAAUUUUUUUUGUGGCCAAAUAUCUUUUUUUUUUUUAAGUAAAAAAAGUGGACAAAAUGCAAAUCAGUUUUUAAUCCUCAAUCUCUCCCAAAAAUAUAUAUUUCGGUGUCUAAAAAUUCACUCACAAAACUAUAGCUGACAAAAAGUUACUAACAAAAAGUUAGGUCCAUGGGUUGUUAAAACUAUAGCUGACAAAAAGUUACUAACAAAAACAGAAUGUCCAUUUUAUAACUUUCUUAAAAAACUUUCCUUAACUUUUUUAAACAAAAAGUUAUUUCCAAUUUUUAUUUUGUUAUAAUGUUUAUAACAAAAUUCGUAGUUAACUAAACUCUUCUUAUACCCUUUCUCAACUGCCAUACCCUAACCCACUAAACCACGCUCAAUUAAGGCCAUCAGAUUCUCCGGGCCCACAUUAAUCCAACUGCUCACAGAGACCGACAGCCUCUCUAUCUCCAUUUCAAGCUCCCUCUUCAACUGGCUUCUGCUACCGUCCUACUCUUUCUCGGCUUCGGAGUCCGUAUUUGCUCGGCCUGUCCCACGAAGCUCCCUCUCACUCCAAUUGUCGCCCCACAAGACCAAUUGCUUAAUCAAGACACCGAACAAGAAAGGAUGAGAAGUUGAAACAAGAAUUUGAGAAUUGGAAAUAAAAACGUACGCAUUGACCGUGCCUUUGAGAGUCGUUUCUCUUCAGAACUCAGUGCCUCAAUCUUGGGUUAAGGAUUUUAUGCGAAGUCAGGGAAAGAGAUUGAAGUUUCAGAUGAAUUUGUGUGCUAGCAUUGAUGGGAUCUUUAACAAUUUAUCUGUGCCCUUUAACAAAGUUAAGGCUAAGUCAGCUUCUUAUAUGGCUGCUGAUUUGGUUAGUGUUGGUGAUUCAUGGCUUAGUUUUGCCAUUAAAAAGAGAUUGAUUGAGCCAAUGGCUGGAGCUGAAGACCAAGAUUGGUUCAAAUGCUUAAGUCACAAAUGGAAGGUAACAUCUUUGUCUUUGAUCCUCGAGGUAAAAUAUGGGCGGCACCGUACAGGUGGGGCACAACGGUGAUAGCCUACAAGAAAAGUAAAUUUCGAAAGCAUAAUUUGGCUCCGAUUGAGGUAAUAAUUUUCUUUAAACUCAUUUAGUUUUAUAUCAAACAAAAUCAAGACUGCCUUUCUCUUCAAUAUUUUUUAUGAUAAUAUCUUUAGAAGCAUCUCAUUGACGGGUAACAAUGGCAUCCUGGUUAAGGAUUUUAUGCGAAGUCAGGGAAAGAGAUUGAAGUUUCAGAUGAAUUUGUGUGCUAGCAUUGAUGGGAUCUUUAACAAUUUAUCUGUGCCCUUUAACAAAGUUAAGGCUAAGUCAGCUUCUUAUAUGGCUGCUGAUUUGGUUAGUGUUGGUGAUUCAUGGCUUAGUUUUGCCAUUAAAAAGAGAUUGAUUGAGCCAAUGGCUGGAGCUGAAGACCAAGAUUGGUUCAAAUGCUUAAGUCACAAAUGAAGGUAACAUCUUUGUCUUUGAUCCUCGAGGUAAAAUAUGGGCGGCACCGUACAGGUGGGGCACAACGGUGAUAGCCUACAAGAAAAGUAAAUUUCGAAAGCAUAAUUUGGCUCCGAUUGAGGUAAUAAUUUCUUUAAACUCAUUUAGUUUUAUAUCAAACAAAAUCAAGACUGCCUUUCUCUUCAAUAUUUUUUAUGAUAAUAUCUUUAGAAGCAUCUCAUUGACGGGUAACAAUGGCAUCCCUGAAAGAGUCUAUAAACUCAAUGAUAUUAUCUUCUACAAAUGGUUCAUUAAACUUUGUCGUUGUACUCAAAUGUACACUCAGAUCAAUGAGAAGCUAUGCUACGUUAGCAUGUAGUGAUGGCACUUAAUAAGUGAGUUGCUAGGAUGUGAACUAGAAAAAUUAAAUAUUGUCUCCUUGGGUAUGCUAGCUGGUAAGUCAGGGUUAAUAUCAGAGCUUAAGAUAGUAUAACCGUGAGAACCUAUUGACUGCCAAUUAAAAUAUCCAUUGAAAUGUCUAGGGAGUUAUGAAGGUGGAGGUAACUUCCAAUUUCUAAGGCCACAGAGUAGACAUCAUCCAGGAUCCUAGGAAAGUCCAGUUAACCUCCUGCUCGAUGCAAUUAAUAAAUUUGGUCAAUGCCACUGAAACCUGCUAACUGACGUCACAAUGCGACAUGAGCACUUCAAAAUGGGACAGACGGUCAGUAGCACUAAAUUUUUCUUGCCAAGAUUGAGCAAUUGGUCUAACUACUAAUCCCUAUUGUAGUUGAUCAUUAUUUUUUCAAUUAUGUUCAGUUUGACCCAAAAAGUUGCAGAAUCUUGAGCUAAAUAUUGUCACUGAACACUGUCAAUGUCAUUUAGCAUAGCCAACUAACUUGAUGUUAAAACAAACACACAGUGUGUCUCAUGUCUCACAAUUCAAAUUAUCAUCUGUAAUGUUGGAGAAUUUUUCCAAUGUAUGAAGUAUGCUUUGAUACGUGGGUUACCUUGGAGAAGAUAUCUCAAAAUAAAGAAUAUGGGGAGAAAACAGUUCAGUAGUUUAUUAUUCGUAGUCAAGUUUUGUCUCGAAAAUGGUCAAAAUUUAAAUGAAUAAGGACAGGGGAUCUUCAUUCUUUUUUCCCUUUUUAUACCAAGAUAUCUCUCAACCUUUAUAUAAUCCCCACUGGAUAUCUGCUUCUAAUAAUUAAAAUAAAAAUUUCACCGCUCUAACAAUAAAAAGUAACAUCUUUCCUCAAAUAAUUUACAGUUCCUCAUCAUCUUAGUGUGAGAAUAUCAGUACAUUCCAAACAUAAUAAAACUGGUUUGAUCCUGUUUAUUGAUGUUUAAAUGUUGUUCAUUGUGACAGGUAGAAAUGAUGAGGCGAAGUUUAUUUGGACAUCAAUUAGUAAGAUCUUGUUUGAAGUUGUUUUCUGAAAUGAACUGCCAAAUGGUAGUUUUUGGGGGCAUUUGAUGGCUCUUUUUUUUUCCUCAUUUUCAACAUGUGCCUGCUUGGAACAUGAAGGAUUAGGCUGCAGAGUUGUUAUAUAUUUUGAGAUGCUCUGGUCAUUGCACAAUUUGUUCACACUGGAAAUUAGAAUGAGAAAUUUGUUGAUGCUGUUUUGAGAGAUCUGCAUUCUAUGCACAAUAACAUGAUUAAUGAAAAUGCAUUGUAGGACUGGAAAGAUCUGUGGCAGCCUGAGCUCGCAGGAAGAAUUUCAAUGGUUAAUUCUCCCCGAGAGGUUAUUGGUUCAGUUUUGAAGUAUAGGGGAACAUCAUACAAUUCAAACUAUAUUGAUUCGCAAGUUGCUGGUGGAAGAUUGCUGUUCAGCAGAAUCUGGCAUUACUGGCAAACCAGGUACUCUUACAGAAAUCAUAUCUGGUCAUUGCAUGUUAUUGCCUGACAACUGAUUUUGUUUGUAAAAGUCUGCUUCUUCAUACAUAUGAAUGCAUAUGUUAGUGUUUUCUUCUCCUUUUCAUACAUAUAAAUGCAUAUGUUAGUGUUGUCUUUUCCUUUUCACACAUAUUAAUACAUAUGUUGGUGUUCUCUCCUGAGAUGGAUGCAAUAAAGGCUUUUGCUCCUAAAUUUAGCUGAAGAAAUGGCAAGGGAUGUGAGAUUCUGUCUCAUUAAAUUAACAAAAACCCAAAACAAUGAAAAUCCAUAAUAAUGUGGUGUGGGUAAAUUGGCUCCAUUUGGUUCGUUUCCUUAAUGUGAAUGCGAGCAAUAGAGACUAACAAAAUGAAGUGACAACAAGAAGUCAGUGUCCUUUGAUGGAUGCAUUUUUAGCAGAAAUAUGUUUGUAAUUGACCAAAUUUGUCUGGCAUGCCAAUUUCAAAAAAAUUAAAUUAUGUGGUUAUUAGCUGUAAUGAAGGGGAUAGUAGGUGCAAUCAGGUGUAUCCAGGAAAGUUCAACAAAGUUUUGGUAUGGCGUAGUGAAAUUGGUUUGUGCAACUCAGGAGUCUUUCAGGUGAACGAUGAUAGGUUUUGAUUUAUGAAUAUUAUAAAUCUACUGUGCAUAGUAUUCUAGUAGAAUCAUCUAUAAGUUCUAGUUAUUGUAUACUUUGCCUGGUUUGAGUUAAGGGCACAUGUAAUAUGAAAGAUAGUUGUCGCAUCUUUUAGGUUACCUAACAUUUGAUCAAUCCUAUUAUGGGGGCUUCAAGAUGUCUAACAAUAUGUAGAAUGCCCAUGCUCCUCCCCAUUGUUUAUCUUCUACAAUAAUUUGUUUUAGAUGCUAAUAUCUUUGUCGAUACCGGUAACAAUAUUACAAUAUCUGCGUUUAUUGGGUUUUACAUAGGUUCGACUGUUUGACAGUACACACUAUCUGAAGGCAUUUGCAAUUGGAGAUGUAUGGGUUGCUGUUGGGUGGAUUAGUGAUGUUCUUCCUGCUGUCAAACAUAUGUCUAAUGUUGCUGUUGUUGUUCCCAAGUCUGGUGCUAGCUUAUGGGCUGAUCUUUGGGUAUACCCAUGCCUGCCAUUCUACUUCAAUAUUCACAUUGUUAUCUCCUUCAUAUUAGUGAUCAGUAAACACGAUAAUGUGACUAAUAAGUUCGUAUUCUCUUUAUAGGCAAUCCCUGCUGCCUCAAGACUUGAAACAAAACAAAUUGGAGGGCGAGUCAGAGGUGCAUUUCCAUUAAUCCAUCAAUGGAUAGAAUUCUGCUUGCAAACAGCGAGAGCAUUGCCUUUCAAGCAAGAGGUUAUCCCGAGCGCAUCUCCCUCUGCCCUUGAGUACUCUGGUUAAGUUGCCUGAAGAACUUUUCAAGGGUAAACCAAGUCUGGAUACUAACUUAAUUGCUGGAGUACCCCCGACUGAAAUUCUGGCCAGAUGUGAGUUUUGGAGCCUUUAUUUGAAGCUACAUUGUCGGAUUAUGAGUGGCUGGUUACUAAUCUGCAAAAAUCCACUCCUGUACUGAUCAACAAGAUGCAACAUUACAUGUCAUCAUUGAUCUUUAGCUAAAGGUACAUUGAAAAGUUAAUGGCACUGCAUACCAGUCAUUAUAAUUGGGUCAGGGCAAUUAGGUCAGAGCAUAACUUCAUUAGGAAAAGAUGCUUCAGCUACGUUAAAUAUUACAGGAUGUACUGAGAUGGCUGAAGCUGUUGAGGUUUUACGAGAAUCGAAAGAUAGUGUUUGUUUGAACAAAGUUGUUGCCAAUCUUGCAGAGUUCGAGAAGAAAGAUCACGAAGUGAAUGCCACCGAUUUCUUCAUCAUUGUAGCCUCCAUAGUUGAAGUUUCCUCAUUUGAAGCUGUUUAUGCAUACGAUUUUCCCCUGCUCAAGUACAGGAAAUUGAAGAAUUAACCAGAUGUGAUAUGCUGAAAGAGGGAAGUUUUCUUCCUUGAAUGUGGUCUUUGUGAUUUGUCUUGAAGGAAUAGGGUGAUCACUGGCAAGAACCCUAUCAAGGUAGAUUUUAUGAUGUUAACAUAUCAUUAAGCAUUUUGUUACAUCAGCAAUGAUGCUUUCAUAGCAGCAUGAAAGUGUUUAAAUUUUAACUGAAUGAUCUUGAUUGAUCAAUUAUGAGUUUUAAUCGAGUAAAAACUAAAUACAAUAAUCGUUAACAAAUAUUGAAAUUGGGUAAAUAUGAUCUUGAUAUUGAAGAAUUUGAAAUCACAACCCACACAGGAAAUCACCCUUCGCGUGGGGAUGGAGAUGUUACUGCAGCGAUAUUGAAUAUGUCCACCGCUCUUUGGGUUAUGGUGCGACUUGCCCUGAAACAAUGGAAAAGAAUAAUUAUAAUUUAACGCCAAGACAUAAAAUUAAAACGUGUGGACUCCGGUAGCUGCCCUACAAGUCUACAACUCUACAAACAUUAACUCUACAAACAUUAAACGUGUGGACUCCGGUAGCUGCCCUACAAGUCUACAACUCUACAAGAAUAAUUUCUAGCCCUGUUGACUCCACUAACUAAAGAAAUUUCAAAAACGUACAUAGAAUUCCACAACAAGCAAAACGUAUGGAAUUUAAUUUUUUGCCGUGUGGAACAAAAUACAAUUUAACAAAAAAGGAUAGAAAAAUGGUAAGAUUUCUAAAAUGAGUGGAAGGUGAUUCAUAUUUUACUGAAAUGACUUGUCCUGAACAUUAAGACGAUUGAUUUUUUUUUUUUAAUAACAUCAACUUCCAUAUCUUUCUAACCCCUAGAAUAUGCUCACGUUCAAGUCUAUCUUGGUAAUUUGAAAAAGAAAAUCAAAUCAAAUCAACACCAAAACAAUGAAAAGUAAAACUUUUGAAUUUCAACUUUAAACUUUUGUUAACCCUAGAAUAUUCAGCGUUUUCAAAUUCUUCCGAUUGCAUAUCUUCUUCCUCCAUCAAUGCAAUAUUUGAACGAUUAUGAAAGAGUUUAAGAACAUAAAAAAUCUCCAAGGUUUAUACGGUAUAACAAAUUUAAAUUCUCAAUUACAAUAGAUAAUAAUUAAACUAAUAAUUUUUUAUGUACUUAUUUUAGUAAUUUCACCUAAGAAUAAUAUUGUAAUUAGAAAAAAAAAUCUAAUAAGUAGGGUGGUCUUAUACAAAAUCAACUGUACUGUGAUGAGUUUCCUUUUGUUAAUAAUUUUAGUCUAAUUUCAAUUGUACUGUGAUCGCUUCUCAAGGUAAGUGAAAGUUACAGAUGGCAAAAUAAAUAAUUAAGUUAACAAAAUGCUAACUAAUUUUCCUCAAUACCUAGGGUUGUACAAUUUCACCAACCUGGAAGAAUUGACAUUAAUGGACUGGUCUCCUCCCAUAUAAUUAUAAUCCUUCUAGAAAGCUAUUUUUAUUAAAUAUUUGCUUUUAAGUUAAUUUCAAUUAAAAAUGUUUUAAGUUAAUAUAUACUCUAAUGAGAUUCUGAAUUCCUUAUUCAAUAAUAAUGAAAACGUAUUAAAUUAGAAAUGAAAAAAUUGGUGUUGAUGAUUCAACCUAUUUGGAUAGAUUACGUGAAUAAAAUUUAAAAUUUUGAUUUAAUUUUGUUUAUUGUUAAUUCUCAGGCUAUCUUUAAUUUCAAGAAUUUAGAAUGUUAAUUUGGUCAUGGAUUUCAACCCGUGAGUGUCAUAUUCUAGACUUAAUGGUACCAUUCUUUGAUUGAGGGCAAUGACUCUCACUCCUCUUGUAAAAAAAUAUUUUCAACUAUUUUGAUGACUUAAAAAUUGAUAGAUUUAUUGUUGUCAUGACCAAAUUAUUCAUUUUAAUGAAAUAUAAUUAAUGCAUCAAAGUUACAGGUUAUGUCUAUCUUAAUGCGCUUUUUUUUUUUCAGUUAUAGCUUCUGCUUACGUCUGUUUCAUUUUUUUUAAAUAAAAAAACAAGGGAAGGUUUUCCGAGUCAUCCAUUAUUUGAUUUCCGUCAAUCAAGAAAACGACCAAAUUAAUUUCUCUCCAAAAUUUCCAAAAGCUAGAAAAUUUUGUUAUUUGAAAAUAACAUGAAUUAAUUAUAGAGUGGAUCAAACCGCGUUAUUGUCUUUCAUAAAAUUGAUGUCUUUUAAGAGUCAAUACUUUUUUAUUUACGCAAACCAGUCGACAUCAAUUUAAACUUCCAUAUUUUAUUAUUAUUAUGUUAUUUAUUUUAAUCGCCGAUUAUUUGAUUAGCCACUAUAUAUAUCAAGAAAGCGACAAAAUUUAUUUCUCAUGACUUCCAAAAACAGAAAAACAACAUCAUUUAUUAUUUUUUUGCAACCUAAUUGACAUCACUUUAACUUAUUAUGUUAUUAUUUCAAUCCCCCAUUAUGACCUUUCUAAUCCUUCCAUUAUGCAUCUUUUAUAGUGCAAAUUGUAAUUGCACAUCUAAAUAAAUUGAAUAUUGUUACUCCACACCCAAUAUUUCAAAUAGUCACUAGACCAUUUCUGCCUUUAAUUUCCCUUAACUAUUGACUGUUUUUAGCAUCUUAAAAUAUACAUUUAUUCUUGAUUAUGUGAUAAAAUUAUGAAAUAUUCCAUUUUAGCUUAAAUUAAUUGGAAUAACCAUAAGCGUAACAUAAAUUAAUAGAACAAAAUUAUCAAGUGUAUGUUCUAUCUUACUUUUUGAAGAAUUUAACAUAUAUAAUGCUAUACUAUUAAUAAAUUUUUCAUUUACUAUAUAUGUUCAAUAUUUUAUAUAUUUAUUAAUUGUUAUAUAGUCACAGGAUGAAUGAUUUUUUCAGGUCUACAUGAGUUGGUGCACAUGCAAGACUCAAUUUUGACAACAAUGAUCUAAGGGGUAAUUUACCUUGGUGUUUGACAAACAUAACCUUCUUCAUGAUUUACUUCCAAUCUACUUACUGUAAAUAUCUCCUCAUCUCCUCUCAUUUAUAUGAUAAGUGAUAACCCUUGAAGAUCUCACAUUUUCAAACGAUCAUAUUAGGGUUUUUAUUAUUAGCAUCAUUGUGUCAACAAAAUAUAUGUUGCAGUAAGAUUUUUUUCAGACCAAUUCCCUUCUUCAAAUAAUUAAUGGAAAAGUAUUAAUUUAAAAAUAAAAUGAAUAUGCAUUGAUUAUAUCCUGAUUUCCAUCGAUUAUAGCGAGAGGUUCUCCGAAUCAACUCCCUUAUUCAAAUAAUACAGAAAAAAUAGUAAUUUAAUAGUAAAAUUAGCAAGUGUUGAUUAUAUAUCCUAAGUUUCAUCGAUUAUGUGAUCAAAGUGGCAUUGUUGAUUUAUUUUCUUGUUCAAUGUUAUUUUUAGGUUAUCUAAAUUUCAAAAGGAUUUAAAAUCUUUGUUCAUGGAUUACAACGCUUAUUAAUUUUUCUGCCAUUGACUGUCAUAUUCUAGACUUAAGGUACCUUCCUUGAUCAAGGAUAAUUACUCUAUGUUCCCUCUUAUAAAUUCCUCUUCAUUAACAUCACUAAGGAGUAUGUUGAUCUCUCAGACGUUAACUUUAGUGGAGAGUUUCCAAAUUGAUUGUUACAAAACAACACAAAAACUAGACACACUUGAUCUGUCUAAUAAUUCUCUUUCGAUAAAAUUAAUUAAUUUUAGGGGAAUAUUCGACCAACCUCUAUAAUUUCAUAUUGAUCAUUAAUUAAUUAGACGAAAAAAGUACUUGUGCUUUUGUGGCGACAAUUGAACUAGAGAAGUGAAGCUGUAAAGAUUUGGCAGUAGUAAAUUGUAGAAGACAUAAAGACAAUUUCCCAUUUUAUAAUUUUUUCAAAAAACUUUUUUACAACACAUGCACCUGGCCAAAAUUUUAUUUUGCUAACUAACAAUAAUUGAGUAGCUGACCGUAUUGACUCCGCCUACUUGCUAAAGUAAAAAAAUAGAAAUAGAAUUUCCACAAAAUGUCAAACAUGUAAAAUCUAAUAUUUGGCCAUGUGGAACAAAUACAAAUGAAAAAAAAAAUAGAAAAAAGGCCUAAAGACUUUUAAAAUUGUGUGGAAAUCUUUCGGCCCUUUUAUAAUGGUGUGUUUUUCAAAGGAACAACUAAUAAUAAUGACACUUCUACGGUUUGUUUUGAUAAUUACACAUAUACUCUUUAAUUUGAUAAAUGGUUACACAAAUUUUGUUUACAAAAAUAUAUUAUUCAUGUUCUGUAUUAUUUUUUAACAUCAUAUUUUUAUUUAUUAUAAUUGUUUAAAGUUAAUUGUUAGGUUGAUAUAUAAUAAAACGUAUAAUCGUUCUCUUACUAAACACACAAUACUCGUAGUUUCUAUCCAUUUGUCAUCUCAAUCUCUCUCAUUUAUCCUUUCUUGAUAGCUCAAAACGCGUCACUGUGGAAAAUAAUAGCAAAACGACAAAUAUGGAAGAAUGGGAAGAAAAUUAAUGCAUGAAAGAGUUGCAGAAGACAACCAAAUAAGUCAACUAUACGCUAGUUGGGUGUAUAAAUUGUUAGAUGUGUUAUAAACAAAUAGCAUAGAGCCUUGGUUGGUUACAGAGAUAGAAAAACUGUGUGUGUUUUUUAGAACUUAAAGAUACAGUUAGAAUGGGUGGUUCAAAAUCAAAAUGGUGAUAAUGUUUGUUCUGUUAUUAAUAAUAUUAGAAGGUGGGUGGAGUGAAGGAUGUUUGGAUCAUGAGAGAUUUGCUCUUUUGCGACUCAAACAUUUCUUCGAUGAUACUGGUAGUUAUUUUUACUACUGGGCAGAUGGUGAGGGAGCUACUGAUUGUUGUCAGUGGGAAAGGGUUGAGUGCAGCAACACCACAGGCAAGUGAUAGUGCUAGACCUUUUUUGAAACGUAUUUGGGAGAGUACAGCUGGUAUCUGAAUGCUUCUUUGUUUACUCCCUUUCAACAACUUGAGUCACUUGAUUUAUAUGGCAACAAAAUAGUCGGUUUUGUUGAGAAUGAAGGUACUUCGUCUAAUUCAAUUAAUUUACAUUUCGCUCUCCUAAUUUAAGUCGAAUAUCAAGACUGAGCAGCUAUAUGCAUAUUCAUUCAAUUGACAAUUUUUACAUAUUUUUUAAAAUGUUUAAUUUUGAAAUUACACCAAACAUCAUAUGUGGUUUUGAUUUUACUUGCAGGUCUAGAAAGAUUGAACAACUUGAAGAGGCUUGAUUUAAGUUAUAACUUGUUCAACAAUAGCAUCUUAUCAUCUGUGGCUCAUCUUUCUUCACUAACAUCAUUAGAUUUAUCUGGAAAUAGAUUGGAAGGAAGUAUUAAUGUUAAAGGUACGUAAUUAAAACGUCAUCGCUUCUCUCAACUCUUUCAUUAACAUGCUAAAAUAAGAUUCAAGGCUUUGAAUUCAUUUUUUUUUAUGAGUAAAUAUUAGAAAAAUAGUUUUAAGCAAUUCAUAAAUACAAUUUUCAAUGUUUCUCAUAAUUUCAUCUUGUACUUUCGUAUGUCUUGACUUUAAGAUUAAAAAAAAAAAUUACUCUAACUGUGAAGCAAAUACCCCAUGACUAAUUUAUCAUUUCGUCCAGUUAAAAAUGAUAAAAUUUAUCAUUUGUUUAUAUUGAUUAAUUAACUCUAUUUUAAGUCUUAAGUCUUGGCGUCUUGGCAUAUUUGCAGAAUUUGAUUCCUUGAGCAACUUAGAGGAGUUGGACAUGAGCGACAAUGAAAUAGACAAUUUAGAGGUUCCUCAAGGUAAACAAUUAAAAUAUAUUCAAUUACAUUAAUUUAAUUCGUUUGAUUAGGGAAGACCCAAAAGGUACAAAAUAUAAUAAUAAUAAUAAAGAAACAGAGAAUCUAUAUUAUUUCAAAAAAUAAAACGUAAUACUAUUAUUUCAAAAAUAGAUUGUAAUAAAGAUUUGAUUCCGGUUCUUUAAUCUUUACAGCAAUUGAAAAACGAUGUUGCUCUUUUCCUGAAGCAUAAAAUAUGAAAUGACUCCAAUACAAUUAAUCAUUUAUUUCGUUUACUCUAAAAUUAGACAAUGAAUCUUUAUUUUCUUCAGUCUUAUCCUAAUUAUUAUUAAUAAACAGGUUACAAAGGUUUGAGGAAGUUGAAUUAUCUUGAUCUAUCGAAUGUUGGAGUUAGAGAUGGAAGCAAGUUGUUACAGUCAAUGGGAUCAUUCCCAUCCCUCAACACUCUUUACCUGAAGGAUAAUAAUUUUACCGAUAUAGCGACAACUACUACUCAAGGUAAGUAAAAGAUACAGAUGUGGCCAAAUUUACAAAUAAAUUGUUAAUUAAUUAAUUUUUCCGUAUUAUUAAUAAAGCUAAAUUCGUCGCUCCUUCCUUCUAAUUCUAAACAGAGUUGGCAAUUUCACCAACUUGGAGUAUUUGACAUUGGACUUGUCCUCGCUCCAUUUAAGCCUUCUACAAUUACUUGAAGAAUGAAUUUAUUUAUUAUUAUUAUUGUUGUUGUUGUUGUUGUUGAAGUGAGGUGGGCAAGCGUUCACUCAAUUAAUAUGUGAGGAAUUAAUAAUUACAAUCCAAGGUAGAAUUGUGGAAAAUUAAAGCAAAAUGAGAAAUAUGGAAAGAAAGGAAGAAAGUUAAGGGCAUGAAAGACUAGGAGAAGACUAAAGACCACCAAAUAAGUCAACUGAAAACUAGCUGGGGCCUGGGUGUACAAAUUGUUAGAUGUGUUUGUUAUAAAUAACAUAGAGCCAUCUUGUUGGUUGCAGAGGCAGAGAGACACAGAGUGUGCAUUUUGUUAAUUAAAAAUAUAUAUAAAAUGGGUGGUUCAAAAUCCAAAAUGGUGAUAAUGUUAGUUUUGUUAGUAUUAAUAAUAUUAGAAGGGAGGUGGCGUGAGGGAUGUUUGGUGCAUGAGAGAUUUGGUCUUUCGAGACUUAAAACAUUUCUUCAAUUCUCCUUAUAAUUUUUGUCACGACUGACCGUUGUCAAUGGGAUGGGGCUGGGUGCAGGGUUGAUUUACGUUAGAACAAUAUAGCCGGUAGUGUUGAGAAUGAAGGUGUUUCAUUUAAUUUAAUUAAUUUACUUUCUCCCUCCUAAUUUAAGUGGAAUAUCAAGACUGAACAAUUAUAUGCAUCUUCGUUCAGUUGACAAUUUUGACAUUUUUUUUAAGUGAUUAAUUUUGAAAUUACACCAAACAUUAUUUGUGAUCUCUGUUUGACUUUACUUGCAGCGCUAGAGACGUUAUCAAGAUUGAGCAACUUGACGAUACUUGAUUUAAGUUAUAACUUGUUCAAUAAUAGCAUCUUGUCAUUUGUUGCCCGUCUUUCAUCAUUAACAUCAUUAGAUUUAUCUUACAAUGGAUUGGAAGGAAGUAUUAAUGUUAAAGGUACGUAAUUAAAACGUCAUCGCUUCUCCAACUCUUCCAUUAACAUGCUAAAAUAAGAUUCAAGGCUUUGAAUUCAAUUUUUUUUUAUGAGUAAUAUUAGAAAAAUAGUUUUAAGCAAUUCAUAAAUACAAUUUUCAAUGUUUCUCAUAAUUUCAUCUUGUACUUUUGUAUGUCUUGACUUUAAGAUUAAAAAAAAAUUACUCUAACUGUGAAGCAAAUACCCAUGACUAAUUUACAAUUUUGUCCAGUUAAAAAUGAUAAAAUUUAGGGAAAUUAUCAUUUGUAUACCCUUAGUUUACUCUAUUAUCAAAAAUACUACAACACUUUGAGGGUGUAUCAAUCGUCCACCCUAAGUUGACAAAAUGUAUUAGCCAACCACCAAACCGUUAGUUGCCGUUUAAAUAUGAUAACAUCAUAAGGGUAAUCUGGUCUUUUCAUAUGAUACAAGUGAUAAUUUAAGGGUAUACAAGUGAUAAAAAGAGAGUUUAAGGGGAUACAAGUGAUAAUUUUCAAGGUAAAAUCGUCAAUUUACUGUAAUUCCGUUAACUUUCAAACGGCAAUUAACAGUUUGGUGGUCGGUUGAUACAUUUCAUCAACUUAGGGUGGACGAUUGAUACACCCUUAAAGUGUUGUAGUAUUUUUGAUAAUAAAGCAAAUAUAGGGUAUACGAAUGAUAAUUUCCCUAAAAUUUAUCAUUUGUUUAUAUUGAUUUAUUAACUCUAUUUUAAGUCUUAAGUCUUAAGUCUUGGCAUGUUUGCAGAAUUUGAUUCCUUGAGCAACUUAGAGGAGUUGGACAUGAGCGGCAAUGAAAUAGACAAUUUCAAGGUUCCUCAAGGUACACAAUUAAAAUAUUAUUUAAUUACAUUAAUUUAAUUCGUUUGAUUAGGGAAGACCCAAAAUGUACAAAAACAUAAUUAAAAAAAAAUAAAGAAACAGAGAAUUCAUAUUAUUUCAAAAAACAAAAGGUAAUACUAUUAUUUCAAAAAAAGAAUGUAAUAAAGAUUUGAUUCCGGUUCUUUAAUCUUUAUAGCAAUUGAAAAACAAUGUUGCUCUUUUCCUAAAGCAUAAAAUAUGAAAUGAGUCAUAAUUGAAUUAGUCAUUUAUUUUGUUUAGAUCUAAAUUUAGACAAUAAAUUUUGAUUUUUUUUUCAAUUCUAUCCUUAUUAUUAUUGUUAAACAGGUUACAGAGGUUUGAGGAAGUUGAAAAGCCUCUAUCUAUCGAAUGUUGGAGUUAGAGAUGGAAGCAAGUUGUUACAGUCUAUGGGAUCAUUCCCAUCCCUCAACACUCUUUACCUGAAGGAUAAUAAUUUUACCGAUAUAGCGACAACUACUACUCAAGGUAAGUAAAAGGUACAGAUGUGGCCAAAUUUAUAAAUAAACUGUUAAUUAAUUAAUUUUCUGUAUUAUUAAUAAAGCUAAAUUUUUGCUCAUUCCCUCUAAUUCUAAACAGAGUUGCACAAUUUCACCAACUUGGAAUAUUUGACAUUGCACGGUUCCUCUCUCCAUAUAAGCCUUCUGCAAAGCAUUGCAUCAAUAUUCCCUUCGUUAAAAAAUCUGUCGAUAUCUUAUUGUGAAGUCAAUGGUGUCGUACAUGGUCAAGGUAAAAGAAAAGUGUUGGUUGUGCACUCACUGAGUGUUGUCCUACGUAUUCAAUAUUUUUAUUUAUUUAUUUUAUUGUUUAAUGUUUCUGCUAGGUUUUCCUCAUUUCAAGAGUUUGGAACAUUUGGGCAUGAUGUCCACGCGCAUUGCACUCAACACCAACUUUCUUCAAGUCAUCAGUGAAUCGAUGCCUUCUCUUAAGUACUUAUCACUGUCAUAUUCUACUCUUGGCACUAACAGCAGCAGGAUUCUUGAUCGAGGUUAAUCAGAUGCUCCCACCCUCCAUUCUUAAUCUAUAAUAUUAAUUUUCAGUUAAAUAUUUAAUUACACAAACCAAUCACUUAUUAUAAAAGAACAAUACGCAUUCAUUAAUUUUUAUAUUAUAUUAAUUGAUGAAUUUAAUAAAUUCCAGGCCUCUGUUCGCCGGUGCAUCUGCAAGAGUUAUACAUUGGUUCUAACGAUUUAAGAGGUAGCUUGCCUUGGUGCAUGACAAAUUUGACAUCCCUCCGAAUAUUAGAUGUUUCUUCCAAUCAACUUACUGGAAGCAUCUCCUCGUCUCCCCUCAUUCAUUUGACAUCCAUUGAAAAGCUGUAUCUUUCAAACAAUCACUUCCAGAUCCCAAUUUCACUUGAACCACUUUUCAAUCAUUCAAGACUCAAGACUUUUUAUGCUGACAACAACGAACUAAAUGCAGAAAUAACUCAGUCACAUUCUUUGACCGCCCCAAACUUCCAAUUAUCACGUCUCUCAUUGUCUUCCGGUUAUGAAGAUGGCGUCACAUUCCCCAAAUUCCUUUACCAUCAACAUGAUCUGGAGACUGUUGAGCUCUCACAUAUAAAGAUGAAUGGAGAAUUUCCAACUUGGUUGUUGGAAAACAACACAAAAUUGAGACAACUUUCUCUCGUCAAUGAUUCUCUUGGAGGACCUUUCCGGUUGCCAAUUCAUUCACACAAGCGGUUAGGAAUGUUGGAUAUAUCCAACAACAACUUCCGAGGCCACAUUCCAAUAGAAAUUGGAGAUGUUUUACCAAGUCUAUACCUUUUCAACAAUUCCAUGAAUGCUUUAGACGGUAGCAUUCCCUCUUCAUUUGGUAAUAUGAAAUUCCUCCAAAUUCUGGACUUAUCCAACAAUCACUUGACUGGUGAAAUCCCCGAGCACUUGGCCGUUGGUUGCGUCAACUUGCAGUCUCUUGCAUUAUCAAAUAACAACCUACAAGGUCACAUGUUCUCUAGAAAUUUUAACUUGAUAAACUUGAAAUGGUUACAAUUGGAGGGCAAUCGCUUCAUAGGUGAGAUCCCACAAAGUUUGUCUAAAUGCUCCUCACUAGAAGGAUUGUAUCUUAACAAUAAUAGUCUUUCGGGUAAGAUUCCACGAUGGUUGGGUAAUCUCACAUGGUUACAAUAUAUUAUAAUGCCCAAUAAUCAUCUUGAAGGCCCUAUUCCAGUGGAGUUUUGUCAGCUUGAUUUGCUUCAGAUUUUGGACAUUUCAGACAACAACAUAUCUGGAAGUUUACCAUCUUGUUUCCAUCCUCUCUCUAUCAAACAAGUUCAUCUUUCAAAAAAUAUGUUACAUGGACAGCUAAAAAGAGGUACAUUCUUUAAUUGCUCUUCCCUUGUGACAUUAGAUCUUAGCUAUAAUCGCUUGAAUGGCAGCAUUCCGGAUUGGGUUGAUGGGCUUUCUCAGUUAAGCCACCUUAUCUUAGGUCAUAAUAAUCUUGAAGGUGAAGUGCUAGUUCAAUUGUGCGAAUUGAACCAACUACAAUUGUUAGAUCUUUCUAAUAAUAAUCUUCACGGUCCUAUUCCUCCUUGCUUUGAUAACACCACACUUUAUGAAAGUUACAGCAAUAGUUCUAGUCUUGAUGAGCAAUUUGAAAUAUUUUUUUCCAUCGAAAGCCCUCAGGGAAAUGUAGAAAAGCAAAUCCAUGAAAUUUUUGAGUUCACAACAAAGAACAUUGUGUACAUUUACCAAGGAAAAGUGCUUAGCCUCCUAUCAGGACUUGAUCUUUCUUGCAACAAGCUAAUUGGUCCUAUUCCUCCUCAAAUUGGAAAUUUGACAAGGAUUCAAACAUUGAAUCUAUCACACAACGACUUGAUAGGAUUGAUCCCAUCAACAUUUUCAAACUUGAAGCAUGUCGAAAGUUUGGAUCUUUCCAACAACAAAUUGAAUGGGAAAAUCCCUCAUCAACUAGUGGAGUUAAAGACAUUGGAGGUUUUCAGUGUGGCAUACAAUAACUUAUCAGGCGAAAUUCCAGAAUGGACUGCACAAUUUGCAACCUUCAAUGAGAGUAGCUAUGAGGGAAAUACUUUUCUUUGUGGAUUGCCAUUGCCCAUUUGCAGAUCACCAGCAACUAUGUCGGAGGCUUCAAUUGGCAAUGAACGAGAUGAUAAUUUAAUUGACAUGGACAGUUUCUUUAUCACAUUUACAACAUCGUACGUAAUUGUGAUAUUUGCAAUUGUUAUUAUUUUAUAUGUAAAUUCUUAUUGGCGACGUAGAUGGUUUUACUUUGUUGAAAUGUGGAUAACUUCAUCUUACUAUUUUGUUGUAGACAAUCUUAUUCCAACAAGAUUUUAUCAUUGAAAUUAAUUAGUAGUUUAAUUACGAUUCUUUAAGUACUAAUCAAGUUUGUUUAGGAAAUAUUUUUUUAUUAAAAUUGUAGUAGUAUUUAGCAUUAUAUAGCUUCCAACUUCCAAGCACUUCACAUUUGUCUCUACACUUAAAAAACUGAGUGAUCAUGUUUUGCAGAUCUGGAUUUGGAGCAGGAUGGAUCCAAACCCAUAUCUGUCCACCGUAACUUAUAGCUUCCCUAUACUGUGCAGCAUACUUAAAUAAGAGAACCAUCUCCAAUGUUAAAAGCAUUCACUCUAUAACAUUCAUUUAGAAACUAUAUUCAGAAUAAUUUUAUAAUUAAACACAAGAAAUGAAACACACAGAUACACUUGAUCGCCUAUUUUACUCUAAAAAAGAACGAUUAUUGUGCUAUCAUCAUCUUCUUCACUAGCAACAUUAACACCAAAUCGAUGGACCCAUACAUUUCAUCAAGAAAGGUCUAUAUCCAAUAAAGUUGAAGCCUAACAAAAAAUUCAAGAAGAUUCAUGCCUCGCCACAACAAGGGGCACAACAACAUCAAAGUAGAGAUUAAGCAGUAUUCUCAAAGCUAAAACUCUCAAAUCCACCCACCAGAAUUUCAUAUCUCCUCAACAAUUUUAAGAACUAAAGAUAAUUAGGAUUUAACAUUAGUUUUUUAUAUAUUAGUUUCAUAAUUUACAAAUCAAUGAAGAUGAAGAUUAUGCUAAUAAAUUCAAAUUAUACCAUACAUUCUCUAGAUGUUACCAAAAAUUUCUAAGUCAAUCCCACAUAUUUCAUAAUUUUAAGACUAGAAAAUUUCACUAGUUAGAAGUUUCAUUACCUUCAAGUGGAAGAUGAAGAACAUUAUACAAGUGAUUCAGAUUAUAUCAUACAUACUCCAAAUGCAACUAGAAAUUAACAAGUUCAUGCACACAUAUUUCAUAACAUUAUGAUUGAAAAGUUUCACAGAGAAAUUCUAAAUUCAAUCUCUUGCAUGAAGGCAAUUUGAUUGAUUUGAGUUACUUUCUUAUCAAGCUACUAAUAUAACAUUCAAGUCAGGGAGAAAAUAAAUUAAAACUGGGAAGAAAUAACAGUAAAAAUUUGUUGCUCAACAUGAUGUGUAUUUUUUUUCAAGGCAAUUUGGAAACACAAUUGUUACCACAGAUAUUCUUCUCAACUUGGAGAUAAAUACAAAUAUUAAAAUGCAUAUGAUCGCACAUAUUACUUCGAGUUUAGUAAGAUUUCAUUAAAAGAAGCAAUCAAACCACUUAUCAAUUGUCGCAGUCGUUCUAUAAACUAAAAUAGCAAUAUAAUACAAGAAAAAGAACAUAUAGAUACUUGGCAAGAGUUCAUUAAGAAGUCACAUCACAUUCAGGUGAGGAGUUUGCUUCUGAUAUCUUGCUAGCUGGGGCUUUUUCUUGUCUUUCUACGUAUGCCGAGGGAAACCAACCAGCUUGGCCCUUGCAUUCACCUUCCGACCAUCCAAUAGGAGCCACCUUGAGAAGUUAUAACUAAAAUGGUGAAUUAAACAAAAGUUGACCGUUCAAAGACCUAAGGGGAAAACUAAUUCUUUUACGUAGGAGGAGUGAAUUAGUUGUGAUCACUGAAAUAACAGCAUAACUAUGGAAGCAUAACAAGAUAUAAAUUCACACGUCUAUAAGGGUAAACUGGGUGGUUGAGAACUGAGCUAGCAACCCUACUAUAUUCUGAUUUGCACUUCAAUGUAAAAGGGAAUAUAUGGUAGGAAGAAAGAAAACCAACCAUCAUUUGUUAACUCAUUGCUUUUCAAUCAAAAUUUUAAGAACAAAAUGCCAUGUGCUUUGAACAUCAAAUAAGUAUAAGCAUUAGUUCUAAAUUCCACAUAUCAUAAGUUGUUAGAAGGAUAAGUUAAUAGCAGAGUAGAAAAAUCUAUGUGUUGGUAUUUAGAGGGGAAAGUACCUGGCGAACCACAACAUAAUCAUCAAUUGAAAGACUUAGCUCUCCAUUUGCUUGAGCAUCAAAUGGAUGUAUAACCUGCAAGAUAAUGGGAUAAAUAGAACUUAAAAAAAGCAUAACAAAAGCGGCAACAGUAGCAGCAACGUUCAUUGUAACCACUAUGAUCAUGGCCAACAAAGAUAUAUUAGAAACAAAAUUCCAUUUUUACUACGACAUUAAUAUGUACUAUACGAUAUCAUGACGAUUGGGUUACUAAGAGCUAUCAAAGUCUAAUAAGUUCUGUAUAACUUUAUGUAGUUAUUUAAAUUAUGGAUCAGAUUUUAAAUUUGAAAUUUUGACUGCUCUCCACAAAACAUGGCCUAUGCACAAGAAAGUCAUAGAUAAUGAGGAUUACAAGUGUCCGACAUCUUUUGAGUGAUGGAUUUAACAUGAGAGCUUAUGGUCAGUCAAUUUCCUCUGCCUAGCAAUAUAAGCUUUCUCGGCCAGAUUUAUCAUCAAAUACAUAGAUUGCCCCCAAGUCACAUCCAUAUAAACAUAGUUUUUCUAGGUAAACCAAGUAAGGAGUAUCAUAAUUCAGACAUAAUCAUAAAAAGGCCCAUCUAACUUAAGAGAAAAUCUCAAAAAGAGGGAUGCUGAGCUAUCAGUCUUGUAUCUAUAAGCAAUAUCAAGACUUUACGUCACCUGCUACAUCGUGAGUGGCUACACAACUUUCAGUGGUUUGUCUUUCUUUGGCACGCCUAACUCAGCUUUCAUGUUGCUGAGAUAUUGAUAGUAGAGACACAUGAUACUUCUAGCUCAUGCAUUCUAUCUAACUCAUCCAACAACUAUCUCUUUUUUAAUUCAUUAGUGUUUGCUAAACCUCAUGCUUAAAAGUCCUGUUCUCCUAAACAAAGUUUCCUAAGAAUGACUUCCUUAGCACCACAGUUGGACACUUUUAGAGCAAUUUUAUUUGGGGGAAAAGAAUUUUCAAGGUGUUAACUAAUAAAUUUUAAAAAAUAAUUACAAUUUGUCCUACGAUCAUAUGACAAUUUAUCUGGGAUGAAAGGAUACAGAUAGACAUCUUCCACUUUCAAGACUAAUCACUACUUCCGUAGAUGUUGUGCAAUAAUACAAAUACUUGACCAGAUGGUAGUGAUGGUAGAAAAAAAUUUUAUUGCUCCAAAAUUAAAAUAAGAAUGCAAUAUGUUAAGCAAAAGGCUGUGCAACAUCAAAUUAAUUGAUAAGUUUGUAAUUCAGUAAAUUAACAACUUUCAUGGUAAAAUACAACAAAUUUCUUUUGAAAAAAAAUAAAUAAAUCUUAAAAGACAACAUUCAAUUUUGUGCACAUCUUAUUUCUUAAGAUUUUUCAGGAGGAGGGCAAUAGAGGGACUUUCACCUAUGCAAGAGAGCAGAAGCCUUACUUUCCCUAUAAAGUAGACGUCAUUCUGAUUAAUAUGCGUUUGCAAAUCAGCUCCGUUUGAAUCAGUAUUCUGAUAGACACACGAGGAAUUUACAUCCAUUUCCAAAGUCACAUGUUGCGAGGAGGACUCAUUUGAUUGCUCCUAUACGAUCAUCUAAUUCAAGUAGCAAGGGUUGGAAGAGAAUAAAAAGUCACAAUUAUUCUUUUGCAUAAGUGAGACGAAAAUGAUAAAUGCAAUAUUAUCAGCAGUAAACAAGAAGAGAACGCUCCAAGAAAUAGAUAGAUGCAGACAAGCAAGUUAAAAUGCAUAGUCCCAAACCUCCGCAUACAACUUCUCUAAAAUAGCAAUAACGUGUUGAUGCUAUGUUUUCUCAGCAUCUACCUGCAAAGGCCCGAGACCAGGAAAACAACAAUAAAACCACUAGCUGAAGGAGAAAGCAAAGAAAGAAAUACACUUGACAUAAAUCUUGACAAGAAGCACAAAUUAAGACAUAACAAACCCCAAUCAUAUUGUUUAGAACUACCAUUCGUUAUUUCGUUAUUGUAACAUUUCGAACAAGUGUUGACUUAAUUCAACAUUGUUGGAAAGAUAGGCUUUUAGAAGCAGAAGAAAGCCUCUCAAACCAAAGUGCUGGUCCUUGUAUUGAUCAAGGGAUGUAAACAUAUUACAUUUGCAGGAUGAGAUUUAAUCACUCCCCUGAUUUAUUCGGGUUGCAGUAAAACUAAGCGAGCAACUGUUUGACUUUCAAGCAACAGCUAAAUCAGCUAUUAAAAUUCAAAUAAAAUCAUAAUAGAAUAAUAACAGGCCAUCUUGCAUCAAAAAUUAAGUUUAAUUUGUGAAUUGUUUUCUAUAGACAUGUCAGUUUCUGCUAUUGAAAUGUUAAAAGCAUUGAAAAAUUAUUCAAUAAAUUAUGCAAGCAUUAAAAUAGAGGACAUAUUAAAAAGUUUCUAAUUACAAUGUUAAUAUUUCCUAUAUUUUAGCAUUUGCAUAUUUUAAUUUAUUUAAAAGCUACGUUGAUCAACUUUGGGCAUGAAGAUUUUAGCUUAUACGAGACUUGAUUGGAAUAUGCAUAAGAGUGUUAAAAUAUGAUGCAUCCAAUGAAAGACAAACCACGUGUAGUCUUUUAAUUAAGCCAAAGUAGCAGCUCAAACAAAUGACACUUGGACCAACAUGCAAUCAUGAAGUGGCCGGAAAAAGGACAAAUGCAACUUUGGCUUAAAUAAAAAAUAACAUGUGACUCGACUUUUGCUGGACAUGCAUCAUGUUAUCACAAGACAACAGAAAUCAGUAUGAUAGUACUAAAAGUUGACAAUAACAUGAAGAUAAGAGGCAGAAUGUCAACACAUGCAUAGGCACACACAAGAAAGUAUUAACUUAUAUACCAUAGCAAAAAGUCUUUGAUAUGUCAUCUGUUGCUGCUGUGAUUCAACUGACAGCAUGGCAGCUGUUGCUUCUCUACCAAGAGCCAUUAUUGUAGAUUUAAGCUCGGUCAAUCUUGCUUCUGCAUUUCGAAGCUUCACAGCACUCUCUGCUGAUAUAUCAGAUUCCCUAAUCUUUGAUCGGCGCCUAAAUACUUCAGCUGCCUGGUGAAAAUAUUCAAUAUAAAUCUAACAUAAUUCUCAUCUUGCCUUAUACAUGCAUAUGUUAACUCAAAGCUUACCUGGGCUUCAACUUCAUGUCGAAGUUUGUCAUAACGAUGAGUCAGGUGUCGAGCAUCUUCCAAAGGUGCUCCGUUGAUUAACGCCCGUAGUGGCUCAGAUACCUACAUGUCCAAAAACCUGUAACAUAGUUAGAAAAAUGAAAAGAAAGAGCGAAACCUCAAUUAAAAAGUUCCUCCAACAUAAUCAUGGAAUUUGGGCCUACUUCAAGGAUAUAUAUAAGGAUAAUUUCUGCAAUUUUGGGUCUUAGGAUGAUUGAUAUUAGGUUAUUGUUCUUCUCUUCUGUAUUUAAGGUUAAAAUAGAAAUAAACCUAUGCAAAUAUCUAAAUUAGGCCUGUAAGACAUCCACAUGCAUCCUUCAGCCUCAUGGAUUUGAUUUUACUAUAGAUGCAAGUGUCUUUAUCGAAAAUGCUUGGAGUCAAUUGAGAGAACUCAUGGCCAAUAACUUGUCACACGCUAGUGUUUGCUAGUGAUGUAAGAAGUCACAAGGUCUCUUCAACAUUUGAACCAAUAAAAUUAUUAAGUCAUGGAUGUCACUAGCAAUGAUUUUAAUAUAAAACAUUAAAUAUUUCAGAGUUGUAACUUUAAAAUGGAUUCUUUUAUUCAAUAUCAUAGAACUAAGUUUCCUUAUGAGAAGAUAAUAGUUUCGAUAAUAAUUUUACAUAUAAUUUUCUAUAUUUGAAUUAUUUUCUAGUUAGGGAUGAACUAACCUGAUCACGAAGAAUCCCGAGCAAAGUUUCCCUCUCAUUUUCCAUCAAAUCAUGUGAAGUGCCAAAUUGAAGAGCAGCUCUUGCAACGCAAGAAUUGUCACUUUGAUUCUCUGCUCCAUACUUGCAACAAUCUUCCGCCAACUUUCUCGCUACAAUAUUUGUACACAAGAACUAGUCAAGAAAAUAAAAAAAAAAAUCAAAUAUUAUAAAGAAAGCAAGAGCAAACAAACAACUUAUUUCCAUUUGGUUCAAGCUUACUGCAACAAACCCUUCAACGCCACGGACAAUAUUCCUCUGAAAAUGCUGUGCUACAGAGCAUAUAUUCCAAAUUAUUGUUCAGAUAAAACCAUAGAAACCAUCAUAAUUAUUCAACAUACAUUAAGCUCCGUUUGGUAAAUACUUGCAACUUCAGUCUAGAAAAUACAGUUAAUUUUUAUUUAAAAAACAUCAUAAUUAUCAACAUACAUAUUUGACAAAAUUAUUAUUUAAAAAUCAUAUCAAAUUAAUUACCAAAAGCCACAAUAAAUCAAUAUCAAACAGAGUCUUAUUAUUAGCUAAAGGAGGAUAGUACCUUAGCUGCCCUGGUGGAAUUGUAUAGAUUUUGAAGUUGUUGGUGACACUCAAUUUCAGCUUCAUCAACCACAACAUUUUCAAUACCAAGAUGGAGCAGAUGCUUCAAUACUGCCUGUACAAAUCAUAAAAAACGAAUAAAAAUAAAUAAAAUCGAGAUAUUUCACUAACUAAGAGUCUAAAUAUAAUUUUUUUAAAAAGAAAAGAAACGGACUUGCUGCUGCUUGGCGACUUGUUCUCGGAGCUUGAUUGCCUGUUUCUUGAUAGCUUCCAUACUGUUUCUUUCAAAAAGCGACGACGGCUCAGCUCAUGGAGGUGGAAAAAAAAAGUGUGAUCGGGAAAAAUAAAAAGGCAUGAAUAAUUUUUGAAAAAAAGCGAAAAUCAAGGAAAGCCAGCUCUUUCCAGAAAAUAAAAAAAGAAAAAAGAAAAAAGAAAAUUAUAAGGUUGAAAGGAGUAGAUGAUAGUGGAAGUGUGCGGUGUAGCUGCCAGCUACUUGGAUUGUAUUGUCGGGUAAGGUAAUAGUAGAGAAUUUUUUAAGAAGCUAGAACAGAGCAUGACAUUAGACUUUUGUUGACCAAAGGAUGUUGUUUUAUUCUUCUUAUACUUUACGCUUGCAUCAGCCUCAAUCACUUCUUAAUCGCUUGCUUUAACUGCAUCGCUCUCUCUGUGCUCUUCUAUAUAUGUGACGGUUAUGCGGUUGUAGUUCACGGCUGAGGCUACGCGUUGGUUUGACGUGUCAGUUACGUUACAAGGGGAUAAAUAAGAUUGGUUGCAACAAACCCACUAAUUUUAUAAAAUUCGAGUAAUAUAGAAUAAAAUAAAAAAAUAAAUACAAAAUUGGCUUUUAUUUUUUAUGGUUGACUGUAUUUUGUGUUCUCUUCCGGCACUACUACAAUUGUUCCCCAUAUAUCAGUCACACCUAUAUAUCAUUAACAUAAGAAAUGAAAUCUAAUGUCACCUAUUUAGUUAAAGAAUCACUCAUGAAAAUUUUUUACCAUUUUGCUUUGAGGAUCCAUAUUUUGAACUGCAAGCUAAUGUUCAUCAAGAAUCACUAAUGUUCAUAAAAAACAGAACAUGGCCGUUGAGUAGAAAAACUAUUUUUGGACAAAUUAUUUUUGUUGAUAGAAGAAUUUCUUAAGGGACUACUAAAAUUAUUAAUAAAAAUGUAGAACCACCCACAUAUCAUCUACACAAUUGACUUUGAGGAUCCAUGCUUUGAAUUGCCGCCUAAUGUUCAUCAAGAACAGAGUAUGCCUUGUGAGUAGAAAAUUUUAUGAUUUUGGCCCGAAAUAAAAGGAAAUUAAAUUAGAUGAGAAUCUGCCACUUUCUCAUGAAAAAAGGCAUACGGAGCAUACCAUGGUACCAUACGGAGAAUAUUAGAACCACCCUAGAAUAUCUUUACCCUGAUGUUUCUAACAAAAAUCUGCAUGUGGCAGCAAUUACUAGAUCUACAAUUUCCCAAAUAAUAUUUUGUGUUUCUUAAAAAAUUUGAAAUACAUAGUUGCACUUGCACACCGUGAGACAGUGCUACAAUCUACUGAGAUCUAAAUUAUAUGAGACUUUAAGCUACUAAUGUUUGCAUAUUUCUACAUGUCAAAUUAACAUUACCAUCUAUAAUCCGAAACGACAGAUGAUAAACGGCUUUUGGCCACUUAUUACUAGCAUCCACAAUUAAUUUUUGUUCAGCAAUCAGCUUAUUUUAUAGAAAUUGAUUUAGUCAGCAACAAACACUAUAAUUGCUACUAUGUACGAACUGGUCAUGAAUUAUCUAUAAGAUUUUUCAUGUUGCUUUUAGGUGCAUUGGAUUUUUUGAGUUUAGUGCAAGAGUAGAGGAAGGCAAAUUAAGAAAAAGGAUAAAGAUCUAUAAUUAGCUUCUCAUAACAUAUUGAUGGUAACAUUAUACAUAUGUAUAUCUAAAUAAUGGGGUUGGAUCAGGAGCCCAUUAAUAAUCAUAUAUUAGCUCAUAUAGUUAAAAAAAAAAAUGUACCAUAAAGCCAUUUCACCAGCACUUGUUAGCCUAUGUUGAGCUUUAUUAUCAAUACUUCAUAGUUCAUCGGUGCACUGCAGGUUUACUAUUUGAAGUAAAUGUUAUGGUGCGUGCAUUCUUCAUAAGGCCAACUAUUGAAUUUAGCAUUGAAACUUACAAAAUGUAAUAGAAAGAGGUAGAUAACAGCCAUAAAACACUAAGAUUGGAAAUCAGGGCUACUAUACUAUUACAAGCCCUUAGAAAAGACAGUGAUCAUCCUGAAAUGUAUCUACUGAAAGUAAGAAAUAUUAAUCGUAAAGUUAUGUGUCAACAGAACUAUUGACUACUUGUCUCUAGUAGAAAGUAAAUAUUUUUAACUCCAGCUCUCUACUUUGUUUUAAGAGCUAGGCAAAAGAAGAAAAUUUCGAUGUCUAAAGUUUGCCACUUGGAAUAUUUCACUGUCUAAACAUUCACUCACCACUUAUUUCAUCAACGAAUUUUGUCUAAUUAUAUGUUGAUAAAGAUAUUAGAGUAAUAUAAUGCGUUUAAGGCUUAACUUAUAUUUUUUAUUAGUAGAGUGUAGAACUUUUAAGAAAUAAAUUAUUAAAUUACUAUAACUAACAUAUUAUUUUAAAGUUAUGUUAAGGAAAAGAAUGAAACAAAAAUAAAUAAAUAAAUAAGGGUAUUCUAAAACUUUGAUCUUUUUAAAAGUAGAUUUUGACAUAGAUAAAAUAAUUUUUAUAUUUUUUAAAUCACAUACUCUAGUUAAAAUCAAAUUUGUAUUUAUAAAAUUUGUAAAUUUAUUUAUUUUUUUAGCACUGAUAUUUGAACACUAUCAAGAUAAGAAAUAGGGUACUGGUCAUGCUACAACAUUAUCAUAGCACGUAAAAAGACAAUACCAUUUAUUUUAUUGUACUAUCAUUGUUGUUAUAAUAGUAUUUUGUUAGUGGUCAAAUAUUUUUUUUUUAAGUAAAAAAAGUGAACAAUGUAAAUUAACUUUUAAUCUCUCCUAAAAUUCUAAUUCCUAGUUACGAAACAAAAUUGUUUGAAAAUCAUUAGGCUAACUGCAUGGGUUCUUAAAACCAUAGGUGAUAGAAGUUACUAACACAAGCAAAUUUGACGGUCCAUUUUAUAAAAUUUGUUAUUUACCAUUUUACCACCUAUAUAAGGAGUGCCGCAUCGACAUAUCAACUCAUUUGCAGAUUAUUUUAAUUUUGUAAAAUUCAUUUAACCUGCACUUGGUCGCCCCUAUUCUCUGAAUGGUUAUGGCGAUAUCAUCAUUAUCGUUACUUGUACCAACGCUAAACCCUUCUUAUUCCCUUUCUCGCCUGUCAUACCCUAACAUUAUAUCCCGUGUCCACACUAAAGACAAGUAGUCAAUUCAGGCCAUCAGAUUAUAGUGGACCCACAUCAAUCCAACUGCUCACAAUGACCGACAGCCUCUCCAUCUCCAUUUCAGGUUUCCUCUUCAACUGGCUUCUGCUUCCGCCGUAUUUGCUCCAUUUCUUGGAUUCGGAGUCCGUAUUUGGUCGGUCGGUCCCGCACAGCUCCCUCUCACUCCAAUUGUCACCCAACAAGACCAAUUGCUUAAUCAAGGCACAGAACAAGAAGAGGAUGGGAAAUUGAAACAAGAAUUUGAGAAUUGGAAAUCGAAAACGUCCGCAUUGACCGUGCCUUUGAGGGCAAUUACUUUUCUUGAGAAUUGAAGUUUGGUAAUGUAAUUUGUUCUCCAUCUGUGUUCCCUUUGUAGUCAUUUCAUUUAUUUGUUUGUUUGCUUUUAUUUGCAGGAGAAAUUGAUCCUCGAGAUAAAAGUAAAUUGUCUUUAAGCUCAUUUAGUUUUAUAUCAAACAAAAUCAAGACUGCCUUUUUCUUCAAUAGUUUUGAUGAUAAUAUCUUUAGAAGCAUCUCAUUGACAGGUAAUCGUGGUACCCCUUAAAGAGUCUAUAAACUCAAGGAUAUUAUCUUCUGCAAAUGGUUCAUUAAACUUCUUAGAUGUAGUUAAAUGUACACUGAGAACAACGAGAAGCUAUGCCACUGUAGCAUGUAGUGAUGGCACUUAAUGAGUGAGUUGCUAGGAUAUGAACUAGAAAAAUUAAACAUUGUCUCCCUGGGUAUGCUAGCUUGUAAGUCGGUUAAUAUUAGAGCUUGAGAUACUAUAACCAUGAGAAGCUAUUGACCGCCGAUUAAAAUAUCCAUUAAAAUGUCUAGGGAGUUAUGAAGGUGGAGGUGUCUCCCAAUUUCUAAGGCCAUAUAGUAGACAUCAUCCAGGAUCCUAUUAAAGUGCAGUUAGCCUCCUGCUUGAUGCUAAUGUCAAACAAUUAAUAAAUUUGGUCAAUGUAACUGAAACUUGCUAACUGACGUCAGAUUGCGACUUGAGCACCUUAAAAUGGGAUAGACGAUUAGUAGCACUGAAUUCUUCUUGCCUAAGAUUGAGCAAUUGUUCUAACUACUAUCUCCUAUUGUAGGUUGAUUAUUAUGUUCUAAUUAUGUCGAUUUUGACCCAAAAAAUUACAUAAUCUUGAUCUGCAUAAUGUCACUGAACAGUGUCAAUUUCGUUUACCAACUAACUUGAGUUUGAUAUAACAAACACACGGUGUGUCUCUCAUGUCUCACCAUGAUGGAGAAUUUUUCUAAUGCAUGAAGCAAGCUUCGAUAUGUGGGUUAGCUUGGAGAAGAUAUCUUAAAAUGAAGAAUAUGGGGAGUUAAUGGGAAGAAACAGUUCAGUAGUUUAUAAUUCUGUCGUCGAGCUGUAUCUCUAACAUGGUCAAAAUUUAUGUGAAUAAGGACAGGGAAUCUUCAUUCCUCUUUCCCUUUUUAUACCCACAUAUCUCUCAACCUUUAUAUGUUGCUCACUGGAGAUCUGCUUCUGAUAACUAAAAUAAAAAUUUCAUCCACUCAAAUAAAUUCUGACCAAGCUUUCACAAGAAAAAGUAACAUCUUUAGUGAAGUAAUUUACAAGUAAUUUAGAGUUCCUUAUCAUCUUCUUGUGAGUCUAUCAGUAUGAUCCAAAAACAUAAUAAAUCUUGUUAGAUCCUGUUUAUUGAUGUUUAAACGCUGCUCAUUGUGAAAUGUAGAAACAAUGACGUGAAGUUUCUUUGGUCAUCAAUUAGUGAGAUCUUGUUUGAAGUUGUUUUCUGAAAUGAACUGCCAAAUGAUAGUUUUUUUUUUUUUUUCUUUGGACGCAUUUGAUGGCUCUUUUCUCCUCAUUUUAAGCAUGUGCCUGCUUGGUAUGGGAAGGAAUAGGCUUCAGAGUUGUUAUAUAUGUUGACAUGCUCUGGUCAUUACACAAUAUGUUCAAAUUGGAAAUUAGAAUGAGAUAUUUGUCGAUGCUUUUUGAGAGAUCUGCAUUCUAUGCAGCAUAACAUGAUUAAUGAAAAUGGGUUUAAGGACUGGAAAGAUCUGUGGCAGCCCAAGCUUGCAGGAAGGAUUUCAAUGGUUAAUUCUCCCAGAGAGGUUAUUGGUACAGUUUUGAAGUAUAUGGGAGCAUCAUACAAUUCAAACGACAUUAAUUAGCAAGUUGCUGCUGGGAGGAUUGCUGUUCAGCAGAAUCUGGCAUUACUGGGAAACCAGGUACUCUUAAAGAAACGAUAGCUGGUCAAUGCAUAUUAUUGCCUGACGGCUGAUUUUGUUUGUAAAGUGUGCCUUUUCAUACAUAUGAAUGCAUAUGUUAGUGUUGUCUUCUUCUUUCCAUAAAUAUGAAUGCAUAUGUUGGUGUUCUUUUCUGAGAUGGAUGCAAUAAAGGCUUUUUCUUCUAAAUGACGAGUUUUCAUUUAAAAAUGUUAUAAAUCUGCCAUGCAUAGUAUUCUAGUAGAAUCAUCUAUAAAUUCAAGUUAUUGAAAUUGUCUAUUUGUCCAGUUUGAGUUAAGGACGCAUGUAAUAUGAAAAAUAGUUGUCGAAUAUUGUAGGUUAGCUAAUAUUUGAUCAAUCCUAUAGGGAGGGCUUUAAGAUGUCUAACAACAUGUAGAAUGCCCCUGCUUCCCCCACAAUUUUUAUCUUAUACAAUUUUUAUCUAUAAACAGUAUUUGCCAGACCUUAACUGUUCAGAUUCCCCUUCUCGACUAUCAUACCCUACGCCCCGUCUCCGUGUCUCCGAUAAACAGUGCUCAAUUAAGGCCAUCAGAUUAUCCCGGUCCCACAUUGAUCAACGGCUCACAAUGACCGACAACCUCUGUCUCCAUUACAAGCUCCCUCUUCAACUCGCUUCUGCUUCCAUCCUACUCUUUCUCAGAUUCGGAGCCCGUAUAUGCUCGGCUGGUCCCACGAAGCUCCCUCUCACUCCAGCUGUCAACCGACAAGACCAAUUGCCUUAUCAAGACAGAGAACAAAAAGAGGAUGAGAAAUUGAAACAAGAAUUUGAGAAUUGGAAAUCGAAAACGUACUCAUUGACCGUGCCUUUGAGAGUUGUUUCUCUUCAGAAUUCAGUGCCUCAAUCUUGGGUUAAGGAUUUUAUGCGAAGUCAAGGAAAGUGAUUGAAGUUUCAGAUGAAUUUGUGUGCUAGCAUUGGUGGGAUCUUUAACAAUUUAUCUGUGCCCUUUAACAAAGUCAAGGCUAAUUCAGCUUCUUAUAUGGCUGCUGAUUUGGUUAGUGUUGGUGAUUCAUGGCUUAGUUUUGCCAUUAAAGAGAGAUUGAUUGAGCCAAUGGCUGGAGCUGAAGACCAAGAUUGGUUCAAAUGCUUAAGUCACAAAUGGAAGGUAACAUCUUUAUCUUUGGCCCGAUAAUUUUUAUUGUCUUACAUUGAAAUUUGGUAAUGUAAUUUGUUCUCUAUCUGUAUUACCCUUUUUAGUCGUUUUAUUUAUUUGUUUAUUUGCUUUUAUUUGCACUAACGAAGUCUCAGGUAUAUCUAUGCAGAAUGAUGCAGGAGAAAUUGAUCCUCGAUGUGAAAUAUGGGCGGCACCAUACAGGUGGGGCACAAUGGUGAUAGCCUACAAGAAAAGUAAAUUUCGAAAGCAUAAUUUGGCUCCGAUUGAGGUAAUAAUUGUCUUUAAACUCAUUUAGUUUUAUAUCAAACAAAAUCAAGACUGCCUUUCUCUUCAAUAUUUUUGAUGAUAAUAUCUUUAGAAGCAUCUUAUUGAUGGGUAAUAAUUGUAUCCCUGAAACAGUCUAUAAACUCAAUGAUAUUAUCUUCUACAAAUGGCUCAUUAAACUUUGUCGUUGUAGUCAAAUGUACACUCAGAGCAAUGACAAGCUAUGCCACUGUAGCAUGUAGUGAUGGCACUUAAUAAGUGAGUUGCUAGGAUGUGAACUAGAAAAAUUAAAUAUUGUCUCCCUGGGCAUGCUAGCUCAUAAGUCAGGGUUAAUAUUAGAACUCAAGAUACUAUAACCAUGAGAAGCUAUUGACUGCCAAUUAAAAUAUCCUUUAAAAUGUCUAGGAAGUUAUGAAGGUGGAAGUAUCUUCCGAUUUCUGAGGCCACAUGGUAGAUAUCAUCCAGGAUCCUAGUACAGUGCAGUUAACCUCCUGCUUGAUGCAAUUAAUAAAUUUGGUCAAUGCCACUGAAACAUGCUAACUGACGUCGCAAUGCGACAUGAGCACUUCAAAAUGGGACAGACGGUCGGUAGCACUAAAUUUUUCUUGCCUAAGAUGAGCAAUUGGUCUAACUACUAACCCCUUUUGUAGUUGAUCAUUAUUUUUUCAAUUAUUUUCAGUUUGACCCAAAACGUUACAGAAUCUUGAUCUGAAUAUUGUCACUGAACAUUGUCACUGAACAUUGUCAAUGUCGUUUAGCGUAGCCAACUAACUUGAGUUUGGUAAAACAAACACACAGUGUGUCUCAUGUCUCACAAUUCAAAUUAUCAUUUGUAAUGAUGGAGAAUUUUUCCAAUGUAUGAAGUAUGCUUUGAUACGUGGGUUACCUUGGGGAAGGUAUCUCAAAAUAAAGAAUAUGGGGAGAAAACAGUUCAGUAGUUUAUUAUUCUGUAGUCAAGUUUUGUCUCAAAAAUGGUCCAAAUUUAAAUGAAUAAGGACGGGGGAUCUUCAUUCUUUUUUCCCUUUUUUAUACCUAGAUAUCUCUCAACCUUUAUAUAAUCCCCACUGGAUAUCUGCUUCUAAUAAUUAAAAUAAAAAUUUCACCCACACAAAUAAAUACUGACCAAGCUCUAACAAUAAAAAGUAACUUCUUUAGUCAAGUGAUUUACAGUUCCUCAUCACCUUAGUGAGACUAUCAGUGUGUUCCAAAAACAUAAUAAAAUUGGUUUGUUCCUGUUUAUUGAUGUUUAAAUGUUGUUCAUUGUGACAUGUAGAAAUGAUGAGGCGAAGUUUAUUUGGUCAUCAAUUUGUAAGAUCUUGUUUGAAGUUGCUUUCUGAAAUGAACUGCCAAAUGGUAGUUUCUUUGGGCAUUUGAUGGCUCUUUUUUCCUCAUUUUUAAACAUGUGCCUGCUUGGAACAGGAAGGAUUAGGCUGCAGAGUUGUUAUAUAUUUUGACAUGCUCUAGUCAUUGCACAAUUUGUUCACACUGGAAACUAGAAUGAGAAAUUUGUUGCAUUCUAUGCACAAUAACAUGAUUAAUGAAAAUGGAUUGUAGGACUGGAAAGAUCUGUGGCAGCCUGAGCUCGCAGGACGAAUUUCAAUGGUUAAUUCUCCCUGAGAGGUUAUUGGUUUAGUUUUGAAGUAUAUGGGAGCAUCAUACAAUUCAAACGAUAUUGAUUCGCAAGUUGCUGGUGGGAAGAUUGCUGCUCAGCAGAAUCUGGCAUUACUGGCAAACCAGGUACUCUCAAAGAAAUGAUAUCUGGUCAUUGCAUGUUAUUACCUGACAACUGAUUUUGUUUGUAAAAGUCUGCUUCUUCAUACAUAUGAAUGCAUAUGUUAGUGUUUUCUUCUCCUUUUCAUACAUAUGAAUGCAUAUGUUGCUUCUUUUCCUUUCCAUACAUAUUAAUACAUAUGUUGGUGUUCUCUCCUGAGAUGGAUGCAAUAAAGGUUUUUCUGAAGAAAUGGCAAGGGAUGUGAGAUUCUGUCUCAUAAAAUUAACAAAAACCCAAAACAAUGAAAACCCAUAAUAAUGUGGUGUGGGUAAAUUGACGCCAUUUGGUUCGUUUCCUUGAUGUGAAUACGCGGGCAAUAGAGACUAACAAAAUGAAGUGACAACAAGAAGUCAGUGUCCUUUGAUGGAUGCAUUUUUAGGCAGAAAUAGGUUUGUAAUUGACCAAAUUUGUCUGGCAUGCCAAUUUCAAAAAAAAUUAAAUUAUGUGGUUAUUAGCUGUAAUGAAGGGGGAUUGUAGGUCCAAUCAGGUGGAUCCAUGAAAGUUCAACAAAGUUCUGGUAUGGCGUAGAAAUUGGUUUGUGCAACUCAAGAGUCUUUCUGGUGAACGAUGAUGGGUUUUGAUUUAUAAAUGUUAUAAAUCUACUGUGCAUAGUAUUCUAGUAGAAUCAUCUAUAAGUUCUAGUUAUUGAAAUUGUCUACCUUGUUCAGUUUGAGUUAAGGGCACAUGUAAUAUGAAAAAUAGUUGUUGCAUCUUUUAGGUUACCUAACAUUUGAUCAAUCCUAUUAUGAGGGCUUCAAGAUGUCUAACAAUAUGUGGAAUGCCCAUGCUCCUCCCCAUUGUUUAUCUUAUAUAAUAAUUUGUUUUAGAUGCUAAUAUCUUUGUCGAUACCGGUAACAAUAUUACAAUAUCUGCGUUUAUUGGGUUUUACAUAGGUUCGACUGUUUGACAGUACACACUCUCUGAAGGCAUUUGGAAAUGGAGAUGUAUGGAUUGCUGUUGGGUGGAGUAGUGAUGUUCUUCCUGCUGUCAACGUAUGUCUAAUGUUGCAGUUGUUGUUCCCAAGUCUGGUGCUAGCUUAUGGGCUGAUCUUUGGGUAUACCCAUGCCUGCCAUUCUACUUCAAUAUUCACAUUGUUAUCUCCUUCAUAUUAGUGAUCAGUAAACACGAUAAUGUGACUAAUAAGUUCGUAUUCUCUUUAUAGGCAAUCCCUGCUGCCUCAAGACUUGAAACAAAACAAAUUGGAGGGCGAGUCAGAGGUGCAUUUCCAUUAAUCCAUCAAUGGAUAGAAUUCUGCUUGCAAACAGCGAGAGCAUUGCCUUUCAAGCAAGAGGUUAUCCCGAGCGCAUCUCCCUCUGCCCUUGAGAGUACUCUGGUUAAGUUGCCUGAAAACUUUGAAGGGUAAACCAAGUCUGGAUACUAACUUAAUUGCUGGAGUACCCCUGACGGAAAUUCUGGCAGAUGUGAGUUUUUGGAGCCAUUAUCUGAAGCUACAUUGUCGGAUUAUGAGUGGCUGGUUGCUAAUCUGCAAAAAUCCACUCUGUACUGAUCAACAAAGAUGCAACAUUACAUGUCAUCAUUGAUCUUUAGCUAAAGGUACAUUGAAAAGUUAAUGGCACUGCAUACCAGUCAUUAUAAUUGGGUCAGGGCAAUUGGGUCAGGGCAAUUGGGUCAGGGCAAUUAGGUCAGAGCAUAACUUCAUUAGGAAAAGAGGCUUCAGCUACGUUAAAUAUUACAGGAUGUACUGAGAUGGCUGAAGUUGUUGACGUUGUACGAGAAACGAAGAUGAGUGUUUGUUUGAACAAAGUUGUUGCCAAUCUUGCAGAGUUCGAGAAGAAAGAUCACGAAGCAAAUGCCACGAUUUCUUCAUCACUGUAGCCUCCAUAGUUGAAGUUUCCUCAUUUGAAGCUGUUUAUGCAUAUGCUUUUUUUCCCUUCUCAAGUACAGGAAAUUGAAGAAUUAACCAGAUGUGAAUAUGCUGAAAGAGGGAAGUUUUCUCCCUUGAAUGUGGCCUUGUGAUUUGUCUUGAAGGAAUAGGAUGAUCACUGGCAAGAACCCUAUCAAGGUAGAUUUUAUGAUGUUAACAUAUUAUUAAGCAUUUUUGUUACAUCAGCAAUGAUGCUUUCAUAGCAUGAAAGUGUUUAAAUUUAACUGAAUGAUCUUGAUUGAUCAAUUAUGAGUUUUAAUCGAGUAAAAACUAAAUACAUAAUCGUUAACAAUAUUGAAAUUGGGUAAAUAUGAUCUUGAUAUUGAUGAAUUUGAAAUCACAACCCACACAGGAAAUCACCCUCGCGUGGGGAUGGAAAUGUUUACUGCAGCGAUAUUGAAUAUGUCCACUGCUGGACUAAUUCUGAUUACCUAAUUGACUCAGGAUCGGCUGGCAAUAAUAACAGUUUAUUAACAAUGCACAGUCCGAGUACUUUUCCAGGAUCAGAUACGACGUGGUCUAAUGUUGAUAAUAAUAGAUUAUCAAAUGACAAAUCGUUGUUCUACUAUUGCAAGCCCCCAGAUUUAAGAAUCUUUUUCAGAAAUUAAAUACAUUCUGAGAGAUGCUGGUCUACUAUUGCAAGCCCCCAGAUUUAAGAAUCUUUUGACGGUAAUUUAUCACCUGUAACUGUGCCGGAAGAUUCAACUAGCACUGAAAAAGAUGAUAAAUUAAUUGAUAUGGAGAGUUUUCAUAUCACUUUUAAAUCAUCUUAUGUAAUUGUGAUGUUAGGAAGCAUUAGUGAUCUAUAUGUGAAUUAUUAUUGGCGCCAUUGGUGGUUUUAUCUUGUUAAAAUAUGGAUGAAUUCCAGUUACUAUUUUGUUGCAGACAAUCUUCUUCAAUUAACAUAUGGUUUAAAAUCAUUAUGUAAAUCAAUCUAUUAAUUUUCAAGAUAUUUAACUGAGUUAAAACUAAGUGCACUCAAUAAAUCUCUUUUCCUUUAAAAAACUGUUACGCUUUAUUUUAGUGCUUAAUAUUUAUUGAACUCCGAUACAGGGAAUUUGAAAUCAAACUCGUAACUACAUAUUAUCUAAUUGCAAGUUUCUAUCCAUAGCUGCUGAUUUGUAGUGAUUAUCUAAUUGACUGAGGUGACGACAAUUUUUUUUUUUUUAAAUUUUCAAUAGCACAAUGUGGAAUUCAAUAAUUAAAUUCUCCUUUUUAAUUUGUUUCCAGUUAAAUUAUUAAUUACUUAAACUCUGUUUUAAGUCUUUAAGUUUAUGUGUUUAUGCAGAAUUGGAUUCUUGAGCGUGUUGGACACGACCAACAAUGAAAUUGACAGUAAAAAAACAAUACAACGUGUGGACUCCGGUAGAUGCCAUACAAGUCUACAACUUUACAAAUAAUAAUUGAGUAAGCAACUUUGAUUCUCGGGGCCCUUCAAUGAAUUUCUAGCCCCGUUGACUCCGCCAACUAAAGUUUGUAAAAUAAAAAAAUACAUAGAAUUCCACUAAAUGCAAAACGCGUGGAAUUUAAUUUUCGGCCAUGUGGACCAAAACAUAAUUUAAUGAAAAAGGAAAAAAAAUGAUAAGAUUUCUAAAAUAUGUGAAAGAUGAUCCAUAUUUUACUGAAACGACUUAUUAAAUUUUUCAAAGAUUUAGAAUAUUUAGUCAUAAAUUACGUGCAUGUUAAUUUUUCCGCCAUUGACUAUCAUAUUCUAAACUUAAUAGUACAUUUCUUGUUGAAGGGUACUUAGUCUCUCUUCUCCUCUUAUAAAAAUUAUUGAUGGAUUUCUUGUUAUAGUUAAUAGUCUUUAAGAACGGAUAACUUUAUUGUUUUCGUGACCAAAUUAUGUCCGCCUAAGGUUGUGACUAUUAAUAAAAUUAAUAUUUUAAUGUUUAUGUUAAAAGAUAUAAGAUUUUAUGCGUUCAUUAAUUGUUAUUAGCUAAAGGAUGAAUUAUUUUUUCAACCCAAUCAGUUGAUGCAUCUGCAAGAGUUUUUUUCUUUAUUGACCAUAAUUAUGUUCCGGGUACAAUAAAUUGUCUUUGGUGCUUGGAAAAUAUGACUUCUUACUUCAAGUUUGAUAUGUCUCUCUCCAUAAACUUACUGGAAAUAUAUCCUCAUCUACUGUCAUUUAUCUAAUAUCAAUUGAAGAUCUCACUUUUUCAACUAUCACUUCCAAGUCUCAUUGUCACUUGGCCAUUCUUGGACCAUUCAAAACCAAUCAAGUGUUGAAAUAAUCAAAUAUAUGCAAAAUUAGAGUCACGAUUUUUUGGUCCCCCAAAUUCUAAUUAUAUAACUUCUAUAUAUUUCAUUGCCAGGUCACGAACUUGUUGGCACAUUUUCCAAAUUCCUCUUCCAUCAGCUCUCACACGUUAACUUAAGUGGAAAGUUUCCAAGUUGAUUGCUAGAAAGCAACGCAAAAUCAGACACACUUGAUCUGUCCCCUAAUUCUCUUUUCUACGUUGAAAAAGAAAAAAAAAAAAAUACAUAUAUAUAUAUAUAUAUAUAUCUAUGUAAAAAUAAAUAAUAAACUGAGUAAAAGUACAUUUGUUUAAUUAACAUCUGAUCGGGGCAUUUUUGGUGUAAGCCACAACUAAAAUCAAACAGCCCCUUAGCAUACUUCUUCCAUUUUAUCUGCUACUUUUGUGGAUCUUAUAGGGUGGGCAUGUGGACAGAAUUUAAAAGUUUUAAUAGGCUCAAAGAAGAAGAUGUGUUAAAUCUAAAGUUGUUGCACCUUCUGAUUAAAUAAAGUUGUACAAUUUCAUCAACUUGAAAGAAUUGACAUUAAUGAACUGGUCGCCUCUCCAUGUAUGAAGCCUUCUUAAAAGUUAAUUUUUAUUUCAGAAAAAAAAAGUUUAAGUUACAUAUAUUACAGUAAGAUUUUUUUGAGACCAAUUCCCUUCUUGAAAUAUAAUAGAAAAGUAUUAAUUUAAAAAUAAAAUGAAUAUGUAUUGAUUAUAUCCUGAUUUUCAUCGAUUAUAGUUAGAGAGUUUCACCAAAUCAAUUCCUUAUUCAAAUAAUACAGAAAAAAUAGUAAUUUAAUAGUAAAAUAAACAGGUGUUGAUUAUAUAUCCUAAGUUUCAUCGAUUAUGUGAUCAAAGUGGCAUUGUUGAUUUAUUUUUGUUCAAUGUUAAUUUUUAGGUUAUAUAAAUUUCAAGGAUUUAAAAUCUUUGGCCAUGAAUUACACGCUUGUUAAUUUUCCUGCCAUUGACUGUCAUAUUCUAGACUUAAUGAUACCUUUCUUGAUCAAGGGUAAUUACUCUCUCUUCUCCUCUUAUAAAUUCCUCUUCCAUUAACAUCACUAGGAGUAUGUUGAUCUCUCAGACGUUAACUUGAGUGGAGAGUUUCCAAAUUGAUUGUUACAAAACAACACAAAAACUAGACACACUUGAUCUGUCUAAUAAUUCUCUUUCGGUAAAAUUAAAUAAUUUUAGGGGAAUAUUCGGCCAACCUCUAUAAUUUCAGAGUGAUCAUUAAUUAAUUAAUCGAUACAAAUAUCUAAAGUGAUUAAAUGUGACUUGAAAUUUGAUCUCUAUCGAUUGGUUUACAAAUGGACGUACUUGUGCCUUUGUGGCGAUAAUCGAACAAGUACCCAUGAUUAUUAUUUUUUCCAAAAACUUUUUUACAACAAAUUCAUCUCGUCAAAAAUUCUAUGUUGCUAACUAACAAUAAUUGAGCACUUGGCCGCAUUGACUCCACGUCUCACCUCUUUCUAAAUUCUAAGUAAAAACAUGGAAAUGUAAUUUCCACAAAAUGCCAAAUGUGUGGAAUUUAAUUUUUUGCCUUGUGGAUCAAAAUACAAAUGAAAGAAACAGAAGAAAAAAAAGGCCCAAAGACUUCUAAAAGAUGAAGAAGUCUUUGUGCCUUUUUAUAAUGGUGAAUUUUUUAAAAGAAAAAAAAUAACAACAUUUUUAUGGUUUGUUUUGAUAAUCAUAUUUACAUAUACUCUCUAAUUUUCAAAAUGGACACAUAAAUCUUUUUUUUUUACAAAAUAUAUAUUAUUCAUAUUUUUUUUUUAUUUUUUUUUAUCAUAUUUUAUUUAUUAUAAAUGUUUAGAGCAAAUUUUUAGGUUGAAAUAUAAUAAAAAGGUAUAAUUGUUCUCUUAUUAAACACACAUACUUUUAUUAGUUUCUAUCCAUUUGUCAUCUCAAUCUCUCUCAAUUAUUCUUUAUUGCUAGCUCAAAACGCGUUGCUGUUGCAAAUUAUAGCAAAAUGACAAAUAUGGAAAAAAAGGGAAGAAAAUUAAUGCAUGAAAGACUUGGAGAAAACAACAAAAUAAGCCAACUAUGAGCUAGUUGGGUGUAUAAAUUGUUAGAUGUGUAUAUACAAAUAGCGUAGAGCCCUCUAGUUGGUUCCAGAGACAGAAAGAGCGUGUGUGUUUUUUCACAGUUAGAGAUAUAGUUAGAAUGGGUGGUUCAAAAUCAAAAAUGAUGAUAAUGUUUAUUAUGUUAUUAAUAAUAUUUAAAAGUGGGUGGAGUGAGGGAUGUUUGGAUCACGAGAGAUUUGCUUUUUUGAGACUCAAACAUUUCUUCAAUGAUCCUCUUAAUUCUCUUUACGACUGGGUAGAUGGUGAGGGAGCUACUGAUUGUUGUCAGUGGGAAAGGGUUGAGUGCAGCAACACCACAGGCCGAGUGAUAGCACUGGACCUUUCUUAUAUAUAUUCGGGAGAGUACAGCUGGUAUCUGAAUGCUUCUUUAUUUACUCCUUCCAACAACUUGAGUCACUUGAUUUAACUCAAAACAAAAUAGCCGGAUGUGUUGAGAAUGAAGGUACUUUGUUUAAUUUAAUUAAUUUACUUUCUCCCCCCUAAUUUAAGUUGAAUAUCAAGACCGAGCAAUUAUACGCAUAUUCAUUUAGUCGACAAUUUUGACUUUUUUUUAAAUGAUUAAUUUUGAAAUUACACCAGUAUCUAUGAUCUUUUUUAUUUUAUUUUAUUUGCAGGUAUAGAGAGGCUAUCAAGAUUGAACAACUUGAAGAUGCUUAAUUUAAGUGGAAACUCAUUCAAUAAUAGCAUUUUAUCAUCUCUAACUCAUCUUUCAUCAUUAAGAUCAUUAAAUUUAUUGUGGAAUAGAUUGGAAGGAAGUAUUGACGUUAAAGGUACAUAAUUAAAACUUCAAGCUCUUUCAUUAACUUGCUAAAAUAAGAUUCAAGGCUUUGAAUUCAAUUUUUUUAUGAUUAAUAUUAAAAAAACAGUUUUAAGCAAUUUAUAAAUACAAGUUUUAAUGUUUCUUGUAAUUUCAUCUUGUACUUUCAUAUGUCUUGAAUUUAAGAUUAAAAAAAAAACUCUAAUAGCGAACCAAACACCUCCACAACUUAUUAUUAUUUGUGGUGAGGUUUGAAACAUUCAACUCAAUUUGUACUUAUUACAGAAUUUGAUUCUUUGAGAGAUUUAGAGGAGCUAGACAUUGGCGGAACAAGAUUGACAAAUUUGUGGUCUCAAAAGGUACUACAAAUACCAUAAAAAAAUAUGCUAACUUUUACAAAUUAGUUAGAUUCUUUGCCAUUUGGUUUAUUAUUUUACAGGUUUGAGUAAGUUGAAGUCUCUUGGUUUAAGUGGUAUCAAACUCAAUCGUAGCAUCUUAUCUUCUCUGACUGUCUUUCUUCGUUAAGAGAAUUAUAUAAGUGAUACGGGAUUCAAAGGAACAUUCGAUGUUCGAGGUAAGCCUAAACCUUGCUUUCUCAUUUUAUAUAUGCCAACUAGAUUUGUGUAUCAUCGACAUAAUUUAAUAUUUAAUUUGAUAAGUCUGAAUGAAUUACAUGCUAAUUUAACACUUUUAUUUACUUUGUCAAUUAAUUAAUUAAUUAAUUAUACUAUUUGGCUUGGUUUGGACGAAAUUCUCAUGAUGUUUUAAUUUCUUUAAAUUAAUUAAUUAAUUAACUCUGUUUUUAAGUCUUAAGUCUGGGCGUGUUUGCAGAUUUGAUUCCUUCAACGACUUAGAAGUGUUGGAUAUGAGAUACAAUGAAAUCGACAAUCUUGUGGUUCCUCAAGGUAAACAAUUAAAAGGUACAGAUGUGGCCAAAUUUAUAAAUAAAUUGUUAAUUAAUUAAUUUUUUCGUAUUAUUAAUAAAGCUAAAUUCGUUUGCUCCUUCCUUCUAAUUCUAAACAGAGUUGCACAAUUUCACCAACUUGGAAUAUUUGACAUUGGAAUCUUUCCUCUCUCAUAUAAGCCUUCUGCAAAGCAUUGCAUCAAUAUUCCCUUCGUUAAAAAAUCUGUCGAUGUCUUUUUGUGAAGUCAAUGGUGUCGUACGCGGUCAAGGUAAAAGAAAAGCGUUGAUUGUGAACUCACUCAAUGGUGUCCUACGUGUUCAACAUUUUUAUUUAUUUUAUUGUUUAAUGUUUCUGCUAGGUUUUCCUCAUUUCAAGAGUUUGGAACAUUUUGACAUGAGGUUCGCGCGCAUUGCGCUCAACACCAGCUUUCUUCAAAUCAUCGGUGAAUCGAUGCCCUCUCUUAAGUACUUAUUACUGUCAUAUUCUAAUCUCUUGGCACUAACAGCAGCAGGAUUCUUCAUCAAGGUUAAUGAGAUGCUGCCACCCUCCCCUCUUAACCUAUAAUAUUAAUUUUCGAUUAAAUAUUUAAUUACACAAACCAAAUCACUUAUUAUAAAAGAACAAUACGCAUUCAUUAAUUUUUAUAUUGUAUUAAUAAUUGAUGAAUUUAAUAAAUUUUCAGGCCUCUGUUCGUUGGUGCACCUGCAAGAGUUGUACAUUGAUAAUAAUGAUUAAAGAGGUAGCUUGCCUUGGUGCUUGGCAAAUAUGACAUCCUCCGAAUAUUAGAUGUUUCUUCCAAUCAACUUACGGGAAGCAUCUCCUCAUCUCCCCUCGUUCAUUUGACAUCCAUUGAAAAGUUGAUCUUUCAAACAAUCACUUUUGGAUCCCAAUUUCACUUGAACCACUUUUCAAUCACUCACGACUCAAGCUUUCUAUGCUGACAACAAAAAUAAAAGCUGAAAUAACUGAGUCACAUUCUUUGACUGCCCCAAACUUCCAAUUAAAAUAUCUCUCAUUGUCUUCCGGUUACGAAGAUGGUGUCACAUUCCCCAAAUUCCUUUACCAUCAACAUGACCUGGAGUAUGUUGACCUCUCACAUAUAAACAUGAGCGGAGAAUUUUCCAAAUUGGUUGUUGGAAAACAACACAAACUUAGAAUAUAUUUUUUGGUUAAUGAUUCUCUUGCAGGACCUUUCCGGUUGCCAAUUCAUUCACACAAGCGGUUAAGACUGUUGGAUAUAUCCAACAACAACAUCAGAGGCCACAUUCCAGUAGAAAUUGGAGAUGUUUUACCGGGUUUAUUUUCUUUAAACAUUUUCAUGAAUGCUUUAGACGGUUGCAUUCCCUCUUCAUUUGGUAAUAUGAAAUUCCUCCAAUUUCUGGACUUAUCCAACAACCAAUUGACUGGUGAAAUCCUAAGCACUUGGCCGUGGGUUGCGUCAACUUAGAGUCUCUUGCGUUGUCAAACAACAACUUAGAAGGUCAUAUGUUCUCCAGAAACUUCAACCUGACAAACUUGAAAUGGUUACAAUUGGAAAGCAAUCACUUCGUAGGAGAGAUCCCACAAAGUUUGUCUAAAUGCUCCUCACUAAAAGGAUUGUAUCUUAACAAUAAUAGUCUUUCGGGUAAGAUUCCACGAUGGUUGGGUAAUCUCACAUGGUUACAAUAUAUUACAAUGCCCAAUAAUCAUCUUGAAGGUCCUAUUCCAGUGGAGUUUUGUCAGCUUGAAUGGCUUCAGAUUUUGGACAUUUCAGACAACAACAUAUCUGGAAGUUUACCAUCUUGUUUCCAUCUUCUCUCUAUCAAACAAGUUCAUCUUUCAAAAAAUAUGUUACAUGGACAGCUAAAAGAGGUACAUUUCUUUAAUUGCUCUUCCCUUGUGACAUUAGAUCUUAGUUAUAACCGCUUGAAUGGCAGCAUUCCGGAUUGGGUUGAUGGACUUUCUCGUUAAGCCACCUUAUCUUGGCUCACAAUAAUCUUAAAGGUGAAGUGCCAGUUCAAUUGUGCAAAUUGAACCAACUACAAUUGUUAGAUCUUUCUAAUAAUAAUCUUCAUGGUCCUAUUCCUCUUUGCUUUGAUAACACCACACUUCAUGAAAGUUACAGCAAUAGUUCUAGUCCUGAUGAGCAAUUUGAAAUAUAUAUUUUUAUGUCCGCCUAAGGUUGUGACUAUUAAUAAAUUAAUAUUUAAUGUUUAUGUAAAAAUAUAUAAGAUUUUAUGCGUUCAUUAAUUGUUAUUAGCUAAAGGAUGAAUUAUUUUUCAACCCAAUCAGUUGAUGCAUCUGCAAGAGUUUUUUCUUUUAUUGACCAUAAUUAUGUUCCGGGUACAAUAAAUUGUCUUUGGUGCUUGGAAAAUAUGACUUCUUACUUCAAGUUUGAUAUGUCUCUCUCCAUAAACUUACUGGAAAUAUAUCCUCAUCUACUGUCAUUUAUCUAAUAUCAAUUGAAGAUCUCACUUUUUCAAACUAUCACUUCCAAGUCUCAUUGUCACUUGGCCAUUCUUGGACCAUUCAAAACCAAUCAAGUGUUGAAAUAAUCAAAUAUAUGCAAAAUUAGAGUCACGAUUUUGGUCCCCCAAAUUCUAAUUAUAUAACUUCUAUAUAUUUCAUUGCCAGGUCACGAACUUGUUGGCACAUUUUCCAAAUUCCUCUUCCAUCAGCUCUCACACGUUAACUUAAGUGAAAGUUUCCAAGUUGAUUGCUAGAAAGCAACGCAAAAUCAGACACACUUGAUCUGUCCCCUAAUUCUCUUUUCUACGUUGAAAAAAGAAAAAAAAAAAUAAAAUACAUACAUACAUAUAUAUAUAUAUAUAUAUAUAUAUAUAUAUAUAUAUAUAUAUAUAUAUCUAUGUAAAAAUAAAUAAUAAACUGAGUAAAAAGUACAUUUGUUUAAUUAACAUCUGAUCGGGGCAUUUUUGGUGUAAGCCACAACUAAAAUCAAACAGCCCCUUAGCAUACUUCUUCCAUUUUAUCGGCUACUUUUGUGGAUCUUAUAGGGUGGGCAUGUGGACAGAAUUUAAAAGUUUUAAUAGGCUCAAAGAAGAAGAUGUGUUAAAUCUAAAGUUGUUGCACCUUCUGAUUAAAUAAAGUUGUACAAUUUCAUCAACUUGAAAGAAUUGACAUUAAUGAACUGGUCGCCUCUCCAUGUAUGAAGCCUUCUUAAAGUUAAUUUUUAUUUCAGAAAAAAAAGUUUAAGUUACAUAUAUUACAGUAAGAUUUUUUGAGACCAAUUCCCUUCUUGAAAUAAUAAUAGAAAAGUAUUAAUUUAAAAAAUAAAAUGAAUAUGUAUUGAUUAUAUCCUGAUUUUCAUCGAUUAUAGUUAGAGUUUCACCAAAUCAAUUCCCUUAUUCAAAUAAUACAGAAAAAAUAGUAAUUUAAUAGUAAAAUAAACAGGUGUUGAUUAUAUAUCCUAAGUUUCAUCGAUUAUGUGAUCAAAGUGGCAUUGUUGAUUUAUUUUUUGUUCAAUGUUAAUUUUUAGGUUAUAUAAAUUUCAAGGAUUUAAAAUCUUUGGGCCAUGAAUUACACGCUUGUUAAUUUUCCUGCCAUUGACUGUCAUAUUCUAGACUUAAUGAUACCUUUCUUGAUCAAGGGUAAUUACUCUCUCUUCUCCUCUUAUAAAUUCCUCUUCCAUUAACAUCACUAGGAGUAUGUUGAUCUCUCAGACGUUAACUUGAGUGGAGAGUUUCCAAAUUGAUUGUUACAAAACAACACAAAAACUAGACACACUUGAUCUGUCUAAUAAUUCUCUUUCGGUAAAAUUAAAUAAUUUUAGGGGAAUAUUCGGCCAACCUCUAUAAUUUCAUAGUGAUCAUUAAUUAAUUAAUCGAUACAAAUAUCUAAAGUGAUUAAAUGUGACUUGAAAUUUGAUCUCUAUCGAUUGGUUUACAAAUGGACGUACUUGUGCCUUUGUGGCGAUAAUCGAACAAGUACCCAUGAUUAUUAUUUUUUUCCAAAAACUUUUUUACAAACAAAUUCAUCUCGUCAAAAAUUCUAUGUUGCUAACUAAACAAUAAUUGAGCACUUGGCCGCAUUGACUCCACGUCUCCACCUCUUUCUAAAUUUCUAAGUAAAAACAUGGAAAUGUAAUUUCCACAAAAUGCCAAAUGUGUGGAAUUUAAUUUUUUGCCUUGUGGAUCAAAAUACAAAUGAAAGAAACAGAAGAAAAAAAAAGGCCCAAAGACUUCUAAAAGAUGAAGAAGUCUUUUGUGCCUUUUUAUAAUGGUGAAUUUUUUUAAAGAAAAAAAAAUAACAACAUUUUUAUGGUUUGUUUUGAUAAUGCAUAUUUACAUAUACUCUCUAAUUUCAAAAUGGACACAUAAAUCUUUUUUUUUUACAAAAUAUAUAUUAUUCAUAUUUUUUUUAUUUUUUUAUUAUCAUAUUUUUAUUUAUUAUAAAUGUUUAGAGCAAAUUUUUAGGUUUGAAAUAUAAUAAAAAGGUAUAAUUGUUUCUCUUAUUAAACACACAUUACUUUUUAUUAGUUUCUAUCCAUUUGUCAUCUCAAUCUCUCUCAAUUAUUCUUUAUUGCUAGCUCAAAACGCGUUUGCUGUUGCAAAUUAUAGCAAAAUGACAAAUAUGGAAAAAAAGGGAAGAAAAUUAAUGCAUGAAAGACUUGGAGAAAACAACAAAAUAAGCCAACUAUGAGCUAGUUGGGUGUAUAAAUUGUUAGAUGUGUUAUAUACAAAUAGCGUAGAGCCCUCUAGUUGGUUCCAGAGACAGAAAGAGCGUGUGUGUUUUUUCACAGUUAGAGAUAUAGUUAGAAUGGGUGGUUCAAAAUCAAAAAUGAUGAUAAUGUUUAUUAUGUUAUUAAUAAUAUUUAAAAGUGGGUGGAGUGAGGGAUGUUUGGAUCACGAGAGAUUUGCUUUUUUUGAGACUCAAACAUUUCUUCAAUGAUCCUCUUAAUUCUCUUUACGACUGGGUAGAUGGUGAGGGAGCUACUGAUUGUUGUCAGUGGGAAAGGGUUGAGUGCAGGCAACACCCACAGGCCGAGUGAUAGCACUGGGACCUUUUCUUAUAUAUAUUCGGGAGAGUACAGCUGGUAUCUGAAUGCUUCUUUAUUUACUCCCUUCCAACAACUUGAGUCACUUGAUUUAACUCAAAACAAAAAUAGCCGGAUGUGUUGAGAAUGAAGGUACUUUGUUUAAUUUAAUUAAUUUACUUUCUCCCCCCCUAAUUUAAGUUGAAUAUCAAGACCGAGCAAUUAUAUGCAUAUUCAUUUAGUCGACAAUUUUGACUUUUUUUUAAAUGAUUAAUUUUGAAAUUACACCAGUAUCUAUGAUCUUUUUUAUUUUAUUUUAUUUGCAGGUAUAGAGAGGCUAUCAAGAUUGAACAACUUGAAGAUGCUUAAUUUAAGUCGAAACUCAUUCAAUAAUAACAUUUUAUCAUCUCUAACUCAUCUUUCAUCAUUAAGAUCAUUAAAUUUAUUGUGGAAUAGAUUGGAAGGAAGUAUUGACGUUAAAGGUACAUAAUUAAAACUUCAAGCUCUUUCAUUAACUUGCUAAAAUAAGAUUCAAGGCUUUGAAUUCAAUUUUUUUUAUGAUUAAUAUUAAAAAAACAGUUUUAAGCAAUUUAUAAAUACAAGUUUUAAUGUUUCUUGUAAUUUCAUCUUGUACUUUCAUAUGUCUUGAAUUUAAGAUUAAAAAAAAAACUCUAAUAGCGAACCAAACACCUCCACAACUUAUUAUUAUUAUUUUAAUUUGUGGUGAGGUUUGAAACAUUCAACUCAAUUUGUACUUAUUACAGAAUUUGAUUCUUUGAGAGAUUUAGAGGAGCUAGACAUUGGCGGGAACAAGAUUGACAAAUUUGUGGUCUCAAAAGGUACUACAAAUACCAUAAAAAAUAUGCUAACUUUUACAAAUUAGUUAGAUUCUUUGCCAUUUGGUUUAUUAUUUUACAGGUUUGAGUAAGUUGAAGUCUCUUGGUUUAAGUGGUAUCAAACUCAAUCGUAGCAUCUUAUCUUCUCUUUCUUCGUUAAGAGAAUUAGAUAUAAGUCGUACGGGAUUCAAAGGAACAUUUGAUGUUCGAGGUAAGCCUAAACCUUGCUUUUCUCAUUUUAUAUAUGCCAACUAGAUUUGUGUAUCAUCGACAUAAUUUAAUAUUUUAAUUUGAUAAGUCUGAAUGAAUUACAUGCUAAUUUAAACACACUUUUAUUUACUUUGUCAAUUAAUUAAUUAAUUAAUUACUAUUUGGCUUGGUUUGGACGAAAUUCUCAUGAUGUUUUAAUUUCUUUAAAUUAAUUAAUUAAUUAACUCUGUUUUUAAGUCUUAAGUCUGGGCAUGUUUGCAGAAUUUGAUUCCUUCAAUAACUUAGAAAGUGUUGGACAUGAGUUGGAACGAAAUCGACAAUCUUGUGGUUCCUCACGGUAAACAAUUAAAAUGUUAUUCAAUUACAUUAUUUUUAAUUCAUUUGAUUAGGGAAGGCCAAAAAGGUAAAAAAAAUAAUAAUAAAGAAACAGAGAAUUUGUAUUAUUUAAAAAACAGAAUGUAAUAAAGAUUUGAUUCUGGUUCUUUAAUCUUUAAAGUGAUUGAAAAACAAUGUUGCUCUUUUCCCAAAGCAUCAAAUACGAAUUGAAUGCCAAUUAACUUAAUCAUUCAUUUCGUUUAGCUCUAAAUUUAGACAAUGAAUUUUUAUAUUAUUUCAAAAACAUGACGUAAUAGAAUUUUUUUAAAAAACAGAUUCUAAUAAAGAUUUGAUUCCAAUUCUUUAAUCUUUACAGUGAUUGAAAAAACGAUACUACUCUUUUCCCAAAGCAUAAAUACGAAUUGACUCCCAAUCAAAUUAAUCAUUUAUUUCGUUCAUCUCUGAAUUUAAAUAAUGAAUUUUGAUCUUCAAUCGUAUUAUAAUUACUAUUAAAGAACAGGUUACAGAGGUUUGAGGAAGUUGAAUCAUCUUGAUCUAUCGGAGUUGGAAUUAGAGAUGGAAGCAAGUUGUUACAGUCAAUGGGAUCAUUCCCAUCCCUCAACACUCUUUACCUUUCGUGGAAUAAUUUUAUCGAUACAGCGACCGCUACUCAAGGUAAGUAAAAGGUACAAAUGUGGCCAAAUUUAUAAAUAAAUUGUUAAUUAAUUAAUUUUUCCGUAUUAUUAAUUAAGCUAAAUUUGUUGCUCCUUCCUUCUAAAUCUAAACAGAGUUGCACAAUUUCACCAACUUGGAAUAUUUGACAUUGGACUUUUCCUCUCUCCAUAUAAGCCUUCUCCAAAGCAUUGCAUCAUUAUUCCCUUCGUUAAAAAAUCUGUCGAUAUCUCAUUGUGAAGUCAAUGGUGUCCUACGCGGUCAAGGUAAAAGAAAAUCGUUGAUUGUGAACUCACUCAAUGGUGUCCUACGUGUUCAACAUUUUUAUUUAUUUAUUGUUUAAUGUUUCUGCUAGGUUUUCCUCAUUUCAAGAGUUUGGAACAUUUGGAUAUGGAUUACACGCGCAUUGCACUCAACACCGGCUUUCUUCAAAUCAUCGGUGAAUCGAUGCCUUCUCUUAAGUACUUAUCACUGUCAAGGUUAAUCUAUAAAUCGAUGCCUUCUCUUGAUCAAGGUUAAUCAGAUGCUCCCACUCUCCCCUCUUAAUCUAUAAUAUUAAUUUUCAAUUCAAUAUUUAAUUACACAAACGAAUCACUUAUUAUAAAAGAAUAAUACGCAUUCAUUAAUUUUUAUAUUGUAUUAAUAAUUGAUGAAUUUAAUAACUUUUCAGGUCUCUGUUCGUUGGUGCAUCUGCAAGUGUUGAACAUUGCAGGCAAUGAUUUAAGAGGUAGCUUGCCUUGGUGCUUGGCAAAUAUGACAUCCCUCCGAAUAUUAGAUGUUUCUUCCAAUCAACUUACUGGAAGCAUCUCCUCAUCUCCCCUCGUUCAUUUGACAUCCAUUGAAGAGCUGAUGCUUUCAGACAAUCACUUCCAGAUCCCAAUUUCACUUGAACCAUUUUUCAAUCACUCACGACUCAAGAUUUUCCAUGCUUACAACAACGAAAUAAAUGCAGAAAUAACUGAGUCACAUUCUUUGACUGCCCCAAACUUCCAAUUAAAAUAUCUCUCAUUGUCUUCCGGUUACGGAGAUGGUGUCACAUUCCCCAAAUUCCUUUACCAUCAACAUGAUCUGGAGACUGUUGACCUCUCACAUAUAAACAUGAGCGGAGAAUUUCCAAAUUGGUUGUUGGAAAACAACACAAACUUAGAAUAUAUUUUUUUGGUUAAUGAUUCUCUUGCAGGACCUUUCCGGUUGCCAAUUCAUUCACACAAGCGGUUAAGACUGUUGGAUAUAUCCAACAACAACAUCAGAGGCCACAUUCCAGUAGAAAUUGGAGAUGUUUUACCGGGUUUAUUUUCUUUAAACAUUUUCAUGAAUGCUUUAGACGGUUGCAUUCCCUCUUCAUUUGGUAAUAUGAAAUUCCUCCAAUUUCUGGACUUAUCCAACAACCAAUUGACUGGUGAAAUCCCUAAGCACUUGGCCGUGGGUUGCGUCAACUUAGAGUCUCUUGCGUUGUCAAACAACAACUUAGAAGGUCAUAUGUUCUCCAGAAACUUCAACCUGACAAACUUGAAAUGGUUACAAUUGGAAAGCAAUCACUUCGUAGGAGAGAUCCCACAAAGUUUGUCUAAAUGCUCCUCACUAAAAGGAUUGUAUCUUAACAAUAAUAGUCUUUCGGGUAAGAUUCCACGAUGGUUGGGUAAUCUCACAUGGUUACAAUAUAUUACAAUGCCCAAUAAUCAUCUUGAAGGUCCUAUUCCAGUGGAGUUUUGUCAGCUUGAAUGGCUUCAGAUUUUGGACAUUUCAGACAACAACAUAUCUGGAAGUUUACCAUCUUGUUUCCAUCUUCUCUCUAUCAAACAAGUUCAUCUUUCAAAAAAUAUGUUACAUGGACAGCUAAAAAGAGGUACAUUCUUUAAUUGCUCUUCCCUUGUGACAUUAGAUCUUAGUUAUAACCGCUUGAAUGGCAGCAUUCCGGAUUGGGUUGAUGGGCUUUCUCGGUUAAGCCACCUUAUCUUGGCUCACAAUAAUCUUAAAGGUGAAGUGCCAGUUCAAUUGUGCAAAUUGAACCAACUACAAUUGUUAGAUCUUUCUAAUAAUAAUCUUCACGGUCCUAUUCCUCUUUGCUUUGAUAACACCACACUUCAUGAAAGUUACAGCAAUAGUUCUAGUCCUGAUGAGCAAUUUGAAAUAUAUGUUUUCAUCGAAGGCCCUCAGGGAGGUGUAGAAAAGAAAAUCCAUGAAAUUUUUGAGUUCACAACAAAGAACAUUGCGUACAUUUACCAAGGAAAAGUGCUUAGCCUCCUAUCAGGACUUGAUCUUUCUUGCAACAAGCUAAUCGGUAUUAUUCCUCCUCAAAUUGGAAAUUUGACAAGGAUUCAAACAUUGAAUCUAUCGCACAACAACUUGACAGGAUCGAUCCCAUCAACAUUUUCAAACUUGAAGCAUGUCGAAAGUUUGGAUCUUUCCAACAACAAAUUGAAUGGGAAAAUCCCUCAUCAACUAGUGGAGUUAAAGACAUUGGAGGUUUUCAGUGUGGCAUACAAUAACUUAUCAGGCGAAAUUCCAGAAUGGAAAGCACAAUUUGCAACCUUCAACGGGAGUAGCUAUGAAGGAAAUACUUUUCUUUGUGGACUGCUAUUGCCCAUUUGCAGAUCACCAGCAACUACGUCGGAGGGUUCAAUUGGCAAUGAACGAGAUGAUAAUUUAAUUGACAUGGACAAUUUCUUUAUCACAUUUACAACAUCGUACGAAAUUGUGAUAUUCGGAAUUGUUAUUGUUUUAUAUGUAAAUUCUUAUUGGCGACGUAGAUGGUUUUACUUUGUUGAAAUGUGGAUAACUUCAUGUUAUUAUUUUAUUGUAGACAAUCUUAUUACAACAAGAUAUUGUCAUUGAAAUUAAUUAGGAGUUUAAUUACGAUUCUUUAAGUUCUAAUCAAGUUUGCUUAGGAAAUAAAUUUAUUUUUAUUUUUUAUUAAAACUGUAGUAGUAUUUAGCUCUAUAUAGCUUCCAACUUCCAAGCACUUCACAUUUGUCUCUACACUUCCAAACCCAUAUCUAUCCACCAUAACUUAUACUUCCCUAUACUGUGCAGCAUACUUAAAUAAGAGAACCAUCUCCAAUGUUAAAACCAGCCACUCUAUAACAUUCAUUUAGAAUAGUUUUAUUAUCAUACACAAGAAAUGAAACACCUAGAUGCACUUGAUCGCCUAUUUUACUUUAAAAAAUAAUGAUUAUGGUGCUAUCAUCAUCUUCUUCACUAGCAACAUUAACACCAAAUCCAGCGAUGGACCCAGACAUUUUAUCAAGAAAGGUAUAUAUAUAAUAAAGUUGAAGCUUGACAAAAAAUUCAGGAAGAUUAAUGCCUCGCCACAACAAGGGGCACAACAACAUCAAAGUAGAGAUGAAGCAAUAUUUUCAAAUCUAAAACUCUCAAAUCCACCCACCAAAAUUUCAUAUCUCCUCAACAAUUUUAAGAACUAAAGAUAAUUAGGAUCUAACAUUAGUUUUUUAUAUAUUAGUUUCAUAAUUUACAAAUCAAUGAAGAUGAAGAUUAUGCUAAUGAAUUCAAAUUAUACCAUAGAUUCUCGAGAUGUUACCAAAAAUUUCUAAGCCAAUCCCACAUAUUUCAUAAUUUUAAGACUAGAAAAUUUCAUUAGUUAGAAGUUUCAUUACCUUCAAGUGGAAGAUGAAGAACAUUAUACAAUUGAUUCAGAUUAUAUCAUACAUACUCCAAAUGCAACUAGAAAUUAACAAGUUCAUGCGCACAGAUUUCAUAACAUUAUGAUUGGAAAGUUUCACAAAGAGAAAUUCUAAAUUCAAUCUCUUGCAUCAAGGUAGUUUGAUUGAUUUGAGUUACUUUCUCAUCAAGCUACUAAUAUAACAUUCAAGUCAGGGAGAAAGUAAAUUAAAACUGGGAAGAAACAACAGUAAAAAUUUGUUGCUAAACAUGAUGUGUAUUUUUUUUUAAGGCAAUUUGGAAACACAGUUGUUACUACAGAUAUUCUCCUCAACUUAGAGAUAAAUACAAAUAUUAAAAUGCAUAUGAUCGCACAUAUUACUUGGAGCUUAGUAAGAUUUCAUUAAGAGAAGCAAUCAAACCACUUAUCAAUUGUUGCAAUCGUUCUAUAAGCUAAAAUAGCAAUAUAAUACAAGAAAAAGAACAUAUAGAUACUUGGCAAGAGUUCAUUAAGAAGUCGCAUCACAUUCGGGUGAGUUUGCUUCUGAUAUCUUGCUAGCUGGGGCUUUUUCUUGUCUUUCUACGUAUGCCGAGGGAAACCAACCAGCUUGGCCCUUGCAUUCACCUUCCGACCAUCCAGUAGGAGCCACCUUGAGAAGUUAUAACUAAAAGUCUAAAACAAUGAAUUAAACAAAAGUUGACCGUUCAAAGACCUAAGGGGAAAACUAAUUCUUUUACGUAGGAGGAGUGAAUUAGUUGUGAUCACUGAAAUAACAGCAUAACUAUGGAAGCAUAACAAGAUAUAAAUUCACACGUCUAUAAGGGUAAACUGGGUGGUUUAGAACUGAGCUAGCAACCCUACUAUAUUCUGAUUUGCACAUCAAUGUAAAAGGGAAUAUAUGGUAGGAAGAAAGAAAACCAACCAUCAGUUGUUAACUCAUUGCUUUUCAAUCAAAAUUUUAAGAACAAAAUGCCAUGUGCUUUGAACAUCAAAUAAGUAUAAGCAUUAGUUCUAAAUUCCACAUAUCAUAAGUUAGAAGGACAAGUCAAUAGCAUAGUAGAAAAAUCUAUGUGUUGUUAUUUAGAGGGGAAAGUACCUGGCGAACCACAACAUAAUCAUCAAUUGAAAGACUUAGCUCUCCAUUUGCUUGAGCAUCAAAUGGAUGUAUAACCUGCAAGAUAAUGGGAUAAAUAGAACUUAAUCUUAAAAAAAGCAUAACAAAAGCAGCAACAGUAGCAGCAGCGUUCAUUGUAACCACUAUGAUCAUGGCCAAUAAAGAUAUAUUACAAACAAAAUUCCAUUUUUACUACGACAUUAAUAUGUACUAUAUGAUAUCAUGACGAUUGGGUUACCAAGAGCUAUCAAAGUCCAAUAAAUUCUGUAUAACUUUAGGUAGUUAUUCAAAUUAUGGAUCAGAUUUUAAAUCCGAAAUUUUGACUGCUCUCCACAAAACAUGGCCUAUGCACAAGAAAGUCAUAGAUAAUGAGGAUUACAAGUGUCUGACAUCUUUUGAGUGAUGGAUUUAACAUGAGAGCUUAUGGUCAGUCAAUUUCCUCUGCCUAGCAAUAUAAGCUUUCUCGGCCAGAUUUAUCAUCAAAUACAUAGAUUGGCCCCAAGUCACAUCCAAAUAAACAUAGUUUUUCUAGGUAAACCAAGUAAGGAGAAUCAUAAUUCAGACAUAAUCAUAAAAAGGCCCAUCUAACUUAAGAGAAAAUCUCAAAAAGAGGGAUGUUGAGCUAUCAGUCUUGUAUCUAUAAGCAAUAUCAAGACUUUACAUCACCUACUACAUCGUGAGUGGCUACACAACUUUCAGUGGUUUGUCUUUCUUUGGCAUGCCUAACUCAGCUUUGAUGUUGCUGAGAUAUUGAUAGUAAAGACACAUGAUACUUCUAGCCCAUGCAUUCUAUCUAGCUCAUCCGACAACUAUCUCUUUUUUAAUUCAUUAGUGUUUGCUAAACCUCAUGCUUAAAAGUCCUAUUCUCCUAAACAAAGCUUCCUAAGAAUGACUUCCUCAGCACCACAUUUGGACACUUUUAGAGCAAUUUUAUUUGGGGGAAAAGAAUUUUCAAGGUGUUAACUAAUAAAUUUUAAAAAAUAAUUACAAUUUGUCCUACAAUUAUAUGACAAUUUAUCUGGGAUGAAAGGAUACAGACAGACAUCUUCCACUUUCAAGACUAAUCACUACUUCCGUAGAUGUUUUGCAAUAAUACAAAUACUUGACCAGAUGGUAGAAAAAAAUUUUAUUGCUCCAAAAUUAAAAUAAGAAUGCAAUAUGUUAAGCAAAAGACUGUGCAACAUCAAAUUAAUUGAUAAGUUUGUAAUUCAGUAAAUUAACAACUUUCAUGGUAAAAUACAACAAAUUUCUUUUCAAAAAAAAAAAAAAAAAUUAAAAGACGGCAUUCAAUUUUUUGGGCAUCUUAUUUCUUAAGAUUUUCCAGGAGGAGGGCACUAGAGGGACUUUCACCUAUGCAAGAGAGCAGAAGCCUUACUUUCGCUAUAAAGUAGACGUCAUUCUGAUUAAUAUGCGUUUGCAAAUCAGCUCCAUUUGAAUCAGUAUUCUGAUAGACACAUGAGGCAUUUACAUCCAUUUCCAAAGUCACAUGUUGCGAGGAGGACUCAUUUGAUUGCUCCUCUAGGAUCAUCUAAUUCAAGUAGCAAGGGUUGGAAGAGAAUAAAAAGUCACAAUUAUUCUUUUGCAUAAGUGAGACGAAAAUGAUAAAUGCAAUAUUAUCAGCAGUAAACAAGAAGAGAACACUCCAAGGAAUAGAUAGAUGCAGACAAGCAAGUUAAAAUGCACAGUUCCAAACCUCCGCAUACAACUUCUCUAAAAUAGCAAUAACGUGUUGAUGAUAUGUUUUCUCAGCAUCUACCUGCAAAGGCCUGAGACCAGGAAAACAACAAUAAAACCACUAGCUAAAGGAGAAAGUAAAGAAAGAAAUACACUUGACAUAAAUCUUGACAAGAAGCACAAUUUAAGACAUAACAAACCCCAAUCAGAUUGUUUAGAACUACCAUUCGUUAUUUCGUUAUUGUAGCAUUUCGAACAAGUGUUGACUUAAUUCAACAUUGUUGGAAAGAUAGGCUUUUAGAAGCGGAAGAAAGCCACUCAAACCAAAGUGAUUGUCCUUGUAUUGAUCAAGGGAUGUAAACAUAUUACAUUUGCAGGAUGAGUUUUAAUCACUCCCCUGAUUUAUUUGGGUUGCAGUAAAACUAAGCGAGCAACUGUUUGACUUUCAAGCAACAUCUAAAUCAGCUAUUAAAAUUCAAAUAAAAUUAUAAUAGAAUAAUAACAGGCCAUCUUGCAUAAAAAAUUAAGUUUAAUUUGUGAAUUUUUUUCUAUAGACAUGUUAGUUCCUGCUAUUGAAAUGUUAAAAGCAUUGAAAAAUUAUUCAAUAAAUUAUGCAAACAUUAAAAUAGAGGACAUAUUAAAAAGUUUCUAAUUACAAUGUUAAGAUUUCCUAUAUUUUAGCAUUUGCAUAUUUUAAUUUAUUUAAAAGUUACGUCAAUCAACUUUGGGCGUGAAGAUUUUAGCUUCUACGAGACUUGAUUGGAAUAUGCAUAAGGAAGAGUGUUAAAAUAUGAUGCAUCCAACGAAAGACAAACCACGUGUAGUCUUUUAAUUAAGCCAAAGUAGCAGCUCAAACAAAUGACACUUGGACCAACAUGCAAUCAUGAAGUGGCCGGUAAAAGGACAAAUGCAACUUUGGCUUAAAUAAAAAAUAACAUGUGACUUGACUUUUGCUGGACAUGCAUCAUGUUAUUACAAGACAACAGAAAUCAGUAUGAUAGUACUAAAAGUUGACAAUAACAUGAAGAUAAGAGGCAGAAUGUCAACACCUGCAUAGGCACACACAAGAAAGUAUUAACAUAUAUACCAUAGCAAAAAGUCUUUGAUAUGUCAUCUGUUGCUGCUGUGAUUCAACUGACAGCAUGGCAGCUGUCGCUUCUCUACCAAGAGCCAUUAUUGUAGAUUUAAGCUCGGUCAAUCUUGCUUCUGCAUUUCGAAGCUUCACAGCACUCUCUGCUGAUAUAUCAGAUUUCCUUAUCUUUGAUCGGUGCCUAAAUACUUCAGCUGCCUGGUGAAAAUAUUCAAUAUAAAUCUAACAUAAUUCUCAUCUUGCCUUAUACAUGCAUAUGUUACCUCAAAGCUUGCCUGGGCUUCAACUUCAUGUCGAAGUUUGUCAUAACGAUGAGUCAGGUGUCGAGCAUCUUCCAAAGGUGCUCCGUUGAUUAACGCCCGUAGUGGCUCAGAUACCUACAUGUCCAAAAACCUGUAACAUAGUUAGAAAAAUGAAAAGAAAGAGCGAAACCUCAAUUAAAAAGUUCCUCCAACAUAAUCAUGGAAUUUGGGCCUACUUCAAGGAUAUAUAUAAGGAUAAUUUAUGCAAUUUUGGGUCUUAGGAUGAUUCAUAUUAGGUUAGUGUUCUUCUCUUCUGUAUUUAAGGUUAAAAUAGAAAUAAACCUAUGCAAAUAUCUAAAUUAGGGCUGUAAGACUUCCACAUGCAUCCUUCAGUCUCAUGGAUUUGAUUUUACUAUAGAUGCAAGUGUCUUUAUCGAAAAUGCUUGGAGUCAAUUGAGAGAACUCACAGCCAAUAACUUGUCACAUGCUAGUCUUUGCUAGUGAUGCAAGAAGUCACAAGGUCUCUUCAACAUUUGAACCAAUAAAAUUAUUAAGUCAUGGAUGUCACUAGCAAUGAUUUCAAUAUAAAACAUUAAAUAUUUCAAGUUGUAACUUUAAAAUGGAUUCUUUUAUUCAAUAUCUUAGAACUAAGUUUCCUUAUGAGAAGAUAAUAGUUUCAGUAGUAAUUUACAUGAAAUUUUCUAUAUUUGAAUUAUUUUCUAGUUAGGGAUGAACUAACCUGAUCAUGAAGAAUCCCAAGCAAAGUUUUCCUCUCAUUUUCCAUCAAAUCAUGUGAAGUGCCAAAUUGAAGAGCAGCUCUUGCAGCGCAAGAAUUGUCACUUUGAUUCUCCACUCCAUACUUGCAACAAUCUUCAGCCAACUUUCUCACUACAAUAUUUGAAUACAAAAAUAUUGUACACAAGAACCAGUCAAGAAAAUAAAAAAAAAAUCAAAUAUUAUAACGAGAGCAAGAGCAAACAAACAACCUAUUUCCAUUUGUUUCAAGCUUACUGCAACAAACCCUUCAACGCCACGGACAAUAUUCCUCUGAAAAUUCUGUGCUACAGAGCAUAUAUUCCAAAUUAUUGUUCAGAUAAAACCAUAGAAACCAUCAUAAUUAUCAACAUACAUUAAGCUCCGUUUGGUAAAUACUUGCAACUUCAGUCUAGAAAAUACAGUUGUUUGUACCAUAUUUGACAAAAUUAUUAUUUAAAAAUCAUAACUAAUUACCAAAAGCCACAAUAAAUCAAUAUCAAACAGAGUCUUAUUAUUAGCUAAAGGAGGAUGGUGCCUUAGCUGCCCUGGUGGAAUUGUAUAGAUUUUAAAGUUGUUGGUGACACUCAAUUUCAGCUUCAUGAACCGCAAUAUUUUCAAUACCAAGAUGGAGCAGAUGCUUCAAUGCUGCCUGUACAAAUCAUAAAAAACUAAUAAAAAUAAAUAAAAUCGAGAAAUUUCACUAACUAAAAGUCUAAAUAUAAUUUUUGAAAAAAGAAAAGAAACGGACUUGCUGCUGCUUGGCGACUUGUUCUCGGUGCUUGAUUGCCUGUUUCUUGAUAGCUUCCAUACUGUUUCUUUCAAAAAGCAACGACGGCUCAGCUCAUGGAGGUGGAAAAAAAAAGUAUGAUCGAGAAAAAUAAAAAGGCAUGAAUAAUUUUUGACAAAAAGCGAAAAAUAAAAAGGCAUGAAUAAUGAAUAAUUUUUGACAAAAAGCUCUUUCCAGAAAAUAAAAAAAGAAAAAAGAAAAAAGAAAAUUAUAAGUUUGAAAGGAGUAGAUGAUAGUGGAAGUGUGCGGUGUGGCUGCCAGCUACUUGAAUUGUAUUGUCGGGUAAGGUAAUAGUAGAGAAUUUUUUUUUUUGAAGAAAAAUGGGUAAUUUUUAAAAACCUCCCCUGAGGUUUGGGCUUGUUGUAAGUAGAUGGCGAGAAUCCAUUUAUUUGUAAAAAACCCCCUACGUUUUUGCUCCGCUUGGUUGCCGUUUGGGCAAUUGUGGGCAUUGUUGACAUUUCGCAAUAAAACAAAUCUUUUGCAACUUUCGUUUCCUUGAGAACAAUAGCUAGAUUUCUCAAUCUGUUUCAUCCAACACUUCAAAAAUUUCAACUUUUAUGAGUUAUUGCAUUCUCUGGCAAAGUAGACUUCUUCUAAUUUUAUCACAGUGCUUUCAGGAACAAGAAUGGGAUCCAUUAACAUCCCCUCAAAUUUUACAGCUUCCUUACAGCUAUACACUGCUGUAACACGAAGUUUAAUGAUUCCAUCGCCAAAUAGUCCCCAAAAUCUAUUCUUCCCCAUAUUGAACAACUUAAGUUCACAACACUUGCAUUCUAAAGGCUUCCCACUAACAUCUAAUAUCUCAAGACUCAACGUUGCUUUACAAUAAUUGUUAUUACUACCAAACAAACAUGAAGAAACCCCGAUUAUCGGAUAAAUCAACCCAAAAUGAACAAGAGAAGAACCCAAAACAAGUGAAUCGCUAGAGCAAAACCCCCAACCCAUAUCCCUAAUCCCACACUCAAAAAAACCCAAUUUCUCUCCAAAGUCAUUGACACUAGCAUCACUACUAGACUCUAAUUCCAAUCCUAGAUUACAUUUAAUGUUAACCCAACUAAAAUGAAUGUUCUUACUACAAUACGCAUCGUUUACACUCUCAAACAACGCGCUGAACUUACUCUUAAACGAUCCCACAUUGGUCAAACACUCAUCACUCACAUCGACAUCCAAGAAUUCACUCAAAAACUUCAUAGACUCGACAAUUGGAGAAAACAAAACCACUAAACUCAACUUUAUACAAGCAUACCCAUCGAGAAUCUUACCGUCAUUAACCGAAUCACAACAAAUCACCGGGUCCCACGCGCAGUCGUGAACGAGCUUACGCAUGGACGGGGCAACAUUUAACCCCCGCGGCAAAAACGACGAAGCUUUGGAAAAAUUGUGUUUUAGAGCUGGGUUGAGGAGUAGAGAUUGGAGAGAUUGGAAGGUGGAAUCGGGACGGUCAAAGGAUAGAGAGAGAGAAGGGAAGGGGAUCUUUAAAAGAGAAGUGGGGAGAGGGAGGAGAAGAAGGAUUUGAAAGAGAAAAGAGAGGAACGGAGAGGCGGGAAUGAGAUUAAGGUUUUCACUGCAACUAAAAGAGUAAUCAUGUAUGGCUCUUGGUCUUGGAGAUGAAGGAGAGGAUUCAGGUCGAUUAAGAGGACUAUACGCUGCAUUUUGGUGUAGUCUGCCGCCAUUGGUAGAAGUUUCGAAGUGGGUUUCUGUUUAGAUCCGAGUUUGACGAAGAAACGUGGUGGUUGCGCUUGGGACAAUAUUGUUUUUGCACUGGUCAAUGUAGAAAUUAAACGACGGUAGGGUGUUUUUUUAUAAAUAAAUGAAUUCUCGCCAUUUAUAACAAGCCGAAACCUCAAAAGAAGAUUUUAAAAAUUACCCGAAGAUUCGAAAAAUAGUAGAGAAUUUUUUAAAAAGCUAGAACAGAGCAUGCUAGACUUUUGUGGACCAAAUUCAAAAGCCGAAGGGCACGGCCCAAAAGCUUUUGAAUACAAUAACUUACUAGAAAGCUCCAUUUUUUGUUGGCUACAGUAAAAGUAUGUUGUUUUAUGCUUCUUAUAUGUUACGCUUGCAUCAGCCUCAAUCACUUCUUAAUCGCUUGCUUUAACUGCAUCGCUCUCUGUGUACUCUUCUACACAUGUAACGGUUAUGCGGUUGUAGUUCACGGCUGAGGCUACGUGUUGGUUUGACGCGGCAGUUACGUUACGACAUUACGAGUCUGUUAAACAUUCGGUGAUAGAGCAUUAUUAGUUAUUUUAAGGGGACAAAUAAGAUUGGUUGCAAUAAACCCACUAAUUUUAUAAAAUUCGAGUAAUAUAGAAUAAAAUAAAAAAAUAAAUACAAAAUUGGCUUUUAUUUUUUAUGGUUGACUGUAUUUUGUGUUCUCUUCCGGCACUACUACAAUUGUUCCCUAUAUAUCAGUCACACCCAUAUAUCAUCAAUACAAGAAAUGAAAUCUAAUGUCACCUAUUUAGUUAAAGAAUUACUCAUGAAAAAAUUUUACCAUUUUACUUUGAGGAUCCAUAUUUUGAACUGCAAGCUAAUGUUCAUCAAGAAUCACUAAUGUUCAUAAAAAACAGAGCAUGGCCGUUGAGUAGAAAAACUAUUUUUGGACAAAUUAUUUUUGUUGAUAGAAGAAUUUCUUAAGGGGCUCAUAAGGCCAAUGAUGUUUCUACUGCUGGUGGUUUGAUUCGCGAUUAUUCGGGUCGUUGGUUGACUGGUUUUGGGUUGAUGCUUGGUUCCUGUUCUGUUACAAUGGCUGAGCUUAGAGGCAUUUAUCAGGGGCUUAUCUUGGCUUGGAAUUUUGGCAUUCGGUGGCUGCAUGUGGAAACUGAUAGCUUAUGUGCAACUCAAAUGUUGGCUAACCAGGUGGAGACUACUAAUGAAUAUGCGUCCCUCAUUUUUGCCAUCAAGGAGUAUCUCCAGAAAAAGGAUUGGCAGGUUUCUAUUUCUCAUGUGUACAGAGAGGCAAACUCGGCUGCUGAUUUUAUGGCGAACCUUGCUUGUUCUUUGCCUCUUGGGCUUAUGGUGUACCCUAGUCCCCCGCUCGGGUUUUCAUCCAUUCUUUUGUAUGAUUCUUACGGGGUUGCGACUCCGCGUUCGGUUGUUUUUUAGCUCUUAAUUGAGCCCCAAUUGAUCAAAAAAAAAAUAUUAUGAAUAACAAUGUAGAACACACCCACAUAUCAUCAACACAAUUGACUUUAAGGAUCCAUGCUUUGAAUUGCCACCUAAUGUUCAUCAAGAACAGAGUAUGCCUUGUGAGUAGAAAAUUUUAUGAUUUUGGUCCGAAAUAAAAAGAAAUUAAAUUAGAUGAGAAUCUGCCACUUUCUCAUAAAGAAAGGCAUACGGAGCAUACCAUGGUACCAUACAAUACAAAGAGUCUCUAUUCUCUGGUUUUUCAAACUCUGAAGGGGCCAAUAUUCCCGAAUUCCCCCUUGAAAAUUCUGAUUACGACAUUAUUCAAUUCUUGACACAAUCAAAGUAGCGACAAAGUUAAGAAAAAUAUGAGUCCUAAGUAAUGGCUAGGUAGGGUUCUUGAGAGCAAAAUUGUCCUAAGCAUUAUAUGCAUACAUGGUGUGGUACAUAGAGCACGUUGAAUUCCACACUAUAACACAAACCCAGAAAGACAAGUAAUAACUCAACUGAUAUAAAGACAAAAAGAAGAUAAAAUGAUAUAGAAAAAAGAAUUUCAAAGAGACAGCAACAUACGAUAGACUGAAGCCACUUGAUCUGCUCACUGAUUGCAGCCUUAAACUUACAAAUAGUUACUGUACGCUAGUGCUCUAAGAAGUGAAAAUGAUAAGAGACCUGAUUCCCUUUUGACUUCCAUUUACUGUCAAACAUUCUAGUAAUACAAAAAAUUGUUUAGAUAUCUUGCUAUAAAUAUAGUCGUUUGACUGUCAUAAUAAAGUCACAAAUAACCAUUCAUAUUGAUCCACUGUCACACAGCAUGCUUUAUGCAUACAACAUCUGCAUGUAUACCAACUCCUAACCUUAUCAAUACAUUUGGCAAAAACUUAAGAAGAAAACUAUUUCUCCAUCUCUUUUUUGAAAUUUCACAAUAAACCAGCACAUUGUGAAAGCUAUGUUCUAAUCUUAUGAUAAAUGCUCUAGACUCCAAAAGGAUUUUAUAUAUGAGAGUUUGUUGCAGCAGAUAUAUUGACUUAUCAAGUAUGAAUCAUUGUCUGGAUGAACUAUCUUUAAAUAAAAGAAUAUUAGAACCACUGUAGAAUAUCUUUACGCUGCUGGUUCUAACAGGAAUCUGCAUGUGGCAACAAUUGCUAGAUCCACAAUUCCCCAACUUGAAAUACAUAGUUGCACACCGUGAGAUAGUGCUGCAAUCUACUGAGAUCUAACUUAUUUGAUACUUUAAGCUACUAAUGUUUGCAUAUUUCUACAUGUUAAAUUGACACUACCAUCUAUAAUCACCCCAAAACGACAAAUGAUAAGCAGCUUUUGGCCACUUAUUAAUUACUAGCAUCCACAACACAAUUAUAAAUAAGAGAUCAUGGGUUUACUUGUUGCAACUACUUAAUGAUCUGCAUUUGAGACCCUGACGCAAGGUUUAAAUAGUGACUGCUUAGAACCCUUGUAGUUGGAUCUUGACCUCUCCCAUUGUAGCCAAGAUUGGCUACUCUGGUAAUGAAUCAACACUCUCCUGCUUAUUUUUUUGUUUUUAAAAAAUAACGAAAUCAUAAAAUAAAUAAACACGUGUUUGGUUUUGGGCAUUUUCUUUUGUUCAUUUAAUAUCAUCUGGCUCCCUGAUUUUUGACUAAUUAACAACGGAAUCCUGUUAGUUUCUAAAUUGAAAUAAUAAAAGGUCUUGAGAUUAUUUACUCCAUUUAGCACUGUAGACUUAGAGUAUAUUGAAAAAGCUUUGUCAAAUAGUAGUAAUAGGGGCAUAAUAAAUAAGUUUUUCAGAAUUUACAUAAUGUACUUUGCUCUAGGAAGAUUGCCCUCUUAUCACUCAAGUUAGGUUUUGCCUUAGAGUUGAGGUAAAUCAUUAAAAUAAAUUAUAGCUAUCACAAAUUCGUUAGGAGAAUUUCAAUUUUUUUUCCAUUAAAUGGCUAUGAUGCAAAAUUACCUCAGCUUAUAUUGCAACACUAAUACUUCAAAUCCUAACAAUAAAAUUGAUGACAAUGGUUUUUAUGUAUAGUAAUUUUCACUCUUUUGUUUGAUCUAAAAGUAGUUCUUAAAAUGACAAUGAUGACUUAUUUAGAAGAAAUGGCAAACUUAUAGUUUGUAAUAUUGUUUGCACAAACAAUAAAGACUAAUUUGAUAAUAAUGAAGUGUUAAUUACUAUUUAACAUUUUUAAUUAAUUUUUAAAUUUAAAAAAAAAUGAAGGCCGAAACUUGUGCAUUAAAUUUUAAUUAAAAGUUGAUUGCUUCGAAGGUUGGAUCGUGACAAAUUGACAAUUGAAAAAAGAAGUAGGGAAUAUAUAUUCUGAUGAAAGGGACAAGAUUAAGCAAGGGGACAAUAUUGUCUAUUGGACCUACAAAUGGGGGCAAAGAUAUAUAUAUUCCAAAAUUUCUUAUUUGUGGAUUGGCCACCACGUGUAACUAAUAUAAAAAGAGAAAAUUUGGCAUGGUUUUAACCGAUAUAAGGGUCCGUUUGGGAUUGAGGUGCUGUAGCUUUUAAGCUAUAGCUGCUGUGGAAAAAAAAAACUGUAAGUAUUAAAUAAAAGUUAAUAAUAUAUAGUAAAUAUAAAUUUUAAAUAAUAAUUUUGAUGAAAUUAUUAAAGAUAUAAUAGAUUUUCUAUUAUACAAAUGAAAAUUCAUAUCAACAUAGCUUAAAAGUUACAGCAGUUAGUGUUUACCAAACACUUUAGUGCUGUAGCUUUUAAGCUACAGCUGCCCAACCUCAAUCCCAAACGCACCCUAAGAAGAGAAAAUUUUGAGUGUAUAAGAAGAGAAAAUUUUGAGUGCACAACAAGAACAAAGCAAAACCCAUGAAAAUUCACCUUUCAUGUGGGUUGGAUUGGAUAAAAUCAAUAUCUUGAAUCAAACAAAAUGUUUGGUACUUGAAGGUUUUUUUAACAUUUUCAUUUUUUUUUCCAUUUAUGAAGUCCAUUUUUUUUUUAAUUUUGAUUUUUUUGAAUGAUUUUGCAGGUGUUGAUAUAAGGUCAUCAAAAGUUUGUGAACUUGGGGUGUUGAAUUAUAAGGCGAAGCGUGUGUUUUAUCCAUUUGAAGCAAGUAAAUUUCGCUGUCGGUAUGAUUACUAUUGGGCUUCUAUCUUCAAGGUAUUCAUACAUUUUCCCCUGUACUAUAAGCUUCUUAGUGGCGGUCUUGUGAGCGGAAGUGAGCAGUGUGGCUGACAGCUUCUUGAAAAUUAUAAGUUUGAACAGAGCAUGUUAGACUUUUGUUGACCAAAUUCGAAAGCCAAAUGGCACAGCUCAGAAGCUUUUGAAUUGAAUAACUUACUAGAAAGCUCCAAUUUUUUGUUGGCUAUAGUAAAAAGAGGUUGUUUUAUUCUUCUUAUACUUUACACUUGCAUCAGCUUAAAUCACUUCUUAAACGCUUUGCUUUAACUCCACCGCUUCGUACUGUUCUAUAUAUGUAUCGGGUAUGCGGUUGUAGUUCACUGCUGAGACUACGUGUUUGUUUAACGUGGAAGUUACGUUACGAGUCUGUUAAAACAUUCGGUGAUUAAAGUAUUAUCAGUUAUUUCAAAGGGACAAAUAAGAUUAGCUACAACACACACUAGUUUUAUAAAAUUCGAAUGAGAUGGAAUAAAAUAAAUAAGUAAAUUGACUUUUAAUUUAGUGCUUGAAUAUAUUUUGUAUUCUCUUUGGGCACUGCUGUAAUUGUUCCUUAUCACACCCAUAUGUUAUAGACACAAGAAAUGAAAUUUAAGAUCACCUGUUUAAUUAAAGAAUCACUCAUGAAAAAAUUUUGCCAUUUUGAUUUGAGGAUCCACAUUUUGAACAACCAACUUAUGUUCAUUAAGAACAAAGCAUUGCCUGUGAGUAGAAAAAUGAUUUUUGAACAAAUUAUUUUUUGUUUAUAGAAGAAUUUCUCAAGGGACUAUUAAAAUUACUAAUAAAAAUGUCAGACACACCCAUGUACCAUCGACAAAAUUAACUAUGAGGAUCCAUGUUUUGAACUGCCACCGAAUGUUCAUCAAGAACAUAGUAUAACUUGUGACAAGAAAAUUUUUUGAUUUUGGCCUGGAACAAAAUGAAAUUAAAUUGAAGGAGAAUCUACUACUUUCUCAUUAAGAAAGGCAGACGGGGCAUACCAUGGUACCAUACAAUACAAAAAGUUUCUGUUCUCUGGCUUUUCAAACUCUGAAGGGGGCAAUAUUCCCCAAUUGCCUUGUGAAAAUUCUGAUUACGACAUUAUUCAUCGCUUGAUACAUAAGUAAAAGUAGUGAUAAAAUUAGAAAAAAUAUGACUUAUAAGUAAUUACUUGGCAGGGCUCUUGAGAGCAACAUUGUGCUAGGCUUUAUAUGCAUACAUUGUGUGGUACAUUCUACACUAUAACACAAACCCAGAAAGACAAGUAAUAUCUCAACUUAUAUAAAGACAAAAAGAAGAUAAAACGAUACAGAACAAAAAAUUUCAAAGAGACAGCAACAUACAAUAGACUGAAGCCAGUUGAUCUGCUCGUUGAUUGCAGCCUUAAACUUGCAAAUGUUUACUGUAGCCUGGUGCUCUAAGAAGUGAAAGUGAUGCAAACCUUGAUUCCCUGUUUACUUCCAUUUACUGUCAAACAUUCUAUUCAUACGAAAAAAAUUGUUUAGAUAUCUUGCCGUAAAUAUAGCCAUUUGAUUGUCUUAACAAAGCCACACACAACCAUUCAUAUUGAUCCACUGCCCUUGAUCUUGAACAGAUCAAUACAAUACGCACAACUUAUGAUUGAAUCCAGAAACAAUCAAAUCUUUAGCAAGAAAAAUUAAUCAGAAUCAAGAAACAAGUUCAAUGAAUAUAAACCUAUAAUUGGAACAAACACAGCCAAAGAACCCAAGAAUGACACAACCUACACCACGGGAGAAGUUUUCCAGUGAGAUUUUAUUGAUGAUCAAAGAAGAAUCUUUUUACAAAGCUAACAAAAGAGAUUUCAGAGAAUAAGCUAUGACUCUCUCUCUUCAAUCUCUCUCUAGUUUGUUCACAGUGAUGACCCCAAUCUGCUUCGUUAGCCAGCUUCAUAACUGCGUUAGUGACAAACUAGCAAACCCAGAUUGAGCAGAUUACCGACACGUGGAUAACGGCUAUUAAGAACUUAGUUAAAGAACUGCUCACAUAUUCGUCAUGCGUGUUACUUAAAUGAUGGCCAAAACGACUUCAACCAGAUGCCGUUUUGAAGCUUGUGAAUUAUAAUUGAAAACACGUGCUUGUCUCGUGACACUUACAUACAACAACAAGCCCAAAACACUGCCGUUUCACUUUGUUGAGUUUGCCAUCUCUAAGCUUCACAACUAGCAACGGAGAAGAUGAUAAUUAAAUUGACAUGGAGAGUUUUUAUAUCACUUUUACAACAUUCUAUAUAAUUGUGAUAUUGGGAAUCGUCGGUGUUGUAUAUGUGAACUCUCGUUGGCGACACUGGUAGUUUUAUUUUUGUUGAAAUAUGGAUGACAUUUCGUUACUAUUUUAUUGUACACAACAUUUUGUUACUAUUAACAUGUUAGUUUCAUUAGCCACUAGGCCUUUGGCUGAGUCGUUCGGGUGUCUGCCCUCCAACUUGGAGGGCAGCAAUUUGAACCCCCACAAGCGCAAUGUUGGGUAUUUCUUUCUUUAAUCUCUCGAAUAUUAGUGAAUGUUAAAAUCUAGGCAGAACUCCAUAAGUAUUGAUGUAAGUUGGUUUCAGUAAUAGUUUAAUUUGUAAAUAUCAGUUAUAAUCUCAUGUAAGAUGAGUUGUAAUUUGAGCAAUAGUCUCAUAGAAUAAUAAUAAUAAUAAACAUGUUAGCUUCAUUACAUUUUUCUUCAUUAAAAUUCUCAAGUAUUAGUCAGGUUUGCUAAAGUAAUAAAAUUUUGCCAUUAAAAUUGUAGUAGUAUUUCUGAGCACCUCACAUUUUCAAUGAUUUUUCAUAAAUCAAUUAAUCUGUCGUACCGAUAUCAGGUUUAGUUUUUCAUACUAAACAAUCAAGAAAGCAAACAUACAAAUUCACAGUUUAGAGGGGUAAACUAGGUAGGUGGUUUAGAUUUUAGAACUAGGCUAGCUACCCCACUAAAUUCCAAUUUGUAUAGUGAACUACAAGAAAUUGAGAAAACAGUGUAUUUAUAGUUUAAUUGAAUCGUGAGAAAGCAAUGUAGUCAUAGCUCAAUCUGAGAUGAUCACGGAGAGGCAUAUUCUUUUCAAGUUAAUUUGAUCAAUUUAUAAGAGAUGAAGUGGAUUGAAGUUAAAAGUUUAAAUAACAAAUCCUUGUUCUUGAGUUUUACGACGUCGUUACUCCUUCAAGAGGCAGAUUAUUUAUGCAAGUGAAUGCAGAAACGCAAUGCAUCAUCCACGGGGAUGGUACACCAAAAGGCGGGAUCAUAGUCUAUGCCCGCAGAUUAACAAUUUCGCUCAUAUAGAAAAUUAAUUUUUUAUAUAUACUAAUCAAUACUAAAUUGAUUAUGUUUUGUAUGUUUAUAUGCGAAUCAACACUAAAUUAUAUUAAAUGAAGAAAUAAUUCAAUUUUUUCUAAUUUAAUUUAGAAAAUAAAAUUAUUAACAUUAAUAUUCCCAAAAAAAAUUAUUUUCCAUUAGUAUUCAAAGUCUUCACUUAUGGAAAAUGUGUUUUACAUGAAUAUUAGUUACCGUGUAAAUUUGAAUGAUAGUGAAAAAUAAUUUUUUAAUUAUUGUAAAAAUAAUUAACCAUAUCAAAUCCCUUACGUAAAUAAUUUUUAUUUUUCAAAAAGGUAGAAAGAUGGUUAAUGCACAAGCAAAUUUUAAGCCCCUCUCUUCUUGGCCUAAGAUUCAAACUCAGAUGACUAGUUAAAAAAACCUAUGUGAAAAUCAUUCGGCCAGGUCUGCGGGGCAAAAAUACAAGAUCCUUAAUUUCAUAAUAUAUAUGAAUUAAUGUCAUUUACUUGAAUUAUCCAAAUUCAUCAGAGGUUAUCGAAUUUUCCUGACAUGUAGCAGAUGAAGUUGUUGCUUCCUUCUUGGCAUUAUUUCAGCUCUGGUUGUUGGUCCCGAUGAGCUUUAGUCUUAUUUUAAUUUUAUUUAAACUCAUCAUAAGAUUCGUGAAGCACCUAACUGACUUAACUGACUGUGCAGAAAUGUCACAUAGCAUAUUUAACCGUUUUAACAGUAAUUUUGAACGGUCUUCGCAGUUAUCAUCUACAAACUCGUUCGUGUUGGUCCACUAGGUGAAGUUUUUGAAAUAAUAAUAAGCUCCCAUUCUUGAUUUUAAAAAAUGUGCUUAUAAUAAUUUUAGAAUAAUGGCUUAUUUAUAGAACAACUUAUGAUUUCCCAUUAGCAUUAUUAUUGAAGUGGGGUGGGUAACGGUUCACUCAAUUCGUCGGGAAUAAAAAAUUACCAUCCAAGGCAGAAUUGUGGAAAAUUAAAGCGAAAUGAGAAAUAUGGAAAUGAAGGAAGAAAGUUAAGGCAUGAAAGACUUCCAGUUGAAAUUGAUAAUCAUGUUUCUAUUUUGGUAACUAAUCAAAUGGGAAACUGAACCAUAAACAAACAUUAAAACGUGUGGACUCCGCUAGCUGCCUUACAAGCCUACAAUAAUAACUGAGUACCUUUGAUUCAUCCUUCUAUGAAUUUCUAGCCGUAUUGACUCCACCGAAAUUUCCACAAAAAAAAUAAAAAAAGAAUUUCCACAAAAUGCAAAAUGCAUGGCACUUAAUUUUUGGCCCCGUGAUCACUAAGAUACAAUCCUUCUAGGGAAGAGCAAUCAGGCAAAUUUUUUUAAAUCUCUCCGACAAAGUGAUUACCAUCUAAUCGCAACAUUGAAUAAAAAUAAAAAUUUUAAUGGGAGUUUGACCUUAGAUUUAGAAAAUGAAUUUUCACUUUCUUCAAUUAUUAAACAGAUUACAGACAUUUGAGGAAUUUGAAAACACUUUAUCCAUCGAAAGUUAAAAUUAGAGAUGGAAGCUAGGUGCUUCAACUAAUGGGAUCAUUAAUUCCCCUCCCUCAAAUGUGUAGUUGUUCCUCUUUCCACAGCAUAAGCCUUAUAGUUAGAGUUUCUUUUAAAAAAAAUGUUAAACAAUUUCGGUUGAGCAUGGUUUUGGUAGUUGAAUAGACACCUCCGCCGUACCUCAAACAAAACUGUCAUUAUUCGUGUCAUGAAACAUGUUUCGGCCGUCAAAGUCAUGAGUAGGAGUGGGCAUGGGUUGGUUUGGGUUAGGUUUUAAGUCAAUUCAAACCAAAUCAUAAAAAUUUGGGUUAAACCCAAACUAACCCAAAUAUUUUUAACCCAACCCAAACCAACCUAUUUCCUUCUGGUAUCAGAGCCAAGGGGAGGAAAGUGUUUUAUUGUUUUGAGUUUUUGUGUUCUAAAAUCUUGUGUUUUAUUUUGCCACCAGAAAGUAUCCCAUGUUUAUAUCUUGUUAAUCCUACAUUACCUAAAAUUGUUGAGACUGAUGCAUCUGAUUUAGGUUAUGGAGGCAUAUUAAAGCAAAAGGAAAAUGAUAAUGAAUAGAUAGUACAAUAUGUUUCUGCACACUGAAAUUUUGUAAUGCAUAAAACAAUGGAAAGGAUUUCUUUUUUGAUAGUAGAAUAAUUUUUCUGACAAUCAUUCCAGUGUGCAGAAACAUAUUGUACUAUCUGUUCAUUAUCAUUUUCCUUUUGCUUUAAUAUGCCUCCAUAACCUAAAUCAGAUGCAUCAGUCUCAACAAUUUUAGGUAAUGUAGGAUUAGCAAGAUAUAAACAUGGGAUACUUUUUACAGAAUUCUUUAUUAAUCUAACAACUUUUGUAUGUUCAUCUGUCCAAGGAGUAGGUUUCUUUUUUAAUCUGUCAUGCAAAGGCUUAGACAUUCUAUUAAUAUUAGGGCAGAAGUCAAGAACAUAAUUCAAACUGCCAAGAAAUCUCUGUAAUUGGGUUUUGUCAAGAAUUUUAUCAGGAAAUUUAUCGGCAAACAAAAGAGAUCUCUCGAUUGGAGUGAUUGUUCCUUUAGUAAUAUGAUGACCAAGGAAUCUGACUUUUGUUUGAAAUAAAGAAACUUUAGAACUGGAAAUUGCCAAUCCAGCCUUUUUGGUGGCAAAAUAAAAAGUCUUUAAAUGUUUGAAAUGUUGAUCGAUAGAAUUUGAAAAUAUUAAUACGUCAUCAAUAUAAACAAUGCAAAAAUCAGAAUAAGGAUUAUAAAUAUCAUUAAUAAUUUUUUGAAAUUCUGAGGGUGCAUUCUUUAAACCAAAGGGCAUAACAGUCCACUCAUACUGUCCAAAUGGAACAGUAAAAGCAGUUUUGUAACGGUCAUUAGGAUGAAUUUGAAUUUGCCAAAAACCAGAUUUCAUGUCAAAUUUUGAGAAAAUAAGAGCAGAACAUAAUUUUUGAAGCAAAUCCUUUUUAUUAGGUAUGGGAUACCUAAUCCAUUUUAAAGCUUUGUUUAAAGGUUUGUAAUUUAUUACAAGUCUUGGUAUGCCUCUCUCAAGUUCAGAAUUUUUGUUCACAUAAAAAGCAGCACAAGACCACGGGGAUCUAGAUUUUACAAUAAGUCCUUUGGACUCUAAAUCCUUGAUUUCAUUUUUACAAUGUUGUUCCAAUUCCAUGUUCAUUUGGAUUGGACGGGCUUUAGUGGGGAUCUGUCUUUCAUCAAAAGAAUUUUCAUAGGGUAGAUCUACCACGUGUUGUUUUCUGUUCCAAAAUGCAGAAGGUAGAUCAGCACAAAUUUCUUUUUCAAUGAGAAUUUUGAAAUCAGAAAUUUUUCUUUUAAUGAAAUCACUUUGUAAUUGGCUUUCAAUUCUUUGUAGGUUCAAAUCUUUUUGUAAAAACAUUAGAUCACACUGUUUUGAUUUAAGUAAAUUAUUUAUCCUGUUUUGAUAAACAGAACAGGCUUUAACAAUAUUCAAAUUUCUUGUUUUAGGCUUUUCAAUAAAAGGGAAAACAAGUUUCUUGUUUUUUGCUUUGAAGGAUAUACUAUCAUAAUUGACAGUAUAUGGAGUUAUAAGAUUUAUAAAAGGAGUUCCCAAAAUGAUGGCAUGAUGAAUAUCAUUUGUGAGAACAAAAGAAGUUUUAAAAUCAAAACCAUUAUUAUGGAUUGAGGCUUCAACCUUAGAACUGACAUUCAGUUUUGAAUUAUUAGCGGCAGAAAGUCUUUCUUUUGUCUUUUCAUGAAAUCUUUUGGGGACGAUGUCUUCUCUAAUGCAAUUUAAAUCGGCGCCAGUAUCAAAAAGGGCAAUGGCGUCCAUUGCAAAAUCAUCAGAAAAGAUUAAAGUGACUUUAAUCAAAUACUUUCUUGUGGUGAUUUGCUUUAAAACAAAUAGAAAAUCAUUGGGUACAGACUCGAUGUUUUCUACUUUAAUAUCAUCACCAUCAUCAGGAUUAGAUUCAUUGUCUGAAUUAUCCUGCAAUUGUUUUUGUAAAAGAAGUUGGAUAGUAUCAGAAUCACUUUUUUGUUUUUCUUUUAAAUCUCUGAUUUCACAUUUGAUUUCUUUUAUCUCUUUCUGAAGAUCUUGGAUAUUAGGAACCGUCUUCUUUUUUUUCUUUUUAUCCAAAAUUUGAGUAAGAUCAUAAGAAUUCUUUUUAACAAUUGGGACUUUAGAAGUCUCAGCUUUAUUAAAAUCCAAAGUUUUCAAAAGUUUAUCAAGAUAUUCUUUUUGAAGAUUCGGAUCAGAAAUAUGCUUUACAAGUUCAAGAAAAGUUUCUUGGUCUUUAGUCAAAACAUUGAUUUUCUUUAAAAAUGAAUCAGAUUCAGAUUCACUGCUGCUAGAUGCAGAGUCAUCUGAGUCAAUUAGCUCAUCAACUUGAUUAGGGUCACUGUCUCCCGACAUGGAAGACUCAGAAUCAGAAGACUCGAUUAGAAGAGGGGCUAAUUUGGAAAGGAUCUCUUCAUCGAGGUCAAGCUCAUGAAGCUUUUUGUUCAUUCUGCAAUAUUUUGCAGUAUGACCUUUUAUGCCACACUUAUGACAUAUAGCUUCUUUGUAAUUGAAAGGAGUCUUUGGUUUGGCUUUAAACUCUUUUUUAGAGAAUUUGGGUUUCUUAUAAGGCCUCGAAGGUUUCUUAUAAGGAAGUUCUCUAAAAUUACGAAAAGGUUUCCUAAAAUGUUUAGAUUUGUAAUGUUUCCUGCGAGGUUUAGUAGAACACUCACAAUUACAAUCUUUGGAGAUAGAAGUUUUAAAGGGGUCAUAAUUGAAUUGUUUACAGAAACCGCCUAAUUCUUGUUUAGACUUCUUAAGCUCCCACUUAAGUCGUUUCUGUAGUUUCAAAUCUUGACAAAUCUUUAAACCUUCCUUAUUGACAAAACUGACAAGUUCGCCAUAAGUGAGCUCAUCAUAAGGAAUACGGUUAUCAUAAAGGGCUUUAAUAGAAUUUCUUACCUUUUCACCUAGAAGGGUAGGUAAUCCAGCAAAAAAUUUUUCUUUCCAAGUAGUAUGAUUUGCAUCAUCCCUUAGAAAUAGUCUGGUAAGAAAUGAGGUUUUGUAGCUCUGAAAUUCACUAAGUUUCCUACAUCUUAAAUUAUGUAGUAACUCAGCGUUUUUAUCACGAAAGUGUGAAGGGUCACCAAUGAAAUGGAGGGAAAUGGUUAAAAUUAGAGUAGCAACAGCAUCCUGAAUAGGGUUGUUGAACUCAUCAAAAAUAGGGGCUCCAUUUUCAUCGACUUGAAUGGAAUUUAGAAUGUCUAAUUGUUGCUGACUAGUGAGAAGAUGAUCCCACCAACCUUUGAGUUGACCAGUAAAACCGGCAAUGAGGAUUUCUGAUAUGGCACGAUCAGAAGUUCCUGCUUGGGUUUUAUAGGCAUUGGCUGCCAUUGUCAUUUGUUGCAACAAUCCUAGGAUAUUGUAUUCGGACAUACCGUCAAUAUUCCACUCAUAGACUGAAGAUGCAUUAUAUCGGGAUUGAUUUAAUGCACUUGGUCUAUUAUCUAUCGCUAGAUCCGGUGGAGUCUUGACAGUGGGAAGGGCUAAUUCCCAAUGAAUUUUGUUUGCCUUAGGAGUGGGUUCCUCUUGGAAAGCAUCAACGUCCGAAGAGGCUAUAGAAGUUUGGUCAUCUUGUUCUAAUACUCCAAUCUUGCUAGAUUGGGGAGUAUCAGGGGCUAUCUGAAUUUUGCUAGAUGAGGAAGAAGCAGCUUCUAUCCUAUCUAGUUGUUCUCUAAUGGCUUUAGCAAAAUCUGAUUUUGACUCUUGAACAAGCUUUUGGCUAGUUUUCGAAACCUGAAAAGGUUUGAAAAUAGGUUUCUUAAGCUUUUUGUCAGAAUCCGAUUUUGUUGGAAUAGGAGAGAUUGAUGGAACAGUAAUGGUUGACUUCUGGAUUUGGUUUUCUAUCCUAGUCAACUGUUUUCCAAUUGUAUUUAAGUUAGUAUUACAGAAAUUAUUCUGUUGGAUAAUACUACUUAAAUUUGCCUCGGAAUCAUUUGGUUUUGGGAUUUUGUAAGGUGAAGCUCGGAUUUGGACAGGAGGUUCACCGUGAUCAACGGUUAUACUCCGAAGAGGUGGGUGUUCAGACUCUAUAGUUCUAUCACUAUCAAGAAGUUUCCAUUCAGGGACUUUCUUCCUAAUAGUAAUAGGGUUUGACUCUUUAAAAUGAUAAGAGAUGUUGUUAUCGGAAGAAUAUAUCUCAAACCAAUCAAAAAACAAUAUAUGAAUUUUAUGAAAAUUCACAAAUUCAUAGUAAGUUUGUUGGAUUUCUUUUCUUUGGUUUAAAAAGUGUUGAAAAACCAAAGUCUUUUUUCUUUGUUUAAAUCAGAAUAAAAAUCAUUAUGCAGAAAAGUUUUAUCUAAUUCAAAUUCUUUUUCAAUGACAUUAAUGACAUUUUCUGUAACAGCAGAAAAUGUAGGGGAAGUUGGAGGAGAAGGUUCCUUCUCUUCCUGACUUUGUAAAUGUUGAUUACUAGUGUAGAUUGGAUGAGGAACACUAGUGGUGUAAUCAACUGAUCGAAUGGAGGUACCUGUAGCUAAACCAACCUAUUUGGAUUUGGGUUUGGUUUGAAUUUUAUAAUUAAAAUAUUUUUUAUUUUAAUAAAUUUAACUAUAUCAAAUUAUAAUAAUUAUUAAUUAAUAUUAAUUAUUAAAUUAAUAUUAAAAUACGAAAAAAUGUAGUGGAUAAAAAUUAUGAAUAAUGGAUUUUACAAUAACUUUGUUCUUAAAUAUUAACCAUAUUACAACAUAAAUUCUAACAAUGUCAAUACAAAUUAAAGUAAGAUAAGAUAUCUCAACUCAAGCAUCAAAGCAAUCCAUCAAAAUUAAAUUAUUUAAUUUUAUAAAUUUAAAUCUUCCGAGAAAUAAAUCUAAAAUUUAUUGUAAUUAGAAAAAGCGCCAAAAUUUUAAACGCAGUAAGAAAAAUUAGACAUGAAAUCUAAUUAGGUUUAAAUUUAAUUAAAAAAUAACAAUAGAAUCAUAUUUUAUUUGAUAAAAUCUUAAAAUCAAUUGCAUUUUUAAUUUUAGUAAGUUACAAUACAAAUAGGAUUAUAAAAUUAUAUUACAGGAUUUCAUAAAAAUAUUGUUUGAGUAAUUUAUUAAAGGACUCACCUACGUUGCCACAGUUGUAGCUUACCACGCUUUUUGUCUUUUUCCAGUAAAAUCGUAGGAUGCUUUCAAAUUUAAUCUAACGGCUGCAAUUAAUUAUUAGAUAAUUUAAUCAGCCAUUGGCAACCUUUACAACCGGUUAUAUUCUCUCGUUACAUUUAUCGGCUACCAAACAAUCCCCAAGAAAAUGACGAAGUGAGUAACUAAUACACACACCGCAGAGAAAGAUGACAGGAGAAGAGAUGACGGUAGGCCCACCGGCACAAAGGUUCUUCGAUUGCUCUAUUUCUUCGGCGCCGGAUUUAUCUACACAGCUACAAUCGACAAGUGGCGGGAACUCGAGCGGAAGUCAUUGAAAAAGAAACAGCAAGAGAGCAAUCUAUGGACUGAUGAUAACUCAGCAACUACGGUAAAGAAAGCCGUCAAAUGAUCUUUUUAUUUGACUUUUGAUGGAUUUUCAAGAGUUUUGGUAAUAAAAUGUCUCUUAAUUUUUCAUUUCAAUGGCCUAUUGUUUGAGUUAUUAUUAUGCAUAAUUGUUGGAAGAGUUAGGGUUUUACUAUUGGAUUUUGGAAUUUGUAUUUUGGCUUUGAUAUGUUAUUGUUGUGAUGUCGGUCAAGAAAUUUUUGACAACACUCUCCUCGAGUUUGAUACUAUAGCUAAUGAAUUUUUAUGGCAGAUAUAUAUUUUUCUUUGAAAAAAAAAAACACUUUACAACUGGUUAUGCAUUCAUUUAGGAGCUGUUAACUGAGCGUGAGUUCCAUAAUUUUCCAACCAGUGGUUAGGGUUUCACAGAAAAAUGUCGACAUUGAUCUUUAGGCAGCACUUAAGACUGAAAUUGGUUAUAGAGGAUCGAAUUUGGGGAACUAGAAAUUUCUGAUCAUUAAUAAUUGAAAAUGGCCUCUCACUUGUAGGCAGUUGUUGGAUGUAAUGUAUCCAGUUUCUGAAAUCGAAAGUAGAGUGAGUUCUUAAGUUAGAUGUACCUACAUGCAUUAAGGUUCGAAGAUGUGGAAUAGGCCAAUUGUUUGAUGUCAGCUUUGUUGCACAUGUUCUGAAAUUGAUCAUUUAAGAUGGCUUGGAAGCACUCCGUGAUGUGACUAAGAAGAUUCGAGGAAGUAUUAAAUAUGUUGAAAGUUCACAAUUAAUACAAGGUAAGUUCAAUGAGAUCACCCAGCAAGUUGAAAUCAACAGUCAAAAGAGCCUAAAGUGUGAUAUUUUUCUCUUGGAUUGUUUUUUUAUUUUCCAUUUCAAAGCUGAUAGUGUAAAUAUUUUGUUUGCAAAAGUUUCUAAAAAGUACUUGAGUCAAGAUGGUUAGGUAUUUCGUAACUUCCUUUUUACUCUUAACUAGAUUCAUAGAGAGUUAUAACAUUAACAUAAUUUUUUCUUUUAAAAGUGAUCAAUUAGACACUGAUGAGAUAUCUCACUUUUGAAUCAUUUAGCUUUAUGUAAUUUCAUUACUAUUAUAUGCCCCCAGGAAUUGUUGAAGUAUAUAUAUCUUGGCAUUUCUUCACUGACUGAAUUAUCUUUCAUAAUAUUCCAGCUUCAAAUGGGUACACUGCAGAGCCGAUUGGAUGCAGAAUUCCUUCUAGCUCAUAUGUGCUCUGUAAAAUUCAAAGACUGAAUAGUGGUUAUGGCAACUCUUUUUAGAUGAUCUAAGGUAUAAUGCCCAAUUAUUGCUUUUGCUUUAUCUGUUUUACCUUGCAACAUUUUGAAAUUUAUGAGAAGCAUAAAAUUACUGAGCCAAAAUUGAGGAUCUGAACUUUCGUAAAAAUAUUCGUAUUUUUAAAUUAUAAAAUAUUGCAUUUGAUGCUUUAGGUGGAACUUAGUUCACUACAGAAAGGAAAAUUAUGUUGGGCAUAACCAGAUGCUUUUCAAGAGAAAAUUUCACUGAUAUUUUUCUGAGGAUUUUACUUGGCCAUCUUAUUUCAAGCUGCUUGAAUUUUUUCUUUAUAUCAUCUUGGUUGUAUACUAUAACUCGUUGAAUUUGCUAGCACUUUUGCUAGUUGGUUAUUCUAUAUGUGAUUAUGGUGGUAAAGUUUGGAAGCUCAAAAAGUAAUGGAACUUAGGAAGAGUAUGACAUAGAAUGCUGGAUAGAAUUAAAAUAAUCAUUCUUCAGGCAUCCAAAGAUGAUGUAUUCAAAAUAGCUAGUUUUGACUUUUGAGGCCGUAUAAAUAACUAUUAUCUCACAUGGUUACAUUAUGAUAGGUAGGCACUAGCUUAAUAACUCCAAUUAACUUGAAGUUGUUACCUGAUUUAUUAUGACAGUGUGCAUUACGAUAAGUAUCCUUGCAUAUUAAGAUUUUCCUUCCAGAUCUUUGCGGUACUUUUUGAUCUUUUCCGACAUGAUAUGCGAUUAUGGGAAGCAUAUGCCAUCACCUUACAGGUAUUCUCUUAAUUUUUAGAUAGUGCUCAAGAUGACAUUCAAGUUGGCUAUUAUUGGGUGCAAGAUUUACCAUGCUCUUAUUUUGCUUUUUUAGUCUAACCCGAUAUUUGCUUAAUACCAUGAUCUGCUUCAAGCCUUGGAUGAAAAACUUUCAUUUUUUGUAUAUUCUGCAAUGAGAUGAGGGUAGUUUUUCUGAUGAUAUUUGGCAGUAAAUUGGGACUAACUAAAGUAAUUUUCUUAAUGGCAUGUCUACUUCUCAGAUGAAUGACCGUCUGUUCAGACUCCAAGGUGAUGAAUUAACAACCACCGAUCUAUUCUGGGUGAAGAUGAUGACGUUGACACCAAGCCAGUGGAAUGACUAGGACUUCCCUUUUGUUACAAUAAAUUGCGUUCAUUAGACACACGCAGUUAAUUAGUGUAGAUAAAGGAGGUCUAUGCACUAUAGACUGUUUUGUAUUUCGAGAGUCCUUUUUUUGUUUCUUUCAUUCUCCAUUCUUUUGAAAUUAUGUACAAUGGUUAUAUUGUCUGUAUUAUUACGGAUUUAUGAUGGGAGUAUCCCAAGUUUAUGGAAUAAUUAUAAAUAAGGACUUUAAAUUUUUGUUGAAAGAAGUUGAGUGAGAGAAAAGAAGCUAAAGCAGUAAGCAUUUGUUAUACUUCAUUCGAUUGUAUCUAAAUUACAAAGGUUGGUGGCCUUAUUUAUAGUGAAGUUCCCACAGGCCACUUGCACUCAAAACAUUCGAAAUAUGCAAACAUAUUGAUAUAUAAACAUACAGAAUUAAUAUUCUGAAACCUUGUAAGUAAUGCAAAUAAAAGUGAGGUUGGGGCAGCCAAUAUUUACAUCAUGUAUUAAUAGAAAUAAAAUCAAUUAUUUCCAAAUAAAUUCACUUAGUUCAAAGCACGGGCUUCGGUUAAGUUGAACAAGCAAGCCAAUUUUUGUUGUUACUUCAUGAUUGUAGUAAGCUGUGGGUAGUGGAUUGUGUUCCCUAUAAAAAAACAAACAGAAGCAUAAGUUUCUCUCAAUUAAGGCACCUGAAAUGUAUUUCCAUGUCUACUAACCUGGUCAUUCCUCCAUGAACUAAACCCUUCUGAGGAUCUUGAAUAGAUUUAUAGAGAUCUCAGAUAAUUUCCUCAUGGUGUGCCUAAGUAAAGACAAGUCUUAUGUACUUGAUUACUUCUGGCCAAUCCAUCGAGGCCACCACCUGUCUCAGUCAAUUCAAUCUUUUAAUAGAGUGAAUUACUAGAAUAAAAUUUAUUAAAGUUGAUAUAAAAUCUAAAUUAAAAAAAUCAGAUAAGAGAAUGAUCCAAAAUCCAAAAAAUCAGAUAUUUAAGGAGUGGACUUGUGACCCUCUAUAGAAUCCAUGGAAGAGUAACUAAGGGAAAAACAUUAGAGGUACUUUUGGCGAUACUAUUAGUAUUCUUGUGCUGAUCAUAAUCUUGGGGGUAGAUCUAGACUAAUUAGCUAUUCAUUGAACAUUCCAUUUCUCCACAAUUACAUGCAAAAGUGCACCUUGCAGUUGCAGCCUAGACCAUAGAAAUAUAGAAUUCCAAUUAUCAACAUCUAAAGCUACUGUAGUGACUUGCAACCAUGAGAUGAUAUAUACAUAUGCUGAGAUUCAAAUAUUUGAGAAGUUUAAACAUCCUGAUGAAAAAUAGACUAGUUCACAGCUACUUUGGGGAAGUUGAUUUCUAAUAGCAGUAGAAAAUACAAGUUUUUUUAAACAUACCUACUCCAGUAAACUCAAUUAACCAAAACAAAACUCAAAGCAUGAAAAAGAGGGAUUUUAACUAACCUAAUCAUUAUCAUUGAUAUUUUAACAUAUUGAUCUUCACAUGGAGUUAACAAACACAAGACUUAGUGCCUAGUACAUAUGUCUGGGGUUGCACAGUCUGUUCGACAAAUUUAUUGAAACUAUAUCCAUGCUCCUUCUCCAAUAAAUAAAUAUCCUCUUGCUUCUUCCAUCCUACUCUAAUUCUUCCUGGAAAGCAUUCUCCCCUUCUCUAAUUCUUCCGAAAAAACAUAACCGACAAUCCUAAACUAAUUACCACCGUUAAAUCUUUCAAACAAAAUUUACAAUUUCUUAUCAGUAGUUUCCUGCCGCAUCCGAUCGAACGGCUCAUCAACGAAUCAAACAGACUUCUUUCCACCCUUUUUCCAUAUAAUUACAUUUGCCUAAUUCCUAAAGUUUCGGCUCCGCCCAAUGUCGGCCGCAAUUGGCUGCCACAGCGAUAUGUUCAUCUUCAACUUCUCUGCUGCGAUUUCAAAUUUACUUCAGCCUCGUACCACCACACUUCCACUGGCAAUUAAUUUCAUUAUCCGAUUUUACUAUGUGUGGAAUAGAUUUGAGCAAUUUAUGAGUUUUCGCUACGAUUUCGACGAUGUCCUCUCAACACUAAUUUGAUCACCUAAUUUUAACUGUUUUGGGUUAUUUAUUUUUUAUUAUAUUUAUAUACAGUCUCUGCAGGCAACCGACUACUUUACUUAUAUGUGGAACUCAUCUGAGUCAUUAGAUGAAGGCCCUCGAGAUCCUACGGUGAUUAUAUAUGAGGACAAAAUGUGUUGUACGUUGCAACUGUUGCAACGUAGGAGGAUCCUUUAUUAAAAUGUUAAUUUAAUCUUUUAACUCAAGUUGAGACCGUAAAAAAUUGUUAUAUAAUAGUGUACUGUACAACCAAUUGCAUAUGUAUUUAUCCUGUGCAGCACUUCUAUUAUUAUUAUAUAAUAAUAAUUAGUAGUAGUAUAAUUACUAUAUAAUAAUAAUUAUUAAUAGUAUAAUUAUUAUAUAAUAAUAAUUUUAAUAAAAAAUUAUUAUUAAAAUAUUAAUUUAGCCUUUUAUUUUGUUUAAUUUACUUUUCAUUAAUAUGUUAUCUUGAAUUUGUUCAUGACCCAUGGGUAAACUAUACCCAAACUAUUAUAAAAUAAUUUUUUUCAUAAAAAUUCAAAUUUAACCCAUUUCAUGAUUUAUCCAACUCAAACCAUUUAAUUUAAUAGUAGAUAAAGGCCCAAUUUAACCCAUUUCAUUUAAUUUAAUAGUGGAGAUUCGGUAGGGUUUUAUUUCCUUCUCUUUGCUGUCAAACGAAAUUAUGUUACUCGAGUCUUAAUUUGUGUCUCAGUAAUUAAUCUGAUGUGACUAUUAUAACAAGCUGCCACAUCGAUUGAUGGCCAAGUAAUUGGAUAUUUAAUAUUACUCAAUUAAUAAAUUAACAAUAUAUUUGAGUUUUUAAGCUUUUUUCGGGUCAGAUCAUUAAUAACACAGAUUUUGCUGUAAUCUCAGGUUGUGUAAUUGAGUGCAUAAGAAAAAAACAAAACAAAAAACUAUUCAAAAAAAUUAAUUUCAUAUAAUAAAAUUAUACUUUUGUUAUAAUUUAACUUAGUAGUUAUUUUAAUUUUUUCAACAUACACAUAUAUACACAUAAUAAAAUUAAUUUCAUAUAAUAAAAUUAUACUUUUGUUAUAAUUUAACUUAGUUAGGACUCUGUUUUCUAGAAACAGAGUCCUAACUAAAUUAAUUGACUGUACAGUACAUUUCAACAUAGCAUAUUUAACCGUUAACCGUCUUCUGAGUUAUCAUCAACAAAUUCAUUCAUAUUUCUCCAGUCUUACGGACGAUAUCAUAUGUUUAAUAAUGAAUGAAUAGUCUUGGAUCAGUGUUUUGCAGCAAAUUCACAUCAUAGUUUUGAUUCUUUAGAUAUGAAUUCAUCACAUUACCGAAAAGAAUACGCGCUAAAAAAUGAUUCCAAGACUAUUUGACUACCAAAAGCUGCUGUCAGAGUGCACUGAAAGUUUCCGUAGGAUACUUUGCGGUUGUUUAUUAUGUUAUGAUGGGCAUAUAAUUCUCAAAUUUUGACUCCUCUCAGCGAAAAAUAUAUCAAAGUUUAGAUUAUGUGUUCGAGCUUUAAUAAAUGCCUGAGUUAAUAAUAAUAACAACAAUAAUAAUAAACUAAAAAGCAAAAUUACUAUUGAAUGAUCGGAAAAAAAAAAAAAAUUGAAAAUGUGUGAACUCCAAUAACCACCCCACAAAUUUAGUGGCGAAUUUUGGAGAGGGCAAGGCUGGGCUUCUCAGAAAAAAAAUGACGAGUAGAAUUGUGGAAAAUUAAAGCAAAAUGACAAGUAUGGAAAGGAAGGCUGAAAGUAAGGCAUGACGAAAGUCUUUGAGAAGGCUGAAGACUACCAAAGAAGACAACUGAAAGCUAGCUGGGGCGUGAGUGUAUAAAUUGUUAGAUGUGUUUGUUAUAAAUAACAUAGAGCCCUUUUGUUAUUUAUAGUUAUAGAGAAAGAGAGAAUGUGUGUUUUUUAAUAGUUAGAGAUAUAGCUAGAAUGGGUGGUUCAAAAUCCAAAAUGGUGACAAUGUUAGUUCUUAUAUUAAUAAUAUUAGGAAGAAGGGGGGGGGGGGGGGGGGUGUGGAGUGAGGGAUGUUUGGAGCAUGAGGAAUUUGCUCAUUUCUGGCUUAAACAUUUCUUCAAUUCCCCUUAUAGACUUCAAAACUGGGUAGAUGAACAAAGGGAAAGGGUUGAGUGCAGCAACUCCACAGGCCGAGUGGUACAACUACACCUUAGUCUUACUAGGAAUAUCGAUCUGGGAGUGUGGUAUCUGAAUGCUUCUCUAUUUACUUCCUUUCAACAACUUGGUAACAAAAUAGCCGGCUGCAUGCGUUGAGAAUGAAGGUCCUUCAUUUAAUUUAAUUUACUUAAUUUCUCCCUCCUAAUUAAUGUCUAUAACCAUUGGGAGGAACAAGGGAUUUUAUUAACUCAAAUAUAUGUAAUGGAGGAGCUCAUUCUUUGGUUUUACUUGCAGGUCUAGAAGCAGGUGUCAUCUAACAGCUGCUUUGAUAAUUUCCCACCCCUUCAUCUUUGAUGGAAAGAUGAAAUAAAAACAAAAUGGUGAAAAUGGUAUUGGUACCUGAGGCUAUGUAAUCUAAUUCAACAACUGCACCAUCAAAACGAUUACAUAAGUCCCAGAAGAAUCAAACAUUAGUUUGCAAAAUAUCAAUUGCUGGAGGUUAGAUUCUAACUUCCGCUCUUGAUUUUUAUGGGCAUGUUGUAUUGUACUUGCAUACGAAAAUCAUAUUUUAGUUUACUUACACUCAACGCUUGGAUUAAAGUUUUAGGUGGGGAAAAUUGAAGGAGACUAAAAUGACUCAAAAAAAUAGUUGAAUGAGUGAGGGUUUUGUCUUCAUUUAAGGAGCUCUUUAUAAAUUUUAGGAUUUUUUUUCCCUGAGAAAAUUUAUGCCAACUUAUUCUUUGCUUCUUUUCUGAAGGGACAAAUGCAACUAAAAGUGUAUUCUUGAAUUCUCCAGGAUAAGAGACAUAUGUUUAAUUAGAUUCUCGAGCCUUCAAAACAAUAUAAAAUUUUAGAUUGAUAAAAUUUUAUAUAUCUGAGCAUGAUGGUGUUUGACAUGACUUAAAACUGUUUAAUUUACUCUCACAUACAAGAAUGCCUAGUUAUAUUGUAGCUCAGAGUCUGAGGUUAAUUCAUAAAGAAAUGAUUUAAUUUGUUUAUUUAAGAUUAUCCCAAAAAAUAAAAAUAAAAUUUAAAUAUAUGUAAUUUAAUUUGAAAAAAGUUAUGAAAUUAAUUAUUUAGGGUCAUGGAUCCACUCUUAGUAAUAAAUACAAUUUAAUAAAUUCUUUUUAUUUUUAUUUUAUUGCCCAAAAGAUUAAUUAUAUAAAUUAUAAUUAUUUUCCCAUUAAUUUUAUUAUGGAUUAAGUACUUAAUGUGCCAAAACUUAACUUAUCUACAAUAAGUCAAAAUACCAUUUUACCAUAAUUUAUGCAAAGAUAUUAAGAAUUCAUGUGCCAAACUCCCAUGUUUGUCUACAAUAAAUCAAAAUUUCAAAACAUAAAAUAUGGAUCAAAUUAAAUAAAAAAUAAUUUAAUUUAUAUAAUUAAAAAUAGAAUUUGAUUAAAUCAUAUUUUUCUACUCAGAGUUUUACCUCACCCUAACUAUUAGUAUUUAGCUAAACAUAUUUGAAAUAAAUGAAAUUAUUAAAAUUAAAAAAUACAUAAUUAAAAAAAUGGUAUUUGAAAAUUAGAAAUAAAACUAAUUUUAUUUAUUGAAAAUGUAUUACAAAGAGAGAUGAGAAGAAGAAUUUGAGGGGAAAGAAGAGAAGAAAAUGUGUGGAGAGGUGUGUGAAAUUAUAUUGUAAAGAUGUUACACAAACAAAUGAAUAAAAAAAAACUAAAUGAAAAUUACACAAAUUAAAAAGAAAAUGAAAAUUAAAUAAACAAGAUAAAUGUGCAAGAAAAAAAUGCACAAUAAAAAUAAAUAAACUGAAAAGUAAUUAACUAAAAUUAAAAUAACUAAAUAGGCGGUAAACAAAGUAAAUGCCAAAAAUAAAAUAAGUGCGAAAAUUAAAUUACAGAAAUUAAAAGAAGAAAGAAAGAAAAAAUAAUUAUCUCAAAGUGUAAACUCUUUUUCUUUUUCUUUUCAAAUUUUAAAUAUUACCAGCCAAUUAAGUGAUUAAUUCAAAUUAUUAGGCUUUAAUAGUAAUUUUUAAAAUCAAUAUUCAGUUUAUUGAGUCCAAAUAAGGUCCAAAGAAGUUCAAGUUGUUGGUCUAAAAUUAAGAAUUUUGGGAAAUAUUGGCAACGGACCUAUUCAAAAAGUUCUAUAAUUUUAUGGUCAAACUGCAAUUAUGAGAAGAAUGAUCCAAAAAUUAGAAUUUUUGGGGUGAGUGAGAUUUAGAAAAUUUUGUGGAUAUAACAUAAUUUAAGAAAGAAAAAGGAGGUAAAUGAAAAUUUAUACAAAAAGUAAAAAAAGAAAGAAAAAAGAAAACAAAAUAAAUACCUCUCCCGGCAACGGCGGUAAAAACUUAACACGACUUUAAAGUAUUUAAUUUACUCUUAAGUAUAAGAGUAGCUAGUUAUAUUAUAUCGCGAGAAGUCCGAGAUCGAUCUACAGAAAAAUGAUUUAAUUUAUUUAUUUAAGUUUAUCUAAAAAAUAAAAUUAAAAUUAAAUACAUGCAAUUUAAUUUGAGAAAAACUAUGAAAUUGAAGUAGUUAGGAUUAUGGAUCUACUCCUAGUAAUAAAUGUAAUUUAAUAAAUUUUUUAAUUUUAUUUUAUUGACCAAAAGAUUAAUUGUAUAAAUUACAAUUAUUUUCCCAUUAAUUUUAUUAUGGAUUAAGUACUUAAUGUGCAAAAGCUUAACUUGUCUACAAUAAGUCAAAAUACUAUUUUACCAUACUUUAUACUAAGAUAUUAACAAUUCAUUGUGCCAAACUCCCAUGUUUGUCUACAAUAAAUUAAAAUUUCAAAAUAUAAAAUAUAGAUAAAAUUAAAUAAAAAAUAAUUUAAUUUAUAUAAUUAAAAAUAGAAUUUGAUUAAAUCAUAUUUUUCUACUCAGAGUUUUACCUCACCCUAACUAUUAGUAUUUAGCUAAACAUAUUUGAAGUAAAUGAAAUUAUUAAAAUUGAAAAAUACAUAAUUAAAAAAAUGGUAUUUGAAAAUUAGAAAUAAAACUAAUUUUAUUUAUUGAAAAUAUACUACAAAAAGAGAUGAGAAGAAAAAGUUGAGGGGAAUGAAGAGAAAAUAAGGUGUGGAGAGGUGUGUUCCUCCCCCCACCUCUCUAUUUAUACUAAUACGUGAUUAAUCCACACAACACAAAUAAAUAAAACUAAUUACAUCUUAGGCAUACAUUUGUCCUACUAACAAAACAUAAACCUAAGUUAAUCCACUUAAGCACAUCCAACACAUUUCACUAAAAAUUACCACACCUAACAUGAUAAAAACUUAUAAUUUCACAAUUACCACUUUUACUUUUACAACAAAAGCCGCGAAUCUUCUCGACAAUGACCUAAUUUCUCGGACUUUCGGAAUCUAAAAGUUUAAAUAAUAUUAAAUUUAUCUAAUAUAAAUAAAUGUAUUAAAUAAAAUAAUGUUUCAUUUUAUAUUUACCCUCCUUUUAUUAAAUUUCCUAUAAUUAUAUUUAAUAAAAUAAAUAAUAUUAUAUAUUUAAAUAAUAUUAGUUAUAUUUAACUAAAUUAAAGCAAAAUGACAAGUAUGGAAAGGAAGGCUGAAAGUAAGGCAUGACAUAAGGCUUUGAGAAGGCUGAAGACUACCAAAGAAGACAACUGAAAGCUAGCUGGGGCGUGAGUGUAUAAAUUGUUAGAUGUGUUUGUUAUAAAUAACAUAGAGCCCUUUUGUUAUUUAUAAUCAUAGAGAAAGAGAGAAUGUGUGUUUUUUAAUAGUUAGAGAUAUAGCUAGAAUGGGUGGCUCAAAAUCCAAAAUGGUGACAAUGUUAGUUCUCGUAUUGAUAAUAUUGGGGGGGGGGGGGGGGGGGGGAGGUCGAGUGAGGGAUGUUUGGAGCAUGAGAAAUUUGAUCUUUUGCGGCUUAAACAUUUCUUCAAUUCCCCUUAUACACUUCAAAACUGGGUAGGUGAACAAAGGGAAAGGGUUGAGUGCAGCAACUCCACAUGCCAAGUGGUACAACUACACCUUGGCCUUACUAGGAAUAUCGAUCUGGGAGAGUGGUAUCUGAAUGCUUCUCUAUUUACUUCCUUUCAACAACUUGGUAACAAAAUAGCCGGCUGCAUGCGUUGAGAAUGAAGGUCCUUCAUUUAAUUUAAUUUACUUAAUUCCUCCCUCCCAAUUAAUGUCUAAUGGAGCUCAUUCUUUGGUUUUACUUGCAGGUCUAGAAGCAGGUGUCAUCUAACAGCUGCUUUGAUAAUUUCCCACCGCUUCAUCUUUGAUGAAAAGAUGAAAUAAAAACAAAAUGGUGAAAAUGGUAUUGGUACCUGAGGCUAUGUAAUCUAAUUCAAAAACUGCACCAUCAAAACGAUUACAUAAGUCCCAGAAGAAUCAAACAUUAGUUUGCAAAAUAUCAAUUGCUGGAGGUUUGAUUCUAACUUCUGCUCUUCAUUUUUAUGGGCAUAUUGUGUUGUACUUGUUGGAGAAUUAACAAAUAAAACACACACAAAAACACACUAUUUUAUUUCUUCAACAACACUUCUCACUAAUUACAAUUCUUAUUUUUCACUCUCUACACCUGAGAGAUUUUGCUACUUCACUUGAUAUUUAAACCAAAGGGGAGAGGGGGUAUUUAUACAUGAAACAAACUAAUCACAACCAUUCAUUUAUUCAAUUAAUACACAAAUCCUCACCAUCCAUUAAAACCUACCACACCUAACACACCUAACACAAAUAAUUCAAACCUCACCAACCAUACCUACUCAUGGAACCUUCCAUGAGUUGGGCUUGAUUUAUUCAUCUUGGAUCAAGUUUAUGAUCCAACACCUCCCCUUAAACUUGAUCCUGUGACACCAAGCAAACUUCUGAAUCUUACAAAGUCUUCUUGCUUGAGUGGCUUAGUGAAGAUAUCAGCUGCUUGAUCUUGUGAUUUUACAUACUUGAUUUGCACUUCUUUUCUUGCAAUACACUCUCUUAUGAAAUGAUAAUGAGUGUCUAUGUGUUUACUUCGAUCAUGAAAGACUGGAUUCUUGGAUAGGGCAAUUGCUGAUUUGUUAUCAACACAAAUCUCGGUUGGCUCUUCUUGUGCCAAACUCAACUCCUUCAGUAAAUUUCUGAGCCAAAUUGCAUGACAAACACUUGAUGUGCCAGCUACAUAUUCAGCUUCACAGGUGGAUAGCGUGACAAUUGGUUGCUUCUUUGACAUCCAUGUGAAAGCAGUAUCUCCCAUGAAGAACACAAAUCUCGUGGUGCUCUUUCGAUCAUCUACAUCUCCACCCCAAUCGCUAUCGCUAUAUCCAACAAGCUUGUAGUCAUUAGAAAAUGAGUAUAGCAAGCCGAAAUUAGUUGUACCUUUGAUGUAGCGAAGGAUUCUUUUUGCAGCUUUAAAAUGGGUAGUCUUUGGAUUCUCCAUAUAUCGGCUCACAAAUCCAACAGCAUAAAGGAUAUCUGGUCUUAUGCAUGUCAAAUAACGUAGGCUUCCAACCAAACUUUUAAAGAAUGUUGGAUAUAUAUCUUCGCCUUCAUCAUGUUUGGAUAACUUGACUCCGCAUUCCACUGGCGUGCUUAUAGGCUUACAAUCAUUCAUCUUGAACUUCUUGAGAAUCUCCUUUGCAUAGCUUUCUUGGGAGAUAAAUAUGCCUUCUUCCUUUUGCUUGACCUCAAUGCCGAGGUAAUAUGCCAUCAGUCCGAUGUCAGUCAUCUCGAACUCUUUGAUCAUCACUCUCUUGAACUCUUCAAACAAGCUUGGAUUACUUCCAGUGAAGAUGAGAUCAUCCACAUACAGGCACACAAUCAAAAUAUCUCCAUCUUUUUCUUUGACGUAGAGAGCAUGUUCAUAUGGGCAUUUGGUGAAGCAUUUCUCUUGAAAAUACUUGUCAAUUCUGCUAUUCCAUGCCCUUGGUGCUUGCUUUAACCCGUAAAGAGCUUUCUUCAAUCUCAAAACUUUGUCCUCAUGUCCUUUCACCACAUAGCCUAAUGGUUGUUCGAUGUAAACUUCUUCUUCAAGGAAUCCAUUCAAGAAAGCAGACUUCACAUCCAUUUGAAAAAUCUUCCAUUUGUUCUGAGCAGCCAAAGAAAUAAUAAGUCUAAUAGUUUCAAGUCGAGCUACAGGAGCAAAUAUCUCGUCAUAGUCUAUGCCAGCCUUUUGACUAUAGCCUUUUGCAACUAGCCUCGCCUUGUGCCUUUCAAUUUCUCCCUUCGCAUUUUUUUUUGUUUUAUACACCCAUUUGACACCGAUCGCCUAGUGACCUUUUGGAAGAGUAGUAAGCUCCCAAGUAUCAUUCUUCACAAUGGCUUUGAUUUCUUCAUCCAUUGCAAUUCUCCACUUCUCAUCUAGUGCAGCUUCUUGGAAGUUGACUGGCUCACAAUCAGCAAAGAGGCAAAAGAGAGUGAGAUUAUCAUGUCUCUCAGUUACCUCAUAGAGAUCUUGAAGACUCCUUGUACGUUCUUCGGUUCUUUCAUUUAAGAAAGACGGCGGUGAAUCUCCGCAUGUGGUUGAUAAUGGUGAGAUAGGUGGAGUAGCAGGCUCUUGUUGUUCGUCUACUUGUUUUAACUGUGUAUGAUCAUCUUCUUCAAUGGGAAAGAAGUUGAAGUCAUCCACACCAGAGCCAAAAUCCCAUUCUCCUUCUUCAUCAAAAACUACAUCUCGACUGAUCACGAUCUUCCCGUUGUUUGGAUUGUAAAGCUUGUAUCCUUUGGAGUUGUUGUCGUAGCCGAUGAAGAUGAACUUCUCACUUUUGUCAUCCAGCUUGGCUUUACUUUCGUCUGGUAUAUGUACAUGGGCAAUGCUUCCGAAAACUCUUAGAUGGGUGAUGCCGGGUUUUCUUCCACUCCAAGCUUCUUAUGGCGUCUUGCCCCACACGCUUCUUGUUGGAGAUCGAUUGGAUAAGUAGACUGCACAUGCAACUACUUCAGCCCAAAAUUCUUUAGGUAGCCUCUUACUCUUAAGCAUGCUUCUAAAAUUCUUUAGGUAGCCCAAAAUUCUUUACCAGAUAUCCUUUAUGCUGUUGGAUUUGUGAGCCGAUAUAUGGAGAAUCCAAAGACUACCCAUUUUAAAGCUGUAAAAAGAAUCCUUCGCUACAUCAAAGGUACAACUAAUUUCGGCUUGCUAUACUCAUUUUCUAAUGACUACAAGCUUGUUGGAUAUAGCGAUAGCGAUUGGGGUGGAGAUGUAGAUGAUCGAAAGAGCACCACGGGAUUUGUGUUCUUCAUGGGAGAUAUUGCUUUCACAUGGAUGUCAAAGAAGCAACCAAUUGUCAUGCUAUCCACCUGUGAAGCUGAAUAUGUAGCUGGCACAUCAAGUGUUUGUCAUGCAAUUUGGCUCAGAAAUUUACUGAAGGAGUUGAGUUUGGCACAAGAAGAGCCAACCGAGAUUUGUGUUGAUAACAAAUCAGCAAUUGCCCUAUCCAAGAAUCCAGUCUUUCAUGAUCGAAGUAAACACAUAGACACUCGCUAUCAUUUCAUAAGAGAGUGUAUUGCAAGAAAAGAAGUGCAAAUCAAGUAUGUAAAAUCACAAGAUCAAGCAGCUGAUAUCUUCAGUAAGCCACUCAAGCAAGAAGACUUUGUAAGAUUCAGAAGUUUGCUUGGUGUCACAGGAUCAAGUUUAAGGGGAGGUGUUGGAUCAUAAACUUGAUCCAAGAUGAAUAAAUCAAGCCCAACUCAUAGAAGGUUCCAUGAGUAGGUAUGGUUGGUGAGGUUUGAAUUAUUUGUGUUAGGUGUGUUAGGUGUGGUUGGUGAAGUAGGUGAGUGGUAGGUUUUAAUAUAAUCUUUUAAGUGAAUAUCAUAGCCUUUUUCUAAAAGUUGACCUAAACUAAGAAUGUUGCUUUUCAUAUUGGGCACAUAGUAAACAUUCGAAAUUAUUUGGUGGCUACCAUCUUUUGCACGAAAAAGAAUGUUACCUCUACCCUUCACUAGUACUUUUGAAUCAUCUCCAAAAGCGACAUUGUCAUUCACAAAUUCACUUAGUUGCACGAACAUGCUUCUGUUUCCACUCAUAUGAUUGCUAGCACCUGUGUCAAGAUACCAUGUAUUUUCUUGACCUGCACUUGUGUCAUUGCGUGCUAGUAAAAGUGUGCCAUCUUCACCAUUUUUCUCUUCAGCAUAGUUCACUCUCUCCUCAAUUCUGGUGCUUGGAGCUCUGCAUUCUGAAGCAUAAUGCCCAAACUUUUGACAAUUAUAGCAUUGUACUUUGGAUUUGUCAUACCUCGAUCUUGGAUUGCCUCUGCCUCGUCCUCUGGUUGAGCUUUCUCCUUUGUCAUAAUUGGAGUUGUUGUUGUUGAAAUUCCAACCUCGUCCAUGACCACGACCUCUACCUCGUCCUCGACCUCUACCUCGGACAUAGUGCAUUCUCUCGUUGUCGGAGCUUUCUUCUCUUUUCUUUGGAUUGACUUCCAUCUUGAGAAGUUAUUCUUUGAUUCCUUGCUUCUUCUUUUUUUUCUUCAUAGGCUUGCAACCUUCCUUGAAGUUGCUCGAUCGUCAUAUCCUCCAAAUCUCUUGUUUCUUCAAUUGCACAACAAUAUGUUCAAACUUCGACUCUACUGAUCGAAGUAUCUUUUCAAUGAUCCUUACCUCUUUUAACUCCUCGCCAUUUCUUUUUAAUUCAUUGGAAAUGGUUACAACCCGAGUAAAGUAGUCAGAAAUUGACGCCGACGCCUUCAUGUGUAAAGACUCAAAUUCUCCUCGUAAUGUUUGGAGACGAACCUUCUUAACUUGCUCCGCUCCUUUGUAAGAGGUCUCUAGUUUCUCCCAUGCUUCUUUUGAGGAGGUUGUACCAGCAAUCUUUUCAAAAGCAUCUUCAUCUAAUGAUUGAAAGAUGAGAUACUUUGCUUUAUUCUCUUUCUUUUUCAAGUCUUUUAAAUUCUCCUUCUGCGCCGCAGUUAAAGUGGCUUCAUUUUCUGGCACAAUAAAGCCUUUUUCCACGACAUCCCAUACGUCAUGUGCGCCCAAUAGAGCCUUCAUUUUAAUACUCCAAUUGUCAAACUUACUUCCCUUUAAUUGUGGAACUUGAAAUGACAUCAUACCACCGUUUGCCAUAACUCAAAAAUUGAGUGAGAAUUUGGAGAUUCUGAAAGCACAGAUGGAUCCGGCACGUCGAAAAACCUUGGGAAGGACUCGAGUCAACUUUCGGUCAACGGUCAACGCUGGUCAACGGUCAACGUCGGUCAACGGUCAACGUCGGUCAACGGUCAACACCGGCUUGGUAGUCUUGGUUCGGUCCGGAUUGGUUCAGCUCGAGUUGGCUCGGUUCGACUUGAUGCGGUUCAAAUCGGCUCGGCUUGGUUCAGUUCGGCUCAGUUUGGUUCAACUCGGUGAGUCGACUCAGCUUUAGGUUAGAAAACUUUCGGCGGCAAGUGUGGGAGCGUCCGGUCUCAGAUCAGGAUGAUUUGUGCGGCGUCACGUUCCUCUCGUCGAGAUCUUCGAUUUGAUAUGCUAUAUGACCAUAUAUAACAUCACGUACUAGCUCUGAUACCACUUUGUUGGAGAAUUAACAAAUAAAACACACACAAAAACACACUAUUUUAUUUCUUCAACAACACUUCUCACCAAUUACAACUCUUAUUUUUCACUCUCUACACCUGAGAGAUUUUGCUACUUCACUUGAUAUUUAAACCAAAGGGGAGAGGGGGUAUUUAUACAUGAAACAAACUAAUCACAACCAUUCAUUUAUUCAAUUAAUACACAAAUCCUCACCAUCCAUUAAAACCUACCACUCACCUACUUCACCAACCACACCUAACACACCUAACACAAAUAAUUCAAACCUCACCAACCAUACCUACUCAUGGAACAUUCCAUGAGUUGGGCUUGAUUUAUUCAUCUUGGAUCAAGUUUAUGAUCCAACAGUACUUGCAUCCGAAAAUCAUAUUUUAGUUUACUUACACUCAACGCUUGGAUUUAAGUUUUAGGGGGGGGAUUGAAGAAGACUAAAAUGACACAAAAGAGUUGAGCGAGUGCAGGUUUUGUCUUCAUUUAAGGAGCUCUUUGUAAAUUUUAGGAUUUGUUUCCUGAGAAAAUUUAUGCCAACUCAUUCUUUGCUUCUUUUCUGAACGGACAGAUGCAACCGAAAGUAUAUUCUUGAAUUCUUUAGGAUGAGAGACAUACGUUUAGAUUCAUCGAGCCUUUAAAACAAUAUCAAAUUUUAGAUUGCUGAAAUUUUAUAUAUCUGAGUAUGAUGGUGUUCCAAUUAUAAGCUCCAGGGUGCAACUUCACUAAGUUUUAGAAUACCUUCCUAUAGAAUUGAGAAAUCUCCAUUGGCAUAAAUAUCCUUUGAAAAUAUUGCCAUCAGAUUUUGAAUUGGAGAACCUGAUUGAACUCAGCUUGCCUUGUAGUAAGGUUAAGCAAUUUUGGAAAAGAGAAAAUGUAUAAUGUAUUACUAUUACCAAAGUAUCUAUUUUUCUUUCUUUAAGUAUUUAUAAUGAAGGCUGAUUCAUAGGAAGGCUGUAAAACGGUAAUCAACGAAGGUAAAGGGGUUAGACACUUUUACACUAGAACUUAAGAAAUAAGAGCAUUUACGAAAAAAGGAGAGAAACACUCAUAGGUGUUCCACUGCCUAAGAGAUCAUGAGAGAGCCACGAGAUCAGUGGCCAAGUUUCCCAAAAAGUAAACCUAAAUUUCUGACUUGAGCGUAGGAGGAUUUUUCCGGCGUGCUCUGACCAGUUUUUGUGUGCGCAGGAGUCUGCUAAGUCAUACGAGUCAUAGCUCUGCUCGGUUAGAAGAGUUACGUGAAGUAUCCUACGUUGGUCGUGAGUUCGGGCGUUGAGGAGAGAUCCUGGUUGCAGACAAGCAGACACCAGAAUCUCGCAUCAACAGUGAAGAUGAUUCAAUAUUAAGCAUGUCAUAUAAUCUGGAAGUGGAUAUUGGACCAAUUUGAUGAUGAAUUUCUUUCAAUCUCAAUCUUUUUCUUUUUAGCAACAUGACUAGUCAUUGUGCAAAUUUAAACUCUGACAAUGAUUUCUCAAUCGGUUUCUAAAAUGAUGACCAUGCAUGUAUAUGUGUGUGUGUGUAGAGAGAGAGAGAGAGAUCACACGUGCGUGAUUUCCUUUUGCCAAUAGGAUAUGCAGAGAGCUUGAUCUUACCCAAUAGCAAAACAAACUUCCUAACAAGUGAAGGUAUAGUAUAAAUACUUAUACUUUCAUGUUAUUUUGUUCAUCAGUAGCUUGAUUAUUUUAUAUGCGUCUUUGUUUUUAAUUUUCUUUCCUUAUAAUCGCUAUUAUCUUUGAACUGGUCAUGAUUUGCCUAUAAGAUUUCUCAUGUUGUUUUGAGGUGCAAUGGAUUUUGAAUUUAGUGACGAGCAGUGGAAGCCAGAAGGCAAAUUAUGAAAAUGGAUAAAGAUCUAUAAUUAGUUGUUAUGGGAUGUCACAUAUCAUAUUGAUGGUAACAUUAUAUAUGUGUACAUAUAAUUAAUGGGGUUGGCUCACGAGCCCAUUAAUAAUCGUAUAUUAGCUUAUAUACUUCAAACAAUGUACUAUGAAGCAAUUUCACAAAUACUUGUUAGCUUAUGUUGAGCUUUAUUGAAUCAGUAGUUCACAGUUCAAUAAAAUGCAGGUUUGCUAUUUGAAGUACAUGGUUAUGGUGCGUACAUUCUUCAUAAGGCUAACUACUAAUUUAUCAUUGAAACUUGAAAAAUGUGACAGAGAGAUGUAGAUAACAGCCGCAAAACACUGAGAUUGAAAAUCAGGGCUGCUAAAUUCUACUAAAAGCCCUUAAAAUAGACAGCGAUCACCCUGAAAUGUAUAUACUGAAACUAAGAAAUAUUAAUCGCAAAGUUAUGCAUUAAUAGAACUAUUGACUACUUAUCUUUAGCAUAAGGUAUAUUUUUAACUACAGCUUUCUACUUUGUUCUAAGAACUAGGCAAAAAUGGUGUAUCUUCAAUCCAAUCAACAUGUAUACCACUUAUCUUCCUCUUCACUUCUGUCUAUUUUGAUUUGCACUUCAUAUCCUGCACUUGCUGCUUAGAAAUAGUCUUAUUCUGGACAUUGAAAGUAGAAAAAGUGCUUGAAACAAUCAUUGGCAUAGCCCGAGAUUCCAUUGAAUCGUGGACUCCAAGCUUUCAUAGUUCUAUAAAGAAAAUGACAAAACUUCAUACAACUGGCAUUCUGCUUUUAACAUUUGCACAACCUGAGCGAGUUAGCAAGCCCCUUGUUGCGUUCCCAUUGAAUAGACCUACUUUUGUUAUCCACAGAAGAUCCACCACUCAAAAUGUUUAUCACCAGGCUAUUCUUAAACUGAGCCUAAACUGAGUAGAAACUUCUGCACAUCUCUCAGCAUUUACAUGAAGAAAUCGACAACUAUCGUCAUCUCUCAGCACAUCUCUCAGCAUUCUACAAAGUUGCAUUUCACUAAGCAAUCUAUCCUCUCCAUUCCUAACAAAGUGACAUUGAUUCCCUUAUUUGUAAUCGCCUAACUUGGGUUUUGGGAAUAGCGUGGUCUUAAAAUUACCACCCAAUACUUUGUUCAGUGCCACUGGCAUCCACAACCUCUAGCCCUGUUAGCUGAAUCAUAUUCAAUGGGACAGUGAGGCAGCAUUUCACUAACAUAUUCAAUUUGACUACUUAUAUUGACGCAAAUAUUAGAAUUUGAAAUCACUUCUUUUCUUGGAAUAUUAUAUUAAAAUGACCCCAAAUGAAAGUUCUUGAAUGGAAAUGAUUUUUAUUUAAUUUUCCAACAGAUUCAAGAAAAUCCAGAGAACACAAAAUUUACACAGUAAUAUGAUUAAGAGCUGAGAACGUACAUGUAGUAAAUGUCUAUCAAAAAACACCCAAGGGUUUCUUUAAAAUUAGAAACUAGUAAAUAAAAAGAAAGAAUCAUUUUACAUUUUUAGCAACUUUGGGGUGAGUGAGUGAGUGAGAAAUUGAAACCCUAAAGUGAUGACAACAGUAAGAUUCAGUAUGAAGUGAAACCCCAAUUUGAAAUGUAGGCAUGAGUUGCUGAGUCAGUAGAUGAAGCUAUAAAUAGGCAUUCGGUUUCCUUCUUUUCGGUUUGGAGGGCCAUGGAAUAGUGUAUUGGAGUGGGCUCCAAGUAAUAGCCUCUAUCACUAGAACGACAAAUCUAUAAAAUGUGAUACAUGGGGAAGGAUUGGGCAUUAUAUUCUUAGAUUAGCGCCUUAUUUAGGGUGUAUAUUAAGCAGAUUAUAUAUUACAUGGAGAUGGAGUUUAUGAAAUAGAUUAAAAAGAAAAGGAAAUUUUGGUGCCUAAAGUUUGCCACUUGGAAUAUUUCGGUGUCUAAAAAUUCACUCACCACUUAUUUCAUGUUUGAUUAUAUGUUGAAAAGAUAUUAAAAUAGUAUAAUGCUAUUAAGGCUUAACGUAGAUUUUUUAUUAGUAGAGUGUAGAAUUUUUAAGAAAUAAAUUAUUAAAUUAUUAUAACUAACAUAUUAUUUUAAAGUUGUGUUAUGAAAAAAAUGAAAUAAAAAUGUACAGUAAAUAAGAAUAUUUUAAAACUUUUAUCUUUUUAAAAUUAGUUUUUAACAUAAGGUGAACUAUUUUUUCUUUAAAAUCACAUAUUCUAGUUAAAAUCAAAUAUGUAUUUAUAUGAAGCUUGUAAAUUUUUUUUUUUAGUACUGAUAUUUGAAUAUUAUCAAUAAAAAAAAGGGUAAUGUUCAUGCUGCAUUAUUUUUGUAGCACACAAAAGGACAACAAAGUUUAUGUUAUAAUACUAUCGCUUCUGUUAUGAUAAUAAUUUUUUGUGGCCAAAUAUCUUUUUUUUUUAAGUAAAAAAAAGUGGACAAAAUACAAAUCAGUUUUUAAUCCUCAAUCUCUCCCAAAAUAUAAAUUCGUAGGUCCAUGGGUUGUUAAAACUAUAGCUGACAAAAAGUUACUAACAAAAACAGAAUGUCCAUUUUAUAACUUUCUUAAAAAACUUUCCUUAACUUUUUUAAAAAGUUACCAACAAAAAGUUAUUUCUAAUUUUUAUUUUGUUAUAAUUUUUAUAACAAAAUUCGUAGUUAACUAAACUCUUCUUAUUCCCUUUCUCAACUACCCUAACCCUGUUCCCCAUGUCCCCACUAAACCACGCUCAAUUAAGGCCAUCAGAUUCUCCCGGGCCCACAUUAAUCCAACUGCUCACAGAGACCGACAGCCUCUCUAUCUCCAUUUCAAGCUCCCUCUUCAACUGGCUUCUGCUACCGUCCUACUCUUUCUCGGCUUCGGAGUCCGUAUUUGCUCGGCCUGUCCCACGAAACUCCCUCUCACUCCAAUUGUCGCCCCACAAGACCAAUUGCUUAAUCAAGACACCGAACAAGAAGAGGAUGAGAAGUUGAAACAAGAAUUUGAGAAUUGGAAAUAAAAAACGUACGCAUUGACCGUGCCUUUGAGAGUCGUUUCUCUUCAGAACUCAGUGCCUCAAUCUUGGGUUAAGGAUUUUAUGCGAAGUCAGGGAAAGAGAUUGAAGUUUCAGAUGAAUUUGUGUGCUAGCAUUGAUGGGAUCUUUAACAAUUUAUCUGUGCCCUUUAACAAAGUUAAGGCUAAGUCAGCUUCUUAUAUGGCUGCUGAUUUGGUUAGUGUUGGUGAUUCAUGGCUUAGUUUUGCCAUUAAAAAGAGAUUGAUUGAGCCAAUAGCUGGAGCUGAAGACCAAGAUUGGUUCAAAUGCUUAAGUCACAAAUGGAAGGUAACAUCUUUGUCUUUGAUCCUCGAGGUAAAAUAUGGGCGGCACCAUACAGGUGGGGCACAACGGUGAUAGCCUACAAGAAAAGUAAAUUUCGAAAGCAUAAUUUGGCUCCGAUUGAGGUAAUAAUUUUCUUUAAACUCAUUUAGUUUUAUAUCAAACAAAAUCAAGACUGCCUUUCUCUUCAAUAUUUUUUAUGAUAAUAUCUUUAGAAGCAUCUCAUUGACGGGUAACAAUGGCAUCCCUGAAAGAGUCUAUAAACUCAAUGAUAUUAUCUUCUACAAAUGGUUCAUUAAACUUUGUCGUUGUGCUCAAAUGUACACUCAGAGCAAUGAGAAGUUAUGCCACUUUAGCAUGUAGUGAUGGCACUUAAUAAGUGAGUUGCUAGGAUGUGAACUAGAAAAAUUAAAUAUUGUCUCCUUGGGUAUGCUAGCUCGUAAGUCAGGGUUAAUAUCAGAGCUUAAGAUAGUAUAACCGUGAGAACCUAUUGACUGCCAAUUAAAAUAUCCAUUAAAAUGUCUAGGGAGUUAUGAAGGUGGAGGUAACUUCCAAUUUCUAAGGCCACAGAGUAGACAUCAUCCAGGAUCCUAGGAAAGUCCAGUUAACCUCCUGCUCGAUGCAAUUAAUAAAUUUGGUCAAUGCCACUGAAACUUGCUAACUGACGUCACAAUGCGACAUGAGCACUUCAAAAUGGGACAGACGGUCAGUGGCACUAAAUUUUUCUUGCCUAAGAUUGAGCAAUUGGUCUAACUACUAAUCCCCCAGAUUUAAGAAUCUUUUGAUGAUAAUUUAUCACCUGCAGCUGUGCCGGAAGAUUCAAGUAGCACUGAAAAAUAUGAUAAUUUAAUUGAUAUGGACAGUUUCCAUAUCACUUUUAAAUCAUCUUAUGUAAUUGUAAUGUUAGGAAGCAUUAGUGAUCUAAAAGUGAACUAUUAUUGGUGUCAUUGGUGGUUUUAUCUUGUUAAAAUAUGGAUGACUUCCUGUUACUAUUUUAUUGUAGACAAUCUUAUUCAAUUAACAUAAGGUUUAAAACCAUUAUGUUUUAUGUAAAUCAAUCUAUUAAUUUUCAUGAUAUUUAACUGAGUUAAAACCAAGUGCACUCAAUAAAUGUCUUUUCCUUUAAAAAAACUACUACGCUUUGAUUUUAGUGCUUAAUAUUUCGUAACUACAGAUUAUCUAAUUGCGAGUUGCUGUCCAUAGCUGCUAAUUUGUAGUGAUUAUCUAAUUGACUGAGGUGACAAUAAUUCUUUUAUUUUCAAUAGCACAAUGUGGAAUUCAAUAAUUAAAUUCUCCUAUUUAAUUUGUUUCAAGUUAAAUUAUUAAUUACUUAAACUCUGUUUUAAGUCUUUAAUUUUAUGUGUUUAUGCAGAAUUGGAUUCUUGAGCGUGUUGGACACGACCAACAAUGAAAUUGAUAGUAAACAAACAUUACAACGUGUGGACUCCGGUAAGCACCAAUGAAUGUCUAGCCCCGUUGACUCCGCCAACUAAAGUUUUGUAAAAUUAAAAAAAAAAAUACAUAGAAUUCCACCAAAUGCAAAACGCGUGAAAUUUAAUUUUCGACCGUGUGGACCAAAACAUAAUUUAACAAAAAAGGAAAAAAUGAUAAGAUUUUUAAAAUGUGUGGAAGGUGAUCCAUAUUUUACUGAAACGACUUGUUAAAUUUUUCAAGGAUUUAGAAUAUUUGGUCAUAAAUUACGUGCAUGUUAAUUUUUCCGCCAUUGACUAUCAUAUUCUAGACUUAAUGGUACCUUUCUUGAUGAAGGGUACUUAGUCUCUCUUCUCCUCUUAUAAAAAUUAUAUUAAUUGAUUUCUUGUUAUAGUUAAUAGUCUUUAAGAACGGAUAGAUUUAUUGUUUUCAUGACCAAAUUAUGCAUGCCUAAGGUUGUAACUACUAAUAAAAUUAAUAUUUAAUGUUUAUGUUAAAAGAUAUAAGUUUUUAUGCAUUCAUUAAUUGUUAUUAGCUAAAGGAUGAAAUAUUUUUUCCCAAUCAGUUGAUGCAUCUGCAAGAGUUUUUUUUUUUCUUUUAUUGACCAUAAUUAUAUUCCGGGUACAAUAAAUUGUCUUUGGUGCUUGGAAAAUAUGACACCUCUCUGUCAACUUACUGGAAAUAUCUCCUCAUCUACUCUCAUUUAUCUAAUAUGAAUUGAAGAUCUCAUAUUUCCAAACUAUGACUUCCAAAUCUCAUUAUCAUUUGAGCAUUCAAAACUAAUCAAGUGUGGAAAUAAUCAAAUAUAUGCAAAAAUCGAGUCACAAUCUUUGGCCCCUCAAAAUUCUAAUUAUAUAACUUCUAUAUAUCUCAUACAUUUUCCAAAUUCCUCUUCCAUGAACAUCACUAGGAGUAUGUUCAUCUCUCACACAUUAACUUGAGUGAAGAGUUUCCAAAUUGAUUAUUAGAAAACAAUACAAAAGCUAGACACGUUUGAUCUGUCUAAUAAUUCUCUUUCGGUAAAAUUAAUUAAUUUUAGGGGAAUUCAGCCAACCUCUGUAAUUUCAGAGUGAUCAUUAAUUAAUUAAACAAUACAAAUAUCUAAAGUGAUUAGAUGUUUGCCGACAAUACAAGUUCAUGGCUUGAAAUUUGAUCUCUAUCAAUUGGUUUACAAAUGGACUCACUUGUGCCUUUGUGGUGAUAAUUGAACCAGAGAUGUGAAGCUGUAAGGAUUUGGCUGUAGUCAAUUGUUAUAAAGACAUAAAGACAACUUCCCAUGAUUAUUAUUUUUUUCCAAGAACUAUUUUACAACAAAUUCAUCUCGCCAAAAAUUCUAUUUUGCUAACUAACAAUAAUUGAGCACUUGACCGCAUUGACUCCACGUCUCCAGCUACUUUCUAAGUAAAAACAUGGAAAUGUAAUCUCCACAAAAUGCCAAACGUGUGGAAUUUAAUUUUUGGCCUUGUGGACCAAAAUGCAAAUGAAAGAAAAAGAGGGAAAAAAACAAGGCUCAAAGACUUCUAAAAGAUGUAAAAGUCUUUGGGCUUUUUUAUAAUGGUGGAUUUUUUAAAAGGAAAAAAUAACAACACUUCUAUGGUUUGUUUUAAUAAUCACAUUUACAUAUAUUCUCUAAUUUUCAAAAUGGACACAUAAAUCUUUUUUUUUCUACAAAUGUAUAUUAUUCGUAUUUUUUAUUAUUUUUAAUAUCAUAUUGUUAUUUAUUAUAAAUGUUUAAAGUAAAUUUUUAGGUUGAAAUAUAAUAAAAAGGUAUAAUCGUUCUCAUAUUAAACACCCAUACUUUUAGUUUCUAUCCAUUUGUCAUUUCAAUCUCCCUCAAUUAUUCUUUAUUGCUAGCUCAAAACGCAUCGCUGUUGAAAAUUAUAGCAAAAUGACAAAUAUGGAAAAAAAGGGAAGAAAAUUAAUGCAUGAAAGACUUGGAGAAAACAACCAAAUAAGUCAACUAUAAGCAAGCUGGGUGUAUAAAUUGUUAGAUGUGUUAUAAACAAAUACGUAUAAUGUUAAAGAUAUAGUUAGAAUGGGUGGUUCAAAAUCAAAAAUGGUGAUAAUGUUUGUUCUGCUCUUAAUAAUAUUUGAAGGUGGGUGGAGUGAGGGAUGUUUGAAUCAUGAGAGAUUUGCUCUUUUGCAACUUAAACUUUUCUUCACUGAUCCUCAUAAUUAUCUUCUCGAUUGGGUAGAUGAUGAGGGAGCUACUGAUUGUUGUCAGUGGGAAAGGGUUGAGUGCAGCAACACCACAGGUCGAGUGAUAAAACUUGACCUUGCUUUUACAAGGAAUAAUUAUUUGGAAGAGUACAGAGACUUUGUACACAAUCCGGGAGAGUAUCUGAAUGCUUCUUUGUUUACUCCCUUUCAACAACUUGAGUCACUUGAUUUAACUAACAACAACAUAGCCGGUUGUGUUGAGAAUGAAGGUGCUUCGUUUAAUUUAAUUAAUUUACUUUCUCCCCCCUAAUUUAAGUUGACUAUCAAGACCGAGCAAUUAGACGCAUAUUCAUUUAGUCGACAAUUUUCACUUUUUUUAAAUGAUUAAUUUUGAAAUUACACCAGUAUCUAUAAUCAUUUUUUUAUUUUACUUGCAGGUAUAGAGAGGCUAUCAAGAUUGAACAACUUGAAGAUGCUUAAUUUAAGUGAUAACUCGUUCAACAAUAGCAUUUUAUCAUCUCUAACCCGUCUUUCAUCAUUAAGAUCAUUAAAAUUAUCUGACAAUAGAUUGAAAGGAAGUAUUGACUUUAAAGGUACAUAAUUAAAACUUCAUCCCUUCUCCAAGCUCUUUCAUUAACUUGCUAAAAUAAGAUUCAAGGCUUUGAAUUCAAUUUUUUUAUGAUUAGUAUUAAAAAAAACAGUUUUAAGCAAUUUAUAAAUACAAGUUUUAAUGGUUAUCGUAAUUUCAUCUUGUAAUUUCAUGUCUUGAAUUUAAGAUUAAAAAAAUAACACUAACAGCGAACCAAACACCUCCACAACUUAUUAUUAUUAUUAUUAUUAUUAUUAUUAUUAUUAUUAUUAUUAUUAUUAUUAUUUUAAUUUGUUGUGAGGUUUGAAACAUUCAACUCAAUUUGUACUUACUACAGAAUUUGAUUCUUUGAGAGAUUUAGAGGAGCUAGACAUUGGCUGGAACAAGAUUGACAAAUUUGUGGUCUCAAAAGGUACUACAAAUACCAUAUAAAAAUGCUAACUUAUACAAAUUAGUUGGAUUCUUUGCCAUUUGGUUUAUUAUUUUACAGGUUUGAGUAAGUUGAAGUCUCUCGGUUUAAGUGGUAUCAAACUCAACCGUAGCAUCUUAUCUUCUCUUUCUUCAUUAAGAGAAUUAGAUAUAAGUGAUACGGGAUUCAAAGGAACAUUCGAUGUUCGAGGUAAGCCUAAGCCUUGCUUUCUCAUUUUAUAUAUGCCAACUAGAUUUGUGUAUCAUCGACAUAAUUUAAUAGUUAAUUUGAUAAGUCUGAAGGAAUUACAUGCUAAUUUAAACAUACUUUUAUUUACUUUGUCAAUUAAUUAAUUUAUUAAUUACUAUUUGGCUUGGUUUGGACGAAAUUCUCAUGAUGUUUUAAUUUCUUUAAAUUAAUUAAUUAAUUAACUCUGUUUUUAAGUCUUAAGUCUGGGCAUGUUUGCAGAAUUUGAUUCCUUCAAUAACUUAGAAGAAAAAUAGAAAAAGUCGAGCAAGAGACUCUCGCCCUAUUUUAAGAUGAGAGUAGCGAUCACUUACCUGAUCUACGACCUACUAUCUACGCGUACCAGCCUUCCUUUGUUUUGCAUCACGAGAUGGACUCUUCGCCCAUCCCCUAAGGUCUUUCAAAUUAUACCUAAUUGGGGAGAGGACCCACCAGGAGUCCAACUCCAGAUUGGUGGCUAAUGGGCCUCGCGUAUCCUGCCUUUUCGUAGAAUGCAACGCUUAUACGUUCACUGAGGAAUGAAAUCCUAUCUUUUAUCCGAGCUAGGGAUCAGAAAGCAAGAAGGUGGGGGUCAGAAAUGAGUAGCGUAGGUGAUACCGAUAGGGUGGUUGGAUACGCGACAGCAACGGCAAGGCACUCUUGACCCCGUCCGUAGAGGGUCGGUACGAAUGAGACUGUGCUAGAGAUCGCAGUGAGCAAGUAUGCCUUGUUGACUGGGUGUUGGUUUUGAAACAAGGAUGAGUCCCUCAGGGAGUCCGUCCAAGCUUCAGCUACUAAUGCCUGGGCUAACUUCUUGGGGGUGAACAAAGUGCUCUGAGUCUGAGAUCGAUACUGGUUAACGCCACAAGUGCUCUGCCAUUGGUCUACACACAGAGUCAUCAGGUAAAGUCAGAGCUUGGACUGGGAAUGAGAUCAGAAGAGGCUAGGCUACUAGGGAAGAUAGAAGCGAUCCACAAAUCAAACCACUAUCCCAUUGGCCGCUUCAUGCGCCGAACACUCUUAAUAAGAAGCUUUAUUUUAUAAGGUAUGUGUCUAUGCUCUCGAUACACGGCUUGAGAAGGCGGCUCCUUUUUAUUCUUCCUAUAGGAGCUACUCCUGAUUCAGUCAAUCAGAACAAGCCUUCGGACCUACCAACCAAUCAAACUAGCUUGAUGCGGAGGCAAAUACCCAGGGAUACUAUAGCUCAACACACGCCUGGCCGGGGGGAAGGAAGCCCUCGAAGCGAGCUCCGUACCAAAUAGCUGUGGAGAGAGAGAAGCCAAACUCUACCGCACUGAAGAGCGAGAUAAAUAACUGACAUCCUUGGUUGAUGAUCCUCGUCGGUGGAAGGGAAAGCGCGAUGAAAGGCAAGUCGGUAGUAGGUCCAAUGGAGAGAGGAAUUGAGAAGAGAUAGGGUCCGCUUUCUAGGCUGACGUUGGACAGCUGUUGGAUAGCCCCGACCUACACAAGUGGUUUUAGAAUGAACUCACAUUUUGAAAUGUUCUGUUAGGUUCUUAGUAGCAGUCGGCGAUCUUUUCUUCUUUUACUUCACAUAGCUUUUCGUCUCCUUGAUAGCUGGAAGUUCUCCAAAAGUAUGAAAAGCUGGAGGACUUUGUACCAUCCAUUCCGGUGUGGUUGGAUUCUGUUCAACAGCCCAAGGACUUGGAGCACAUCUUUUGUUAUUUCCACUGCUUGAAGUGAUUGUUACGACCACGAAGAAACGACGAAUCCCAACUACGGAUAUAUAAGAGCCAAAACUGCUAAGGGCAUUCCAUCCAGCGUAAGCAUCUGGAUAAUCUGGAAUGCGACGUGGCAUACCCGAAAGCCCUAAGAAAUGCAUGGGAAAGAAGGUCAGAUUAACCCCGAAAAAAGUGAUCCAAAAAUGGAUUUGCCCUAAAGUUUCAGGGUAUGUCCGACCAAAGAUUUUACCACCCAAUAGUGAAAUCCUGCAAAUAAAGCAAAAACGGCUCCCAUAGAAAGUACAUAAUGGAAAUGUGCAACCACAUAAUAAGUAUCAUGUAGAGCAAUGUCUAGCCCAGAAUUUGCCGGGACUAUUCCAGUGAGUCCUCCUAUAGUGAACAAAAAGAUGAACCCUACAGCAAAUAACAUGGGUGUUUUGUAUUGUAUCGAACCCCCCCACAUGGUAGCGAUCCAACUAAAGAUUUUGAUUCCAGUGGGGACAGCUAUGAUCAUGGUAGCUGCGGUGAAGUAGGCACGGGUAUCAACGUCUAAGCCCACAGUAAACAUAUGAUGAGCCCAAACAAGAAAUCCAAGAACACCUAUACUGAUCAUGGCAUAAACCAUGCCUAGAUACCCGAAGACCGGUUUUCCCGAAAAAGUCGAAACGAUAUGACUUAUGAUACCGGAUCCAGGCAGAAUGGGAAUAUACACCUCUGGAUGACCGAAAAACCAAAAGAGAUGCUGGUAUAAUAUGGGGUCUCCCCCUCCAGCGGGAUCAGAAAAGGUUGUAUUAAAGUUUCGAUCGGUUAAUAACAUGGUAAUUGCCCCCGCCAGUACCAGAAGUGAUAAUAAAAGUGGGAAUGCUGUCACUAGAACGGACCACACAAAUAGGGGUGAUCUAUGCAUAGUCAUUCCAGGUCCACGCAUGUUGGAGAUUGUUGUUAUAAAAUUGAUAGAACCUAAAAUGGAUGAAACACCAGAUAGAUGAAGACUAGAAAUUGCUGAAUCAACUGCUCCUCCAGAAUGGCUGGUAAUACCACUUAAGGGCGGAUAGACCGUCCACCCAGUGCCGCUACCCACUUCUACUAAGGCUGAGCUUAAUAGGAGCAAGAGACUUGGUGGCAACAACCAGAAUGAAAUAUUAUUUAAUCGUGGAAAUGCCAUGUCAGGUGCACCUAUCAGAAUCGGAACAGACCAAUUACCAGAUCCACCUAUCAUCGCCGGCAUAACCAUAAAAAAGAUCAUUAAAAAAGCGUGAGCCGUUAUUAAAACAUUAUAAAGUUGAUGAUUCCCACCAAGAAUUUGAUCGCCGGGAUGUGCUAAUUCCAUACGAAUCAAUACUGAGAAGCAUGUGCCCAUCACUCCAGCAAUGGCACCGAAGAUGAAAUAGAGAGUCCCUAUAUCCUUGUGGUUAGUGGAGAACAGCCAUCGAACCGGAUUUGUCAUAAAAUUGAGAUUCUUUCGUUUCCUUCCUUAUCAGAGAGGGGCCCCUUAGGGAGCGGGGCUUCUUUAUUGAAAAAGGGGGAGUGAGGGGGGAAGGAGCGAAGCGAAAGCGGGGGGGUCCGGAAAGCCCUUACUUUAUUGAUGGGACAUUUUGAUCCCCUUUUCCUCUCACCCCCCGUUCUGGUUCAGGAUUCAGGAAAGGGUCAACGCAAGGAUCUUACUUCGAAGCAAUCUCUGGAGUUUUCCCUUAUCCGAACGGGUCUUGCAAGAAAAUAGGAUUUCAUAUUGAGCUCCAAAUAUACGCUAUUGGGAUAGGAUGGCUCCUACUAUAUCUCCCCCCCCCCUAAGAACCGCACGUGCGAGUUCCCCUGCAUACGGCUCAAGUGGCGAAGGCACUUUCCUUCGCGCUUGAUAAGCGCUUCGCUGUAGCCAAGCUUACUGCUAGCCUAUCGGCUAGAGCCAAGCUUCGACCCCGACUGCUCGUCGCUUCUGGCCGCCUUAUUCCGUCACCCGAGAUCCAAGUCAGCACCGGAAAAAAGAUCUUGAUUCCUCGCGGCCGGGCCGGCUUGGAAGCAAGCUACUUGUCGCCUAUCUCACCCCCUUUCUUAUUAUUAGUAAGAUAGGGUGCCCCUUUCUCUAAUAAUAAGGUAAGCUUCUCUGAAUUCCGCUGGGUGAGCCUUCGCUUUUUGGAUCGUCUUCUGCCCAAUGCGGUACCCUCCCGUUUGUUUUUAGGUUCCCAUUGGGUUUACCUUGUUUACAGGUCGAUCCCAUGGCAGCAAGAAAAGGUGAUCUUGUGCUAUACUCCGGUGAUCUCUUUCCUACCGAGGCACGCAAACUCCCAUCGUGUCCCAGAUCAUAUUUCGUGAAUCGAAAGGGGAAGCCUCCUCAUCCAUCAGCUCCUCUCGUAGAUCAGUGCGGUUUUACGAAGCGUCUAAGCACAGUUCACUCGCGUUGAUCAAUCAAGAGCUUUGCCGCCACUCCUUAAGGUUACCUGUUGUAUCAUACACUUCUUGCAUUCUUUCCCACGCUUCAUACCCCCCUCUAGCUUCCGCACGGAGCGGUAAGGUAAAGGGCCAGGCAUGGUGGGGUCGGAGCAUCCUGUCAGCAAUCUUUUUGGCUUGACCAAGAAGUCUUAUGUCCUCCGAGUCGCGCGGCGUUUUAACCGAAAGAACUUCUUGCGCAAUUCAUGCCUUUCUGUUUUUAUGACCAGAAAUUUUUUCUUGAUUUCCAUUUCAAAUUGUUCUCUGGACUUUUUAUCAAUAUGAGGUGAUCGUAACACAGUAUAUAAGACUCGUGAUUCAGGCAAUCCAAUCUUUCGUGUGUAAGGCGGAAGAGCCUGGUUUUCCAAAAAUGGGUGAUCAAAAGAUCGAAUCACUAUGCGUAUCUUGGUGGUCGUUACUUUUGGUGGUCUUUCUUUUCUUUUUGGCUGACUCCUCCUACUCCUCCUUCUCUUAUCCUCUAUAUAGCUCGUCGUUGGUCCUUUUUUUUUACAUAACAUUCUCAGCCGCUCAAGAGUCAAGAGACUGACUAUCUCUCUCUUUACGCAAUUUCAAAAAUGAAGUAGCAGAGUGACUACUGAUUUUGGACGCGCUGAGUUAUUUAAGCAAAGCCUUUUUUGAUCUUGUUAUUCUAAAUUAUUUUAUUGUCUUUGCUCAACUUCGUCGAGCCUUGUACCCAGGUACACGGAACACUAACAGAAUCUCUGUUCAAACAAAAACGACAAGCAAACCCGAAAACUAAAGGGUCACCUUCUCUAGCAAGCAAGUAGACUUUUCUCUGAGCCCCAGGGUAGCAAAGCUAGCUCUUCGUAUCAUUGGCAUUGGGCAGGUGAACGGGAACCUGGCUACACAACUACUCUUACUCUAGCAGAGGAUCUAGUUCCACACCAAUCUGCUUAUCUUAUAUAAGAUAAAAUAGAUAAACUUAGCGUACCUACAACCGCUUGUGCCCUCUUGCUUUAGCUACUUACUCGGGAACUAGCUUCGCACCUCACCCCGGGAACUCAAGGGUGCGUAGCUUGCUUGUUGAAGGGGUGUUUCCGUUCCUCCGUUGUGGGAUAGUUUUUCCCUAGUUCGGUCCUAUAAGAAGAGUUCUCUAGAUAUCAACUCAUGGUACUCCCCGGGCCCCUAACAACAAAACUCAUAGGUUAGCUACAGCAGUUCUAGCAUCAGCUUCUCGAGGGCCUAAAAGAACCUCUUUCGUCAUUCGAAAGUGGCAUUUUAGCUCCUUUUCGUGAAACAGAUCGGAGAUCAGGUCUUAUCGAUUCAUACGAUUUUCAUACGUCUUUUUCCCACAUUAAUAAACCCCUUUUUUCUUUAACACGCUAGUGCCCAGAUCUUCUUCUUUUGUCUUUGAGCCUGCCUUUAGGUAGCGGCAUGGAAGUCCCCCUUCUUCUCAAGCAGGAAGCCCGCGUAUUCUUAUUCUAAUGUCCAUUGGAGCUUCUCUUUUCUUCCCGCUAUCUGGCUGUUCUAUUUAGACGUCUGUUCCCCAGUCUUACUUUCUCAUGCCCGCUUUCGCUUCACUCCUUUCUACUUCUGUUACAGUAGCUAUAGUUGUAAUGGCGGUUAUGCAGGUCCCCUUCUCAUUGAGUAGCCUAUACUCUGGAAUUGAAGUAGCGAAAUCGGCCUUAGCAUAGAACGUUUACCGCUUGCCUUACUAUUACUAAUAAUCGGGAAUCAGAACAGGCAACUAUGAGACUAAUUUAUCAUUGCCCCGAGCAAGUUACUGCGUACCUGAAGUGAGUGUGCCCAUCUUGGUCUCCUUUCUUUUUUCUUUGCAGCUGCCAUAAAAGUAAAGCCUUAGAUUCUAACAGGAAUCUCACCGCCUGCUCCCCUUAUAAUUAUAAGAUACUCGCUACUAAGGUUCUGAAAGAAGGCAGCUAAAUCAGCAAUAGAAGAGAACUCCAGAUCUAUGAAUAGCCAACAAAGAGCCUAGCUUUAUUACUGGAACUAAACAGCAAGCUGCUCCUACCUUACUUAUCGAGAAGGAGUACUUGGACUGAGUAGACUUCUUGUAGUUCUCUUUCCCCUAGCAACCUUUCCUGCUUUCCCGGUUGCAAGGUUUCGAGCUAACUACAGGAUUUGCUUCCUAGCUAAUAAUACUAAUUAGUAGUAUUGAACUUCGAACUAAAGAUUUUUUUUAGUUAACGGGCAGGUAAGGGCAAUGAAGGAAGCCGUUAGGCUUGAGACGAAACGGAUUCUAUGGAUUGAGUCUGGCAGUGAUGUUAGUUAAGUCCACUACCUGGGGCUUGUCUUGCUUGAGAACCCGUUUGGAACAAUCUGGAUUUUCCCCUUGUGAGUCACUCGAAUUCUUCUAUUUAUCAUUCUUUCAUGAAUAGAAAGAGAAAGAUCUCCGCUUCGUCUUUCUUCCAAGAAAAGAUCCCAAGCCAUUGAUAUUGGUCAUGCGUGGGCUUUCACUCAAUCUUUCACUAUGAUAUGAAAGGCAAGCAGGAAUUUCACCACUAAUGGGCCAGCGCUUGGCGCUUACUCUAGCCCGUGUUUCUAGGAUACACCUAUUAAUUAUAUAUAAUAGUUUCCCCGAUAUUCGUGGCUUUCCCCUUACUUAUUACUUAUAAGUAGAUCGGUUGAGAUAAGUAGAUUGGUUGAGGCCCGACCCUUUCCUUUGGGGUUGCCGACCUUGAUGCCAUAGUGUUUAGGGGGCUGAGCGGGAAACCAACACGUUGUGGAAACGGAAUAGAGCUUUUCCCUUGAUGGAUGUUAUCCAAUAAAAGCACACAAUCAGUGAGAUGAGCCUGCCAGCUCAGCCUUGGCCCUAUGCCUUUUGGCCAGCUUGACUUCUGACCGGUCGAUCCCGCCCCCUCUUGCAACGAUUCGGCGCCUCCACUUGAUGCUUGACGCCCACGCUUCGUUCAGGCAGCGCUCCUCGGAUAUGUCUUGCCAAUCGCCAGAGCGGUGCCACUUCCAGGAUUUGGUGCGGCCAGCUCGGGAACCUUCCCUGGAGUGAAAGGGUACAUGGAUCGGUUCCUCCACCAGAGGUCAGCUGAAGCGGAUUGGUCAAAAAGAAAUUUUCUGGCUUUGCCUCAUACCCGGUAUAACUACCAUUUUUACUUUGAUAUGCUUCUUACUUCCUUACAAAGUUGCAAGGAUCCCUUCUUGCAUUCCCUCCUUAUUCAAAAGGAAUUUAUUCGAAUAUCUAGUUGAUAAAUGUUCAUGAGCACGGGGUUGCCUUGCCUGAGACCUCUACUACUGCCGUGGAGGGUAAUUGAUAACAAUGGAAUAUUUUAGGUUAGUAAUGCAGACCCUUAUCCAUUCGAUCCACUUCUGAGGGAAUCACAUAGCCAGCAUGGCAGCUUCCCGGAAUCCCCAGUCAACACUGUCGAACGCUUUCCUCAGGUAAAUUUGCACACACAUCCUGGCUUUCCCUUGCGGAAGGUGGAAUUUUUUUAGCAUAUCGUGACAAAGCAAGAUGUUAUCCUGGAUGCAUCGCCUUUGUUGUUUAUACCUAGCAGGAGCAGCAAAGACGAAGGCUGAAGCAUCACUAGAGGUAUCUAUUGAGCUUUCUCCUCUUUUUGCAUUAGCCCAGUCACUUCCUUUAUGGAAUGGGUUCACCAGCACGCGGAGGUAAGUAGUUUACUGACUCAGUUCUUUUACUAAAAAAGGAGAAGGGAAGGGGGUGCUAUGAAUAGAAAUUUUGAAUUGCAUAUGCUCUCGAUCGACCUAGGCCUAAAAGGAAUCCGGCUACUCAAUCGCCAGAGAUAGAAAUAAAAGAUCUAAGCUUGCUUUAAUCAUUCGAAAGCGAUGCUCAUUCCAGGGUUUCAAGGCUUGGAAAUAGAUCUUAUUUAAGACAAAAAGAAGUGAGCAUAACCAUCUUCAAGCUCCACCCCGGGAUUUUAGGUGUGAACUCACUUUAGGGAAAUGAGGCUUAUAACCAAUCGAUUCUUCACCCACGUAAGCUCGCCCUGUCACCCUCGCUCUGGUUCGAGAAUCAUGUCACCCUCGCUUUCCGCUUCUGGAAGAUCAAUGACUAAUAGAUAAAGGGCUGUGGAACUAUAGACAAUAGGCGGUAACCUCUCUUGAUCCGCGAGUAGAGCACUUGAACUACUCAGAAAGAGCUGGUUGGCUCAAUUCAAAUAGAAAGAAAAAUAGACACCCAUCUUCUUGGCGAGCUAAUCAGGAGACAUACAAAACCAGCAAUCCAAGUUUUGAAGGGAGGCGGCUGCCUGCAGUCACUAAAGGAAGGGGCUUGGUGGUCUUAUUUUAUUAUCUAUAAAAGAUAGCAUCUCUUCCUGCUGUUCGAAUCAAAACGAUUAGGGACAACCGCUCGCUUCGAGGCAGGUUAAAAAGCAUAGGCCAUAGCUUCUACCUCUCCUGGAUCAUUAUGCUCAUCUGGAAGCGGUUUUUGCUAGGAUGAAUGCUACUUCUAUGUAUUUCCCAUCGCAUUUUCAUAAGGUUUCAUAUCCUUCUUUUUCAAUCUUUUAAUGAUGCUUGCCAAUUCUAAUCCAGGGGAGCACUUAGAUCGCAGAUUUUCGCAAAACGACCUCGCGUAGCCAGUUCAGGUAUAAAUUUGAAUAGGUUUACCAAAAGUUUUCCCUAUUUUGAGAAGAACUUCACUGUCGAAGUACUCAAUAGGGAGCUCAGGUAAACGGAUCCAAAGCGCAGUUUUAGUGACCGUUGCCAAGGAAGGCCUAAAAUCAGGGUGCUUCGAAAAGUGAGAUAAUGGUUUGCUAUCAUCCAAGGUCCCCCAGUAAGAGCUCUUUUGUAAUCCUCCCCAUCAGUUAAGGAUGGUCGUGGCCCAGGUCAAUGAAGUCAACUCCCCACUUGGUCUCCACAUUUUAAAAAUUUUCUCAUGGAUAAAUUUGUACUAAACUUUCUUACCCAGAACCUUAACUAUAAGAAAGAGACUUCCUCCAUGGUUGAAAAAUUCUCCUUUUCUUUUAGUUUCCCCAUUACCAUUAAUGUUGAUCACAAGGGGACAAUUCGAAGGGCCCUGGUUAUGGAUUUGCUGCUGCUGCUCAUCUUCUUCCUACUCGUCUGAUUUAAAGCCUUCAGACUCCGGUUCCGAGAUCUCAAGAUAGUAUGAGCCCUUGUGCUGUACCUGCAUGAGAACGAACAUCACGAAAGGACAGUGGUUGAUUACCGUCUUCCUUUGAUCGCUUCCAUGGUCCGGGACUCUUCCCAAGGUCCGGAGGUAGCUCACAAAGGUCGCCAUUAACUGUUUCAGUCGUCACAGAGGUCGCCAUUCCUUAGCCCCUCAUUGGUUGUUAGGCAUUUGUCACUUCUUCUAUUUCAUUUCCAUAGCGAUUCACUCAACAUAGAAAAGCAACUAGAGCAGAGCUCGUAUCCGGCCUAAAGCUCUUGAACUAUAGGAGGGGUCUAGCAUACUGAAACAUAAAUGUAGCUAUAAAGCCUUUUUGAGCAUCUUCCUUGCGAUCUCCUUAUCCUAUAUCAGAACACUUUUUCACUUUUUUUUGCUAUCACAAUAAAUUGCCAUAGAUCGAAAGUGAGUCCAGGCUUAGUGCUUCCGCCUAUCCGGCAGCCGUUACCAGCUGUUCACCACUCCUCCCUUCUAUGCUCCGUGGGUCUUUUGUUACCUAAUUCCCUUAAACACGGAAUUGCUCCUAGUCUUUACCCAAGAGAUGUCCCUGAGACUCAAUAAGAAAAUUGUCUCUUUGCUUAGCUUAAGCACAAGAUUCGACAGUUGUGAUUCCGUCUUGGAUUGAGCUUUCUCACUCUUUCUAUGCCUCUUCCUGAAGUGAACGAAUACAUCUCUUUCUGACGUGAAUGAACGCGAUUCUCUAAUAAGACCCAAUCUUAUUGAGUCAAGUAGAAGAUUCUUGUAGAAAUUUUUUUUGAUUGACUUACUCCAACAUCAAGGUGGAUUUAGCUUGGAUUAAUAGAGAUUAAUAGAACAGACGGGAACUAAACAGAUAGGAAUGCCCGACACAAUGCGGCUACUAGAAAAACGUAUAUUAGAUACACCAUUUCUUUGUCACGUGCAUAGCCCUGCUCCUUGUCUUUGAAAGUCCGUAGCAAUGGACACUAUAUAAUUCCUUGUCGCUCUCGUACGCACCAACCCUUGCCUUGUCUCUCGAACCCUUGCUUCUCUCUUGUGCUCCCUAGAGCUAAGUAAGCAAUUCUCUCUCCUCUCUAGCCGUGGCCGCUAGGAAUUGCUUUCGCUCUUCUCUCUCUGGGGUGCUGGUGGUCGAUAGUUGUAUGUAAUGUUGAGGAAAGAGAUUCGGAUGAAAGAGGUACGACGGGAUAUUCCUCCCCGGUUCGGAACUAAACGUUGAGCGGCGGAUCAAGUAAAAGCUGGCAAUCCUCCACCUAACAACUCCUCCUUUACAGUAUCAGCUGUUAAUAAGCUCUAAUAGACAACCAACCCCAUCUAUUCUUGAUAAACCGGGGCACCUUUCCUAUGUGUCAGUGCCAUUUUUCUCUAAGGCUUAAAGUGAAUCUGUCAUAGCUUGUUGCCAGCAGAGCUGGCCCACGGCUUCCGAAAAGGUUUGAGGUUCCCGCAUGAACACUGGCAAGAAAGGCACGAUCUUUGGGAGAAAACGAGUUAUAGGAUCCAUAGGAUUUUUCAUGCGAGAAGACCUACGUACCUCAGUAGAGGGUAGAUAGGAUCUGGAGACAAGGAAGAUGAUGUAGAGGUAGUAGGUUGGCCAGCCUGAUCCAUCUCAGAUGCCUUGCACUUUUUUAGCGCCUAGUGUAAACCGGAGUGGCAGGUCGGCUAGAAGGAGACGGCUCCUCAGUGGGACCAGAUGAAGAAAGCUCCCCUUACUAGUAAAGGGGGUCCGAGGUUCAGGAUAUGAAAUAAAGCAACUUGACGUAACAGAAAAAAGCGUAAACCGAGUUGAAUCAUAAAAUCAAGUUUCAUCCCCAACUGAGGAAAUGUAAUUGUUAAGGUCGGUAACCUGUGGCUACCUCAGGACUAUCUGACUACACUACUUGCGUUAAGGCGCUGAAGCCGGAGUUUUCUUGGUAGGGGUUAGCUUAUUCCCAGACGAACCAGCCCAGUAAGAGAGAUUCCCCCAGACACCAAUACCUGCGGGAACUAGUAGCCACACUACGGCGUAUGAGAAAUUCCCUGACGGCUUCCCUUAACCGUAGGCCACAGUUGCUUCCUUCGCUCUUGAAUCUAAAACCAUAUCUGGUUUCGCCUCCCCUUGGAGCGACCCUUCCGAAACAGCAUUCUAGCAACUUCGUUUUCAUCCAGCGUUCUCACCAACCAGUGAGCCGUCACAGAGUCUCCCGCUAACUCAUGCCAAACCCUUAUGAAGGUAUCCGACUUUUUCCAAUUCUUUGUGACUUCAUCAGUCUAGCAAUAGCAGCAUGCCAGUAUUUUGCCCUAACUACGAAGCUUGAGUCAUGUCUUCGCCCGUGAACGCAACAGGACGCGGUCGUCUAACUCGACUUCCGCAGCGAGUCUCAUUGCAGCUCUCUCCUGCAGUAGUGAAUUUUUUUUUAUUUUACUUCAAAGAUUUUUUUUCUCACAAGAUGCUUGUUUUGCAGAGGGGUGAAAGUUUUGAAGAAAUAGAAGAAGAAAGAAAGAGUAGUAGCCAUGAUCGAUUUCCUCUGCGCAGGAGCUUGGGAUUUGAGAGUAAGCAUGACUCUGAGAAGAUCUCUGAUUGUGAUCAAUUGGGUCUCACUCAAAUCUUGGUAAUAACGAAUGACUUGCUUGAUUUCUCUGCAUCGGCUCGUGAAAUCUUGGAUGAUCUUAUCAAGUUCAAUUGAACUAAGAAUGUCGAUUGCUCUGUCGUAAUAGUUUGUGGUCACUCCAAAGCUUCCAUGGCGGAAUCAGUACCCCCCUCCACUGAACUACGGAUGCCUGUACGCAACCCCAUGAAGCAACCGAAGAUCCAUUGAUCGCUUUUUCGACACCCGUAAUUUUCCUGUAAAAGAAAGAAAAUCCCGGAAACUCAGAUUCUUCAUUGUUGAAAAAUCUUAUAAAAAUAAGUAAUUUAGGAAUUUUCAUUACUGGGAACACGUCGCUAGCCUAAGGCGGGCUUCGCUAUCCUCCCGAAGCUGGUAUUUUCCAAUGUAAUGGUUUUUGACCACUCACUUAUAUGAGUACAAGGGGCUUGACUAUAUUUUUUUUACUUUAUGUAAUUAAGUUUAGCUGGAGGGUCCAUCUAGCCACCCUAAUUAACCCGGUUGAGGAUAACACAUUAUUAAAUCCGAAUGAUGAUUUCAUAAUCAAUCAUAGAGGUGUGAAAUGGCGUCUUUUCAGAAGUCAGAUAGCCCUUGAAGGUGUUAGCGCACACCCUUUUUCUAUCAUAUAAAUUUAGCUCCGAAGGCAACCCGUCGCGUCCUCGUCACGGCGUUAGCAGCCAUUGACGAUUAUUGAAGACUAAGCUAGUUGGCCUAGAAUGGAGCGCAUACUACUUCUUUGAAAUCGCGAACAUCUUACUCUUACCUUUCUUCUUAGUCUGAUCCGGGAGUGUUGGACAUGAGGUACAAUGAAAUCGACAAUCUUGUGGUUCCUCAAGGUAAACAAUUAAAAUAUUAUUCAAUUACAUUAUUUUAAUUCAUUUGAUUAGGGAAGGCCAAAAAGGUCCAAAAUAAUAAUAAUAAUAAUAAAGAAACAAAUAAUUUGUAUUAUUUAAAAAACAGAAUGUAAUAAAGAUUUGAUUCCAGUUCUUUAAUCUUUAAAGCGAUUGAAAAACAAUGUUGGACUUUUCCCAAAGCAUAAAAUACGAAUUGAAUGCCAAUUAACUUAAUCAUUCAUUUCGUUUAGCUCUAAAUUUAGACAAUGAAUUUUUAUAUUAUUUCAAAAACAGGACGUAAUAGAAUUUUUUUUAAAAACAGAUUGUAAUAAAGAUUUUAUUCCAAUUCUUUAAUCUUUACUGCGAUUGAAAAACGAUACUACUUCCCAAAGCAUAAAAUACGAAUUGACUCCCAAUUAAAUUAAUCAUUUAUUUUGUUUAGGUCUAAAUUUUAGAGGAAUGAAUUUUGAUUCUCUUCAAUCUUUUCUUAAUUAUUAUUAAUAAACAGGUUACAGAGGUUUGAGGAAGCUGAAAAGCCUUGAUCUAUCGGGAGUUGAAAUUAGAGAUGGAAGCAAGUUGUUACAGUCAAUGGGAUCAUUCCCAUCCCUCAACACUCUUUACCUGAAGGAUAAUAAUUUUACCGAUAUAGCGACAACUACUACUCAAGGUAAGUAAAAGGUACAGAUGUGGCCAAAUUUAUAAAUAAAUUGUUAAUUAAUUAAUUUUUCCAUAUUAUUAAUUAAGCUAAAUUUGCUAAAUAUAAACAAACAGAGUUGGACAAUUUCACCAACAUGGAAUAUUUGAGAUUGGACUUUUCCUCUCUCCAUAUAAGCCUUCUGCAAAGCAUUGCAUCAUUAUUCCCUUCGUUAAAAAAUCUGUCGAUGUCUUUCUGUGAAGUCAAUGGUGUCGUACGCGGUCAAGGUAAAAGAAAAGUGUUGAUUGUGAACUCACUCACUGGUGUCCUAUGUGUUCAACAUUUUUAUUUAUUUAUUUUAUUGUUUAAUGUUUCUGCUAGGUUUUCCUUAUUUCAAGAGUUUGGAACAUUUUGACAUGGAUGACACGCCCAUUGCACUCAACACCAGUUUUCUUCAAAUCAUUGGUGUAUCGAUGCCUUCUCUUAAGUACUUAUCACUGUCAGAUUCUACUCUUGGCACUAACAGCAGCAGGAUUCUUGAUCAAGGUUAAUCAGAUGCUCCCACCCUCCCUUCUUAAUCUAUAAUAUUAAUUUUCAAUUAAAUAUUUAAUUACACAAACGAAUCACUUAUUAUAAAAGAAUAAUACUCAUUCAUUAAUUUUUAUAUUGUAUUAAUAAUUGAUGAAUUUAAUAAAUUUUUAGGCCUCUGUUCGUUGAUGCAUCUGCAAGAGUUGUACAUUUAUAAUAAUGAUUUGAGAGGCAGCUUGCCUUGGUGCUUGGCAAAUAUGACAUCCCUCCGAAUAUUAGAUGUUUCUUCCAAUCAACUUACUGGAAGCAUCUCCUCAUCUCCCCUCGUUCAUUUGACAUCCAUUGAAGAGUUGUAUCUUUCAAACAAUCACUUCCAGAUCCCAAUUUCACUUGAACCACUUUUCAAUCAUUCAAGACUCAAGAUUUUUUAUGCUGACAACAACGAACUAAAUGCAGAAAUAACUCAGUCACAUUCUUUGACCGCCCCAAACUUCCAAUUAUCACAUCUCUCAUUGUCUUCCGGUUAUGAAGAUGGCGUCACAUUCCCCAAAUUCCUUGACCAUCAACAUGACCUGGAGUAUGUUGAUCUCUCACACAUAAAGAUGAAUGGAGAAUUUCCAACUUGGUUGUUGGAAAACAACACAAAGUUGAGACAACUUUCUCUCGUCAAUGAUUCUCUUGCAGGACCUUUUCGGUUGCCAAUUCAUUCACACAAAUGGUUAAGAAUGUUGGAUAUAUCCAACAACAACUUCCGAGGCCACAUUCCAGUAGAAAUUGGAGAUGUUUUACCAAGUUUAUACGUUUUCAACAAUUCCAUGAAUGCUUUAGAUGGUAGCAUUCCCUCUUCAUUUGGUAAUAUGAAAUUCCUCCAAAUUCUGGACUUAUCCAACAAUCACUUGACUGGUGAAAUCCCCGAGCACUUGGCCGUCGGUUGCGUCAACUUGAAGUCUAUUGCAUUGUCAAAUAACAACCUACAAGGUCACAUGUUCUCUAGAAAUUUUAACUUGACAAACUUGAAAUGGUUACAAUUGGAGGGCAAUCGCUUCGUAGGUGAGAUCCCACAAAGUUUGUCUAAAUGCUCCUCACUAGAAGGAUUGUAUCUUAAUAAUAAUAGUCUUUCGGGUAAGAUUCCACGAUGGUUGGGUAAUCUCACAUGGUUACAACAUAUUAUAAUGCCCAAUAAUCAUCUUGAAGGCCCUAUUCCAGUGGAGUUUUGUCAGCUUGAUUGGCUUCAGAUUUUGGACAUUUCAGACAACAACAUAUCUGGAAGUUUACCAUCUUGUUUCCAUCCUCUCUAUAUCAAACAAGUUCAUCUUUCAAAAAAUAUGUUACAUGGACAGCUAAAAAGAGGUACAUUCUUUAAUUGCUCUUCCCUUGUGACAUUAGAUCUUAGCUAUAACCGCUUGAAUGGCAGCAUUCCAGAUUGGGUUGAUGGGCUUUCUCAGUUAAGCCACCUUAUCUUAGGUCACAAUAAUCUUAAAGGUGAAGUGCCAGUUCAAUUGUGCGAAUUGAACCAACUACAAUUGUUAGAUCUUUCUAAUAAUAAUCUUCACGGUCCUAUUCCUCCUUGCUUUGAUAACACCACACUUCAUGAAAGUUACAGCAAUAGUUCUAGUCUUGAUGAGCAAUUUGAAAUAUCUUUUUCCAUCAACGGCCCUCAGGGAGGUGUAGAAAAGCAAAUCCGUGAAAAUUUUGAGUUCACAACAAAGAACAUUGCGUACAUUUACCAAGGAAAAGUGCUUAGUCUCCUAUCAGGACUUGAUCUUUCUUGCAACAAGCUAAUUGGUCAUAUUCCCCCUCAAAUUGGAAAUUUGACAAGGAUUCAAACAUUGAAUCUAUCACACAACAACUUGACAGGAUUGAUCCCAUCAACAUUUUCAAACUUGAAGCAAAUCGAAAGUUUGGAUCUUUCCUACAACAAAUUGAAUGGGAAAAUCCCUCAUCAACUUGUGGAGUUAAAGGAAUUAGCUGUUUUCAGUGUGGCAUACAAUAACUUAUCAGGCGAAAUUCCAGAAUGGAAAGCACAAUUUGCAACCUUCAACGAGAAUAGUUAUGAGGGAAAUACUUUUCUUUGUGGACUGCCAUUGCCCAUUUGCAGAUCACGAGCAACUAUGUCGGAGGCGUCAAUCGGCAAUGAACGAGAUGAUAAUUUAAUUGACACGGACAGUUUCUUUAUCACAUUUACAACAUCGUACGUAAUAGUGAUAUUUGGAAUUGUUAUUGUUUUAUAUGUAAAUUCUUAUUGGCGACGUAGAUGGUUUUACUUUGUUGAAAUGUGGAUAACUUCAUGUUAUUAUUUUGUUGUAGACAAUCUUAUUCCAACAAGAUUUUGUCAUUGAAAUUAAUUAGUAGCUUAAUUACGAUUCUUUAAGUACUAAUCAAGUUUGGUUAGGAAAUAAAUUUAUUUUUAUUUUUUAUUAAAAUUGUAGUAGUAUUUAGCGUUAUAUAGCUUCCAACUUCCAAGCACUUCACAUUUGUCUCCACACUUCCAAACCCAUAUCUAUCCACCAUAACUUAUACUUCCCUAUACUGUGCAGCAUACUUAAAUAAGAGAACCAUCUCCAAUUUUAAAAGCAGCCACUCUAUAACAUUCAUUUAGAAACUAUAUUCAGAAUAGUUUUAUAAUCAUACACAAGAAAUGAAACACCUAGAUGCACUUGAUCGCCUAUUUUACUUUAAAAAAUAAUGAUUAUGGUGCUAUCAUCAUCUUCUUCGCUAGCAACAUUAACACCAAAUCCAGCGAUGGACCCAGACAUUUUAUCAAGAAAGGUAUAUAUAUAAUAAAGUUGAAGCUUGACAAAAAAUUUAGGAAGAUUAAUGCCUCGCCACAACAAGGGGCAGCACAACAUCAAAGUAGAGAUGAAGCAAUAUUCUCAAAGCUAAAACUCUCAAAUCCACCCACCAGAAUUUCAUAUCUCCUCAACAAUUUUAAGAACUAAAGAUAAUUAGGAUCUAACAUUAGUUUUUUAUAUAUUAGUUUCAUAAUUUACAAAUCAAUGAAGAUGAAGAUUAUGCUAAUGAAUUCAAAUUAUACCAUACAUUCUCGAGAUGUUACCAAAAAUUUCUAAGUCAAUCCCACAUAUUUCAUAAUUUUAAGACUAGAAAAUUUCAUUAGUUAGAAGUUUCAUUACCUUCAAGUGGAAGAUGAAGAACAUUAUACAAUUGAUUCAGAUUAUAUCAUACACACUCCAAAUGCAACUAGAAAUUAACAAGUUCAUGCGCACAGAUUUCAUAACAUUAUGAAUGGAAAGUUUCACAAAGAGAAAUUCUAAAUUCAAUCUCUUGCAUCGAGGUAGUUUGAUUGAUUUGAGUUACUUUCUGAUCAAGCUAUUAAUAUAACAUUCAAGUCAGGGAGAAAGUAAAUUAAAACUGGGAAGAAAUAACAGUAAAAAUUUGUUGCUAAACAUGAUGUGUAUUUUUUUUUUAAGGCAAUUUGGAAACACAGUUGUUACUACAGAUAUUCUCCUCAACUUAGAGAUAAAUACAAAUAUUAAAAUGCAUAUGAUCGCACAUAGUACUUGGAGCUUAGUAAGAUUUCAUUAAGAGAAGCAAUCAAACCACUUAUCAAUUGUUGCAAUCGUUCUAUAAGCUAAAAUAGCAAUAUAAUACAAGAAAAAGAACAUAUAGAUACUUGGCAAGAGUUCAUUAAGAAGUCGCAUCACAUUCGGGUGAGGAGUUUGCUUCUGAUAUCUUGCUAGCUGGGGCUUUUUCUUGUCUUUCUACGUAUGCCGAGGGAAACCAACCAGCUUGGCCCUUGCAUUCACCUUCCGACCAUCCAAUAGGAGCCACCUUGAGAAGUUAUAACUAAAACGGUGAAUUAAACAAAAGUUGACCGUUCAAAGACCUAAGGGGAAAACUAAUUCUUUUACGUAGGAGGAGUGAAUUAGUUGUGAUCACUGAAAUAACAGCUUAACUAUGGAAGCAUAACAAGAUAUAAAUUCACACGUCUAUAAGGGUAAACUGGGUGGUUUAGAACUGAGCUAGCAACCCUACUAUAUUCUGAUUUGCACUUCAAUGUAAAAGGGAAUAUAUGGUAGGAAGAAAGAAAACCAACCAUCAUUUGUUAACUCAUUGCUUUUCAAUCAAAAUUUUAAGAACCAAAUGCCAUGUGCUUUGAACAUCAAAUAAGUAUAAGCAUUAGUUCUAAAUUCCACAUAUCAUAAGUUAGAAGGAUAAGUUAAUAGCAUAGUAGAAAAAUCUGUGUUGUUAUUUAGAGGGGAAAGUACCUGGCGAACCACAACAUAAUCAUCAAUUGAAAGACUUAGCUCUCCAUUUGCUUGUGCAUCAAAUGGAUGCAUAACCUGCAAGAUAAUGGGAUAAAUAGAACUUAAUCUUAAAAAAAGCAUAACAAAAGCAGCAACAGUACCAGCAACGUUCAUUGUAACCACUAUGAUCAUGGCCAACAAAGAUAUAUUAGAAACAAAAUUCCAUUUUUACUAUGAUAUCAUGACGAUUGGGUUACCAAGAGCUAUCAAAGUCCAAUAAGUUCUGUAUAACUUUAUGUAGUUAUUCAAAUUAUGUAUCAGAUUUUAAAUCUGAAAUUUUGACUGCUCUCCACAAAACAUGGCCUAUGCACAAGAAAUUCAUAGAUAAUGAGGAUUGCAAGUGUCUGACAUCUUUUGAGUGAUGGAUUUAACAUGAGAGCUUAUGGUCAGUCAAUUUCCUCUGCCUAGCAAUAUAAGCUUUCUCGGCCAAAUUUAUCAUCAAAUACAUAGAUUGCCCCAAGUCAAAUCCAUAUAAACAUAGUUUUUCUAGGUAAACCAAGCAAGGAGAAUCAUAAUUCAGACAUAAUCAUAAAAAGGCCCAUCUAACUUAAGAGAAAAUCUCAAAAAGAGGGAUGUUGAGCUAUCAGUCUUGUAUCCAUAAGGAAUGUCAAGACUUUACAUCACCUGCUACAUCGUGAGUGGCUACACAACUUUCAGUGGUUUGUCUUUCUUUGGCAUGCCUAACUCAGCUUUGAUGUUGCUGAGAUAUUGAUAGUAGAGACACAUGAGACUUCUAGCUCAUGCAUUCUAUCUAGCUCAUCCGACAGCUAUCUCUUUUUUAAUUCAUUAGUGUUUGCUAAGCCACAUGCUUAAAAGUCCUGUUGUUCUAAACAAAGUUUCCUAAGAAUGACUUCCUCAGCACCACAUUUGGACAUUUUUAGAGCAAUUUUAUUUGGGGGAAAAGAAUUUUCAAGGUGUUAACUAAUAAAUUUUAAAAAAUAAUUACAAUUUGUCCUACGAUUAUAUGACAAUUUAUCUGGGAUGAAAGGAUAUAGACAGACAUCUUCCACUUUCAAGACUAAUCACUACUUCCGUAGAUGUUUUGCAAUAAUACAAAUACUUGACCAGAUGGUAGUGAUGGUAGAAAAAAAUUUUAUUGCUCCAAAAUUAAAAUAAGAAUGCAAUGUGUUAAGCAAAAGACUAUGCAACAUCAAAUUAAUUGAUAAGUUUGUAAUUCAGUAAAUUAACAACUUUCAUGGUAAAAUACAACAAAUUUCUUUUCAAAAAAAAAAAAUCUUAAAAGACAGCAUUCAAUUUUGUGCGCAUCUUAUUUCUUAAGAUUUUCUAGGAGGGCAAUAGAGGGACUUUCACCUAUGCAAGAGAGCAGAAGCCUUACUUUCGCUAUAAAGUAGACGUCAUUCUGAUUAAUAUGCGUUUGCAAAUCAGCUCCAUUUGAAUCAGUAUUCUGAUAGACACAUGAGGCAUUUACAUCCAUUUCCAAAGUCACAUGUUGCGAGGAGGACUCAUUUGAUUGCUCCUCUAGGAUCAUCUAAUUCAAGUAGCAAGGGUUGGAAGAGAAUAAAAAGUCACAAUUAUUCUUUUGCAUAAGUGAGACGAAAAUGAUAUAUGCAAUAUUAUCAGCAGUAAACAAGAAGAGAACACUCCAAGGAAUAGAUAGAUGCGGACAAGCAAGUUAAAAUGCACAGUUCCAAACCUCCGCAUACAACUUCUCUGAAAUAGCAAUAACGUGUUGAUGAUAUGUUUUCUCGGCAUCUACCUGCAAAGGCCCGAGACCAGGAAAACAACAAUAAAACCACUAGCUAAAGGAGAAAGUAAAGAAAGAAAUACACUUGACAUAAAUCUUGACAAGAAGCACAAUUUAAGACAUAACAAACCCCAAUCAUAUUGUUUAGAACUACCAUUCGUUAUUUCGUUAUUGUAGCAUUUCGAACAAGUGUUGACUUAAUUCAACAUUGUUGGAAAGAUAGGCUUUUAGAAGCGGAAGAAAGCCACUCAAACCAAAGUGAUUCUUAGGAUGAGUUUUAAUCACUCCCCUGAUUUAUUUGGGUUGCAGUAAAACUAAGCGAGCAACUGUUUGACUUUCAAGCAACAUCUAAAUCAGCUAUUAAAAUUCAAAUAAAAUUAUAAUUGAAUAAUAACUGGCCAUCUUGCAUCAAAAAUUAAGUUUAAUUUGUGAUUUUUUUUCUAUAGACAUGUUAGUUCCUGCUAUUGAAAUGUUAAAAGCAUUGAAAAAUUAUUCAAUAAAUUAUGCAAACAUUAAAAUAGAGGACAUAUUAAAAAGUUUCUAAUUACAAUGUUAAGAUUUCCUAUAUUUUAGCAUUUGCAUAUUUUAAUUUAUUUAAAAGCUACGUCGAUCAACUUUGGGAGUGAAGAUUUUAGCUUCUACGAGACUUGAUUGGAAUAUGCAUAAGGAAGAGUGUUAAAAUAUGAUGCAUCCAACGAAAGACAAACCACGUGUAGUCUUUUAAUUAAGCCAAAGUAGCAGCUCAAACAAAUGACACUUGGACCAACAUGCAAUCAUGAAGUGGCCGGAAAAAGGACAAAUGCAACUUUGGCUUAAAUAAAAAAUAACAUGUGACUUGACUUUUGCCGGACAUGCAUCAUGUUAUUACAAGACAACAGAAAUCAGUAUGAUAGUACUAAAAGUUGACAAUAACAUGAAGAUAAGAGGCAGAAUGUCAACACAUGCAUAGGCACACACAAGAAAGUAUUAACUUAUAUACCAUAGCAAAAAGUCUUUGAUAUGCAUCUGUUGCUGCAGUGAUUCAACUGACAGCAUGGCAGCUGUUCCUUCUCUACCAAGAGCCAUUAUUGUAGAUUUAAGCUCGGUCAAUCUUGCUUCUGCAUUUCGAAGCUUCACAGCACUCUCUGCUGAUAUAUCAGAUUCCUUAAUCUUUGAUCGGCGCCUAAAUACUUCAGCUGCCUGGUGAAAAUAUUCAAUAUAAAUCUAACAUAAUUCUAAUCUUGCCUUAUACAUGCAUAUGUUAACUCAAAGCUUACCUGGGCUUCAACUUCAUGUCGAAGCUUGUCAUAACGAUGAGUCAGGUGUCGAGCAUCUUCCAAAGGUGCUCCGUUGAUUAACGCCCGUAGUGGCUCAGAUACCUACAUGUCCAAAAACCUGUAACAUAGUUAGAAAAAUGAAAAGAAAGAGCGAAACCUCAAUUAAAAAGUUCCUCCAACAUAAUCAUGGAAUUUGGGCCUACUUCAAGGAUAUAUAUAAGGAUAAUUUAUGCAAUUUUGGGUCUUAGGAUGAUUCAUAUUAGGUUAGUGUUCUUCUCUUCUGUAUUUAAGGUUAAAAUAGAAAUAAACCUAUGAAAAUAUCUAAAUUAGGGCUGUAAGACUUCCACAUGCAUCCUUCAGUCUCAUGGAUUUGAUUUUACUAUAGAUGCAAGUGUCUUUAUUGAAAAUGCUUGGAGUCAAUUGAGAGAACUCACGGCCAAUAACUUGUCACACGCUAGUCUUUGCUAGUGAUGUAAGAAGUCACAAGGUCUCUUCAGCAUUUGAACCAAUAAAAUUAUUAAGUCAUGGAUGUCACUAGCAAUGAUUUUAAUAUAAAACAUUAAAUAUUUCAGAGUUGUAACUUUAAAAUGGAUUCUUUUAUUCAAUAUCUUAGAACUAAGUUUCCUUAUGAGAAGAUAAUAGUUUCAGUAGUAAUUUACAUAUAAUUUUCUAUAUUUGAAUUAUUUUCUAGUUAGGGAUGAACUAACCUGAUCACGAAGAAUCCCAAGCAAAGUUUCCCUCUCAUUUUCCAUCAAAUCAUGUGAAGUGCCAAAUUGAAGAGCAGCUCUUGCAACGCAAGAAUUGUCACUUUGAUUCUCCGCUCCAUACUUGCAACAAUCUUCGGCCAACUUUCUCGCUACAAUAUUUGAAUACAAAAAUAUUGUACACAAGAACUAGUCAAGAAAAUUAAAAAAAAAAUCAAAUAUUAAAACGAGAGCAAGAGCAAACAAACAACCUAUUUCCAUUUGUUUCAAGUUUACUGCAACAAACACUUCAACGCCACGGACAACAUUCCAUUUGUUUUAUUCUUCUUAUACUUUACGCUUGCAUCAGCCUCAAUCACUUCUUAAUCGCUUGCUUUAACUGCAUCGCUCUCUCUGUGCUCUUCUAUAUAUGUAACGGUUAUGCGGUUGUAGUUCACGGCUGAGGCUACGUGUGGGUUUGACGUGGCAGUUACGUUACAAGGGGAUAAAUAAGAUUGGUUACAACAAACCCACUAAUUUUAUAAAAUUCGAGUAAUAUAGAAUAAAAUAAAAAAAUAAAUACAAAAUUGGCUUUUAUUUUGUAUGGUUGACUGUAUUUUGUGUUCUCUUCCGGCACUACUACAAUUGUUCCCUAUAUAUUAGUCACACCCAUAUAUCAUUAACACAAGAAAUGAAAUCUAAUGUCACCUACUUAGUUAAAGAAUCACUCAUGAAAAAUUUUUACCAUUUUGAUUUGAGGAUCCAUAUUUUGAACUGCAAGCUAAUGUUCAUCAAGAAUCACUGAUGUUCAUAAAAAUCAGAGUAUGGCCGUUGAGUAGAAAAAUUAUUUUUGGACAAAUUAUUUUUGUUGAUAGAAUCUGCCACUUUCUCAUGAAGAAAGGCAUGCGGAGCAUACCAUGGUACCAUACGGAGAAUGUUAGAACCACCCUAGAAUAUCUUUACCCUGAUGUUUCUAACAAAAAUCUGCAUGUGGCAGCAAUUACUAGAUCUACAAUUUCCCAAAUAAUAUUUUGUGUUUCUUAAAAAAAAUUGAAAUACAUAGUUGCAAUUGCACACCGUGAGACAGUGCUACAAUCUACUGAGAUCUAAAUUAUAUGAGACUUUAAGCUACUAAUGUUUGCAUAUUUCUACAUGUCAAAUUAACAUUACCAUCUAUAAUCCGAAACGACAGAUGAUAAACGGCUUUUGGCCACUUAUUACUAGCAUCCACAAUUAAUUUUUGUUCAGCAAUCAGCUUAUUUUAUAGAAAUUGAUUUAGUCAGCAACAAACACUAUAAUACUUGAAAUUAGUUCUUGUUCUUUGUAAUUUUCUAUGAUUUUUCAUAUAUCAAUUAAUCUGCAGUGCCAAGAUGAGGUUUAGUUUUCAAACUAAAUAAUCAAGUAAGCAAAAAUACAAAUUCAGAGAUUAGCGGGGUAAACUAGCUGGGUGGUUUAGAACUGGGCUAGCUACCUCCCUGUAUUCCUAUUUGUAAGGUGAAUUAAUUGAAUCAUGAGAAAACAAUGUGACCAUAGCUCAAUAUGAGAUGAUUUCGGAGAGGCAUAUUGUUUUCGAGUGAAUUUGAUCCAUUAAGAGAUGAAGUGGAUUGAAGUGGAAAGUUUAAAUAACAAAUCCUUGUUCUUGAGUUUUACGACGUCGUUACUCCUUCAGGUGGCAGAUUAUGCAAGUGAAUUCAAAAACACAAUGCAUCAAUCACGGGGACAAAAGACGGGAUCACAGUCUAUGCAUUGAACAGUUACAGUUGCUGCUACCAAUUGUUCGGCAAAGAUCAAGAAGACUGAACGGGAAGCUAAUGCCAUCAAUGUCGUCUUCACUAUAUCUGCUGGGAAUGUAGGUGAACUUUCCUCAUUUGCAGCUGUCUAUACAUAGGCUUUUCCCCAGCUUAAGUACAAAUAAAUGAAGCUGCCUUGAAGGCUUUAUUAUUGACCCCAAUAAGGAUUACUAAUUGAAGAAGACUAUACGGAGUUAAUCUCACAUUUUAGUUCUCUCAAUUUCUUUCAGAAGUGCCUCUGAAAAUAGCUGCCAAACCGUUAGUCAGCUUGUAUACUCUGUUUUCUGGAAACAGAGUAGCAUAUUUAAUCGUUUUAAUUGAAUUGUCUUCGUAGCGAUCAUCAACAAACUCAUCAUAAGAUUUUUGAAGCACCCAAGGACUAUCACUGGGUUUCUCUUCUGGUUGAUUUAUUAAUUAAUCAAAGAACGGUUGGAUGAAGUGCAAUGAUGGAGCAAAAUUUACAAUGUCUCCGGUUUCUCCUGACCAUCGGACUUUUGCAGUGAGAACAUAUAACAAAAAGACCUUCAUCAAAAUUUGUAGACUCCGGGUAUGGAUUGGAUCGAGUUUUUUGUUUGAUAUUGAAGAACCACUUUACUAUCGCGAUAUAGAUUAUGUGCAAGGGGUUGUCUACUGUUCUUUGCCUUGUGCUAUGAUCGGUGCUUUUGACGUUGCCCCGAAACAGUGGAAAAUACUUCGAUUUCCUCCGUUUGAUGAUGCAAAGAACUGGUUAAUGUACGAUUACCUAAUUGACUCAGGAUCAAGUAACAACAACAAUUUAUUAAUAGUAGUAUCACAAACGAAGAAGAUUUCGGAGAGGGUGAUGUAUGCCUAUACCGUUUACAGGUUUGAUCCACAGGGGAUGAAGUGGUCUCAAGUGGAAAGUGAUUUAUUAAACAACAAAUCAUUGUUCUUGGGUCAUACCUCAUGAUGUCAUCAAGUGGAAGAUGAAGAUUAUGCAAGACGAAGAUCGUUUGAUAUUGAAGAAUUUGAACAGAAAGCCCAUAGAAAGUACUUAAAUAAGCAUAUUCUUGUUGGGGUAGAAUAUUAAGAAAGGAGUUGUCUACUGUGUGUUGCGUGAUUAGGCUAUGAUCUGUGCUUUGAACAUUGCCCUCAAAACAGUGGAAAAUACUUCAUAUCCUCGACAUGAUGAUGAAAAAUUGGUUACCGAUUACCUAAUUGACUCAGUGACAACAAUCUAUUAAUAGCACAAUUUGGCGUGAUGCCGUUUAGGUAUAUGGUUUUCAAGUUUGAUUCAUCAGUGAUGAAGUGGACUAAAAUAAGAUGUUUAAAUGAUAAGUCAUUGUUCUUGGGCAUAUCGUCAUUACUACUUCUAGUGAUCAAAGAUGAAGAUGAAGAUGAAGAUGAAGAUGAAAAUUGUGCGAGUUCAAGAUUACCAUCAACUCAAUUUUAUGAUUGGAGUGUCUCACCGUGACUCAGACAAAUUCUGAUUCAACCUCCUUCACCAAUGGAUUUUGAUUAGUUAUUUUGUGAUCAAGCAACUUAAUUAAACUCACAGUUUGUUAGUCUAAUUUUAGUUUUACUGUGACCACUAUUCAAGGUAAGCGAAAGUUACAGAUGUGGCAAAAUCAAUAAUUAAAUUCAUAAAAUGUUAAAAAAUAAAACUUAUAAAUUUUGCAUGACUACUUACUAAUAAAUAAAUAAGUUAGAAUGUAGUUAGUUAAUUUUACACCAUAUUAUAUAUUAUUCGAUAAUAAUAUAAAAUAAAAAGAAUUAAAAAAUAAAUAAUUGAAUAAACAAAUAUGACUUUCUAAACAGUAAAAAUUCUAGAGUUAAAAUUUAUAUUAUUAUUUUAUUUUUUAAAAUUGACAUAUUUCUAUUAUCUUACAUGUACACAGAUUUUGAGAGUUGAGAAGAAUAUAUUUAAUGAAGCUUGCUAACAUUUGGUGGGAUAGCAAGUAAGGGUAAAUAAGAUUUUUUUGUUAUUUAUUUGAAUUAUAUCUAUUUUGUUCAAGUUAAAAUACUAAAUAUAAAUUGGAGGUAGACAUUUUAACAGAUCAUCUAAGCUCUCAAAUCUGAAAUUUUGUGUAGAUUUAAAUUCAUAAUUUUAGUUAAUUUUCAUACAUUCAUAUAAACAAAUUUAUGAGAUUUUUCUUUUCAGCAUGUUAUAUUUUGAAACUUUCAAUGUAUUAUUCUAGCUUUAUUUAAAUAAUUAAUUUAUUUAAAAUUUAUUUAAUUUUGAAUUUGAUCAAUAGUAAAAUUAUUUUUAUAUCAAAUUUUUUUAUUUAAAUAGUUCGUGGAUUGGACAAAAUUAAAAAUUUUUAAUCCACAAAAUGGUGGAUUAGAUAUGAAUUGGGUUAAAUACACAUUCGAUCCGCAGUCGUAUGAAUUUGAUUUGGAUUGAAUUUCAUCAAUCCAUGGAUUAGAUUGGAUUGAAAAAUUUAUUAUCCGCAAAAUCGUGGAUCGAAUAUGGACUGAUGUCCAAUCAGCAAAAUCCAAUCCCCGAACACUCCUCUAUCAAAAUUUUCAAGAAUAUUUUUUAUCUUACAAAUUUUUUUUAAAGUCAUAGUCUAAGGGCGGCCCAAUUUCUACUCCAUCCAUAUAAGCGGAGUUCAAAUCUCAUACCUCUUAUCUCCACACAAGAGAUUUAACCAAUUGAAAUAGCUAGCACCCACAAGUAUACUAGUACAGCAUCUCUUAACGUUUAACAUACGUAAAAUUAACGCCAUAGCUAUUGAUAAACACAUUGUUCAAUAUAUAUGAUCAAGAAUCUGAUCCUGCGAGCAACAGCAGUCAGAAGAACCAUUAUAAUGCCUAGCUCUUAUCCUGGUUAAUCCUCUGGCCCGAUGCUUCAUCAUAGUGAUUUAAAAAACCAACAACAGCUCUCUAAAAGAGAUGAAGAUAUCAUCUACGUAAAGAACAUGAGACGGAGAUUCACAACCCAUAAGAACUGAGAUAAAUUGGACCAGACCAGUAAUCUUGAGAUAAGUUAAACUGUGACUUAAGUUGAAAUCAGAGGACAGGAAUUUUAAAAUCUUUCGGCUAAGCCCCUGAGGAAUUUUCUAGAGUACGACUUCUGCUUACCUCUGUUUAAUUUCUCUUUAUAUUUUUCUUUCAUUUCAUUAAUAAAGUCAAAUAAUAAAUCAAAGAACGAGGGAAGAUUUUUCCAAGUCAUGCAUUAUUUGAUUACCAUCAAUCAAGAAACCGACCAAAUUAAUUUCUCUCCGUGAUUUUUAAAAAUUAAAAAAAAAAUAUUUGAGCAUAACAUCAUUAAUUAUAGAGUGGAUCAAACUGCGUUAAUCAUGAACUUUGUUGUGUUAAUUAUUUCAAUCCCCGAUUACGCAAUUUUUAAAUUAUAGCCUAACGGUGGUCUCAUCACCACGUGUGUGAUUUUCUUUUGCCAAUAGGAUCUGUAGAGAGCUUGAUCUCACCCAAUAGCAAAAUAAACUUCCUAAUAAGUGAAGGCAUAGUAUAAAUAAUUCACCCCCAUAUUAUUUAUUAGCAGCUUGAUUAUUUUAUAUGCAUCUUUGAUUUAAAUUUUUUUUUCCCAUAAUUGCUACUAUGUUCGAACUGGUCAUGAAUUAUCUAUAAGAUUUUUCAUGUUGCUUUUAGGUGCAUUGGAUUUUUUUUAGUUUAGUGCAAGAGUAGAGGAAGGCAAAUUAAGAAAAAGGAUAAAGAUCUAUGAUUAGCUAUUUUGGGAUGUCUCAUAACAUAUUGAUGGUAACAUUAUACAUAUGUAUAUCUAAAUAAUGGGGUUGGAUCAAGAGCCCAUUAAUAAUCAUAGAUUAGCUUAUAUAGCAAUUUCACAAGCACAUGUUAGCCUAUGUUGAGCUUUAUUAUCAAUAGUUCAUAGUUCAUCGGUGCACUGCAGGUUUACUAUUUGAAGUAAAUGUUAUGGUGCGUGCAUUUUUCAUAAGGCCAACCGCUGAAUUUAGCAUUGAAACUUACAAAAUGUAAUAGAGAGAGGUAGAUAACAGCCACAAAACACUAAGAUUGGAAAUCAGGGCUACUAAAUACUAUUACAAGCCCUUAGAAAAGACACUGAUCAUCCUGGAAUAUAUAUACUGAAAGUAAGAAAUAUUAAUCGCAAAGUUAUGUGCCAACAAAACUAUUGACCACUUGUCCCUAGCAGAAGGUAUAUAUUUUUAACUUCAGCUCUCUACUUUGUUCUAAGAACUAGGCAAAAGAAUGAAACUUCACUGUCUAAAGUUUGCCGCUUGGAAUAUUUCACUGUCUAAACAUUCACUCACCACUAAUUUCACAAAUGAAUUUUGUCUAACUAUAUGUUGAUAACGAUAUUAGAGGUAAUAUAAUGCAUUUAAGGCUUAACAUAUAUUUUUUAUUAGUAGAGUGUAGAAUUUUUAAGAAAUAAAUUAUUAAAUUACUAUAACUAACAUAUUAUUUUAAAGUUAUGUUAAGAAAAGAAUGAAACAAAAAAAAAAAAAAAAAUAAGGGUAUUCUAAAACUUUGAUCCUUUUAAAAGUAGUUUUUGACGUAAAUAAAAUAAUUUUUAUUUUUUUAAAUCACAUACUCUAGUUAAAAUCAAAUUUGUAUUUAUAAAGCUUGUAAAUUUUUUUUAGCAUUAAUAUUUGAAUACUUUCAAGAUAAGAAAUAGGGUACUAAUUAUGCUACAACAUUAUUAUAGCAUAUAAAAAGACAAUACCCUUUAUAUUAUUAUACUAUCGUUUUUGUUAUGAUAGUAUUUUGUUAGUGGUCAAAUAUUACUUUUUUAAGUAAAAAAGUAGACAAAUGUAAAUCAAUUUUUAAUCUCUCCUAAAAUUCUAAUUCCUAGUUACCAAACAAAAUUGUUUGAAAAUAAUUUGGCUAAGUGCAUGGGUUCUUAAAAGUUAAAACUAUAGGUGAUAGAAGUUACUAGCACAAGCAAUUUUGACGGUCCAUUUUAUAAAAAUUUUUAAUAAUUUUUUAUUUACCAUUUUACCACCUAUAUAAAGAGUGCCACAUCGACAUAUCAAUUCAUUUGCAAAUUAUAUUAAUUUUGUAAAAUUCAUUUGACUUGCUAAACCCUUCUUAUCCCCUUUCUCGACUGUCAUACCCUAACCUUAUUAAUCCAACUGGCAAGUGCUCACAAUGACCGACAGCCUCUCCAUCUCCAUUUCAAGCUUCCUCUUCAACUGGCUUCUGCUUCCGUCGUACGCUUCCUUGGAUUCGGAGUCCGUAUUCGCUCGACCGGUCCGGCACAGCUCCCUCUCACUCCAAUUGUCACCCAACAAGACCAAUUGCUUAACAUUGAUCGUAUGGCAAUUGUCCGUAUUUCUUGGAUUCAGAGUCCGUAUGGCACAGAACAAGAAGAGUAUGAGAGAGAGAUUUGGAAAUCGAAACGUACGCAUUGACCGUGCCUUUGAGGGCAAUUACUUUUCUUGAGAAUUGAAGUUUGGUAAUGUAAUUUGUUCUCUAUCUGUGUCCCCUUUGUAGUCAUUUCAUUUAUUUGUUUGUUUGCUUUUAUUUGCACUUACGAAGUCUCAGAUAUAUCUACGCAAGAAUGAUGCAGGAGAAAUUGAUCCUCGAGCUUACAAGAAAAGUAAAUUUCGAAAGCAUAAUUUGGCUCCGAUUGAGGUAAUAAUUGUCUUUAAACUCAUUUAGUUUUAUAUCAAACAAAAUCAAGGCUGCCUUUCUCUUCAAUAUUUUUUAUGAUAAUAUCUUUAGAAGCAUCUCAUUGACGGGUAAUCAUGGUAUCCCUUAAAGAGUCUAUAAACUCAAUGAUAUUUUCUUCUGCAAAUGGUUCAUUAAACUUCUUAGACGUAGUUAAAUGUACACUAAGAACAACGAGAAGCUAUGCCGCUGUAGCAUGUAGUGAGAUCUUGUUUGAAGUUGUUUUCUGAAAUGAACUGCCAAAUGGUAGUUUUUUUUUUCUUGGGUGCAUUUGAUGACUCUUUUCUCCUCAUUUUAAACAUGUACCUGCUUGGAAUGGGAAGGAAUAGGCUUCCGAGUUGUUAUAUAUGUUGACAUGCUCUGGUCAUUACACAAAAUGCUCAAAUUGGAAAUUAGAAUGAGAUAUUUGUCGAUGCUUUUUGAGAGAUCUGCAUUCUAUGCACCAUAACAUGAUUAAUGAAAACAGGUUUAAGGACUGGAAAGAUCUGUGGCGGCCCAAGCUUGCAGGAAGGAUUUCAAUGGUUAAUUCUCCCAGAGAGGUUAUUGGUACAAUUUUGAAGUAUCUGGGAGCAUCAUGCAAUUCAAACGACAUUGAUUAGCAACUUGCUGCUGGGAGGAUUGUUGUCAGCAGAAUCUGGCAUUACUGGGAAACCAGGUACUCUUAAAGAAAUGAUAUCUGGUCAAUGCAUAUUAUUGCCUGACAGCUGAUUUUGUUUGUAAAGUCUGCCUCUUCAUACAUAUGAAUGCAUAUGUUAGUGUUUUCUUCUCCUUUUAAUACACAUGAAUGCAUAUGUUAGUGUUGUCUUCUCCAUUCCAUAAAUAUGAAUGCAUAUGCUCUGGGUGUUGGUUACUACUUCAAGUGGAAGGUGAAGGUGAUGCAAGUGAUUUCAGGAGUACAUAUAUUCCAAGGAUGCCGGACUAUUAUUGCUUCCCCCCAUAUUUCAGAAUUUUUUGUCAACCUCCUCCACUAAGGGAUUCCAAUUGAGUUACAAAUAUAUUUUCUGUAGCUCUGUUUUAAAUUUUUGGUCUCAUGUUAAUUUUUCUAAUUACUAUUCUUCAACAAAUCUCUUUUACUUUAAAAAACUGCUACAGUUUGAUUUUACUGCCUUAUAUCAUUGAACAUUGAUACAUGGAAUUUGAAAUCAGACUUGUAACAACAGAUAAAUAGAUAUAGAACAUGCAUAUAAUCUCCAUUUCGAGCUCCCUCUCCAACUGGCUUCUGCUUCCGUCUUACUCUUUCUCGGAUUCGGAGUCCGUAUUUGCUCAGCCGGUCCUGCCCAGCUCCCUUUCACUCCAAUUGUCACCCAACAAGACCAAUUGCUUAAUCAAGGCACAGAACAAGAAGAGGAUGAGAAGUUGAAACAAGAAUUUGAGAAUUGGAAAUCGAAAAUGUAUGCAUUGACUGUGCCUCUAAGGGUUGUUUCUCUUCAGAAUUCAAUGCCUCAAUCUUGGGUUAAGGAUUUUAUGCGAAGUCAAGGAAAGAGAUUGAAGUUUCAGAUGAAUUUGUGUGCUAGCAUUGGUGGGAUCUUUAACAAUUUAUCUGUGCCCUUUAACAAAGUUAAGGGUAAGUCAGCUUCGUAUACGGCUGCUGAUUUGGUUAGUGUUGGUGAUUCAUGGCUCAGUUUUACAAUUAAAAAGAGAUUGAUUGAGCCAAUAGCUGAAGCUGAAGAUCAAGACUGGUUCAAAUGCUUAUGUCACAAAUGGAAGGUAACAUCAUUAUCUUUGACCCGAUAAUUUUUAUUGUCUUACAUUGAAAUUUGGUAAUGUAAUUUGUUCUCUAUUUGUGUUACCCUUUGUAGUCGUUUUAUUUAUUUGUUUAUUUGCUUUUAUUUGCACUAACGAAAUCUCAGGUAUAUCUAUGCAGGAAUGAUGCAGGAGAAAUUGAUCCUCGAGGUAAAAUAUGGGCGGCACCAUACAGGUGGGGCACAACGGUGAUAGCCUACAAGAAAAGUAAAUUUCGAAAGCAUAAUUUGGCUCCGAUUGAGGUAAUAAUUGUCUUUAAACUCAUUUAGUUUUAUAUCAAACAAAAUCAAGACUGCCUUUCUCUUCAAUAUUUUUGAUGAUAAUAUCUUUAGAAGCAUCUCAUUGACGGGUAACAAUGGUAUCCCUGAAAGUGUCUUUAAACUCAAUGAUAUUAUCUUCUACAAAUGGUUCAUUAAACUUUGUUGUUGUAGUCAAAUGUACACUCAGAGCAAUGAGAAGCUAUGGCACUGUAGCAUGUAGUGAUGGCACUUAAUAAGUGAGUUGCUAGGAUGUGAACUAGAAAAAUUAAAUAUUGUCUCCUUGGGUAUGCUAGCUUGUAAGUCAGGGUUAAUAUUAGAGCUUAAGUUACUAUAACCAUGAGACGCUAUUGACUGCCAAUUAAAAUAUCCAUUAAAUUGUCUAGGAAGUUAUGAAAGUGGAGGUAUCUUCCGAUUUCUAAGGCCAGAUAGUAGACAUCAUCCAGGAUCCUAGGAAAGUGCAGUUAACCUCCUGCUCGAUGCAAUUAAUAAAUUUGGUCAAUGCCACUGAAACCUGCUAACCGACGUCACAAUGCGAGAUGAGCACUUCAAAAUGGGACAGACGGUCAGUAGCACUAAAUUUUUCUUUCCUAAGAUUGAGCAAUUGGUCUAACUACUAACCCCUAUUGUAGGUUGAUCAUUAUUUUUCCAAUUAUGUUCAGUUUGACCCAAAAAGUUACAGAAUCUUGAGCUGAAUAUUGUCACUGAACACUGUCAAUGUCAUUUAGCAUACCCAACUAACUUGAGUUUGGUAAAACAAACACACUGUGCGUCUCAUCUCUCACAAUUCAAAUUAUCAUCUGUAAUGAUGGAGAAUUUUUCCAAUGUAUGAAGUAUGCUUUGAUAUGUGUACCUUGGAGAAGAUAUCUCCAAAUAAAGAAUAUGGAGAGAAAACGGUUCAGUAGUUUAUUAUUCUGUAGGCAAGUCUUGUCUCGAAAAUGGUCAAAAUUUAAAUGAAUAAGGACAGGGGAUCUUCAUUCUUUUUUCCCUUUUUUAUACCAAGAUAUCUCUCAACCUUUAUAUAAUCCCCACUGGAUAUCUGCUUCUAAUAAUUAAAAUAAAAAUUUCACUCACACAAAUAAAUACUGACCAAGCUCUAACAAUAUAAAGUAACAUCUUUACUCAAGUAAUUUACAGUUCCUCAUCAUCUUAGUGUGAGACUAUCAUUACGUUCCAAAAACAAAAUAAAACUGGUUUGAUCCUGUUUAUUGAUGUUUAAAUGUUGUUCAUUGUGACAUGUAGAAAUGAUGAAGCGAAGUUUAUUUGGUCAUCAAUUAGUAAGAUCUUGUUUGAAGUUGUUUUCUGAAAUGAACUGCCUUUUUUUUGGGCAUAUGAUGGCUCUUUUUUCCUCAUUUUCAACAUGUGCCUGCUUGGAAUGGGAUGGAUUUGGCUGCAGAGUUGUUAUAUAUUUUGAGAUGCUCUGGCUGUUGUGAAAAUUUUAAUAUACUCGCAAGCACACGAAUCUAGAAAUAGAAUAGUGAUAACGAGGUCGAACCCACAGGGAUUAUUGAAAAGUCUAAUUUAAAUCUAAAAUUAAUAUUAAUUCUAACCUAGUUGAGCAAAUUGAGUUUUAAGAGAAAUUAAACUAAUUAAACUAAGAAAAUAAUUAAAGUAAAGGAGAAUUCAAUAAGACAAAAAUUACCAAGGUUUCAGAAUCCACCACUAUUCAACUAGUAAUUAUCUAAUUAUUAAUUAAUCCCCAAUUUUAGAGUGACAACUCGAAAUCAAUCUAUGUCAUCUCAUGGAUAUAACAAUUAAGCCCAAGUAAUUAAAUCUAAUGUAGGUUCUUUUUCUACUUAAUAGUAUGAUAUCUAAGAAUCUCAUGUAAACAUAUUGAAUAACAAAGAGUCAAAGUUUUCUUAAGCACUCUAUGUAAACAAUUUAAUGAAAGACAUAAAAUCAAAGAUAAUCAUGCAUAAACUUUAUAGAUCCAAGCAUAGAUUUAAUCGAAUAUUAAUCCUAACAAUCAAUAAUGCAUAACAGAAUUGAUGAAAAGAUUUUAAUAACAUCCAACUAAUCAUGUGAAAUAAAAACCAUAAUCAUUAAAGAACAUAUAUAGGGAAUUAAAUAAAUAAAAAAAUAAUUAUUUCAUUGAAUAGGGUUUCAUCCUUAACCUCAGUAUAAGAAAAUUAGUUAGACAUACUUGAAUUGGGAAAAACAAAAGAGAUAAAACCGGCCAUGAGGAAUAUUGAACUGUUGGUGCCGAUUGCUCUUUUCCAGCCUUGCGUCUGCUUUCCUCUGGCGGCUACCUCCCCCCUUGCAAAAGCCAAAGUUCGGCUUUUAUAUUGUAACUCCCCCACAAAAUCCUCAAAUCAAAAGGUUUUAAAACAAGCCAAGCACAACCGACUUUGAGCCCAUGCAUGUGAAGCCCAAUUGGAAUUUUCAUUCCUUUUUUAAUGCCAUGCAAUUGCUUUCCCACGUGCUGGCCACUUUAGCUUUAAAUUUCUUCUUUGUUUGCACUAGCAUGGAGAAUUCAAUUUAUUGGCUUCGGCUUCUUCGGAUUGAAUUUCAUACACAUCUACUUAAUUGCUUCCACAAAUUGACUUGAUUUUUAAUGUUGUCCAAUUGUUAUUCUUUAUGUACUUUUCAUCCUUAAUCUCCAAUUAAUUCCCUAUUCAAUAAAAUUAACUUAGCAAUUAUAUAAUAAAGGGUAAAAUAUGUAUAUAAAUUAUGCUCAUCACUGGCCAUUGCACAAUUUGUUCACACUGGAAAUUUGAAUGAGAAAUUUGUUGAUGCUGUUUUGAGAGAUCUGCAUUCUAUGCACAAUAACAUGAUUAAUGAAAAUGGAUUGUAGGACUGGAAAGAUCUGUGGCAGCCUGAGCUCGCAGGAAGAAUUUCAAUGGUUAAUUCUCCCCGAGAGGUUAUUGGUUCAGUUUUGAAGUAUAUGGGAGCAUCAUACAAUUCAAACGAUAUUGAUUCGCAAGUUGCAGGUGGGAAGAUUGCUGUUCAGCAGAAUCUGGCAUUACUGGCAAACCAGGUACUCUUAAAGAAAUGAUAUCUGAUCAUUGCAUGUUAUUGCCUGACAACUGAUUUUGUUUGUAAAAGUCUGCUUCUUCAUACAUAUGAAUGCAUAUGUUAGUGUUCUCUUCUCCUUUUCAUACAUAUGAAUGCAUAUGUUGGUGUUGUCUUUUCCUUUUCAUACAUAUUAAUACAUAUAUUGGUGCUCUCUCCUGAGAUGGAUGCAAUAAAGGCUUUUGGUCCUAAAUUUAGGUGAAGAAAUGGCAAGGGAUGUGAGAUUCUGUCUCAUUAAAUUAACAAAAACCCAAAACAAUGAAAACCCAUAAUAAUGUGGUGGGGGUAAAUUGGCACCAUUUGGUUUGUUUACUUAAUGUGAAUACACGAGCAAUAGGGACUAACAAAAUGAAGUGACAACAACAAGUCAGUGUCCUUUGAUGGAUGCAUUUUAGGCAAAAAUAGGUUUGUAAUUGACCAAUUUCAAAAAAUUUAAAUUAUGUGGUUAUUAGCUGUAAUGAAGGGGAUAGGAGGUGCAAUCAGGUGGAUCCAGGAAAGUUCAACAAAGUUCUGGUAUGGCAUAGUGAAAUUGGUUUGUGCAACUCAAGAGUCUUUCAGGUGAACGAUGAUAUGUUUUGAUUUAUAAAUGUUAUAAAUCUACCGUCCAUAGUAUUCUAGUAGAAUCAUCUAUAAGUUCUAGUUAUUGAAAUUGUCUACUUUGUCCAGUUUGAGUUAAGGGCACAUGUAAUAGGAAAAAUAGUUGUCACAUCUUUUUGGUUACCUAACAUUUGAUCAAUCCUAUUAUGAGGGCUUCAAGAUGUCUAACAAUAUGUAGAAUGCCCAUGCUCCUCCCCAUUGUUUAUCUUAUACAAUAAUUUGUUUUAGAUGCUAAUAUAUUUGUCGAUACCGGUAACGAUAUUACAAUAUCUGCAUUUAUUGGGUUUUACAUAGGUUCGACUGUUUGACAGUACACACUAUCUGAAGGCAUUUGGAAUUGGAGAUGUAUGGGUUGCUGUUGGGUGGAGUAGUGAUGUUCUUCCUGCUGUCAAACGUAUGUCUAAUGUUGCAGUUGUUCCCAAGUCUGGUGCUAGCUUAUGGGCCGAUCUUUGGGUAUACCCAUGCCGGCCAUUCUACUUCGAUAUUCACGUUGUUAUCUCCUUCAUAUUAGCGAUCAUAAACUUGAUAAUGUGACUAAUAAGUUCGUAUUCUCUUUAUAGGCAAUCCCUGCUGCCUCAAGACUUGAAACAAAAGAAAUUGGAGGGCGAGUCUGAGGUCCAUCUCCAUUAAUCCAUCAAUGGAUAGAAUCCUGCUUGCAAACAGCGAGAACAUUGCCUUUCAAGCAAGAGGUUAUCCCGGGCGCAUCUCCCUCUGCCCUUGAAAGUACUCUGGUUAAGUUGCCUGAAGAACUUCUGAAGGGUAAACCAAGUCUGGAUACUAACUUAAUUGCUGGAGUACCCCCGGCUGAAAUUCUGGCCAGAUGUGAGUUUUUGGAGCCAUUGUCUGAAGCUACAUUGUCAUAUUAUGAGUGGCUGGUUGCUAAUCUGCAAAAACCUGCCCCCCUCUUGAUGAAUAGGCUGCAACAUUACUUGUCAUCAUUAAUCCAAAGCUUUCUAGCAAAAGCUACAUUGAAAAGUUAAUGGCACUGCAUGCCAGUCAUUGUAAUGCUGUCAGGGCUAUUGGGUCAGGGCUAUUGGGUCAGAGCAUAACUUCAUUAGGAAAAGAGGCUUCAGCUACGUUAAAUAUUACAGGAUGUACUGAGAUGGCUGAAGUUCUUGAGGUUUUACGAGAAACGAAAGAUGAGUGUUUGUUUGAACAAAGUUGUUGCCAUCUUGCAGAGUUUGAGAAGAAAGAUCACUGAGCGAAUGCCACCGAUUUCUUAAUCAUUGUAGCCUCCAUAGUUGAAGUUUCCUUAUUUGAAGCUGUUUAUGCGUACGCUUUUUCCCUGCUCAAGUACAGGAAAUUGAAGAAUUAACCAGAUGUGAUAUGCUGAAAGAGGGAAGUUUUCUUCCUUGAACGUGGCCUUGUGAUUUGUCUUGGAAGGAAUAGGAUGAUCACUGGCAAGAACCCUAUCAAGGUAGAUUUUAUGGUGCUAACGUAUUAUUAAGCAUUUUGUUACAUCAGCAAUGAUGCUUUCAUAGCAUGAAAGGGUUUAAAUUUAACUGAAUGAUUCUGAUUAAUCAAUUAUGAGUUUGAAUCGAGUAAAAACUAAAUACAAUCAUCGUUAACAAUACUGAAAAAAUUUAACUGAAUCAUCGUUAAUUGAGUAAAUAGGAUCUUGAUAUUGAAGAAUUUGAAAUCACAACGCACACAGGAAAUUGAAGAAUUUGAAAUACAAUCAUCGUUAACAAUAUAAGAUGAGUGUUUGUUUGAACAAAGUUGUUGCCAAUCUUGCCGAGUUCGAAAAAAAAGAUCACGGAGCAAAUGCCACUGAUUUCUUCAUCAUUGUAGCCUCCAUAGUUGAAGUUUCCUCAUGUGAAGCUGUACAUCAAGUACAGGAAAUUGAAGAAUUAACCAGAUGUGAUAUGCUGAAAGAGGGAAGUUUUCUCCCUUGAAUGUGGCCUUUGUGAUUUGUCUUGAAGGAAUAGGAUGAUCACCGGCAAGAACCCUAUCAAGGUAGAUUUUAUGAUGUUAACAUAUUAUUAAGCAUUUUGUUACAUCAGCAAUGAUGCUUUCAUAGCAUGAAAGUGUUUAAAUUUAACUGAAUGAUCUUGAUUAAUCAAUAAUGAGUUUUAAUCGAGUAAAAACUAAAUACAAUAAUUGUUAACAAAUACUGAAAUUGGGUAAAUAUGAUCUUGCUAUUGAAGAAUUUGAAAUCACAACCCACACAGGAAAUCACCCUUCGCGUGGAGAUGGAGAUGUUUACUGCAGCGAUAUUGAAUAUGUCCACUGCUCUUUGGGUUAUGGUGCGACUUGCGAUUUCAAGGUUGCCCUGAAACAAUGGAAAAGAAUUAACAUACCCUGCAAUGAAUGAAAGCGGCUGGACUAAUUCUGAUUACCUGAUUGACUCAGGAUCGGAUGGCAAUAAAGACAGUUUAUUAACAAUGCACAGUCCCGAGUACUUUUUCAGGAUCAGAUAUUACGUGGUCUAAUGUUGAUAAUAAUAGAUUAUCAAAUGAGAGAUGCUGAGAGAUGCUGGUCUAGUAUUGCAAGCCCCCAGAUUUAAGAAUCUUUUGAUGAUAAUUUACCACCUGUAACUGUGCCGGAAGAUUCACCUAGCAUUGAAAAAGAUGAUAAUUUAAUUGAUAUGGAUAGUUUUCAUAACACUUUUAAAUCAUCUUAUGUAAUUAUAAUGUUGAGAAGCAUUAGUGGUCUAUAUGUGAACUAUUAUUGACGCUAUUUUGUUGUAAACAAUCUUAUUCAAUUAAUGUAUAAUUUAAAAUCAUUAUGUAAAUCAAUCUAUUACUUUUCAUGAUAUUUAACUGAGUUAAAACUAAGUGCACCCAAUAAAUCUCUUUUCCUUUAAAAAACUGUUACGCUUUGAUUUUAGUGCUUAAUAUUUACGGAACUCCGGUACAGGGAAUUCGAAAUCAAACUCGUAACUACAGAUUAUCUAAUUGCAAGCUUUUGUCCAUAGUUGCUGAUUGUAGUGAUUAUCUAAUUGACUGAGGUGACAACAAUUUUUUUUUUUAAUUUUCAAUAGCAUAAUGUGGAAUUCAAUAAUUAAAUUCUCCUUUUUAAUUUGUUUCCAGUUAAAUUAUUAAUUACUUAAACUCUGUUUUAAGUCUUUAAUUUUAUGUCUUGGCGUAUAUGCAGGGUUGGAUUCUUGAGCGUGUUGGACACGACCAACAAUGAAAUUGACAGUAAACAAACAUUAUAACGCGUUGAGUGUCGACUCCGCUAGCUGCCCUACAAGUCUACAACUUUACAAACAAUAACUGAGUACACACAUUUGAUUCUCAGGGCCUUUCAAUGAAUUUCUAGGCCGGUUGACUCCACCGACAAAAGUUUUGGAAAAUAAAAAAGAAAAUUCAUAGAAUUCCACCAAAUGCAAAACGCGUGGAAUUUAAUUUUCGGCUGUGUGGACCAAAACAUAAUUUAAUGAAAAAAAAGAUAAGAUUUCUAGAAUGUGUGGAAGGUGAUCCAUAUUUUACUGAAACAACUUAUUAAAUUUUUCAAGGAUUUAGAAUAUUUGGUCAUAAAUUACGCUCAUGUUAAUUUUUCCACUGUUGACUAUCAUAUUCUAGACUCACUGGUACCUUUCUUGAUGAAGGGUACUUAGUCUCUCUUCUCCUCUUAUAAAAAUUAUAUUAAUUAAUUUCUUAUUAUAAUAAAUAGUCUUUAAGAACGUAUAGAUUUAUUGUUUUCGUGACCAAAUUAUGCCAGCUUAAGGUUGCGACUAUUAAUAAAAUUAAUAUUUAAUGUUUAUGUUAAAAGAUAUAAGAUUUUUUGCAUUCAUUAAUUGUCAUUAGCUAAAGGAUUAAUUAUUUUUUCAACCCAAUCAGUUGAUGCAUCUGCAAGAAUUUUUUCUUUUAUUGACCAUAAUUAUAUUCCGGGUACAAUAAAUUAUCUUUGGUGCUUGGAAAAUAUGACUUCUUACUUCAAGUUUGAUGUGUCUCUCUCCAUAAGCUUACUGGAAAUAUAUCCUCAUCUACUGUCAUUUAUCUAAUAUCAAUUGAAUAUCUGACUUUUUCAAACUAUCACUUCCAAGUCUCAUUGUCACUUGGCCAUUCUUGGACCAUUCAAAACCAAACAAGUGUUGAAAUAAUCAAAUAUAUGCAAAAUUAGAGUCACGACUUUUGGUCCUCCAAAUUCUAAUUAUAUUACUUCUAUAUAUCUCAUUGUCAGGUCACGAACUUGUUGGCACAUUUUCCAAAUUCCUCUUCCAUCAGCUCUUACACGUUAACUUAAGUGGAAAGUUUCCAAGUUGAUUGCUAGAAAGCAACGCAAAAUCAGACACGCUUGAUCUGUCCCCUAAUUCUCUUUUCUACGUUGAAAAAGAAAAAAAAUAAGAAAAAAGAAAAUAGAUCUAUGUAAAAAUAAAUAAUAAACUGAGUAAAAGUACAUUUGUUUAUUUAACAUCUGAUCGGGGCAUUUUUGGUGUAAUUUCGUGCUGUGUUUAACCCACAACUAAAAUCAAACAGCCCCUUAGAAUACUUCUUCCAUUUUGGGUGCGUUUGGGAUUGAGGUUGGGCAGCUGUAACUUAAAAACUACAGCACUAAAGUGUUUGAUAAACACUAACUGCUGUAGCUUUUAAGCUAUGUUGAUAUGGUUUUUCACUUGUAUAAUACAAAAUUUAUUAUAUCUUUAAUAAUUUUAUCAAAAUUAUUAUUUAAAAUUUAUAUUUACUAUAUAUUAUUAACUUUUGUUUCAUAAUUACAGCUUUUUUUUCACAGCAACUGUAGCUUAAAAGCUACAGCAUCUCAAUCCCAAACGCACCCUUUAUCUGCUACUUUUGUGGAUCUUAUAGGGUGGGCAUGUGAACAGAAUUUAAAAAUUUUAAUAGUCUCAAAGAAUAAGAUAUGCUAAAGCUAAAGUUGUUGCACCUUCUAAUUAAAUAAAGUUGUAUAAUUUCACCAACUUGGAAGAAUUGAUAUUAAUGGACGGUCCCCUCUCCAUAUAUGAAGCCUUCUUAAAAGUUAAUUUUUAUUUCAGAAAAAAAAAGUUUAAGUUACAUAUAUUAUAGUAAGAUUUUUUUAGACCAAUUCCCUUCUUGAAAUAAUAAUGGAAAAGCAUUAAUUUAAAAAUAAAAUGAAUAUGUAUUGAUUAUAUCCUGAUUUUCAUCGAUUAUAGUGAGAGUUUCUCCAAAUCAAUUCCCUUAUUCAAAUAAUACAGAAAAAAUAGUAAUUUAAUAGUAAAAUAAACAAGUGUUGAUUAUAUAUUCUAAGUUUCAUCGAUUAUGUGAUCAAAGUGGCAUUGUUGAUUUAUUUCUUGUUCAAUGUUAAUUUUUAGGUUAUAUAAAUUUCAAGGAUCUAAAAUCUUUGGUCAUGGAUUACACGCUUGUUAAUUUUUCUGCCAUUAACUGUCAUAUUCUAGACUUAAUGAUACCUUUCUUGAUCAAGCGUAAUUAUUCUCUCUUCUCCUCUUAUAAAUUCCUCUUCCAUUAACAUCACUAGGAGUAUGUUGAUCUCUCAGACGUUAACUUGAGUGGAGAGUUUCCAAAUUGAUUGUUACAAAACAACACAAAAACUAGACACACUUGAUCUGUCUAAUAAUUCUCUUUCGGUAAAAUUAAUUAAUUUUAGGGAAAUAUUCUGCCAACCUCUGUAAUUUCAAAGUGAUCAUUAAUUAAUUAAACGAUACAAAUAUCUAAAGUGAUUAGAUGUUUGCCGACAAUACAAGUUCAUGACUUGAAAUUUGAUCUCUAUCGAUUGGUUUACAAAUGGACGUACUUGUGCCUUUGUGGCGAUAAUCAAACAAGUUCCCAUGAUUAUUAUUUUUUCCAAAAACGUUUUUACAACAAAUUCAUCUCGCCAAAAAUUCUAUGUUGCUAACUAACAAUAAUUGAGCACUUGGCCGCAUUGACCCCACGUCUCCACCUCUUUCUAAAAACAUGGAAAAUGUAAUUUCCACAAAAUGCCAAACGUGUGGAAUUUAAUUUUUUUGCCUUGUGGAUCAAAAUACAAAUGAAAGAAACAGGAGAAAAAAAAGGCCCAAAGACUUCUAAAAGAUGAAGAAGUCUUUGGGCCUUUUUAUAAUGGUGAAUUUUUUAAAAGAAAAAAAAUAACAACAUUUUUAUGGUUUGUUUUGAUAAUCAUAUUUACAUAUACUCUCUAAUUUUCAAAAUGGACACAUAAAUCUUUUUUUUUACAAAAUAUAUAUUAUUCAUAUUUUUUAUUUUUUAUUAUCAUAUUUUUAUUUAUUAUAAAUGUUUAGAGUAAAUUUUUAGGUUGAAAUAUAAUAAAAAUGUAUAAUCGUUCUCUUAUUAAACACACAUACUUUUAUUAGUUUCUAUGCAUUUGUCAUCUCAAUCUCUCUCAAUUAUUCUUUAUUGCUAGCUCAAAACGCGUUGCUGUUGCAAAUUAUAGCAAAAUGACAAAUAUGGAAAAAAAGGGAAGAAAAUUAAUGCAUGAAAGACUUGGAGAAAACAACAAAAUAAGCCAACUAUGAGCUAGUUGGGUGUAUAAAUUGUUAGAUGUGUUAUAUACAAAUAGCAUAGAGCCCUCUAGUUAGUUCCAGAGACAGAAAGAGCGUGUGUGUUUUUUCACAGUUAGAGAUAUAGUUAGAAUGGGUGGUUCAAAAUCAAAAAUGAUGAUAAUGUUUAUUAUGUUAUUAAUAAUAUUUAAAAGUGGGUGGAGUGAGGGAUGUUUGGAUCACGAGAGAUUUGCUCUUUUGCGACUCAAACAUUUCUUCGAUGAUAGUUAUCUUUAUGACUGGGCCGAUGAUGAGGGAGCUACUGAUUGUUGUCAGUGGGAAAAUGUUGAGUGCAGCAACACCACAGGCCGAGUGAUAGCGCUAGACCUUUUUGACACGCAUGGGGGAGAGCACAGCUGGUAUAUGAAUGCUUCUUUGUUUACUCCCUUCCAACAACUUGAGUCACUUGAUUUAACUGACAACAAUAUAGCCGGUUGUGUUGAGAAUGAAGGUGCUUCGUUUAAUUUAAUUAAUUUACUUUCUCCCCCCAAAUUUAAGUUGAAUAUCAAGACCGAGCAAUUAUAUGCAUAUUCAUUUAGUCGACAAUUUUGACUUUUUUUUAAAUGAUUAAUUUUGAAAUUACACCAGUAUCUAUGAUCUUUUUUUAUUUUAUUUUAUUUGCAGGUAUAGAGAGGCUAUCAAGAUUGAACAACUUGAAGAUGCUUAAUUUAAGUCGAAACUCAUUCAAUAAUAGCAUUUUAUCAUCUCUAACUCAUCUUUCAUCAUUAAGAUCAUUAAAUUUACUUUGGAAUAGAUUGGAAGGAAGUAUUGACGUUAAAGGUACAUAAUUAAAACUUCAAGCUCUUUCAUUAACUUGCUAAAAUAAGAUUCAAGGCUUUGAAAGAAAAAGAGAGAAAAAAACAAGGCCCAAAGACUUCUAAAAGAUGUAAAAGUCUUUGGGCUUUUUUAUAAUGGUGGAUUUUUUAAAAGGAAAAAAUAACAACGCUUCUAUGGUUUGUUUUGAUAAUCACAUUUACAUAUACUCUCUAAAUUUCAAAAUGGACACAUAAAUCUUUUUUUUUUCUACAAAUGUAUAUUGUAUUUUUUAUUAUUUUUAAUAUCAUAUUGUUAUUUAUUAUAAAUAUUUAAAGUAAAUUUUUAAGUUGAAAUAUAAUAAAAGAGUAUAAUCGUUCUCUUCUUAAACACUCAUACUUUUAGUUUCUAUCCAUUUGUCAUCUCAAUCUCUCUCAAUUAUUCAUUAUUGCUAGCUCAAAACGCGUUGCUGUGGAAAAUUAUAGCAAAAAGACAAAUAUGGAAAAGAAAAAAGGGAAGAAAAUUAAUGCAUGAAAGACUUGGAGAAAACAACGAAGUAAGUCAACUAUAAUCUAGCUGGGUGUAUAAAUUGUUUGAUGCUUUAUAAGCAAAUAACAUACAGAGACAGACAAUGUGUGUUCGUUUUUUCAUAGUUAAAGAUAUAGUUAGAAUGGGUGGUUCAAAAUCAAAAAUGGUGAUAAUGUUUGUUAUGUUAUUAAUAAUAUUUAAAAGUGGGUGGAGUGAGGGAUGUUUGGAUCACGAGAGAUUUGCUCUUUUACGACUCAAACAUUUCUUCAAUGAUCCUCUUAAUUCUCUUUACGACUGGGUAGAUGGUGAGGGAGCUACUGAUUGUUGUCAGUGGGAAAGGGUUGAGUGCAGCAACACCACAGGCCAAGUGAUAGCGUUGCACCUUUCUAAUAUAUAUUUGGGAGAGUACAGCUGGUAUCUGAAUGCUUCUUUGUUUACUCCCUUCCAACAACUUGAGUCACUUGAUUUAAGUUUCAACAAAAUAGCCGGUUGUGAUGAGAAUGAAGGUGCUUCGUUUAAUUUAAUUAAUUUACUUUCUCUCUCCUAAUUUAAGUGGUAUAUUAAAAUUGAGCAACUAUAUGCAUAUACAUUAGUUGACAAUUUUGACAUAUUUUUUGAAGUGAUUAAUUAAUUUUGAAAUUACACCAAAUAUCUAUGAUCAUUUUUUUUUAUUUUACUUGAAGGUAUAAAGAGGUUAUCAAGAUUGAACAACUUGAAGAUGCUUAAUUUAAGUGCUAACUCGUUCAACAAUAGCAUUUUAUCAUCUCUAACUCAUCUUUCAUCAAUAAGAUCAUUAAAUUUAUAUGUGAAUGAAUUGGAAGGAAGUAUUGAUGCUAAAGGUACAUAUUUAAAACUUCUCUCUUCCCCAAGCUCUUUCAUUAACUUGCUAAAAUAAGAUUCAAGGCUUUGAAUUCAAUUUUUUUAUGAUUAAUAUUUAAAAAAAACAGUUUUAAGCAAUUUAUAAAUACAAGUUUUAAUGUUUCUUAUAAUUUCAUCUUGUACUUUCAUAUGUCUUGAAUUUAAGAUUAAAAAAAAAACUCUAAUAGCAAACCAAACACCUCCACAACUUAUUAUUAUUAUUAUUAUUAUUAUUAUUAUUAUUAUAUAUUUUUUAAUUUGUGGUGAGGUUUGAAACAUUCAACUCAAUUUGUACUUGUUACAGAAUUUGAUUCUUUGAGAGAUUUAGAGGAGCUAGACAUUGGCGGGAACAAGAUUGACAAAUUUGUGGUCUCAAAAGGUACUACAAAUACCAUAAAAAAAAUAUGCUAACUUUUACAAAUUAGUUAGAUUCUUUGCCAUUUGGUUUAUUAUUUUACAGGUUUGAGUAAGUUGAAGUCUCUUGGUUUAAGUGGUAUCAAACUCAAUCGUAGCAUCUUAUCUUCUCUUUCUUCGUUAAGAGAAUUAGAUAUAAGUCGUACGGGAUUCAAAGGAACAUUUGAUGUUCGAGGUAAGCCUAAACCUUGCUUUCUCAUUUUAUAUAUGCCAACUAGAUUUGUGUAUCAUCGACAUAAUUUAAUAUUUAAUUUGAUAAGUCUGAAGGAAUUACAUGCUAAUUUAAACACACUUUUAUUUACUUUGUCAAUUAAUCAAUUAAUUACUAUUUGGCUUGGUUUGGACGAAAUUCUCAUGAUGUUUUAAUUUCUUUAAAUUAAUUAAUUAAUUAACUCUGUUUUUAAGUCUUAAGUCUGGGCAUGUUUGCAGAAUUUGAUUCCUUCAAUAACUUAGAAGUGUUGGACAUGAGUUGGAACGAAAUCGACAAUCUUGUGGUUCCUCAAGGUAAACAAUUAAAAUAUUAUUCAAUUACAUUAUUUUAAUUCAUUUGAUUAGAGAAGGCCAAAAAGGUAAAAAAAAAAUUCAAUAAAGAAAUAGAGAAUUUGUAUUAUUUAAAAAACAGAAUGUAAUAAAGAUUUGAUUCUAGUUCUUUAAUCUUUAAAGCGAUUGAAAAACAAUGUUGGUCUUUUCGCAAAGCAUAAAAUACGAAUUGAAUGCCAAUUAACUUAAUCAUUCAUUUCGUUUAGCUCUAAAUUUAGACAAUGAAUUUUUAUAUUAUUUCAAAAACAGGACGUAAUAGAAUUUUUUUAAAAAUAGAUUGUAAUGAAGAUUUGAUUCCAAUUCUUUAAUCUUUACAGUGAUUGAAAAACGAUACUACUUCCCAAAGCAUAAAAUACGAAUUGACUCUCAAUUAAAUUAAUCAUUUAUUUCGUUCAUCUCUGAAUUUAAAUAAUGAAUUUUGAUCUUCAAUCUUUUCCUAAUUAUUAUUAAUAAACAGGUUACAGAGGUUUGAGGAAGUUGAAAAGCUUUGGUCUAUCGGGAGUUGGAAUUAGAGAUGGAAGCAAGUUGUUACAGUCAAUGAGAUCAUUCCCAUCCCUCAACACUCUUGACCUGACCGAUAAUAAUUUUACCAAUAUAGCGACCGCUACUCAAGGUAAGUAAAAGGUACAGAUGUGGCCAAAUUUAUAAAUAAAUUGUUUAUUAAUUAAUUUUUUCGUAUUAUUAAUUAAGCUAAAUUCGUUGCUCCUUCCUUCUAAAUCUAAACAGAGUUGCACAAUUUCACCAACUUGGAAUAUUUGACAUUGCACGGUUCCUCUCUCCAUAUAAGCCUUCUGCAAAGCAUUGCAUCAAUAUUCCCUUCGUUAAAAAAUCUGUCGAUGUCUUUUUGUGAAGUCAAUGGUGUUGUACGCGGUCAAGGUAAAAGAAAAGCGUUGAUUGUGAACUCACUCAAUGGUGUCCUACGUGUUCAACAUUUUUAUUUAUUAAUUUAUUUAUUGUUUAAUGUUUCUGCUAGGUUUUCCUCAUUUCAAGAGUUUGGAACAUUUUGACAUGAGCUCCACACGCAUUGCACUCAACACCAGCUUUCUUCAAAUCAUCGGUGAAUCGAUGCCUUCUCUUAAGUACUUAUCACUGUCAUAUUCUACUCUUGGCACUAACAGCAGCAGGAUUCUUGAUCAAGGUUAAUGAGAUGCUGCCACCCUCCCUUCUUAAUCUAUAAUAUUAAUUUUCGAUUAAAUAUUUAAUUACACAAACCAAUCACUUAUUAUAAAAGAAUAAUACGCAUUCAUUAAUUUUUAAAUUGUAUUAAUAAUUGAUGAAUUUAAUAAAUUUUCAGGCCUCUGUUCGUUGAUGCAUCUACAAGAGUUACACAUUGCUUAUAACGAUUUAAGAGGUAGCUUGCCUUGGUGCUUGGCAAAUAUGACAUCCCUCCGAAUAUUAGAUGUUUCUUCCAAUCAACUUACUGGAAGCAUCUCCUCAUCUCCCCUCGUUCAUUUGACAUCCAUUGAAGAGCUGAGGCUUUCAUACAACCACUUCCAGAUCCCAAUUUCACUUGAACCACUUUUCAAUCAUUCAAGACUCAAGAUUUUUUAUGCUGACAACAACGAACUAAAUGCAGAAAUAACUGAGUCACAUUCUUUGACCGCCCCAAACUUCCAAUUAUCACGUCUCUCAUUGUCUUCCAGUUACGGAGACAGUUUCAUAUUCCCCAAAUUCCUUUACCAUCAACAUGACCUGGAGUAUGUUGAUCUCUCACACAUAAAGAUGAAUGGAGAAUUUCCAACUUGGUUGUUGGAAAACAACACAAAAUUGAGACAACUUUCUCUCGUCAAUGAUUCUCUUGCAGGACAUUUCCGGUUGCCAAUUCAUUCACACAAGCGGUUAGGACUGUUGGAUAUAUCCAACAACAACUUCCGAGGCCACAUUCCAGUAAAAAUUGGAGAUGUUUUACCAAGUUUAUACGUUUUCAACAAUUCCAUGAAUGCUUUAGACGGUAGCAUUCCCUCUUCAUUUGGUAAUAUGAAAUUCCUCCAAAUUCUGGACUUAUCCAACAAUCACUUGACUGGUGAAAUCCCCGAGCACUUGGCCGUGGGUUGCGUCAACUUGCAGUCUCUUGCAUUAUCAAAUAACAACCUACAAGGUCAUUUGUUCUCUAGAAAUUUUAACUUGACAAACUUGCAAUGGUUACAAUUGGAGGGCAAUCGCUUCGUAGGUGAGAUCCCACAAAGUUUGUCUAAAUGCUCCUCACUAGAAGGAUUGUAUCUUAACAAUAAUAGUCUUUCGGGUAAGAUUCCACGAUGGUUGGGUAAUCUCACAUGGUUACAAUAUAUUAUACUGCCCAAUAAUCAUCUUGAAGGCCCUAUUCCAGUGGAGUUUUGUCAGCUUGAUUCGCUUCAGAUUUUGGACAUUUCAGACAACAACAUAUCUGGAAGUUUACCAUCUUGUUUCCAUCCUCUCUCUAUCAAACAAGUUCAUCUUUCAAAAAAUAUGUUACAUGGACAGCUAAAAAGAGGUACAUUCUUUAAUUGCUCUUCCCUUGUGACAUUAGAUCUUAGUUAUAACCGCUUGAAUGGCAGCAUUCCGGAUUGGGUUGAUGGGCUUUCUCGGUUAAGCCACCUUAUCUUAGGUCACAAUAAUCUUGAAGGUGAAGUGCCAGUUCAAUUGUGCAAAUUGAACCAACUACAAUUGUUAGAUCUUUCUAAUAAUAAUCUUCACGGUCUUAUUCCUCCUUGCUUUGAUAACACCACACUUCAUGAAAGUUACAGCAAUAGUUCUAGUCCUGAUGAGCAAUUUGAAAUAUUUUUUUCCAUCGAAGGCCCUCAGGGAGGUGUAGAAAAGCAAAUCCAUGAAAAUUUUGAGUUCACAACAAAGAACAAUGCAUACAUUUACCAAGGAAAAGUGCUUAGCCUCCUAUCAGGACUUGAUCUUUCUUGCAACAAGCUAAUCGGUCAUAUUCCUCCUCAAAUUGGAAAUUUGACAAGGAUUCAAACAUUGAAUCUAUCGCACAACAACUUGACAGGAUCGAUCCCAUCAACAUUUUCAAACUUGAAGUAUGUCGAAAGUUUGGAUCUUUCCAACAACAAAUUGAAUGGGAAAAUCCCUUAUCAACUAGUGGAGUUAAAGACAUUGGAGGUUUUCAGUGUGGCAUACAAUAACUUAUCAGGCGAAAUUCCAGAAUGGAAAGCACAAUUUGCAACCUUCAACGAGAGUAGCUAUGAGGGAAAUAUUUUUCUUUGUGGACUGCCAUUGCCUAUUUGCAUAUCACCAACAACUACGCAGGAGGCUUCAAUUGACAAUGAACGAGAUGAUAAUUUAAUUGACAUGGACAGUUUCUUUAUCACAUUUACAACAUCGUACGUAAUUGUGAUAUUCGGAAUUGUUAUUGUUUUAUAUGUAAAUUCUUAUUGGCGACGUAGAUGGUUUUACUUUGUUGAAAUGUGGAUAACUUCAUGUUAUUAUUUUAUUGUAGACAAUCUUAUUGCAACAAGAUAUUGUCAUUGAAAUUAAUUAGCAGUUUAAUUACCAUUCUUUAAGUUCUAAUCAAGUUUGCUUAGGAAAUAAAUUUAUUUUUAUUUUUUAUUAAAAUUGUAGUAGUAUUUAGCGCUAUAUAGCUUCCAACUUCCGAGCACUUCACAUUUGUCUCUACACUUCCAAACCCAUAUCUGUCCACCAUAACUUAUACUUCCUUAUACUGUGCAGCAUACUUAAAUAAGAGAACCAUCUCCAAUGUUAAAACCAACCACUCUAUAACAUUCAUUUAGAAACUAUAUUUAGAAUAUUUUUAUAAUCAUACACAAGAAAUGAAACACCUAGAUGCACUUGAUCGCCUUUUUUUACUUUAAAAAAUAAUGAUUAUGGUGCUAUCAUCAUCUUCUUCACUAGCGUCAUUAACACCAAAUCCAGCGACGGACCCAUACAUUUUAUCAAGAAAGGUAUAUAUAUAAUAAAGUUGAAGCUCGACAAAAAUUCAGGAAGAUUGAUGCCUCGCCACAACAAGGGGCACACCAACAUCAAAGUAGAGAUGAAGCAAUAUUCUCAAAGCUAAAACUCUCAAAUCCACCCACCAGAAUUUCAUAUCCCUCAACAAUUUUAAGAACUAAAGAUAAUUAGGAUCUAACAUUAGUUUUUUAUAUAUUAGUUUCAUAAUUUACAAAUCAAUGAAGAUGAAGAUUAUGCUAAUGAAUUCAAAUUAUACCAUACAUUCUCGAGAUGUUACCAAAAAUUUCUAAGUCAAUCCCACAUAUUUCAUAAUUUUAAGACUAGAAAAUUUCAUUAGUUAGAAGUUUAUUACCUUCAAGUGGAAGAUGAAGAACAUUAUACAACUGAUUCAGAUUAUAUCAUACAUACUCCAAAUGCAACUAGAAAUUAACAAGUUCAUGCGCACAGAUUUCAUAACAUUAUGAUUGGAAAGUUUCACAAAGAGAAAUUCUAAAUUCAAUCUAUUGCAUCAAGGUAGUUUGAUUGAUUUGAGUUACUUUCUGAUCAAGCUACUAAUAUAACAUUCAAGUCAGGGAGAAAGUAAAUUAAAUCUGAGAAGAAAUAACAAUAAAAAUUUGUUGCUAAACAUGAUGUGUAUUUUUUUUUCAAGGCAAUUUGGAAACACAGUUGUUACUACAGAUAUUCUCCUCAACUUAGAGAUAAAUACAAAUAUUAAAAUGCAUAUGAUCGCACAUAUUACUUGGAGCUUAGUAAGAUUUCAUAAAGAGAAGAAAUCAAACCACUUAUCAAUUGUUGCAAUCGUUCUAUAAGCUAAAAUAGCAAUAUAAUACAAGAAAAGGAACAUAUAGAUACUUGGCAAGAGUUCAUUAAGAAGUCGCAUCACAUUCGGGUGAGUUUGCUUCUGAUAUCUUGCUAGCGGGGGCUUUUUCUUGUCUUUCUACGUAUGCCGAGGGAAACUAACCAGCUUGGCCCUUGCAUUCACCUUCUGACCAUCCAGUAGGAGCCACCUUGAGAAGUUAUAACUAAAACAGUGAAUUAAACAAAAGUUGACCGUUCAAAGACCUAAGGGGAAAACUAAUUCUUUUACGUAGGAGGAGUGAAUUAGUUGUGAUCACUGAAAUAACAGCAUAACUAUGGAAGCAUAACAAGAUAUAAAUUCACACGUCUAUAAGGGUAAACUGGGUGGUUUAGAACUGAGCUAGCAACCCUACUAUAUUCUGAUUUGCACUUCAAUGUAAAAGGGAAUAUAUGGUAGGAAGAAAGAAAACCAACCAUCAUUUGUUAACUCAUUGCUUUUCAAUCAAAAUUUUAAGAACAAAAUGCCAUGUGCUUUGAACAUCAAAUAAGUAUAAGCAUUAGUUCUAAAUUCCACAUAUCAUAAGUUAGAAGGAUAAGUUAAUAGCAUAGUAGAAAAAUCUCUGUGUUGUUAUUUAGAGGGGAAAGUACCAGGCGAACCACAACAUAAUCAUCAAUUGAAAGACUUAGCUCUCCAUUUGCUUGAGCAUCAAAUGGAUGUAUAACCUGCAAGAUAAUGGGAUAAAUAGAACUUAAAUCUUAAAAAAAGCAUAACAAAAGCAGCAACAGUAGCAGCAGCGUUCAUUGUAACCACUAUGAUCAUGGCCAACAAAGAUAUAUUAGAAACAAAAUUCCAUUUUUACUACGACAUUAAUAUGUACUAUAUGAUAUCAUGACGAUAGGGUUACCAAGAGCUAUCAAAGUCCAAUAAAUUCUGUAUAACUUUAUGUAGUUAUUCAAAUUAUGGAUCAGAUUUUAAAUCUGAAAUUUUGACUGCUCUCCACAAAACAUGGCCUAUGCACAAGAAAGUCAUAGAUAAUGAGGAUUACAAGUGUCUGACAUCUUUUGAGUGAUGGAUUUAACAUGAGAGCUUAUGGUCAGUCAAUUUCCUCUGCCUAGCAAUAUAAGCUUUUUCGGCCAGAUUUAUCAUCAAAUACAUAGAUUGCCCCCAAGUCACAUCCAUAUAAACAUAGUUUUUCUAGGUAAACCAAGUAAGGAAAAUCAUAAUUCAGACAUAAUCAUAAAAAGACCCAUCUAACUUUCUUUGGCAUGCCUAACUCAGCUUUGAUGUUGCUGAGAUAUUGAUAGUAGAGACACAUGAUACUUCUAGCUCAUGCAUUCUAUCUAGCUCAUCUGACAGCUAUCUCUUUUUUAAUUCAUUAGUGUUUGCUAAACCUCAUGCUUAAGAGUCCUGUUCUCCUAAACAAAGUUUUCUAAGAAUGACUUCCUCAGCACCACAUUUGGACACUUUUAAAGCAAUUUUAUUUGGGGGAAAAGAAUUUUCAAGGUGUUAACUAAUAAAUUUUAAAAAAUAAUUACAAUUUGUCCUACGAUUAUAUGACAAUUUAUCUGGGAUGAACGGAUACAGACAAACAUCUUCCACUUUUAAGACUAAUCACUACUUCCGUAGAUGUUUUGCAAUAACACAAAUGCUUGACCAGAUGGUAGUGAUGGUAGAAAAAAAUUUUAUUGCUCUAAAAUUAAAAUAAGAAUGCAAUAUGUUAAGCAAAAGACUGUGCAACAUCAAAUUAAUUGAUAAGUUUGUAAUUCAGUAAAUUAACAACUUUCAUGGUAAAAUACAACAAAUUUCUUUUCAAAAAAAAAUCUUAAAAGACAGCAUUCAAUUUUGUGCGCAUCUUAUUUCUUAAGAUUUUCCAGGAGGGCAAUACAGGGACUUUCACCUACGCAAGAGAGCAAAAGCCUUACUUUCGCUAUAAAGUAGACGUCAUUCUGAUUAAUAUGCGUUUGCAAAUCAGCUCCAUUUGAAUCAGUAUUCUGAUAGACACAUGAGGCAUUUACAUCCAUUUCCAAAGUCACAUGUUGCGAGGAGGACUCAUUUGAUUGCUCCUCUAGGAUCAUCUAAUUCAAGUAGCAAGGGUUGGAAGAGAAUAAAAAGUCACAAUUAUUCUUUUGCAUAAGUGAGACGAAAAUGAUAAAUGCACUAUUAUCAGCAGUAAACAAGAAGAGAACACUCCAAGGAAUAGAUAGAUGCGGACAAGCAAGUUAAAAUGCAAAGUUCCAAACCUCCGCAUACAACUUCUCUAAAAUAGCAAUAAUGUGUUGAUGAUAUGUUUUCUCAGCAUCUACCUGCAAAGGCCCGAGACUAGGAAAACAACAAUAAAACCACUAGCUAAAGGAGAAAGUAAAUAAAGAAAUACACUUGACAUAAAUCUUGACAAGAAGCACAAUUUAAGACAUAACAAACCCCAAUCAUAUUGUUUAGAACUACCAUUCGUUAUUUCGUUAUUGUAGCAUUUCGAACAAGUGUUGACUUAAUUCAACAUUGUUGGAAAGAUAGGCUUUUAGAAGCGGAAGAAAGCCACUCAAACCAAAGUGAUUAUCCUUGUAUUGAUCAAGGGAUGUAAACAUAUUACAUUUGCAGGAUGAGUUUUAAUCACUCCCCUGAUUUAUUUGGGUUGCAGUAAAACUAAGCGAGCAACUGUUUGACUUUCAAGCAACAUCUAAAUCAGCUAUUAAAAUUCAAAUAAAAUCAUAAUAGAAUAAUAACAGGCCAUCUUGCAUCAAAAAUUAAGUUUAAUUUGUGAAUUUUUUUCUAUAGACAUGUUAGUUCCUGCUAUUGAAAUGUUAAAAGCAUUGAAAAAUUAUUCAAUAAAUUAUGCAAACAUUAAAAUAGAGGACAUAUUAAAAAGUUUCUAAUUACAAUGUUAUGAUUUCCUAUAUUUUAGCAUUUGCAUAUUUUAAUUUAUUUAAAAGCUACGUCGAUCAACUUUGGGCGUGAAGAUUUUAGCUUCUACGAGACUUGAUUGGAAUAUGCAUAAGGAAGAGUGUUAAAAUAUGAUGCAUCCAACGAAAGACAAACCACGUGUAGUCUUUUAAUUAAGCCAAGAGUAGUGCUAGAGAGAGAGAAGCACGAGAGAAGGACGAGAGAAUUUUGCCCCUUUCUCUCUACCCACUCAUUCUCUCUCUACCCCUUUUUUCAUUGUUUCUCUCGUCUUUCUCUCGUGUUUCUCUACACCAAGCAUUUUCCUUAAGCCAAAGUAGCAGCUCAAACAAAUGACACUUGGACCAACAUGCAAUCAUGAAGUGGCCGGAAAAAGGACAAAUGCAACUUUGGCUUAAAUAAAAAAUAACAUGUGACUUGACUUUUGCUGGACAUGCAUCAUGUUAUUACAAGACAACAGAAAUCAGUAUGAUAGUACUAAAAGUUGACAAUAACAUGAAGAUAAGAGGCAGAAUGUCAACAAAUGCAUAGGCACACACAAGAAAGUAUUAACUUAUAUACCAUAGCAAAAAGUCUUUGAUAUGUCAUCUGUUGCUGCUGUGAUUCAACUGACAGCAUGGCAGCUGUCGCUUCUCUACCAAGAGCCAUUAUUGUAGAUUUAAGCUCGGUCAAUCUUGCUUCUGCAUUUCGAAGCUUCACAGCACUCUCUGCUGAUAUAUCAGAUUCCCUAAUCUUUGAUCGGCGCCUAAAUACUUCAGCUGCCUGGUGAAAAUAUUCAAUAUAAAUCUAACAUAAUUCUAAUCUUGCCUUAUACAUGCAUAUGUUAACUCAAAGCUUACCUGCGCUUCAACUUCAUGUCGAAGUUUGUCAUAACGAUGAGUCAGGUGUCGAGCAUCUUCCAAAGGUGCUCCAUUGAUUAACGCCCGUAGUGGCUCAGAUACCGACAUGUCCAAAAACCUGUAACAUAGUUAGAAAAAUGAAAAGAAAGAGCAAAACCUCAAUUAAAAAGUUCCUCCAACAUAAUCAUGGAAUUUGGGCCUACUUCAAGGAUAUAUAUAAGGAUAAUUUAUGCAAUUUUGGGUCUAAGGAUGAUUCAUAUUAGGUUAGUGUUCUUCUCUUCUGUAUUUAAGGUUAAAAUAGAAAUAAACCUAUGAAAAUAUCUAAAUUAGGGCUGUAAGACUUCCACAUGCAUCCUUCAGUCUCAUGGAUUUGAUUUUACUAUAGAUGCAAGUGUCUUUAUCGAAAAUGCUUGGAGUCAAUUGAGAGAACUCACGGCCAAUAACUUGUCACACGCUAGUCUUUGCUAGUGAUGUAAGAAGUCACAAGGUCUCUUCAACAUUUGAACCAAUAAAAUUAUUAAGUCAUGGAUGUCACUAGCAAUGAUUUUAAUAUAAAACAUUACAUAUUUCAGAGUUGAAACUUUAAAAUGGAUUCUUUUAUUCAGUAUCUUAGAACUAAGUUUCCUUAUGAGAAGAUAAUAGUUUCAGUAGUAAUUUACAUAUAAUUUUCUAUAUUUGAAUUAUUUUCUAGUUAGGGAUGAACUAACCUGAUCACGAAGAAUCCCAAGCAAAGUUUCCCUCUCAUUUUCCAUCAAAUCAUGUGAAGUGCCAAAUUGAAGAGCAGCUCUUGCAACGCAAGAAUUGUCACUUUGAUUCUCCACUCCAUACUUGCAACAAUCUUCGGCCAACUUUCUCGCUACAAUAUUUGAAUACAAAAAUAUUGUACACGAGAACUAGUCAAGAAAAUUAAAAAAAAAAAAAAUCAAAUAUUAUAACGAGAGCAAGAGCAAACAAACAACCUAUUUCCAUUUGUUUCAAGCUUACUGCAACAAACCCUUCAACGCCACGGACAACAUUCCUCUGAAAAUGCUGCGCUACAGAGCAUAUAUUCCAAAUUAUUGUUCAGAUAAAACCAUACAAACCAUCAUAAUUAUUCAACAUACAUUAAGCUCCGUUUGGUAAAUACUUGCAACUUCAGUCCAGAAAAUACAGUUAAUUUUUAUUUAAAAAACAUCAUAAUUAUCAACAUACAUAUUUGACAAAAUUAUUAUUUAAAAAUCAUAACUAAUUACCAAAAGCCACAAUAAAUCAAUAUCAAACAGUCUUAUUAUUAGCUAAAGGAGGAUAGUACCUUAGCUGCCCUGGUGGAAUUGUAUAGAUUUUGAAGUUGUUGGUGACACUCAAUUUCAGAUUCAUCAACAUUUUCAAUACCAAGAUGGAGCAGAUGCUUCAAUACUGCCUGUACAAACCAUAAAAAACUAAUGAAAAAUAAAUAAAAUCGAGAAAUUUCACUAAAUAAAAGUCUAAAUAUAAUUUUUAAAAAAAGAAAAGAAACGGACUUGCUGCUGCUUGGCGACUUGUUCUCGGAGCUUGAUUGCCUGUUUCUUGAUAGCUUCCAUACUGUUUCUUUCAAAAAGCGACGACGGCUCAGCUCAUGGAGGUGGAAAAAAAAAAGUGUGAUGGAGAAAAAUAAAAAGGCAUGAAUAAUUUUUGACAAAAAGCGAAAAUCAAGGAAAGCCAGCUCUUUCCAGAAAAAUAAAAAAGAAAAAAGAAAAUUAUAAGUUUGAAAGGAGAAGAUGAUAGUGGAAGUGUGCGGUGUGGCUGCCAGCUACUUGGAUUUUACUGUUGGGUAAGGUAAUAGUAGAGAAUUUUUUUUUUUUUUUAAGAAAAAUAGUAGAGAAUUUUUUAAGAAGCUAGAACAGAGCAUGACAUUAGACUUUUGUGGACCAAAUUCAAAAGCCGAAUGGCACGGCCCAGAAGCUUUUGAAUAGAAAAACUUGCAUCAGCCUCAAUCACUUCUUAAUCGCUUGCUUUAACUGCAUCGCUCUCUCUGUGCUCUUCUAUAUAUGUAACGGUUAUGCGGUUGUAGUUCACGACUGAGGCUACGUGUUGGUUUGACGUGGCAGUUACGUUACUAGGGGAUAAAUAAGAUUGGUUUCAACAAACCCACUAAUUUUAUAAAAUUCGAGUAAUAUAGAAUAAAAUAAAAAAAAUAAAUACAAAAUUGGCUUUUAUUUUUUCUGGUUGACUGUAUUUUGUGUUCUCUUCCGGCACUACUACAAUUGUUCCCUAUAUAUUAGUCACACCCAUAUGUCAUUAACACAAGAAAUGAAAUCUAAUGUCACCUAUUUAGUUAAAGAAUCACUUAUGAAAAAAUUUUACCAUUUUGAUUUGAGGAUCCAUAUUUUGAACUGCAAACUAAUGUUCAUCAAGAACAGAGUAUGACUUAUGUGUAGAAAAUUUUAUGAUUUUGGCCCGAAAUAUAAGGAAAUUAAAUUAGAUGAGAAUCUGCCACUUUCUCAUGAAGAAAGGCAUGCGGAGCAUACCAUGGUACCAUACGGAGAAUAUUAGAACCUCCCUAGAAUAUCUUUACCCUGAUGUUUCUAACAAAAAUCUGCAUGUGGCAGCAAUUACUAGAUCUACAAUUUCCCAAAUAAUAUUUUGUGUUUCUUAAAAAAUUUGAAAUACAUAGUUGCACUUGCACACCGUGAGACAGUGCUACAAUCUACUGAGAUCUAAAUUAUAUGAGACUUUAAGCUACUAAUGUUUGCAUAUUUCUACAUGUCAAAUUAACAUUACCAUCUAUAAUCCUAAACGACAGAUGAUAAACGGCUUUUGGCCACUUAUUACUAGCAUCCACAAUUAAUUUUUGUUCAGCAAUCAGCUUAUUUUAUAGAAAUUGAUUUAGUCAGCAACAAACACUAUAAUACUUGAAAUUAGUUCUUGUUCUUUGUAAUUUUCUAUGAUUUUUCAUAUAUCAAUUAAUCUGCAGUGCCAAGAUGAGGUUUAGUUUUCAAACUAAAUAAUCAAGUAAGCAAAAAUACAAAUUCAGAGAUUAGCGGGGUAAACUAGCUGGGUGGUUUAGAACUGGGCUAGCUACCUCCCUGUAUUCCUAUUUGUAAGGUGAAUUAAUUGAAUCAUGAGAAAACAAUGUGACCAUAGCUCAAUAUGAGAUGAUUUCGGAGAGGCAUAUUGUUUUCGAGUGAAUUUGAUCCAUUAAGAGAUGAAGUGGAUUGAAGUGGAAAGUUUAAAUAACAAAUCCUUGUUCUUGAGUUUUACGACGUCGUUACUCCUUCAGGUGGCAGAUUAUGCAAGUGAAUUCAAAAACACAAUGCAUCAAUCACGGGGACAAAAGACGGGAUCACAGUCUAUGCAUUGAACAGUUACAGUUGCUGCUACCAAUUGUUCGGCAAAGAUCAAGAAGACUGAACGGGAAGCUAAUGCCAUCAAUGUCGUCUUCACUAUAUCUGCUGGGAAUGUAGGUGAACUUUCCUCAUUUGCAGCUGUCUAUACAUAGGCUUUUCCCCAGCUUAAGUACAAAUAAAUGAAGCUGCCUUGAAGGCUUUAUUAUUGACCCCAAUAAGGAUUACUAAUUGAAGAAGACUAUACGGAGUUAAUCUCACAUUUUAGUUCUCUCAAUUUCUUUCAGAAGUGCCUCUGAAAAUAGCUGCCAAACCGUUAGUCAGCUUGUAUACUCUGUUUUCUGGAAACAGAGUAGCAUAUUUAAUCGUUUUAAUUGAAUUGUCUUCGUAGCGAUCAUCAACAAACUCAUCAUAAGAUUUUUGAAGCACCCAAGGACUAUCACUGGGUUUCUCUUCUGGUUGAUUUAUUAAUUAAUCAAAGAACGGUUGGAUGAAGUGCAAUGAUGGAGCAAAAUUUACAAUGUCUCCGGUUUCUCCUGACCAUCGGACUUUUGCAGUGAGAACAUAUAACAAAAAGACCUUCAUCAAAAUUUGUAGACUCCGGGUAUGGAUUGGAUCGAGUUUUUUGUUUGAUAUUGAAGAACCACUUUACUAUCGCGAUAUAGAUUAUGUGCAAGGGGUUGUCUACUGUUCUUUGCCUUGUGCUAUGAUCGGUGCUUUUGACGUUGCCCCGAAACAGUGGAAAAUACUUCGAUUUCCUCCGUUUGAUGAUGCAAAGAACUGGUUAAUGUACGAUUACCUAAUUGACUCAGGAUCAAGUAACAACAACAAUUUAUUAAUAGUAGUAUCACAAACGAAGAAGAUUUCGGAGAGGGUGAUGUAUGCCUAUACCGUUUACAGGUUUGAUCCACAGGGGAUGAAGUGGUCUCAAGUGGAAAGUGAUUUAUUAAACAACAAAUCAUUGUUCUUGGGUCAUACCUCAUGAUGUCAUCAAGUGGAAGAUGAAGAUUAUGCAAGACGAAGAUCGUUUGAUAUUGAAGAAUUUGAACAGAAAGCCCAUAGAAAGUACUUAAAUAAGCAUAUUCUUGUUGGGGUAGAAUAUUAAGAAAGGAGUUGUCUACUGUGUGUUGCGUGAUUAGGCUAUGAUCUGUGCUUUGAACAUUGCCCUCAAAACAGUGGAAAAUACUUCAUAUCCUCGACAUGAUGAUGAAAAAUUGGUUACCGAUUACCUAAUUGACUCAGUGACAACAAUCUAUUAAUAGCACAAUUUGGCGUGAUGCCGUUUAGGUAUAUGGUUUUCAAGUUUGAUUCAUCAGUGAUGAAGUGGACUAAAAUAAGAUGUUUAAAUGAUAAGUCAUUGUUCUUGGGCAUAUCGUCAUUACUACUUCUAGUGAUCAAAGAUGAAGAUGAAGAUGAAGAUGAAGAUGAAAAUUGUGCGAGUUCAAGAUUACCAUCAACUCAAUUUUAUGAUUGGAGUGUCUCACCGUGACUCAGACAAAUUCUGAUUCAACCUCCUUCACCAAUGGAUUUUGAUUAGUUAUUUUGUGAUCAAGCAACUUAAUUAAACUCACAGUUUGUUAGUCUAAUUUUAGUUUUACUGUGACCACUAUUCAAGGUAAGCGAAAGUUACAGAUGUGGCAAAAUCAAUAAUUAAAUUCAUAAAAUGUUAAAAAAUAAAACUUAUAAAUUUUGCAUGACUACUUACUAAUAAAUAAAUAAGUUAGAAUGUAGUUAGUUAAUUUUACACCAUAUUAUAUAUUAUUCGAUAAUAAUAUAAAAUAAAAAGAAUUAAAAAAUAAAUAAUUGAAUAAACAAAUAUGACUUUCUAAACAGUAAAAAUUCUAGAGUUAAAAUUUAUAUUAUUAUUUUAUUUUUUAAAAUUGACAUAUUUCUAUUAUCUUACAUGUACACAGAUUUUGAGAGUUGAGAAGAAUAUAUUUAAUGAAGCUUGCUAACAUUUGGUGGGAUAGCAAGUAAGGGUAAAUAAGAUUUUUUUGUUAUUUAUUUGAAUUAUAUCUAUUUUGUUCAAGUUAAAAUACUAAAUAUAAAUUGGAGGUAGACAUUUUAACAGAUCAUCUAAGCUCUCAAAUCUGAAAUUUUGUGUAGAUUUAAAUUCAUAAUUUUAGUUAAUUUUCAUACAUUCAUAUAAACAAAUUUAUGAGAUUUUUCUUUUCAGCAUGUUAUAUUUUGAAACUUUCAAUGUAUUAUUCUAGCUUUAUUUAAAUAAUUAAUUUAUUUAAAAUUUAUUUAAUUUUGAAUUUGAUCAAUAGUAAAAUUAUUUUUAUAUCAAAUUUUUUUAUUUAAAUAGUUCGUGGAUUGGACAAAAUUAAAAAUUUUUAAUCCACAAAAUGGUGGAUUAGAUAUGAAUUGGGUUAAAUACACAUUCGAUCCGCAGUCGUAUGAAUUUGAUUUGGAUUGAAUUUCAUCAAUCCAUGGAUUAGAUUGGAUUGAAAAAUUUAUUAUCCGCAAAAUCGUGGAUCGAAUAUGGACUGAUGUCCAAUCAGCAAAAUCCAAUCCCCGAACACUCCUCUAUCAAAAUUUUCAAGAAUAUUUUUUAUCUUACAAAUUUUUUUUAAAGUCAUAGUCUAAGGGCGGCCCAAUUUCUACUCCAUCCAUAUAAGCGGAGUUCAAAUCUCAUACCUCUUAUCUCCACACAAGAGAUUUAACCAAUUGAAAUAGCUAGCACCCACAAGUAUACUAGUACAGCAUCUCUUAACGUUUAACAUACGUAAAAUUAACGCCAUAGCUAUUGAUAAACACAUUGUUCAAUAUAUAUGAUCAAGAAUCUGAUCCUGCGAGCAACAGCAGUCAGAAGAACCAUUAUAAUGCCUAGCUCUUAUCCUGGUUAAUCCUCUGGCCCGAUGCUUCAUCAUAGUGAUUUAAAAAACCAACAACAGCUCUCUAAAAGAGAUGAAGAUAUCAUCUACGUAAAGAACAUGAGACGGAGAUUCACAACCCAUAAGAACUGAGAUAAAUUGGACCAGACCAGUAAUCUUGAGAUAAGUUAAACUGUGACUUAAGUUGAAAUCAGAGGACAGGAAUUUUAAAAUCUUUCGGCUAAGCCCCUGAGGAAUUUUCUAGAGUACGACUUCUGCUUACCUCUGUUUAAUUUCUCUUUAUAUUUUUCUUUCAUUUCAUUAAUAAAGUCAAAUAAUAAAUCAAAGAACGAGGGAAGAUUUUUCCAAGUCAUGCAUUAUUUGAUUACCAUCAAUCAAGAAACCGACCAAAUUAAUUUCUCUCCGUGAUUUUUAAAAAUUAAAAAAAAAAUAUUUGAGCAUAACAUCAUUAAUUAUAGAGUGGAUCAAACUGCGUUAAUCAUGAACUUUGUUGUGUUAAUUAUUUCAAUCCCCGAUUACGCAAUUUUUAAAUUAUAGCCUAACGGUGGUCUCAUCACCACGUGUGUGAUUUUCUUUUGCCAAUAGGAUCUGUAGAGAGCUUGAUCUCACCCAAUAGCAAAAUAAACUUCCUAAUAAGUGAAGGCAUAGUAUAAAUAAUUCACCCCCAUAUUAUUUAUUAGCAGCUUGAUUAUUUUAUAUGCAUCUUUGAUUUAAAUUUUUUUUUCCCAUAAUUGCUACUAUGUUCGAACUGGUCAUGAAUUAUCUAUAAGAUUUUUCAUGUUGCUUUUAGGUGCAUUGGAUUUUUUUUAGUUUAGUGCAAGAGUAGAGGAAGGCAAAUUAAGAAAAAGGAUAAAGAUCUAUGAUUAGCUAUUUUGGGAUGUCUCAUAACAUAUUGAUGGUAACAUUAUACAUAUGUAUAUCUAAAAAAUGGGGUUGGAUCAAGAGCCCAUUAAUAAUCAUAGAUUAGCUUAUAUAGCAAUUUCACAAGCACAUGUUAGCCUAUGUUGAGCUUUAUUAUCAAUAGUUCAUAGUUCAUCGGUGCACUGCAGGUUUACUAUUUGAAGUAAAUAUUAUGGUGCGUGCAUUUUUUAUAAGGCCAACUGCUGAAUUUAGCAUUGAAACUUACAAAAUGUAAUAGAGAGAGGUAGAUAACAGCCACAAAACACUAAGAUUGGAAAUCAGGGCUACUAAAUACUAUUACAAGCCCUUAGAAAAGACACUGAUCAUCCUAGAAUGUAUAUACUGAAAGUAAGAAAUAUUAAUCGCAAAGUUAUGUGCCAACAAAACUAUUGACUACUUGUCUCUAGCAGAAGGUAUAUAUUUUUAACUUCAGCUCUCUACUUUGUUCUAAGAACUAGGCAAAAGAAUGAAACUUCGGUGUCUAAAGUUUGCCGCUUGAAAUAUUUCACUGUCUAAACAUUCACUCACCACUUAUUUCAUAAAUGAAUUUUGUCUAACUAUAUGUUGAUAAAGAUAUUAGAGGUAAUAUAAUGCAUUUAAGACUUAACGUAUAUUUUUUAUUAGUAGAGUGUAGAAUUUUUAAGAAAUAAAUUAUUAAAUUACUAUAACUAACAUAUUAUUUUAAAGUUAUGUUAAGAAAAGAAUGAAAAUAAAAAAUAAAAAAAUAAGGGUAUUCUAAAACUUUGAUCCUUUUAAAAGUAGUUUUUGACGUAAAUAAAAUAAUUUUUAUUUUUUUUAAAUCACAUACUCUAGUUAAAAUCAAAUUUGUAUUUAUAAAGAUUGUAAAAUUUUUUUUAGCAUUAAUAUUUGAAUACUUUCAAGAUAAGAAAUAGGGUACUAAUUAUGCUACAACAUUAUUAUAGCACAUAAAAAGACAAUACCCUUUAUAUUAUUAUACUAUCGUUUUUGUUAUGAUAGUAUUUUGUUAGUGGUCAAAUAUUACUUUUUUAAAUAAAAAAGUAGACAAAUGUAAAUCAAUUUUUAAUCUCUCCUAAAAUUCUAAUUCCUAGUUACCAAACAAAAUUGUUUGAAAAUAAUUUGGCUAAGUGCAUGGGUUCUUAAAACUAUAGGUGAUAGAAGUUACAAGCACAAGCAAAUUUGACGGUCCAUUUUAUAAAAUUUUUAAUAAUUUUUUAUUUACCAUUUUACCACCUAUAUAAUGAGUGCCACAUCGACAAAUCAAUUCAUUUGCAAAUUAUAUUAAUUUUGUAAAAUUCAUUUGACUUGCUAAACCCUUCUUAUCCCCUUUCUCGACUGUCAUACCCUAACCUUAUUUCCCGUGUCCACACUUGACCACGCUCAAUUCAGGCCAUCAGAUUAUCCUGGACCCACAUUAAUCCAACUGCUCACAAUGACCGACAGCCUCUCCAUCUCCAUUUCAAGCUUCCUCUUCAACUGGCUUCUGCUUCCGUCGUACUCUUUCUUGGAUUCGGAGUCCGUAUUUGCUCGGCCGGUCCCGCACAGCUCCCUCUCACUCCAAUUGUCACCCAACAAGACCAAUUGCUUAACAUUGACCGUAUGGCAAUUGUCCGUAUUUCUUGGAUUCGGAGUCCGUAUGGCACAGAACAAGAAGAGGAUGAGAAAUUGAAACAAGAAUUUGAGAAUUGGAAAUCGAAAACGUACGCAUUGACCGUGCCUUUGAGGGCAAUUACUUUUCUUGAGAAUUGAAGUUUGGUAAUGUAAUUUGUUCUCCAUCUGUGUUCCCUUUGUAGUCAUUUCAUUUAUUUGUUUGUUUGCUUUUAUUUGCACUUACGAAGUCUCAGAUAUAUCUACGCAGGAAUGAUGCAGGAGAAAUUGAUCCUCGAGCUUACAAGAAAAGUAAAUUUCGAAAGCAUAAUUUGGCUCCGAUUGAGGUAAUAAUUGUCUUUAAACUCAUUUAGUUUUAUAUCAAACAAAAUAAAGGCUGCCUUUCUCUUCAAUAUUUUUUAUGAUAAUAUCUUUAGAAGCAUCUCAUUGACGGGUAAUCAUGGUAUCCCUUAAAGAGUCUAUAAACUCAAUGAUAUUUUCUUCUGCAAAUGGUUCAUUAAACUUCUUAGACGUAGUUAAAUGUACACUAAGAACAACGAGAAGCUAUGCCGCUGUAGCAUGUAGUGAGAUCUUGUUUGAAGUUGUUUUCUGAAAUGAACUGCCAAAUGGUAGUUUUUUAUUUCUUGGGUGCAUUUGAUGACUCUUUUCUCCUCAUUUUAAGCAUGUACCUGCUUGGAAUGGGAAGGAAUAGGCUUCCGAGUUGUUAUAUAUGUUGACAUGCUCUGAUCAUUACACAAAAUGUUCAAAUUGGAAAUUAGAAUGAGAUAUUUGUCGAUGCUUUUUGAGAGAUCUGCAUUCUAUGCACCAUAACAUGAUUAAUGAAAACAGGUUUAAGGACUGGAAAGAUCUGUGGCGGCCCAAGCUUGCAGGAAGGAUUUCAAUGGUUAAUUCUCCCAGAGAGGUUAUUGGUACAGUUUUGAAGUAUAUGGGAGCAUCAUACAAUUCAAACGACAUUGAUUAGCAAGUUGCUGCUGGGAGGAUUGCUGUUCAGCAGAAUCUGGCAUUACUGGGAAACCAGGUACUCUUAAAGAAAUGAUAUCUGGUCAAUGCAUAUUACUGCCUGAGCUGAUUUUGUUUGUAAAGUCUGCCUCUUCAUACAUAUGAAUGCAUAUGUUAGUGUUUUCUUCUCCUUUUAAUACACAUGAAUGCAUAUGUUAGUGUUGUCUUCUCCUUUCCAUAAAUAUGAAUGCAUAUGCUCUGGGUGUUGGUUACUACUUCAAGUGGAAGGUGAAGGUGAUGCAAGUGAUUUCAGGAGUACAUAUAUUCCAAGGAUGCUGGACUAUUAUUGCUUCCCCCCAUAUUUCAGAAUUUUUUGUCAACCUCCUCCACUAAGGGAUUCCAAUUGAGUUACAAAUAUAUUUUCUGUAGCUAUGUUUUAAAGUUUUGGUCUCAUGUUAAUUUUUCUAAUUACUAUUCUUCAACAAAUCUCUUUUACUUUAAAAAACUGCUACAGUUUGAUUUUACUGCCUUAUAUCAUUGAACAUUGAUACAUGGAAUUUGAAAUCAGACUUGUAACAACAGAUAUAUAGAUAUAGAACAUGCAUAUAAUCUCCAUUUCGAGCUCCCUCUCCAACUGGCUUCUGCUUCCGUCGUACUCUUUCUGGGAUUCGGAGUCCGUAUUUGCUCGGCCGGUCCUGCACAGCUCCCUCUCACUCCAAUUGUCACCCAACAAGACCAAUUGCUUAAUCAAGGCACAGAACAAGAAGAGGAUGAGAAGUUGAAACAAGAAUUUGAGAAUUGGAAAUCGAAAACGUAUGCAUUGACUGUGCCUCUAAGGGUUGUUUCUCUUCAGAAUUCAGUGCCUCAAUCUUGGGUUAAGGAUUUUAUGCGAAGUCAAGGAAAGAGAUUGAAGUUUCAGAUGAAUUUGUGUGCUAGCAUUGGUGGGAUCUUUAACAAUUUAUCUGUGCCCUUUAACAAAGUUAAGGGUAAGUCAGCUUCGUAUACGGCUGCUGAUUUGGUUAGUGUUGGUGAUUCAUGGCUCAGUUUUGCGAUUAAAAAGAGAUUGAUUGAGCCAAUAGCUGAAGCUGAAGAUCAAGAUUGGUUCAAAUGCUUAUGUCACAAAUGGAAGGUAACAUACUAACAUCUUUAUCUUUGACCCGAUAAUUUUUAUUGUCUUACAUUGAAAUUUGGUAAUGUAAUUUGUUCUCUAUUUGUGUUACCCUUUGUAGUCGUUUUAUUUAUUUGUUUAUUUGCUUUUAUUUGCACUAAUGAAAUCUCAGGUAUAUCUACGCAGGAAUGAUUCAGGAGAAAUUGAUCCUCGAGGUAAAAUAUGGGCGGCACCAUACAGGUGGGGCACAACGGUGAUAGCCCACAAGAAAAGUAAAUUUCGAAAGCAUAAUUUGGCUCCGAUUGAGGUAAUAAUUGUCUUUAAACUCAUUUAUUUUUAUAUCAAACAAAAUCAAGACUGCCUUUCUCUUCAAUAUUUUUUAUGAUAAUAUCUUUAGAAGCAUCUCAUUGACGGGUAACAAUGGUAUCCCUGAAAGAGUCUUUAAACUCAAUGAUAUUAUCUUCUACAAAUGGUUCAUUAAACUUUGUCGUUGUAGUGAAAUGUACACUCAGAGCAAUGAGAAGCUAUGCCACUGUAGCAUGUAGUGAUGGCACUUAAUAAGUGAGUUGCUAGGAUGUGAACUAGAAAAAUUAAAUAUUGUCUCCUUGGGUAUGCUAGCUCAUAAGUCAGGGUUAAUAUUAGAGCUUAAGUUACUAUAACCAUGAGACGCUAUUGACUGCCAAUUAAAAUAUCCAUUAAAUUGUCUAGGAAGUUAUGAAAGUGGAGGUAUCUUCCGAUUUCUAAGGCCAGAUAGUAGACAUCAUCCAGGAUCCUAGGAAAGUGCAGUUAACCUCCUGCUCGAUGCAAUUAAUAAAUUUGGUCAAUGCCACUGAAACCUGCAAACCGACGUCACAAUGCAAGAUGAGCACUUCAAAAUGGGACAGACGGUCAGUAGCACUAAAUUUUUCUUUCCCAAGAUUGAGCAAUUGGUCUAACAACUAACCCCUAUUGUAGGUUGAUCAUUAUUUUUCCAAUUAUGUUCAGUUUGACCCAAAAAGUUACAGAAUCUUGAGCUGAAUAUUGUCACUGAACACUGUCAAUGUCGUUUAGCAUACCCAACUAACUUGAGUUUGGUAAAACAAACACACUGUGUGUCUCAUCUCUCACAAUUCAAAUUAUCAUCUGUAAUGAUGGAGAAUUUUUCCGAUGUAUGAAGUAUGCUUUGAUACGUGUACCUUGGAGAAGAUAUCUCCAAAUAAAGAAUAUGGAGAGAAAACGGUUCAGUAGUUUAUUAUUCUGUAGGCAAUUCUUGUCUCAAAAAUGGUCAAAAUUUAAAUGAAUAAGGACAGGGGAUCUUCAUUCUUUUUUCCCUUUUUUAUACCAAGAUAUCUCUCAACCUUUAUAUAAUCCCCACUGGAUAUCUGCUUCUAAUAAUUAAAAUAAAAAUUUCACCCGCACAAAUAAAUACUGACCAAGCUCUAACAAUAAAAAGUAACAUCUUUACUCAAGUAAUUUACAGUUCCUCAUCAUCUUAGUGUGAGACUAUCAUUACGUUCCAAAAACAUAAUAAAACUGGUUUGAUCCUGUUUAUUGAUGUUUAAAUGUUGUUCAUUGUGACAUGUAGAAAUGAUGAGGCGAAGUUUAUUUGGUCAUCAAUUAGUAAGAUCUUGUUUGAAGUUGUUUUCUGAAAUGAACUGCCAAAUGGUAGUUUUUUUGGGCAUAUGAUGGCUCUUUUUUCCUCAUUUUCAACAUGUGCCUGCUUGGAAUGGGAUGGAUUAGGCUGCAGAGUUGUUAUAUAUUUUGAGAUGCUCUGGCCAUUGCACAAUUUGUUCACACUGGAAAUUAGAAUGAGAAAUUUGUUGAUGCUGUUUUGAGAGAUCUGCAUUCUAUGCACAAUAACAUGAUUAAUGAAAAUGGAUUGUAGGACUGGAAAGAUCUGUGGCAGCCUGAGCUCGCAGGAAGAAUUUCAAUGGUUAAUUCUCCCCGAGAGGUUAUUGGUUCAGUUUUGAAGUAUAUGGGAGCAUCAUACAAUUCAAGCGAUAUUGAUUCGCAAGUUGCGGGUGGGAAGAUUGCUGUUCAGCAGAAUCUGGCAUUACUGGCAAACCAGGUACUCUUAAAGAAAUGAUAUCUGAUCAUGCAUGUUAUUGCCUGACAACUGAUUUUGUUUGUAAAAGUCUGCUUCUUCAUACAUAUGAAUGCAUAUGUUAGUGUUCUCUUCUCCUUUUCAUACAUAUGAAUGCAUAUGUUGGUGUUGUCUUUUCCUUUUCAUACAUAUUAAUACAUAUAUUGGUGCUCUCUCCUGAGAUGGAUGCAAUAAAGGCUUUUGGUCCUAAAUUUAGCUGAAGAAAUGGCAAGGGAUGUGAGAUUCUGUCUCAUUAAAUUAACAAAAACCCAAAACAAUGAAAACCGAUAAUAAUGUGGUGGGGGUAAAUUGGCACCAUUUGGUUUGUUUCCUUAAUGUGAAUACACGAGCAAUAGGGACUAACAAAAUGAAGUGACAACAACAAGUCAGUGUCCUUUGAUGGAUGCAUUUUAGGCAGAAAUAGGUUUGUAAUUGACCAAUUUCAAAAAAUUUAAAUUAUGUGGUUAUUAGCUGUAAUGAAGGGGAUAGUAGGUGCAAUCAGGUGGAUCCAGGAAAGUUCAACAAAGUUCUGGUAUGGCAUAGUGAAAUUGGUUUGUGCAACUCAAGAGUCUUUCAGGUGAACGAUGAUACGUUUUGAUUUAUAAAUGUUAUAAAUCUACCGUCCAUAGUAUUCUAGUAGAGUCAUCUAUAAGUUCUAGUUAUUGAAAUUGUCUACUUUGUCCAGUUUGAGUUAAGGGCACAUGUAAUAGGAAAAAUAGUAUUCACAUCUUUUUGGUUACCUAACAUUUGAUCGAUCCUAUUAUGAGGGCUUCAAGAUGCCUGACAAUAUGUAGAAUGCCCAUGCUCCUCCCCAUUGUUUAUCUUAUACAAUAAUUUGUUUUAGAUGCUAAUAUAUUUGUCGAUACCGGUAACGAUAUUACAAUAUCUGCGUUUAUUGGGUUUUACAUAGGUUCGACUGUUUGACAGUACACACUAUCUGAAGGCAUUUGGAAUUGGAGAUGUAUGGGUUGCUGUUGGGUGGAGUAGUGAUGUUCUUCCUGCUGUCAAACGUAUGUCUAAUGUUGCAGUUGUUGUUCCCAAGUCUGGUGCUAGCUUAUGGGCCGAUCUUUGGGUAUACCCAUGCCUGCCAUUCUACUUCGAUAUUCACAUUGUUAUCUCCUUCAUUUUAGCGAUCAUAAACUUGAUAAUGUGACUAAUAAGUUCGUAUUCUCUAUAUAGGCAAUCCCUGCUGCCUCAAGACUUGAAACAAAAGAAAUUGGAGGGCGAGUCAGAGGUCCAUCUCCAUUAAUCCAUCAAUGGAUAGAAUUCUGCUUGCAAACAGCGAGAACAUUGCCUUUCAAGCAAGAGGUUAUCCCGGGCGCAUCUCCCUCUGCCCUUGAAAGUACUCUGGUUAAGUUGCCUGAAGAACUUCUGAUGGGUAAACCAAGUCUGGAUACUAACUUAAUUGCUGGAGUACCCCCGGCUGAAAUUCUGGCCAGAUGUGAGUUUUUGGAGCCAUUGCCUGAAGCUACAUUGUCAGAUUAUGAGUGGCUGGUUGCUAAUCUGCAAAAACCUGCCCCCGUCUUGAUGAAAAGGCUGCAACAUUACUUGUCAUCAUUAAUCCAAAGCUUUCUAGCAAAAGCUACAUUGAAAAGUUAAUGGCACUGCAUGCCAGUCAUUGUAAUGCUGUCAGGGCUAUUGGGUCAGGGCAAUUAGGUAAGAGCAUAACUUCAUUAGGAAAAGAGGCUUCAGCUACGUUAAAUAUUGCAGGAUGUACUGAGAUGGUUGAAGUUCUUGAGGUUUUACGAGAAACGAAAGAUGAGUGUUUGUUUGAACAAAGUUGUUGCCAUCUUGCAAGAUCACUGAGCGAAUGCCACCGAUUUCUUAAUCAUUGUAGCCUCCAUAGUUGAAGUUUCCUUAUUUGAAGCUGUUUAUGCGUACGCUUUUUCCCUGCUCAAGUACAGGAAAUUGAAGAAUUAACCAGAUGUGAUAUGCUGAAAGAGGGAAGUUUUCUUCCUUGAACGUGGCCUUGUGAUUUGUCUUGAAGGAAUAGGAUGAUCACUGGCAAGAACCCUAUCAAGGUAGAUUUUAUGGUGCUAACGUAUUAUUAAGCAUUUUGUUACAUCAGCAAUGAUGCUUCCAUAGCAUGAAAGUGUUUAAAUUUAACUGAAUGAUCUUGAUUAAUCAAUUAUGAGUUUUAAUCGAGUAAAAACUAAAUACAAUCAUCGUUAGCAAAUACUGAAAUUGGGUAAAUAUGAUCUUGAUAUUGAAGAAUCUGAAAACACAACCCACACAGGGAAUCACCCUUCGCGUGGGGAUGGAGAUGUUUACUGCAGCGAUAUUGAAUAUGUCCACUGCUCUUUGGGUUAUGGUGCGACUUGCCCUGAAACAAUGGAAAAGAUUAACAUACCCUGCAAUGAAUGAAAGCGGCUGGACUAAUUCUGAUUACCUAAUUGACUCAGGAUCGGGUGGCAAUAAUGACAGUUUAUUAACAAUGCACAGUUCCGAGUACUUUUCCAGGAUCAGAUAUUACGUGGUCUAAUGUUGAUAAUAAUAGAUUAUCAAAUGAGAGAUGCUGAGAGAUGCUGGUCUACCUUUGCAAGCCCCCAGAUUUAAGAAUCUUUUGAUGAUAAUUUACCACCUGUACCUGUGCCGGAAGAUUCACCUAGCACUGAAAAAGAUGAUAAUUUAAUUGAUAUGGAUAGUUUUCAUAACACUUUUAAAUCAUCUAUAUGUGAACUAUUAUUGACGCUAUUUUGUUGUAAACAAUCUUAUUCAAUUAAUAUAUAAUUUAAAAUCAUUAUGUAAAUCAAUCUAUUACUUUUCAUGAUAUUUAAUUGAGUUAAAACUAAGUGCACCCAAUAAAUCUCUUUUCCUUUAAAAAACUGUUACGCUUUGAUUUUAGUGCUUAAUAUUUACGGAACUCCGGUACAGGGAAUUCGAAAUCAAACUCGUAACCACAGAUUAUCUAAUUGCAAGUUUUUGUCCAUAGUUGCUGAUUGUAGUGAUUAUCUAAUUGACUGAGGUGACAACAAUUUUUUUUUUUAAUUUUCAAUAGCAUAAUGUGGAAUUCAAUAAUUAAAUUCUCCUUUUUAAUUUGUUUCCAAUUAAAUUAUUAAUUACUUAAACUCUGUUUUAAGUCUUUAAUUUUAUGUCUUGGCGUAUAUGCAGGGUUGGAUUCUUGAGCGUGUUGGACACGACCAACAAUGAAAUUGACAGUAAACAAACAUUACAACGCGUUGAGUGUCGACUCCGCUAGCUGCCCUACAAGUCUACAACUUUACAAACAACAACUGAGUACACACAUUUGAUUCUUGGGACCCUUCAAUGAAUUUCUAGCCCGGUUGACUCCACCGACAAAAGUUUUGGAAAAUAAAAAAGAAAAUUCAUAGAAUUCCACCAAAUGCAAAACGCGUGGAAUUUAAUUUUCGGCCAUGUGGACCAAAACAUAAUUUAAUGAAAAAAAAAGAUAAGAUUUCUAAAAUGUGUGGAAGGUGAUCCAUAUUUUACUGAAAACAACUUGUUAAAUUUUUCAAAGAUUUAGAAUAUUUGGUCAUAAAUUACGCUCAUGUUAAUUUUUCCGCUAUUGACUAUCAUAUUCUAGACUCACUGGUACCUUUCUUGAUGAAGGGUACUUAGUCUCUCUUCUCCUCUUAUAAAAAUUAUAUUAAGUGAUUUCUUAUUAUAAUAAAUAGUCUUUAAGAACGUAUAGAUUUAUUGUUUUCGUGACCAAAUUAUGCCAGCUUAAGGUUGCGACUAUUAAUAAAAUUAAUAUUUAAUGUUUAUGUUAAAAGAUAUAAGAUUUUAUGCAUUCAUUAAUUGUUAUUAGCUAAAGGAUUAAUUAUUUUUUCAACCCAAUCAGUUGAUGCAUCUGCAAAAAAAAUUUCUUUUAUUGACCAUAAUUAUAUUCCGGGUACAAUAAAUUAUCUUUGGUGCUUGGAAAAUUUGACUUCUUACUUCAAGUUUGAUGUGUCUCUCUCCAUAAGCUUACUGGAAAUAUAUCCUUUUGUAUUAUUAAUAAAGUGAAAUUUGUUGCUCCUUCCUUCUAAAUCUAAACAGAGUUUCACAAUUUCACCAACUUGGAAUAUUUGACAUUGGACUUUUCCUCUCUCCAUAUAAGCCUUCUGCAAAGAAUUGCAUCGUUAUUCCCUUCAUUAAAAAAUCUGUCGAUGUCUGGUUGUGAAGUCAAUGGUGUCCUACGCGGUCAAGGUAAAAGAAAAGUGUUGAUUGUGAACUCACUCAAUGGUGUCCUACGUGUUCAACAUUUUUAUUUAUUAAUCUUUCUGCUAGAUUUUCCUCAUUUCAAGAGUUUGGAACAUUUUGACCAGCUUUCUUCAAAUCAUCGGUGAAUCAAUGCCUUCUCUUAAGUACUUAUCACUGUCAGAUUCUACUCUUGGCACUAACAGCAGCAGGAUUCUUGUUCGAGGUUAAUCAGAUGCUCCCACCCUCCCUUCUUAAUCUAUAAUAUUAAUUUUCAAUUAAAUAUUCAAUUACACAAACCAAUCACUUAUUAUAAAAGAACAAUACGCAUUCAUUAAUUUUUAUAUUGUAUUAAUAAUUGAUGAAUUUAAUAAAUUUUCAAAUAUUGUAUUAAUAUUUGACAUCCAUUGAAGAGCUGUAUCUUUCAAACAAUCACUUCCAGAUCCCAAUUUCACUUGAACCAUUUUUCAAUCACUCACGACUCAAGAGUUUCUAUGCUGACAACAAUGAAAUAAAUGCAGAAAUAAUUGAGUCGCAUUCUUUGACUGCCCCAAACUUCCAAUUAAAAUAUCUCUCAUUGUCUUCCGGUUACGGAGAUGGUGUCACAUUCCCCAAAUUCCUUUACCAUCAACAUGAUCUGGAGACUGUUGACCUCUCACAUAUAAAGAUGAGUGGAGAAUUUCCAAAUUGGUUGUUGGAAAACAACACAAACUUAGAAUAUCUUUUUUUGGUUAAUGAUUCUCUUGCAGGACCUUUUCGGUUGCCAAUUCAUUCACACAAGCGGUUAAGACUGUUGGAUAUAUCCAACAACAACAUCCGAGGCCACAUUCCAGUAGAAAUUGGAGAUGUUUUACCAAAUUUAUACGUUUUCAACAAUUCCAUGAAUGCUUUAGACGGUAGCAUUCCCUCUUCAUUUGGUAAUAUGAAAUUCCUCCAAAUUCUAGACUUAUCCAACAAUCACUUGACUGGUAAAAUCCCCGAGCACUUGGCCAUGGGUUGCGUCUACUUGAAUUUUCUUGUCUUGUCAAACAACAACCUACAAGGUCAUUUGUUCUCUAGAAAUUUUAACUUGACAAACUUGAAAUGGUUACAAUUGGAGGGCAAUCGCUUCGUAGGUGAGAUCCCAGAAAGUUUGUCUAAAUGCUCCUCACUAGAAGGAUUGUCUCUUAACAAUAAUAGUCUUUCGGGUAAGAUUCCACGAUGGUUGGGUAAUCUCACAUGGUUAGAAUAUAUUAUAAUGCCCAAUAAUCAUCUUGAAGGCCCUAUUCCAGUGGAGUUUUGUCAGCUUGAUUUGCUUCAGAUUUUGGGCAUUUCAGACAACAACAUAUCUGGAAGUUUACCAUCUUGUUUCCAUCCUCUCUCUAUCAAACAAGUUCAUCUUUCAAAAAAUAUGUUACAUGGACAGCUAAAAAGAGGUACAUUCUUUCAUUGCUCUUCCCUUGUGACAUUAGAUCUUAGCUAUAACCGCUUGAAUGGCAGCAUUCCGGAUUGGGUUGAUGGGCUUUCUCAGUUAAGCCACCUUAUCUUAGGUCACAAUAAUCUUGAAGGUGAAGUGCUAGUUCAAUUAUGCGAAUUGAACCAACUACAAUUGUUAGAUCUUUCUAAUAAUAAUCUUCACGGUCCUAUUCCUCCUUGCUUUGAUAACACCACACUUUAUGAAAGUUACAGCAAUAAUUCUAGUCUUGAUGAGCAAUUUGAAAUAUCUUGUUCCAUCGAAAGCCCUCAGGGAGAUGUAGAAAAGCAAAUCCGUGAAAAUUUUGAGUUCACAACAAAGAACAUUGCGUACAUUUACCAAGGAAAAGUGCUUAGCCUCCUAUCAGGACUUGAUCUUUCUUGCAACAAGCUAAUCGGUCCUAUUCCUCCUCAAAUUGGAAAUUUGACAAGGAUUCAAACAUUGAAUCUAUCACACAACGACUUGACAGGAUCGAUCCCAUCAACAUUUUCAAACUUGAAGCAUGUCGAAAGUUUGGAUCUUUCCAACAACAAAUUGAAUGGGAAAAUCCCUCAUCAACUAGUGGGGUUAAAGACAUUGGAGGUUUUCAGUGUGGCAUACAAUAACUUAUCAGGCGAAAUUCCAGAAUGGACUGCACAAUUUGCAACAUUCAAUGAGAGUAGCUAUGAGGGAAAUACUUUUCUUUGUGGAUUGCCAAUGCCCAUUUGCAGAUCACCAGAAACUAUAUCGGAGGCUUCAAUUGGCAAUGAACGAGAUGAUAAUUUAAUUGACAUGGACAGUUUCUUUAUCACAUUUACAACAUCGUACGUAAUUGUGAUAUUCGCAAUUAUUAUUAUUUUAUAUGUAAAUUCUUAUUGGCGACGUAGAUGGUUUUACUUUGUUGAAAUGUGGAUAACUUCAUCUUACUAUUUUGUUGUAGACAAUCUUAUUCCAACAUGAUUUUGUCAUUGAAAUUAAUUAGUAGCUUAAUUACGAUCCUUUAAGUACUAAUCAAGUUUGCUUAGGAAAUAUUUUUUUAUUAAAAUUGUAGUAGUAUUUAGCAUUAUAUAGCUUCCAACUUCCAAGCACUUCACAUUUGUCUCUACACUUAAAAAACUGAGUGAUCAUGUUUUGCAGAUCUGGAUUUGGAGCAGGAUGGAUCCAAACCCAUAUCUGUCCACCAUAACUUAUAGCUUCCCUAUACUGUGCAGCAUACUUAAAUAAGAGAACCAUCUCCAAUGUUAAAAGCAUUCACUCUAUAACAUUCAUUUAGAAACUAUAUUCAGAAUAAUUUUAUAAUUAAACACAAGAAAUGAAACACACAGAUACACUUGAUCGCCUAUUUUACUCUAAAAAAGAACGAUUACUGUGCUAUCAUCAUCUUCUUCACUAGCAACAUUAACACCAAAUCGAUAGACCCAUACAUUUCAUCAAGAAAGGUAUAUAUCCAAUAAAGUUGAAGCCUAACAAAAAAUUCAAGAAGAUUAAUGCCUCGCCACAACAAGGGGCACAACAACAUCAAAGUAGAGAUUAAGCAGUAUUCUCAAAGCUAAAACUCUCAAAUCCACCCACCAGAAUUUCAUAUCUCCUCAACAAUUUUAAGAAAUAAAGAUAAUUAGGAUUUAACAUUAGUUUUUUAUAUAUUAGUUUCAUAAUUUACAAAUCAAUGAAGAUGAAGAUUAUGCUAAUAAAUUCAAAUUAUACCAUACAUUCUCUAGAUGUUACCAAAAAUUUCUAAGUCAAUCCCACAUAUUUCAUAAUUUUAAGACUAGAAAAUUUCACUAGUUAGAAGUUUCAUUAACUUCAAGUGGAAGAUGAAGAACAUUAUACAAGUGAUUCAGAUUAUAUCAUACAUACUCCAAAUGCAACUAGAAAUUAACAAGUUCAUGCGCACAUAUUUCAUAACAUUAUGAUUGAAACGUUUCACAAAGAGAAAUUCUAAAUUCAAUCUCUUGCAUGAAGGCAGUUUGAUUGAUUUGAGUUACUUUCUUAUCAAGCUACUAAUAUAACAUUCAAGUCAGGGAGAAAAUAAAUUAAAACUGGGAAGAAAUAACAGUAAAAAUUUGUUGCUCAACAUGAUGUGUAUUUUUUUUCAAGGCAAUUUGGAAACACAAUUGUUACUACAGAUAUUCUUCUCAACUUGGAGAUAAAUACAAAUAUUAAAAUGCAUAUGAUCGCACAUAUUACUUCGAGUUUAGUAAGAUUUCAUUAAAAGAAGCAAUCAAACCACUUAUCAAUUGUCGCAGUCGUUCUAUAAACUAAAAUAGCAAUAUAAUACAAGAAAAAGAACAUAUAGAUACUUGGCAAGAGUUCAUUAAGAAGUCGCAUCACAUUCGGGUGAGGAGUUUGCUUCUGAUAUCUUGCUAGCUGGGGCUUUUUCUUGUCUUUCUACGUAUGCCGAGGGAAACCAACCAGCUUGGCCCUUGCAUUCACCUUCCGACCAUCCAAUAGGAGCCACCUUGAGAAGUUAUAACUAAAACGGUGAAUUAAACAAAAGUUGACCGUUCAAAGACCUAAGGGGAAAACUAAUUCUUUUACGUAGGAGGAGUGAAUUAGUUGUGAUCACUGAAAUAACAGCAUAACUAUGGAAGCAUAACAAGAUAUAAAUUCACACGUCUAUAAGGAUAAACUGGGUGGUUUAGAACUGAGCUAGCAACCCUACUAUAUUCUGAUUUGCACUUCAAUGUAAAAGGGAAUAUAUGGUAGGAAGAAAGAAAACCAACCAUCAUUUGUUAACUCAUUGCUUUUCAAUCAAAAUUUUAAGAACAAAAUGCCAUGUGCUUUGAACAUCAAAUAAGUAUAAGCAUUAGUUCUAAAUUCCACAUAUCAUAAGUUGUUAGAAGGAUAAGUUAAUAGCAGAGUAGAAAAAUCAAUGUGUUGGUAUUUAGAGGGGAAAGUACCUGGCGAACCACAACAUAAUCAUCAAUUGAAAGACUUAGCUCUCCAUUUGCUUGAGCAUCAAAUGGAUGUAUAACCUGCAAGAUAAUGGGAUAAAUGGAACUUAAAAAAAGCAUAACAAAAGCAGCAACAGUAGCAGCAACGUUCAUUGUAACCACUAUGAUCAUGGCCAACAAAGAUAUAUUAGAAACAAAAUUCCAUUUUUACUAUGACAUUAAUAUGUACUAUACGAUAUCAUGACGAUUGGGUUACUAAGAGCUAUCAAAGUCUAAUAAGUUCUGUAUAACUUUAUGUAGUUAUUUAAAUUAUGGAUCAGAUUUUAAAUUUGAAAUUUUGACUGCUCUCCACAAAACAUGGCCUAUGCACAAGAAAGUCAUAGAUAAUGAGGAUUACAAGUGUCCGACAUCUUUUGAGUGAUGGAUUUAACAUGAGAGCUUAUGGUCAGUCAAUUUCCUCUGCCUAGCAAUAUAAGCUUUCUCGGCCAGAUUUAUCAUCAAAUACAUAGAUUGCCCCCAAGUCACAUCCAUAUAAACAUAGUUUUUCUAGGUAAACCAAGUAAGGAGCAUCAUAAUUCAGACAUAAUCAUAAAAAGGCCCAUCUAAAUUAAGAGAAAAUCUCAAAAAGAGGGAUGCUGAGCUAUCAGUCUUGUAUCUAUAAGCAAUAUCAAGACUUUACAUCACCUGCUACAUCAUGAGUGGCUACACAACUUUCAGUGGUUUGUCUUUCUUUGGCACGCCUAACUCAGCUUUGAUGUUGCUGAGAUAUUGAUAGUAGAGACACAUGAUACUUCUAGCUCAUGCAUUCUAUCUAACUCAUCCAACAACUAUCUCUUUUUUAAUUCAUUAGUGUUUGCUAAACCUCAUGCUUAAAAGUCCUGUUCUCCUAAAUAAAGUUUCCUAAGAAUGACUUCCUUAGCACCACAGUUGGACACUUGUAGAGCAAUUUUAUUUGGGGGAAAAGAAUUUUCAAGGUGUUAACUAAUAAAUUUUAAAAAAUAAUUACAAUUUGUCCUACGAUCAUAUGACAAUUUAUCUGGGAUGAAAGGAUACAGAUAGACAUCUUCCACUUUCAAGACUAAUCACUACUUCCGUAGAUGUUGUGCAAUAAUACAAAUACUUGACCAGAUGGUAGUGAUGGUAGAAAAAAAAUUUAUUGCUCCAAAAUUAAAAUAAGAAUGCAAUAUGUUAAGCAAAAGGCUGUGCAACAUCAAAUUAAUUGAUAAGAUAGAUGCAGACAAGCAAGUUAAAAUGCAUAGUCCCAAACCUCCGCAUACAACUUCUCUAAAAUAGCAAUAACGUGUUGAUGCUAUGUUUUCUCAGCAUCUACCUGCAAAGGCCCGAGACCAGGAAAACAACAAUAAAACCACUAGCUGAAGGAGAAAGCAAAGAAAGAAAUACACUUGACAUAAAUCUUGACAAGAAGCACAAUUUAAGACAUAACAAACCCCAAUCAUAUUGUUUAGAACUACCAUUCGUUAUUUCGUUAUUGUAACAUUUCGAACAAGUGUUGACUUAAUUCAACAUUGUUGGAAAGAUAGGCUUUUAGAAGCAGAAGAAAGCCUCUCAAACCAAAGUGCUGGUCCUUGUAUUGAUCAAGGGAUGUAAACAUAUUACAUUUGCAGGAUGAGAUUUAAUCACUCCCCUGAUUUAUUUGGGUUGCAGUAAAACUAAGCGAGCAACUGUUUGACUUCCAAGCAACAGCUAAAUCAGCUAUUAAAAUUCAAAUAAAAUCAUAAUAGAAUAAUAACAGGCCCUCUUGCAUCAAAAAUUAAGUUUAAUUUGUGCAUUGUUUUCUAUAGACAUGUCAGUUUCUGCUAUUGAAAUGUUAAAAGCAUUGAAAAAUUAUUCAAUAAAUUAUGCAAGCAUUAAAAUAGAGGACAUAUUAAAAAGUUUCUAAUUACAAUGCUAAUAUUUCCUAUAUUUUAGCAUUUGCAUAUUUUAAUUUAUUUAAAAGCUACGUCGAUCAACUUUGGGCAUGAAGAUUUUAGCUUCUACGAGACUUGAUUGGAAUAUGCAUAAGGAAGAGUGUUAAAAUAUGAUGCAUCCAACGAAAGAAAACCACGUGUAGUCUUUUAAUUAAGCCAAAGUAGCAGCUCAAACAAAUGACACUUGGACCAACAUGCAAUCAUGAAGUGGCCGGAAAAAGGACAAAUGCUACUUUGGCUUAAAUAAAAAAUAACAUGUGACUUGACUUUUGCUGGACAUGCAUCAUGUUAUUACAAGACAACAGAAAUCAGUAUGAUAGUACUAAAAGUUGACAAUAACAUGAAGAUAAGAGGCAGAAUGUCAACACAUGCAUAGGCACACACAAGAAAGUAUUAACAUAUAUACCAUAGCAAAAACUCUUUUAUAUGUCAUCUGUUGCUGCUGUGAUUCAACUGACAGCAAGGCAGCUGUCGCUUCUCUACCAAGAGCCAUUAUUUUAGAUUUAAGCUCGGUCAAUCUUGCUUCUGCAUUUCGAAGCUUCACAGCACUCUCUGCUGAUAUAUCAGAUUCCCUAAUCUUUGAUCGGUGCCUAAAUACUUCAGCUGCCUGGUGAAAAUAUUCAAUAUAAAUCUAAUAUAAUUCUCAUCUUGCCUUAUACAUGCAUAUGUUACGUCAAAGCUUACCUGGGCUUCAACUUCAUGUCGAAGUUUGUCAUAACAAUGAGUCAGGUGUCGAGCAUCUUCCAAAGGUGCUCCGUUGAUUAACGCCCGUAGUGGCUCAGAUACCUACAUGUCCAAAAACCUGUAACAUAGUUAGAAAAAUGAAAAGAAAGAGCGAAACCUCAAUUAAAAAGUUCAUCCAACAUAAUCAUGGAAUUUGGGCCUACUUUAAGAAUAUAUAUAAGGAUAAUUUAUGCAAUUUUGGGUCUUAGGAUGAUUGGUAUUAGGUUAGUGUUCUUCUCUUCUGUAUUUAAGGUUAAAAUAGAAAUAAACCUAUGCAAGUAUCUAAAUUAGGCCUGUAAGACAUCCACAUGCAUCCUUCAGUCUCAUGGAUUUGAUUUUACUAUAGAUGCAAGUGUCUUUAUCGAAAAUGCUUGGAGUCAAUUGAGAGAACUCAUGGCCAAUAACUUGUCACACGCUAGUCUUUGCUAGUGAUCACAAGGUCUCUUCAACAUUUGAACCAAUAAAAUUAUUAAGUCAUGGAUGUCACUAGCAAUGAUUUUAAUAUAAAACAUUAAAUAUUUCAGAGUUGUAACUUUAAAAUGGAUUCUUUUAUUCAAUAUCAUAGAACUAAGUUUCCUUAUGAGAAGAUAAUAGUUUCGAUAAUAAUUUUACAUAUAAUUUUCUAUAUUUGAAUUAUUUUCUAGUUAGGGAUGAACUAACCUGAUCACGAAGAAUCCCGAGCAAAGUUUCCCUCUCAUUUUCCAUCAAAUCAUGUGAAGUGCCAAAUUGAAGAGCAGCUCUUGCAACGCAAGAAUUGUCACUUUGAUUCUCUACUCCAUACUUGCAACAAUCUUCAGCCAACUUUCUCGCUACAAUAUUUGAAUACAAAAAUAUUGUACACAAGAACUAUAAAAAAACUAAUGAAAAAUGCCAAGAUGGAGCAGAUGCUUCAAUACUGCCUAUACAAACCAUAAAAAACUAAUGAAAAAUAAAUAAAAUCGAGAAAUUUUACUAAUUAAAAGUCUAAAUAUAAUUUUGAAAAAAGAAAAGAAACGGACUUGCUGCUGCUUGGCGACUUGUUCUCGGAGCUUGAUUGCCUGUUUCUUGAUAGCUUCCAUACUGUUUCUUUCAAAAAGCGACGACGGCUCUGCUCAUGGAAGUGGAAAAAAAAGUGUGAUCGAGAAAAAUGAAAAGGCGUGAAUAAUUUUUGACAAAAAGCGAAAAUCAAGGAAAGCCGGCUCUUUCCAGAAAAUAAAAAAAAGAAAAAAAGAAAAAAGAAAAUCAUAAGUUUGAAAGGAGAAGAUGAUAUUGGAAGUAUGCAGUGUGGCUGCCAGGUACUUGGAUUGUAUUGUCGGGUAAGGUAAUAGUGGAGAAUUGUAAGUUUGAACGGAGCAUGUUGGACUUUUGUUGACCAAAUUCAAAAGCCAAAUGGCACGGCCCGGAAGCUUUUGAAUAGAAAAACUUGCUAGAAAGCAUCAGUUUAAAUCACUACUUAAACGCUUGCUUUAACUGCACCGCUUUGUACUGUUUUAUGUAUGUAGCGGUUGUGCGGUUGUAAUUCACGGCUGACGCUACGUGUUUGUUUGUACUGUUCUAUUCGGUGACAGAGUAUUAUUAGUUAGGCCAAAACUAUGUUGCAACAGUGGUACAGUAGCACUGUUGCUUUCAGUCAUUAGAUCUAUAGUUGUACAGUUGCAUUAACAAGAUCCAAUGACUGAAAGCAACAGUAGUACCGAACUACUGUUGCAACAUAGCUGGAGCCUAUUAGUUAUUUCAAAGGGAUAAAUAAGAUUGGUUACAACAAACCUACUAAUUUUAUAAAAUUCAAGUAACAUAGAAUAAAAUAAAAAAAUAAAUACAAAAUUGACUUUUAUUUUUUAUGGUUGACUAUAUUUUGUGUUCUCUUCGGGCACUGCUACAAUUGUUCCCUAUAUAUCAAUUACACCACAUACUAUCGACACAAGAAAUGAAAUCUAAUAUCACCUGUUUAGUUAAAAAAUCACUCAUGAAAAAAUUUUACCAUUUUGAUUUGAGGAUCCAUAUUUUAAACUACAAGCUAAUGUUCAUCAAGAAUUACUGAUGGACAAAUUAUUUUUUUUGAUAGAAGAAUUUCUUUAGGAACUACUAAAUUAUUAAUAAAAAUAUCGAACACACCCACAUAUCAUCGACACAAUUGAUUUUGAGGAUCCAUGCUUUGAACUACAGCCUAAUGUUCAUCAAGAAUAGAGUAUGGCUUAUGAGUAGAAAAUUUUCUUAUUUUGGCCCAAAAUAAAAAGAAAUUAAAUUGGAUGAGAAUCUGCCACUUUCUCAUGAAGAAAGGCAUACGGAGCAUACCAUGGUACCAUACAAUAUAAGAAGCCUCCGUUCUUUGGUUUUUCAAACUCUGAAGGGGCUAAUAUUGCCAAAUUCCCCCUUGAAAAUUCUGAUUACGACAUUAUUCAUCGCUUGAUGCAAUCAAAGUAGUGACAAAGUUAGGAAAAAUAUGAGUCCUAAGUAAUUGCUAGGCAGGGCUCCUGAGAGCAAAAUUGUCCUAAGCAUUAUAUGCAUACAUAGUGCAGUACAUAGAGCACGUUGAAUUCCCCACUAUAACACAAACCCAGAAAGACAAGUAAUAACUCAACUGAUAUAAAGACAAAAAGAAGAUAAAAUGAUAUAGAAAAAAGAAUUUCAAAGAGACAGCAACAUACAAUAGACUGAAGCCACUUGAUCUGCUCAUUGAUUGCAGCCUUAAACUUGCAAAUAGUUACUGUACGCUAGUGCUCUAAGAAGUGAAAAUGAUGCGAGCCCUGAUUCCCUUUUGACUUCCAUUUACUGUCAAACAUUCUAGUAAUACAAAAAAUUGUUUAGAUAUCUUGCUAUAAAUAUAGCCGUUUGACUGUCAUAAUAAAGUCACAAAUAACCAUUCAUAUUGAUCUACUGUCACACAGCAUGCUUUAUGCAUACAACAGCUGUAUGCAUACCAACUCCUAACCUUAUCAAUACAUUUGGCAAAAACUUAAGAAGAAAGCUAUUUCUCCAUCUCUUUUUUGAAAUUUCACAAUAACCAGCACAAUGUGAAAGCUAUGUUCUAACCUUAUGAUAAAUGCUCCAGACUCCAAAAGGGUUUUAUAUAUGAGAGUUUGUUGCAGCAGAUAUAUUGACUUAUCAAGUAUGAAUCAUUGUCUGGAUGAACUAUCUUUAGAUAAAAGAAUAUUAGAACCACUGUAGAAUAUCUUUACCCUGCUGGUUCUAACAGGAAUCUGCAUGUGGCAACAAUUGCUAGACCCACAAUUCCCCAACUUGAAAUACAUAGUUGCACACCAUGAGAUAGUGCUACAAUCUACUGAGAUCUAACUUAUAUGGUACUUUAAGCUACUAAUGUUUGCAUAUUUCUACAUGUUAAAUUAACACUAUCAUCUAUAAUCACUCCAAAACAACAAAUGAUAAGCAGCUUUUGGCCACUUAUUACUAGCAUACACAAUUAUAAAUAAGAGAUCAUGGGUUUACUUGUUGCACCUACUUAAUUAUCUGCAGUUGACAUCCUGACACAAGGUUUAAAUAGUGACUGCUUAGAACCCUUGUAGUUGGAUCUUGACCUCUCCCAUUGUAGCCAAGAUUGGUUACUCUGGUAAUGAAUCAACACUCUCCUGCUCAGGGCCAUGAAGAUCUGAAAGCUCAGCACUAGUGGAGAACUUCAUCAAUCUCUUCUUCUCAGCAUACUUGAGACAAGGCUGCAUUACGAGACCAAUCACCACAGCACCAACGCUUAAAACUGCAACUUUUAAAGAAGAAAGAGCCAACACAACACAACACAAAUCAAUAUGGUUGGAGGAAUACACAUGAUAAUGGCUCCAACAGUGCCAGUGGGUAUCUUGUAGGGAUGAGAUGCAGCAGGAUAUUGUAUCCUUAACCAUACAAAUGCUAUGAACUCCAUAAUCAUUCCAAAACAGUACAGGAAGUUCUCUGCAGCUACAAUAUCUCGAAAGCUCAGCCAUGAUAGCAAAACCACACCAGAAGCUGAGAAUAUGAUUCCAAUCAAAGGAGUCCCAUAACAAGACCUCUUAGCAAAAAACUGAGGUAGCAUUCCACGCUCAGCCAUCCCCAAAAGUUGGAAAGAGUCGCUGCUCAUCUCAGCCACAAACAUGCCCAUAUUGGACAUUGCUGCAGCCCCCUGGAUGCACCAUCUCAACCAAACUCCUCCAAGCACUUUAGCAAUAUCUGAAAAGUAACCAUCGGUCCACAAGUCGCGAUCUAAUGGAAUAGCUCCAGUUCAAACUAGAAGGGGAAAGAAAUACCCAAAAAUGACCAAGAUCAAAGCAUAAAACAAAGCCUUUGGAAGAGUCUUCUUUGGGUUAUCCACCUCUCCAGCUAGUGUACUUAUUGAGUCCCAGUAGUUGAGAUUCCAAAACAGGGUGUUCAAAUACAAAUUCCAAUCCACUUCACCUAAAUUUACUACAAGCCAUCUUGAAGGCUCUAACUUGGGAAGGGACACAAGUCCCAUAACCCCAAAAGGAAGGAGUGAGAAAAUCCCUAAAAGAACAGCAGCCCAUCCCACAAUGGUUAGACCCCUAUAGUUCAUGAAAGUGAGAACAAAAGUCAAAGCUAACGCCGCAAAGGCUCUAGGUAACCCAUUGCCCAACGCAGGGAUACCAGACUUCAAGUAGUCAAGAAACAGAACUGGGUAUAAAGCAUUAUCAAUAACCCCACUUAGCCAUCCAACCUUGCUGAAAACCCCAAUAUGGGCCUAAGGCAGAUGAAACCCAAACCACAUAACCACAAUUUUCAGGAAACACAGUACCCAUUUCGGCAGUAAUUAAAGCUUCAGGGACACUCCAUAUAAUCGGAAACACCAAGAAACCAAGAAGUGCUAAAAGAGGACCAGCUGCCUUUACACUAUCCUCAACACCAAACGGCCCCCCAGAAACCUCAUAGAAUAUAAGGAAAAUAAGUGGCAAGAUUGAUACUUUUUUAGUGCCAUGGACUCGAGGAGAAGAUGGUUGGUCAUUGAUAUUAACAUAUUCAACAGCAUCAGACUGCCCUAUUUCUACUGAAACUUGCCUAUUUACAGUGUUCCUCAAUUUCUGCAUCAAGUUUAAGCAUAACUAUCAAAAGGGUAUCCGCAUCUAAAUUAUGAAACAAAAUGAGCAUUUACUUAUUAAAAAAAAUCAAAAAACAGAAAUGGAUUUCGCAGAGCACAUGAAUUUAAGUUCAACAUUAAACAGGCGCUUAAGAAAACAAAAGGGUCUGUUCGUAAAGCCAUCAGAUUGCAAGAUUGAACAACAUUAACGGAAUCAAUAGAAUAGAUGUAAAGAGAUCUGAAAAGAAAAUAAAAUAAAAGAUAAAGAGAGAUAAAACGAACCAUCAAAUAAGUGCAUGCAGAGCAGAGAGGCAGAUACUAGAGAAGCUCCGUCAUGUUAGAGAGAGCCUAAUUCAAUCAGAGCUCACUGAGUUUCUUUUCAACCGACCGGCAAAUUUGGAGUGGCACAACAUAAUAUUUUUACUUUUAAUUUUUGGAACACUUUUGAAUAGAAUUUUUUGUUUUUAAAAAAGGUAAGGGAGAUUAGUAUUUAUUUAACGGAUCAGGCUACGGUGCAACUGUGGCACCGUGCCACAGUUGCAUCUAGCCGUUGGAUGCAAUUGGAAUGGUGGAGUCCACUGACAUCCAACGGUUAGAUACAACUAUGACACGGUACCACAGUUGCACCUAAGGUUCCCUUAUUUAACUUUAUAUUUUUUAAAAUACCUUAAAAAUAUUUUUAUGUUAAAAUAUUAAUAUUUUUAUUAAUAAUUUUUAUAUUUUUAAUUUAUUUUUAUAAUAUUAUUUUUUAUAAUAAUUUUUUAUUUAAAUAUUAAUAAAAAAAUAAUUAAAUUAACAAUUUAAUCCUAAAAUAAAUAAACACGUGUUUGGUUUUGGGCUUUUUCUUUUGUUCGUUUAAUAUCAUCUGGCUCCCUGAUUUGUGACUAAUUAUCAACAGAAUCCCGUUGGUUUCUAAAUUGAAAUAAUAGAAGGUCAUGAGACUAUUUACUCCAUUUAGCACUGCAGACUUAGAGUAUAUUGAAAAAGCUUUGUCAAAUAGUAGUAAUAGGGGCAUAAGAAAUAAAUUAUAGCUAUCACAAAUUCGUUAGGAGAAUUUCAAUUUUUUCCAUCAAUAAUGGCUAUGAAGCAAAAUUACCUUAGGUUAUAUUGCAAUACUAAUACUUCAAAUCCUGAUAAUAAAUUUGAUGACAGUCGUUUUUAUCAUGGUUUUAACAGAUAUAAGAAGAGAAAAUUAACUGUUCAAACAAAUUAGAAGCAAAUUCUUUCAUAUCUUUCUUUUAUUUUUCCGCUUACUUUCUUAGCAUCCAAACAAGUUAAAGUUAAAACGCUGUUAGAGCCAACAAUAUGCAGGCAUCAAUAAGCAUAGUAGUUUUGUAUAUGUAUUCUAUACGAUAUUCUAGGGAUGUCAAUUGUAGAACAUUUUGUGGUAACUUUUUUACAUUAAUUAAUGUUUGAAGAACUUGUUAAAAAGAAAAUGGUAAUUUUAUCAUUUUGAAAGACAAAAAAAAAAAAAAAAAGAGUGAAAGUGGCGUUACCUCAUGGUCAUUAGAGACUUGUUGCAAUGAUAGCUCAAAAUUAAAAAUUUGUGAAGAAUUAGUAGACAACGACGAUACUAUAUUUAUACAGUCACCAACGUGUUGAUUUUUGUUUAAUGUUUGAUCGAUAGAAACUUUCGUCGUCGUCGCCGUUGUUGAAUUUGUGCUAAGAAUAUCACAAGAGAAGAAAAAAGGAUGAAAGGGAAGAGAAGAAGAGAGAAGUGGUGGACAGCAAAUAUGAUAUGCUAGCUACACACAGGCCUUAGAGAGUUUUUUUUUAAUAUUUAUUGUAUUUUUGUUUUUGUUAUUGGUUUUUCAUAUGCUUCCAAGGCAGCAAUGCGUUACAUCAUAAAUUGCACCUUUUAGGGGAGGUGGUAAAAAACAUGAGAGCAAUGCAUUCUAGCGCAUACAUGCAGAAAGAGUUUCCAAAUUUUCAAAAGUUUCUUUAUUUCUUCCACCUUUUUUUGCUUAAAAUAAAUUUUAAUUGUAUUUUGCAUUAACUUAGAGAAAAAAAAAUCCAGUUCUAUACAUAAACGCAUACAUUGAUUAGAAAAUGAGUUUUAUGGACACAAAGGGACAAUAUAAGAGAUUCUUUUUGUUUAUUAGAAGUAACAUAACUAGUUAGUGUAACAUGUAAUUAUAAGCUACCAAUAAUUUGCACUAAUGAUAAUUAACGGUAUAGAUUUUGAGCUAUGAAUGUCUUGUGGCUAGUUUAAUUAGAUUUUCGAGUUUUCAGCAGAUCUAUUUUAAUGAUUAUUAAAUUAUUUUCACUUCUUAUGCCUUAAUAAAAAAAAUCAAUAUUUUUUGCUGUAUUCUAUAUUUUAAAACUUAAUUUUUAGUUCUUUAUAUUGCAAACCAAACUGAGUCAAAUAGAGUAUGCUCUUCAAAUAAUUUUUCCAUUGCCUUCAAGAAGAAUUCAUUUUAUUUUUAUAUAUUAAUUUAACACUUGUAAACCGGGCCGUCAGAUUGCACAUAAAGCAAAUGAUCAAACCGUUACAAGACCGGCCCAGGCCCACCGACUCUAUUUUCUUUCAUUUGACCAUUAAAAAGCUUUUGGCCACCCCCACCAAAUAAAUAAGCUCUUGUUCUCUUUUGUUCCCUCUCAAAGGAAAAUAUCUGAUCACCGGAUAAUGAUUCCGGCGACACAAAAGAUCGAAACACCCCCCUAAAUUCCCUAAAUUUACGAUAAUACCCCACCAUGGAUGAUUCCGUUGAAAUGCCGCCUUACGAUGAAAGGCCUAAAAAGGGUUUUAACUUCACCUCCAUGCGCUUGAUCUUAACCCUCGUUUUCCCAAUUUUAACUUGCUUUUUGUUGGCAUUUUUUAUUGGAAUCGUAGCUGUUUUAUUCGGUGAAUCAUCAGUUUCCAGUUCCAUUUUUGUCCCUUCCCAGUGCAAGAUAGUGUCCAGCAGUAAGCUUUUUUUAACAUUUUCAAUUUUUUUUCCAUUUAUGAAGUCCAAAAAUUUUAUUAAUUUUGACUUUUUUGAAUGAUUUUGCAGGUGUUGAUAUAAGGUCAUCAAAAGUUUGUGAACUUGGGGUGUUGAAUUAUAAGGCGAAGCGUGUGUUUUAUCCAUUUGAAGCAAGUAAAUUUCGCUGUCGGUAUGAUUACUAUUAGGCUUCUAUCUUCAAGGUAUUCAUACAUUUUCCCCUGUACUAUAAGCUUCUCAGUGGCGGUCUUGUGAGCGGAAGUGAGCGGUGUGGUUGACAGCUUCUUGAAAAUUAUAAGUUUGAACCAAGCAUGUUAGAGCACCACCAAAAGCCUCUUUAAAUAAGAUUUUAUUAUUUAUUUAAAGAGCCACAUCAAUAUUGAAAGCUCCAAAAGACACUUCAAUUAAAAUUCUUUAAAUAAGAAUUGAUUCUCUUCAAAUUUGGAGAGUUAAUUUCUCCCUCUUCAAUUUAUAUUUUAUUACUUUUCAUUGAAGAAAUAGAGAAAUGCUUUAAUUGCUAUUAACUUUUCCUUUAAAAAACUAAUUAUAUGAUUAAAAUAAUAUUAACUUAUUUAUAUUUGAAGAGUCUUUUGAAGAAUAUCAUAUUUUUUUCACCAUUCUAUUUGCCACAUAGGUAAACAAAUAGAUAUUUAAAGAGUAAAAUUUAUAGAAACUUUUGGAGAUGCUCUUAGACUUUUGUUGACCAAAUUCGAAAGCCAAAUGGCACAGCUCAGAAGCUUUUGAAUUGAAUAACUUACUAGGAAGCUCCAAUUUUUUGUUGGCUACAGUAAAAGGAUGUUGUUUUAUUCUUCUUAUACUUUACGCUUGCAUCAGCUUAAAUCACUUCUUAAACGCUUUGCUUUAACUCCACUGCUUUGCUGGGGCGGAUUUACCUUGGAACAAGUGGGGACUUAAGUCCCCACUGAAAAAAAAAUUGUUUUAAUAAUUAAUUUGAUUUGCCAAAACUUCUCAAUAAAUUUUUCUUAAGCCCCCAUAAUUUCUUUCAACAAGCAAUUGAUCUAAAUGAGUUAAUUUCUGUCAGUUGUAUCCAAAUGAGUUCUCUGCAAUUGAUAUCAUGGCACUUGAAAUUCAACUUGAUACAUAUAUUUUGGAUAUGCGCACUAGUGCGAGACUAAAAGACAUAAGGUAUAUCCAUUGGUUUACUUGUUAAUAAUAUUAGCAUUGACUUUACCCGUUGCCAUUGCUAGUGUAGAGAGUAUUUUCAGCCAUGAACAUUUUGAAGAAUUGGUUAUAAAGCUGUGAGUAAUAGAUGAAUGAUAGUUUAAUUAUUUACAUAGAAAAAUACUUAUUUAAUAAUAUUGAUAAUGAACUUGUAAUGCAACAUUUUUAAUGUAUGAAAACUUGAAAGGACAAUUGUAAACAUAUAUUGAAGUAUGAUAAAUCUUUCAAAUUUAUAUAUUUAUUACUUUUUAAAUUUUUUUAUAUUGCCGUUGAAUGAGCCCCCAGUCAAUCAAUAUGUUGUCUUCACCCUGCUUCGUACUCUUCUAUAUAUGUAUCGGGUAUGCAGUUGUAGUUAAUGGUUGAGACUACGUGUUUGUUUGACGUGGUAGUUACGUUACGAGUCUGUUAAACAUUCGAUGAUUAAAGUAUUAUCUGUUAUUUCAAAGGGACAAAUAAGAUUAGCUACAACACACCCACUAGUUUUAUAAAAUUCGAAUGAGAUGGAAUAAAAUAAAAAAUAAAUAAGUAAAUUGACUUUUAAUUUUAGUGGUUGAAUAUAUUUUCUAUUCUCUUAGGGCACUGCUGUAAUUAUUCCUUAAACGUCAGUCAUACCCACAUAUAAUAGACACAAGAAAUGAAAUCUAAAAUCACCUGUUUAGUUAAAGAAUCAUCAUGAAAAAAUUUUGCCAUUUUGAUUUGAAGAUCCACUUUUUGAACAACCAACUUAUGUUCAUCAAGAACGGAUCAUGGCUUGUGAGUAGAAAAAUUAUUUUUGGACAAAUUAUUUUUUUUAAUAGAAGAAUUUCUCAAGGGACUAAUAAAAUUACUAAUAAAAAUGUCAGACACACCCACGUACCAUCGACACAAUUGACUAUGAGGAUCCAUGUUUUGAACUUCCACCUAAUGUUCAUCAAGAACAGAAUAUGGCUUGUGAAAAGAAAAUUUUCUGAUUUUGGCCUGGAACAAAAAGAAAUUAAAUUGAAGGAGAAUCUGCUACUUUCUCAUUAAGAAAGGCAGACAUGGUAUACCAUGGUACCAUACAAUAUAAAAAGUCUCCAUUCUCUGGCUUUUCAAACUCUGAAGGGGGCAAUAUUCCCCAAUUCUCCCGUGAAAAUUCUAAUUACGACAUUAUUCAUCGGUUGAUACAUAAGUACAAGUAGUGACAAAAUUAGGAAAAAUAUGACUCAUAAGUAAUUACUAGGCAGGGCUCUUGAGAGCAACAUUGUACUAGGCUUUAUAUGCAAACAUGGUGUGGUACAUAGAGCACGUUGAAUUCCACACUAUAACACAAACCCAGAAAGACAAGUAAUAUCUCAACUGAUAUAAAGACAAAAAGAAGAUAAAAUGAUACAGAACAAAGAAUUUCUAAGAGACAGCAACAUACAAUAGACUAAAGCCAGUUGAUCUGCUCAUUGAUUGCAGCCUUAAACUUGCAAAUGUUUACUGUAGCCUGGUGCUCUAAGAAGUGAAAAUGAUGCAAACCUUGAUUCCCUGUUUACUUCCAUUUACCAUCAACACAUUCUAUUCAUAAGAAAAAAAAUGUUUAGAUAUCUUGCCGUAAAUAUAGCCAUUUGAUUGUCUUAAUAAAGCCACACACAACCAUUCAUAUUGAUCCACAUUGCCACAUAGCCUGAUUUAAGCAUACAACAGCUGAAUGUAUACCUAACUCCUAACCUUAUCAAUACAUUGGCGACAACUUAAGAAGAAAACUAUUUCUCCAUCUCUUUUUUGAAAUUUCACAAUAAAACAGCACAAUGUAAGAGCUGCAAUGAAAAUGGACCGUCUGAAACUAUGGCGGAAGCUUCAACUAGUGUAGUGAUUUGACCUUCUUAUUAACCUAGCGAGAUCAAACACUGCCCUUGAUCUUGAACAGAUCAAUACGAUACGCACAACUUAUGAUUGAAUCCAGAAACAAUCAAAUCUUUAGCAAGAAUAAUUAAUCAGAAUCAAGAAACAAGUUUAAUGAAUAUAAACCUAUAAUUGGAACAAACACAGCCAAAGAACCCAAGAAUGACACAACGAACACCAAGGGAGAAGCUUUCCAGUGAGAUUAUAUUGAUGAUCAAAGAAGAAUCUUUUUACAAAGCUAACAAAAGAGAUUUCAGAGAAUAAGCUAUGACCCUCUCUCUCUUCAAUCUCUGUCUAGUUUGUUAACAGUGAUGACCCAAUCUGCUUCGUUAGCCAGCUUCAUAACUGCGUCAGUGACAAACCAGCAAACCCAGAUUGAGCAGACUAACGACACGUGCAUAACGGCUUUAACGAACUUGGUUAAAGAACUGCUCACAUGUUCGUCACGCGUGUUGCUUAAAUGAUAGCCAAAACGACUUCAACCAGAUGCCGUUUUGAAGCUUAUGAAUUAUAAGUGAAAACACGUGCUUGUCUCGUGACAUUUAAAUGCAACAACAAGCCCAAAACACUGCCGUUUCACUAUGUUGAGUUUGCCAUCUCUAAGCUUCACAACUAGCAGCGGACAAGAUGAUAAUUUAAUUGACAUGGACAACUUUUAUAUCACUUUUACAACAUUCUAUAUAAUUGUGAUAUUGGGAAUCGUCGGUGUUGUAUAUGUGAACCCUCGUUGGCGACACUGGUGGUUUUAUCUUUGUUGAAAUAUGGAUGACUUUUUGUUACUAUUUUGUUGUACAUAGUACAUAACCUUAUUCCCAGGAGAUUUAAUCAUUGAAAUUAACAUGUUAGUUUCAUUAGAAGGCUGAGUGGUUAGGGCUGCUACCCUCCAACUUGGAGGGCAAUAGUUUAAACCCACAAGCGCAAUGUGGGGGUAUUUCAUUCUUUAAUUACAUUGUAUAAUUGAAUAAAUGUAAUCUUCUCUCUUACACAAGUGUGAGUGGAGUAGACAUCUCUCGAAUAUUAGCGAGGGUUAAAACUUGGACAGAGCUCAAUAAGUAUUUAUGUAAGUUGGUCCUAGUAAUAAUCUGAUUUGUAAAUAUCAGUUAUAGUCUCAUGUUUCCUUCCUUAAUUAUAUUGUAUAAUUAAGUAAAUGUACUCUUCUCUCUUACCCAAGUGUGAGUGGAGUAAACAUCCCUAGAAUAUUAGUGAGGGUUAAAAUCUGGACAGAGCUCCAUAAGUAUUGAUGUAAGUUGAUCCCAGUAAUAGUAUGAUUUGUAAAUAUCAGUUAUAAUCUCAUGUAAUAUGAGUUGUAAUUUGAGCAACAGUUUCAUGUAAUUACAAAAAAAAUGCUACUUUCAUUACAUUUUUCUUCGUUAAAAUUCUCAAGUAUCAAUUAUGUUUGCUUAAGAAAUAAAAUUUCGUUAUGAAAAUUGUAGUAGUAUUUCCGAGCAUCUCACAUUUUCAAUGAUUUUUCAUAAAUCAAUUAAUCUGUCGUACCAAUAUCAUGUUUAGUUUUUCAGACUAAAUAAUCAAGAAAGCAAACAAAUUCACAGUUUAGAGGGGUAAACUAGCUUUUAGAUUUUAGAACUAGGCUAGAUACCUCACCAAAUUCCAAUUUGUACAGUGAACUACAAGAUUGAGAAAAUAAUGUAUUUAUAGUUUAAUUGAAUCAUGAGAAAACAAUGUAGUCAUAGCUCAAUCGGACAUGAUCACGGAGAGGCAUAUUCUUUUCAAGUUAAUUUGAUCCAUUUAUAAGAAAUGAAGUGGAUCGAAGUUAAAAGUUAAAAUAAAAAAUCCUUAUUCUUGAGUUUUACGACGUCGUUACUCCUUCAAGAGGCUGAUUGUGCAAGUGAAUGGAGAAACAGAAUGCUUUUAUAAUUUUUUUAAUAAUUGUAAAAAUAAUUAACCAUAACAAAUCCCUUGCGUAAAUACUAAUCAUUAUUUAAAAGGUAGAAAGAUAGUUAGUGCACAAUCAAAUUUUAAGCCCCUACCUCCUCGGCCCAAGAUUCAAACUUAGAUGAUCAGCCAAAUAAAAUUAUUUGAAAAUCAUUCAAUCAGGUUCCCGGAGUAAAAAUACAAGAUCCUUAUUAUAAAAGUUGUCCCACCUGCUGGUGUAUAACAACCACUUCAAUUCAAACUAGAUUCUUUUUGUUUUUUUUAAUGUAAUCCUGAUAAUAUUUAUGUUAUCUUAAGAAUAGGUCAGCUUGAUUAUUGCUGAAAUAUAGGAGGAAGUUAGCUUUGAUUCAUUGUAUUAUUUAUACGCUCUGAUACCAUAAAGAGAUUGAUAAUUGAAAAUGAACUCACUUCGUUACUGGUAUGUCUGGUUCGGUGGUUGGCGGGGAAGGUGGAAGAGAUGGUUGGCGGGCAGGUAGAGCUUCCUGUGGGGUUGGGUCAGCUGGUUGUGAAGUAGCCUCAGGCAGAGAUAAUUCUUGAGAGCUAGCUGCAGAUGGAGUGUUGGCUGCCUGCUGGAGUGAUGUGGGAAUGGACACAGUAAGUACAGGAGGAAUCCAAGUGGAUAUGGUAGUGGAAGUAGGACGUGGAAGAGUGGUGUGUAGUGAGGUGUAUGGAAAGACUGAUUCAACAAAUUGAACAUGGCGAGAAACAUGUUGCUGUUGAUUAUCAUUUUAUCAGAGAUCAAGUUCAAUCUGGUCUACUUCGAGUAGCUCAUGUCUCCUCUGCUGAUCAGCUUGCCGAUCUUCUCACCAAGCCACUGCCCACUUCUCAGUUCUUGCUUUUACGGGACAAGAUUGGCCUCUCUACUCGUGGCCUAUCUUGAGGGGGCAUAUAAAAGUUGUCCCACCUGCUGGUGUAUAACAACCACUUCAAUUCAAACUAGAUUCUUUUUGUUUUUUUGAAUGUAAUCCUGAUAAUAUUUCUGUUAUCUUAAGAAUAGGUCAGCUUGAUUAUUGCUGAAAUAUAGGAGGAAGUUAGGUUUGAUUCGUUGUAUUAUUUAUACGCUUUGAUUCUAAUGGAACGAAGUGAGUUCAUUUUCAAUUAUCAAUCUCUUUACUUAUUUGCAUGAUAUAUAUGAAUUAAUGUAAUUUAUUUGAAUUAUCCAAAUUCAUUAGAGAUAAAACUAUAAAAUAUACCAAAAACGUUAGAAGGAAGGGUGUGUUGGGAUGUUUUACAAACUAUAGGAAUCUGGUGAGAUUUUGAGCCAAACUGUAGGGAGUUGAAGGCAUUUGCCCAAUAUGUUUAGUCGUACACUAACCGUUAUUUGAUCUUGUUGUUGGUCCCGGAUGAGCUGUAGUCUUAUUUUAAUUUUAUUUAAACUCACCAUAAGAUUCGCGGAGCUCCUAACUAACUUAAAUGACUCUGCAGAGCAUGUCAACACAUAGCAUGUUUAACCGUUUUAUUUGUAGAAGAAUUUAUGAUUUCCCAUUAGCAUUAUUAUUGAAGUGGGGCGGGGGCGGGUCAAAUCUCAAUUGCUUGAAAAUUUUAUUUAUUAUUAUUAGUCUUGAAGUGAGGUGGGUAACGGUUCGCUCCAAUUCGAGGGAAUCAAAUAUAUCAUCCAAGGUAGAAUUGUGGAAAAUUAAAGCAAAAUAAGAAAUAUGGAAAGAAAAGAAGAAAGUUAAGGCAUGAAAGACAUAUACAGUUGAAAUUAUAAUCAUGUUUCUAUUUUGUUAACUAAUCAAAUGGAAAGCUGAACUGUAAACAAACAUUAAAACGUGUGGACCAAGCUAGCUGCCCUACAAGUCCACAAUAAUAAUUGAGUACUUUGAUUCAUCCUUCUAUAAAUUUCUACCCAUAUUGACUCCACCGAAAUUUCCACAAAAUUAAAAAAAAAAAACUGAAUUUCCACAAAAUACAAAACCCGUUGAACUUAUUUUUUGGUCAUGUGAACUAAGAUGUAAAUUAAAAAAAAAGUAUAAAAUUAAAAAAGAUAAGAUUUCUAAAAUGUGUGGAAGGUGAUUCAUGAUUCACUGAAAUUACUUACCCCAGAUAUAAAAGUAAACCUAUCUAAUUUCAUUAAAAAUAGUUAGAAAAAAUUAACUAAUAAAAAGCUACGGAAAUUAACCCCCCACAAAAAUGACUUUUUAUAGAAGAAUUUAUGUUUUUUAAAAUAUGUUAUCAAAGUGUAUUUGAUCAAAUCUCAAUUGCUUAGUAUGGUUAGGAUUUUGUGAACAUCACUAAAAAGUGAAAAACUAUGAAUGAUAGGGGUGAUGCUUGCAAUAUGAAUAAAUAAUGGACUGAUUCAAUUGAUGAUUACAUUUAUAUAUUAUUGAUUAUUUAUGAAUUUUCAGACUUGUUAUGAUGUAUAACUAUGUGAUUUUGAAACUUGAAACCGUGGCAAACAUUGAAAGGAAUUAUAACUUGAAAGCAUGACUCACGGGGUAUGUCAUGAUUCACGUGCACAAAAAAGGUAGAAUUGUGGAAAUUUACAACCCAACGACAAAUACGGAAAGAAAGGAAGAAAAUUAAAAGACUUCGGGCCUAGCCUGCGUGUAUUAAUUAUUAGAUUACUUUUUUUUUUAUAAGGGUAAUCAUCAAUUUACUCCAUAACAAUCUUUAAUUCAUUUUUAAAAAAUAUGAAAACUUUAAUUUAUCUUUUAAACAUCGUUACCUCUUCAUUGGUUUUAAUAGUUCAAAGGGUAAAAUUAUAUUUGCAUAUUUUCUUGACCGCCAACUAAAUGAUAAAACUCAAAAUUCAAUCUUGUUAUCUUGUUUCAAUCCUCUAUCAAUCAAAUAAGAUUUCUAAAAUAUGUGAAAGAUAUUGCAUGAUUUCCUCAACCUACCUGGCCCCGAACAUCAAGGUAAAUCUCUCUAAAAUAGUUGAUUAAAUCUCAGUUGCUAAGUAUAGUUAGGAUUGUGUGAACAUCACUGAAAACUAUGAUUGAUAGAAGUGAUCUUUGCAAUAUGAAUAAAUAAUUAACUGAAUCAAUUGAUUUAUAUAUUAAAGUUUAUGAAUUUUCGGACUUGUUGCGAUAUAAUAAUAGCAUAUGAUUUGAAACUUGAAACAGUGGUAAAUAUUGAAAGGAAUUAAUUUGAAAGCAUGAUCCGUGGGGAAUGUGAUGAAUCGUGUUUACAAAAAAGGUAGAAUUGUGGAAAUUUAUAACAGAACGAUAAAUAUGGUAAAAAGGAAGAAAAUUGAAAGACUUGGGGCCUGGCCUGGGUGUAUUUUCUAACUGUCCAAUGGACAAAAUUAUAUUUGUAUACUUUCUCUUCCCUAGCUAGGUUUCAUAGAAUAGCUCAUUUCAUUUUUAUUUUUUAAAUAAUAGCCCAAAACAUCCUUAUGUUAAUUCACUGUUAGUUGAAUAUCAUUUGUUAGUAAUUCAUUAAGGGUAAAAAAUGAUUUUCUAUCAAAGAGAAAAUUAGAAAAAUAAAUAAAAGUUGACAUAUAACUAAAAAUGAUCUUAUCUAAUCCCACUAAAUAAGAAAUGCCAAAAAAGAUGAAAAAUUUAUAUUUCAAGCAAUUCUUUUUUCACUUAUUUCUAUUUUGGCGGCAUGAAAGCCCUAUAAACCCUAGAUCUAAAUACCAAAAAUAUCACAAUUUUCUUAUUCAUAUAAGUAUACUCUCUAAUUGCAUUGUAAAAUGGCUUGAAUUGAAUUGAAGAUAAAGAAAAUAUUCAGCACAUGCAAGCACAUAAAAAUUGGUGGCAUUUUUGAGUUUUUCUUCCAAUGAUUUAAAGAUAUUGUUUUAAUUACAGUUUGUUCCUUAUGACAAUUAUUCAAUGGCUAUAUCAAACUAUAUCAUCGUUGAUUUCAUUUAAGAAAAAGUUAAUGAAUUUUGCAUACUUUGUAGUGUUAUUUAAUUGUGUAAAAAAAUUAUUUUAAUAUAGUUUGUAUCACUUUAAUGAAAAAUCUUAUUUUGCUCUCAAUGAAUUACUGGUUAAUAGUUUUACACUCACGGUGAGUUAACGGAAGGAUAUUUUAGGCUAUUGAUUGAAAAGGAGGGAUAAAAUGGGCUAUUGCAUUAAACUUUAGGGAUGAAAAAUGCUUUUUCUCCUUUCUUAUCAAUCAACUAACUGAUAAAAGUCAAAACUCAUAUUUUUUUUUUCCUUGUUUCAAUCCCCUCUCAAUCAAAAAAGUUUCCUUGUCUAAGCAAUGAGGAAUAUGGCUAGAAAGAUUGUUAUUAGAAAGAUUUAUCAAUAGUAAUUGGUUCACAACUGAACAAUUUUAGAUUAUUGUGAGUCAAUAUAGGUCUUGUUUGGAAUUGAAGUGUUGUAGCUUUUAAGCUACAGCUGCUUUAGAAAAAAAACUAUAAUUAUGAAAUAAGAGUUAAUAAUAUAUAAUAAAUAUAAAUUUUAAAUAAUAAAUUUGACAAAAUUAUUAAAAAUAUAAUAGAUUUUUGAUAAUACAAGUAAAAAAAUCAUAUCAACAUAGCUUGCAAGUUACAACAGUUAGUGUUUACCUAAUACUUUAAUACUGUAGCUUUUAAGUUACAGUUGUCCAAUACCUCAAUUCCAAACGCACCUAUAAAAUGGCUUGCUUCAAAAGUCUAUCAACCCAACUUGGAAUGCUCUCAUUGUUGCGGAAACGUGGGUUGAGCAAUUACUAAUACUGCAACUUCUGGAGAAAUAUAAAUGUGGUGAUAAACAAAUGCAAAGAAAAUAGAACACAAUAUUUUACGUGGUUCGGCGUAAUGCCUACGUCCACGGGCAAAAACUGGAAGAUAAUUUUACUAACAAUGAAAUUUACAAAAGUGGGAAAAACUCACAAAACCCACAACCCCAAUACACCCAAAUGGAACCUCACUAGAACACUCAAGUGGAAGCUCUCUCAAAUUCUCUCAAAGAACUCACUUGCAAUUGCUCUCUACUUCUCUCAAAUUGGGAUGGUUACAAUAGCAAAAUGCUUCUCUAUUUAUAGAUUGCAUUCUGCUCCAAGUUGGGUUCAAUUUGUCAAAAUGUUGAGCUGGAUCUUGUAUUGCAUGCACGAGCUUUUCAACACCUAACUUUGUCUUUUGAAAUUGCUUAGCCGACCAUCUUUGCUUUUUUGAAUUUGGCAAGCAAUUCUUUGACUUUUCAACAAUUCUCCACCUCGGCGAAGAUUUAGUAAAUCUGAGCCGAUUAUCAAUAAAUUAUCCUCCAGCCUUUGCCUUCUCCGACUGCUUUUAAACUUGCAGGAUAUUAAUCAAGUUUAGACAAUGCUCAAACUUGAUCGCUGUCACCACCUUGGUCAACAUAUCUGCGGGAUUAUCUAUAGUUUUAAUUUUCUGAAGAAGAAUCUUCCCCUCAUCAAUAAUUUCCCGCACAAAGUGAAAGCGUACAUCGAUGUGCUUCGUACGCACAUGAUAAACUUGGUUCUUCGUUAAAUGAAUAGCACUCUGACUAUCGCAAUACACAUUAAUGUGCUCCUGCGCCAAUCCCAAGUUUUCAAGCAAACCUUAUAACCAAAUAGCCUCUUUAAUAGCCUCUGUAAUUGCCAUGUACUCGGCCUCUGUGGUCGAUAGUGCAACUGUAGACUGUAGUGUAGACUUCCAACUAAUUGGCCCUCCAGCAAAAGUAAAUACAUAUCUGGUGGUUGACCGUCGUUUGUCCAAAUCACCAGCAUAAUCAGAAUCAAUGUACUCGAUCACACUUUGACCAAGUGUAUCGUCUCUUUCAAACAGUAAACCAACAUCCACGGUCUUCUAAAUGUACCGUAGAAUCCAUUUCACAGCUUGCCAAUGUCCUUUACCAGGAUUAUGCAUAUACCUGCUCACUAUACCAACUGCAUGUGAAAUGUCAGGCCUUGUACACACCAUUGCAUACAUCAAGCUACCCACUGCAUUUGAAUACGAAACUUGUAACAUGUAUUCUCGUUCUGCAUAUGUUGAAGGAGAUAAUUGUGCAGAAAGCUUGAAAUGAGAAGCCAACGGGGUACUCACAGGUUUUGUCUGCUCAGUCAUGCCAAACUGCUGUAGUACCUUCUUCAAAUAUUGCUUUUGAGACAAGCUUACUUUGCCACGAGCUCUAUCUCUGCAUAUCUCCAUGCCAAGAAUCUUCUUAGCUUCACCUAAAUCUUUCAUUUCAAAUUCUUGAUUGAGUUGAGUCUUCAACUUCUCAAUCUCAUUUUUGCUCUUCGAUGCUAUUAGCAUAUCAUCGACAUACAAUAGCAAAUAAAUGAAAGAGCCUUCUUGUAGCUUGCGAAAAUACACACAAUAAUCAAAUUUAUUUCUUGUGUACCUUUGUCUUUUCAUAAAUCGAUCAAAUCGCUUGUACCACUGCCUCGGAGAUUGUUUCAACCCAUAAAGCGACUUUGUCAAUUUGCAAACCCAAUUUUCUUUUCCAGCAACCUUAAAUCCAUCUGGCUGAGUCAUGUAGAUUUCCUCUUCCAAAUCACCAUGUAAGAAUGCAGUUUUUACAUCAAGUUGAACUAGUUCAAUAUCAAAUUGCGCAACCAUGGCUAGCAAAAUUCGAAUAGAUGAAUGUUUCACAACUGGAGAAAAUACCUCAUUGUAGUCUAUUCCUUCCUUCUGAGCGUAACCCUUCGCUACCAAUCUAGCCUUGUAUCGAAUUUCAUUUUUACAAGGAAAUCCUUCCUUUUUUGCAUAUACCCAUUUGCACCCAAUUGCCUUCUUUUCCUUGGGCAGUGUAACUAACUCCCAAGUUUCAUUUUUGUGAAGAGACUGCAUUUCUUCGUUCAUUGCUUUCUUCCACUGUAUACUUUCUGGAUUACUUACUGCUUCUCUGUAAGUGGAAGGAACAUCAUCAUCUACAAUUGGAAGUGCAUAGGCCACCAUAUCAACAAAGCGAGCAAGUCUGCGAAUCUCUCUAUGUGGCCUUCUAUAUGCAAUUGAAUCAUGUUGCUGUGAAGGUUCCUAGGUCAGAACCUCUUCAUCAUUUUCGGUCGAUGGAGAAUCAUUAUCCAUCUCAUCGACACCAGCUGGAUCAGCUUUAACUUUUUCAAACUCCACAUGCUGCAAACUGCUACUGGUCUUGUCAUUCUCUUGAGAAUCUUUUUGUUUCAACAUGGUUGAUUCAUCAAAAGUUACAUCUCUGCUGAAAAUAAUCUUCUUCGUUACAGGACACCAGAGACGGUAUCCUUUUACUCCACCAGUUAUACCCAUGAACAAUGCUUUCUUUGCUCUUGGGUCUAACUUAGAUUCUUUUACAUGAUAAUAAGUAGUGGAACCAAAAACAUGUAAAGAAUUAUAAUCAGUAGUAGGUUUACCAGUCCACAUCUCCAUGGGUGUUCUGCCCUCAAUUGCAGUUGAUGGCAAACGGUUGAUCAAAUGGCACGCAUAUACAACUGCCUCAGCCCAAAACUCUUUGCCCAAUCCAGCAUUGGAUAACAUACACCGAACUUUCUCCAGUAUAGUCCGGUUCAUGCGUUCUGCCACCCCAUUCUGUUGUGGUGUAUCUCGAACAGUGAAAUGUCGCACAAUACCCUCAUCUUGGCAUAUUUGAAGAAAUGGAUCAUUCUUGUACUCACCACCAUUAUCUGAGCGAAGUCUUUUGAUCUUUCGACCAUUCUGAGUCUCGACCAUUUUCUUCCAUUUCAUAAAUAUGCCCAAAACUUCAUUUUUGUUCUUCAUCAAAUACACCCACACUUUUCUUGAAUAAUCAUCAACAAAAGUAACAAAAUAGUGCAUACCUCCCAAAGAAGCUGUUUUGGUAUGUCCCCACACAUCACUGUGAACAUAGUCCAUAAUUCCUUUUGUAUCGUGAAUUGCUGAACCAAACUUUACCCUUGUCUAUUUGCCCAGAACACAAUGUUCACAAAAUUCUAAUUUGCAAGAAUUUGUACCUUUCAAUAAGCCUUGCUUCGCUAAAGUUUGCAAAGCUUUUUCACCAGCAUGUCCCAAACGCAUAUGCCACAAUUUGGUUGCUUCUAAAUCUGCAUCUUUUCCAGAAACUGUUGAUGCUGAUCCAAUAACUGUACUUCCUUGGAAAUAGUACAAGUUAUUUCUUCUUGUGCCUUUCAUUACCGUCAGUGCCCCAGCUACUACCUUCAACAAUCCAUCUCUUAAAGUGAUUGUGAGUCCUUUAGAUUCUAGGACUCCUAAUGAGAUGAGAUUUUUCUUCAAGCUUGGUACAUAGCGAACAUCUGUCAAAACUUGGAUUGAGCCAUCAUGAUUCUUUAAUUGGAUUGUACCUAUUCCCAUGGUUUUACAAGCAUUGUCAUUGCCCAUAAAAACAACUCCACCGUCUAGCUCCUUGAAGUUAGAAAACCAGCCCUUGUUAGGACACAUAUGAUAAGUACAACCCGAAUCCAAAAUCCACUCAUCUGAGUGACAUAUCAAUGUCAUGCCAACCAGACUAAAGUCUGACUCCUCAUCAUGCUCUGCUACACAUGCAUCAGAAGUAGCCUUGCCCUUUUGUAACUUAGGACAAUUCUUUUUCCAAUGCCCUUUCUCGCGACAAAAAGCACAUUCAUCUUUGGCAGGUCUCCCUUUAGACUUGUUCCUUUUUCCAGGUUUGUGGCUUUGCGAACGACCUCUCGCUGUCAGUGCUUCUGCAACUGUAUAUCUGUGAUCCUUUCUAUCUUUCUUUCUGGUCUCAGAGUUGUACAAUGCACUGCAUACAGCAUCGAAUGUGACACUGUCCUUCCCAUGAAGCAAAGUAGUGGUAAGAUGAUCAUAUUCAUCAGGAAGGGAAUUCAACAACAAUAAUGCCUUAUCUUCAUCUUCAAAUCUCUCAUCUAGAUUUAGCAAAUCCGCCAAUAUCUUGUUGAAUGAGUUCACGUGGUCAUUCAUUGACAUGCCAUGUGUAUAUGUAAAUCGAUAGAGUUUCUUUUUCAUAUAAAGCCUAUUUUCAAGACUUUUCUUCAUAUGCUUUUCUUCCAGUGUCUCCCACAAUUUCUUUGCCGAUGUCUCCCUCAUGACAGAGUAUUUCUGAUCUUUAGCCAGACAUAGGCGAAUAGUACCACAUGCCUGUCUAUUGAUUUUUAUCCACUCCUUGUCAUCCAUCACGUCAGGCUUUUCUUCAAGAGCAACGUCCAACUCUUGUUGACAUAAGACAUCCAACACCUCACAUUGCCACAUACCAAAAUUAUUGGUACCAUCAAAUUUCUCCACUUCAAACUUUGCAUUAGUCACAGUAGUUCUCGCUGAUGAAGACGACGACGGUGCCUCUGCCAUCCUUUUUAUCUCAAAUGAUCAGUUUCUUCAACAACUAUUUACACUUAAAAAACAGCCUCUAUGAUGUUUAUUUCGCGUGAAUAAAUGCACCAGGAAAGUUCCCAAGAGACUGGACGGGAACUCGGUCCCAAUUAAAAACCAGAAUCCUUAGACUCUUAUCGCCUUUGUUGACAGAACUUUCCUAGACAUGCAAAAAUACACACUACUUACAAUAGACUGCCUCCCAAGUAUAAAUGACCGUCUCCACCGUAUUUGUGAACAGUACCGUUUAUAGGAAUAGUACCGUAUACGUGAACAAUACCGUAUCCCCCCAAGUACGAGCCGUCGGCUCUGAUACCACUUGUUGCGGAAACGUGGGUUGAGCAAUUACUAAUACUGCAACUUCUGGAGAAAUAUAAAUGUGGUGAUAAACAAAUGCAAAGAAAAUAGAACACAAUGUUUUACGUGGUUCGGCGUAAUGCCUACGUCCACGGGCAAAAACUGGAAGAUAAUUUUACUAACAAUGAAAUUUACAAAAGUGGGAAAAACUCACAAAACCCACAACCCCAAUACACCCAAAUGGAACCUCACUAGAACACUCAAGUGGAAGCUCUCUCAAAUUCUCUCAAAGAACUCACUUGCAAUUGCUCUCUACUUCUCUCAAAUUGGGAUGGUUACAAUAGCAAAAUGCUUCUCUAUUUAUAGAUUGCAUUCUGCUCCAAGUUAGGUUCAAUUUGUCAAAACGUUGAGCUGGAUCUUGUAUUGCAUGCACGAGCUUUUCAACACCUAACUUUGUCUUUUGAAAUUGCUUAGCCGACCAUCUUUGCUUUUUUGAAUUUGGCAAGCAAUUCUUUGACUUUUCAACACUCAUUCAAGUGGCUAUAACUAAGAUAAAACGUCGCAAAGGAAGAGUAAUUAAAAAAUGUAACUUCUUUAACAUGUCCAUAUAGCAUUUUUGUUUACAAGUGAAUUUGUGUGAUAGAGAGAGGAUGUAAGCAAGAUAGUAAACUCCUAAAUAUAUUAUUGUUUGUAAUGUCUAAAAUUUGAAGAGAAUCAAGCUAAUAAAACUCCAUUGAAAUUAGACCUUCAAGAGUACGGUUCUUGGGCAUUAUAAAAUGUUGUAAUGUUGAGAGAUUACCCAACCAUUAUGGAAUCCUACCAAGAUGAUUGUUACCACUAAGAUACAAUCCUUCUAGUGAACAACAAUUAGACAAAUUUUUUGGAGAUCUCUCUUACAAAGUCAUUACCAUCCAAUCGCAAUUUUGAAUGAAAAUAAAUUUUUUUUAUUGGGAGUUUGACCUUAACAUUAAAUUUAGACAAUGAAUUUUAACUUUCUUCAAUUAUUAAGCAGAUUACGGACAUUUGAGGAAUUUGAAAACAUUUCAUCCAUCGAAAGUUAAAAUUAGAGAUGGAAGCUAGGUGCUACAGCUAAUGGGAACAUUAAUUCCUGUCCCUCAUCACACUUUAUUUUGGGUCUAAUAAUUUUACGGCAGCAUUGACCACUGCUCAAGGUAAGUAAAACUUACAAAUGUGUGGCAAAAUAAAUAAUUAAGUGGAUAAACUGUUAACUAAUUUUCUUGAUAUAUACAGCUAAUGUAGUUGUUCCUCUGUUAAAAAAACAAAUGCUAAGCAAUUUCGGCUGAGCCUGCUUGUGGUGUUGAUAAAAACGAGGGCUGGCUUCAAAUAUUUGAAUAGACACCUCCACCGUACCUCAAACAAAUCUGUCAUUAUUUGUGCCAUGAAACAUGUUUCGGCCGUCAAAGUCAUGAGAGGGUUGAUGACGCUACUACGUAUGAUGACACACCAGCCGACAGUGUAGUAACAGCUCAAAAACAAAAUCUACCAAAAUCAACGGAAGUUAAUAAAAAAUUAUUUUAUUAAUAAAAAUAAAUAAAUAACUUAUUAUUUUUGGAGACGUGUGUAGUUGAGUCUGUGGACUGAAAUGGAAAAUAUGAAGAAGUUCAGAGUCGUUGUGCAGAUUGACUUCAGUUAAAUGGGACUAGUAGAUAUUUUAUGCUGACGUGGCACGAAUUAGUUAUAAUCUGUUACAACGUUUCCAGAAACAUCAGUAUAAAUAGAAGCUGAUGAGCAGUGCCUGUUGUACUUGUACGAUCCUUUUUCUUCUUCAGUUGUUCGUCAAUUUGCAUAGAAUCUGUUUCAUUGUGAUCUGUGCAAAGUCUUCUAUAAAUCCACUUAUGUUUGAUUAGUUAUUGAUCAAUAUCGAGAACAUUAUCCACCUGGAACGACUUCAAGUCCAAAGUAAAAGAGAGAGUGGCUCCCCGCAAUUUUCUUGUUUUCAGUAUAUUUUCUUUUUUUUUUCUUUUUUAAAAUCUUUUGACGCAUGCAUAAUCUACCCUUGUUUAUUAUCUCUACUUUGCUCUGCUCAAGUCCAUUUUUUCAAAUCUUAUUUUAAAUAAUAAAUUGAAUAAAAGUACAUUUGUGUAAUUAAUUAGUAUCUGAGGGGGGCAGCAUAUUUGGUGGAGUGUUAUGCUAUGUAAGACUCAGCUAUUAUCAAACAGUCCCUUAACCAUUUAAUUUAAACCAACUUCUAUUUGGUUUAUUUGCUAUCUUUGUGGAUCUCAUAGGCGUGGCAGAGUUUAAUAAUUUUAUCGUCUGAAGAAUAGGAUAUUGGCUUCAAUAAAUUUAAUUUAAACCAACUUCUAUUUACUCCAUCAAUUAAUUAAUGACAUUUUGUUUUGAAAAAUUCAAUAAUUAAAUUCUCACGUUUCAUGUGUUUGAAGUCAAAUUAUUCAUUAACUAGAACUCUGUUCAAAAUUGACUGUCUUGUGGUUCCCAAAUGUAGUUGUAAUAUUGAAUGAAAGUAAAAACUUUCUAUGGCGAGUUUAAAUCUAAAUCUGGACAAUGAAUUUUGAGUUUCUCAAUGCUAUUCUAAUAACAAAAAUUAUGUUGAUUGAUUUAUUGUUACAGUUACUAUCCUUUGAAAAUGGAUGGAUUCAUUGUUUCCGUGACCAAAUUAUGCCUGCCUAACGCUGCAACUAUUAAAAAAUUUAAUAUUUAAUGCACAUGUUAAAAGAUUUAAAAUUUUAUGCAUUUAUUAAUUGUUAUAAUCUUAAAAAAAAUUAAUUAAUUCAGGUCAAUCUGAGUUGGUGCAUCUGCAGGAGCCUUUUUUUAAUUUUUUUUUCCCCUUAUUGACCAUAAUGACAUCUCCUUCAACAUGACUAUUGACAAAGAGCAUGUAAAAACAUGGAAACAGAACUUCCACAGGUGGAAUUUAAGUUUUGGCCAUGUGGCCAUGAAAGAAAAAGGAAAAGACGCCUCUAAGAUUUGUUUCAGUGGUUUACAUUGACUCUUUAAUUUAAUUUAUAGUAACACAAUUUUUUUUGUACAAAUAUAUAUUAUUCAUGUUUUGUAUUAUAUUUUAACAUCAUAUUUUUAUUUAUUAUAAAUAUUUAAAGCUAAUUUUUAGGUUGAUAUUUAAUAAAAGGGUAUAAUCGUUCCAUCCAUUUCUCAUCUCGCGAUCUCUCUCAAUUAUCCUUUAUUGAUAGCUCAAAGCGCGUUGCUGUGGAAAAUUGUAGCAAAAUGAAAAAUUGGAAAGAAAGGGAAGAAAAUUAAUGCUUGGAGAAAGCAAUCCAAUAAGUCAACUGGUCUUUAGUGGGAACAUAUUACAAAAAGGCCUCGAUCAUCAUAUCGUAGACUCGGGGAUAAGGAUUUGGAUCGAGUUUUUGUUUUGAUAUUGAAGGACCUACUUCUCUGCCGCGAUGUAGAAUAUAUGCAAGGAGUUGUCUACUGCUCUUUAGGUCAUAAUAAUGUGAUUGGUGCAUUCAACGUUGCCCCGAAACACUGGAAAGUACUUCCAUAUCCUCCGAAUGAGAACUGAUUUAUAUAUGAUUUCCUAAUUGACUCAGGAUCAGAUGACAACAACAACUUAUUAAUAGUUAUAUCAAAACGGCAGAAGACGUGUUUUGUUUACAGGUUUGAUCCAUUUGGAAUGAAGUGGUCUCAAGUCGAAAGUAAUUUAUCGAAUAACUUUCGACUAAUUAAUAGUUAUAUCAAAGGGUGUGGGUGUUUUACCUCAUCAUGUCUUCAAGUGGAAGAUGAAGACUAGCAAGUGAAUUCAGGAAUAUUGCAUGCCAUUAAAUUUGUAGUUUUUACAUGUUGAUCAGCAGGAUACAACAUUAAAUUUUGUCAUUGACAAUACUGCAUGCCUGUCGUCUAAAGCAUUACCUCACAAGGUUUUAUGAGAAACGAAAGAUGUGUUUGCUUUGAACAAUUAAAGUUACUGCUACGAACCUCCCCAAAGGUCAAGAAGACAGAACAGGAAGCUAAUGCCAUCAAUGUCUUGUUCAUUAUAGCUGCUGGGUAGUUAGGUGUAGUUUCCUCAUUUGAAGCUGUCUAUACAUGGGCAUUUCCCCUGCUUAUGUACAAAUAAAUGAACAACCUUGAAGCUUUAUUAUUCGCAACAAAAAGGGAUUACUAAUUGGAGAAGACUAUACAGAGUUUCUCUCACACUUUCACUCUGUCAAUUUCAUCUAGAAGUCCCUCUAAAAGCAUCUCCCAAAACAGUUAGUCAUCUUUUAUGCUCUGUUUGUAAAAAAUGUGGGCUUUAUUCUUUCUAGAAGAGAUGGAAUUCUAGAAGAGAUGGAUUUGCACGGUCAAAAAGAAAAGAAAAGCCGUAAAAUAAACAGUAGCCGCAAAAUGAACAGUAGCCGCAAAAUGAACAGUAACCGCAAGAUGAACAGUAGUCACUGGUGGCUAUAAAUAGAGGAGUGCUCCUCCUUAUUGUUUGUAUCCAAAAUCCCAGAGAAGGAAUCCAAGUUUUGGUGAGAAAUUGAGAAAGAAAAAUAUUCUUAAGCAUGUAGUUAUAUUGAAGGAGCAUUUGUCUCCUCAAUAUGGGUAUUACGAGUUUGCUUUGUUAAGAGGUAUUUCUCAAGAUUAUGUAUUUGGGGUUUGGGUGAGAGAAAAUUUAUGAGAGUGCGGUUGUAAUAAUUUUCCACAUAGUGAAUAUUUUUUCUCUGGUUGUCUUUUUGACAACGGCCGUGGUUUUUUCUCCGGAUUUGGAGUUUUCCACGUAAAUCUUGUGUUGUGGGAUUGAUAUUAUUUUUCAUUUAAUUUUUCUUGUUAAUUUGUUAAUUGACAAAUUGCUUGGAGAGAUCUUGGGAGGAAGCUCAAUUUCCUAACAGUGGUAUCAGAGCCAUUGAUUGAAGUUUUGGUGUCGGGGUACUAUUCACGUAUACGGUACUGUUCACGUGAAGCAGUUUGAGCCAAUCCGAAUAAUCUGUGGUGAAGAGAAUAUGAAGCAAAUAUGUCAGCAGCUGGUGUUUUUCAAACUUGGUUGAAGUUUGAUGUUGUUGAAAAAUUAAUGGGAGAAUGAUUUUAUUGGCUUGUGGAGAAUUCAAGUCAAAGGUGUAUUCAAUCUGGGUUACACAAGGCAUUGAAGGGGAAGCCAUCCCCUGCGUCCAGUGGUGGCUCUGGAAAAGCUAGUAUAAGUGAUGAAGAUUGGGAAGAAUUAGAUGAUCGAGCUGCAAGUGCCAUACGACUAUGUCUAGCAAAGAAUGUUCUUGCAAAUGUAGGAAAAAUUCUUACAGCGAAAGAACUUUGGGAGAAGCUAGAAAAGUUGUAUCAGACAAAGAGCAUCUCAAAUCGAUUGUACCUGAAGGAGCGAUUUCACACACUGCGAAUGGCUGAAGGUAUAAAAAUUUCCGAUCACCUCAGUGUUCUCAAUGGUAUUGUGUCAGAACUAGAAGCCAUUGGAGUUAAAAUUGAAGAUGAGGACAAGGCGCUUAGGUUACUAUGGUCACUUCCAACUUCCUACAAACACUUGUUACCUACUUUGAUGUACGGGAAGGAUACAGUAGAUCUUGAAGAAGUUACUAGUACUUUACUCUCAGAAGAAAGAAGACUGAAUGGUGAAAGUACUAAAACUACAGAUGUCUCGGCUUUGGCAGUUGUAGGGAAUUGGCAGAAAGAUAAAUCUAAGAAGAAAGGAGUCUGCUGGGGGUGUGGACAAUCGGGGCACUUAAAAAGAGAUUGUCAUAGUAGAAAUGGAGUAGGAUCGGCAAGUGGCUCCAGAUUAGAUACUGAUAGUAUUGCUAGUGGUAAGUCUCUCAUCAUCAUGGGAGACGAUGAUCCCUUGUAAAAUGGAUGAUGAUGACAUCCUCAUGGUAUACCGCUAGUACCAUGAAAGGGGAUAUGUUACUACUAGCGGGUCCACAAGAUUUACACACAAGGCAUGGUUGGCAUUGAUGCAGGGUGUGUGGUGGAAUUUAUGUCGAUGAUUGACAAACUUCCAGGAAGGCCAACAUGGAAGUUGCACCAUAAAUUUCAGCAGGAUAUUUCGACAUGUGCCGAUGUAAAAUUCUUAGAAUUGGUAAUUAAUUCUAAGUGGUAUAUUCUUUAUGGUGGAGUAUGAUAAUUCUCUAUGACGAGGAUUAUGACUUAGGUGAAAACAGUAAGGACAGUGUGGAGAUUGAUUGGUUCUUAAUCAAAUCUCCAAGUGAGAGAAUGUAAAAAAUGUGGGCUUUAUUCUUUCUAGAAGAGAUGGAAUUCUAGAAGAGAUGGAUUUGCACGGUCAAAAAGAAAAGAAAAGCCGUAAAAUAAACAGUAGCCGCAAAAUGAACAGUAACCGCAAGAUGAACAGUAGUCACUGGUGGCUAUAAAUAGAGGAGUGCUCCUCCUUAUUGUUUGUAUCCAAAAUCCCAGAGAAGGAAUCCAAGUUUUGGUGAGAAAUUGAGAAAGAAAAAUAUUCUUAAGCAUGUAGUUAUAUUGAAGGAGCAUUUGGCUCCUCAAUAUGGGUAUUACGAGUUUGCUUUGUUAAGGGGUAUUUCUCAAGAUUAUGUAUUUGGGGUUUGGGUGAGAGAAAAUUUAUGAGAGUGUGGUUGUAAUAAUUUUCCACAUAGUGAAUAUUUUUUCUCUGGUUGUCUUUUUGACAACGGCCGUGGUUUUUUCUCCGGAUUUGGAGUUUUCCACGUAAAUCUUGUGUUGUGGGAUUGAUAUUAUUUUUCAUUUAAUUUUUCUUGUUAAUUUGUUAAUUGACAAAUUGCUUGGAGAGAUCUUGGGAGGAAACUCAAUUUCCUAACACUGUUUUCUAGAAACAGAGUCCUAACUAAAUUGAUUGACUGAACAGUGCAUUUCAACAUAGCAUAUUUAACUGUUUAAACAGUUAUUUGAACCGUCUUCAGAGUUAUCAUCAACAAACUCAUUCAUACUGGUCCAAUCUUACGGACGAUAUCAUAUGCUUAAUAAUGAACGAAUAGUCUUGGAUCAGUGUUUUGCGGCAAGAGCAACUCGACACAAUCUGGAUUCAACCUCCUCCUAUCUAACAAGGGAUUUCGAUUUGAGUUACUUGGUGCUCAAGCAAAUUCACAUCAUAGUUUUGAUUCUUUAGAUAUGAAUUCAUCACAUUACAUAUAUCAGAUUAAGUGUAACAAAAUUCUUUAUCUACUGCGAAAAUAAUAUGCGCUAAAAAAUGAUUUCAAGACUAUUUGACUACAAAAAGCAGCUGCAUGGCUCAGCCUCAGGUAAGAAAGCCACAGAAAAGGAAAAUCUCACUGUCACGACUCACGUCACGCAUCAUUCAAGUGAUGGAUUUAACAAGACUGCUUAUGUUCUAUCAAAUUCCUCUGCCUCUCAGAAGAUAACUUUUCUGGGCCAAAUUUCUCAUCUAAAGCAUAUUAUGCCCCAAAGUCAGAGAUAACAAAAUGGGGCACUACCGAUUAUGAAAGAGAGCUAGUAGUUGUCAGAAGCCUAAGUCAAAUUCCGGUAGUAAGAAGAGGCCUUUCUUGAGUUUAGAUUAUGUGUUCGAGUUUUAAUAAAUGCCUAAGUUAAUAAUAAUAACAACAGUAAUAAUAAACUAAAAAGCAUAAUUACUAUUGAAUGGUAAAAAAAAAAAAUGAAAAUGUGUGAACUCCAAUAACCACCCCAGUGGCGAAUUUUGGAGAGGGCUAGGCCGGGCUUCUUAGAAAUUAUUUUUAUUUAAUUACAAAAUCACCUUUACUGAAACCUAUAUAAAAUUUUUUAUAUUAAUUAAUUAUGUUGCCUCUUCAAUUAUCAUUGAAUUCUUGUCCGUUCAUCAUUUGAUGGAUAAAUGUGUAUUUCAAUAAUUUCAAAUAAUGUCUAGAACAAAUAUUUUGAAUGAUAAAACUCAUUAUGUCCUGCAUUACUAGAUGUAUCUAUAAUUUAUUAUUUACAAAUUAUAUUGUAUGAUAAAAAUGUAUUGAAUUUUUUAAAAAAAAAAAAGUUCGGCUCACUCAGAAAAAAAUGUUAUUAGCUUCGCCACUGCACAAAUCUAGAAUAAUAAUUAUUCCUUAUUAUAUUGACUGCACCAAGCAAUAAACUAAUAAGUUCUCAUUAGUGGUUUUUAAUCUUUUUAAUUCUUUUUACCGCACACCUGAUCAAUAAUUCUAUUUUGUUAACUAAUCAAUUGCAAAUCAUAUAUUAGUGUUGAACGGUGAACAAAAUUGAAAAAAAAAAUUCUUAAAAAACGUGUGGACUCGGAUAGCCAGACCAGAAAUCUAUGACAAUAAUUAGCUUUGAUGCUGGGAAUCUUUUAGUUUCUGGCCGUAUUGACUCCACCAGUGAUGCUGGGAAUCUAAUGGAGCUCAUUCUUUGGUUUUACUUGCAGGUCUAGAAGCAGGUGUCAUCUUGUAAAGAAGGAAAAUAAUAUUUGCCUUUUUGAAUAAUUUUAUUGAACCAGGAGACGCAGCUAUAUACAAGAGAUUUCCUACAAUCAUGCUAAUCUAUUCUAGGUAGUCUAAGGGCCAGUUUGGUAAUGCUGCAGCUUUUAAAAUAAUUACUGUUAGCUGUGCUGUAGAAAUAAUCAGCUGUGAAGAGAAUCAGUUAAGUGUUUGGUAAAUUUUAUUUUUAAAAGUACUGUGAAUUUUGAAAGCAGUUAUGGGUGUUUGGUAAAUCUUAUUGUUAAACUGCUGUAAGAAAAUAAAUGACUAAAAUGUACAUAAUGUAGGAUGAAAUUUACUUAUACAUAUAAAAAUAUACACGUACAAUAUUAUAAUAAAAAUUGCAUAGGCAUAGAAUUGUUUAUAUAUAAACAAACCCAAAUAAGACAAACAACAAAUAUUAUAAUAAAAAAUACAUUGAAUAUGCAUGAAAAGGGUGAUGAAUCACUUACUGUUAUUGAAUAUGGUUAUGGAACACAUACUGGAUCUUGCUUUGUUGCACUAGAGAAGUUUUGAUAGAACACAAAAUAUGAAGAAAUAGGGUAAACGAAAGGUGUGUGUUAAUUAUAAUAAAAAAUUAUUAAAAUAUUGAUUUUAUUUCCAAUUUAAAUAAGGAUAAUUUCGGGUUUAAGUAAUAAUUGUAAGGAUAUUUAUGGAAUUAUAUUAAAGGAUAAAAUUGAUUCUCAAAAUCAAAAUCUAAAAGUUACUCCUUCCCUGCUUUUCAAAAUCAGCUGUAGGAGGAGCUGAUUCUGGCAAAAGUAAUUUUGAUUUUUUUUUUACCAAACACCAAAAUUAGCUUUUAGAUUUUUAAAAUCACUUUUAACCCUCUCAAAAGCAAUCCCAAACGGGGCCUAAAUAUAAAAGGCAACUAAACAAAUAUACAACUAAUACAAUAUAUUCGUCAAUGAAUGGUCAGAUAUCAUUGACCUUUCCUUCUCAACACUCCCCCUCAAGUUGGAGAGUGGAUGUCAAGAACUCCCAACUUGCGUAUCAUAGUUGAGAAAGCUUCCUUUCCCAAUGGCUUGGUGAACACAUCUGCAAGUUGAUCUGUUGAGGCAACAUGUUUGGUUACAACUGAACCAUCUUGUAUUUUGUCACGAAUAAAAUGGCAAUCCAUCUCUAUAUGUCUGGUUCUUUCGUGGAAAACGGGAUUGGCAGCUAUAUGUAAGGCUGCUCUGUGUUAUCACAAUAUAAUAAUGCUGGCUUCGGAUGCAAUAUUCUCAAAUCCUUCAAUAAUGAGCGUAGCCAGGAUAAUUCACAACAUGUACCUGUCAUGGCUCUAUAUUCAGCUUCUGCUGAGGAGAGAGAUACGGUUUUCUGCCUCUUUGUCCGCCAAGAAAUAAGAGAAGAUCCCAGAAAAACACAAUAACCCGUAGUGGAUCUACGAGAUAUUGGACAACCAGCCCAAUCCGAAUCAGAAAAAGCUCGCAAAGAUAAAUCAUUCUGAGAAAGGAAAAACAAACCUUGCCCUGGACUAUUUUUCAAAUAACGCUAUACACGCAAGACAGCUUCCAUGUGUGGUCUACGUGGUGCAUGCAUGAAUCUGCUUAACACAUGGACCGAAUAGGUGAUAUCCGGUCGGGUAAUAGUUAAAUAAAUUAGGCGUCCAACAAGUCGUCUAUACUGAGACGGAUCUUUAAGCAAUUCACCUAAAUCCGAGAGCUUUAUGUUUUGUUCCAUGGGAAAGUUCACAGGUUUAGCACCCAAAAAUCCACCAUCUUUUAAAAUUUCCAAAGUAUAUUUUCGUUGCGAGAUGGAAAUACCUUUCUUCGACCGAGAAACUUCGAUGCCCAGAAAAUACUUCAAAUCACCCAAAUCUUUAAUUCGAAAAUGACUAUGUAGAAACUGCUUGAGGGAUACUAUGGCAUUGACGUCAUUACCCGUAAUAAGAAUGUCAUCGACAUAUAUCAACAAAGCUGUAAACGAUUUGCCUUUCCGACAUGUGAAUAACGAGUAAUCAGCUUUGGAUUGAACAAAGCCAGCAGCUUGGAUAGCUGUAGAGAACUUGGCAAACCAUUGUCGGGAAGCUUGCUUUAAGCCAUAUAACGACUUGUGAAGGCGACACACUAGAUUCUCCCCCUGUCGCCGAAGACCAGGAGGUGGAGACAUAUAAAUUUCUUCAUGGAGAUCGCCAUGAAGAAAGGCAUUGUUGACAUCAAGUUGGUGAAGAGACCAAUUCUGGGCAGCUGCUAAAGCCAAUAAACAACGAACAGUAAUCAUUUUAGCAGUGGGAGAAAAAGUGUCAUGGUAAUCUAUACCUUCUAGCUGUGUGUAACCUUUUGCAACCAAACGAGCUUUGAAACGCUCAAUACUACCAUCCGAGUGUCGUUUGAUUUUAUAAACCCAACGACAACCAAUAGGCUUCUUACCAGGAGGAAGAGAAGUGAGGGACCAAGUGUGGUUGGCUUCUAAAGCAGCCAAUUCAGAUUGCAUUGCUUCUUGCCAAUGGGAAUGGGAAGCUGCUUUGGCAUAAGAUGUAGGCUCAAUAUCUUGACUGACAGCAGCAGUAAAAGAGCGAUGUUGUGGUGAGUAACGAUGAUAAGAGACAAAAUUGCAAAGGGGAUAUCGUGUACCUUUUUGUAGACUUGAUGACAAAGGCGGCAAAUGGUUGGGAGACGUUACUUGGUUACAGACAUAAUCACGUAAAGCCAUGGGAGGGUGAUGAGGUCUUUGGGAACGACGUAAAAUGGGUUCGGGAGGAGGACUAGCAGGUGAUAGCUGAGUAGAAACUAAAUUCGGUGGUAAUGGUUGUUGGAUGGGAGAAAUUGGUUCCGGUGGUAAGGGUUGUGGAACUGGUGGGGAAGGAGCGGAUAUAGAAAGAGGAAUCACAUGGUCUGAAUUUAAGGAAGGGGAUGGAAUAGACUCAUAAGGGAAAAUAGUUUCAUGAAAAACAACAUCACGGCUAGUGAACAUUUGGUGGGUGUCAAGGUCAUAGAGCUUGUAAGCUUUUUGACCAACUAGAUAGCCAAGAAAAAGACAUCGUUUAGCUCGAGGAGCAAAUUUAUGGGGGACGUGCACAUUAGUAGCAUAGGCAAGACACCCAAAAACUCGGAUAUGAGAAUAAGAAGGAAGCUUUCCAUAAAGUCGUUCAAAAGGAGUUUGGCGAGAAAGGAGUGGUGUGGGCAAACGAUUAAUUAUAUGAACAGCAGUAGAAACACAUUCUGCCCAAAAAUGUAAAUGAAGGUGGGUUUGAAAACGAAAAGCUCGAGCGGAAGCAAGAAUAUGGCGGUGCUUGCGCUCUACAACCCCAUUUUGUUGAGGGGUAUAGACACAAGAAUGUUGGUAAGUGGUCCCUUUUUGUUUAAAAAAUUCCCGCAUAGAGAAGAAUUCUCCACCAUUAUCAACCCAAAUGUUGGCUAUAGAUACAUGGAAUUGGGUUUGGACAAAUGAAAAAAAAUUGACAAGUAAAUGUUGUGUUUCACUUUUGUGAUGCAUAAAAAACACCCAUGUGAAUCUAGAAUAAUCAUCCACAAUAGUCAAAAAAUAUUUCGCACCAGAAAGAGAGGCAAUUUUAUAGGGACCCCAAAUGUCACAAUGAAUUAAUUCAAAAGGUCUAAUAGAUGAAAUUGAACUAAUAGAAAAUGGAAGUCGACUUUGUUUUGCAAGUGCACAAACAUCACAAGCAUUAUUAGACUGGGAAGGGAAAUUUAACAAAUGUUUUGCCAUAAAAUCUAAUCUAGAGGAAGACAAAUGCCCCAAACGGCGAUGCCACAAAAUGGUGGAGGAGGUGACCUGAGAACUGGGUGAACAGCAAGAAGUGGCUGCUGCGGAUGGAGUUUGAGGUUUUGGUUUUUCUGAUGCUAACGCAACCAAGUAAUAAAGUCCGUCUCGUUGUUCACCCAAACCAAUUGUCGUCCUCGUCGUCAAGUCCUGCAAAAUACACCAAUGAGGGAAAAAAGUUACUGAACAAUUGAGAUCUCUGGUAACUCGACUCACAGACAUUAAAUCCACCUUAAAAGAUGGCACACCAAGCACAUUUUGUAAAGUAAUAGCAGAAUUCAAAGGUAAAUUCCCAAUGGAUGUAAUCGAAGCCUGUUCUCCACUUGGCAUAGCAACUGGUGGCAAAAAAGUGUUCUUAUUGCUGUUGACAAGCAAAGUUGGUGAUGAAGUAAUGUGGUCUGUUGCACCACUGUCGAUAAUUAAUCGAUGGAGGCGCAACAAUCUUUGUAACAAACCUGAGGCAGCAGCAUUAGCUUUAGGAUUGGUGGAUUGUGUUGUCCCUUUACCCUGCAUGAUAGAUAAGAUUUGUUGGAUUUGCAAGUCAGAGAGCCCAUUUGUCACUGAUGGCACUUCCUGCAUUACUGGACUUUCCUUGACAUUGUUGGCUGAAGAUUGAUGGUUAUUGUUGCGCUUGAAAUGAGUGCUUCCUUGAUUAGAUUUGUUUGAUGCAUGUUUAGGGUGUUCUGGUGGGUACCCAUUCAGCUUCCAGCAUUUUUCUCGUACAUGAUGGUCACGAUCACAAUAAGAGCAAUGCAAAGGUUUUCGAUUAGAUGGGUUGGAACGAGAAGAAGAACCUUGUUCAUGUCGAACAGCUAGAGCUACCGGUUCAGCCCUUCGAACAAUCAUGGCUGAGUUCUCCAUCAUCUCACGUGCAACCCCCAGGCUGCGCUGCUUCUCCUCUUGUACAAUGGAAGAGUAAGCCUUAGCAACAUCAGGUAGCGGAUUCAUCAACAAAAUCUGCCCUCGGAUUGCACUGUAGGACUCAUUGAGUCCCAUGAGAAAUUGCAUCAAUCUGCGUCUCUUAUGGUCUGCCCCACAAGAGCAAACGGUGUCAUUAUAGGAUCCUAGUUCAUCCCAUAAUUUUUUUAGCCUUGUGUAAUAAGCUGCAACAGUCAUCUGAUCUUGAGCAAGACAAGCAAUGUCCCUCUCAAUCUGAAAAAUACGAGGGGCAUUGCUUUGAGAAAAACGAUCCCGAAGGUCUUCCCAUACCUCCUGGGCGGUGGUCGAAAAUAUGACACUGUCUGCAAGGUCUUGUGUGAGUGAAUUGAGAAUCCAAGACAGGAUCAUAUCGUUGCAUUUUUUCCACGAAGCACAUUCGUCUGGUUUGGCUGUGGCAGACGGCAUUGUGGUGGUCCCGUCUAUGAAACCUAACUUGGAUUUGGCAUUCAAAGAAAUCGUCAUGGCUCUACACCAUGUCGAAUAAUUAUCCCCAUUAAGGGGCUUGGAAACAAGCACCAUUCCUGGAUGAUCAGAAUGAUGAAGAAAAUAUGGAUUGGCAGCAUCAAGCUUGCCUCCAUUCGAAGGUUGCUGUUCCGUCAUGAUAAUGAGUAACAACGAAAAAAGAAAGAGGGCAGAGAGCUAGGGUAUCGUUCCCUGCUCUGAUACCAUGUAAAGAAGGAAAAUAAUAUUUGCCUUUUUGAAUAAUUUUAUUGAACCAGGAGACGCAGCUAUAUACAAGAGAUUUCCUACAAUCAUGCUAAUCUAUUCUAGGUAGUCUAAAUAUAAAAGGCAACUAAACAAAUAUACAACUAAUACAAUAUAUUCGUCAAUGAAUGGUCAGAUAUCAUUGACCUUUCCUUCUCAACACAUCUAACAGCUGCUUUGAUAAUUUCCCACACCUUCAUCUUUGAUGGAAAUAUGAAAUAAAAACAAAUUGGUGAAAAUGGUUUUGGUACCCGCGGCUCUGUAAUCUAUUUCAAAAACUACACCAUCAAAACGACUGCAUAAGAAUCUAACUUCUCCUCUUGAUUUUUAUGGGCAUGUUGUGUAGUCCAUGCAGACAAAAAUCAUAUUUUAGUUUACUCUUACUCAAUGCUUGGAUUAAAGGUUUUUUUUUUGGGGGGGGGGGGGGGGGGGGGGGAUUGAAGCAGACUAAAAUGACACAAAAAAUAGUUGAACGAGUGUGGGUUUUGUCUUCAUUUUAGGAGAUCUUUAUAAAUUUUAGGAUUUUUUUUCCCGAGAAAAUUUAUGCCAACUCAUUCUUUGCUUCUUUUAUGAAGGGACAGAUGCAACUGAAAGUAUAUUCUUGAAUUCUAUAAGAGACAGCAGUUUAGAUUCUCGAGCCUUCAAAAAAAUAUCAAAUUCUAGAUUGCUGAAAUUUUAUAUAUCCAAGUAUGAUGGUGCACCAAUUAUUAACUCCAGGGUGCAACUUCACCGCGGAUUAGAAUGUCUUCCUGCAGAAUUGAGAAAUCUCCAUUGGCAUAAAUAUUUUUUUGAAAAUACUGUCAUUAGAUAUUUUUAUUAUUCAUACUUCAUUGCACAAGGCACCACCUGGCUUCUAUUUCAAGCCCUAAUAAUGAUCCGCUGCUGGAAAAGAAUUUGUGCAGCAUGUACGCUCCUUGACCACAACAGCAAAGUUUAUUGAUGUUAUUUCAUAUUCUGCUGUGAGUCAAAUAAAAAUUUACUAUGCCCUUUCGGCAUGGCUUGCCUUUCAGCAAAAAAAGAAAAAAAAUCUUUCAAAUUGUGGAAGCAUGCUUACAUUAAUCAGCUCAGUAUGUUAUGUUUCAAGGGAUGCAAAAUUCGUUUUGUUUCUCAUGGAAGAAUUGACUUGUCUGGAUGUAUUAAUCUCAUAGAUUUUCCACAGAUUCGUGGGAAUAUAACAAAGCUAGACUUAAGUGAGAUCCCAAUAGAAGAAGUUCCGUCAUCAAUAAAAUGCCUAGCUGAUCUUAAAACGUUGCGUUUGAGUAAGUGCACGAGGCUGAAGAGGCUUUCCAUCAAGCAUUUGUAAAUUGAAAUCUCUUCUUGAGCUUUAUCUCUAUAACUGCUCAAACCUUGAAAGUUUUCCAGAAAUCAUGGAGAAAAUGGAACGUUUAAAGAUAUAAAUUUAGCAAGGACGGCCAAUUACAGAGCUGCAAUCUUGAUAGCCUUCGGGAUAACAUUAGCAAUUUAAAAUCUUUGAGGUACAUCUCUACUAAUGGAUCAGCCAUUAGUCCUCUGUCGCAGGUUCGGUUGUACUUAAAUAUCUAUCAUUUUCUCAAUACAGAGGUUUGGUAUCAUUGCCUCCAAUAUUAUUGUCAGGUUUAGGUUUAUCGAAUUUGUUACAGCUAAAUUUAAGAGACUCUGCUAUAAUGGAAAUUCCCCAAAAUAUUGUUCGUCAAUCCUCAUUGAAAAUUUUAAAUCUAAAGGCUUGUUUGUUAACUACUUGAAGUAUGUAGUUAAUGCUUUUUUUUUUUUUUUUGUAAUUUAUGUUUGAUUUGAGAUAUUUACAUUUGAAUAAAAAAAUUAAACUUUUGUUACAUUUAUCUAAAAAAAAAAAAGGCUGAAUGGGAAGUAAAUAAUUCCCUUUUUCGUUUUAACUUACAAAAACAUAAAUGUUAACUAUGUUUAAGAAAUUUUUUAUUUAUAAAAAGAAACCAAAUACUACUUAUAUUCGUAUAUCAAAAAAUGAAAAACAAACAUGUUAUUCAUACGUUCACAUACAAACUCAUUCAGACCUCAGCUAAAUACAAAUCCAUUUACAUUUCAAAAAAAUAAAUAAAUACUUCCUAAGCGGGAAUAACUUUGAGAGUUGACUUGCAAGGCUAGAAUAUCUUGACUUGAAGGGUUGCAAUGAUUUCUCAUCAUUGAGAGUUUAUCAUUGUGCUUCAUCAUCAUCAUCAUUAUUAAUAAAAAGGUAAGCAAUUAAGAGUCAAAUUAAACCAGAAAAUCACUCAUCCACGCUUUUGGGACAUCAUUCUGCUCAUUAUUUUUAUUCCGUAUCUUCAUUGUUUUAUUUGGUAAUUAUUACCAUUAGUAAAUAAAGGGAUUAGUUGAUUAUUAUGAACUAACUAAAUGGAGCUCACCCUUAAAUGUCGGCUUGUAUCAGGGAGGUGCCUUAGGGUUAAUAAAUCAACUAAUCCCAUAAUUUGUCGAUGUAGGUGAUGGUUGUUAAAGCCAACAAAAACAAAUACCUACUCUAAAUAAAUUGUGUAUAGUGAUUGAGCAGGGUCGUGUUUACAGAGAUCGGUAAUUAUUUAAAUCCUUUUAAAACGUAAAACAUAAAAUGGGGGUUUUGUUGACAAUAAUAAAAAUCAAAUUAAAAUAACAAGAAUGCAAAUUAAAGUUGUAAUUCAAAUUUGGAGAAAGCUCUGGUUGAAGGAAUUAACUCAGCUUAAUUCGACUACUGAUCAUUUAUUCAAAUAUAAAUUAUUACUACUUAUGAAUAGACCGGUUAUGGCUACUGAGAACCUCUAAUAGCCAAUAUCUCCUUAACUAGUCGAUAACCAAGGUACGACCAUUGAUUAUUUCCCUAAUCAAUAGACAACCCUAGAUACGAUCAUAUGAUUUAAUCAAUUGACAGCCUAAAAAACCAGAGAGACCCAAAUCCUAAUCAACAAACACAUACGAUGGUUCAUUUAAAUUAGAUUGUUUAUUCUCAUAACACAACUCUCUGCUAUGUUAUUUGUCACAAACAUUAAAAUCUUCAUACAAUGAAUCCUUUAAUUGACAAUAGAUUAAGUUGAUAAUUAAAUAGUGGCCAAUUACCUAAUUAACAAACAUAAUCAUGAAAAUAAUUCAGAGAAUAAACAAAUACCCAAAAAGCAAUAAAACAAUUAAAACAUAAGAAAGAUCUCACAGUAGUGAUGAAUCAAAGCUUCAUUAACCUUCAACUAGAAAAAUAGGUUUAGUUCUUCAUAGAGAGAAGAGAAAAGUUUAGAUCUAGCGUUUCUUUCUUUUUCUCCAAUCCCCCCUUUUUCACUAUAGAUUCCUCCCUUAAAUACUCUCUCUCUCUUCUCCUCUAGAGUUCUAUUUAAAAUAAAAUACUAAUAUAUGAAAUAUUAAAUUCGUAAUUACAAAAAUAGCCAAAAAUACAAAACAUGUUAAACUAAAAACUGCAGGUCCGUAGUUGACAGCACGCGCCCACGCCUUAUCAAUAAAGUUCUUCUGACGCUCUAAAUUUCUCCAAGAGAACAAUCAUCUUUAAACAUCAUCUUAUAGCUCAAUUUUAUCACAAAUCAAUAAAAUUGCACCUACAAAAGUAAAACACAAGUAAAUCAUUAUUAUUAAGUGCAAAACAUCGAUAUUAAGGGAAGUAAACAAUGCAAAACUAGUGCAUAAAUUGCACUCUAACAGUAGGGUAGCAAAUUAUUGCCAUAGAUCAGCACACAUCUCGAAAACAUAUUUGAUCCACACAGUGAAGAUGAUUCAAUAUUAAGCAUGUCAUAUAAUCUGGAGUUGGAUAUUGGAUCAAUUUGAUGAUAAUGAGUUUCUUUCAAUCUCAAUAUGUAUCUUCUUCGCAACAUGACUAGCCAUUGCAAACUCAAACUCUGACAAUGAUUUCUCAAUCGCUUUCUAAGACGAUGAGCAUGUAUGUAUAUAUAUGUGUGUGCACGUGCGCGUGUGUGUUUGUGUACGUAUAUAGAGAGAGAGAUAUAUAUAUAUCACACAUGUGCGCUUUCCUUUUGUCAAUAAGAUAUGCAGAGAGCUUAAUAAUCAUAGAUUAGCUUAUAUCCUUCAAACCAUGUGCUAUGAAGUAAUUUCACAAACACUUGUUGAACGUUAUUGAAUCAGUAGUUCACAGUUCAAUACAAUGUAGGUUUCCUAUUUGAAGUAAAUGAUUAUGGUGUGUGCAUUUUUCAUAAAGCUAACUACUGAAUUUACCAUUGAAACUUGCAAAAUGUAACAGAGAGAUGCAGAUAGCAGCCACGAAACACUAAGAUUGAAAAUCAGGACUACUGAAUUCUAUUACAAGCCCUUAAAAUAGACAACAAUCAUCCUCAAAUGUAUAUACUGAAAGUAAAAAAUAUUAAUCGUAAAGUUAUGCAUUAACAAAACUAUUGAAUACUUAUCUUUAGCUAUAUAUUUUUAAUUGUAGCUCCCUACUUUGUUCUAAGAACUAGGCAAAAGUAGCAUAUCUUCAAUCCAAUCAGCAUAUAUACCGCUCAUCUUCUCCAGUUCUUUCCACUUUGAUUUGCAUUUCAUACCCUGCACUUGCUGCUUAGAAAUAGUCAUAGUUUGCACAUUGACAGUAGAAAAAGUACUUGAAACAAUCAUUGGCAUAGCAUGGGAUUCCAUUGAGUCGCGGUCUCCAAGCUUUCAUGGUUCUGUAAAGAAAAUGACAAAAACAUCAUGCUAUUGGCAUUCUACUUUUAGCAAUUUUCCACAAGCUGAGCUUUUUCAUAUCUCUCUAUAAAUUAUGCUGGUUCAACCUUCAGAUAAGUUUGUGAUAAAGGCAUCUAUGAUUACAAUGGGAAAAUUACAUGAACUUAUGUUAUCAAUCAUUGUUUUGCCUUCUCGUGAUAGAAUUCUGCGCAAUAUAAAACAUGACAUAUCUGUUACUUACCAUGCCAUGUCGUGAACCUAGAAGCAAUGCAAAUUGCAAGGAACAUAUUAAGCUAUCUACUGUAUAUAACAAAUUCUUAUUAGCCCACAAUCUUGUGCCCCAACAUUGAUCAAGUAACACUAUUAUUUCAUUUCCAAAAUGGCAUAUAUAAUCUGAUGUUGAACAAACCAAAUUGGGAAUCAUCAUUCCUUACAUUGAGCUGACAUUCGUACCUGCUAGUCCAUGAGCAAAGUUGCUUAUAUUUCCACACAGGCAGCUCCCCUUAUCUCUCGGUUCCGACAGAGCUUUGUUUUCCCAUCACCAGCUUUGGAUUCAUUCGAUCACUGAUGCUCCGAGUUAGCAAGCCCCUUGUUGUGUUCCCAUUUAACAGACCCACUUCUGUUAUCCACAGAAGAUCCACCACUCAAAAUGCUUAUCACCGAACUAUUCCUAAACUGAGUAGAAACUUCCGCACAUCUCUCGGCAUUUACAUGAAGAAAUCGACACCCACCCUCAUAUUUGUAAGUUUUCUGAUAAUAGAAAUGUCUACAAAGCUGCAUUUCGUUAGGCAAUCUAGUCUCUCCAUUCCUAGCAAAGUGACAUUGAUUCCCGUAUUUGUAAUUGCCUAAUUGGGGUUUUGGCAAUAGCCUGGUCUUAAAAUUACCACCCAUUACUUUGUUCAAUGCCACUGGCAUCCUCUGAUUAGGAACAUUUUCACAAUUUUUAGCCCUGUUAGUCGAAUCACAUUCAAGGGGAUAGUGAGACAGUAUUUCACUAAAAGAUUCAAUUUGACUACACAUAUAAGAAUUUGAAAUCACUUUUUCUUGGAAUAUUUAAUGACCCACCCAGGGUGAAAGUUUUUGAAUGGAAAUUAUUUAAUUUGAUUUGUUUUCCAACAAAUUCAAGAAACCCCAGAUAGUAACAUAAAAAAAAAAAAUCAACCAAUAAUACGCAAUGGGUUUCUUUCUUUUUGCUUUUGGAGGGCCAUGAAGAUCUGGAGUGGGCUGUAAGUAAUAGCCUUUAUCACUGGAGUGACAAAUUUGCAGAAGAUGAUGCAUGGGGAAGGAUUGGGCGAGCAUAAAAAUGGCUUUACACUCUUUGGAUUAGCGCCUCAUUUAGGUUGUAGCGAGAUAAAGAUAUCAUUUAAAGUUUUAUAAUCCUUGUUAUGCUUAAGGCUUCACUUAGUAUAGCAUAGAGCUUUUCUAGUUUAGCAUUUUACAAGUAGAAUUUUUUUAAAUUAUUAUUUAUUUGGUUGUUUUGUUCAGAAGAGCUUUUAAAGCUCCAAAAUCUUUGAUAGUCAGGUUUUUUUUUGGUAAGUAAAACUUUUAACAAAAAUUUAUUAUUCACUUGAUCGUUUACAAGAGUUUUCAUUAGAAGUUAUGUAAAGUUCUUUAAUUUUUUUUAUCAGUGCAUCUUUUUACAAGUAUAAUUUUUAUUUUUUAACAAAAAUUAAUUCAAUAAUAUUAAUAAUCUCAAUAUUUGAGUUUUAAUAUCAUAUGUCACUCAUUUAUUGGAUGACAGAUUUCAUAACUUAUAAAAUUAUUUAACUAACAUCCACUAAGCUAAUGUCACUAUAGUGAAGAUUGAAGUUGAAAUUUAGAUGUUACGUUGGGUAAUAUUGCGCUUAUUUGGUUGUUUAUGAGAGUUUUUUUGUACAAAUUUAUUUUUAUACAAAUUGAUAUAGUCUAAAUUCAUUAAUUAGAUGAAAAUAGAAAAUAAUAAAAAUAAAUCUUGUGUACUAAAAGUUAUUUAAUCUAUUUAAUUGAAUUAUCCUACGUUUGUUUGUACUAAAUAAAUUUAUAUAAAAAUUAAUUCUAUUUUUUGAUGUGCAACUAAACUUUUAGUCUCUUAUUAUUCGUAAAAUUCAAAUUCAGUGGCUUAUCAAAUAAAAUUAAAACUAUUGGUUAAUCAAAUAAAAUUAUUUGAAAUCAUUGGGUGUGGUAGCUGGAGCUCUUGAAAGUUGAAACUAUGGAAGCCAUGAAAUAUACCAGCGAAAAGAGUUCUAAUUUUUAAAUGUCUAUUUUAUAAAAAUUUUAAUAAUAAAAGUGUCGCAUCGACAUUGAACAGUAUAAAAAUUUUUAAUAAUAAUUUUUUUACGUUUGGGGUAUUUUUGUAAUUAUACGAAGGUAAACUAAUCGCAAAAUUCAUUUGGCUUACACUUGCUCUGUGUAUGGUUAUGGCGGUAUCAUUAUCAUCUUCUCCAUUCGUACUGACACCAAACCUUAACCGUUCAGAUUCCCUUUCUCGACUGUCAUACCCUACGCCCCGUCUCCGUGUCUCCGAUAAACAGUGCUCAAUUAAGGCCAUCAGAUUAUCCCGGACCCACAUUGAUCCAACGGCUCACAAUGACCGACGACCUCUCCAUCUCCAUUACAAGCUUCCUCUUCAACUGGCUUCUGCCUCUAUCGUACUCUUUCUCGGAUUCGGAGCCCGUAUAUGCUCGGCUGGUCCUACGGAGCUACCUCUCACUCCAGCUGUCAACCAACAAGACCAAUUGCUUAAUCCAGACACAGAACAACAAGAGGGUGAGAAAUUGAAUCAAGAAUUUGAGAAUUGGAAAUCGAAAACGUACGCAUUGACCGUGCCUUUAAGGGUCGUUUCUCUUCAGAAUUCAGUGCCUCAAUCUUGGGUUAAGGAUUUUAUGCGAAGUCAAGGAAAGAGAUUGAAGUUUCAGAUGAAUUUUUGUGCUAGCACUGAUGGGAUCGUUAAAAAUUUAUCUAUGCCCUCUAACAAAGUUAAGGCUAACUCAGCUUCGUAUAUGGCUGCUGAUUUGGUUAGUGUUGGUGAUUCAUGGCUCAGUUUUGCGAUUAAAAAGAGAUUGAUUGAGCCAAUAGCUGAAGCUGAAGAUCAAGAUUGGUUCAAAUGCUUAAGUCACAAAUGGAAGGUAACAUCUUUGUCUUUGACCGGAUGAUUUUUAUUGUCUUACAUUGAAAUUUGGUAAUGUAAUUUGUUCUCUAUCUGUGUUACCUUUGUAGUGAUUUUUUUUUUUAUUUGCUUUUAUUUGCACUAACAAAGUCUUAGGUAUAUCUACGCAGGAAUGAUGCAGAAGAAAUUGAUCCUCGAGGUAAAAUAUGGGCGGCACCAUACAGGUGGGGCACAAUGGUGAUAGCCUACAAGAAAAGUAAAUUUCGAAAGCAUAAUUUGGCUCCGAUUGAGGUAAUAAUUGUCUUUAAACUCAUUUAGUUUUAUAUGAAACAAAAUCAAGACUGCCUUUCUCUUCAAUAUUUUUGAUGAUAAUAUCUUUAGAAGCAUCUCAUUGACAGGUAAUAAUGGUAUCCCUGAAAGAGUCUAUAAACUCAAUGAUAUUAUCUUCUACAAAUGGUUCAUUAAACUUCUUCGUUGCAGUCAAAUGUACACUAAGAACAAUGAGAAGCUAUGCCACUGUAGCAUGUAGUGAUGGCACUUAAUAAGUGAGUUGCUAGGAUGUGAACUAGAAAAAUUAAAUAUUGUCUCCUUGGGUAUGCUAGCUCGUAAGUCAGGGUUAAUAUUAGAACUUAUGAUACUAUAACCAUGAGAAGCUAUUGACUGCCAAUUAAAAUAUCCAUUAAAAUGUCUAGGGAGUUAUGAAGGUGGAGGUAACUUCCAAUUUCUAAGGCCACAUAGUAGACAUCAUGCAGGAUCCUAGGAAAGUGCAGUUAACCUCCUGGUCGAUGCCAUUAAUAAAUUUGAUCAAUGCCACUGAAACCUGCUAACUGAUGUCACAAUGCGACAUGAGCACUUCAAAAUGGGACAGACGGUCAGUAGCACUAAAUUUUUCUUGUCUAAGAUUGAGCAAUUGGUCUAACUACUAACCCCUAUUGUAGGUUGAUCAUUAUGUUUUUCAAUUAUGUUCAGUUUGACCCAAAACAUUACAGAAUCUUGAUCUGAAUAUUGUCACUGAACACUGUCAAUGUCGUUUGGCAUAGCCAACUAACUUGAGUUUGGUAAAACAAACACACAGUGUGUCUCAUGUCUCACAAUUCAAAUUAUCAUCUGUAAUGAUGGAGAAUUUUUCCAAUGUAUGAAGUAUGCUUUGAUACGUGGGUUACCUUGGGGAAGGUAUCUCAAAAUAAAGAAUAUGGGGAGAAAACAGUGCAGUAGUUUAUUAUUCCGUAGUCAAGUUUUGUCUCAAAAAUGGUCAAAAUUUAAAUGAAUAAGGACAGGGGAUCUUCAGUCUUUUUUCCCUUUUUUUAUACCAAGAUAUCUCUCAACCUUUAUAUAAUCCCACUGGAUAUCUGCUUCUAAUAAUUAAAAUAAAAUUUCACCCACACAAAUAAGUACUGACCAAGCUCUAACAAUAAAAAGUAACAUCUUUAGUCAAGUAAUUUACAGUUCCUCAUCAUCUUAGUGUGAGACUAUCAGUACGAUCCAAGAGCAAAAUAAAACUGGUUUGACCCUGUUUAUUGAUGUUUAAAUGUUGUUCAUUGUGACAUGUAGAAAUGAUGAGGUGAAGUUUCUUUGGUCAUCAAUUAGUAAGAUCUCGUUUGAAGUUGUUUUCUGAAAUGAACUGGCAAAUGGUAGUUUUUUUGGGGCAUUUGAUGGCUCUUUUUCUUUUUUCCUCAUUUUAAACAUGUGCCUGCUUGGAACGGGAUGGAUUAAGCUGCAGGUUAUAUAUUUUGACAUGCUCUGGUCAUUACACAAUUUGUUCACACUGGGAAUUAGGAUGAGAAAUUUGUUGAUGCUGUUUUGAGAGACCUGCAUUCUAUGCACAAUAACCUGAUUAAUGAAAAUGGAUUGUAGAACUGGAAAGAUCUGUGGCGGCCUGAGCUCGCAGGAAGAAUUUCAAUGGUUAAUUCUUCCCGAGAGGUUAUUAUUGGUUCAGUUUUUAAGUAUAUGGGAGCAUCAUACAAUUCAAACAAUAUUGAUUCGCAAGUUGCUGGUGGGAAGAUUGCUGUUCAGCAGAAUCUGGCAUUACUGGCAAACCAGGUACUCUUAAAGAAACGAUAUCUGGUCAUUGCAUGUUAUUGCCUGACAACUGAUUUUGUUUGUAAAAGUCUGCUUCUUCAUACAUAUGAAUGCAUAUGUUAGUGUUUUCUUCUCCUUUUCAUAAUAUAUGAAUGCAUAUGUUAGUGUUGUCUUUUCCUUUUCAAACAUAUUAUACAGAUGUUGGUGUUCUCUCCUGAGAUGGAUGCAAUAAAGGCAUUUGCUGCUUAAUUUAGCUGAAGAAAUGGCAAGGGAUGUGAGAUUCUGUCUCAUUAAAUUAACAAAAACCCAAAACAAUGAAAGCCCAUAAUAAUGUAGUGUGGGUAAAUUGGCGCCAUUUGGUUCGUUUCCUUAAUGUGAAUAUGCGAGCAAUAGAGACUAACAAAAUGAAGUGAGAACAGCAAGUCAGUGUCCUUUGAUGGAUGCUUUUUUAAGCAGAAAUAGGUUUGUAAUUGACCAAAUUUGUCUGGCAUGCCAAUUUCAAAAAAAUUAAAUUGUGUGGUUAUUAGCUGUAAUGAAGGGGCAUAGUAGGUGCAAUUAGGCGGAUCCAGGAAAGUUCAACAAAGUUCUGGUAUGGCCUAUUGAAAUUGGUUUUUGCAAUUCAAGAGUCUUUCAAGUGAACGAUGAGGGGUUUUGAUUUAUAAAUGUUAUAAAUCUACUGUGCAUAGUAUUCUAGUAGAAUCAUCUAUAAGUUCUAGUUAUUGAAAUUGUCUACCUUGUUCAGUUUGAGUUAAGGGCAUAUGUAAUAUGAAAAAUAGUUGUCGCAUCUUUUAGGUUACCUAACAUUUGAUCAAUCCUAUUAUGAGGGCUUCAAGAUGUCUAACAAUAUGCAGAAUGCCCAUGCUCCUCCCCAUUGUUUAUCUUAUACAAUAAUUUGUUUUAGAUGCUAAUAUCUUUGUUGAUACCGGUAACAAUAUUGCAAUAUCUGCGUUUAUUGGGUUUUACAUAGGUUCGACUGUUUGACAGUACACACUAUCUGAAGGCAUUUGGAAUUGGAGAUGUAUGGGUUGCUGUUGGGUGGAGUAGUGAUGUUCUUCCUGCUGUCAAACGUAUGUGAGUAUGUCUAAUGUUGCAUUGUUAUCUCCUUCAUAUUAGCGAUCAGUAAACACGAUAAUGUGACUAAUAAGUUUGUAUUCUCUUUUAUAGAUAAAAAAAUAUUAGAUGACUAGUAAUUAACAUUUAAUUAUAGUUGAAAUAUUGUUUAUUAAAUUAGUCUAUUGUCUAAGAACGGUUAUAAAAUUAAUUUCAACAUAUAAUAAGAACUAUUACAAUAAUUUAUUUAGAUUUAUAUAUAUAGCUUAACUAUGAAUUAUUAAAACCAAUAUAGCUUCAUAGUUUGUGUGUUAAUAUCUAUUUUAAUCUUUUGUUUAUCUUAUUAAUUUUUCAUUUAAAUUUAAAUCUAUGUUAAAGAUGUUCUAUCAAUCAAUUUGGACUAGAGAGUAAAUAAACAAUCUAGUAAUCACACAAUAGAUAUUGUAUAUAAUUGUUCAAUUAUAACAAACUUUAAAUUUGCAUUAAUAUGAUUAGAAGUAUUGUUUUGCAAUUAACCGAAUCAUAGGCUAAUAAUUUUCAAUAUGAAAUAACUAACUUAGGAUAAAUUAAUUAAUUGACUGAUUUUUUUUUUAAUUUGAAUAUCUUGUGUUAUCUCUAGUAAACAAUUAAAUUUGUCCUUCAAGACUUGAAACAAAACAAAUUGGAGGGCGAGUCAGAGGUCCCUCUCCCUUAAUCCAUCAAUGGAUAGAGUUCUGCUUGCAAACAGCAAGAGCAUUGCCUUUCAAGCAAGAGGUUAUGCCGGGCGCAUCUCCCUCUGCCCUUGAAAGACUCUGGUUAAGUUGCCUGAAGAACUUCUGAAGGGUAAACCAAGCCUGGAUACUAACUUAAUUGCUGGAGUACCCCCGGCUGAAAUUCUGGCCAGAUGUGAGUUUUUGGAGCCAUUAUCUGAAGCUACUUUGUCAGAUUAUGAGUAGCUGGUUGCUAAUCUGCAAAAACCUGCUCCUGUCUUGAUGAAAAGGGUGCAACAUUACUUGUCAUCAUUAAUCCAAAGCUUUCCAGCAAAAGCUACACUGAAAAGUUAAUGGCACUGCAUGCCAGUCAUUAUAAUGCUGUCAGGGCAAUUGGUUCAGGGCAACUGGGUCAGAGCAUAACUUCAUUGGGAAAAAAGGCUUCAGCUAGUUACCUAUUACAGUGCGCACUGAGAUGGCAGUUCUUGAGGUUUUAUAAGAAAUGAAAGAUGAGUGCUUGUUUGAACAAAGUUGUUGCCAAUCUCGCAGAGUUCAAGAAGAAAGAUCACAGAGCUAAUGCCACCAAUUUCUUCAUCAUUGUAGCCUGCAUAGUUGAAGUUUCCUCACUUGAAGCUGUUUAUGCAAACGCUUUUUCCCUGCUCAAGUACAGGAAAUUGAAGAAUUAACCAGAUAUGAUAUGCUGAAAGAGGGAAUUUCUUCCUUAGUGGCCUUUUGAUUUGUAGUGAAGGAGUAGGAUGAUCACUAGCAAGAACCCUAUCAAGGUAGAUUUUAUGAUGUUAACAUAUUAUUAAGCAUUUGUCACUUAGGAAUGAUACAUUCAUAGCAUGAAAUUAAUUAUAUGAUCCUGAUUAAUCAAUUAAUUUUCAUGAGUUUUAACCUAGGUAAAACUAAGUACAAUCGUCGUUAACAACUACUGAAAUUGGGUAAGUAUGAUCUUGACAUUGAAGAAUUUGAAAACACAACCCACAGAGGAAAUUACCUAUUGCAUGGGGAUGGAGAUGUUUACCGCAGCGAUACAGAGCAGUGUUGUCCACUGCUCUUUGGGCUAUGGUGUCACUAAUUCUGAUUACGUAAUUGACUCUGGAUCGGGUGGAAAUAAUAACACUUUAUUAACAUUGCAUAGUCCGAGUACUUUUCCAGGAUCAGAUACGACGUGGUCUAAUGUUGAUAAUAAUAGUUUAUUAAAUGACAAAUCGUUGUUCAAGUAGAAGAUGAAGGUUGUGCAGGUGAUUUCAGAAAUAAAAUACAUUCUAAGAGAUGCUGGUCUACUAUUGCAUGCCCCCAGAUUUAAGAAUCUUUUGAUUGGGGCAUUUGGCAACGAUUCGACAAAUUCUAGAUUCAAGCUCCUCCACCAAGGGAUACCAACUGAGUUAUCAAUUAUCGUAGCAGUUUCUAUGAACUAAAAUUUGCAAAAUAAUUUCUAGCCCCGUUGACUCCACCAACUAAAGUUUACAACUCUACAAUAAUAAUUUCUAGCCCCGUUGACUCCACCAACUAAAGUUUUUUAAAAUUUAAAAAAGUACAUAGAAUUCCACAACAAGCAAAACGUGUGGAAUUUAAUUUUUUGCCGAAAAAGGACAAGAAAAAUGAUAAGAUUUUUAAAAUGAGUGGAAGGUGAUCCAUAUUUUACUAAAACGACUUACCUCGAACAUUAAGAUAAUUGAUUUUUAUUUUUUAUUUUUUAAUAAUAUCAACUUCCAUAUCUUUCUAGCGGGUCCAGCUAUGUUGCAACAGUGAUACUGUACCAUUGUUGCUUUCAGCCAUUGGAUCUUACUAAUGUAACAGUACAACUAUAGAUCCAAUGACUGGUUGCAACUGUAAUACCAUACCACUGUUGCAACAUAAUUUUGCCCCUUUCUAACCCCCAGAAUAUGCUCACGUUCAAGUCUAUCUUGCUAAUUUAAAAAAAGAAAAUCAAAUCAACACCAAAACAAUGAAAAGUAAAGCUUUUGAAUUUCAACUCGAGCUAGCAAACGUAUUCAGCUUUUUCAAAUUCUUCCCAUUGCAUAUCUUCUUCCUCCAUCAAUGCAAUAUUUGAACGAUUAUGAAAGAGUUUAAGAACAUAAAAAAUCUCCAAGGUUUAUACGGUAUAACAAAUUUAAAUUCUCAAUUACAAUAGAUAAUAAUUAAACUAAUAAUUUUUUAUGUACUUAUUUUAGUAAUUUCACCUAAGAAUAAUAUUGUAAUUAGAAAAAAAAUCUAAUAAGUAGGGUGGUCUUAUAAAAAAUCAACUGGUCUCCCCCCCAUAUAAUUAUAAUCCUUCUAGAAAGCUAAUUUUUAUUAAAUAUUUGCUUUUUAAGUUAAUUUCAAUUAAAAAAUGUUUUAAGUUAUAUAUACUCUAAUGAGAUUCUGAAUUCCUUUAUUCCAAUAAUAAUGAAAACGUAUUAAAUUAGAAAUGAAAAAAUUGGUGUUGACGAUUCAACCUAUUUGGAUAGAUUACGUGAAUAAAAUUGAAAUUUUGAUUUAAUUUUUGUUUAUUGUUAAUUCUCAGGCUAUCUUAAUUUCAAGAAUUUAGAAUGUUAAUUUGGUCAUGGAUUUCAGCCCGUGAGUGUCAUAUUCUAGACUUAAUGGUAUCAUUCUUUGAUUGAGGGCAAUGACUCUCACUCCUCUUGUAAAAAAAUAUUUUCAACUAUUUUGAUGACUUAAAAAUUGAUAGAUUUAUUGUUGUCAUGACCAAAUUAUUCAUUUUAAUGAAAUAUAAUUAAUGCAUCAAAGUUACCAGGUUUAUGUUCUAUCUUAAUGCGCUUUUUUUUUUUUUUCAGUUAUCAGCUAUGCCCCUGAGGCAUUUUGUAGAGUAUAGCUUCUGCUUACCUCUGUUUCAUUUUUUUUUAAUAAAAAAACAAGGGAAGGUUUUUCCGAGUCAUCCAUUAUUUGAUUACCGUCAAUCAAGAAAACGACCAAAUUAAUUUCUCUCCAAAAUUUCCAAAAGCUAGAAAAUUUUGUUAUUUGAAAAUAACAUCAUUAAUUAUAGAGUGGAUCAAACCGCGUUAUUGUCUUUUAUAAAAUUGAUGUCUUUUUAAGAGUCAAUACAUUUUAUUUACGCAAACCAGUCGACAUCAACUUGAACUUCCAUAUUUUUAUUAUUAUGUUAUUUAUUUUAAUCCCCGAUUAUUUGAUUAGCCACUAUAUAUAUCAAGAAAGCGACAAAAUUUAUUUCUCAUGACUUCCAAAAACUAGAAAACAACAUCAUUUAUUAUUUUUUUGCAACCCUAAUUGACAUCAACUUUAACUUUAUUAUGUUAUUAUUUCAAUCCCCCAUUAUGACCUUUCUAAUCCUCCAUUAUGCAUCUUUUAUAGUGCAAAUUUAAUUGCACAUCUAAAUAAAUUGAUUAUUGUCACUCCACCACCAAUAUUUCAAAUAGUCACUAGACCAUUUCUGCCUUUAAUUUUCCCUUAAUUUUAACUGUUGACUGUUUUUAGCAUCUUAAAAUAUACAUUUAUUCCUUGAUUAUGUGAUAAAAUUAUGAAAAUAUCCAUUUUAGCUUAAAUUAAUUGGAAUAACCAUAAGCGUAACAUAAAUUAAUAGAACAAAAUUAUCAAGUGUAUGUUCUAUCUUACUUUUUGAAGAAUUUAACAUAUAUAAUGCUAUACUAUUAAUAAAUUUAUCAUUUACUAUAUAUGUUCAAAUAUUUUAUAUAUUUAUUAAUUGUUAUAUAGUCAAAGGAUGAAUGAUUUUUCAGGUCUACAUGAGUUGGUGCAUCUGCAAGACUCAAUUUUGACAACAAUGAUCUAAGGGGUAAUUUACCUUGGCGUUUGACAAAUAUAACCUCUCUUCAAGAUUUACUUCCAAUCUACUUACUGUAAAUAUCUCCUCAUCUCCUCUCAUUUAUAUGAUAACCCUUGAAGAUCUCACAUUUUCAAACGAUCAUAUUAGGGUUUUUAUUAUUAGCAUCAUUGUGUCAAUAAUAUAUGUUGCAGUAAGAUUUUUUCAGACCAAUUCCCUUCUUCAAAUAAUAAUGGAAAAGUAUUAAUUUAAAAAUAAAAUGAAUAUGCAUUGAUUAUAUCCUGAUUUUCAUCGAUUAUAGAGAGAGUUUCUCCAAAUCAACUCCCUUAUUCAAAUAAUACAGAAAAAAUAGUAAUUUAAUAGUAAAAUUAACAAGUGUUGAUUAUAUAUCCUAAGUUUCAUCGAUUAUGUGAUCAAAGUGGCAUUGUUGAUUUAUUUCUUCUUCAAUGUAAAUUUUUAGGUUAUCUAAAUUUCAAGGAUUUAAAAUCUUUGUUCAUGGAUUACACGCUUAUUAAUUUUUCUGCCAUUGACUGUCAUAUUCUAGACUUAAUGGUACCUUCCUUGAUCAAGGAUAAUUACUCUCUGCUCUCCUCUUAUAAAUUCUUCUUCCAUUAACAUCACUAGGAGUAUGUUGAUCUCUCAGACGUUAACUUCAGUGGAGAGUUUCCAAAUUGAUUGUCACAAAACAACACAAAAACUAGACACACUUGAUCUGUCUAUUAAUUCUCUUUCGGUAAAAUUAAUUAAUUUUAGGGGAAUAUUCGACCAACCUAUAUAAUUUUAGAUUGAUCAUUAAUUAAUUGGACGAAAAAAGUGCUUGUGCUUUUGUGGCGACAAUUGAACCAGAGAAGUGAAGCUGUAAAGAUUUGGCAGUAGUAAAUUGUUAGAAAGACAUAAAGACGAGUUCCCAUUAUUAUAAUUUUUUCAAAAAACUUUUUUACAACACAUGCACCUGGCCAAAAAUUUUAUUUUGCUAACUAACAAUAAUUGAGUAGCUGACCGUAUUGACUCCACCUACUUGCUAAAGUAAAAAAAUAGAAAUAGAAUUUCCACAAAAUGGCAAACAUGUAAAAUCUAAUAUUUGGCCGUGUGGAACAAAAUACAAAUAAAAAAAAAAGAAAAGAAAAAAGGCCUAAAGACUUUUAAAAUGUGUGGAAGUCUUUCGGCCCUUUUAUAAUGGUGUGUUUUUCAAAGGAACAAAUAAUAAUAAUGACACUUCUACGGUUUGUUUUGAUAAUCACACAUAUACUCUUUAAUUUGAUAAAUGGUUACACAAAUUUUGUUUACAAAAAUAUAUUAUUCAUGUUCUGUGUUAUUUUUUAACAUCAUAUUUUUAUUUAUUAUAAUUGUUUAAAGUUAAUUGUUAGGUUGAUAUAUAAUAAAAACGUAUAAUCGUUCUCUUACUAAACACACAUACUCAUAGUUUCUGUUCAUUUGUCAUCUCAAUCUCUCUCAUUUAUCCUUUAUUGAUAGCUCAAAACGCGUCACUGUGGAAAAUUAUAGCAAAACGACAAAUAUGGAAAAAAAUGGGAAGAAAAUUAAUGCAUGAAAGAGUUGCAGAAGACAACCAAAUAAGUCAACUAUACGCUAGCUGGGUGUAUAAAUUGUUAGAUGUGUUAUAAACAAAUAGCAUAGAGCCCUUUGGUUGGUUACAAAGAUAGAAAGAGUGUGUGUGUUUUUUAGAACUUAAAGAUACAGUUAGAAUGGGUGGUUCAAAAUAAAAAAUGGUGAUAAUGUUUGUUCUGUUAUUAAUAAUAUUAGAAGGUGGGGGGAGUGAGGGAUGUUUGGAUCAUGAGAGAUUUGCUCUUUUGCGACUUAAACUUUUCUUUGAUGAUCCUUUUAAUUAUCUUCACGAUUGGAUAGAUGAUGAGGGAGCAACUGAUUGUUGUCAGUGGGAAAGGGUUGAGUGCAGCAACACCACAGGCCGAGUGAUAGCGCUAUACCUUUUUCACACGUAUGGGGGAGAGGACAGCUGGUAUCUGAAUACUUCUUUUUUUACUCCCUUCCAACAACUUGAGUCACUUGCUUUACAUGGCAACAACAUAGCCGGUUUUGUUGAGAAUGAAGGUGCUUCGUCUAAUUCAAUUAAAUUACAUUUCGCUCUCGUAAUUUAAGACGAAUAUCAAGACUGAGCAGCUAUAUGCAUAUUCAUUCAAUUGACAAUUUUUGAAAUUACACCAAACAUCAUAUGUGAUCUUUGUUUUGAUUUUACUUGCAGGUCUAGAAAGAUUGAGCAACUUGAAGGGGCUUGAUUUAAGAGGAAACUUGUUCAACAAUAGCAUCUUAUCAUCUGUGGCUCAUCUUUCAUCACUAACAUCAUUAUAUUUAUCUGAAAAUAGAUUGGAAGGAAGUAUUAAUGUUAAAGGUACGUAAUUAAAACGUCAUCGCUUCUACCAACUCUUUCAUUAACAUGCUAAAAUAAGAUUCAAGGCUUUGAAUUCAAUUUUUUUUAUGAGUAAUAUUAGAAAAAUAGUUUUAAGCAAUUCAUAAAUACAAUUUUCAAUGUUUCUCAUAAUUUCAUCUUGUACUUUUGUAUGUCUUGACUUUAAGAUUAAAAAAAAAAUUACUCUAACUGUGAAGCAAAUACCCCAUGACUAAUUUACAAUUUUGUCCAGUUAAAAAUGAUAAAAUUUAUCAUUUGUUUAUAUUGAUUUAUUAACUCUAUUUUAAGUCUUAAGUCUUGGCGUCUUGGCAUGUUUGCAGAAUUUGAUUCCUUGAGCAACUUAGAGGAGUUGGACAUGAGCGGCAAUGAAAUAGACAAUUUCGAGGUUCCUCAAGGUACACAAUUAAAAUAUUAUUUAAUUAUAUUAAUUUAAUUCGUUUGAUUAGGGAAGGCCCAAAAUGUACAAAAACAUAAUUAAAAAAAAAAUAAAGAAAUAGAGAAUUCAUAUUAUUUCAAAAAACAAAAGGUAAUACUAUUAUUUCAAAAAAAGAAUGUAAUAAAGAUUUGAUUCCGGUUCUUUAAUCUUUAUAGCAAUUGAAAAACAAUGUUGCUCUUUUCCUAAAGCAUAAAAUAUGAAAUGAGUCAUAAUUGAAUUAGUCAUUUAUUUUGUUUAGAUCUAAAUUUAGACAAUAAAUUUUGAUUUUUUUUUUCAAUCCUAUCCUUAUUAUUAUUGUUAAACAGGUUACAGAGGUUUGAGGAAGUUGAAAAGCCUCUAUCUAUCGGAAGUUAAAAUUAGAGAUGGAAGCAAGUUGUUACAGUCAAUUGGAUCAUUCCCAUCCCUCAACACUCUUUACCUUUCAUCUAAUAAUUUUACCGAUAUAGCGACAACUACUACUCAAGGUAAGUAAAAGGUACAGAUGUGGCCAAAUUUAUAAAUAAAUUGUUAAUUAAUUAAUUUUUCCGUAUUAUUAAUAAAGCUAAAUUCGUCGCUCCUUCCUUCUAAUUCUAAACAGAGUUGGCAAUUUCACCAACUUGGAGUAUUUGACAUUGGACUUGUCCUCACUCCAUUUAAGCCUUCUGCAAUUGCUUGAAGAAUGAAUUUAUAUAUUUAUUUAUUAUUAUUAUUAUUGUUAUUGUUGUUGUUGAAGUGAGGUGGGCAAGCGUUCACUCAAUUAAUAUGUGGGGAAUUAAUAAUUACAAUCCAAGGUAGAAUUGUGGAAAAUUAAAGCAAAAUGAGAAAUAUGGAAAGAAAGGAAGAAAGUUAAGGGCAUGAAAGACUGGGAGAAGACUAAAGACCACCAAAUAAGUCAACUGAAAACUAGCUGGGGCCUGGCUGUACAAAUUGUUAGAUGUGUUUGUUAUAAAUAACAUAGAGCCCUCUUGUUGGUUGCAGAGGCAGAGAGACAGAGAGUGUGCAUUUUGUUAAUUAAAAAUAUAUAUAAAAUGGGUGGUUCAAAAUCCAAAAUGGUGAUAAUGUUAGUUUUGUUAGUAUUAAUAAUAUUAUAAGGGAGGUGGCGUGAGGGAUGUUUGGUGCAUGAGAGAUUUGGUCUUUCGAGACUUAAAACAUUUCUUUAAUUCUCCUUAUAAUUUUUGUCACGACUGACCAUUGUCAAUGGGAUGGGGCUGGGUGCAGGGUUGAUUUACGUUAGAACAAUAUAGCCGGUAGUGUUGAGAAUGAAGGUGUUUCAUUUAAUUUAAUUAAUUUACUUUCUCCCUCCUAAUUUAAGUGGAAUAUCAAGACUGAAUAAUUAUAUGCAUCUUCGUUCAGUUGACAAUUUUGACAUAUUUUUUUAAGUGAUUAAUUUUGAAAUUACACCAAACAUUAUUUGUGAUCUCUGCUUUGACUUUACUUGCAGCGCUAGAGACGUUACCAAGAUUGAGCAACUUGACGAUACUUGAUUUAAGAGGAAACUUGUUCAAUAAUAGCAUCUUGUCAUUUGUUGCUCGUCUUUCAUCAUUAACAUCAUUAGAUUUAUCUUACAAUGGAUUGGAAGGAAGUAUUAAUAUUAAAGGUACGUAAUUAAAACGUCAUCGCUUCUCCCAACUCUUCCAUUAACAUGCUAAAAUAAGGUUCAAGGCUUUGAAUUCAAUUUUUUUUAUGAGUAAUAUUAGAAAAAUAGUUUUAAGCAAUUCAUAAAUACAAUUUUCAAUGUUUCUCAUAAUUUCAUCUUGUACUUUUGUAUGUCUUGACUUUAAGAUUAAAAAAAAAUUACUCUAACUGUGAAGCAAAUACCCCAUGACUAAUUUACAAUUUUGUCCAGUUAAAAAUGAUAAAAUUUAUCAUUUGUUUAUAUUGAUUUAUUAACUCUAUUUUAAGUCUUAAGUCUUGGCGUCUUGGCAUGUUUGCAGAAUUUGAUUCCUUGAGCAACUUAGAGGAGUUGGACAUGAGCGGCAAUGAAAUAGACAAUUUCGAGGUUCCUCAAGGUACACAAUUAAAAUAUUAUUUAAUUAUAUUAAUUUAAUUCGUUUGAUUAGGGAAGGCCCAAAAUGUACAAAAACAUAAUUAAAAAAAAUAAAGAAAUAGAGAAUUCAUAUUAUUUCAAAAAACAAAAGGUAAUACUAUUAUUUCAAAAAAAGAAUGUAAUAAAGAUUUGAUUCCGGUUCUUUAAUCUUUAUAGCAAUUGAAAAACAAUGUUGCUCUUUUCCUAAAGCAUAAAAUAUGAAAUGAGUCAUAAUUGAAUUAGUCAUUUAUUUUGUUUAGAUCUAAAUUUAGACAAUAAAUUUUGAUUUUUUUUUCAAUCCUAUCCUUAUUAUUAUUGUUAAACAGGUUAUAGAGGUUUGAGGAAGUUGAAAAGCUUUGAUCUAUCGGAAGUUAAAAUUAGAGAUGGAAGCAAGUUGUUACAGUCAAUGGGAUCAUUCCCAUCCCUCAACGCUCUUUACCUUUCGUCUAAUAAUUUUACCGAUACAGCGACAGCUACUCAAGGUAAGUAAAAGGUACAAAUGUGGCCAAAUUUAUAAACAAACUGUUAAUUAAUUAAUUUUUCCGUAUUAUUAAUUAAGCUAAAUUUGUUGCUCCUUCCUUCUAAAUCUACACAGAGUUGCACAAUUUCACCAACUUGGAAUAUUUGGCAUUGGACUAUUCCUCUCUCCAUAUAAGCCUUCUGCAAAGCAUUGCAUCAAUAUUCCCUUCGUUAAAAAAUUUGUCGAUGUAUCACUGUGUAGUCAAUGGCGUCCUACGUGGUCAAGGUAAAAGAAAAGUGUUGAUUGUGAACUCGCUCAAUGGUGUCCUACGUGUUCAACAUUUUUAUUUAUUUAUUUUAUUGUUUAAUGUUUCUGCUAGGUUUUCCUCAUUUCAAGAGUUUGGAACAUUUGGACAUGGAUUUCGCGAGCAUUGCACUCAACACCAACUUUCUUCAAAUCAUCGGAGAAUCAAUGCCUUCUCUUAAGUACUUAUCACUAUCAUAUUCUAAUCUUAGCACUGACAGCAAGACUCUUGAUCGAGGUUAAUGAGAUGCUUCAACCCUCCCCUUUAAAUCUAUAAUAUUAAUUUUCGAUUAAAUAUAUAAUUAUAGAAACCAAUCACUUAUAAAAGAAUGCUAUGCAUUUGCCAAUUUUUUUAUAUUUUACUGAUUGAUGAAUUAAUAAAUUUUCAGGCCUCUGUUCGUUGGUGCAUCUACAAGAGUUGUACAUUGCAACUCUUGUAGUAAUUAAUUAAUUAAUUAAUUAAGUAUUAGUUAAUUAAUUAAUUAAUUAAUUUUUUGUAUUAUUAAUAAAGCUAAAUUUGUUGCUCCUUCCUUCUAAUUCUGAACAGAGUUGCACAAUUUCACAAACUUGUAAUAUUUGGCAUUAGACUCUUUCUCUCUCCAUAUAAGCCUUCUGCAAAGCAUUGCAUCAAUAUUCCCUACGUGGUCAAGGUAAAAGAAAAGGGUUGAAUGUGAACUCACUCAAUGGUGUCGUACGUGUUCAACAUUUUUAUUUAUUUAUUUAUUUUAUUGUUUAAUGUUUCUGCUAGGUUUUCCUCAUUUCAAGAGUUUGGAACAUUUGGAUAUGGAUUACACUCGCAUUGUACUCAACACCAGCUUUCUUCAAAUCAUCGGUGUAUCGAUGCCUUCUCUUAAGUACUUAUCACUGUCAAAUUCUGAUCGUAGCACUAACAGCAGCAGGAUUCUUGAUCAAGGUUAAUCAGAUGCUCCCACCCUCCCUUCUUAAUCUAUAAUAUUAAUUUUCGAUUAAACAUUUAAUUACACAAACAAAUCACUUAUUAUAAAAGAACAAUACGCAUUCAUUAAUUUUUAUAUUGUAUUAAUUGAUGAAUUUAAUAAAUUUUCAGGCCUCUGUUCGUUGGUGUAUCUGCAAGAGUUGUACAUUGAUAAUAAUGAUUUAAGAGGUAGUUUGCCUUGGUGCUUGGCAAAUAUGACAUCCCUCCGAAUAUUAGAUGUUUCUUCCAAUCAACUUACUGGAAGCAUCUCCUCAUCUCCCCUCAUUCAUUUGACAUCCAUUGAAGAGCUGAUGCUUUCAAACAAUCACUUCCAGAUCCCAAUUUCACUUGAACCACUUUUCAAUCACUCAAGACUCAAGAUUUUCAAUGCUUACAACAAUGAAAUAAAAGCUGAAAUAACUGAGUCACAUUCUUUGAUCGCCCCAAAAUUCCAAUUAAAUACACUCUUGUUGUCUUCCAGUUACGGAGACAGUUUCAUAUUCCCUAAAUUCCUUUACCAUCAACAUGACCUGGCGUAUGUUGAUCUCUCACACAUAAAAAUGAAUGGAGAAUUUCCAACUUGGUUGUUGGAAAACAACACAAAAUUGAGCCACCUUUCUCUCAUCAAUGAUUCUCUUGCAGGACCUUUUUGGUUGCCAAUUCAUUCACACACGCAGUUAAUACUGUUGGAUAUAUCCAACAACAACAUCCGAGGCCACAUUCCACUAGAAAUUGGAGAUGUUUUACCACGUUUAUACGUUUUCAACAAUUCCAUGAAUGCUCUAGACGGUAGCAUUCCCUCUUCAUUUGGUAAUAUGAAAUUCCUCCAAAUUCUGGACUUAUCCAACAAUCACUUGACUGGUGAAAUCCCCGAGCACUUGGCCGUGGGUUGCGUCAACUUGCAGGCUCUUGCAUUAUCAAAUAACAACCUACAAGGUCAUUUGUUCUCUAGAAAUUUUAACUUGACAAACUUGAAAUGGUUACAAUUGGAGGGCAAUCGCUUCGUAGGUGAGAUCCCACAAAGUUUGUCUAAAUGCUCCUCACUAGAAGGAUUGUCUCUUAACAAUAAUAGUCUUUCGGGUAAGAUUCCACGAUGGUUGGGUAAUCUCACACGGUUAGAAUAUAUUAUAAUGCCCAAUAAUAAUCUUGAAGGCCCUAUUCCAGUGGAGUUUUGUCAGCUUGAUUCGCUUCAGAUUUUGGACAUUUCAGACAACAACAUAUCUGGAAGUUUACCAUCUUGUUUCCAUCCUCUCUCUAUCAAACAAGUUCAUCUUUCAAAAAAUAUGUUACAUGGACAGCUAAAAAGAGGUACAUUCUUUAAUUGCUCUUCCCUUGUGACAUUAGAUCUUAGCUAUAACCGCUUGAAUGGCAGCAUUCCGGAUUGGGUUGAUGGGCUUUCUCAGUUAAGCCACCUUAUCUUAGGUCACAAUAAUCUUGAAGGUGAAGUGCCAGUUCAAUUGUGCGAAUUGAACCAACUACAAUUGUUAGAUCUUUCUAAUAAUAAUCUUCACGGUCCUAUUCCUCCUUGCUUUGAUAACACCACACUUCAUGAAAGUUACAGCAAUAGUUCUAGUCCUGAUGAGCAAUUUGAAAUAUCUUUUUUCAUCCAAGAAACUCAGGGAUAUGUAAAAGAGCAAAUCCAUGAAAUUUUUGAGUUCACAACAAAGAACAUUGCGUACAUUUACCAAGGAAAAGUGCUUAGCCUCCUAUCAGGACUUGAUCUUUCUUGCAACAAGUUAAUCGGUCAUAUUCCUCCUCAAAUUGGAAAUUUGACAAGGAUUCAAACAUUGAAUCUAUCACACAACAACUUGACAGGAUUGAUCCCAUCAACAUUUUCAAACUUGAAGCAUAUCGAAAGUUUGGAUCUUUCCUACAACAAAUUGAAUAGAAAAAUCCCUCAUCAACUAGUGGAGUUAAAGACAUUGGAGGUUUUCAGUGUGGCAUACAAUAACUUAUCAGGCGAAAUUCCAGAAUGGAAAGCACAAUUUGCAACCUUCAACGAGAGUAGCUAUGAGGGAAAUACUUUUCUUUGUGGAUUGCCAUUGCCCAUUUGCAGAUCACCAGCAACUACGCCAAAGGCUUCAAUUGGCAAUGAAAGAGAUGAAAAUUUAAUUGACAUGGACAAUUUCUUUAUCACAUUUACAACAUCGUACGUAAUUGUAAUAUUCGGAAUUGUUAUUGUUUUAUAUGUAAAUCCUUAUUGGCGACGUAGAUGGUUUUACUUUGUUGAAAUGUGGAUAAUUUCAUGUUACUAUUUUGUUGUAAACAAUCUUAUUGCAACAAGAUAUUGUCAGUGAAAUUAAUUAGCAGUUUAAUUACGAUUCUUUAAGUUCUAAUCAAGUUUGCUUAGGAAAUAAAUUUAUUUUUAUUUUUUAUUAAAAUUGUAGUAGUAUUUAGCGCUAUAUAGCUUCCAACUUCCAAGCACUUCACAUUUGUCUCUACACUUCCAAACCCAUAUCUAUCCAACAUAACUUAUACUUCCCUAUACUGUGCAGCAUACUUAAAUAAGAGAAUCAUCUCCAAUGUUAAAACCAACCACUCUAUAACAUUCAUUUAGAAACUAUAUUUAGAAUAGUUUUAUAAUCAUACACAAGAAAUGAAACACCUAGAUGCACUUGAUCGCCUAUUUUACUUUAAAAAAUAAUGAUUAUGGUGCUAUCAUCAUCUUCUUCACUAGCAACAUUAACACCAAAUCCAGCGAUGGACCCAGACAUUUAAUCAAGAAAGGUAUAUAUAUAAUAAAGUUGAAGCUUGACAAAAAAUUCAGGAAGAUUAAUGCAUCGCCACAACAAGAGGCACAACAGCAUCAAAGUAGAGAUGAAGCAAUAUUCUCAAAGCUAAAACUCUCAAAUCCACCCACCAGAAUUUCAUAUCUCCUCAACAAUUUUAAGAACUAAAGAUAAUUAGGAUCUAACAUUAGUUUUUUAUAUAUUAGUUUCAUAAUUUACAAAUCAAUGAAGAUGAAGAUUAUGCUAAUGAAUUCAAAUUAUACCAUACAUUCUCGAGAUGUUACCAAAAAUUUCUAAGUCAAUCCCACAUAUUUCAUAAUUUUAAGACUAGAAAAUUUCAUUAGUUAGAAGUUUCAUUACCUUCAAGUGGAAGAUGAAGAACAUUAUACAAUUGAUUCAGAUUAUAUCAUACAUACUCCAAAUGCAACUAGAAAUUAACAAGUUCAUGCACACAGAUUUCAUAACAUUAUGAUUGGAAAGUUUCGCAAAGAGAAAUUCUAAAUUCAAUCUCUUGCAUCAAGGUAGUUUGAUUGAUUUGAGUUACUUUCAAGUCAGGGAGAAAGUAAAUUAAAACAGGGAAAAAAUAACAGUAAAAAUUUGUUGCUAAACAUGAUGUGUAUUUUUUUUUUAAGGCAAUUUGGAAACACAGUUGUUACUACAGAUAUUCUCAACUUAGAGAUAACUACAAAUAUUAAAAUGCAUAUGAUCGCACAUAUUACUUGGAGCUUAGUAGGAUUUCAUUAAGAGAAGCAAUCAAACCACUUAUCAAUUGUUGCAAUCGUUCUAUAAGCUAAAAUAGCAAUAUAAUACAAGAAAAAGAACAUAUAGAUACUUGGCAAGAGUUCAUUAAGAAGUCGCAUCACAUUCGGGUGAGUUUGCUUCUGAUAUCUUGCUAGCUGGGGCUUUUUCUUGUCUUUCUGCGUAUGCCGAAGGAAACCAACCAGCUUGGCCCUUGCAUUCACCUUCUGACCAUCCAGUAGGAGCCACCUUGAGAAGUUAUAACUAAAACAGUGAAUUAAACAAAAGUUGACCGUUCAAAGACCUAAGGGGAAAACUAAUUCUUUUACGUAGGAGUGAAUUAGUUGUGAUCACUGAAAUAACAGCAUAACUAUGGAAGCAUAACAAGAUAUAAAUUCACACGUCUAUAAGGGUAAACUGGGUGGUUUAGAACUGAGCUAGCAACCCUACUAUAUUCUGAUUUGCACUUCAAUGUAAAAGGGAAUAUAUGGUAGGAAUAAAGAAAACCAACUAUCAUUUGUUAACUCAUUGCUUUUCAAUCAAAAUUUUAAGAACAAAAUGCCAUGUGCUUUGAACAUCAAAUAAGUAUAAGCAUUAGUUCUAAAUUCCACAUAUCAUAAGUUAGAAGGAUAAGUUAAUAGCAUAUUAGAAAAAUCUAUGUGUUGUUAUUUAGAGGGGAAAGUACCUGGCGAACCACAACAUAAUCAGCUAUUGAAAGACUUAGCUCUCCAUUUGCUUGAGCAACAAAUGGAUGUAUAACCUGCAAGAUAAUGGGAUAAAUAGAACUUAAUCUUAAAAAAAGCAUAACAAAAGCAGCAACAGUAGCAGCAACGUUCAUUGUAACCACUAUGAUCAUGGCCAACAAAGAUAUAUUAGAAACAAAAUUCCAUUUAUACUACGACAUUAAUAUGUACUAUAUGAUAUCAUGACGAUUGGGUUACCAAGAGCUAUCAAAGUCCAAUAAAUUCUGUAUAACUUUAUGUAGUUAUUCAAAUUAUGGAUCAGAUUUUAAAUCUGAAAUUUUGACUGCUCUCCACAAAACAUGGCCUAUGCGCAAGAAAGUCAUAGAUAAUGAGGAUUACAAGUGUCUGACAUCUUUUGAGUGAUGGAUUUAACAUGAGAGCUUAUGGUCAGUCAAUUUCCUCUGCCUAGUAAUAUAAGCUUUCUCGGCCAGAUUUAUCAUCAAAUACAUAGAUUGCCCCCAAGUCACAUCCAUAUAAACAUAGUUUUUCUAGGUAAACCAAGUAAGGAGAAUCAUAAUUCAGACAUAAUCAUAAAAAGGAACAUCUAACUUAAGAGAAAAUCUCAAAAAGAGGGAUGCUGAGCUAUCAGUCUUGUAUCUAUAAGCAAUAUCAAGACUUUACAUCACCUGCUACAUCGUGAAUGGCUACACAACUUUCAGUGGUUUGUCUUUCUUUGGCAUGCCUAACUCAGCUUUGAUGUUGCUGAGAUAUUGAUAGUAGAGACACAUGAUACUUCUAGCUCAUGCAUUCUAUCUAGCUCAUCCGACAGCUAUGUCUUUUUUAAUUCAUUAGUGUUUGCUAAACCUCAUGCUUAAAAGUCCUGUUGUUCUAAACAAAGUUUCCUAAGAAUGACUUCCUCAGCACCACAUUUGGACACUUUUAGAGCAAUUUAUUUGGGGGAAAAGAAUUUUCAAGGUGUUAACUAAUAAAUUUUAAAAAAUAAUUACUAUUUGUCCUACGAUUAUAUGACAAUUUAUCUGGGAUGAAAGGAUACAGACAGACAUCUUCCACUUUCAAGACUAAUCACUACUUCCGUAGAUGUUUUGCAAUAAUACAAAUACUUGACCAGAUGGUAGUGAUGGUAGAAAAAAAUUUUAUUGCUCCAAAAUUAAAAUAAGAAUGCAAUAUGUUAAGCAAAAGACUGUGCAACAUCAAAUUAAUUGAUAAGUUUGUAAUUCAGUAAAUUAACAACUUUCAUGGUAAAAUACAACAAAUUUCUUUAAAAAAAAAAAAAUCUUAAAAGACAGCAUUCAAUUUUGUGCGCAUCUUAUUUCUUAAGAUUUUCCAGGAGGGCAAUAGAGGGACUUUCACCUAUGCAAGAGAGCAGAAGCCUUACUUUCGCUAUAAAGUAGACGUCAUUCUGAUUAAUAUGCAUUUGCAAAUCAGCUCCAUUUGAAUCAGUAUUCUGAUAGACACAUGAGGCAUUUACAUCCAUUUCCAAAGUCACAUGUUGAGAGGAGGACUCAUUUGAUUGCUCCUCUAGGACCAUCUAAUUCAAGUAGCAAGGGAUGGAAGAGAAUAAAAAGUCACAAUUAUUCUUUUGCAUAAGUGAGACGAAAAUGAUAAAUGCAAUAUUAUCAGCAGUAAACAAGAAGAGAACACUCCAAGGAAUAGAUAGAUGCGGACAAGCAAGUUAAAAUGCACAGUUCCAAACCUCCGCAUACAACUUCUCUAAAAUAGCAAUAACGUGUUGAUGAUAUGUUUUCUCAGCAUCUACCUGCAAAGGCCCGAGACCAGGAAAACAACAAUAAAACCACUAGCUAAAGGAGAAAGUAAAGAAAGAAAUACACUUGACAUAAAUCUUGACAAGAAGCACAAUUUAAGACAUAACAAACCCCAAUCAUAUUGUUUAGAACUACCAUUCAUUAUUUCGUUAUUGUAGCAUUUCGAACAAGUGUUGACUUAAUUCAACAUUGUUGGAAAGAUAGGCUUUUAGAAGCGGAAGAAAGCCACUCAAACCAAAGUGAUUGUCCUUGUAUUGAUCAAGGGAUGUAAACAUAUUACAUUUGCAGGAUGAGUUUUAAUCACUUCCUGAUUUAUUUGGGUUGCAGUAAAACUAAGCGAGCAACUGUUUGACUUUCAAGCAACAUCUAAAUCAGCUAUUAAAAUUCAAAUAAAAUUAUAAUAGAAUAAUAACAGGCCAUCUUGCAUCAAAAUUAAGUUUAAUUUGUGAAUUUUUUUCUAUAGACAUGUUAGUUCCUGCUAUUGAAAUGUUAAAAGCUUUGAAAAAUUAUUCAAUAAAUUAUGCAAACAUUAAAAUAGAGGACAUAUUAAAAAGUUUCUAAUUACAAUGUUAAGAUUUCCUAUAUUUUAGCAUUUGCAUAUUUUAAUUUAUUUAAAAGCUACGUCGAUCAACUUUGGGCGUGAAGAUUUUAGCUUCUACGAGACUUGAUUGGAAUAUGCAUAAGGAAGAGUGUUAAAAUAUGAUGCAUCCAACGAAAGACAAACCAUGUGUAGUCUUUUAAUUAAGCCAAAGUAGCAGCUCAAACAAAUGACACUUGGACCAACAUGCAAUCAUGAAGUGGCCGGAAAAAGGACAAAUGCAACUUUGGCUUAAAUAAAAAAUAACAUGUGACUUGACUUUUCCUGGACAUGCAUCAUGUUAUUACAAGACAACAGAAAUCAGUAUGAUAGUACUAAAAGUUGACAAUAACAUGAAGAUAAGAGGCAGAAUGUCAACACAUGCAUAGGCACACACAAGAAAGUAUUAACAUAUAUACCAUAGCAAAAAGUCUUUGAUAUGUCAUCUGUUGCUGCUGUGAUUCAACUGACAGCAUGGCAGCUGUUGCUUCUCUACCAAGAGCCAUUAUUGUAGAUUUAAGCUCGGUCAAUCUUGCUUCUGCAUUUCGAAGCUUCACAGCACUCUCUGCUGAUAUAUCAGAUUCCCUUAUCUUUGAUCGGUGCCUAAAUACUUCAGCUGCCUGGUGAAAAUAUUCAAUAUAAAUCUAACAUAAUUCUCAUCUUGCCUUAUACAUGCAUAUGUUACCUCAAAGCUUGCCUGGGCUUCAACUUCAUGUCGAAGUUUGUCAUAACGAUGAGUCAGGUGUCGAGCAUCUUCCAAAGGUGCUCCGUUGAUUAACGCCCAUAGUGGCUUAGAUACCUACAUGUCCAAAAACCUGUAACAUAGUUAGAAAAAUGAAAAGAAAGAGCGAAACCUCAAUUAAAAAGUUCCUCCAACAUAAUCAUGGAAUUUGGGCCUACUUCAAGGAUAUAUAUAAGGAUAAUUUAUGCAAUUUUGGGUCUUAGGAUGAUUCAUAUUAGGUUAGUGUUCUUCUCUUCUGUAUUUAAGGUUAAAAUAGAAAUAAACCUAUGCAAAUAUCUAAAUUAGGGCUGUAAGACUUCCACAUGCAUCCUUCAGUCUCAUGGAUUUGAUUUUACUAUAGAUGCAAGUGUCUUUAUCGAAAAUGCUUGGAGUCAAUUGAGAGAACUCACAGCCAAUAACUUGUCACAUGCUAGUCUUUGCUAGUGAUGCAAGAAGUCACAAGGUCUCUUCAACAUUUGAACCAAUAAAAUUAUUAAGUCAUGGAUGUCACUAGCAAUGAUUUCAAUAUAAAACAUUAAAUAUUUCAAGUUGUAACUUUAAAAUGGAUUCUUUUAUUCAAUAUCUUAGAACUAAGUUUCCUUAUGAGAAGAUAAUAGUUUCAGUAGUAAUUUACAUGAAAUUUUCUAUAUUUGAAUUAUUUUCUAGUUAGGGAUGAACUAACCUGAUCAUGAAGAAUCCCAAGCAAAGUUUCCCUCUCAUUUUCCAUCAAAUCAUGUGAAGUGCCAAAUUGAAGAGCAGCUCUUGCAGCGCAAGAAUUGUCACUUUGAUUCUCCGCUCCAUACUUGCAACAAUCUUCAGCCAACUUUCUCGCUACAAUAUUUGAAUACAAAAAUAUUGUACACAAGAACCAGUCAAGAAAAUAAAAAAAAAUCAAAUAUUAUAACGAGAGCAAGAGCAAACAAACAACCUAUUUCCAUUUGUUUCAAGCUUACUGCAACAAACCCUUCAAUGCCACGGACAAUAUUCCUCUGAAAAUGCUGUGCUACAGAGCAUAUAUUCCAAAUUAUUGUUCAGAUAAAACCAUAGAAACCAUCAUAAUUAUCAACAUACAUUAAGCUCCGUUUGGUAAAUACUUGCAACUUCAGUCUAGAAAAUACAGUUGUUUGUACCAUAUUUGACAAAAUUAUUAUUUAAAAAUCAUAACUAAUUACCAAAAGCCACAAUAAAUCAAUAUCAAACAGAGUCUUAUUAUUAGCUAAAGGAGGAUGGUGCCUUAGCUGCCCUGGUGGAAUUGUAUAGAUUUUAAAGUUGUUGGUGACACUCAAUUUCAGCUUCAUGAACCGCAAUAUUUUCAAUACCAAGAUGGAGCAGAUGCUUCAAUACUGCCUGUACAAAUCAUAAAAAACUAAUAAAAAUAAAUAAAAUCGAGAAAUUUCACUAACUAAAAGUCUAAAUAUAAUUUUUGAAAAAAGAAAAGAAACGGACUUGCUGCUGCUUGGCGACUUGUUCUCGGAGCUUGAUUGCCUGUUUCUUGAUAGCUUCCAUACUGUUUCUUUCAAAAAGCAACGACGGCUCAGCUCAUGGAGGUGGAAAAAAAAAGUGUGAUCGAGAAAAAUAAAAAGGCAUGAAUAAUUUUUGACAAAAAGCGAAAAAUAAAAAGGCAUGAAUAAUGAAUAAUUUUUGACAAAAAGCUCUUUCCAGAAAAUAAAAAAAGAAAAAAGAAAAAAGAAAAUUAUAAGUUUGAAAGGAGUAGAUGAUAGUGGAAGUGUGGGGUAAUUUUUAAAAACCUCCCCUGAGGUUUGGGCUUGUUGCAAGUAGAUGACGAGAAUUGAUUUAUUUGUAAAAAACCCCCUACCGUCAGUUAAUUUUAACAUUGACAGUUAGUUGACCGUGCAAAGACAAUAUUACCCUUAACAAUAGUUUGUAAACGAAAAUAACUAAAAAAAAACCAAAAUUAUUAGCUAUUUUACCCUCUUUAAAUUAUUGAUAUUUUCUUAAAGUUCCUAUAAAAAAGAUAAAAUUAAAAACUUGAAAAAUCAUCUUUAAAUUAUUAAUAUUUUCUUAAAGUUCCUACAAGAAAGAUAAAAUUAAAAACUUAAAAAUGAAAUAGUCAUAAUCUUUACCUAUGAUAUUGUAAAUCUUUAGAAUUGACAAGGAUAAAAUUAUCAAAAAAUAGGGUUUGUGCUUUUCGCGCCAACAAUUUUAAUUUUUUUUUAUAGUUAUUUUCAUUUACAAACUAUUGUUAAGGGUAAUAUUGUCUUUGCACGGUCAACUAACAGUCAAUGUUAAAAUUAACUGACGGUAGGGGGUUUUUUACAAAUAAACCAAUUAUCGCCAUCUACUUGCAACAAGCCCAAACCUCAGAGGAGGUUUUUAAAAAUUACCCUGGAAGUGUGCGGUGUGGCUGCCAGCUACUUGGAUUGUAUUGUCGGGUAAGGUAAUAGUAGAGAAUUUUGUUUUUGAAGAAAAAUGGGUAAUUUUUAAAAACCUCCCCUGAGGUUUGGGCUUGUUGUAAGUAGAUGGCGAGAAUCCAUUUAUUUGUAAAAAACCCCCUACGUUUUUGCUCCGCUUGGUUGCCGUUUGUGCAAUUAUGGGCAUUGUUGACAUUUCUCAAUAAAACAAAUCUUUUGCAACUUUCGUUGCCUUGAGAACAAUAGCUAGAUUUCUCAAUCUGUUUCAUCCAACACUUCAAAAAUUUCAACUUUUAUGAGUUAUUGCAUUCUCUGGCAAAGUAGACUUCUUCUAAUUUUAUCACAGUGCUUUCAGGAACAAGAAUGGGAUCCAUUAACAUCCCCUCAAAUUUUACAGCUUCCUUACAGCUAUACACUGCUGUAACACGAAGUUUAAUGAUUCCAUCGCCAAAUAGUCCCCAAAAUCUAUUCUUCCCCAUAUUGAACAACUUAAGUUCACAACACUUGCAUUCUAAAGGCUUCCCACUAACAUCUAAUAUCUCAAGACUCAACGUUGCUUUACAAUAAUUGUUAUUACUACCAAACAAACAUGAAGAAACCCCGAUUAUCGGAUAAAUCAACCCAAAAUGAACAAGAGAAGAACCCAAAACAAGUGAAUCGCUAGAGCAAAACCCCCAACCCAUAUCCCUAAUCCCACACUCAAAAAAACCCAAUUUCUCUCCAAAGUCAUUGACACUAGCAUCACUACUAGACUCUAAUUCCAAUCCUAGAUUACAUUUAAUGUUAACCCAACUAAAAUGAAUGUUCUUACUACAAUACGCAUCGUUUACACUCUCAAACAACGCGCUGAACUUACUCUUAAACGAUCCCACAUUGGUCAAACACUCAUCACUCACAUCGACAUCCAAGAAUUCACUCAAAAACUUCAUAGACUCGACAAUUGGAGAAAACAAAACCACUAAACUCAACUUUAUACAAGCAUACCCAUCGAGAAUCUUACCGUCAUUAACCGAAUCACAACAAAUCACCGGGUCCCACGCGCAGUCGUGAACGAGCUUACGCAUGGACGGGGCAACAUUUAACCCCCGCGGCAAAAACGACGAAGCUUUGGAAAAAUUGUGUUUUAGAGCUGGGUUGAGGAGUAGAGAUUGGAGAGAUUGGAAGGUGGAAUCGGGACGGUCAAAGGAUAGAGAGAGAGAAGGGAAGGGGAUCUUUAAAAGAGAAGUGGGGAGAGGGAGGAGAAGAAGGAUUUGAAAGAGAAAAGAGAGGAACGGAGAGGCGGGAAUGAGAUUAAGGUUUUCACUGCAACUAAAAGAGUAAUCAUGUAUGGCUCUUGGUCUUGGAGAUGAAGGAGAGGAUUCAGGUCGAUUAAGAGGACUAUACGCUGCAUUUUGGUGUAGUCUGCCGCCAUUGGUAGAAGUUUCGAAGUGGGUUUCUGUUUAGAUCCGAGUUUGACGAAGAAACGUGGUGGUUGCGCUUGGGACAAUAUUGUUUUUGCACUGGUCAAUGUAAAAAUUAAACGACGGUAGGGAGUUUUUUUAUAAAUAAAUGAAUUCUCGCCAUUUAUAACAAGCCGAAACCUCAAAAGAAGAUUUUAAAAAUUACCCGAAGAUUCGAAAAAUAGUAGAGAAUUUUUUAAAAAGCUAGAACAGAGCAUGUUAGGCUUUUGUGGACCAAAUUCAAAAGCCAAAGGGCACGGCCCAAAAGCUUUUGAAUACAAUAACUUACUAGAAAGCUCCAUUUUUUGUUGGCUACAGUAAAAGUAUGUUGUUUUAUGCUUCUUAUAUGUUACGCUUAAUCGCUUGCUUUAACUGCAUCGCUCUCUGUGUACUCUUCUACACAUGUAACGGUUAUGCGGUUGUAGUUCACGGCUGAGGCUACGUGUUGGUUUGACGCGGCAGUUACGUUACGACAUUACGAGUCCGUUAAACAUUCGGUGAUAGAGCAUUAUUAGUUAUUUUAAGGAGACAAAUAAGAUUGGUUGCAAUAAACCCACUAAUUUUAUAAAAUUCGAGUAAUAUAGAAUAAAAUAAAAAAAUAAAUACAAAAUUGGCUUUUAUUUUUUAUGGUUGACUGUAUUUUGUGUUCUCUUCCGGCACUACUACAAUUGUUCCCUAUAUAUCAGUCACACCCAUAUAUCAUCAAUACAAGAAAUGAAAUCUAAUGUCACCUAUUUAGUUAAAGAAUUACUCAUGAAAAAAUUUUACCAUUUUACUUUGAGGAUCCAUAUUUUGAACUGCAAGCUAAUGUUCAUCAAGAAUCACUAAUGUUCAUAAAAAACAGAGCAUGGCCGUUGAGUAGAAAAACUAUUUUUGGACAAAUUAUUUUUGUUGAUAGAAGAAUUUCUUAAGGGACUACUAAUAUUAUGAAUAACAAUGUAGAACACACCCACAUAUCAUCGACACAAUUGACUUUAAGGAUCCAUGCUUUGAAUUGCCACCUAAUGUUCAUCAAGAACAGAGUAUGCCUUGUGAGUAGAAAAUUUUAUGAUUUUGGUCCGAAAUAAAAAGAAAUUAAAUUAGAUGAGAAUCUGCCACUUUCUCAUAAAGAAAGGCAUACGGAGCAUACCAUGGUACCAUACAAUACAAAGAGUCUCUAUUCUCUGGUUUUUCAAACUCUGAAGGGGCCAAUAUUCCCGAAUUCUCCCUUGAAAAUUCUGAUUACAACAUUAUUCAAUUCUUGACACAAUCAAAGUAGCGACAAAGUUAAGAAAAAUAUGAGUCCUAAGUAAUGGCUAGGUAGGGUUCUUGAGAGCAAAAUUGUCCUAAGCAUUAUAUGCAUACAUGGUGUGGUACAUAGAGCACGUUGAAUUCCACACUAUAACACAAACCCAGAAAGACAAGUAAUAACUCAACUGAUAUAAAGACAAAAAGAAGAUAAAAUGAUAUAGAAAAAAGAAUUUCAAAGCGACAGCAACAUACGAUAGACUGAAGCCACUUGAUCUGCUCACUGAUUGCAGCCUUAAACUUACAAAUAGUUACUGUACGCUAGUGCUCUAAGAAGUGAAAAUGAUAAGAGACCUGAUUCCCUUUUGACUUCCAUUUACUGUCAAACAUUCUAGUAAUACAAAAAAUUGUUUAGAUAUCUUGCUAUAAAUAUAGUCGUUUGACUGUCAUAAUAAAGUCACAAAUAACCAUUCAUAUUGAUCCACUGUCACACAGCAUGCUUUAUGCAUACAACAUCUGCAUGUAUACCAACUCCUAACCUUAUCAAUACAUUUGGCAAAAAAUUAAGAAGAAAACUAUUUCUCCAUCUCUUUUUUGAAAUUUCACAAUAAACCAGCACAUUGUGAAAGCUAUGUUCUAAUCUUAUGAUAAAUGCUCUAGACUCCAAAAGGAUUUUAUUUAUGAGAGUUUGUUGCAGCAGAUAUAUUGACUUAUCAAGUAUGAAUCAUUGUCUGGAUGAACUAUCUUUAAAUAAAAGAAUAUUAGAACCACUGUAGAAUAUCUUUACGCUGCUGGUUCUAACAGGAAUCUGCAUGUGGCAACAAUUGCUAGAUCCACAAUUCCCCAACUUGAAAUACAUAGUUGCACACCGUGAGAUAGUGCUGCAAUCUACUGAGAUCUAACUUAUUUGAUACUUUAAGCUACUAAUGUUUGCAUAUUUCUACAUGUUAAAUUGACACUACCAUCUAUAAUCACCCCAAAACGACAAAUGAUAAGCAGCUUUUGGCCACUUAUUACUAGCAUCCACAACACAAUUAUAAAUAAGAGAUCAUGGGUUUACUUGUUGCAACUACUUAAUGAUCUGCAUUUGAGACCCUGACGCAAGGUUUAAAUAGUGACUGCUUAGAACCCUUGUAGUUGGAUCUUGACCUCUCCCAUUGUAGCCAAGAUUGGCUACUCUGGUAAUGAAUCAACACUCUCCUGCUUAUUUUUUUGUUUUUAAAAAAUAACGAAAUCAUAAAAUAAAUAAACACGUGUUUGGUUUUGGGCAUUUUCUUUUGUUCAUUUAAUAUCAUCUGGCUCCCUGAUUUUUUACUAAUUAACAACGGAAUCCUGUUAGUUUCUAAAUUGAAAUAAUAAAAGGUCACGAGAUUAUUUACUCCAUUUAGCACUGUAGACUUAGAGUAUAUUGAAAAAGCUUUGUCAAAUAGUAGUAAUAGGGGCAUAAUAAAUAAGUUUUUCAGAAUUUACAUAAUGUACUUGGCUCUAGGAAGAUUGCCCUCUUAUCACUCAAGUUAGGUUUUGCCUUAGAGUUGAGGUAAAUCAUUAAAAUAAAUUAUAGCUAUUACAAAUUCGUUAGGAGAAUUUCAAUUUUUUUUCCAUUAAAUGGCUAUGAUGCAAAAUUACCUCAGCUUAUAUUGCAACACUAAUACUUCAAAUCCUAACAAUAAAAUUGAUGACAAUGGUUUUUAUGUAUAGUAAUUUUCACUCUUUUGUUUGAUCUAAAAGUAGUUCUUAAAAUGACAAUGAUGACUUAUUUAGAAGAAAUGGCAAACUUAUAGUUUGUAAUAUUGUUUGCACAAACAAUAAAGACUAAUUUGAUAAUAAUGAAGUGUUAAUUACUAUUUAACAUUUUUAAUUAAUUUUUAAAUUUAAAAAAAAAUGAAGGCCGAAACUUGUGCAUUAAAUUUUAAUUAAAAGUUGAUUGCUUCGAAGGUUUGAUCGUGACAAAUUGACAAUUGAAAAAAGAAGUAGGGAAUAUAUAUUCUGAUGAAAGGGACAAGAUUAAGCAAGGGGACAAUAUUGUCUAUUGGACCUACAAAUGGGGGCAAAGAUAUAUAUAUUCCAAAAUUUCUUAUUUGUGGAUUGGCCACCACGUGUAACUAAUAUAAAAAGAGAAAAUUUGGCAUGGUUUUAACCGAUAUAAGGGUCCGUUUGGGAUUGAGGUGUUGUAGCUUUUAAGCUAUAGCUGUUGUGGAAAAAAAACUGUAAGUAUUAAAUAAAAGUUAAUAAUAUAUAGUAAAUAUAAAUUUUAAAUAAUAAUUUUGAUGAAAUUAUUAAAGAUAUAAUAGAUUUUCUAUUAUACAAAUGAAAAUUCAUAUCAACAUAGCUUAAAAGUUACAGCAGUUAGUGUUUACCAAACACUUUAGUGCUGUAGCUUUUAAACUACAGCUGCCCAACCUCAAUCCCAAACGCACCCUAAGAAGAGAAAAUUUUGAGUGUAUAAGAAGAGAAAAUUUUGAGUGCACAACAAGAACAAAGCAAAACCCAUGAAAAUUCACCUUUCAUGUGGGUUGGAUUGGAUAAAAUCAAUAUCUUGAAUCAAACAAAAUGUUUGGUACUUGAAGGUUUUUUUAACAUUUUCAUUUUUUUUUUCCAUUUAUGAAGUCCAAUUUUUUUUUUAAUUUUGAUUUUUUUGAAUGAUUUUGAAGGUGUUGAUAUAAGGUCAUCGAAGGUUUGUGAACUUGGGGUGUUGAAUUAUAAGGCGAAGCGUGUGUUUUAUCCAUUUGAAGCAAGUAAAUUUCGCUGUCGGUAUGAUUACUAUUGGGCUUCUAUCUUCAAGGUAUUCAUACAUUUUCCCCUGUACUAUAAGCUUCUUAGUGGCGGUCUUGUGAGCGGAAGUGAGCGGUGUGGCUGACAGCUUCUUGAAAAUUAUAAGUUUGAACAGAGCAUGUUAGACUUUUGUUAACCAAAUUCGAAAGCCAAAUGGCACAGCUCAGAAGCUUUUGAAUUGAAUAACUUACUAGAAAGCUCCAAUUUUUUGUUGGCUACAGUAAAAAGAGGUUGUUUUAUUCUUCUUAUACUUUACGCUUGCAUCAGCUUAAAUCACUUCUUAAACGCUUUGCUUUAACUCCACCGCUUCGUACUGUUCUAUAUAUGUAUCGGGUAUGCGGUUGUAGUUCACUACUGAGACUACGUGUUUGUUUAACGUGGAAGUUACGUUACGAGUCUGUUAAAACAUUCGGUGAUUAAAGUAUUAUCAGUUAUUUCAAAGGGACAAAUAAGAUUAGCUACAACACACACUAGUUUUAUAAAAUUCGAAUGAGAUGGAAUAAAAUAAAUAAGUAAAUUGACUUUUAAUUUAGUGCUUGAAUAUAUUUUGUAUUCUCUUUGGGCACUGCUGUAAUUGUUCCUUAUCACACCCAUAUGUUAUAGACACAAGAAAUGAAAUUUAAGAUCACCAGUUUAAUUAAAGAAUCACUCAUGAAAAAUUUUUGCCAUUUUGAUUUGAGGAUCCACAUUUUGAACAACCAACUUAUGUUCAUUAAGAACAAAGCAUUGCCUGUGAGUAGAAAAAUGAUUUUUGAACAAAUUAUUUUUUGUUUAUAGAAGAAUUUCUCAAGGGACUAUUAAAAUUACUAAUAAAAAUGUCAGACACACCCAUGUACCAUCGACAAAAUUAACUAUGAGGAUCCAUGUUUUGAACUGCCACCGAAUGUUCAUCAAGAACAUAGUAUAACUUGUGACAAGAAAAUUUUUUGAUUUUGGCCUAGAACAAAAUGAAAUUAAAUUGAAGGAGAAUCUACUACUUUCUCAUUAAGAAAGGCAAACGGGGCAUACCAUGGUACCAUACAAUACAAAAAGUUUCUGUUCUCUAGCUUUUCAAACUCUGAAGGGGGCAAUAUUCCCCAAUUGCCUUGUGAAAAUUCUGAUUACGACAUUAUUCAUCGCUUGAUACAUAAGUAAAAGUAGUGAUAAAAUUAGAAAAAAUAUGACUUAUAAGUAAUUACUAGGCAGGGCUCUUGAGAGCAACAUUGUGCUAGGCUUUAUAUGCAUACAUUGUGUGGUACAUUCUACACUAUAACACAAACCCAGAAAGACAAGUAAUAUCUCAACUUAUAUAAAGACAAAAAGAAGAUAAAACGAUACAGAACAAAGAAUUUCAAAGAGACAGCAACAUACAAUAGACUGAAGCCAGUUGAUCUGCUCGUUGAUUGCAGCCUUAAACUUGCAAAUGUUUACUGUAGCCUGGUGCUCUAAGAAGUGAAAGUGAUGCAAACCUUGAUUCCCUGUUUACUUCCAUUUACUGUCAAACAUUCUAUUCAUACGAAAAAAAUUGUUUAGAUAUCUUGCCGUAAAUAUAGCCAUUUGAUUGUCUUAAUAAAGCCACACACAACCAUUCAUAUUGAUCCACAUUGCCAUAUAGCCUGAUUUAAGCAUACAACAGCUGAAUGCAUACUGACUCCUAACCUUAUCAAUACAUUGGAGACAACUUAAGAAUAAAACGAUUUCUCCAUCUCUUUUUUUGAAAUUUCACAAGAAAACAGCACAACGUAAGAGCUGCAAUGAAAAUGGACCGUCAAGAACUAUGGCGGAAGCUUCAACUAGUGUAGUGAUUUGACCUUCUUAUUAACUUUGCGAUAUCAAGCACUGCCCUUCAUCUUGAACAGAUCAAUACAAUACGCACAACUUAUGAUUGAAUCCAGAAACAAUCAAAUCUUUAGCAAGAAAAAUUAAUCAGAAUCAAGAAACAAGUUCAAUGAAUAUAAACCUAUAAUUGGAACAAACACAGCCAAAGAACCCAAGAAUGACACAACCUACACCACGGGAGAAGCUUUCCAGUGAGAUUUUAUUGAUGAUCAAAGAAGAAUCUUUUUACAAAGCUAACAAAAGAGAUUUCAGAGAAUAAGCUAUGACUCUCUCUCUUCAAUCUCUCUCUAGUUUGUUCACAGUGAUGACCCCAAUCUGCUUCGUUAGCCAGCUUCAUAACUGCGUCAGUGACAAACUAAAAAACCCAGAUUGAGCAGAUUACCGACACGUGGAUAACGGCUAUUAAGAACUUGGUUAAAGAACUGCUCACAUAUUCGUCACGCGUGUUACUUAAAUGAUGGCCAAAACGACUUCAACAAGAUGCCGUUUUGAAGCUUGUGAAUUAUAAUUGAAAACACGUGCUUGUCUCGUGACACUUAAAUACAACAACAAGCCCAAAACACUGCCGUUUCACUUUGUUGAGUUUGCCAUCUCUAAGCUUCACAACUAGCAACGGAGAAGAUGAUAAUUAAAUUGACAUGGAGAGUUUUUAUAUCACUUUUACAACAUUCUAUAUAAUUGUGAUAUUGGGAAUCGUCGAUGUUGUAUAUGUGAACUCUCAUUGGUGACACUGGUGGUUUUAUUUUUGUUGAAAUAUGGAUGACAUUUCGUUACUAUUUUAUUGUACACAACAUUUUGUUACUAUUAACAUGUUAGUUUCAUUAGCCACUAGGCCUUUGGCUGAGUCAUUCGGGUGUCUGCCCUCCAACUUGGAGGGCAGCAAUUUGAACCCCCACAAGCGCAAUGUUGGGUAUUUUUUUCUUUAAUCCCUCGAAUAUUAGUGAAGGUUAAAAUCUAGGCAGAACUCCAUAAGUAUUGAUGUAAGUUGGUUUCAGUAAUAGUCUAAUUUGUAAAUAUCAGUUAUAAUCUCAUAUAAGAUGAGUUGUAAUUUGAGCAAUAGUCUCAUAGAAUAAUAAUAAUAAUAAACAUGUUAGCUUCAUUACAUUUUUCUUCGUUAAAAUUCUCAAGUAUUAGUCAGGUUUGCUAAAGUAAUAAAAUUUUGCCAUUAAAAUUGUAGUAGUAUUUCUGAGCACCUCACAUUUUCAAUGAUUUUUCAUAAAUCAAUUAAUCUGUCGUACCGAUAUCAGGUUUAGUUUUUCAUACUAAACAAUCAAGAAAGCAAACAUACGAAUUCACAGUUUAGAGGGGUAAACUAGGUAGGUGGUUUAGAUUUUAGAACUAGGCUAGCUACCCCACUAAAUUCCAAUUUGUACAGUGAACUACAAGAAAUUGAGAAAACAGUGUAUUUAUAGUUUAAUUGAAUCGUGAGAAAGCAAUGUAGUCAUAGCUCAAUCUGAGAUGAUCACGGAGAGGCAUAUUCUUUUCAAGUUAAUUUGAUCAAUUUAUAAGAGAUGAAGUGGAUUGAAGUUAAAAGUUUAAAUAACAAAUCCUUGUUCUUGAGUUUUACGACGUCGUUACUCCUUCAAGAGGCAGAUUAUUUAUGCAAGUGAAUGCAGAAACGCAAUGCAUCAUCCACGGGGAUGGUACAUCAAAAGGCGGGAUCAUAGUCUAUGCCCGCAGAUUAACAAUUUCGCUCAUAUAGAAAAUUAAUUUUUUAUAUAUACUAAUCAACACUAAAUUGAUUGUGUUUUGUAUGUUUAUAUGCGAAUCAACACUAAAUUAUAUUAAAUGAAGAAAUAAUUCAAUUUUUUCUAAUUUAAUUUAGAAAAUAAAAUUAUUAACAUUAAUAUUCCCAAAAAAAAUUAUUUUCCAUUAGUAUUCAAAGUCUUCACUUAUGGAAAAUGUGUUUUACCUGAAUAUUAGUUACCGUGUAAAUUUGAUUGAUAGUGAAAAAUAAUUUUUUAAUUAUUGUAAAAAUAAUUAACCAUAUCAAAUCCCUUACGUAAAUAAUUUUUAUUUUUCAAAAAGGUAGAAAGAUGGUUAAUGCACAAGCAAAUUUUAAGCCCCUCUCUUCUUGGCCUAAGAUUCAAACUCAGAUGACUAGUUAAAUAAACCUAUGUGAAAUCAUUUGGCCAGGUCCGCGGGGAAAAAAUACAAGAUCCUUAAUUUCAUAAUAUAUAUGAAUUAAUGUCAUUUACUUGAAUUAUCCAAAUUCAUCAGAGGUUAACGAAUUUUCCUGACAUGUAGUAGAUGAAGUUGUUGCUUCCUUCUUGGCAUUAUUUCAGCUCUGGUUGUUGGUCCCGAUGAGCUUUAGUCUUAUUUUAAUUUUAUUUAAACUCAUCAUAAGAUUCGUGGAGCAGCUAACUGACUUAACUGACUGUGCAGAAAUGUCACAUAGCAUAUUUAACCGUUUUAACAGUAAUUUUGAACGGUCUUCGCAAUUAUCAUCUACAAACUCGUUCGUAUUGGUCCAAUCUUCCGGACGAUAUCAUAUGCCUAAUAAUGAAUGAAUGGUCUUGGAUCGGUGUUUCGCAGCAAGAGCAACUCGACAAAAUCUGGAGUCAAGCUCCUCCGAUCGAACAAGGGAUUUCGAUUGAUGAUUGAGUUCCUUUGUGCUCAAGCAACUUCAAAUCAUAGUUUUGAUUCUUUAGAUAUGAAUUCAUCACAUUACAUAUAACAGAUUGAGUUAAACAAAAUUUUAAUUUACUGAGAAAAGAAUUCUAUUUUGUGAACUAAUCAAUUGCAAAGCAUUAGUGUUGAACGAUACAAAAAAUUGGGAAAAGAAUUCUAGCCGUAUUGACUCCACCGAAAUUUCCACAAAAGCAAAAAAAAAAAAAAUAUAUUCCACAAAAUGCAAAACGUAUGGAACUUAAUUUUUGGCCCUGUGAUCACUAAGAUACAAGGCAAAUUUUUUUAGAUCUCUCCGACAAAGUGAUUACCAUCUAAUCGCAAUAUUGAAUAAAAAUAAAAAUUUUAAUGGGAGUUUGACCUUAAAUUUAGAAAAUGAAUUUUCACUUUCUUCAAUUAUUAAACAGAUUACAGACAUUUGAGGAAUUUGAAAACACUUUAUCCAUCGAAAGUUAAAAUUAGAGAUGGAAGCUAGGUGCUACAGCUAAUGGGAUCAUUAAUUCCCCUCCCUCAAAUGUGUAGUUGUUCCUCUUUCCACAGCAUAAGCCUUAUAGUUAGAGUUUCUUUUUAAAAAAAAUGUUAAACAAUUUCGGUUGAGCAUGGUUUUGGUAGUUGAAUAGACACCUCCGCCGUACCUCAAACAAAACUGUCAUUAUUCGAGUCAUGAAACAUGUUUCGGCCGUCAAAGUCAUGAGUAGGAGUGGGCAUGGGUUGGUUUGGGUUAGGUUUUAAGUCAAUUCAAACCAAACUAUAAAAAUUUGGGUUCAACCCAAACCAACCCAAAUAUUUUUAACCCAACCCAAACCAACCUAUUUGGAUUUGGUUUGUGUUUGGGUUUGAUUUGAAUUUUAUAAUUAAAAUAUUUUUUAUUUUAAUAAAUUUAACUAUAUCAAAUUAUAAUAAUUAUUAAUUAAUAUUAAUUAUUAAAUUAAUAUUAAAAUAUGAAAAAAUGUAGUGGAUAAAAAUUAUGAAUAAUGGAUUUUACAAUAACUUUGUUCUUAAAUAUUAACCAUAUUACAACAUAAAUUCUAACAAUGUCAAUACAAAUUAAAGUAAGAUAAGAUAUCUCAACUCAAGUAUCAAAGCAAUCCAUCAAAAUUAAAUUAUUUAAUUUUAUAAAUUUAAAUCUUCCGAGAAAUAAAUCUAAAAUUUAUUGUAAUUAGAAAACGCGUCAAAAUUUUAAACGCAGUAAGAAAAAUUAGACAUAAAAUCUAAUUAGGUUUAAAUUUAAUUAAAAAAUAACAAUAGAAUCAUAUUUUAUUUGAUAAAAUCUUAAAAUCAAUUUCAUUUAUUUUAGUAAGUUACAAUACAAAUAGGAUUAUAAAAUUAUAUUACAGGAUUUCAUAAAAAUGUUGUUUGAGUAAUUUAUUAAAGGACUCACCUACGUUGCCACAGUUGUAGCUUACCACGCUUUUUGUCUUUUUCCAGUAAAAUCGUAGGAUGCUUUCAAAUUUAAUCUAACGGAUGCAAUUAAUUAUUAGAUAAUUUAAUCAGCCAUUGGCAACCUUUACAACCGGUUAUAUUCUCUCGUUACAUUUCUCGGCUACCAAACAAUCCCCAAGAAAAUGACGAAGUGAGUAACUAAUACACACACCGCAGAGAAAGAUGACAGGAGAUGAGAUGACGGUAGGCCCACCGGCACAAAGGUUCUUCGAUUGCUCUAUUUCUUCGGCGCCGGAUUUAUCUACACAACUACAAUCGACAAGUGGCGGGAACUCGAGCGGAAGUCAUUGAAGAAGAAACAUCAAGAGAGCAAUCUAUGGACUGAUGAUAACUCAGCAACUACGGUAAAGAAAGCCGUCAAAUGAUCUUUUUAUUUGACUUUUGAUGGAUUUUCAAGAGUUUUGGUAAUAAAAUGUCUCUUAAUUUUUCAUGUCAAUGGCCUAUUGUUUGAGUUAUUAUUAUGCAUAAUUGUUGGAAGAGUUAGGAUUUUACUAUUGGAUUUUGGAAUUUGUAUUUUGGCUUUGAUAUGUUAUUGUUGUGAUGUCGGUCAAGAAAUUUUUGACAACACUCUCCUCGAGUUUGAUACUAUAGCUAAUGAAUUUUUAUGGCAGAUAUAGCUAAUGAAACAAAAAACACUUUAUAACUGGUUAUGCAUUCAUUUAGGAGCUAUUAACUGAGCGUGAGUUCCAUAAUUUUCCAACCAGUGGUUAGGGUUUCACAGAAAAAUGUCGACAUUGAUCUUUAGGCAGCACUUAAGACUGAAAUUGGUUGUAGAGGAUCGAAUUUGGGGAACUAGAAAUUUCUGAUCAUUAAUAAUUGAAAAUGGCCUCUCACUUGUAGGCAGUUGUUGGAUGUAAUGUAUCCAGUUUUUGAAAUCGAAAGCAGAGUGAGUUCUUAGGUUAGAUGUACCUACAUGCAUUAAGGUUCGAAGAUGUAGAAUAGGCCAAUUGUUUGAUGUCAGCUUUGUUGCACAUGUUCUGAAAUUGAUCAUUUAAGAUGGCUUGGAAGCACUCCGUGAUGUGACUAAGAAGAUUCGAGGAAGUAUUAAAUAUGUUGAAAGUUCACAAUUAAUACAAGGAAAGUUCAAUGAGAUCACCCAGCAAGUUGAAAUCAACAGUCAAAAGAGCCUACAGUGUGAUAUUUUUCUCUUGGAUUGUUUUUUUAUUUUCCAUUUCAAAGCUGAUAGUGUAAAUUUUUUGUUUGCAAAAGUUUCUAAAAAGUACUUGAGUCAAGAUGGUUAGGUAUUUCAUAACUUCCUUUUUACUCUUAACUAGAUUCAUACAGAGUUAUAACAUUAACAUAAUUUUUUCUUUUAAAAGUGAUCAAUUAGACACUGAUGAGAUAUCUCACUUUUGAAUCAUUUAGCUUUAUGUAAUUUCAUUACUAUUAUAUGCCCCCAGGAAUUGUUGAAGUAUAUAUAUCUUGGCAUUUCUUCACCGACUGAAUUAUCUUUCAUAAUAUUCCAGCUUCAAAUGGGUACACUGCAGAGCCGAUUGGAUGCAGAAUUCCUUCUAGCUCAUAUGUGCUCUGUAAAAUUCAAAGACUUAAUAGUGGUUAUGGCAACUCUUUUUAGAUGAUCUAAGGUAUAAUGCCCAAUUAUUGCUUUUGCUUUAUCUGUUUUACCUUGCAACAUUUUGAAAUUUAUGAGAAGCAUAAAAUUACUGAGCCAAAAUUGAGGAUCUGAACUUUCGUAAAAAUAUUCAUAUUUUUAAAUUAUAAAAUAUUGCAUUUGAUGUUUUAGGUGGAACUUAGUUCACUACAGAAAGGAAAAUUAUGUUGGGCAUAACCAGAUGCUUUUCAAGAGAAAGUUUCACUGAUAUUUUUCUGAGGAUUUUACUUGGCCAUCUUAUUUCAAGCUGCUUGAAUUUUUUCUUUAUAUCAUCUUGGUUGUAUACUAUAACUCGUUGAAUUUGCUAGCACUUUUGCUAGUUGUUUAUUCUAUAUGUGAUUGUGGUGGUAAAGUUUGGAAGCUCAAAAAGUAAUGGAACUUAGGAAGAGUAUGACAUAGAAUGCUGGAUAAAAUCAAAAUAAUCAUUCUUCAGGCAUCCAAAGAUGAUGUAUUCAAAAUAGCUAGUUUUGACUUUUGAGGCCGUAUAAAUAACUAUUAUCUCACAUGGUUACAUUAUGAUAGGUAGGCACUAGCUUAAUAACUCCAAUUAACUUAAAGUUGUUACCUGAUUUAUUAUGACAGUGUGCAUUACGAUAAGUAUCCUUGCAUAUUAAGAUUUUCCUUCCAGAUCUCUGCGGUACUUUUUGAUCUUUUCCGACAUGAUAUGCGAUUAUGGGAAGCAUAUGCCAUCACCUUACAGGUAUUCUCUUAAUUUUUAGAUAGUGCUCCAGAUGACAUUCAAGUUGGCUAUUAUUGGGUGCAAGAUUUACCAUGCUCUUAUUUUGCUUUUUUAGUCUAACCCGACAUUUGCUUAAUACCAUGAUCUGCUUCAAGCCUUGGAUGAAAAACUUUCAUUUUUUGUAUAUUCUGCAAUGAGAUGAGGGUAGUUUUUCUGAUGAUAUUUGGCAGUAAAUUGGGACUAACUAAAGUAAUUUUCUUAAUGGCAUGUCUACUUCUCAGAUGAAUGACCGUCUGUUCAGACUCCCAGGUGAUGAAUUAACAACCACCGAUCUAUUCUGGGUAAAGAUGAUGACGUUGACACCAAGCCAGUGGAAUGACUAGGACUUCCCUUUUGUUACAAUAAAUUGCGUUCAUUAGACACACGCAGUUAAUUAGUGUAGAUAAAGGAGGUCUAUGCACAAUAGACUGUUUUGUAUUUCGAGAGUCCUUUUUUUGUUUCUUUCAUUCUCCAUUCUUUUGAAAUUAUGUACAAUGGUUAUAUUGUCUGUAUUAUUACGGAUUUAUGAUGGGAGUAUCCUAAGUUUAUGGAAUAAUUAUAAAUAAGGACUUUAAAUUUUUGUUGAAAGAAGUUGAGUGAGAGAAAAGAAGCUAAAGCAGUAAGCAUUUGUUAUACUUCAUUCGAUUGUAUCUAAAUUACAAAGGUUGGUGGCCUUAUUUAUAGUGAAGUUCCCACAGGCCACUUGCACUCAAAACAUUCGAAAUAUGCAAACAUAUUGAUAUAUAAACAUACAGAAUUAAUAUUCUGGAUCCUUGUAAGUAAUGCAAAUAAAAGUGAGGUUGGGGCAGACAAUAUUUACAUCAUGUAUUAAUAGAAAUAAAAUCAAUUAUUUCCAAAUAAAGUCACUUAGUUCAAAGCACGGGCUUCGGUUAAGUUGAACAAGCAAGCCAAUUUUUGUUGUUACUUCAUGAUUGUCGUAAGCUGUGGGUAGUGGAUCGUGUUCCCUAUAAAAGACAAACAGAAGCAUAAGUUUCUCUCAAUUAAGGCACCUGAAAUGUAUUUCCAUGUCUACUAACCUGGUCAUUCGUCCAUGAACUAAACCCUUCUGAGGAUCUUGAAUAGAUUUAUAGAGAUCUCAGAUAAUUUCCUCACGGUGUGCCUGAGUAAAGACAAGUCUUAUGUACUUGAUUACUUCUGGCCAAUCCAUCGAGGCCACCACCUGUCUCAGUCAAUUCAAUCUUUUAAUAGAGUGAAUUACUAGAAUAAAAUUGAUUAAAGUUGAUAUAAAAUCUAAAUUAAAAAAAUCAGAUAAGAGAAUGAUCCAAAAUCCAAAAAAUGAAAUAUUUAAGGAGUGGACUUGUGACCCUCUAUAGAAUCCAUGGAAGAGUAACUAAGGGAAAAACAUUAGAGGUACUUUUGGCGAUACUAUUAGUAUUCUUGUGUUGAUCAUAAUCUUGGGGGUAGAUCUAGACUAAUUAGCUAUUCAUUGAACAUUCCAUUUCUCCGCAAUUACAUGCAAAAGUGCACCUUGCAGUUGCAGCCUAGACCAUAGAAAUAUAGAAUUCCAAUUAUUAACAUCUAAAGCUACUGUAGUGACUUUGCAACCAUGAGAUGAUAUAUACAUAUGCUGAGAUUCAAAUAUUUGAGAAGUUUAAACAUCCUGAUGAAAAAUAGACUAGUUCACAGCUACUUUGGGGAAGUUGAUUUCUACUAGCAGUAGAAAAUACAAGUUUUUUUAAACAUACCUACUCCAGUAAACUCAAUUAACCAAAACAAAACUCAAAGCAUGAAAAAGAGGGAUUUUAACUAACCUAAUCAUUAUCAUUGAUAUUUUAACAUAUUGAUCUUCACAUGGAGUUAACAAACACAAGACUUAGUGCCUAGUACAUAUGUCUGGGGUUGCACAGUCUGUUCGACAAAUUUAUUGAAACUAUAUCCAUGCUCCUUCUCCAAUAAAUAAAUAUCCUCUUGCUUCUUCCAUCCUACUCUAAUUCUUCCUGGAAAGCAUUCUCCCCUUCUCUAAUUCUUCCGAAAAAACAUAACCGACAAUCCUAAACUAAUUACCACCGUUAAAUCUUUCAAACAAAAUUUACAAUUUCUUAUCAGUAGUUUCCUGCCGCAUCCGAUCGAACGGCUCAUCAACGAAUCAAACAGACUUCUUUCCAUCCUUUUUCCAUAUAAUUACAUUUGCCUAAUUCCUAAAGUUUCGGCUCCGCCCAAUGUCGGCCGCAAUUGGCUGCCACAGCGAUAUGUUCAUCUUCAACUUCUCUGCUGCGAUUUCAAAUUUACUUCAGCCUCGUACCACCACACUUCCACUGGCAAUUAAUUUCAUUAUCCGAUUUUACUAUGUGUGGAAUAGAUUUGAGCAAUUUAUGAGUUUUCGCUACGAUUUCGACGAUGUCCUCUCAACACUAAUUUGAUCACCUAAUUUUAACUGUUUUGGGUUAUUUAUUUUUUAUUAUAUUUAUAUACAGUCUCUGCAGACAACCGACUACUUUACUUAUAUGUGGAACUCAUCUGAGCCAUUAGAUGGAGGCCCUCCAGAUCCUACGGCGAUUAUAUAUGAGGACAAAAAGUGUUGUAUGUUGGAACUGUUGCAACGUAGGAGGAUCCUUUAUUAAAAUGUUAAUUUAGUUUUUUAACUCAAGUUGAGACCGUAAAAAGUUGUUAUAUAAUAGUGUAUUGUAUAACCAAUUACAUAUGUAUUUGACUUGUGCAACACUUCUAUUAUUAUUAUAUAAUAAUAAUUAGUAGUAGUAUAAUUACUAUAUAAUAAUAAUUAUUAGUAGUAUAAUUAUUAUAUAAUAAUAAUUUUAAUAAAAAAUUAUUAUUAAAAUAUUGAUUUAGCCUUUCUUAGUUCCAUAUUUGUUGUUUUGCUAUAAUUUUCCACAAUGACGCAUUAUCAGACUUUCUUAGUUCCGUCAUCUUCUAUUACUCAACUUAACGUCUUAUCAUCUCUAGCUCGUCUUCCAUAGCAUGAAAGUGAAUAAAUUUAACUGAAUGGUUAAUUAAUCAAUUAAGUUUCAUGAGCUUUAAUCGAGUUAUAACCAAGUACAAACAUCGUUAACAAAUACUGAAAUUUAGUAAAUUAAAAAAAUAAAAAACUAAUUCAAGUAAUAUGUAGUUUUUACAUGUUGAUCAUCAGGAUACAACAUUAAAUUUUGUCAUUGACAAUAUUGCAUGCCUGUCAUCUAAAGCAUUACCUCACAAGGUUUUAUGAGAAACGAAAGACUAGUGCUUGCUUUGAACAAUUAAAGUUGCUGCUACCAACCUCCCCAAAGAUCAAGAAGACAGAACAGGAAGCUAAUGCCAUCAAUGUCUUGUUCAUUAUAGCUGUUGGGUAGUUAGGUGUAGUUUCCUCACUUGAAGCUGUCUAUACACAGGCUUUUCCCCUGCAAAUGGACAAAUAAAUGAACAGCCUUGAAGCUUUACUAUUCGCAACACAAAGGGAUUACUAAUUGGAGAAGACUUUACAGAGUUCCUCUCACACUUUCUCUCUCUCAAUUUCAUCUAGAAGUCCCUCCGAAAGCAUCACCCAAAACAGUUAGUCAUCCUUUAUACUCUGUUUUCUGGAAACAGAGUCCUAACUAACUUAACUGACUGUACAGAGCACGUCAACAUAGCAUAUUUAACCAUUUUAACGGUAAUUUGAACCGUCUUCAGAGUUAUCAUCAACAAGCUCAUUCAUAUUUGUCCAAUCUUACGGACGAUAUCAUAUGCUUAACUCGACACAAUCUGGAUUCAACCUCCUCCUAUCCAACAAGGGAUUUCGAUUUGAGUUAAUAAUAAUAAUAACGACAAUAAUAAUAAACUAAAAAACAGAAUUAAUUACUAUUGAAUGGUCGGAAAAAAAAAAAAUUGAAAACGUGUGAACUCCAAUAAUCACCCCACAAAUUCAGUGGCGAAUUUUGGAGAGGGCAAGGCCGGGCUUCUCAGAAAAAAAUUUAUUUAGUUACAAAAUUAUCUUUAUUGAAACCUAUAUAAAUUUUUUUAUAUUAAUUAGUUAUGUUACCUCUUCAAUUAUCAUCAAAUUCUUGUCUGUUCAUCAUUUGGUGAAUAAAUGUGUGUCUAAAUAAUUUCAAAUAACAUUUAGAACAAAUAUUUUGAGAGGUAAAGCUUAUUUUGUCUCGCAUUAUUAGGUGCAUCUAUAAUUUCUUAUUUACAAAAUUAUAUUGUACGAUAAAAAUUUAUUGAAUUAGGGGAAAAAAAAAAGUUCAGCUCACUCAAAAACAAAAAAUGGUAUUAACUUCGCCACCGCACAAAUCUAGAAUAAUAAUUAUUCCUUAUCAUGCUGGGGAUCCUUUAUACUUUCUAGCCGUAUUGACAGCACCAGGUAAAGCUUUGUAAAAUAAUAAGUUACUCAUUAGUGGUUUUUAAUCUUUUUAAUUCUUUUUACCGCACACCUGAUCAAGAAUUUUAUUUUGUUAACUAAUCAAUUGCAAAGCAUAAAUAAGUGUUGAACGGUACACAAGAUUGGAAAAAAAAAUCUUAAAAAACGCGCGGAUUCGGUAGCCACACCAGAAAUCUAUUACAAUAAUUUCUGGCCGUAUUGAAGUUUUUAAAAUAACAAGUUCCCCUUCUCGUUUUUUUUUUUUAAAUAUAUAAGCUUAUAACAAUUUUAGAAUAAUGACUCAUUUGUAGAAGAAUUUAUGAUUUCCCAUUAAUAUUAAUAUUGAAGUGGGGUGGGUGUCAAAUCUCAAUUGCUUGAAGAAUUUAUUUAUUAUUAUUAAUAUUAUUAAUAUUAUUAAUAUUGAAGUGGGGUGGGUAACGGACCAGCGGUUCACUCAGUUCGUGGCGAAUUAAAUAUUACCAUCCAAGGUAGAAUUGUGGAAAAUUAAAGCAAAAUGACUAGUAUGGAAAGGAAGGCUGAAAGUAAGGCAUGACGAAAGGCUUUGAGAAGGCUGAAGACUACCAAAGAAGUCAACUGAAAGCUAGCUGGGGCCUGAGUGUAUAAAUUGUUAGAUGCGUUUGUUAUAAAUAACAUAGAGCCCUUUUGUUAUUUAUAGUUAUAGAGAAAGAGAGAAUGUGUGUUUUUUAAUAGUUAGAGAUAUAGCUAGAAUGGGUGGCUCAAAAUCCAAAAUGGUGACAAUGUUAGUUCUCAUAUUAAUAAUAUUAGGAGGGGGGGGGGGGGACUCAGGGGAGGUCGAGUGAGGGAUGUUUGGAGCAUGAGAAAUUUGAUCUUUUGCGGCUUAAACAUUUCUUCAAUUCCCCUUAUACACUUCAAAACUGGGUAGGUGAACAAAGGGAAAGGGUUGAAUGCGGCAACUCCACAUGCCAAGUGGUACAACUACACCUUGGCCUUACUAGGAAUAUCGAUCUGGGAGAGUGGUAUCUGAAUGCUUCUCUAUUUACUUCCUUUCAAUAACUUGGUAACAAAAUAGCCGGCUGCAUGCGUUGAGAAUGAAGGUCCUUCAUUUAAUUUAAUUUACUUAAUUUCUCCCUCCUAAUUAAUGUCUAUAACCAUUAGGAGGAACAAAGGAUUUUAUUAACUCAAAUAUAUCUAAUGGAGCUCAUUCUUUGGUGUCUAAACAUUCACUCACCACUUAUUUCAUGUCUGAUUAUAUGUUGAAAAGAUAUUAAAGUAAUUUAACGCAAUUAAGGCUUAGUAUAUUUUUUAUUAGUAGAGUGUAGAACUUUUAAGAAAUAUAUUAUUAAAUUAUUAUAACUAACAUAUUAUUUUAAAGUUGUGUUAUGAAAAAAAUAAAAUAAAAGGACAAAUAUGUAUUUAUACGAAGCUUGUAAAUUUUUUUGUACUGAUAUUUGAAUAUUAUCAAUUAAAAAAAAUUAGGGUAAUGGUCAUGCUGCAUUAUUUUUGUAGCACACAAAAGGACAACACCGUUUAUGUUAUAAUACUAUCGCUCUGUUAUGAUAAUAUUUUCUUUUGUGGCCAAAUAUCAUUUUUUAAGUAAAAAAAAGUGGACAAAAUGCAAAUCAGUUUUUAAUCCUCAGUCUCUCCCAAAAUUUAAAUUCGUAGUUAACAAAACAAAAUUGUUGGAAAACCAUUAAGCUAGGUCCAUGGGUUGUUAAAACUAUAGCUGACAAAAAGUUACUAACAAAAACAGAAUGUCCAUUUUAUAACUUUCUUAAAAAACAUUCCUUAACUUUUUUAAAAAGUUACCAACAAAAAGUUAUUUCCAAUUUUUAUUUUGUUAUAAUUUUUAUAAUAAAAUUCGUAGUUAACUAAACUCUUCUUAUACCCUUUCUCAACUGCCAUACCCUAACCCUGUUCCCCAUUUCCCCACUAAACCACGCUCAAUUAAGGCCAUCAGAUUCUCCCGGGCCCACAUUAAUCCAACUGCUCACAGAGACCGACAGCCUCUCUAUCUCCAUUUCAAGCUCCCUCUUCAACUGGCUUCUGCUACCGUCCUACUCUUUCUCGGCUUCGGAGUCCGUAUUUUCUCGGCCGGUCCCACGAAGCUCCCUCUCACUCCAAUUGUCGCCCCACAAGACCAAUUGCUUAAUCAAGACACCGAACAAGAAGAGGAUGAGAAGUUGAAACAAGAAUUUGAGAAUUGGAAAUAAAAAACGUACGCAUUGACCGUGCCUUUGAGAGUCGUUUCUCUUCAGAACUCAGUGCCUCAAUCUUGGGUUAAGGAUUUUAUGCGAAGUCAAGGAAAGAGAUUGAAGUUUCAGAUGAAUUUGUGCGCUAGCAUUGAUGGGAUCUUUAACAAUUUAUCUGUGCCCUUUAACAAAGUUAAGGCUAAGUCAGCUUCGUAUAUGGCUGCUGAUUUGGUUAGUGUUGGUGAUUCAUGGCUCAGUUUUGCAAUUAAAAAGAGAUUGAUUGAGCCAAUAGCUGGAGCUGAAGAUCAAGAUUGGUUCAAAUGCUUAUGUCACAAAUGGAAGGUAACAUCUUUAUCUUUGACCCGAUCAUUUUUAUUGUCUUUUUAAUUGCAAUGAGAAGAAAUGCCACUGUAGCAUGCAGUGAUGGCACUUAAUAAGUGAGUUGCUAGGAUGUGAACUAGAAAAAUUAAAUAUUGUCUCCUUGGGUAUGCUAGCUCGUAAGUUAGGGUUAAUAUCAGAGCUUAAGGUACUAUAACCGUGAGAAGCUAUUGACUGCCAAUUAAAAUAUCCAUUAAAAUGUCUAGGGAGUUAUGAAGGUGGAGGUAACUACUAAUAAAAAAUAUCCAGUUAACCUCCUGCUCGAUGCAAUUAAUAAAUUUGGUCAAUGCCACUGAAACCUGCUAACUGACAUCACAAUGCGACAUGAGCACUUCAAAAUGGGACAGACGGUCAGUAGCACUAAAUUUUUCUUGCCUAAGAUUGAGCAAUUGGUCUAACUACUAAUCCCUAUUGUAGGUUGAUCAUUAUUUUUUCAAUUAUGUUCAGUUUGACCCAAAAAGUUGCAGAAUCUUGAGCUGAAUAUUGUCACUGAACACUGUCAAUGUCGUUUAGCAUGGCCAACUAACUUGAGUUUGGUAAAACAAACACACAGUGUGUCUCAUGUCUCACAAAUCAAAUUAUCAUCUGUAAUGAUGGAGAAUUUUUCCAAUGUAUGAAGUAUGCUUUGAUACGUGGGUUACCUUGGAGAAGAUAUCUUAAAAUAAAGAAUAUGGGGAGAAAACAGUUCAGUAGUUUAUUAUUCUGUAGUCAAGUUUUGUCUCGAAAAUGGUCAAAAUUUAAAUGAACAAGGACAGGGGAUCUUCAUUCUUUUUUCCCUUUUUUAUACCAAGAUAUCUCUCAACCUUUAUAUAAUCCCCACUGGAUAUCUGCUUCUAAUAAUUAAAAUAAAAAUUUCACCGCUCUAACAAUAAAAAGUAACAUCUUUAGUCAAAUAAUUUACAGUUCCUCAUCAUCUUAGUGUGAGACUAUCAGUACAUUCCAAAAACAUAAUAAAACUGGUUUGAUCCUGUUUAUUGAUGUUUAAAUGUUGUUCAUUGUGACAUGUAGAAAUGAUGAGGCGAAGUUUAUUUGGACAUCAAUUAGUAAGAUCUUGUUUGAAGUUGUUUUCUGAAAUGAACUGCCGAAUGGUAGUUUUUUGGGGGCAUUUGAUGGCUCUUUUUUUUUCCUCAUUUUCAACAUGUGCCUGCUUGGAACAGGAAGGAUUAGACUGCAGAGUUGUUAUAUAUUUUGAGAUGCUCUGGUCAUUGCACAAUUUGUUCACACUGGAAAUUAGAAUGAGAAAUUUGUUGAUGCUGUUUUGAGAGAUCUGCAUUCUAUGCACAAUAACAUGAUUAAUGAAAAUGCAUUGUAGGACUGGAAAGAUCUGUGGCAGCCUGAGCUCGCAGGAAGAAUUUCAAUGGUUAAUUCUCCCCGACAGGUUAUUGGUUCAGUUUUGAAGUAUAGGGGAGCAUCAUACAAUUCAAACGAUAUUGAUUCGCAAGUUGCUGGUGGGAAGAUUGCUGUUCAGCAGAAUCUAGCAUUACUGGCAAACCAGGUACUCUUACAGAAAUGAUAUCUGGUCAUUGCAUGUUAUUGCCUGACAACUGAUUUUGUUUGUACAAGUCUGCUUCUUCAUACAUAUGAAUGCAUAUGUUAGUGUUUUCUUCUCCUUUUCAUACAUAUAAAUGCAUAUGUUAGUGUUGUCUUUUCCUUUUCAUACAUAUUAAUACAUAUGUUGGUGUUCUCUCCUGAGAUGGAUGCAAUAAAGGCUUUUGCUCCUAAAUUUAGCUGAAGAAAUGGCAAGGGAUGUGAGAUUCUGUUUCAUUAAAUUAACAAAAACCCAAAACAAUGAAAAUCCAUAAUAAUGUGGUGUGGGUAAAUUGGCUCCAUUUGGUUCGUUUCCUUAAUGUGAACGCGCGAGCAAUAGAGACUAACAAAAUGAAGUGACAACAAGAAGUCAGUGUCCUUUGAUGGAUGCAUUUUUAGGCAGAAAUAGGUUUGUAAUUGACCAAAUUUGUCUGGCAUGCCAAUUUAAAAAUAAAUAAAUUAUGUGGUUAUUAGCUGUAAUGAAGGGGGAUAGUAGGUGCAAUCAGGUGGAUCCUGGAAAGUUCAACAAAGUUUUGGUAUGGCGUAGUGAAAUUGGUUUGUGCAACUCAGGAGUCUUUCAGGUGAACGAUGAUAGGUUUUGAUUUAUGAAUAUUAUAAAUCUACUGUGCAUAGUAGAAUCAUCUAUAAGUUCUAGUUAUUGAAAUUGUAUACUUUGCCCGGUUUGAGUUAAGGGCACAUGUAAUAUGAAAGAUAGUUGUCGCAUCUUUUAGGUUACCUAACAUUUGAUCAAUCCUAUUAUGGGGGCUUCAAGAUGUCUAACAAUAUGUAGAAUGCCCGUGCUCCUCCCCAUUGUUUAUCUUAUACAAUAAUUUGUUUUAGAUGCUAAUAUCUUUGUCGAUACCGGUAACAAUAUUACAAUAUCUGCGUUUAUUGGGUUUUACAUAGGUUCGACUGUUUGACAGUACACACUAUCUGAAGGCAUUUGCAAUUGGAGAUGUAUGGGUUGCUGUUGGGUGGAGUAGUGAUGUUCUUCCUGCUGUCAAACGUAUGUCUAAUGUUGCUGUUGUUGUUCCCAAGUCUGGUGCUAGCUGCCUGCCAUUCUACUUCGAUAUUCACAUUGUUAUCUCCUUCAUAUUAGCGAUCAGUAAACACGAUAAUGUGACUAAUAAGUUUGUAUUCUCUUUAUAGGCAAUCCCUGCUGCCUCAAGACUUGAAACAAAACAAAUUGGAGGGCGAGUCAGAGGUCCAUCUCCAUUAAUCCAUCAAUGGAUAGAAUUCUGCUUGCAAACAGCGAGAGCAUUGCCUUUCAAGCAAGAGGUUAUCCCGGGUGCAUCUCCCUCUGCCCUUGAAAGUACUCUGGUUAAGUUGCCUGAAGAACUUCUGAAGGGUAAACCAAGUCUGGAUACUAACUUAAUUGCUGGAGUACUCCCGGCUGAAAUUCUGGCCAGAUGUGAGUUUUUGGAGCCAUUAUCUGAAGCUACUUGGUCAUAUUAUGAGUGGCUGGUUGUUAAUCUGCAAAAAGCUGCUCCUGUCUUGAUGAAAAGGGUGCAACAUUACUUGUCAUCAUUAAUCCAAAGCUUUCUAGCAAGAGCUACAUUGAAAAGUUAAUGGCGCUGCAUGCCAAUCAUUAUAAUGCUGUCAGGGCAAUUGGGUCAGGGCAAUUAGGUCAGAGCAUAACUUCAUUAGGAAAAGAGGCUUCAGCUACGUUAAAUAUUACAGGAUGUACUGAGAUGGCUGAAGUCGUUGAGGUUUUACGAGAAACGAAAGAUGAGUGUUUGUUUGAACAAAGUUGUUACUGCAGCGAUUUUGAAUAUGUGCAAGAUGUUGUCCACUGCUCUUUGGGUUAUGGUGUGACUUUCGAUUUCAAGGUUGCCCUGAAACAACGGAAAAGAUUUACAUACCCUCCAAGGAAUGACAACGGCUGGACUAAUUCUGAUCACCUAAUUGACUCAGGAUCGGCUGGCAAUAAUAACAGUUUGUUAACAAUGCACAGUCCCGAGUACUUUUCCAGGAUCAGAUACGACGUGGUCUAAUGUUGAUAAUAAUAGUUUAUUAAAUGACAAAUCGUUGUCCUUGGGUGUUGAUUUCAGAAAUAAAAUACAUUCUGAGGGAUGCUGGUCUACUAUUGCAAGCCCCCAGAGUUAAGAAUCUUUUGAUUGGGGCAUUUGGCAACGAUUCGACAAAUUCUAUUUUCAGCCUCGUCCACCAAGGGAUUCCAACUGAGUUAUCAAUUAUCGUAGCAGUUCUAUUAACUAAAAUUAGCAAAUAUAGCACCAGAAAAAGAACAACAAAUACGCAGUGAAGUUGAAUUGAAAAUGAAGUUGCCGUUGCCGCCCAUAGCGGCUGACUAAUAAUAAAACGAGACAAAUUAAUUAAACUAUUUAUGGUAUGCAAAAACAAACAAAAACCCGUAAAAAAUUUCAAAAAAUUAUUAAUCACACUCUAAACUUACCACUCAACUCUUAAUAAUAGUCAUAAUUUAAAACAAUUUACAACUUUUGAAAACAUUUUCAAAGUUGCCUUUGCCCAAGAGUGGAUUGCCAUGAGGAAAAUCAUUUUCUCAGUGGAUUGCCAUUGCCCAGGAGUUGCAAUGAAAACAGACCACCAACUGUGCCGGAAGAUUCAACUAGCACUGAAAAAGAUGAUAAUGGAUAGUGUCCAUAUAAUUUUUAAAUCAUCUUAUGUAAUUGUGAUGUCAGGAAGCAUUAAUGUUCUAUAUGUGAACUCUUAUUGGCAACAUUGGUGGUUUUAUCCUGUUAAAAUGUGGAUGACUUCCGGUUACUAUUUUGUCGUACACAAUUUUAUUCAAUUAACAUAUAGUUUAAAACCAUUAUGCAUGUAUGUGCUUUAUUAAGAUUCUCAAGUACCAAUCACGUUUGCUUAAGAAAUAAAAUUUUGCCAUUAAAAGUGUAGUAAUAUUUCCAAGCGCCUCGCAUUUAUCUCAAUAUUUUGAAGGAAUUUCGAGAAAUACACGUGUCCAAAAGUCUAGUCAUCAUCCUUACUAUUGGGGUAUUGGUAUUGAAAAGCCCUACGCUAAAUGCAGUUUGUAAGAGGAUGGAGAUAUUUACUGUCGCAAUAUUAUGGAAUAUGCACAAGGAGUUUUUCUAUUGUUCUUUUGAUGUUGCAGCUGUUGGUGCUUUCAAUGUUUCCCUGAAACAUAGCGAAAGAACGCACAUAUUCUUCGUAUGAGUUGAUUUUUAGUGAUUAUCUAAUUGACUGAGGUGACAACAACAGAACGCACAACGUGGAAUUCAAUAAUAAAAUUCUUCCGUUCAAUUUGUUUUUAAGUUAAAUUAUUAAUUACUUAAAACUCUGUUUUUUUAAGUCUUUAAUUUUAUGUGUUGGCGUAUAUGCAAAGUUGGAUUCUUAAGUGAGUUGGACAUGACCUACAAUGAGAGUGACAGUAAACAAACAUUAAAACGUGUGGACUCCGGUAGCUGCCCUACAAGUCUACAAUAAUAAUUUCUAGCCCCGUUGACUCCACCAACUAAAGUUUUUUAAAAUUUAGAAAAGUACAUCGAAUUACACAACAAGCAAAACGCGUGGAAUUUAAUUUUUUGCGAAUAAAAUAUAAUUUAACGAAAAACAACAAGAAAAAUGGUAAGAUUUCUAAAAUGAAUGGAAGUUGAUCCAUAUUUUAGUCAGGGUGCGUUUGAGAUUAAGGUUCUGUAGCUAUAAUUUAAAAGUUGUAGUAUUAAAAUGUUUGGUAAACACUAAUUAUUGUAACUUAAAAGUUAAGUUAAUAUAAUUUUUUAUUUAUAUGAUGAAAAAUUUAUUAUAUCUUUAUUAAUUUUGUCAAAAUUAUUAUUUAAAAUUUACUCAUUUUUGUUUCAUAGUUACAACAUUUUUCCCACAACAACUGUAGCUUAAAAACUAUAGCAUCUCAAUCCCAAACGCACCCUCAAACAACUUGCCUCCAACAUUAAGAUGAUUGAUUUUUUUUAUUUUUUUAAUAAUAUCAACUUCCAUAUCUUUCCAGAAUAUGCUCACGUUCAAGUCUAUCUUGCUAAUUUGAAAAAGAAAAUCAAAUCAAAUCAACACCAAAACAAUGAAAAGUAAAGCUUUUGAAUUUCAAUCCAGCUAGCUAACAUAUUCAGCGUUUUCAAUUUCUUCCCAUUGCAUAUCUUCUUCCUCCAUCAAUGCAAUAUUUGAACGAUAGGAAAGAGUUUAAGAACAUAAAAAAUCUCCUAGGUUUAUAAGGCAUAACAAAUUUAAAUUCUCAAUUUUAAUAGAUAAUAAUUAAACUAAUAAUUAUUUAUAUACUUAUUUUAGUAAUUUCACCUAAGAAUAAUAUUGUAAUUAGAAAAAAUCUAAUAAGUGGGGCGGUUUUAUACAAAAUCAACUGCAUACAUAUAUGCAGAUGCAAAUAAUAAUUUUUUUUUUUUAAUAAGCAAAUUGUAUAUUGAGAGGAAUAAGAUGUUUAAUUUAAUUAAUUUCCUUACUUUCAAGUUUCAUAUACAUUGCCUUUCUAUCUAAAGAAAGGUUGGUGUUCAGAAUGACAUGAAGUUGCGAGUUGCUGCCCAUGGCUACAGAUUAAUAAUAAAACGAGACAAAUUAAUUAAACUCAGGCCUUUAUGUAUAUGUUAUCCUAACUUUAAUCGCUCUUGUUUGUUAAUAUUCAUUCUUAGGGAGGUGAAAAAAUUACAAGUCUUGAAUAACAAGGAGGAGUUUAAUUGCCUCUAACUUUACUUGGCUUUCUUUAAUCUCAUUAAUAAUCAAUCUCCCUGCAAUUUCGUAAGCCAAGCGCAAAAUCAUACAGAGAAUUAAUUAUCUUUUUAUUAUUAAACCAUCUUCAAGAAGAUUUUCGUCAAUUUGCCCCAGAGUGGUUGGAGCUGUGUUUCUGAUAAGCCAAAGAAUUAGUAGCAAUUAGUAUUAAUAUUGUCCACCCAAGAAAUAUGAGUGAAUUAAAGUAUUAGCAAGACUUCAUUGAGAGGAGCCAUCUAUUAACUAAAAUGCGAAUUUAAUACAAGAAGAAAUAGUAUGUACAUACUUGGCAAUUGAGUUCGUUAAGAAGUGGCAUCGCAUUCUGGUGAUGAGUUUACUUUUGUUAAUAAUUUUAGUCUAAUUACAAUCGUACUUUGACCACUACUCAAGCUAAGUGAAAGUUACGGAUGUGGCAAAAUAAAUAAUUAAAUUAACAAAAUGCUAACUAAUUUUCCUGACUAAAUAGAGUUGCACAAUUUCACUAAUUUGGAACAAUUGACAUUAAUGGACUAGUUUUCACCCCAUAUAAUUAAAAUCCUUCUGGAAAGCUAAUUUUUAUUAAGUAUUUGCUUUUAAGUUAAUUUCAAUUAAAAAAAAGGUUUUAAGCUAUAUGUAGUCUAAUGAGAUUUUCUUCGGAACUUUUUUUUUUUGUUUAUUUUUAAUUUCAAGUUACCUUAAUUUUAAGAAUUUGGAACAUUGAUUUGGUCAUGGAUUAAUUUCAACUAGUAACUGUCAUAUUCUAAACUUAAUGGUAUCAUUCUUGAUCAAGGGCAAUGACUCUUAACUCCUCUUAUAAAAAAAAAUAUUUUCGACUAUUUUGAUGACAAACCUCUCUAACAGAUAGUAGUCUUUAAAACUGAUAGAUUUGGCCAAAUUAUUCAUUUUAACGAAAUAUAAUUUAUGCAUCAAAAUUAUCAGGCAUAUGUCCAAUGCAGCACUUUUUUUUCCCUUAAAAAAAAUGAAAUUAUCGGUUAUGCCCCUGAGGCAUUUUCUAGAGUAUAGGUUCUGCUUACCUCUAUUUCUCUUGUAACUUUCUUUUUCAUUUUUUUAAUGAAGUUAAUUAAUAAAAGAACAAGGGAAGGUUUUUCAAUCAUGAUUUUCCAAGUCAUGCAUUAUUUGACUACCGAUCAAUCAAGAAACCGACCAAAUUAAUUUCUCUCCAUGAUUUCCAAAAGCUAGAAAAUUUUAUUAUUUGAAAACAACAUCGUUAAUUAUAGAGUGAAUCAAACCGCAUUAUCGUCUCUCAUGAAACUGAUGUGAGUCAUACUUUUUAAUUACGCAAACCAGUCAACUUGAACUUUCUUAUUUUUAUUAUUAUUAUACCAUUCAUUUCAAUCCCCGAUUAUUUGACCAGCAACUAUCAAGACACCGACCAAAUUUAUUUCUCCAUGACUUCCAAAAACUACAAAAUAACAUCAUUAAUUGGAGUUGAUCAAACCACAGUAUUAUUGUCAUGUAUUAUUGUGUAAAAAGUAACUCAUGAACAAUGAUGCAGAAUCGCAUGAAUAGAUCUCUGCGAACAGAGAUUUCAGAGUUAGUUAAUUAGGUUAAUUAAUUUUCAAAGGUUUUAGUUUUCCUAUACUUACUAAAAUAGAUAUAAAUUUUUAACAAAUCACUUCCAAAUCUCAACAUCACUUGAACGAUUCUUAAAGUAAAUUGUUAAUUAAUUUCCCUGACGUAUACAGCUAAAGUUGUUGCUCCUCCUAAUUAAAUAAAGUCGCAUAAUUUCACCAACUUGGAAGAAUUGACAUUAAUGGACUGGUCCCCUCUCUAGAUGUAAAGUCUUCUUAAAAGAUAAUUUUAUUGCCUGUUUGCUUUUAAGUUAAUUUAUAUUUCGAAAAAAAUGUUUAAGUUACAUAUAUGACGGAGGGAGUCUUUUAAGGACAAUUCCCUUCUUCAAAUAAUAAUGAAAAAGGGGUAAUUUAAAAAUAAAAUAAAUAAGUGUUGAUUAUAUCUUGAAUUUCAUCGAUUAUGUGAUCAAAGUGAUAAUUUUGAUUUAUUUUUUGUUCAAUUUUAAUUUUUAGGUUAUCUUAAUUUGAAGAAUUUAGAAUAUUCGGUCAUAAAUUACGCACAUGUAAAUUUUUCUGCCAUUGACUAUAAUAUUUUAGACUUAAUGGUACCUUUCUUGAUGAAGGGUAAUGAGUCUAUAUUCUCCUCUUAUAAAAACUAUAUUAGUUGAUUCUUGUUAUGGUUAAUAGUCUUUAAGAAUGGAUAGAUUUAUUGACUUCAUAACCAAAUUAUGCCUGCCUAGGGCUGCGACUAUUAAUAAAAUUAAUAUUUAAUGUUUAUGUUAACAGAUUUAAGAUUUUAUGCGUUCAUUAAUUGUUAUUAGCUAAAGGAUGAAUUAUAUUUUCAAGCCAAUCAGUUGAUGCAGCUGCAAGAGUUUUUUUUGUUUUACUGACCAUAAUUUUCUCCCAGGUAAAUCUUCUCAUCAGCCCUCAUUUAUCUUUUAUAAAUUGAAGAUCUCACAUUUUCAAACUAUCACUUCCAAACUUCAGUAUCACUUGAGCCAUUCUUGAACCAUUCAAAACUGAACAAGCUUGGAAAUAACCAAAUAUAUGCAAAAAUCGAAUCACAUUCUUUGGCCCCUCAAAAUUCUAAUUAUAUAACUUCUAUAUAUCUCAUUGUCUGGUCACGAAGAUGGUGGCACAUUAAACUUCUCUUCCAUCAACAUCAUUAGGAAUAUGUUCAUCUCUCACACAUUAACUUGAGUGGAGAGUUUCCAAAUUGAUUGUUAGAAAACAAUGCAAAAGCUAGGCACACUUGAUCUGUCUAAUAAUUCUCUUUCGGUAAAAUUAAUUAAUUUUAGGGGUAUAUUCGGCCAAUCUAUAUAAUUUCAGAUUGAUCAUUAAUUAAUUAGACGAUACAAAUUGCUAAAGUGAUUUGAUUUUUGCUGACAAUACAACUAUACAAGUUCAUGACUUGAAAUUUGAUCUCUAUCGAUUGGUUUACAAAUGGACGUACCUGUGCCUUGUGAUGAUAAUUGAACCAGAGAUGUAAAGCUAUAAGGAUUUGACAGCACUAAAUUGUUACAAAGACAUAAAAACAAGUUCCCAUUAUUAUUACUUUUGGCAAAUGUGUGUAAUUUAAUUUUUGACUAUGUGGACCAAAAUGCAAAUGAAAGAAAAAAAAAAACCAAAGAUGUGGAAGUCUUUGGGCUUUUCUUAUAAUUGUGGGUUUUUCAAAGGGAAAAAAUGAGGACACUUCUAAUGUUUGUUUUGAUAAUUACACAUAUACUGUUUAAUUUUAUAUAUGGGCAUAUAAAUCUUUUUUACAAAUAUAUAUUAUUCAUUUUCUGUAUUAUUUUUUAACAUCAUAUUUUUAUUUAUUAUAAAUAUUUAAAGCUAGUUUUUAGGUUGAUAUUUAAUAAAAGGGUAUAAUCGUUCUUUUACUAAACACACACGCUCCUAGUUCCUAUCCAUUUGUCAUCUCAAUCUCUCUCAAUUAUCCUUUAUUGAUAGCUCAAAACGCGUCAUUGUGGAAAAUUAUAGCAAAACAACAAAUAUGGAAAGAAUGGGAAGAAAAUUAACGCGUGAAAGACUUGGAGAAGACAACCAAAUAAGUCAACUAUAAGCAAGCUGGGUGUAUAAAUUGUUAGAUGUGUUAUAAACAAAUAGCGUAGAGCCCUCUAGUUGGUUACAGAGACAGAAAGAGUAUGUGUAUUUUUUAGAACUUAAAGAUAUAGUUAGAAUGGGUGAUUCAAAAUCAAAAACGGUGAUAAUGUUUGUUCUGUUAUUAAUAAUAUUUGGAGGUGGGUGGAGUGAGGGAUGUUUGGAUCAUGAGAGAUUUGCUCUUUUACGACUAAAACAUUUCUUCACUGAUCCUUAUGAUAAGGGAGCUACUGAUUGUUGUCAGUGGGAAGGGGUUGAGUGCAGCAACACCACAGGGCGAGUGAUAGGACUAUACCUUUCUGAAACGUAUUCGGGAGAGUACUGGUAUCUGAAUGCUUCUUUAUUUACUCCCUUUCAACAACUUGAGUCACUUGAUUUAAGUUGGAACAAUAUAGCCGGUUGUGCUGAGAAUGAAGGUGCUUCGUUUAAUUUAAUUAAUUUACUUCCUCCCUCCUAAUUUAAGUUGAAUAUCAAGAUCGAGCAAUUAUAUGCAUAUUCAUUCAGUUGACAAUUUUGACAAUUUUUUUUAAAUGAUUAAUUUUGAAAUUAGACCAACAACCAUGAUCUGUUUUCAUUUUACUUGCAGGUCUAGAGGGGCUGUCAAGAUUGAACAACCUAAAGAUGCUUGAUUUAAGUGGGAACGCAUUCAACAAUAACGUCUUAUCAUCUCUAGCUCGUCUUUCAUCAUUAAGAUCAUUAUAUUUAUCUGACAAUAGAUUGGAAGGAAGUAUUGAUGUUAAAGGUACAAAAUUAAAACUUCAUCUCUUCUCCGAACACUUCCAUUAACUUGCUAAAUUAAGAUUUAAGGCUUUGAAUUCAAUUUUUUUACGAGUAGUAUUGAAAAAAAAUGGUUAUAAACAAUUCAAAAAUAAAUGUCCACUGUUUCUCAUAAUUUUAUGUUGAACUUUCGUAUGUCUUAACUUUAGGGUUAAAACAAAAUUACUCUAAUUGCCAACCAAACACUCAUAGCUAAUUUAUCUUUUUUUUUAAUUAUUUAAAAGUGAUGAAAUUUAUCUUAUUUUUCGUGAGGUUUGAAACAUUCAACUCAAUUUGUACUCUUUACAGAAUUAGAUUCUUUGAGAGAUUUAGAGGAGCUAGACAUCGGCGGGAACAAGAUUGACAAAUUUAUGGUCUCAAAAGGUACUACAAAUACCAUAAAAAAUGUAAACUUUUACAAAUUAGCUAAAUUGUUUGCCAUUUGGUUAUUAUUUUGCAGGUUUAAGUAAGUUGAAGUCUCUCGGUUUAAGUGGUACGGGAUUCAAAGGGACAUUCGAUGUUCGAGGUAAGACUAAGCCACUUUCUCAUUUUAUAUAUGCCAGCUAGACUUGUGUAUCAUCGACAUAAUUUAAUAUUUAAUUUGAUUAGUCUGAAGGAAUUACAUACUAAUUAAACAUACUUUUAUAUACUCUGUCGAUCAAUUAAUUAAAUGCUAUUUGGUUUGGUUUAGACGAAAUUCUUAUGACAUUUUAAUUUCUUUCAAUUUAUUAAUUAAUUUACUCUGUUUUAAGUCUUAAGUCUGGGUAUGUUUGCAGAAUUCGAUUCCUUCAACAACUUAGAAGUGUUGGACAUGAGCGGCAAUGAAAUCGACAAUCUUGUGGUUCCUCAAGGUAAACAAUUAAAAUAUUAUUCAAUUACAUUAAUUUAAUUCAUUGAUUAGGCAGGCCCAAAAGCUACAAAAAUAAUAGUAAUAAUAAUAAAGAAACAAAGAGUUUAUAAUAAUAAUAAUAAUAAUAAGCUGUUAAUUAAUUAAUUUCGCUGCUACUUCCUUCUAAACAGAGUUGCACAAUUUCACCAUCUUGAAUAUUUGAGAUUGGACUCUUCCUCUCUCCAUAUAAGCCUUCGGCGAUUGCUUGAAGAAUUUGUUUAUUUAUUAUUAAAAUGUUUAAUUUUGAAAUUACCCCAAACACAUGUGAUCUCUGUUUUGAUUUUACUUACAGGUCUAGAGAGGCUAUCAAGAUUGAGCAAGUUGAAGAAGCUUGACUUAAGAGGAAACUUGUGCAAUAAUAGCAUCUUAUCAUCUGUAGCUCGUCUUUCAUCAUUAACGUCAUUACAUUUGUCUCAUAAUAUAUUGCAAGGAAGUAUUGAUGCUAAAGGUACAUAAUUAAAACUUCAUCUCUUCUCCCAACUCUUUCAUUAACAUGCUAAUAUAAGAUUGAAGGCUUUGAAUUCAAUUUUUUUAUGAGCAAUAUUAGAAAAAUAGUUUAAGCAAUUCAUAAAUACAAUUUUCAAUGUUUCUCAUAAUUCCAUCUUGUACUUUCGUAUGUCUCGACUUUAAAAAAAAAAUUACUCUGACUGUGAAGCAAAUACCCCAUGACUAAUUCAUCAUUUUUUCCAGUUAAAAUUGAUAAAAUUUAUCACUCGUUUUUAUUGAUUAAUUAACUCUGUUUUGAGUCUUAAGUCUUGGCGUCUUGGCAUGUUUGCAGAAUUUGAUUCCCUGAGCAAUUUAGAAGAGUUGGACAUCAACGACAACGAAAUAGACAAUGUUGAGGUUUCUCGAGGUAAACAAUUGAAAUAUUAAUUCAAUUACAUUAAUUUAAUUCAUUUGAUUAGGAAAGGCCCAAAAAGUACAAAAACAUUUAAAAAAAUAGAGAAACAGAGAAUUUAUAUUAUUUAAAAAACAGAACGUAACACUAUUAUUUCAAAAAUAGAGUGUAACAAAGAUUCGAUUCCAGUUCUUUUGAUAUUUACAUCAAUUGAAAAACGAUGUUGCUCUUUUUCCAAAGCAUAAAAUACGAAUUGACUCCCAAUUAAACUAAUCAUUUAUUUCGUUUAUCUCUAAAUUUAAACAAUGAAUUUUGAUCUUCAAUCCUAUCCUAAUUACUGUUAAAAAACAGGUUACAGAGGCUUGAGGAAGUUGAAAAGCCUUGAUCUAUCGGGAGUUGGAAUUAGAGAUGGAAACAAGUUGUUACAAUCAAUGGGAUCAUUCCCAUCCCUCAACACUCUUCACUUGGAGUCUAAUAAUUUUACCGCUACACUGACAACUACUCAAGGUAAGUAAAAGGUACAUAUGUAGCCAAUUUUAUAAAUAAAUUGUUAAUUAAUUAAGUAAUUUUCCAUAUUAUUAAUAAAGCUAAAUUCGUUUUUCUUCCUUAUAAUUCUAAACAGAGUUGCACAAUUUCACCAACUUGGAAUAUUUGACAUUGGACGAUUCCUCUCUCCAUAUAAGCCUUCUGCAAAGCAUUGCAUCAUUAUUCCCUUCGUUAAAAAAUCUGUCGAUGUCUGGUUGUGAAGUCAAUGGCGUCCUAAGCGGUCAAGGUAAAAGAAAAGUGUUGAUUGUGAACUCACUCAAUGGUGUCCUACGUGUUCAAAAUUUUUAUUUAUUAAUUUAUUUAUUGUUUAAUGUUUCUGCUAGGUUUUCCUCAUUUCAAGAGUUUGGAACAUUUGGACAUGAGGUUCGCGCGCAUUGCACUCAACACUAGCUUUCUUCAAAUCAUCGGUGAAUCGAUGCCUUCUCUUAAGUACUUAUCACUGUCAGGUUCUACUCUUGGCACUAACAGCAGCAGGAUUCUUGAUCAAGGUUAAUCAGAUGCUCCCACCCUCCCUUCUUAAUCUAUAAUAUUAAUUUUCAAUUAAAUAUUUAAUUACACAAACCAAUCACUUCUAUAUGAAAGAAUACUCUGCAUUUGUUAAUUUUUAUGUUGUAGUGAUGGAUGCAUUAAUAAAUUUUCAGGCCUCUGCCCAUUGGCGCAUCUGCAAGAGUUGUACAUUGAUAAUAAUGAUUUAAGAGGUAGCUUGCCUUGGUGCUUGGCAAAUACGACAUCCCUCCGAAUAUUAGAUGUUUCUUUUAACCAACUUACUGGAAGCAUCUCUUCAUCCCCCCUCGUUCAUUUGACAUCCAUUGAAGAGCUGAGGCUUUCAAACAAUCAUUUCCGGAUCCCAGUUUCACUUGAACCACUUUUCAAUCACUCAAAACUCAAGAUUUUCGAUGCGAAAAAUAACGAAAUAAAUGGAGAAAUAAAUGAGUCACAUUCUUUGACCCCAAAAUUCCAGUUAAAAUCUCUCUCAUUGUCCUCCAAUUACGGGGAUAGUGUCACAUUCCCCAAAUUCCUUUACCAUCAACAUGAACUGAAGGAAGCUGAACUCUCACACAUUAAGAUGAUUGGAGAAUUUCCAAAUUGGUUGUUGGAAAACAACACAAAAUUAGAAUUUCUUUACCUCGUGAAUGAUUCUCUUGCAGGACCUUUCCGCUUGCCAAUUCAUUCACAUAAGCGGUUAAGAUUCUUAGAUGUCUCCAACAACAACUUCCAAGGCCACAUUCCAGUAGAAAUUGGAGAUAUUUUACCAAGUUUAGUUUAUUUCAACAUUUCCAUGAAUGCUUUGGAUGGUAGCAUUCCCUCCUCAUUUGGCAACGUAAUCUUCCUCCAAUUUCUGGACUUAUCCAAUAAUAAAUUGACUGGUGAAAUCCCUGAUCACUUGGCCAUGUGUUGCGUCAACUUGGAGUUUCUUUCGCUAUCAAACAACAGCCUAAAAGGUCACAUCUUCUCCAGAAUUUUUAGCUUGAGAAACUUGAGAUGGUUACUAUUGGAGGGCAAUCACUUCGUAGGAGAGAUCCCACAAAGUUUGUCUAAAUGCUCCUCAUUAAAAGGAUUGUAUCUUAAUAAUAACAAUCUCUCGGGCAAGAUUCCACGAUGGUUGGGUAAUCUCAAAGGGUUACAACAUAUUGUAAUGCCCAAGAAUCAUCUUGAAGGUCCUAUUCCAGUGGAGUUUUGUCGGCUUGAUUCGCUUCAGAUUUUGGACAUUUCAGACAACAACAUAUCUGGAAGUUUACCAUCUUGUUUCUAUCCUCUUUCUAUCAAACAAGUUCACCUAUCGAAAAAUAUGUUACAUGGACAACUAAAAGAAGGUACAUUUUUUAAUUGCUCUUCCCUUGUGACGUUAGAUCUUAGCUAUAACUACUUGAACGGGAGCAUUCCAGAUUGGAUUGAUGGGCUUUCUCAGUUAAGCCACCUUAACUUGGCUCACAAUAACCUUGAAGGUGAAGUGCCAAUUCAAUUGUGCAGAUUAAACCAACUGCAAUUGUUAGAUCUUUCUGAUAAUAAUCUUCACGGUCUUAUUCCUUCUUGCUUUGAUAACACCACACUUCAUGAAAGUUACAACAAUAAUUCUAGUCCUGACAAGCCAUUUAAAACAUCUUUUUCCAUCAGUGGUCCUCAGGGAAGUGUAGAAAAGAAAAUCCUUGAAAUUUUUGAAUUCACAACAAAGAACAUUGCCUACGCUUACCAAGGAAGAGUGCUUAGCCUCCUAUCAGGACUUGAUCUUUCUUGUAAUAAGCUAGUUGGUCAUAUUCCUCCUCAAAUUGGAAAUUUGACCAGGAUUCAAACAUUGAAUCUAUCACACAACAACUUGACAGGAACAAUCCCUUUAACUUUUUCAAACUUGAGGCAUAUCGAAAGUUUGGAUCUUUCCUAUAACAAAUUGAGUGGGAAAAUCCCUCGUCAACUUGUGGAUUUAAAUACAUUAGCUAUUUUUAUUGUGGCAUACAAUAACUUAUCAGGCAAGAUCCCAGAAUGGACUGCACAAUUUGCAACCUUCAACAAGAGUAGCUAUGAUGGAAAUCCUUUUCUUUGUGGACUACCAUUGCCUAUCUGCAGAUCACUAGCAACUAUGUCGGAGGCUUCAACUAGCAAUGAAGGGGAUGAUAAUUUAAUUGACAUGGACAGUUUCUUUAUCACAUUUACAAUAUCAUACGUAAUUGUGAUAUUCGGAAUCGUUGUUGUUCUAUAUGUGAAUCCUUAUUGGCGACGUAGGUGGCUUUAUCUUGUUGAAAUGUGGAUAACGUCUUGUUACUAUUUUGUCAUAGACAAUCUUAUUCCAACAAGAUUUUGUCAUUGAAAUUAAUAUGUAGUUUAAUUAAGAUCCUUUAAGUUCUAAACAAGUUUGCUUAAGAAAUAAUUUAUUUUUUAAGUACUAAUCAAGUUUGGUUAAGAAAUAAUUUUUUUUUUAUAUUGAAAUUGUAGUAGUAUUGAGCACUAUAUAGCUUCCAACUUCCAAGAACCUAGCAUGUCUCCACACUUAGAAAGCUGGGUGAUUAUGCUUUGCAGAUCUAGAUUUGAAGUAGGAUGGUCCCAAACCCAUAUCUAUGUAUUGUAGCUUACCUAUGAUGUCCAACAUACUUAAACGAGAGCACCAUCUCUAAUGUUAAUAAUAGCCGCUAUAUAGGAUCCUUUUGGAAACUAUAUUCAGAAUCGUUUUAUAAUCAUACAUAGGAAAUGAAAAAUCUUACUGCAAUUGGUUGCCUAUUUUACUCUGAACAAGAACGAUUAUGGCGUUAACAUCAUCUUCUUCACUAGUAGCAUUAACAUCAAACCACGGGAUAGACCCAGACAUUUCAUCAAGAAAGGCAUACAUCUAAUAAAGUUGAAGCUUUGACAAAAAAUUCAAUGGAAGGUCAAUGUCUCGCCACAACAAAGGGCACAACAACAUCAUUCUAGAAGAGAUGAAGCAAUAUUCUCAAAGCUAAAGCUCUCAAAUACACCACACAAUAAUUUCAUAUCUCCUCAUCGAUUUCAAAAACUAAAGAUAAUUAGGAUUUAACAUUGGUUUGUUAUAUAUUAGUUUCAUAAUUUAAAAGCCAAUGAAGAUGAAGAUUAUGCCAAUGAAUUCAAAUUAUACCAUACAUUCUCCGGAUAUCACAAAAAAUUUACAAGUCAAUCCCACAUAUUUCAUAACUUAAAGACUGGAAAGUUUCAUUAGUUAGAAGUUUCAUUACCUUUAAGUAGAAGAUGAAGAAGAACAUUAUGCAAGUGAUUAAGAUUAUAUUAUACAUUCUCCGAAUGCAACUAGAAAUUAACAAGUUCAUGCCACAUAUUCGAUAACAUUAUGAUUGAAAAGCUUGAUAAGGACUUGAGAAAUUCUGAAUUCAACCUUCUGCACUAAGGUUAUUUGAUUGAUUUGAGCUACUUUGUGAUUAAGCUACUAGUACAACAUUUAAUUCAGGGAGGAAAUAAAUUAAAAUUUGGUAGAAAUAGUAAUAAAAAUUUGUUGCUAAACAUGAUGUGCAGUUUUUUUUCUUAAGGCAAUUUGGAAACACAGUUGUUAGUAAAUAUAUUCUCCUCAACUUGGAGAUAAAUACAUAUAUGAAAAUGCCUACGAUCAGAUAAAUACAGAUAUGAAAAUGCAUAUUGUUUGGAAUUUAGAUCUAUUAGAAAUAGAUGUAGGUAAUUAAAAAUUAAAAAUUAAAAAUUAACAGCUUAAUUAUUUCCGGAAGUACUGUUCACUGUUACUGUUCAUGAAUACUGUUCAUCCGCAUAAAAAAUAUUAAUUUUCCAAAAACAUAAUAAAAUGCAGAAAAUAAAUGACACGGAGAUUUUUACGUGGUUCAGAUUAACCAAUCCUACAUCCAUGAGGCCACGCCUAGAUAAAAAGCAAUUCACUAAGUUGAGAUGUUACAACCUAUGGAUUUACCAAACUUAAUACUCUCACUUACAGUUUAUCACCAUACAGUUUACUCAACCUUAGACUAAAUCUGCUUCUCUUGAAUAAUCGCUACCCCUCUUGAUCCACGAUCCUUAAGGCACUUCGCAAAGUGAUCAAUAGCAAUUCUUCAAUUCUUCAAAGUCUAGUGAUCCAAGAUCCACAUAGACUCUCCGCAGAGAUGAACAGAAGAUAAGAAAACAAAUCAACAUAACAUGAUGCGCCAAAUCCAGAUUCUCUGGGGAGGACGCCGAAUUUUGCUUCUGUGCUUUAUGCUCUGUGUUGUGCCAUCUUCAAUUGUGAAAUACCUCUCUUUAUAUAGGCACUAGGAUUUCACCAAAAUAGCAAGUCUUAAAAGACUUGGAUUCUUUCCAAAUAAGAGUUUCUUUCCUCUUAUAAUUCCCAUGAAUUUGAAUAGGAAUAAAUCUGAUCUUCUUGCCUUGCUUGUCUCCCAAGAAAUAUCUAGAGCAUUUAAUGACUUCCUGUUUGAACCAACUUUUAGCUCUAAAUAAAUCUCAUGCGCCAAUUAUAGAAUCCCACCAUUAAUUGACUUGCUAAAAUAGACAUCUAAUUAAAUUAGGAAACAAAUAUUCCUAAUAAAUUGGAAUCUCACUAAAUUAGGGAAUUAAUAAAUUAAUCCCUAUUACAAGAUAUGCAAUAAAUAAACUUCUAAUUUAAUUAGACUUGCCAUAAAAUAUCAACUCUAUAAAUAAUGACCUUAACACAUAUGAUCACACAUAUUACUUGCAACUUAGCAAGAUUUAAUUAAGGGGAGCAAUCAAACCACUUAUCAGUUGUCGUAGUUGUUCUAUAAUCUAAAAUGGCAAUAUAACACAAGAAAAAGAUAACAUAUAGAUACUUGGCAAGGGUUCAUUAAGAAGUCGCAUCACAUUCGGGUGAUGAGUUUGCUUCUGAUAUCUUGCUAGCUGCGGCUUUCUCCUGUCUUUCUACUCAUGCUGAGGGAAACCAACAAGCCUUGCCUUUGCAUUCACCUUCCGACCAUCUAGGAGGAGCCACCUUGAGAAUUUAUAGCCAAAAAGGGUGAAUAAAACAGAAGUUGACCAUUCAAAGACUUGAGGUGAAAUAAUUGAAGCAAAAUAGGAUAAUUCUUUGACUUAGAAAGAGUGAAUUAGUUGUAAUUACUCAAAUAACUGCAUUAACCAUGGAAGUUUAACAAGAUAUAAAUUCACGUGAAAUUCUUAAAUGAAAAUAUAAGAUUAGGGCUCCUCAAUUUGCUUUUAAAUCAGCUAGACAGCUAAGAGUGUUUUGUAGGUGAAAGUAGUUUGUAUAAGCAUAUAUUUAAUUUUUUAGCAAUUCAGUAAGAGUUAAAUCCUUCUUAAUCAUCAAAAUAUGCAGAUUUAUUGCGCCCCUUUGAACAAAGAAUAUAGCAAUUUCAUUAGGAUUUAUUGUCAAAUUAGGCAAUGCACAACAAAGAUUUUUUUAAAAACAAAUCACCUAUUAAAAGAACACACAUAUAAAGUAUCCACAAAAUUACUCCAUUCUACAACGAAUUAUAAAUUGCUCUCUCACUUGUAUUUUCUCUCUCUUCCAUCAAUCCGUUUAUCUUAUCAAUACAAGAAAAAAAAGAAUACUUGACAUUUUUUAUUUGACAAUUUUUAAGAAAUAUCAAAUAUAUAUGACAUUUUGUGAAAAAUUGAGUAAUUGUGAAAUAUAAAUGACAAUUUAUUUAAACGUCAAAUACUAAUGAUGUUUUACCAAAUAAGUAGAAAAUAUAUUAUAUUUUUAUUGAAUAAUUACCAUUUACCUUUUCCUUUUAUUGACUUAAGAAAAAAACAAAAAACGCACUAUACUGCCUUUGUCUCGUUCUUAGAACAUAUUUGUUUCUUUUAAGAAAAUUCAAACUCGUUCCCCUUGCUUUCUUUUCAAUAAUCACCUCACAUUUUUAUCAAUCACUCAAUUUCGAAUUUCAUCUCAAUCCUCUCUCGAAGAAGAACGCACAAAGAAUUUCAGCUUGCUUUAGCCUCAUUUGCUUCUCGAAUUUCAGGUAUUGUUUCCUUUAAUUUUGAUAAUUUGUUUCUACUUCUCUCUUUCUGGUUUGAUAAUUUUAGGGUCAUAGUUGAAUUAUUUGUAUUUUUAAACAAUCUAGGGUUGAUUUAAUUGAUUCCAAGUGUCGUAUCUGUUCUGCUAUUUGAAUGCACAUUACUUGUUUGAUGAAAUGUCUCUUUAAAAGAUUAUUUUUUUUAACAAGCAUCUUAUUGAGAUGUUUCUCGUGAUAAUAUUAACGUAAUGCACUUAGCUUCAAUUUGGUAUGUUUAAUACAUUUUAACAAAGGAAAAUUACAGAACUGCAACAAUUCUCAAAUUGCUUGCAGAUUAGAAGUAAUGUUAUUGAUUUUUAUUAAUUAAUGAGAUUUUUAUUUAUUGAGUCUGUAAACUCACUAUAAGAAGUGAUUAUUGCUAUAAUUUGGUCUGUUUCAUACAUUUUCAUUCUCAUUAUAAAUGACGGUCAACUCUCAUUUUUUUCAUCAAUCACUCAAUUUUAAAUUUCAUCUCCAUUCUCUCUCGAAGAAGGACCCACGAAGAAGUUCAGCUUGCUUCAGCUUCAUUUGCUUCUUGAAUUUCAGGUAUUUUUCUUUUAAUUUUGAUAAUUUUUUUUAAUUCUCUCUUUCUAGUUUGAUAAUUUUAGUGUUAUACUUGAAUUAAUUGUAUUUUUAAUUGAUACUAAGUCUUAUAUCUGUUCUCAUUCAACAAAGAAAGAACGCACAAAUAAUUUUCACUUUCAUUCUCAAUUUUGAAAGAAUCAAUUUAUUUUAUAAACUAUAUUAGACACACUCUAGUUGCUUAAUUAGUAAAAUUGUAAGCUCAUUGCCUUAUUUUUUGGGGUUAAUUCUAUAAUUUUAUCAGUUGUUCUUGUGGUUGCAAACAAUAUCAUUUUUUAAUAUUAAUAAAACUAAAUGAAUAUUAUGUGAUACAUUUGCAGGAAAGUUAAUAGUUUAAAUAUGGAUAAAUCUUGGAUGUUGAUGGAUAGAAGGUUUAUAGAAUAUGAAAAUGGGGUAAAUGAGUUUCUCAAGUUUGCAAUACUUCAUGCUAGUAAUCCUGAACUUUUAAGAUGUCCAUGCCAAGCAUGUGGUAAUUUGGUCUUUCAUGUACCUGUUGAGAUAAGAAAUCAUCUUUAUUGGAAAUGUAUUGACCAAAGCUAUCAGACAUGGACUUGGCAUGGAGAAAGAGCUUCUAGUAGACGACCAUCAAAUGUAAAAGCUUCAUUUGAUGGCAGUCAACAAGAUGAUGAAGCUGCUGAUACAGUAGAAAUGGUUAAUGGUGCAUUUGACACUUGUAAUGGUGACCCCAAGUCUUUCGAAACUCUACUUAAAGAUGCUGAAAAACCUUUGUUUCCUGGCUGUGUGAAAUUCACUAAGUUAUCGGCCUUAAUAAGGCUUUACAACAUUAAAGGAAGAAAUGGAUGGUCAAACAAAAGUUUUUCAGAUUUACUAAGUUGUUUAUCAGAUAUGCUUCCUGAUAAAAAUGAAAUACCUUUAUCUGUAUAUGAAGCAAAGACGAUUAUGGUUGCAUUAGGCUUAGAAUAUGAAAAAAUACAUGCAUGUCCCAACGAUUGCAUCCUAUAUAGAAAAGAAUAUAAGGAUUUAUCUGCAAGUCCCACUUGUGGAAUGUCAAGAUGGAAGAGUCCCAAUAAAAGUAAGGGAAUUCCUGCUAAAAUCUUAUGGUAUUUUCCUCCUAUACCAAGGUUUAAGAGGAUGUUUCAAUCUCUUCGAAUCGCAAAAGACUUAACUUGGCAUGCCAAUGAAAGGGUGAUUGAUGGCAAACUACGUCACCCAGCUGACUCACUGUCAUGGAGGCUAAUGGGCCAAAAAUGGCUAGAUUUCGCUGCAGAAGAAAGAAAUCUUUGGCUGGCUAUUUCUACAGAUGGGAUAAAUCCCCAUAAAACUUUCGCAGUUCGUAUAGUUGUUGGCCAAUUGUUAUGAUUACUUAUAAUCUUCCUCCUUAGUUAUGCAUGAAGAGAAAAUUCAUGAUGUUGACUAUGCUAAUAUCUGGUCCACGACAGCCCGGUAACGAUAUUGAUGUCUAUUUGUCACAACUGAUUGAUGACUUGAAAACUUUGUGGGAAGUUGGUGUCCAAAUUUAUGAUGCAUAUAGACAAGAAUUAUUUACUCUACGGGCUGUCUUGUUGUGGACAAUUAGUGAUUUUCCUACUUAUGGGAACUUGUCUGGAUGCUCAAUUAAAGGAUAUUUUGCAUGUCCUAUAUGUGGGAAAGAUACACAGUCCUAUAGACUUAAGCAUGGGAAGAAAAAUGUGUACAUGCGCCAUAGGCGAUAUCUCCCAGAAUCUCACUUGUUUCGAGAUUUAACAAAGGCUUUUGAUGGUAAACCAGAAAGAGACUUUCCUUUUAAGCCGUUAAGUGGUGAAGAAACAUUAAGAAAGGUUGAAGGGAUUCAAAACUCAUGGGGGAAGAAAACUAGAAAGCGUAAAAAAUUAGAUUCUGAUGAAAAAAUUUGCUGGAAAAAGAAAUCAAUAUUUUUUUCUCUCCAGUAUUGGAAACAUUUGCAUGUUCGCCAUAUGUUAGAUGUAAUGCACAUUGAAAACAAUGUGUGCGAAAGUAUAUAUGGUACAUUAUUGAACAUUCCAGGAAAAGCAAAAGAUGGACUUAAUUCUUGGUUGGACCUUGUUGAUUUCAAUAUUAGGAAAGAAUUAGAAGGGAAUCACACUUAUUUACCUGCUGCAUGUUAUUCAUUGACUAGAGCGGAAAAAGUAAUGUUUUGCGAAACAUUAUUUAAUCUGAAGGUUCCUGAAGAAUACUGUUCAAACUUUAAAAAUCUUGUAUCAAUGAGUGAUUUAAAGCUUAUUAGGUUGAAAUCUCAUGAUUGUCAUGCUUUGAUGCAACAACUCCUACCAUUGGCUAUUCGAGGAAUUUUGCCAUAACAUGUUAGAUAUGCCAUCACUAGAUUUUGCUUUUUCUUCAAUGAUCUUUGUAGCAAAGUUGUGGAUGUAGAGAAGUUAAACCAAAUACAAAAGGAUCUUGUGGUCACAAUUAAUUUAUUUAAAAUGUAUUUCCUUCCUGAAUUUUUUGAUAUCAUGGUUCAUUUAAUUGUGCAUCUUGUUAGAGAAGUCAGAUUAUGUGGGCCUGUAUAUCUUAGAUGGAUGUAUCCCUUUGAAAGAUUUUUAAAAGAUCUAAAAGGGUAUGUGCGGAAUAAAAAUCAUCCCGAAGGUUGUAUUGCUGAAUGUUACAUUGUAGAGGAGGCAUUGCACAGAAUAUUUACCCAAUGUGGAUCCAAUUGGAAUUCCAAUUGCAAGGACGAAUAAUAUAGAAACUGAGGGUCCGCUUCUUGGUGGUCGUUUAAGUGAUAUUGAUCGCGACGAAUGGAAGCAAGCACACCAUUAUGUUUUGCGAAACACACAAGCAGUUCAACCUUACAUUGAGUAAGUUUUCUUAUCUUAACUUUAUUAAAACCAUGUAGAUUCAUCACUAAUAUAUUCGUUUUAUUAUGAAUCUUAAUCUUAGGAUGCAUAUGACAUGGUUGAAAUUGAAUUAUCCUCGCCAAUCUAAAAACAAGAAGUGGUUACGAGAUGAACAUGCUCGAAACUUCAUUUACUGGUUACAAGAAAAUGUUUAAUAAACUAUUUCCUUUUAUUUCUGAAAUUUCUAUAAAAUGUUAUGUAUAGGCAUAAUUUCAACUAUUUUCUUUUCUAAAUUUUAUAGGUUUCAAAUGGUAACGAUAAUCAGUCAUCCAAAUCAUCUUUAUUGAAAUGGCUAGUACAAGGACAUUGGCCUCAUGCAUUCUUAUAUCCUGGUUAUCUUAUUAAUAAUUACCGUUUUCACAUAAAAGAUCGUGAUAAUGAUAAAACCACUCAAAAUAGUGGAGUGACUCUUGUAGCUGAAACAGAGCAAAUUACAAGUGCCAAGGACAAGAAUCCUAUUUUUGGAGAAAUGCCUUACUAUGGAGUCAUUAAAGAGAUAUGGGUGCUCGAAUAUCACAUGAUCCAAAUUCCCAUAUUUAAGUGUGAUUGGGUUGAGAGUCAUAGUGGUGUUAAAGUUGAUGAGCUUAGGACAAUCUUAGUUGACCUUAAUCGUAUAGGUCAUAAAUCAGAUCGUUUUAUUCUAGCCUCACAAGCAAAGCAAGUCUUUAACUGACCAACUAGAUCCAAGGUGGUCAGUUGUACUCCAUUUCCCUAAAAUGAUGCCAAAUCCUGAAAAUUUUGAGAAAGGGGAGAAGGACAGUAAGAAUUACAAGCGUGAUGAUGGUGAGAAGAUCUGGAUUCAUAAUAAAACAAUUAGGAAAGCUUAAUUGUUUGUGUUGUAAAGUAAGAAUGUAGUUUAUUGUUUCUGAAUUUUAAUGAUUUCACUUCUUUGCUUAUUUAAAUUAAUUAUAGUUAAUGAUGUCCUAAUAGCUAAAUUAUCUAUUGAUAUGUGACAAAUGAGUACUUAAUAUUGGAUUGUGCUUUUGCAGGAUUAUGACCAUGGAGGAAUAUGAUGAUGAUAUUAUGUCCAUGGAUGAUAUAGAUGAUGUUGAUGCUGAUGUAGAAGAUCUUGAUUUAGAAGACUUUGAUACUAAUAAGAAGAUACAUAAGACUAGAGGAAUUGUCAAGAUGGAGAGUGUUACUAAGAAUCGUAGUGAUGGGAAGAGAGAGAGUUAGAUUUAAUAGCGAUGGACAAUUGGUGGGUGAAGAGAGACAUAAUGUUAUUAGUACAAUUGGUGCUGUCACUAAGACAUUAGUUUCCAUUCUUUCGAUGGAUUUGCGAAAAGUACCAAAGAAUUCAAAAGAAAAAAAAUAUGGGAAUACAUUCAGGUAUGCUUUAUAAACAUAUUAUGCAUUUUGCAAAGGCAUGAAAAUUUUUUUUAAACUGUCUUUAUAUUUCAUGUCUUACAGAGUUCGUUUGAUGUGGAUGAUCGAUUUAAAAGACAAUGUUUGCAAAUUGCUUGAAGUUCAUUUCGUUCUUUUAGAUAUAAUCUCACACAACAUGUAAAAAAAUACAAAGCCUAUCCAAAUCGUUUGCGUAACCCACCACUAUUGUACUCUUUCAUACAAAAAGGUCAUUGGGAUGCAUUUGUUAAUGAUCGAUUAUCUAAAGAAUUUAAGGUAAUCCUUUUUUAUUAUUGUGAACAUUAUUUUUUUAUAUUUUAUUUAUGUCAAUGCUAAUAAACAUAUGUAUUAUAUGCAUUAGACACUUAGUGGCCUUCAAAAAGAAAGACGAGCACUAAAUCUUUACAACCAUCACCUUGGUUGAAAAGGUUAUAAUGGAUUAGAAGAAGAAAUAGUAAGUAUUUUUUUCAUAAAAAAUUAUAAUUAUUUUUAGCAGUUGAUGUAUGUUUAACAUUGGUCACAUUGCUAUUGGAAUUAGAAAAAAGAAUGUGGAAAUCCCAAUUUGAAAGUGGAUAGAAGUGUAGCAUGGAAAAGGGCUCGUCAAAACCCAAAUGGUGGAUAUCAUCUGGUUGUGAUACCUGUUGUGGAUACAAUUGUAAGUAUAAUAUUCUUUGAGCAAUUUUCCAUCAAUUCCUUGUAUGUUGCAUGAAUAAUCACUACUAGAAAAACAGGCUACCAUGACAGAGAGUAUCUGUCAUCCGACCCCCCUUAUGAGUUAUGACAGAGUUUUCAUCUAUCAUUGUAGCCCUUGUGAUAAAUCCGAGACAAUAUUUUAUCUAUCACAUGUUCCCAUGACAGUGUAUAUCUAUCACGCAUACAUCACGAACCAAGCGAUGUCGUUUUGCAAGGCUUUUGAGAAUUAGUUGGAAAUUUUAGCAAGUAAUUUAAAUUAUAUUGAAUUUGGUGGGCUUUUUCAAAAUCUUUCAUAUAUUAAUGAUUCACAUUCUCUGUCAUGAGAUUUAAGGUUUUAAAAAAUAAAAUUAUUAUUUUUAAUUUUGAAAUUAUAAUAAUACUAAUUAAUAUUAUUUAAAUUCCAAAAUUUUGAAAUAGAAAUAACAAAAGCCACAUUUUAAAAUUUGAAUUAACUGAAAUAAAAAUUACAUUCAAAUUCAUAAAAACUAUCGAAUACCAAAUAUCACCAUAUACUAAAAAUUUCAAUUACUUGAAACUUCCAACAAAUAGCAUCAUCAAAAUACGUGGUGAAUCAAAUCCGUAACAAUAGCUCAUAAAUUCUCUACAAUAUUCAAUCACUACCCCAUCAUUAGAAAAACAAUUAAUCUGGAAAAAGAACACUGAUAGUAAAUUCACAAGAGCCACCAACAUCACCUGAAACACAUAUUACAUUUAGAUGAGUGCCAGAAGAAUAUAUAUUAGCGUAUUGGCCACUUACAAUUAAUCCAAUUCAUGAUGAAGUAUUUUUCCAAGAUUACAAAUUAAUUAAUGCACAACAUCUAACAACAUAAAACCUCUGUUACAUAAUUAAAUAAAAUUCAUCAAAAUUCUAUCCUCUAUCCUCUUCUCUUGAUUCCCCUGUUCUCCUAAAGUUUCACCAUCCUUUUCUUUAUUUCUACUCUUUUUUUUUUCAAUCUUCUCUUUAUUUUUCUUCCACUGUACUUGUUCAAAUUUGUAUAUCAAUCUAAGUUCUAAAACACAUAUAUUACACUGAGACUCCAAGCAACGCAAAUCCAUUUAACUUGUUCAUUAGGGCAAGACAAUCUUGGCUAAGAAGCAGCAUGUGGAAGUAUUUCAAAAUGACUAGAGAAAGACUUGCUCUAGAACUAUGGAAAUUAGCAUAUAAAAAGAAAUAGAAAAACACUAAAUAAACAAACCACCCAAAGAUUUCAUCACAUAAAGCAAGGGCAAAUUAUGUGAGAUUUCAUCACAUCAUCACAUGAAGCAAGGGCAAAAUUAUUAUCACAUCCCACUUCACACAACUCAUUACAUACCUUACCUCAUGGCAUUACCUCAAGAACAAAUACUCUGAAAAAUCACGGAUAUCAUUUGGCCUGGAAUGAUCAGCAGAAAACAAAAACGUUAACAAAGUGCUGCAGCAAUGAUAUCAGCACAAUUUCAAACUUAGAUAGAAUCUCACUUGGGGAGUCCAAUAUUCUCAUCAAACCUUUGACUUUUAUAAAAUUUCACCAGAUGGAGCAAACCAGCUCAAUCAAUUUCCUAUACAAUAGUGUGUAUUUAUCAUAUAUCAAUAUUGAGAACUGGUAAGUGCAACAUGGUCCACAAACCAAAACAUUUCCAAUUAAUAAAGCACAAUAUGUGACAAAUCAAAUAAAAAAAAAAAAUCUUCCAAAAAGUUCAACAUGUCAAUUAAGAGAAAAAUUAUAGGAUUCAUAUCAGUGCAUCCAUAAAUGGCCUAGUUUCUCUGUCAACAAGUUAGUUAUAAGCACAAGUCAAAAUAAAUCAUUUCACUGAAAUGCUAGAAGACCAAGCAAAUAAGCACAAUCACCACCACACAAAGCAUUUGCAUUUCCAAAAAUGUAGUUCACAAAGAUUUUACAGAAGAUAUCUUUCUAAUAGAAAAACACAAGCACCAAUCAAUUGUAAUGGGUUUGAGAACUACGAAAGUAAUUUUCACAGUUGAAGAAUAGUUUCUCACAAAAAUUCACUUUAUGCGAAUACCUCUGGUGAAUAGAUUUUGCAUACAUUUUGGUAACAUACAAUAUUGGACCUACCAUGUGCUCAAUAUAUUUAAUAAAUAAAGGUGAGAAUAAUAACAAUACCUUAGAUAUUGUAUUAGCUAAGGCAAACGUUGCUUCAAUCCGAACUCUUCAAAAGGCCUAGAAACAACAGAAAAAUUCCUUAAUUGUAUUUCAUUAAAAGUAAGUCAAAUCAAAACCACAUAUACCUCUAAAUUUGGUUAACUUGUCACUAAGGAAAUUAUUCAGUGUGCCAACAACAUUGAAAGAAAGACAGGGCAGAGAGUCUAGACUGCUGUAAUUGGUCGUACCUGAGCAACAACAUCUCCAUUCUUCUCUAAUUGAUUUAUCUAAUAAAUCAAAAUAGUCAUGCAAGAUUGUUAUCCAGUUAAUUAAGUAAACAUUGUUAAAAGUUUGUAUCGUCACCAUCUACUCAAUAAAGAACAAUAAAGAAGUAAAAACAGAGAAGCCAUCACUCCACACCCAAAAAGUUUCUCUCACUUUCUCGCCAGCCAAACACUCCUUUUCCUCCCUCAAAACCUCGUCUUACCACUCAAAACUCACUAAAUUUCAGCUCAAAUUCUGUUACAAUUUUACCCUAAGUCGAAGACGUAGCAGCUAACUCACCGUCUUUCUGACGUCGCCAACUCCUCGCAGUACAAUCUUCUCCGAUCCGACUCCACGUAAAUAGCACGCUGCCACUCACUUGUCACGGAAUCGUUCCACGAAGGCCGUAAAGCGGAGUCAUUGGCACGUUAGUCCACGAACUCGAAGUCAGUCCCUUAAGGCCAUGGAGCGGCUUUAUUUUUUUCCUUUUUUUGGCAUAAUUUUAGGGAUUUUGAUAAAUUUAUGUCGAUGGUUGUCUCUUUAAAAAAAAAGAACUCAUCACUUACCUCUCGCGAAAGAAGUCAAUAACAAUGGCUCGAACUUGAAGAAUAUCGGUUGUUCAAGCUAUAAAAUCUUAGUUAAAGAAAACAAACAAAGGGAAAUGGGAAUAGCUAGCAAGCAGUGGAGUGGGGAUGAAGAUGACGACAAAUAUGAACAACAGCAAUUUGUUGUCGGCAAGUGUGAUAGUGUAUUUUUGUGUGAUUCGGUUUGGAUGUAGAGAUUAGGGUUUUCUGUGUGAAGUUCAAAAGAGUGUCCAAUACUCUUAGAUUUUUUUUUAAAGGCUUCAAGACACGGUGUCGUUCAAUGCCCAAAUUGGCCAAUCUUAAACUCACCGUUUCAUUACUAUAUGAAUAUGCUAUCAUGUGCAAGUGACAGAUAAAGAAACUAUCACAAAUCUAUCAUGCAUUGCUGAUAUAUGAAAAUUCUAUGAAAAUUCUAUCAUGUGCGUGUCAUAUUUUUGUGAUAAAUGACUAAUUUUCUGAUAUCUAUCACAAAAAUUCUGUCAUAGUAGCCUAUUUUUCUUGUAGUGAAUGGUCUUAUAUUCUUGUAGGAUGAGUUGACCCAGCUAGCAAAAUUAGGGGUUAUAACCACAUCUAGUGAGAAUGAUAUUUUGGCCCAAGCAUUAAAGAAGCCUGAGCGUAAUGGGCGUGUUACAAGGAAGGGAAGAGGAGUCAACCCAUCUUCUUUCUUUCACAAUGUUAAUUUAGAAUCUGAUUGGCAAAGAGAGAAGAGGCUAUUGAAUGAAAAAAUAGUGAAGAUGCAAGCUAUUAUUCAUGAUCUCUCAAAAUCUUCACCAAAAGCAAGACACUCCAAUGUCUGUAGCAACAUAUUUGGAUCACAAGAUGUAUCUAAUGAGACAAAUAACAAAACAGAUCCAAUUUUUGAAAAGCAAAAAAAUUAGGUAUGCACACUCAAGUAAUUAAAUUAAUCUUUUGAAUUUAUACUUUAAGUGCAUAUUUAAUAAUCUUAUUACUUUUUUUUGUUAGGAUCAAACUUGUCAGUUGGCUGUAGGAUGUAAAGAAAACAUUGUUGCUAUUGGAACUAUUUUGGAGUAUAGGAAGCCAAAUGUUUUAGUUGUAAUUGAUAUGGUAUUAAGUCCAGAUGCCCAUCUUCCAAUCCGGACUAGUGAGCUUGUUCAGUGUUUACGUCAGUGAUGGGUUAGGACAACACAUAUUAUGGCCAGAAAAGUUUGUUUCCCAGCUGCUGUAGUAAACAAGGUAUUGAAUUUGGCAUAUAUUACUUGUUUUUUUUAAUUCCUUAAUUGAGAAUUUAAAUUGUAACCACAUGUGAAUGCUUAAAUUUCUAGAUGUCUAAGUCAGCUUUAAAGCCUUCCAAGGGGAAAUUAGAUGUGAAUGCUGAAGUAAACACCCCAUUGAUACCUGGCCUAUGUUACUAGCUUUAAUUCUUGUUUUAUUUCUUUAUUUAAAAUUUAAGUAAUAAUCAUAUUUGAAUGUUUGCAUUUCUAGGUGUCUAAAUCAGUCAUCAAGCCUUUUAAGGAAAAAUUAGAGGUGAAUGAGGAAGUAAACUCUCCCAUAGUUCAGCAAACAUUUAAAAAAACCUCCUGACAUACAAGUUUUUGAUAAAAUGGUAAAGAAAGUUAUGAAACCUGGUUCCCAAGUUAAGGUUGAUUUUGAGAACACAUUUAGUUACAAAUUGCAUACAUAUCUCACUUUGGAGGAAAUUCAAGAUCUUAUUGAUAUGCAAGAGCUUUCACAAAACAGCAUUGUUGUAUACAUGAGGUAUGAUACUUCAAUAAUGCUUUAUAUUUUGUCAAAUAUUUUUGUUUCACUUUAAUUGACCUAGCACUUUUUCUUAUAUACUAGAUAUCUUUGUGCUGAAACAAAGGCCAGGCUAAUUAAUGAAAAGUUUGAGUUCAUUCAUCCUACCACUCUUUCUUUUUUGGAUGAGAGUACUUUCAAACAGAAAGCAAAAACUCUUGCUAAUCGCUUCCAAGAAUUGAGUGCAAAACAAUUUAUCUUCUUACCAUAUAAUCCUAGGUUAGUUAUUUUGUUGCUUUAAAUAUCUUUGUUUAUCUACUUAGUUUUUACUUUUUAAUUAGUAUUUUUUUCUAACUCUUUAUUCAUUUGUUAAUAGUUGUCAUUGGAUCUUGCUUGUGAUCGACUUGCCCUCAAUGGUUGUUCAUUAUUUGAAUUCAGUGAGAAAUGAAAUCAGUGUUGAUAUAAAAAAAAAUUGUAACUGUGUAAGUAUAUUAAAGAUAUUUAGCAAUAAGUAUACUAGUGGUUUUUGCUAUAUAUAUAAUUAUUGAGUUUAAUAUUUCAUAUUUGAUUUGUAUUUUUUUGUAGUGGGAUUCGAAUGUUUCUUGCCAAAAAAGGACAGCAAAUGAAAAAGAUUAAUUUGAAAUGGAAUGAUGUUAAGGUGCCUAUGCAAAUUGGUAAUGUUGAAUGUGGCUACUAUGUCAUGCGAUUCAUGAAGGAGAUUAUUGCAUAUCAAAGUAUACUUUGUGCAAAGGUUAGAUCAUUAACAUAGCUUAAACUUAUUGCAGAUUUUACAGGGAAAUGUGGUUAAAAUGAAGUCUAUGAAUUAAAAGAGUGACAAAUAAAUAUAGUUUUUUGUCUAUUGAUGUUAGUUUAAUGAAAAAGAUACUUAUGAUGAAGAUGAGAUCAACGAAAUUCACUUUGAUUGGACAACUUAUGUUAGUGACUUGAUUUGAAAAAAAAAAUGCAAAAGAGACAAGUAAUGCAGGUAAAUAGCAUAUGAUUCAAUUGAAGUACAUUAGUUUAUUGUUAAUAUUUUUCAUGCAUAGAUUUUUCCUUCUCUUUGUGCAUAGAUAUCUUAUGCUUUCAUUGCAUAAGGCAACUAUAUCAUCUAGUUGGAUUCAUAAUAAAAGCUCUCAGUUAAUUCAAUCAAAAUUUGUCAAUGCCUUAUUGGUAACCAUGACUUACUUUUUUAGCCUCUUCCUUAGACAGUAACAAUAGUAUAUGGCAGUAAUUUUGGUUUCUUGAUGUGUAGGGCUAUGCCGUGGAGUUAUAUAGAUCUCAAGACCAAGACACAUUUACAAUCAAAGAGGAUAUAAGGGUUAUAAAAUAUCAGAUCUAUUGGGUUAAUGCAAAAUUUGUUUAAAAGCUUUUCCUUUUGUAUGUACAACGCUGCUAUGAAAAACUUUUGGACCGAUGGUGGAAUGCUAACUAUAGGCUCAAUGUAUAGUUUUAGAAACAACAUCUUAUUUUAGAUUUAUACUUAAGACAUUUGAUACAUUUAUACGUACAAUGCAAGUUCAAGUUAAUAUGAAUUCAGGUUUCCUAUGCUUUAUUAUGGUGUUUGAAGUUAGUUGAAAUUUUUUGAAUUUUAUCAUGUUUCAAUGUUAUAACAUAUAUAAUGUGCAGCCCAAGACAAGGAAUUUCACUAUUGUAAUUUUUUUUUUAAAUUAUAAUAUUUGAUAUUUUUAUCAAGUCAUUUGCAUUUGACCAUUUUGAAUAAUGUCACAUGCAUAUGACUAUUAUUAAGUGUCAUACACAUUUGACAAUCUUAUAUUGUGAAAAAUAUUUGAUUAUUAUUAAUUGACAAAAAUAAAUGACAAUUUUACUAAUUGUCAAAUAAGCAUAUUUGACACAGGAAUAUUUGGCACUUUUUAAUUGUCAAAUAUUCCUUUAUUUGACAGUUUUUAAAUAUUAAUUAUUCUCUUUUUUCUUAUAGUGUAUAGAAAUUGGUUUAGUCAGCAACAACCCCUAUAAUCCUUGAAAUAAAAUUUUUUAUGUAAUUUUCUAUAAAUUUCAACAAUACUUUAAACUGGAGCCAAGAUCAUGUUUGAUUUCUAGACAAAAUAAUCAAUCAAACAUAAAAAUUCAUAGUUUAGAGGGGUAAACUGGGUGGUUUAGAACUGAGCUAGCAACCUUAUUAUAUUUUGAUUUGCACUUCAUUGUAAAAGGGAAUAUAUUAUAGGAAAAAAGAAAACCAAUCAUCAUUUGUUAACUCAUUGCUUUUCAAUCAAAAUUUUAAGAAUAAAAUGCCAUGUGCUUUGAAUAUCAAAUAAGUAUAAACACUAGUUUUAAAUUCUACAUAUAAUAAGUUAUAGCAUAAUAGAAAAAUCUAUAUGCUGUUACUUGGACCAGUAAAGGGGAAAAUACCUGGCGAACCACAACAUAAUCAUCAACUGAUAGACUUAGCUCCCUAUCUGCUUGAGCAUCAAAUGGAUGUAUAACCUACAAGAUAAUGGGAUAAAUAAAACUUAAUCUUGAAAAGAAUAACAAAAGCAGCAGCAAUAGCAGUAGUGUUUAUUAUAAGCACUAUGAUUAUGGCCAACAAGGAUACAUUAGAAACACUAUUUUUAUUAGGAAAAUAAUAUGUAGUACAAGAUAUCAUGACUGUUGGGUUUCCAAGAGCUAUCAGAGCUCCACAAGUUCUAUAUGACUUUAUGUAAUUGUUUAAAUUAUGGAUGGGAUUUUAAUUCUGAAAUUUUGAUUGCUCUCCACAAAACAUGGCCUAUGCCACAAGAAAGUCAUAGAUAAUGAGGGUUACAAGUGUCCAACAUCUUUCGAGUGAUGGAUUUAAUAUGACAGCUUAUGGUCAGUCAAUUUCCUCUGCUUAAUAAGAUAAGCUUUCUAGGUCAGAUUUUUCAUCAAAUACAUAGAUGGCCCCCAAGUCACAUCCAUACAAACAUAGUUUUCUGAGUAAACCAAGUAAGGAGAAUUAUAAUUCAGCCACAAUCAUAGAAAGGACCCAUCUAACUUAAGAGAAAAUUUUAAGAAGAGGGAUCAUACUAUGAGCUAUCAAUCUUGUAUCUAUAAGCAAAUAUCAAGACUUUAGAUCACCUGCUACAUCGUGAGUGGCUACACAACUUUGCGGUGGUUUGUCUUUCUUUGGCAUGUCUAACUCAGCUUUGAUGUUGUUGAGAUAUUGGCAGCAGAGACACAUGAUACUUCUAGCUAUACAUUCUAUCUAGCUCAUCAUGCAACUAUCUCUUUUUAAUCCAUUAGGGUUGGCUAAAACUCUUGUUUAAAAGUCUUGUUCUCCUAAACAAAGUUUCCCUAAGAAUGACUUCUUCAGCACCACAUUUUGACACUUUUUAGAGCAAUUUUAUUUGGGGAAAAGAAUUUUCAAGGUGUUAACUAAUAAAUUUUAAAAGAUAGUCACGACUCUGUCCCGUAAUCAUAUGACAAUUUAUCUGGGAUGAAAGGACACAGACAAACAUCUUCCACUUUCAAGACUAAUCACUACUUUCAUAAAUGUUGUGCAAUAAUAAAAAUCCUUGACCAGAUGGUAGUGAUAGUAGAAAAGAAUUUUAUUGCUCUAGAAUUAAAAUAAGAAUGUAAUGUGUUAAGCGAAAGACUGUGCGAGAUAUCUACAUAAGGAGGAGUGUUAAAAUAUGAUGCAUCCAACAAAAGACAAGCCUUGUGUAGUCUUUUAAUUAAGCCAAAGUAGCAGCUCAAACAAAUGACACUUGGACCAACAUGCAAGCAUGAAGUAGUCGGAAAAAGGACGAAUGAUACUUUGGCCUAAAUUAAAAAGUUAUUACAAGACAACAGAAAUCACUAUCAUUGUAAAAUAAGUUGGCAAUAAGUAAGAUGAAGAUAAGAGGUAGAAUCUCAACACAUGCAUAGGCAUACACAAGAAAGUAUUAACUUAUAUACCAUAGCAAAGAGUCUUUGAUAGGUCAUCUGUUGCUGCUGUGAUUCAACUGACAACAUAUAUGGUAGUUGUCGCUUCUGUGCCAAGAGCCAUAACUGUAGAUUUAAGCUCGGUCAAUUUUGCUUCUGCAUUUCGAAGCUUCAUAGCACUCUCUGCUGAUAGAUCAGAUCCCUUAAUUUUUUAUCAGCGCCUCAAUACUUCAGCUACAUGGUGAAAAUAUUCAAUAUGAAUCUAAUAUAAUUCUCAUCUCCCCUUAUACAUAUGUUACCUUAAAGCUUACUUGGGCUUCAACUUCAUGUAGGAGUUUGUCAUAACAAUGAGUCAUGUUGCGUAAAUUAGCAAGGGCACUAGUCGGCACAAGUAAUAUAAUGAAAAAUAGAAUAUCGUCCCAUAGAGAUUAUAUAUCCUAUUAACUACCGAAAUUAUUCUAACAAUAAUAUAUUUGAAUAACCGAAUAAAUGAAUUUAGAUUAAUAAUUAAAUAAAAUAAAAUAACUAGAAAAAUUAAAUAAAGAUGUAUGCAGUAAUAGAAAUCACUAAGAUAUGAAGACACUAGCACAUCGAAUUUCACCAUAACCAAUCCAAUUUAAUCCUUCAUCUAUGUUAUUAAUGUUUAUUACCCAUGUUGACAGUGAAUUUUCCUAAUCUAUUUAAUAUCCUCUCUCGAGUAAUAUAAAAAAUACUUCACAUAUUAACCCACUAUAUCUCUAUGUGAAUUUAAAUAAGCAAAAAUUCAUUAAGCUCUACGGAAAUUCUUAGAAAAACUGCGUGAACCACAUUGGCACAUCUCUGUCUUUCCUUCAGUUCAUGGCAUCUAUUACGCAAACAAAAAAUAUAUAAAUCUCCUCUUGGUCUCAUUAUGUAUCCUCAAGUCAUUCAAAUAUUUGCCAGAUAUUUAAGGGUACGUUGGGCACACAAUACUGUAUUAUGUUGUAUUGCAUUAUUUUAAUGCUGAUGUAUUGUAUUAUGUUGUAUUGCAUUAGCACUGUAUUAUAACAAUGCUGUACAAUGUUUGGUGCUACACUGUACUUUAUUAAUUUUUUGAUUAAUUUAAAUUAUAUAUUAUAUUAUAUUAAUAUUUUAUAUUAUAUUCAUAUAUUUAAAUUGUAUUAAUAUUUAUAUUAUUAUUUAUAUUAUUAUUAAUUUUAAAUUAAUAUUAUUCAAAUUUAUUCAUAUUUAAAUAUUUAUUAUUAAUUAUAUUAAAUUAUAAAUUUACUAACAAAUUAUAAUGUAAAAAUAAAAAAUAUAAUAUAAUAUUAUUGAUUAAUAAAUUAUAAAUUUAUUAAUUUAUAUCAAUAAUUGUAACGUAAAAUAACAAAAUUAAAAUUAAUAUUACAUUAAAAAAAGGAAGAGGCAAGCUAAUGUGGCAGUUGCCGCAUUAGUUUGGGCCCAUUAAUGCAAUACUGCUGUAGCUUUUUAUAUGCCAAACAUGGGUCUGUAUAAAUUUAAUACAAUAAGGAGGUCUAAUACUUUAACAAACAUGCCCUAAAAGCAUUAAGCAUAAUAAUGAACACUCAACCAUGAAAUAAUAAACUAAAUAUAACACAGAUUUAUAUAAUUAAAUUUUCAUAAUUAGACUACAUUAUAUCCCUAAUAAAAUAUUUUGGAAGUUGCUCCGUUGAUUAACGCCCGUAUUGGCUCAGAUACCUCCAUGUCCAAAAACCUGUAACAUAAUUAAAAAGAUGAAAAAAAAAAGACUGAAACCUUAAUUGAAAAGUUCCUGUAGCAUAAUCAUGAAAUUUGGGCCUACGUUAAGAAUAUAUAUAUAAGGAUAAUUUAUGCAAUUUUGGGUGUUAGGAUGAUUAGUCUUAGGUUAGGGUUCAUCCUUCUGUAUUUAAGGUUAAAAUAGAAAUAAACCUGUGUAAAUAUUUAAAUUAGGGCUAUAAGACUUCCACAUGCAUCCUUCAGUGUCAUGGAUUUGAUUUUACUAUAGAAACAAGCGUCUUUAUCCAAAAUGCUUGGAGUUAAUUGAGAGAACUCACGGCCAAUAACUUGUCCCACGCUGAUCUUCGCUAGUGAUUUAACAAGUGACAAUGUUUCUUCAACAUUUGAACCAACAAAAUUAUUAAGUCAUGGAUGUCACUAGCAAUGGUUAAAACAUUAAAUAUUUCAGAGUUGUAACGUUUAAAUGGACUCUUUUAUUCAAUAUCUUAGAACUAAGUUUCCUUAUGAGAAGAUAAUAGUUUUGAAAGUAAUUUUACAUAUAAUUUUCCAUAUUUGAAUUAUUUUCUCGUUAGGGAUGAAUUUACCUGAUCACCAAGAAUCCCAAGCAAAGUUUCCCUCUUAUUUUCCAUCAAAUGAUAUGAAGUGCCAAAUUGAAAAGCAGCCCUUGCAACACAAGAAUUGUCACUUUGAAUCUCCGCUCCACAUUUGCAACAAUCUUCGGCCAACUUUCUCGAUACAAUAUUUGAAUACAAAAAUAUUAUACACAGAAACUAGUCAAGAAAAACAAAAUCAAAUAUUAUAAUGAAAGCAAGUGCAAACAAACAACCUAUCUCCAUUUGCUUCAAGCUUACUGCAACAAACCCUUCAACACCACGGACAAUAUUCCUCUGAAAAUGCUGUUCUACAUGGCAUAUAUUCCAAAUUAUUGUUCAGAUAAAACCAUAAAAACCAUCAUAAUUAUUCAACAUACAUUAAGCACUGUUUGGUAAAUACUUGUGACUCCAGUCUAGAAAAUAUAGUUGUUUGUACCAUAUUUGACAAAAUUAUUAUCUAAAAAUCAUAUUUAAUUAGCAAAAGCCACAAUAAAUCAAUACGAAAACAGAGAGGAUAGUACCUUAGCUGCCCCGGUGGAAUUGUACAGAUUUUGAAGUUGUUGGUGACACUCAAAGUUCAGCUUCAUCAACCGCAACAUUUUCAUUACCAAGACGCAGCAAAUGCUUCAAUACUGCCUGUACAAAUCAUAAAGAAAUAAUAAAAAAUAAAAUUGAGAAAUUUCACUAAUUAAACGUCUAAAUGGUUUUAAAAAAGAAAAGAAACGGACUUGCUGCUGCCUGGCGACUUGUUCGCGGACCUUGAUUGCCUGUUUCUUGAUAGCUUCCAUACUGUUUCUUUCAAAAAGCGACGACAGCUCAGCUCAGUUAAUUGAAAAAAGUGUGAUCUAGAAAAAUCAAAAGGGAUGAAUAAUUUUGGCAAAAGGCAAAGCCAAGUAAAGCCAGCUCUUUCCAGAAAACAAAAAAAUUAAAAAAAAAAAUUGUAAGUUUGAAAGGAGAAGAUGAUAGUGGAAGCGUGCAGUGUGGCUGCCAGCUAUUUGGAUUGUAUUGUCGGGUAAGGUAAUAGUAGAGAGAGAAUUUUUUAAGGAUCUAAAAUCGGGCACGUUGACUUUGUUGACCAAAUGGCACAGCCCAGAAAAUUUUUAAUACACUACAAGCAAGCUGUUUUAUUCCUCUCAUACUUUACGCUUGCAUCAGCUUAAAUCACUUCUUAAAUGCUUGCUUUAACCGAACCGCCUCGUACUAUUCUAUAUAUGUAACGGUUGCGCGGUUGUAGUUAACGGCUGAGGCUACGUGUUUGUUUGACGUGGUAGUUUUGUUACGACGUUACGAAUCUGUUGAACGUUCGGUGAUAGAGUAUUAUUUGUUAUUUUAAAGUGACAUAAAAUUAGUUACAAUACACCCGCUUGUUUUAUAAAAUAAAAAAUAAAUAAGUAAAUUGACUUAUAUUUUUAGUGGUUGAAUAUAUUUUGUGUUCUCUUGGGGCACUGUUGCAAUUGUUUCUUAAAUGUCAGUCACACCCACAUAUCAUUGACACAAGAAAUAGAAAUCUUAGAUCACUUGUUUAAUUAAAGAAUCACUCAUAAAAAAAUUUUGCCAUUUUGAUUUGAGGAUUCAUGUUUUGAACUACCAACUAAUGUUCAUCAAGGACAAAGUAUGGCUUGUAAGUAAAAAAAUUAUUUUUGGACAAAUUAUUUUUGUUGAUGGAAGAAUUUCUCAAGGGACUAUUUAAAUUAUUAAUAAAAAUGUCAGACACACCCACAUAUCAUCCCACAUAUCAUUGACACAAUUGAUUUUGAGAAUUCAUGUUUUGAACUACCACCUAAUGUUCAUCAAGAACAAAGUACGGCUUGCGAGUAGAAAAUUUUCUGAUUUUGGCCUAGAACAAAAAGAAAUUAAAUUGAAGGAGAAUCUACUACUUUCUCAUUAAGAAUGGCAUACGGGGCAUACGGGGCAUACCAUGGCACCAUACAACACCAGGAGUCUCCGUUCUCUGCUUUUUCAAACUCUGAAGGGGGCAAUAUUGUAAAAGUCAAACCAAGCUUUUGACAAAGAAAAGCUUUAUGAUAAAAGCUUGACAAAAUUGACCAAAACGUGUUAAAAUUUGGCACCAAACUUGGAAAUUUCAACAAACAUAUAGCUGGCAUGCAAGCUUUCUAUAGCUGGCAUGCAAGCUAGCACAAAUGGGCAAAUUGCCGUGUUGAAUUUUGGCCAUUCUUUAGGCUAUAAAUAGAGAAGUGAUGAGAGCUUGAAUUGCAUCCCGAAAACUUAAGAGCAUCCCAUUUAUUUAAGAGCUUAAGAGGAAUUGCAAGUGAAGCAAUUCUAGAGUUAUGAAAGUGUGAGCAAUUGGAGAGUGUGUGUGAGAGUGCUUUGGGUGUAUUUGGGUUUUGGGAAGUGAGGUUUUCAUUACUCAAAUAUUGUACUCCAAUAAUUGUUAGUAAUACAAUUAUUUUUCUCUUGCUCUCGUGGACGUAGGCAUAAUUGCCGAACCACGUAAUUAUUGUGUCCUUUAUUUUUCUGUGAUUAUUUGGUGCGCUUGAUUCCGCAUUCCGCGCACAAUAAGCGGUAUCAGAGCCGACGGUUCGUAUUUGGGGGGAUACGUACUGUUCACGUAUAUGAUACUAUUCACGUAUACGACACUAUUCCUAUAUACGGUACUGUUCACGAAUAUGGUAGAGACGGCCAUUUGUACUUGGGAGACAGUCUAUUGUAAGUAGUGUGUAUUUUUGCAUGUCUAGGAAAGUUCUGUGAACAAGGCGAUAAGAGUCUAAGGAUUCUGGUUUUUAAUUGGGACCGAGUUCCCGUCCAGUCUCCUGGGAACUUUCCCGGUGCAUUUAUUCACGCGAAAUUAACAUCAUAGAGAAUGUUUUUCAAGUGGAAUAGUUCGUUGAGAAAAUGGUAGAAUGUGAAACUUCCAGAAUUGGGGAGAGAUCUACCGAGACUAUUUCAAGAGAUACUUCAGGUGGGAAGCGAGAUUUGUCAAAUCGCUAUUCAACACCUGUUAUAGGAGACCAAAAGAUCGAUGUUGAAAAGUUUGAUGGGAAAAUCAACUUCGGCAUGUGGAGGCGCGAAGUUAUGGAUGCCCUUAUUCAAAUCGAUCUCGAUGUUAUUCUGAAAAAUAAAAAACACUUGUAUGAUGAAGAAAUUUGGGAUCGUAUGAACGAGAAAGCUUGUGGUCAGAUCAGAUCUUGUUUGACCAAGGAGGUGAAAUACUUGGUGAAAGAUGAGGAGUGUACGAUGACUUUGUGGCGUACAUUGGAGGAGAAGUACUUGCUGAAAAAUCCUGAAAAUCGUCUUCAUGCAAUUAGGGGUGGGCAAAAUAUCCGAUCCGACCCGACCCGAUCCGAUCCGAUCCAAAAAAUAUCGGGUUCGAAUCGGAUCAGAUUGUUGAUAUAACCCGAUCGGAUCAUGAUCGGAUCGAAUGAAACCCAAUCCGAUCCGAAAAACCGAUCGGGUUGCCAAAGAAAAAAAAAGAAAUUAAAGGUAAAAAAAGGAAACCUAAACCCAAAGACUAAAGAGCACAUGCACGUGAAGAACAUUCAACACUCUUUAAUAGCUAAAAGACAAAAUCACAUUUUAGCCAAGCUAAUAACAUUCUUCAGUUGCAUCAAAACGGAAAAAAAAAAGAAAAAAAACAGAGAAGACUCUUCCUCCCUUCCUCAACUUCUCAAUCUCAUCUCAAGAACACUCUUCACAAUUUCAUGCACACAACCACGCACACAUAUCGGAAAAGCAAAGGGCAGCCAGAUCGAUUUUUCCCGCAGUCACCGCUGACGCUAACUGCUCCGCGAGGACCGCAAAUGGAUCUGCUGCUACCGGAUUUGUUGCUACCAGAUCUGUUGCUACCGGAUCUGUUUCUACCGGAUCUGCUGCUACCGGAUCUGCUGCUCCACGCCGCCAUUCCUCCACCAUCACCUGAUCUGAUCCAAGAUCCAUUCAACCCGGUAAUUGCAAGGCUGCAACCCGAGUUUCCUUUUCCUCUUUUGAAGCUCUGUUGGUAUAAUAGUACUAUACCAGAUUGUUCGCCAUUUAGCAGUAAUAUAUCAUAUAUUAUUAUAUUACAUGUGAAAUUGUUAAUUUGUAAUUAUGUAUUGUUAAAUGUUAAUAAAAAAAUAAGAAAAUUGUAAAUCUGAACCCGAUCCGAACCGAAUUUAACCCUAUUUAUUGACCUGAUCCGAUCCAAUCCGAAUAUAUAUCGGAUCAGAUCGGAUCGGGUUAUAAGUUCGGGUUGUGUUCGGAUGAAUUUGUGUUCAACCCGAUCAAUCCGAAAUCCGAUCGGGUUGAUCCGAAUCCGACCCGAACCCGUAUUUGCCCACCCCUACAUGCAAUGAGCCAAGUAUAUGGCUUUCGAAUGAAGCCUGAGGUGUCAAUGCACGAUCAUGUCUCAAGAUUUGAAAAGUUACUUGUUGAUUUGAAGAAUCUUGAUGAAGAUAUUAAGGAUGAAGUCAAGGCUAUGAUUCUGUUACACUCACUACCAGAGGAAUAUAGUCAUUUUGUGACUACCUUGAUAUAUGGGAAGAGUGUGAUCGUCUUCAAAGAUGUUUGCACAGCAUUGACUAACUUGGAGAUUCGAAAUAAUGAUAAAAAUUCUGAACGAGCAUCGUCUGAAGCUUUGGUGAGCAGAGAUUGGGCGAUGGAGAAAAAGAAAAAGCGUGGUGGAAAGAAUUCUCGAUAAGCGUGGUGGAAAGAAUUCUCGAUCCAAAUCGAGAAGCAGAAAUAUAGCUCGAGACGACUGUGCCUUUUGUCAUGAAAAGGGUCAUUGGAGGAAAGAUUGUCCAAAGGCUCAAAAGAGAUAUGGGAAUAAACCAGCAGCAGCAAACAUGGCACAGAAAGAUGAGGACUCUGAUUAUUCACUAAGUAUUACUCCUGCAGCAUACAUGGCUAGUUCGAGCGAGUGGAUACUUGAUACUGGAGCAACAUACCAUUUGUGUCCUAUUAAGGAAUGGUUUACGGAUUUUCGUAAUCUGGAAUCCGGUGCAGUUGUGAUGGGGAAUGAUCAACCUUGUCGCACAAUGGGGAUAGGAACAAUUCGACUCAAAAUAUUUGAUGGAAUGAUCAGAGAACUCAAAGAGGUUAGAUUUAUUCCAACUUUAAAGAACAAUCUAAUUUAUAUGGGUGCUUUGGAAGCUAAAGGCUACAAGGUUACCAUUGAAGAUGGAACAAUGAAGUUUACACAUGGGGCUAUGGUGAUUAUGCAAGGGGUUCGACGUCACAAUUUGUACUAUUUGAAAGGAGGUACAACUGAUGAAGCAAAUGUUGUUGAGGUGCACAGUGACACCACCAAGCUAUGGCAUGUACGACUGGGACAUGCUGGAGAGAAGUCUUUGCAAACUCUGAUGAGGCACGGACUCUUAAAAGGUACUAAAACCUAUAAAUUAAAUUUUUGUGAGCAUUGUGUAGUAGGUAAGAAAACAAGGGUCAAGUUUGGUACGGCUAAUCACGAUACUCGUAAGAUCCUUGAAUAUAUUCACAGUGAUGUAUGGGGACCAACCAAGACUGCAUCAAUUGGUGGAAGCCAUUAUUUUGUUACAUUUGUUGAUGAUUUCUCUAGACAUAUGUGGGUGUACACUAUGCGAGCUAAGGAUGAGGUUCUAGAGAUUUUCGUGAAAUGGAAGAAAUUGGUGGAGACUCAAACUGGCAGAAGAUCAAAGUAUUACGAUAUGAUAAUGGUGGUGAAUAUACUUCUGAUCCAUUUUUGCAAGUAUGCUAGAACGAGGGUAUUAAAAGACAUUUCACGGUGAGACAUACUCCGCAACAGAACGGUGUGGCUGAGCGUAUGAAUCGUACUUUGCUAGAGAAAGUACGGUGUAUAUUAUCUCAUGCUGGUUUAGAUAAAACGUUUUGGGCUGAAGCCGUGAGCUACGCAAGUCACUUGAUAAACCGGUUGCCUUCUACUACAAUUGGAUGUAAAACUCCUAUGGAAAUGUGGUCUGGAAAGCAUGCACAAGACUAUGAUUCCCUUCGUAUAUUCGGGUGUCCAGCUUAUUAUCAUGUCAAAGAUGGUAAAUUGGAUCCUCGUGCUAGAAAAUCUAUCUUUGUGGGAUUCAAAGGUGGAGUAAAAGGCUUCAAGCUUUGGGAUCUCGAAGAUAAAAAGUUUGUGUGUAGCAGAGAUGUCACGUUUGAUGAAGCUUCAAUAAUGAAAGUUUCAAGUUCUCAGCAGGUGGAGAACAAGACCACAGAGGUAUUGCAACGGGUGGAGUUUGAUGCAACUCCAUAUGUACCAGUUAGUUCUACAUCAGAGAAUGAUUCAACUAUGGAGGUGACACCUAGGGUUGAAGAAGAUGUUGUUUUUUCUGAUGUCCCACAAAAUGCAGAAACAAUUGAAGAUGUAGAUAAUGAUGAUUUCAUUGCAACAAGGAGGCCAAGAAGAGAGAUAAAGAAACCCGGAUGGCUUACUAAAGACAUGGUGGUAGCAUAUGCACUUCCAGUUAUUGAUGAUGACAUCUCCAACACUUUCAGUGAAGCAUUACGCAGCAGUGAAAGUGAUCAAUGGAAGUUAGCCAUGGAGGAAGAGAUGAAAUCUCUCCAUCAAAACCAGACUUGGGAACUUGUAAAGUUACCAAAGGGGAAAAAGGCUAUUGGCAAUAAAUGGGUCUACACCAAGAAGCAAGGAUCUCCGAAUCAAUCAACUCCUCGAUAUAAGGCAAUGCUCGUUGCAAAAGGUUUUGCUCAGAAGGAAGGUAUUGACUACAAUGAAGUUUUAUCUCCAGUUGUAAAACAUACUUCCAUUCGUAUCCUACUUGCCUUAGUUGCAGAAUAUGAGUUAGCGUUGGCUCAAUUGGAUGUUAAGACGACGUUCUUACAUGGAGAUUUGGAGGAGGAAAUCUAUAUGAUUCAGCCUUGUGGUUUCAAAGUUGCUGGAAAGGAGAAUCAUGUGUGUAGAUUGAUUAAAUCUUUGUAUGGACUGAAGCAAUCGCCAAUGCAGUGGUACAAAAGAUUUGAUCAAUUUAUACAAGGGCAGAAAUUCACUAGAAGUGAACACGAUCAUUGUGUUUACUUUAGAAGACUACUAAAUGGAGCUUUCAUCUAUUUGUUACUCUAUGUCGACGAUAUACUUAUAGCUUCGAAGAAUAAAGAUGAGAUCGAGAGACUGAAGAAUCAGCUGGCUUCUGAGUUUGAGAUGAAAGACUUGGGUGAUGCACAGAGAAUACUUGGAAUAGAGAUUUGUAGAGACAAGAAGAAUGUGAGCGUAUAGUUGACUCAAAAGUCUUAUUUGAAGAAAGUGCUAGAAAAAUUCGGUACGGAUGACAAAACUAAACUGGUAUGUACACCUCUAGCUCCUCAUUUCAAAUUAAGCUCUUCUUCAUGUCCUACAUCUCAAGAAGAACGUGAUUAUAUGGCUCGUGUUCCAUAUGCUAGUGUUGUGGGUAGUCUUAUGUAUGUUAUGGUAUGCACAAGGCCCGAUAUAUCUCAAGCAGUGAGCAUGGUUAGUAGAUACAUGCACAAUCCGGGUAAAAAUCAUUGGCUUGCGGUGAAGUGGAUUCUCCGAUAUCUGUAUGGGACAGUUGAUGUUGGGUUAUUAUUUAAGAAGGAUUGUGGUCAACAAUGUGUUGGAUAUUGUGAUUCUGAUUUCGCCGGAGACCUAGAUAAGCGAAGAUCAACAACGGGCUACGUAUUCACAUUGGGUGGAGGUCCGGUUAGCUGGAGGUCGAUUCUACAAUCGACAAUUGCUCUGUCCACUACAGAAGCAGAGUACAUGGCAGCAACUGAAGCUGUAAAGGAAGCUAUCUGGUUGAAAGGCUUGUUAGGUGAUUUGGGAGUAAUCCAAGAGAACAUUGCGGUCUUUUAUGAUAACCAAAGUGUGAUAUUCCUCGCGAAGAAUCAAACAUAUCACUCUCGGACGAAGCACAUAGAUGUGAAAUAUCAUUAUGUGAGGGAGAUUAGCGAGGGUGGUGAUGUGUUGUUGAAAAAGAUCAAUACCAAGGAUAACCCAUCAGAAAUGUUGACAAAUGUGAUUUCUGGAGUUAAGUUUCAACAUUGCUUGAAACUAAUUCAAAUUCUUCGAAUGCAUUAAGUUUGGGAAAUUUUGAACUACGGUUGGCUUGAUCCCAAAUUUGUGGGUACGUAGGCAGUCACAGAGAUGCAGUCACUUUUGGGACGAUGGAUCGUUAGUAGUCGGCUCAGAUUUGGACAAAUUUUCGCCGAGGUGGAGAUUUGAGAUUUGUAAAAGUCAAACCAAGCUUUUGACAAAGAAAAGCUUUAUGAUAAAAGCUUGACAAAAUUGGCCAAAACGUGUUGAAAUUUGGCACCAAAACUUGGAAAUUUCAACAAACAUAUAGCUGGCAUGCAAGCUUUCUAUAGCUGGCAUGCAAGCUAGCACAAAUGGGCAAAUUGUCGUGUUGAAUUUUGGCCAUUCUUUAGGCUAUAAAUAGAGAAGUGAUGAGAGCUUGAAUUGCAUUCCGAAAACUUGAGAGCAUCCCAUUUAUUUGAGAGCUUAAGAGGAAUUGCAAGUGAAGCAAUUCUAGAGUUCUGAAAGUGUGAGCAAUUGGAGAGUGUGUGUGAGAGUGCUUUGGGUGUAUUUGAGUUUUGGGAAGUGAGGUUUUCAUUACUCAAAUAUUGUACUCCAAUAAUUGUUAAUAAUACAAUUAUUUUUCUCUUGCUCCCGUGGACGUAGGCAUAAUUGCCGAACCACGUAAUUCUUGUGUCUUUUAUUUUUCUGUGAUUAUUUGGUGCGCUUGAUUCCGCAUUCCGCGCACAACAAAUAUUCCCUAAUUUCCCCUUGAAAAGUAUUUCUCCAUCUCUUUUUCGAAAUUUCACAAUAAACCGGCACAUUGUAAAAGUUAUGUUCUAACCUUAUGAUAAAUGCUCUAGACUUCAAAUGGAUUUUAUAUAUGAGAGUUUGUUGCAGCAGAUAUAUUGACUUAUCAAAUAUGAAUCAUUGUCUCGAUGAACUAUCUUUAGAUAAAAGAAUAUUAGAACCACUGUAGAAUAUCUUUACCCUGCUGGUUCUAACAAAAAUCUGCAUGUGGCAGCAAUUACUAGAUCUACAAUUUCCCAAAUAAUAUUUUGUGUUUCUUAAAAAAUUUGAAAUACAUAGUUGCACACCGUGAGACAGUGCUACAAUCUACUGAGAUCUAAAUUAUAUGAGACCUUAAGCUACUAAUGUUUGCAUAUUUCUACACGUCAAAUUAACAUUACCAUCUAUAAUCCAAAACGACAGAUGAUAAACGGCUUUUGGCCACUUAUUACUAGCAUCCACAAAUAAUUAUUUUGCAGCAAUCAGCUUAUUUUAUAGAAAUUGAUUUAGUCAGCAACAAACACUAUAAUUCUUGAAAUUAAUUUUUGUUCUUUGUAAUUUUCUAUGGUUUUUCAUAAAUCAAUUAAUCUGCAGUGCCAAGAUGAGGUUUAGCUUUUCAAACUAAAUAAUCAAGCAAGCAAAAAUACAAAUUCAGAGAUUAGGGAGUGAACUAGCUAGGUGGUUUAGAACUGGGCUGGCUAGCUCACUAUAUUCCAAUUUGUACAGUGAAUUCAUUGAAUCAUGAGAAAACAAUGUGGUCAUAGCUCAAUAUGAGAUGAUUUCGGAAGGGCAUACUGUUUCCAAGUUAAGUUGAUCCAUUAAGAGAUGGAGUGGUAGGGGUGUCAAAAAAGCCCGCUCGGACCGGACCCGCCAAUCCGGUCCGGGCAAAACCCGAACCGCAUGCACAUAAAAACCGGACCCGGGUUUGAAAUUCUCAAACCCGGACAUUUCCGAGCCCGGGUCCGGGUUCAACACAAAAAAUCCGGAACCCGGACCGGACCCGGUUUUUUAAUAAAUUUUAAAAAAAAUAAAUAUAUUAUAUAUAAAUAUAUAAUUAUGAAUUUAUGAUAUGUUGGAUGUUAUUUAAAUUUAUUGUGUGAUUAUUGUGUUGUUGAAUUUAAUUUAUUUAUUUUAUAUAUAGAUUGAAUGAGUUUAAGUUAGAAAUUGGAUGAAUUUAGGUAUUAGAAAGUAGAUUGAAAUAAUUUUUAUUUAUCAUUUGUGAAAAAUUUGCAUUGUUAGUGUGUUAUAUAUUUGUAUUUGACUAUUUUCUUUUUUAAAGUUUGAGAUUGAAUGAGUUUAUUUGAUUAUUUUCUUUUUUAAAAUUUGUAUUGUUAGAGAAAUGAAAGAAAAAAUUGAAGAAAAAAAAUUGAAGUUAUCACAUGCGGGUUUAAAAAAUCCGGAUCAAAACCCGGACCCGGAAGGUGCCGGGCUCAAGCCCGGACCGCACCCGGAAAAACCGGAUUUUAACCCGGAUCCGGUCUUGCAUUUCUCUCAUCCGGUCCAGUCCCAGGCAACACCAAAACCUAUGGAGUGGAUUGUGUGGAAAGUCUAAAUAACAAAUCCUUGUUCUUGAGUUUUACGACGUCGUUACUCCUUCAAGCGGCAGAUUAUGCAAGUGAGUUAAAAAACACAAUGCAUCAAUCACGGGGAUGCUACAUCAAAAAGACGGGAUCAUAGUGUCUAUGCAUUGAACAGUUACAGUUGCUGCUACAUCAAAAACACAAUGCAUCAAGAACACUUUCGCUCUGUCUAUAUCCUUAUUGACCCCAAAAAGGAUUAAUAAUUGAAGACGACUAUACAGAGUUAAUCUCACACUUUCGUUCUCUCAAUUUCUUUCAGAUGUCCCUCUGAAAAUAGCUGCCAAAACAGUUGGUAAGCUUUUAUACUCUGUUUUCUGGAAACAGAGUCCUAACUAACUGAACUGACGGUGCAGAGUAUGUCAACAUGCAUAAUUAAUCGUUUUAACAGUAUUUUUGAGUUGUCUUCGCAGUGAUCAUCAACAAACUCAUCACAAGAUUUUUGGAGCACCCUAGGACUAUCACUAGAUUCUAAAAUGACUAGUUCACUAUUCUUUUACAGUCCUUUCACCAGUAAAAUUAUUCGACUUCUGGAACUGGGAAUGAAGUGCAAUGAUGGAGCAACAUUUACAAUGUCUCUGGUUUCUCCUGACUCUCAGAUUUUUGUAGUGAGAACAUAUAACAAAAAAAGGCCUCCAUCAACAUAUGUAGACUCCGGGAUAUGGAUUGGAUCGAGUUUUUGUUUGAUAUUGAAGAACCUCUUUACUAUCGCGAUUUAGAAUAUGUGCAAGGAGUUGUCUACCGUUUUUUGCCUUAUGCUAUGAUCGGUGCUUUUGACGUUGCCCUGAAACGGUGGAAAAUACUUCGAUAUCCUCCGUUUGAUGAUGCAAAGAACUGGUUAAUGUACGAUUACCUAAUUGACUCUGGAUCAAGUAACAACAACAAUUUAUUAAUAGUAAUAGCAUAAACUAAGAAGAUUUUGGAGAGGGAGAUGUAUGCGUAUACUGUUUACAGGUUUGAUCCAUUGGGGAUGAAGUGGUCUCAAGUUGAAAGUGAUUUAUUAAAUAACAAGUCAUUGCUCUUGGGUUAUACCUCAUUAUGUCUUCAAGUGGAAGAUAAGAUUAUGCAAGAUGAAGAUCGAGUUUUAGUUUGAUAUUGAAGAAUUUGAACAGAGAGCCCAUAGAAAGUACCUAAAUAAGCAUAUUCUUGAGGUAAAAUAUGGAGGAGGAGUUGUUUACUGUGUGCUGCGUAGUUAUGCUAUGAUCGGUGCUUUCGGCAUUGCGCAAACAGUGGAAAAUACUUCAUUUCCUCGACAUGAUAAUGAAAAGAAAUUGGUUGCCGAUUACCUAAUUGACUCAGGUGGCAACAAUCUAUUAAUAGCACAAUUUGAUGUGAUGCCAGUUAGGUAUAUGAUUUAGAGGUUUGAUUCAUCAGUGAUGAAGUGGACUGAAUUAAAAGUUUAAAUAAUAAGUAGUUGUUAUUGGGCAUAUCCUCAUUACUAUUUUAAGUGAUCAAAGAUGAAGAUGAAAAUUGUGCAAGUGAGUUCAAGAAUACCACACAUCAUUACUUCGGAUACUUCUUCAAACCUGGAUGGGGUUAUAAUUUACUCCCACGAAUUUCAACCCAAUUUUAUGAUUGGAGUGUCUCACCAUGACUCAGAAAAAAUUCUGAUUCAACCUCCUCCACCAAUGGAUUUUGAUAAAGUUACUUUGUGAUCAAGCAUAAAUUCACAGUUUGAUUUUGUUGCUACCACAUUUUUUUUAAAAUGUGGCCACGUGAGGAGAGCGGACCAGAGUGUCACUUCCUCAACAAGCACUUUAAAGAUGGACUUUAGAAGAAGAUAUAACUGCAAUUGUUUUCGUGUGUGUGUGUAUACAAAACUACAGAACAUUCAGUUCAUAAAAGAAAUUUUUGCUAACCAUGAUAUGUGGUAGUGUUUUUUAGGCAAUGUAGAAACAGAGUUGUUCAACUUACAACAGAUAUUCUCCUCAAGUUCGACUUAAUUAAUCUUACGAUGACACAUAUAACUUGCUUCAAAAUUAGAAAUUAUAAAUUGCCGAUUUACAAUGCAUAUAACUUGGAAGAAUUGGUGUUAAAAGAACAACUACACGCAUAACUUGGAGAGCAAUUGCGACAGUAGCAAAGGAUAUAUUAACUAAACUGGCCAUUGAGCAAUUAAGAGGAGCCAUCAAACAUCUUACUAGUUCUGGCAGCAGUUUAUUAACUAAAAUAGCAAUAUGAUGUGAGAAAAAGGAACAUACGUAGACAUACUUGGCAACAGUUCAUGAGAAGUAGCAUCGCAUUAAGGUAAUGACUUUACUGCCGUUAUCGUGCAAGGUAAUACUUCAUUUCUCCCUUUCUUUUUUUCACUUUAACAAAGUUGAAGUCAGUGAAAUUAUGACUCGACAUAAAAAAAAAGUCAGUGAAAGGCCAAUACCCUACUACAACAACAGGUACAAAUUAAAAGCUUCAUUCUAGAAAAGAUGACGCAUUAUUCUUUAUCCCUAAGGCUUAAGCCCACCACAGUGGAAUUUCAUAUUAAUUUCCGAAUGACUCGAGCAAUUCUUGAUUCAAACUCGUCCACCAAGCUGGGAUUUCGAUUGAGUGAGUUACCUUCUGCUCAAGCAACUUAAAGUCGUCGUUUGAUUUUGCUGCCACCCCAUUUUUUAAAAUUAAUUUCAAUUCCACCUCAAGGAAUUCUUAUCACUGAACAGUUGAAGUUAAUUUACUUUGAACUUUUGAAAAUUAUAUUUUUGAUGUUUUGCACUUUAUGGUUACUUAAAAUAAAAUUUGACGGUGUUUCUAUGAUUAAUUAUUUGUGAUAGUCUGUACUUAGCAAGAGUUCACGAGAAGUUUGUCUAAAUGCUCUUCACUAGAAGGACUAUAUCUUAUUAAUAAAAAUCUCUUGGGGAAGAUUCCACGCUGGUUGGAUAAUCUCUCAAUGUUAAAGCAUAUUAUAUUGUCCAAGACCUAUCUUGAAGGUCAACCUAUUCCAUUGGAGUUUUGUCAUCUUUAUUCUCUUCAAAUUUUGGACAUUUGAAAAAACAAUAUAUUUGGAAAUUUACUAUUUUUUUUCCACUCUCUCCCUAAUUAACAAGUUCACUUGUCGAAUAAUAUGUUACAUAGGCAUCUAAAAUGAAAGUACAUUUUCUAAAUGCUCUUCCUUAGUGACAUUAGAUCUUAGAUAUAACUGUUGUUGAUGCUGAAAUCUGCUCGCCUUUUACCCGACCAGAUCUUUUCACCAACGUUUAUGUGGUCAAUCGAGAAAAUGUCGCCUUCUUUCUGUUUCAACGAUUGCUUGAGUCCCUGGGACUAGAACCACCCUUUUUCUUCUUUCUGAUGCCUAUGUUCACAAAAACAGAUCAGAGACGCCGAUGGUUUUACCGACGUAAACCCUCCGAUGCUUAAGUUAGCACGAGAUGUUUACGGGAAAACUAUGUAAUUUAGAUUGUGUGAUUUCUUAAAAUACUCUCACAAAUUUGUAUGGAAUGUAAUCUGGUUUCAAUUUGGCAGAGUUUUCCCUUUGCUCUCAAUUUUUUCUGUCUCCUUUUUCAUCGGUUUCCUGGCUUCUUAUAGCCGUUGUCCCACGUUUCUGCGUACUCUUCAUGCCCCCCUUUUUCGAGUGAUGGCAGACCCUCAUGGGUCUCCAACCACUGGAUUGUGGGUAAACGUGGAAUGCCAUGUCUCUCCCAACAGUUCGGGAUAUAGUGAAACUGUCGCAAUUUCGUGAGAUCGUGUGCCCUUUCUUUGGGUGAUGGGUAUCUGGUCGGUAUAUGUCUCUGGUUGGUGCUCGUCUCUAGUUGGCACAUGUUUGUAUAAGAUGUUUUAUCAGGACUCUUCUUGUGCCAUUCAGUUGAGGAGAUUCGCCUCGGGGUGGGAGAUGAGGGCAUGGCCGAGCUGGUACUUUUUAUUACUUAACAACUGCUUGAAUGACAGCAUUUUGAGAUUUGGUUGUUAACUUUCUCAAUUAAGAAACCUUAUCUUGACUCCCAAUAAUCUUGAAGGUGAAAUGCAAUUUCAGUUGUGCUAAUUGUACCAAUUGCGAUUAAUAGAUCCUUCAAAUAACAAAUUUUAGAUAACGUUGCACUUCAUGAUAGAAUGUAAGAUAAAACUUGUUUUUUUUUUUCUUUUUUAUAGUAUUGACAUUUGAACGCUAUCAAAAUAGAAUGUAAGAUAUUGUUCAUACUACAAUAUUAUUGUAGCAAAACUAGCUGAUAGCAGUAUUCAUACUACAGUGCUAUUGUUUCUAUCAUAGUAAUAUUUUGUUGGUGGCUAAAUAUUAUUUUUUUUAUUAAAUAAAAAAGUGGGUAAUACUCAAAUUAAUUUUUAAUUUCCAAUCUCUCUCGAGUUCUCAAUUCAAGUAGCCAAUCAAAUAAAAAUAUUUAAAAUUAAUUAGAUCAUCCAUGGGCCUUUUUUUUUUUUUUUUUUUCAAAGGAGAUGGAUUCUUAAAACUACAGGUAAUGAAAUUAACUAACAAAAACAGGUUUAAAUGUCCAUUUUAAAUUUUUUUAAUAAUUUUUUGUUUACUAUUUUACCAGCUAUAUAAAGAGUGCCACGCCAAUACAUCAAUUGAUUUAGAAAUUACAUUUGGGGUUUUUUUAAUCAUAUAAAGGUGAUUAAAUAAUUUUGUAAAAUUCAUUUGGCUUGCACUUGGUCGCCUCUGUUCUCUGAAUGGUCAUGACGUUAUCAUCAUCUUCUUCUUCACUUGUACUAACAUUAAAUUCUUCUUGUUCACUUGUACUAACAUUUUAAUUUCCAAUCUUUCUCAGCUAUAUAAAGAGUACUCUUUCUCGGAUUCUAGGUAGUCCCACACAGCUCCAUCUCACUCCAAUUGUCACCCAACAAGACCAAUCGCUUAAUCAAGACACAGAACAAAAAGAGGAUGAGAAAUUGGAACAAGAACUUGAGAAUUGGAAAUCGAAAACGUACGCAUUGACCGUGCCUUUGAGAGUCGUUUCUCUUCAGAAUUCAAUACCUUAAUCUUGGGUUAAGGAUUUUAUGCGAAGUCAAGGAAAGAGAUUGAGUUCUCAGAUGAAUUUGUGUGCUAGCAUUGAUGGGAUCUUAACAAUUUAUCUGUGCCUUUUAACAAAGUUAAGGCUAAGUCAGCUCUUAUAUGGCUGCUGAUUUGGUUAGUGUUGGUGAUCCAUGGCUCAGUUUUGCGAUUAAAAAGAGAUUGAUUGAACCAAUAGUUGGAGCUGAAGAUCAAGAUUGGUUCAAAUGCUUAAGUCACAAAUGGAAGGUAACAUCUUUAUCAUUGUCCCGAUAUUUUUUAUUGUCUUACAUUGAAGUUUGGUAAUGGAAUUUGUUCUCUAUUUAUUUCCCUUUGUAGUCAUUUUAUUUAUUUUUUUGUUUGCAUUUAUUUGCACUUACGAAGUCUCAGGUAUAUCUACGCAGGAAUGAUGCAGGAGAAAUUGAUCCUCUAGGUAAAAUAUGCGCGGCACCAUAUCAGUGGGGCACAGCGGUGAUAGCUUACAAGGAAAGUAAAUUUCGAAAGCUUAAUUUGGCUCCGAUUGCGGUAAUAAUUGUCUUUAAACUCAUUUAGUUUUAUAUCAAACAAAACCAAGACUGCCUUUCUCUUCAAUAUUUUUUAUGAUAAUAUCUUUAGAAGCAUCUUAUUGAUGGGUAAUAAUGGUACCCCUUAAAGAGUUUAUAAACUCAAUGAUAUUAUCUUCUGCAAAUGGUUCAUUAAACUUUGUCGUUGUAGUCAAAUGUACACUCAGAGCAAUGAGAAGCUAUGCCACUGUAGCAUGUAGUGAUGGCACUUAAUAAGUGAGUUGCUAGGAUGUGAACUAGAAAAAUUAAAUAUUGUCUCCCUGGGUAUGCUAGCUCAUAAGUCAGGGUUAAUAUUAGAACUCAAGAUACUUUAACCAUGAGAAGCUAUUGACUGCCAAUUAAAAUAUCCUUUAAAAUGUCUAGGAAGUUAUGAAGGUGGAAGUAUCUUCCGAUUUCUAAGGCCACAUGGUAGAUAUCAUCCAGGAUCCUAGUACAGUGCAGUUAUCCUCCUGCUAGAUGCAAUUAAUAAAUUUGGUCAAUGCCACUGAAACAUGCUAACUGACGUCACAAUGCGACAUGAGCACUUCAAAAUGGGACAGACGGUCGGUAGCACUAAAUUUUUCUUGCCUAAGAUUGAGCAAUUGGUCUAACUACUAACCCCUUUUGUAGGUUGAUCAUUAUUUUUUCAAUUGUUUUCAGUCUGACCCAAAAUGUUACAGAAUCUUGAUCUGAAUAUUGUCACUGAACACUGUCAAUGUCGUUUAGCGUAGCCAACUAACUUGAGUUUGGUAAAACAAACACACAGUGUGUCUCAUGUCUCACAAUUCAAAUUAUCAUUUGUAAUGAUGGAGAAUUUUUCCAAUGUAUGAAGUAUGCUUUGAUACGUGGGUUACCUUGGAGAAGGUAUCUCAAAAUAAAGAAUAUGGGGAGAAAACAGUUCAGUAGUUUAUUAUUCUGUAGUCAAGUUUUGUCUCAAAAAUGGUCCAAAUUUAAAUGAAUAAGGACAGGGGAUCUUCAUUCUUUUUUCCCUUUUUUAUACCGAGAUAUCUCUCAACCUUUACAUAAUCCCCACUGGAUAUCUGCUUCUAAUAAUUAAAAUAAAAAUUUCACCCACACAAAUAAUGUAAUACCCCACACCCGAUUAUUUUUUUACUCUCCACCUAUAUAAAUUGAGCGCGAUUAAAAGUUCGAGUAGUCGGAUGUAUUUUCAUCACGGGACCGGUAUAAGUUUAAUUUGUAUCAAGUUUAAGUGGAAAAAAAAAGAGAAAGAAAAAGAAAUCGGGUUUUAUAUAUGGAAAUGGGGGAAACUGUUUUUGAUUUACAAAGAAAGAGGGAGAAGGCACGAGAGAGAGAGAGAGAGAGAGAGAGUGUUUGACCCGGUUUGACCCGCAACCCGACCCGGAACCCGCGACCGUGACCCGGAAUUUUCUCUCGAUUCCGGCCACCUCACCGGCCGUGCUUGGUACCGAUUUGAAGCUUGGAAGCCGCCCGACCUAUCCCCGCUGUCCUCGUUGCCGGAAACUGACCAGAACGCCGGCGAUUUGAGCUCGAAAACUCGCGGCCAAGGCUCGUUUUUGCCGCCGUCGAUUUCGCCGGAUUUUGGGCACACUUCCAGCUGGGUUCUACUCCUCACGUCACCAGCAUCAUUUUCCGACCAACCUCGUCACCUGAAACGGCCGGAUUGCCGGCGAUCAACCACUUGGGAAGCUCGUGGUUUUUGGAAGCUCGAUUUGCCGCCGCUGCCGCGCGUGGAAGGUCACCACCGCCACCAUUGGACUCAGCAUGGCUUGAACUUUCAGUUCUGAGCUUCUCGUCGCCGUCGGAUGAAUUCCGGUGACCGUUGACCGGCAAGGGUAUUUUGGUAAUUUCACAGUCUAAGGGCAAUUUUGUAAUUUCAGAUUUUGUGGGUAUUUUAGUAAUGGCUGUAAUUGAGGAUAAAGUUGGUAAUUUAUGAUUUUGAGGUUAAUUUGGUAAUUUUGAUAUGAGGGUAUUUUGGUAAUAUUGAAUUCAAGGGUAAUUCGGUAAAUUCAUAAAACUUGAGGGUGAAUCUGUAAUUUGUGGAAUCAUGGGAUAAAUUGGUAAUUUUAAGUUAGGGCAGUGUGGUAAUUUGAGAUUACGAGGGUAAUUCGGUAAUUUAAGACGUUAAGGACAUUUCGGUAAUUUUAUGCCCCAAGGGUAAUUUCGUACUUUCGGACAAUGUGAUUAAUUUAUGUAAUCUGAAUUGAGGACAAUAUGGUAAUUGACGAAUAUGAGGAUAAUUUGGUAAAAUAAUGAAGUUUGAGGAUAAGUUGGUAAAAUAUUGAUGUUGGGGGUAUUUUGAUAAUUUUGGCAUGUAGGGGUAUUUCGGUAAUUUUGUGCAUGCGGGAAUAGUUUAUUGUUGAUAAAUAUUCGUUUCGAGAUUUAUUAUAUAAAAUUGGUUGUAUUUCAAGUUUACGGAGAAUGUUUAUGUCGUUUCCCUGAUUAGGAGGAUCUGCGAACGAGAAUCAACCCGCGGACGUUGUUGAUACCGAGUCUAGACAUCAUCACUGUGAGUGGAAUAUACAAAACCUAUUUUCAUAGUAUAUGCUGAUUUUAUGAUAAGUAUUUAAUGCUUCGAUUAAAUGAUUUUCCGGCAAAUUAAUUUUUAUCUAUGUGUCGGUCUUUAUUGUUAUUGAGAAUGAGUUUGAUUAAUGAUUUUAUUAGCGUUUUUGAGUAAAGGCAUGAUAUUAGAAUUGAGCAGAUUUUGAGAUAUGUUGAAUAGAAAGAAAAUGAGAUUUCAGAUGAGAUUCUAUGUUUAUGUAUAUGUUAUUUUUGAAAUCAUUAGACAGUACCCUUCCCUCCAGAUACAGAGAAACAGAUAAUAUGAGAUGAGAAAAGAGAUACAGAUAAGAUGAGAUAGAGGCCUUUGGGGCCCGUCAGGACACACAUAGAGGCUUUGGGCCGUGUGUUCGGGCGCUUUUGCCUUUUGGGGGCUUAUGCAUGCGCAGUACAGAUAUAUCAGAUAUGAGAUGAGAUCGUCCCCAUCUAUCCGUUGUAGCUCCGGGGCGUGACGUUACCCAGAUAGUACGUCAUUGCCCGUCCGUCGAGGUCCGGAUAUGAUCAGAUUAUCCCCUGGGUACUUGCUUGAUGAUAGUUUUCAGUAUUCAGUAUUUUAUAUGAUAAGUAUUAUGAUUCCAUUGAAUUUAUGCAGAUUUUAAUGUGAUAUAGUAUUUCAAUGAACUAAUUUGAACUUAAUAAGUUUAUGUAAGUUCUUAUGAUAUUUUGAUGAAAUUGUCUGAGCAAAUUGAUUUAUGAAAUUGAUUUGAGGAAGUGAUUUGAGAAAGUGAUUUGAGAAAGAUUAAAUGAUUUUAAAUAAAUUUAUUAAAUUGUCAGCAACUACUAUCCACUCACUGAGCUCACUGAGUUUUAUACUCACCCCUCUUUUAUUAUAUUUCCCCCCCCCACAGGAGAUUUACAGGUACAUCAGUCAACCUAGUAGCGAACGUUAGUGUGAUAUUGUGGCCACGUGAUGGUGCUAGGAGUCGUGAAUUUAAUUAUUAUUAUAUUUGGGAUUUUUGCGAGUUGUGUUUAUUUAUUAUUUUAUGUUAUUAAGGAUAAUCGAUGUAUUUUAAUAUUAGGAUGAUUUGGAUGAUGUUUGAUAUAUUGAUUUGAGAAGUUGGUUAUGGAGGAUGGUUGGAUAUUAAAUUAUUUUGGGAGUGUUGCUUUAUAAUUUGCAGGAUUGGAUAUGUUUUAUUUAUAAGGGAGAUUCUGCCGAAAUUUUUAUAGAAUAGUUUCGAUUUUACGAGUUUAGAUAGACUCGCCCUGGGGAGUUGCGGGGCGGGUCGUUUCAAAUAAAUACUGACCAAGCUCUAACAAUAAAAAGUAACAUCUUUAGUCAAGUGAUUUACAGUUCCUCAUCAUCUUAGUGAGACUAUCAGUAUGUUCCAAAAACAUUAUAAAACUGGUUUGUUCCUGUUUAUUGAUGUUUAAAUGAUGUUCAUUGUGACAUGUAGAAAUGAUGAGGCGAAGUUUAUUUGGCCAUCAAUUUGUAAGAUCUUGUUUGAAGUUGUUUUCUGAAAUGAACUGCCAAAUGGUAGUUUUUUUGGGCAUUUGAUGGCUCUUUUUUCCUCAUUUUAAACAUGUGCCUGCUUGGAACAAGAAGGAUUAGGCUGCAGAGUUGUUAUAUAUUUUGACAUGCUCUGGUCAUUGCACAAUUUGUUCACACUGGAAACUAGAAUGAGAAAUUUGUUGCAUUCUAUGCACAAUAACAUGAUUCAUGAAAAUGGAUUGUAGGACUGGAAAGAUCUGUGGCAGCCUGAGCUCGCAGGACGAAUUUCAAUGGUUAAUUCUCCCCAAGAGGUUAUUGGUUUAGUUUUGAAGUAUAUGGGAGCGUCAUACAACUUGAUUCGCAAGUUGCUGGUGGGAAGAUUGCUGUUCAGCAGAAUCUGGCAUUACUGGCAAACCAGGUACUCUCAAAGAAAUGAUAUCUGGUCAUUGCAUGUUAUUGCCUGACAACUGAUUUUGUUUGUAAAAGUCUGCUUCUUCAUACAUAUGAAUGCAUAUGUUUGUGUUUUCUUCUCCUUUUCAUACAUAUGAAUGCAUAUGUUACUUCUUUUCCUUUCCAUACAUAUUAAUACAUAUGUUGGUGUUCUCUCCUGAGAUGGAUGCAAUAAAGGCUUUUCUGAAGAAAUGGCAAGGGAUGUGAGAUUCUGUCUCAUAAAAUUAACAAAAACCCAAAACAAUGAAAACCCAUAAUAAUGUGGUGUGGGUAAAUUGACACCAUUUGGUUCGUUUCCUUGAUUUGAAUACGCGGGCAAUAGAGACUAACAAAAUGAAGUGACAACAAGAAGUCAGUGUCCUUUGAUGGAUGCAUUUUUAGGCAGAAAUAGGUUUGUAAUUGACCAAAUUUGUCUGGCAUGCCAAUUUCAAAAAAAUUAAAUUAUGUGGUUAUUAGCUGUAAUGAAGGGGGAUAGUUGGUCCAAUCAGGUGGAUCCAGGAAAGUUCAACAAAGUUCUGGUAUGGCGUAGAAAUUGGUUUGUGCAACUCAAGAGUCUUUCUGGUGAACGAUGAUGGGUUUUGAUUUAUAAAUGUUAUAAAUCUACUGUGCAUAGUAUUCUAGUAGAAUCAUCUAUAAGUUCUAGUUAUUGAAAUUGUCUACCUUGUUCAGUUUGAGUUAAGGGCACAUGUAAUAUGAAAAAUAGUUGUCGCAUCUUUUAGGUUACCUAACAUUUGAUCAAUCCUAUUAUGAGGGCUUCAAGAUGUCUAACAAUAUGUGGAAUGCCCAUGCUCCUCCCCAUUGUUUAUCUUAUAUAAUAAUUUGUUUUCGAUGCUAAUAUCUUUGUCGAUACCGGUAACAAUAUUAUAAUAUCUGCGUUUAUUGGGUUUUACAUAGGUUCGACUGUUUGACAGUACACACUAUCUGAAGGCAUUUGGAAUUGGAGAUGUAUGGAUUGCUGUUGGGUGGAGUAGUGAUGUUCUUCCUGCUGUCAAACGUAUGUCUAAUGUUGCAGUUGUUGUUCCCAAGUCUGGUGCUAGCUUAUGGGCUGAUCUUUGGGUAUACCCAUGCCUGCCAUUCUACUUCAAUAUUCACAUUGUUAUCUCCUUCAUAUUAGCGAUCAGUAAACACGAUAAUGUGACUAAUAAGUUUGUAUUCUCUUUAUAGCCAAUCCCUGCUGCCUCAAGACUUGAAACAAAACAAAUUGGAGGGCGAGUCAGAGGUCCAUUUCCAUUAAUCCAUCAAUGGAUAGAAUUCUGCUUGCAAACAGCAUGAUCAUUGCCUUUCAAGCAAGAGGUUAUCCCGAGCGCAUCUCCCUCUGCUCUUGAGAGUACUCUGGUUAAGUUGCCUGAAGAACUUUUGAAGGGUAAACCAAGUCUGGAUACUAACUUAAUUGCGGGAGUACCCCCGGCUGAAAUUCUGGCCAGAUGUGAGUUUUUGGAGCCAUUAUCUGAAGCUACUUUGUCAGAUUAUGAGUGGCUGGUUGCUAAUCUGCAAAAACCUGCUCCUGUCUUGAUGAAAAGGGUGCAACGUUACUUGUCAUCAUUAAUCUUUAGCUAAAGGUACAUUGAAAAGUUAAUGGCACUGCAUACCAGUCAUUAUAAUUGGGUCAGGGCAAUUAGGUCAGAGCAUAACUUCAUUAGGAAAAGAGGCUUCAGCUACGUUAAAUAUUACAGGAUGUACAGAGAUGGCUGAAGUUGUUGAGGUUUUACGAGAAACGAAAGAUGAGUGUUUGUUUGAACAAAGUUGUUGCCAAUCUUGCAGAGUUCGAGAAGAAAGAUCACAGAGCGAAUGCCACCGAUUUCUUCAUCAUUGUAGCCUCCAUAGUUGAAGUUUCCUCAUUUGAAGCUGUUUAUGCAUUAAGCUUAUUCCCUGCUCAAGUACAGGAAACUGAAGAAUUAACCAGACAUGAUAUGCUGAAAGAGGGAAGUUUUCUUCCUUGAAUGUGGCCUUGUGAUUUGUAGUGAAGUAAUAGGAUGAUCACUAGCAAGAACCCUAUCAAGGUAGACUUUAUAAUGUCAACAUAUUAUUAAGCAUUUGUCAAUUUAGCACUUUCGCAAUGAUACAUUCAUAGCAUGAAAUUAAUUAUAUGAUCCUGAUUAAUCAAUUAAUCUUCAUGAGAUUUAACCUAGUUAAAACUAAGUACAAUCAUCGUUAACAAAUACUGAAAUUGGGUAAAUAUGAUCUCGACAUUGAAGAAUUUGAAAACACAACCCACAGAGGAAAUUACUUAUUGCAUGGGGAUGGAGAUGGUUACUGCAGGGAUAUAGAAUAUGUGCAAGGUGUUGUCCACUGCUCGUUGGGUUAUGGUGUGACUUGCGAUUUCAAGGUUGCCCUGAAACAAUGGAAAAGAUUAACAUAUCCUCCAAUGAAUAAAAACGGCUUGACUAAUUCAAAUUACUCAGGAUCAGGUGGCAAUAAAACAGUCCAUUUACUUUUCCAGGAUCAGAUGUUGAUAAUAAUAGUUUAUUAAAUGAAAAAUCAUUGUUCUUGGGGGUUGGUUGUAUACGUCAUUACUACUUCAAGUAGAAGAAAAAGGUUGUGUAGGUGAUUUCAGAAAUAAAAUACAUUCUGAGAGAUGAUGGUCCACUAUUGCAUGCCCCCCAGAUUUAAUAAUCAUCACUUUUCCUUAAAAAACUGCUACGCUUUGAUUUUAGUGCUGAAUAUUUAUUGAACUCUGAUAGAGGGAGUUUGAAGUCAAACUCGUAAUUACAGGUUAUCUAAUUGCGAGUUGCUGUCCAUAGCUGUUGAUUUGUAGUGAUUAUUUAAUUGACUGAGGUAACAACAAUUUUUUUUUUAAUUUUCAGUAAAAUAAAUUCUCCUAGUUAAUUUGUUUCAAGUUAAAUUAUUAAUUACUUAAACUCUGUUUUAAGUCUUUAAUUUUAUGUCUUGGCGUAUAUGCAAAAUUGGAUUCUUGAGCGUGCUGGACACGACCAACAAUGAAAUUGACAGUAAAUAAACAUUACAACGUGUGGACUCCGGUAGCUACAAGUCUACAACUUCACAAAUAAUAAUUGAGUAAGCGCCUUUGAUUCUCGGGACCCUUCAAUGAAUUUCUAGUCCCGUUGACUCCGCCGACUAAAGUUCUGUUAAAAAAAAAAAUACAUAGAAUUCCACCAAAUGCAAAACGCGUGGAAUUUAAUUUUCGGCCAUGUGGACCGAAACAUAAUUUAACAAAAAAAGAAAAAAAAUGAUAAGAUUUCUAAAACGUGUGGAAGGUGAUCCAUAUUUUACUGAAACGACUUGUUAAAAUUUUCAAAGAUUUAGAAUAUUUGGUUAUAAAUUACGCUCAUGUUAAUUUUUCUGCCAUUGACUAUCAUAUUCUAGACUUAAUGGUACCUUUCUUGAUGAAGGGUACUUAGUCUCUCUUCUCGUCUUAUAAAAAUUAUAUUAAUUGAUUUCUUGUUAUAAUUAAUAGUCUUUAGGAACGGAUAACUUUAUUGUUUUCAUGACCAAAUUAUGCCUCCUAAGCUUGCGACUAUUAAUAAAAUUAAUAUUUAAUAUUUAUGUUAAAAGAUAUAAGAUUUUAUGCAUUCAUUAAUUGUUAUUAGCUAAAUGAUGAAUUAUUUUUUAAACCCAAUCAGUUGAUGCAUCUGCAAGAGUUUUUUCUUUUAUUGACCAUAAUUAUAUUCCGGGUACAAUAAAUUGUCAUUGGUGCUUGGAAAAUAUGACUUCUUACUUCAAGUUUGAUAUGUCUCUCUCCAUAAGCUUACUGGAAAUAUAUCCUCAUCUACUGUCAUUUAUCUAAUAUCAAUUGAAAGAUCUCACUUUUUCAAACUAUCACUUCCAAGUCUCAUUGUCACUUAGCCAUUCUUGGACCAUUCAAAACCAAUCUGUUGAAAUAAUCAAAUAUAUGCAAAAUUAGAGUCACGAUUGUUGGUCCCCCAAAUUCUAAUUAUAUAUCUUCUAUAUAUCUCAUUGUCAGGUCACGAACUUGUUGGCAUAUUUUCCAAAUUCCUCUUCCAUCAGCUCUCACAUGUUAACUUGAGUGGAAAGUUUCCAAGUUGAUUGCUAGAAAGCAACGCAAAAUCAGACACACUUGAUCUAUCCCCUAAUUCUCGUUUCUACGUUGAAAAAGAAAGUAUAUAUAUAUAUCUAUGUAAAAAUAAAUAAUAAACUGAGUAAAAGUACAUUUGUUUAAUUAACAUCUGAUCGGGGCAUUUUUGGUGUAAUUUCGUGCCGUGUAAGCCACAACUAAAAUCAAACAGCCCCUUAGCAUACUUCUUCCAUAUUAUCUGCUACUUUUGUGGAUCUUAUAGGGUGGGCAUGUGGACAGAAUUUAAAAGUUUUAAUAGUCUCAAAGAAUAAGAUAUGUUAAAGCUAAAGUUGUUGCACCUUCUAAUUAAAUAAAGUUGCAUAAUUUCACCAACUUGAAAGAAUUGACAUUAAUGGACUGGUCCCCUCUCCAUAUAUGAAGCCUUCUUAAAAGUUAAUUUUUAUUUCAGAAAAAAAAAGUUUAAGUUACAUAUAUUACAGUAAGAUUUUUUGAGACCAAUUCCCUUCUUCAAAUGAUAAUGGAAAAGUAUUAAUUUAAAAAUAGCAUGAAUAUGUAUUGAUUAUAUCUUGAUUUUCAUCAAUUAUAGUCAGAGUUUCUCCAAAUCAAUUCCCUUAUUCAAAUAAUACAGAAAAUAAUUUAAUAGUAAAAUAAAUAGGUGUUGAUUAUAUAUCCUAAGUUUCAUCGAUUAUGUGAUCAAAGUGGCAUUGUUGAUUUAUUUCUUGUUCAAUGUUAAUUAAUUUUAGGGGAAUAUUCGGCCAACCUCUGUAAUUUCAGAGUGAUCAUUAAUUAAUUAAACGAUACAAAUAUCUAAAGUGAUUAGAUGUUUGCUGACAAUACAAGUUCAUGGCUUGAAAUUUGAUCUCUAUCGAUUGGUUUACAAAUGGACGCACUUGUGCCUUUGUGGCGAUAAUUGAACAGAGAUGUGAAGUUGUAAAGAUUUGGCAGUAGUAAAUUGUUAUAAAGACAUAAUGACAAGUUCCCAUGAUUAGUAUUUUUUUCCAAAAACUUUGUUACAACAAAUUCAUCUCGCCCAAAAAUUCUAUUUUGCUAACUAACAAUAAUUGAGCACUUGGCCGCAUUGACUCCACGUCUCCACCUACUUUGUAAGUAAAAACAUGGAAAUGUAAUCUCCACAAAAUGCCAAACGUGUGGAAUUUAAUUUUUGGCCUUGUGAAUCAAAAUGCAAAUGAAAGAAAAAGAGAGAAAAAAACAAGGCCCAAAGACUACGAAAAGAUAUAAAAGUCUUUGGGCCUUUUUAUAACGGCGAAUUUUUUAAAAGGCAAAAAUAACAACACUUCUAUGGUUUGUUUUGAUAAUCACAUUUACAUAUACUCUCUAAUUUUCAAAAUGGACACAUAAAUCUUUUUUUUUUCUACAAAUGUAUAUUAUUCGUAUUUUUUAUUAUUUUUAAUAUCAUAUUGUUAUUUAUUAUAAAUGUUUAAAGUAAAUUUUUAGGUUAAAAUAUAAUAAAAGGGUAUAAUCGUUCUCUUAUUAAACACCCAUACUUUUAGUUUCUAUCCAUUUGUCAUCUCAAUCUCUCUCAAUUAUUCUUUAUUGCUAGCUCAAAACGCGUUGCUGUUGCAAAUUAUAGCAAAAAGACAAAUAUGGAAAAGAAAAAAGGGAAGAAAAUUAGUGCAUGAAAGACUUGGAGAAAACAACGAAGUAAGUCAACUAUAAUCUAGCUGGGUGUAUAAAUUGUUUGAUGCUUUAUAAGCAAAUAACAAACAGAGACAGACAGUGUGUGUUCGUUUUUUCAUAGUUAAAGAUAUAGUUAGAAUGGGUGGUUCAAAAUCAAAAAUGGCGAUAAUGUUUGUUAUGUUAUUAAUAAUAUUUAAAAGUGGGUGGAGUGAGGGAUGUUUGGAUCACGAGAGAUUUGCUCUUUUGCGACUGCAACAUUUCUUCAAUGAUCCUCGUAAUUCUCUUUACAACUGGGUCGAUGAUGAGGGAGCUACUGAUUGUUGUCAGUGGGAAAGGGUUGAGUGCAGCAACACCACAGGCCGAGUGAUAGCGCUAGACCUUUUUGAAAUGUAUUCGGGAGAGUACAGCUGGUAUCUGAAUGCUUCUUUGUUUACUCCCUUCCAACAACUUGAGUCACUUGAUUUAACUGCCAACAAAAUAGCCGGUUGUGUUGAGAAUGAAGGUGCUUCGUUUAAUUUAAUUAAUUUACUUUCUCCCCCCUAAUUUAAGUUGAAUAUCAAGACCGAGCAACUAUACGCAUAUUCAUUUAGUCGACAAUUUUGACUUUUUUUUAAGUGAUUAAUUAAUUUUAAAAUUACACCAAUAUCUAUGAUCUUUUUUUUUUUUAAUUUUGCUUGCAGGUCUAGAGAGGCUAUCAAGAUUGAACAACUUGAAGAUGCUUAAUUUAAGUGAAAACUCUUUGAACAAUAGCAUUUUAUCAUCUCUAACUCAUCUUUCAUCAUUAAGCUCAUUAAAUUUAUUUUUAAAUAGAUUGGAAGGAAGUAUUGACUUUAAAGGUACAUAAUUAAAACUUCAUCCCUUCUCCAAGCUCUUUCAUUAACUUGCUAAAAUAAGACUCAAGGCUUUGAAUUCAAUUUUUUUUAUGAUUAGUAUUAAAAAAAACAGUUUUAAGCAAUUUAUAAAUACAAGUUUUAAUGGUUAUCGUAAUUUCAUCUUGUAAUUUCAUAUGUCUUGAAUUUAAGAUUAAAAAAAACUCUAAUAGCGAACCAAACACCUCCACAACUUAUUAUUAUUAUUAUUAUUAUUAUUAUUUGUGGUGAGGUUGGAAACAUUCAACUUAAUUUGUACUUAUUACAGAAUUUGAUUCUUUGAGAGAUUUAGAGGAGCUAGACAUUGGCGGGAACAAGAUUGACAAAUUUGUGGUCUCAAAAGGUACUACAAAUACCACAAAAAAUGUAAACUUUUACAAAUUAGCUGGAUUCUUUGCCAUUUGGUUUAUUAUUUUACAGGUUUGAGUAAGUUGAAGUCUCUUGAUUUAAGUGGUAUCAAACUCAACCGUAGUAUCUUAUCUUCUCUAACUGUCUUUUCUUCAUUAAGAGAAUUACAUCUACGUAAUAUCAUAUUCAAAGGAACAUUUGAUGUUCGAGGUAAGCCUAAGCCUUGCUUUCUCAUUUUCUAUAUGCCAACUAGAUUUGUGUAUCAUCGGCAUAAUUUAAUAUUUAAUUUGAUAAGUCUGAAGGAAUUACAUGCUAAUUUAAACAUACUUUUAUUUACUUUGUCAAUUAAUUAAUUAAUUAAUUACUAUUUGACAUUGGACGGUUCCUCUCUCCAUAUAAGCCUUCUGCAAAGCAUUGCAUCAUUCACUUCGUUAAAAAAUCUGUCGAUGUCUGAUUGUGAAGUCAAUGGUGUCCUACGUGGUCAAGGUAAAAGAAAAGUGUUGAUUGUGAAUAAGCUGUUAAUUAAUUAAUGUUGUUGCUCCUUGCUUCUAAACAGAGUUGCGCAAUUUCACCAACUUGGAAUAUUUGAAUUGGAUUCUUCCUCGCUCCAUAUAAGCCUUCUACAAUUGCUUGAACAAUUUAUUUAUUUAUUUAUUUAUUAUUAUUGUUGUUGUUGUUGUUGUUGAAGUGGGGUGGGCAAGCGUUCACUCAGUUAAUAUGUGGGGAAUUAAAUAUUACAAUCCAAGGUAGAAUUGUGGAAAAUUAAAGCUAAAUGAGAAAUAUGGAAAGAAAGGAAGAAAGUUAAGGGCAUGAAAGACUGGGAGAAUACUAAAAACCACCAAAUAAGUCAACUGAAAACUAGCUGAGGCCUGGGUGUACAAAUUGUUAGAUGUGUUUGUUAUAAAUAACAUAGAGCCAUCUUGUUGGUUGCAGAGGCAGAGAGACAGAGAGUGUGCAUUUUGUCCAGUUAAAAAUGAUAAAAUUUAUCAUUUGUUUAUAUUGAUUUAUUAACUCUAUUUUAAGUCUUAAGUCUUGGCGUCUUGGCAUGUUUGCAGAAUUUGAUUCCUUGAGCAACUUAGAGGAGUUGGACAUGAGCGGCAAUGAAAUAGACAAUUUCGAGGUUCCUCAAGGUACACAAUUAAAAUAUUAUUUAAUUACAUUAAUUUAAUUCGUUUGAUUAGGGAAGGCCCAAAAUGUACAAAAACAUAAUUAGAAAAAAUAAAGAAACAGAGAAUUCAUAUUAUUUCAAAUAACAAAAGGUAAUACUAUUAUUUCAAAAACAGAUUGUAAUAAAGAUUUGAUUCCAAUUCUUUAAUCUUUACAGUGAUUGAAAAACGAUACUACUUCCCAAAGCAUAAAAUACGAAUUGACUCUCAAUUAAAUUAAUCAUUUAUUUCGUUUAGGUCUAAAUUUAGAAAAAUGAAUUUUGAUUCUCUUGAAUCAUUUCCUAAUUAUUAUUAUUCAACAGGUUACAGAGGUUUGAGGAAGCUGAAAAGCCUGCAUCUAUCGGGAGUUGGAAUUAGAGAUGGAAGCAAGUUGUUACAGUCAAUGGGAUCAUUUCCAUCCCUCAACGCUCUUUACCUGAGCAAUAAUAAUUUUACCGGUACAACGUCAACUACUCAAGGUAAGUAAAAGGUACAGAUGUGGCCAAAUUUAUAAAUAAACUGUUAAUUAAUUAAUUUUCUGUAUUAUUAAUAAAGCUAAAUUUUUUGCUCAUUCCUUCUAAUUCUAAACAGAGUUGCACAAUUUCACCAACUUGGAAUAUUUGACAUUGGACGAUUCCUCUCUCCAUAUAAGCCUUCUGCAAAGCAUUGCAUCAAUAUUCCCUUCGUUGAAAAAACUGUCGAUGUCUUAUUGUGAAGUCAAUGGUGUCGUACAUGGUCAAGGUAAAAGAAAAGUGUUGGUUGUGCACUCACUCAGUGGUGUCCUACGUGUUCAAUAUUUUUAUUUAUUUAUUUUAUUGUUUAAUGAGAUGCUUCCACCCUCCCCUUUAAAUCUAUAAUAUUAAUUUUCGAUUAAUAUAUAAUUAUAGAAACCAAUCACUUAUAAAAGAAUGCUAUGCAUUUGCCAAUUUUUUUAUAUUUUACUGAUUGAUGAAUUAAUAAAUUUUCAGGCCUCUGUUCGUUGGUGCAUCUACAAGAGUUGUACAUUGCAACUCUUGUAGUAAUUAAUUAAUUAAGUAUUAGUUAAUUAAUUAAUUAAUUAAUUUUCUGUAUUAUUAAUAAAGCUAAUUUUUUUGCUCAUUCCUUCUAAUUCUGAACAGAGUUGCACAAUUUCACCAACUUGGAAUAUUUGGCAUUGGACUCUUCCUCUCUCCAUAUAAGCCUUCUGCAAAGCAUUGCAUCAUUAUUCCCUUCAUUAAAAAAUCUGUCGAUGUCUAGUUGUGAAGUCAAUGGUGUCGUACGCAGUCAAGGUAAAAGAAAAGGGUUGAAUGUGAACUCACUCAAUGGUGUCCUACGUGUUCAACAUUUUUAUUUAUUUAUUUUAUUGUUUAAUCUUUCUGCUAGGUUUUCCUCAUUUCAAGAGUUUGGAACAUUUUGACAUGGAUUUCACGCGCAUUGCACUCAACACUAGCUUUAUUGCACUCAACACUAGCUUUCUUCAAAUCAUCAGUGAAUCGAUGCCUUCUCUUAAGUACUUAUCACUAUCAUAUUAUACUCUUGGAACUAAUAGCAGCGGGACUCUUGAUCAAGGUUAACGAGAUGCUCCCACCCUCCCCUCCUAAUCUAUAAUAUUAAUUUUUUAUUUAAUAUAAUUACACAAACGAAUCACUUAUAAAAGAAUGAUAUGCAUUUGUUAAUUUUUUUAUUGUACUGAUGGAUGAAUUAAUAAAUUUUCAGGCCUCUGUUCGUUGGUGCAUCUACAAGAGUUGUACAUUGCAAGCAAUGAUUUAAGAGGUAGCUUGCCUUGGUGCAUGGCAAAUAUGACAUCCCUCAGAAUAUUAGAUGUUUCUUCUAAUCAACUUACUGGAAGCAUCUCCUCAUCUCCCCUCGUUCAUUUGACAUCCAUUGAAGAGCUGAUGCUUUCAAACAAUUACUUCCAGAUCCCAAUUUCACUUGAACCACUUUUCAAUUACUCAAGACUCAAGAUUUUCAAUGCUGAGAACAACGAAAUAAAAGCUGAAAUAACUGAGUCACAUUCUUUGAUCGCCCCAAAAUUCCAAUUAAAUACUCUCUCAUUGUCUUCCAAUUACGGAGACGGUUUCAUAUUCCCCAAAUUCCUUUACCAUCAACAUGACCUGGAGUAUGUUGAUCUCUCACACAUAAAGAUGAAUGGAGAAUUUCCAAAUUGGUUGUUGGAAAACAACACAAAAUUAGAAACUCUUUUUCUGGUUAAUGAUUCUCUUGCAGGACCUUUUCGGUUGCCAAUUCAUUCACACAAGCGGUUAAGACAGUUGGAUGUCUCCAACAACAACAUUCGAGGCCACAUUCCAGUAAAAAUUGGAGAUGUUUUACCAAGUUUAUACGUUUUCAACAAUUCCAUGAAUGCUUUAGACGGUAGCAUUCCCUCUUCAUUUGGUAAUAUGAAAUUCCUCCAAAUUCUGGACUUAUCCAACAAUCACUUGACUGGUGAAAUCCCCGAGCACUUGGCCGUGGGUUGCGUCAACUUGCAGUUUCUUGCAUUAUCAAAUAACAACCUACAAGGUCAUUUGUUCUCUAGAAAUUUUAACUUGACAAACUUGCAAUGGUUACAAUUGGAGGGCAAUCGCUUCGUAGGUGAGAUCCCACAAAGUUUGUCUAAAUGCUCCUCACUAGAAGGAUUGUACCUUAACAAUAAUAGUCUUUUAGGUAAGAUUCCACGAUGGUUGGGUAAUCUGACACGGUUACAAUAUAUUAUAAUGCCCAAUAAUCAUCUUGAAGGCCCUAUUCCAGUGGAGUUUUGCCAGCUUGAUUCGCUUCAGAUUUUGGACAUUUCAGACAACAACAUAUCUGGAAGUUUACCAUCUUGUUUCCAUCCUCUCUCUAUCAAACAAGUUCAUCUUUCAAAAAAUAUGUUACAUGGACAGCUAAAAAGAGGUACAUUCUUUAAUUGCUCUUCCCUUGUGACAUUAGAUCUUAGCUAUAACCGCUUGAAUGGCAGCAUUCCGGAUUGGGUUGAUGGGCUUUCUCAGUUAAGCCACCUUAUCUUAGGUCACAAUAAUCUUGAAGGUGAAGUGUCAGUUCAAUUGUGCGAAUUGAACCAACUACAAUUGUUAGAUCUUUCUAAUAAUAAUCUUCACGGUCCUAUUCCUCCUUGCUUUGAUAACACCACACUUCAUGAAAGUUACAGCAAUAGUUCUAGUCCUGAUGAGCAAUUUGAAAUAUUUUUUUCCAUCGAAGGCCAUCAGGGAUUUUUAGAAAAGCAAAACCAUGAAAUUUUUGAGUUCACAACAAAGAACAUUGCGUACAUUUACCAAGGAAAAGUGCUUAGCCUCCUAUCAGGACUUGAUCUUUCUUGCAACAAGCUAAUUGGUCAUAUUCCUCCUCAAAUUGGAAAUUUGACAAGGAUUCAAACAUUGAAUCUCUCGCACAAUAACUUGACAGGAUCGAUCCCAUCAACAUUUUCAAACUUGAAGCAUGUCGAAAGUUUGGAUCUUUCCAACAACAAAUUGAAUGGGAAAAUCCCUCAUCAACUAGUGGAGUUAAAGACAUUGGAGGUUUUCAAUGUGGCAUACAAUAACUUAUCAGGCGAAAUUCCAGAAUGGAAAGCACAAUUUGCAACCUUCAACGAGAGUAGCUAUGAGGGAAAUACUUUUCUUUGUGGACUGCCAUUGCCCAUUUGCAGAUCACCAGCAACUAUGCCGGAGGCUUCAAUUGGCAAUGAACAAGAUGAUAAUUUAAUUGAUAUGGACAGUUUCUUUAUCACAUUUACAACAUCGUACGUAAUUGUGAUAUUCGGAAUUGUUAUUGUUUUAUAUGUAAAUUCUUAUUGGCGACGUAGAUGGUUUUACUUUGUUGAAAUGUGGAUAACUUAAUGUUACUAUUUUGUUGUAAACAAUCUUAUUGCAACAAGAUAUUGUCAUUGAAAUUAAUUAGCAGUUUAAUUACGAUUCUUUAAGUUCUAAUCAAGUUUGCUUAGGAAAUAAUUUUUUUUUUAUUUUUUUAUUAAAAUUGUAGUAGUAUUUAGCGCUAUAUAGCUUCCAACUUGGUAGAAAGCUCCAUUUUUUGUUGGCUACAGUAAAAGCAUGUUGUUUUAUUCUUCUUAUACUUUACGCCUGCAUCAGCUUAAAUCACUUCUUAAACGCUUGCUUUAACUGCACCGCUUCGUACUGCUCUAUAUAUGUAACGGUUAUGCGGUUGUAGCUCACGGCUCAAGCUACGCGUUUGUUUGACGUGGUAGUUACGUUAUGAUGUUUCGAGUCUGUUAAACAUUCGGUGAUAAGAUUAGUUACAACAAACCUACUAGUUUUAUAAAAUUCAAGUGAGAUGGAAUAAAAUAAAAAAUAAAUAUAAAAUUGGCUUUUAUUUUUUAGGUUAACCAUAUUUUGUGUUCUCUUCGGGCACUACUACAAUUGUUCCCUAUACAUCAGUUACACUCACGUAUCAUCGACACGAAAAAUGAAAUCUAAUAUCACCUGUUUAGUUAAAGAAUCACUCAUGAAAAAAAAUUACCAUUUUGAUUUGAAGAUCCAUAUUUUGAACUACCAAUUAAUGUUCAUCAAGAACAGAGUGUGGCCGUUAAGUAGAAAAACUAUUUUUGGACAAAUUAUUAAAUUCCAAUAUUGUAUCCAUAUGCAAACGAUGCCUGAAGCAGAGCCUCCAAACAAUGACCAGGGCACAAAACAAGAGUGUAGUAAUCAAGUGUAUUGUCUCAUAAUCAAUUAAAAGCAGAUAUACAGGAUACCAUAUUCAAUUCCAAAAUAACAAAAGCAUAAUGAGGAUGAGAAGAACAAUGAUCACUCAAAUAUUUCUUCACUUUGGUUGUCAAUUAUCUAUUCAAAUUAAUCAGUGUCAUUAUGGACUUAUUUAUUUAGAAGAGCGGGUGAUAAAUAUAUUCAAUAAUGUGAACAAGAAGUUGAUUAACUUUUAUGAUCAUUUGGAAGGUCGGCGUGUCAUCACUCGUCAAACACAUUGCAUCGAUCCACCAGCAUGAACCGACCGGAUUAUGCCCAAAAGUUGAAAUAUCAAUAAAAAAAACAAUUAAUUAAAGGUCGAAGAUGGGUCCUUUACAUAUGUUUUUGUUUUCGUAUUAGGUAGGAGGUUAUUAUAUUAUAUCAUGUAAUUAAUUUAUUAUUACUCAACACUAAGUAAUAACUUAACUAUAUAAAGACAACAAGAAGAUAAAAUGAUAUAUAAAAAAAAAAAGAAUUUCAAAGAGAUAGCAACAUACAAUAGACUGAAGCCAUUUGAUCUGCUCAUUGAUUUCAGCCUUAAACUUGUAAAUAGUUACUGUCAAAUAUUCUAUUCAUACGAAAAAAAUGUUUAGAUAUCUUACUAUAAAUAUAGCCGUUUGACUGUCUUAAUAAAGUCACACACAACCAUUCUUAUUAAAUUAGCAAGAUCAAACACUGCCCUGGAUCUUGAACAGAUCAACACAAGAUGCACAACUUAUGAUUGAACCCAGAAACAAUCAAAUCUUUAGCAAGAACAAUUAAUCAGAGUCAAGAAACAAGUUUAAUGAAUAUAAACCUAUAAUUGAAACAAACAUAGCCAAGAAAAAAAUACAGAUUUUACACGGUUCAGUUGUACCUAGGAUGGCACAACCUACACCACGAGAGAAGCUUUCUGGUGAGAUUUUAUUGAUGAUCAAAGAAGAAUCUUUUGACAAAGCUAAUAAUAGAGAUUUCAGAGAAUAAGCUGUAACCCUCUCUCCCUCUUCAAUCUCUCUCUAUUUUGUUCCCAUUGAUGACCCCAAUCUGCUUAGUUAUCCAGCUUUAUAGCUGCAUCAGUAACAAACCAGCAAACCCAGAUUGAGCAGAUUGACGACACGUGGAUAACGGCUUUAACGAACCUGGUUAAGAACUGCUCACAUGUUCGUCACGCGUGCUGCUUAAAUGAUGGCCAAAACGACUUCAAACAAAUGUCGUUUUGAGGCUUAUGAAUUACAAGUGAUAACACGAGCUUGUCUCAUGACUUUUAAAUGCAACAACGUGCCCACAACGCCGUCGUUUUACUCUGUUGAGUUUGAUUCAUUACUAAGCUUUACGACUGGCAAUGGAGAAGAUGAUAAUUUAAUUGACACGGACAGUUUUUAUAUCACUUUUACAACAUCCUAUGCAAUUGUAAUAUUGGGAAUUAUUGAUGUUUUAUUCUGUGAAUCCUCAUUGGCAAAAACUAGUGGUUUUAUCUUUGUUGAAAUAUAGAUGACCUCUCGUUACUGUUUUAUUAUAAACAUAUAGUUUCGUAAGUGAAACUAUAUGUUUAUAAUAAAAUUAACAUAUAGUUUUGUUACAUUUCUGCCUCAUUAAGAUUCUCAAAUACCAGUCAGGUUUGCUUAAGAAAUAAAUUUUUUCCAUUAAAAUUGCAGUAGUAUUUCCAAGCAUAUCGCAUUUUCUAUGAGUUUUCAUAAAUUAAUUAAUCUGCGGUGCCAAUAUCAGAUUUAGUUUUUCAAACUAAAUAAUCAAGAAAGCAAACAUACAAAUAUACAGUUUAGAGGGGUAAACUAGGUAGGUGGUUUAGAUUUUAGAACUAAGCCAGCUACCUCGCUAAAUUCCGAUUCGUACAGUGAACUGCAAGAAACUGAGAAAACAAUGUAUUUAUAAUUUAAUAGAAUCAUAAGAAAACAAUGCAGUCAUUGCUCAAUAUAAGAUGAUGAUUUCGGAGAGGCACAUUGUUUUCAAGUUAAUUUGAUCCGUUUAUAAGAGAUGAAGUGGAAUGAAGUUGAAAGUUUAAAUAACAAAUCCUUGUUCUUGAGUUUUACGACGUCGUUACUCCUUCAAGUGGCAGAUUAUGCAAGUGAAUGCAGAAACACAAUGCAUCAUCCGCGGGGAUGAUACAUCAAAAGGCGGGAUUUGUUUAUGCCUGCAGAUUAGCAAUUUCACUCAUAUAGAAAAUUAAUUUUUUAUAUAUACUAAUCAACACUAAAUUGAUUAUGUGUUGUAUGUUUAUAUGCUAAUCAACACGAAAUUAUAUUGAAUUAUUAACAUUCAUAUUCCUAAUAAAAAUUAUUUUCCAUCAGUAUUCAAAAUUUUCACUUAUAGAAAAUGCGUUUUACGUGAAUACUAGUUAUUGUGUAAAUUUGAAUGAUAGCGAAAAAUAAACCUAUUUGAAAACUGUAAGGGUGUGUUGGGAUAUUUUACAACUGUCGGAAUCUGGUAGGAUAUUGCACCAUUUGCCCAAUAUUUUUAGACGUACUCCAACCGGUAUUCAAGAUAAGUAAAAUUUACAAGCGUGGCAAAAUAAAAAAAAAUUAAAUUCGUAACUUGUAAACGAAUUUUCCUGACAUGUAUAGUAAAUGAAGUUGUUGAUCCUUUCUUUGGAUUAUUUCAGCUCUGGUUGUUGGUCACCGAUGAGCCGAAGUCUUAUUUUAAUUUUAUUUAAACUCAUCAUAAGAUUCGUGGAGCACCUAACUAACUUAACUGACUGCGCAGAUCAUCUCAACAUGGCAUAUUUAACCAUCAUUCAAGUGAUGGGUUUAAUAAGACUGCUUUUGUUCUAUCAACUAUCAAGUUCCUCUGCCUCUAAGCAGAAUUACUAUUGAAGGGCCAAAAGGAAAAUGAAAACGUGUGAGCUCCAACAACCACCCCACAAAUUCAAUGACGAUGCUCGGAGAGGGUUAGGUUGGGCCUCUGAGAAAAAAAAAAAUUAUUUUGUUAAAAAGUUACCCUUAUUGAAACCUGUAUAAACAUUUUAUAUUAAUUAGUUAUGUCGCCUCUUCAACGAUGAUCAAAUUCUUAUCUGAGCUCAUCAUUUAAUGAGUAAACAUGUAUUUUAAUGAUCUCAAUUAAUAUUUAGAACAAAUAUUUUAAGAAGUAAAGCUCAUUAUAUCUUCCAUUAUUAUGUAUUUCUUUAAUUUCUUAUUUACAUAAUUAUAUUGUACAUUAAAAAUGUAUUGAAUUUGAAGAAAAAAAAAUUCAACUCAAAAAAAAAAAAUGCUGGUAGCUUCGUAAUAAUUACUGUAUUGACUGCACCAGAUAAAGUUUUGUAAAAUAAUAAGUUCUCAUAAGUGGUUUUUCAUUUUUAAUUUUCUUUUCCGGCACACCUGAUCAAGAAUUCUAUUUUGUUAACUAAUCAAUUGCAAAGCAUAAGUGUUGAACGGUACAAAAAAUUUAAAAAAAAUACACUUAAAACGUGGGGUGGGUAACGGCUCACUCAAAUCGUUAGGUAGAAUUGUGGAAAACUAAAGCGAAAUGAGAAAUAUAGAAAGAAAGGAAGAGGUGAUGUUUUUCUAUGAAUUUCUAUGGGUAACGGCUCACUCAUCCUUCUAUGAAUUUCUAGCUGUAUUGACCCCAACUGCUAAAGUUUUGUAAAAUAAAAAUAAAAAUAAAAAACUGGAAUUUCAACAAAAUUCAAAACGUUUGAAAUUUAAUUUUUGGCCAUGUGGAACAAAAUGUAAAUUAAGUAAAAAAUAUAAAUCUCAAUUGCUUAGUAUGGUUAGGAUUUUGUGAGCAUCACUAAAAAGUGAAAACUAUGAAUGAUAGAGGUGAUGUUUGCAACAUGAAUAAAUGAUGAACUGAAUCAAUUGAUGAUCGUAAUUACAUAAUGAACAAAAUUUACAAAAUCAACAAAAGUUAAUAAAAAAUUAUUUUAAUAAUAAAAAAUCAAUAAAACUUAUUAUUUAAGGGCGCUCUAACCAUGGAAUACCAUAAUCAUAAUCUUCUUUUAAGAAAAUUAUAACUUAUUAUUUUACAGGAUUGAUCCAUUUGGAAUGAAGUGGUCUCAAGUUGAAAGUAAUUAAUUUAUUGAAUAACUUUCGACUUAUUAAUAGUUAUAUCAAAGGGUGUUUUACCUCAUCAUGUCUUCAAGUGGAAGAUGAAGACUAUGCAAGUGAAUUCAGGAAUAUUGCAUGCCUGUUGUCUAAAGCAUUACCUCACAAGGUUUCAUGAGAAACGAAAGAUGUGUUUGCUUUGAACAAUUAAAGUUACUGCUACGAACCUCCCCAAAGGUCAAGAAGACAGAACAGGAAGCUAAUGCCAUCAAUGUCUUGUUCAUUAUAGCUGCUGGGUAGUUAGGUGUAGUUUCCUCAUUUGAAGCUGUCUAUACAUAGGCAUUUCCCCUGCUUAUGUACAAAUAAAUGAACAACCUUGAAGCUUUAUUAUUCGCAACAAAAAGGGAUUACUAAUUGGAGAAGACAAUACAGAGUUUUCUCUCACACUUUCUCUCUGUCAAUUUCAUCCAGAAGUCCCUCUGAAAGCUUCUCCCAAAACAGUUAGUCAUCUUUUAUGCUCUGUUUUCUGAAAACAGAGUCCUAACUAAAUUAAUUGACUGUACAGUGCAUUUCAACAUAGCAUAUUUAACCGUUUUAACAGUUAUUUGGACCGUCUUCAGAGGUAACAUCAACAAACUCAUUCAUAUGCUUAAUAAUGAACGAAUAGUCUUGGAUCGAUGUUUUGCAGCAAGAGCAACACGACACAAUCUGGAUUCAACCUCCUCCUUUCUAACAGGGGAUUUCGAUUUGAGUUACUUUGUGCUCAAGCAAAUUCACAUCAUAGUUUUGAUUCUUUAGAUAUGAAUUCAUCUCAUUACAUAUAUCAGAUUAAGUGUAACAAAAUUUGUAAUUUACUGCGAAAAGAAUAUGCACUAAAAAAUGAUUUCAAGACUAUUUGACUACAAAAAGCAGCUGUCAGAGUGCACUAAAAAUUUCUGUAGGAUAUUUUGUAGCUGUUUAAUAUGUUAUGAUGGGCAUAUAAUUCUCAAAUUUUGAUGCCUCUCAGCGAAAAAUAUAUCAAAGUUACGGAUGAUAUCACGUAAAACAUGCAUGGCUCAGGCUCAGGCUCAGGUAAGAAAGCCACAGAAAAGGAAAAUCUCACUGUCACGACUCACGUCACGCAUCAUUCAAGUGAUGGAUUUAACAAGACUGCUUAUGUUCUAUCAAAUUCCUCUGCCUCUCAGAAGAUAACUUUUCUGGGCCAAAUUUCUCAUCUAAAGCAUAUUAUGCCCCAAAGUCACAGAUAACAAAAUGGGGCACUACCGAUUAUGAAAGAGAACUAGUAGUUGUCAGAAGCCUAAGCCAAAUUCCGGUAGUAAGAAGAGGCCUUUCUUGAGUUUAGAUUAUGUGUUCGAGUUUUAAUAAAUGCCUAAGUUAAUAAUAAUAACAACAGUAAUAAUAAACUAAAAAGCAUAAUUACUAUUGAAUGGUAAAAAAAAAAAUGAAAAUGUGUGAACUCCAAUAACCACCCCAGUGGCGAAUUUUGGAGAGGGCUAGGCCGGGCUUCUUAGAAAUUAUUUUUAUUUAAUUACAAAAUCACCUUUACUGAAACCUAUAUAAAAUUUUUUAUAUUAAUUAAUUAUGUUGCCUCUUCAAUUAUCAUUAAAUUCUUGUCCGUUCAUAAUUUGAUGGACAAAUGUGUAUUUCAAUAAUUUCAAAUAAUGUCUAGAACAAAUAUUUUGAAUUAUAAAACUCAUUAUGUCCUGCAUUACUAGAUGUAUCUAUAAUUUAUUAUUUACAAAUUAUAUUGUAUGAUAAAAAUGUAUUGAAUUUUUUUUUAAAAAAAAAGUUCGGCUCACUCAGAAAAAAAUGUUAUUAGCUUCGCCACUGCACAAAUCUAGAAUAAUAAUUAUUCCUUAUUAUAUUGACUGCACCAAGCAAUAAACUAAUAAGUUCUCAUCAGUGGUUUUUAAUCUUUUUAAUUCUUUUUACCGCACACCUGAUCAAGAAUUUUAUUUUGUUAACUAAUCAAUUGCAAAGCAUAUAUAAGUGUUGAACGGUACACAAGAUUGGAAAAAAAAAUCUUAAAAAACGUGCGGAUUCGGGUGGCCACACCAGAAAUCUAUUACAAUAAUUAGCUUUGAUGCUGGGAAUCUUUUAAUUUCUGGCCGUAUUGAAGUUUUUAAAAUAACAAGUUCCCCUUCUCGUUUUUUUUUUUUUUAAAUAUAUAUGCUUAUAACAAUUUUAGAAUAAUGAUUCAUUUGUAGAAGAACUUAUGAUUUCCCAUUAAUAUUAAUAUUGAAGUGGGGUGGGUCAAAUCUCAAUUGCUUGAAGAAUUUAUGUAUUAUUAAAUAUUACCAUCCAAGGUAGAAUUGUGGAAAAUUAAAGCAAAAUGACAAGUAUGGAAAGGAAGGCUGAAAGUAAGGCAUGACGAAAGGCUUUGAGAAGGCUGAAGACUACCAAAGAAGUCAACUGAAAACUAGCUGGGGCCUGAGUGUAUAAAUUGUUAGAUGCGUUUGUUAUAAAUAACAUAGAGCCCUUUUGUUAUUUAUAGUUAUAGAGAAAGAGAGAAUGUGUGUUUUUUAAUAGUUAGAGAUAUAGCUAGAAUGGGUUGCUCAAAAUCCAAAAUAGUGACAAUGUUAGUUCUCGUAUUGAUAAUAUUGGGGGGGGGGGGGGGGGGGGGGGGGGGGGGGUGUUGGGAGGUCGAGUGAGGGAUGUUUGGAGCAUGAGCAAUUUGAUCUUUUGCGGCUUAAACAUUUCUUCAAUUAAUAUCGAUCUGGGAGAGUGGUAUCUGAAUGCUUCUCUAUUUACUUCCUUUCAACAACUUUGGUAACAAAAUAGCCGGCUGCAUGCGUUGAGAAUGAAGGUGCUUCAUUUAAUUUAAUUUACUUAAUUUCUCCCUCCUAAUUAAUGUCUAUAAUCAUUAGGAGGAACAAGGGAUUUUAUUAACUCAAAUAUAUCUAAUGGAGCUCAUUCUUUGGUUUUACUUGCAGGGCUAGAAGCAGGUGUCAUCUAACAGCUGCUUUGAUAAUUUCCCUCCCCUUCAUCUUUGAUGGAAAGAUGAAAUAAAAACAAAUUGGUGAAAAUGGUAUUGGUACCUGAGGCUAUGUAAUCUAAUUCAAAAACUGCACCAUCAAAACGAUUACAUAAGUCUCAGAAGAAUCAAAUAUCAGUUUGCAAAAUAUCAAUUGCUGGAGGUUUGAUUCUAACUUCCGCUCUUCAUUUUUAUGGGCAUAUUGUGUUGUACUUGGCAUCCGAAAAUCAUAUUUUAGUUUACUUGCACUCAAUGCUUGGAUUAAAGUUUUUUUUUGGGGGGGGGGGAUUGAAGAAGACUAAAAUUACACCAAAAAAGAGUUGAGCGAGAGCGGGUUUUGUCUUCAUUUAAGGAGCUCUUUAUAAAUUUUGGGAUUUUUUUCCUGAGAAAAUUUAUGCCAACUCAUUCUUUGCUUCUUUUCUGAAGGGACACAUGCAACCGAAAGUAUAUUCUUGAAUUCUCCAGGAUAAGAGACAUACGUUUAGAUUCUGGAGCAUUUAAAACAAUGUCAAAUUUUAGAUUGCUGAAAUUUUAUAUAUCCGAGUAUGAUGGUGUUCCAAUUAUAAGCUCCAGGGUGCAACUUCACUGAGGUUUAGAAUGCCUUCCUAUAGAAUUGAGAAAUCUCCAUUGGCAUAAAUAUCUUUUUGAAAAUACUGACAUCAGAUUUUGAAUUGGAGAACCUGAUUGGACUCAGCUUGCCCUGUAGUAAGGUUAAGCAAAUUUGGAAAAGAGAAAAGGUAUAAUGUAUUACUAUUACCAAAGUAUCUAUUUUUCUUUCUUUAAGUAUUUAUAAUGAAUAACUUUGAAAUUCAAUGAUGCUCAUUUAGUAUAGUUAUGUAUCUUUGGUUAUAGGAAGCUGUCAAGUUAAAAUCUAUAGACCUUCACCACCCCUUUAUCUCAAUAGGAUCCCAGAAAUACUAAAUCUUAAAAAAAUAAAUCUUUCAAAUUGUGAAAGCAUGCUUACGUUACCCCCGUAUAUCCACAAUUUCAACUAGCUGAGUAUGUUGUGUUUCAGGGAUGCAAAAUUCAUUUUGUUUCUCAUUGAAAGGAUUGACUUGUCCGGAUGUAUUAGGGUUAGUAAACCAACUAAUCCCAUAAUUUGUUGAUGUAGGGUCCUAACAAAUUAUUGCAGUAGAUUGUAGAUCAGUACACUAUUCGAAAACGUAUUUGAUCCACACAGUGAAGUGGAUAUUGGACCAAUUUGAUGAUAAUGAAUUUCUUUCAAUCUCAAUCUUUUUUCUUUUUAGCAACAUGACUAGUCAUUGUGCAAAUUCAAACUCUGACAAUAAUUUCUCAAUCGGUUUCUAAGAUGAUGACCAUGCAUGUAUAUGUAUAUUGCGUGUGUAUAUGUGUGUGUGUGUAGAGAGAGAGAGAGAGAUCACACGUGUGUGAUUUCCUUUUGCCAAUAGGAUAUGCAAGAGAGCUUGAUCUUACCCAAUAGCGAAACAAACUUCCUAAUAAGUGAAGGUAUAGUAUAAAUACUUAUACUUUCAUGUUAUUUUGUUCAUCAGUAGCUUGAUUAUUUUAUAUGCGUCUUCGAUUUUAAUUUUCUUUCCCUAUAAUCGCUAUUAUCUUUGAACUGGUCAUAAUUUGCCCAUAAGAUUUCUCAUGUUGUUUUGAGGUGCAACGGAUUUUGAAUUAGUGACAAGCAGUGGAAGCCAGAAGGCAAAUUAUGAAAAUGGAUAAAGAUCUAUAAUUAGCUGUUAUGGGAUGUCACAUAUCAUAUUGAUGGUAACGUUAUAUAUAUGUACAUAUAAUUAAUGGGGUUGGCUCACGAGCCCAUUAAUUAAUGGUUAUAUUAGCUUAUAUACUUCAAACAAUGUACUAUGAAGCAAUUUCACAAAUACUUGUUAGCUUAUGUUGAGCUUUAUUGAAUCAGUAGUUCACAGUUCAAUAAAAUGCAGGUUUGCUAUUUGAAGUACAUGGUUAUGGUGCGUACAUUCUUCAUAAGGCUAACUACUAAUUUAUCAUUGAAACUUGAAAAAUGUGAUAGAGAGAUGUAGAUAACAGCCGCAAAACACUGAAUUGAAAAUCAGGGCUACUAAAUUCUAUUAAAAGUCCUUAAAAUAGACAGCGAUCACCCUGAAAUGUAUAUACUGAAACUAAGAAAAUAUUAAUCGCAAAGUUAUGCAUUAAUAGAACUAUUGACUACUUAUCUUUAGCAUAAAGUAUAUUUUUAACUACAGCUUUCUGCUUUGUUCUAAGAACUAGGCAAAAGUGGUGUAUCUUCAAUCCAAUCAACAUAUAUACCACUUAUCUUCCUCUUCACUUCUGUCUAUUUUGAUUUGCACUUCAUAUCCUGCACUUGCUGCUUAGAAAUAGUCUUUAUUCUGGACAUUUGAAAGUAGAAAAAGUACUUGAAACAAUCAUUGGCACAGCCCGAGAUUCCAUUGAAUCGUGGACUCCAAGCUUUCAUAGUUCUAUAAAGAAGAUGACAAAACUUCAUACAACUGGCAUUCUGCUUUUAACAUUUGCACAACCUGAGCGAGUUAGCAAGCCCCUUGUUGCGUUCCCAUUGAAUAGACCUACUUCUGUUAUCCGCAGAAGAUCCACCACUCAAAAUGUUUAUCACCAGGCUAUUCCUUAAAACUGAGCCUAAACUGAGUAGAACUUCCGCACAUCUCUCAGCAUUUACAUGAAGAAAUCGGACAACUAUCCUCAUCUCUCAGCACAUCUCUUCAGCAUUCUACAAAGUUGCAUUUCACUAAGCAAUCUAUCCUCUCCAUUCCUAGCAAAGUGACAUUGAUUCCCGUAUUUGUAAUCGCCUAACUUGGGUUUUGGGCAUAGCGUGGUCUUAAAAUUACCACCCCAAUACUUUGUUCAGUGCCACUGGCAUCCACAAGCUCUAGCCCUGUUAGUUGAAUCAUAUUCAAUGGGACAGUGAGGCAGCAUUUCACUAACAUUAUUCAAUUUGACUACUUAUAUUGACGCAAAUAUUAGAAUUUGAAAUCACUUCUUUUAUUGGAAUAUUAUAUUAAUAUGACCCCAAAUGAAAGUUCUUGAAUGGAAAUGAUUUUUAUUUACUUUUCGAACAGAUUCAAGAAAAACCCAGGAGAACACAAAAUUUACACAGUAAUAUGAUUAAGAGCUGAGAACGUAUAUGUAGUAAAUGUCUAUCAAAAACACCCAAGGGUUUCUUUAAAAAUUAGUAACUAGUAAACAAAAAGAAAGAAUCAUUUUACAUUUUUAGCAACUUUGGGGUGAGUGAGUGAGUGAGAAAUUGAAACCCUCAAGUGAUGACAACAGUAAGAUUCCAGUAUGAAGUGAAACCCCAAUUUGAAAUGUAGGCAUGAGUUGCUGAGUCAGUAGAUGAAGCUAUAAAUAGGCAUUCGGUUUCCUUCUUUUCGGUUUGGAGGGCCAUGGAAUAGUGUAUUGGAGUGGGCUCCAAGUAAUAGCCUCUAUCACUGGAACGACACAUCUAUAAAAUGUGAUACAUGGGGAAGGAUUGGGCAUUUUAUUCUUAGAUUAGCCCCUUAUUUAGGGUGUAUAUUAAGCAGAUUAUAUAUUACAUGGAGAUGGAGUUUAUGAAAUAGAUUAAAAAGAAAAGGAAAUUUUUGGUGCCCUAAAGUUUGCCACUUGGAAUAUUUCGGUGUCUAAAAAUUCACUCACCACUUAUUUCAUGUUUGAUUAUAUGUUGAAAAGAUAUUAAAAUAGUAUAAUGCUAUUAAGGCUUAACGUAUAUUUUUUAUUAGUAGAGUGGUAGAAUUUUUAAGAAAUAAAUUAUUAAAUUAUUAUAACUAACAUAUUAUUUUAAAGUUGUGUUAUGAAAAAAAUGAAAUAAAAAUGUACAGUAAAUAAGAAUAUUUUAAAACUUUUAUCUUUUUAAAAUUAGUUUUUAACAUAAGGUGAACUAUUUUUUUUUUUUAAAAUCACAUAUUCUAGUUAAAAUCAAAUAUGUAUUUAUACGAAGCUUGUAAAUUUUUUUUUUUAGUACUGAUAUUUUGAAUAUUAUCAAUAAAAAAAAGGUAAUGUUCAUGCUGCAUUAUUUUUGUAGCACACAAAAGGACAACACCGUUUAUGUUAUAAUACUAUCGCUUCUGUUAUGAUAAUUUUUUUUGUGGCCAAAUAUCUUUUUUUUUUUUAAGUAAAAAAAGUGGACAAAAUGCAAAUCAGUUUUUAAUCCUCAAUCUCUCCCAAAAUAUAUAUUUCGGUGUCUAAAAAUUCACUCACAAAACUAUAGCUGACAAAAAGUUACUAACAAAAAGUUAGGUCCAUGGGUUGUUAAAACUAUAGCUGACAAAAAGUUACUAACAAAAACAGAAUGUCCAUUUUAUAACUUUCUUAAAAAACUUUCCUUAACUUUUUUAAACAAAAAGUUAUUUCCAAUUUUUAUUUUGUUAUAAUGUUUAUAACAAAAUUCGUAGUUAACUAAACUCUUCUUAUACCCUUUCUCAACUGCCAUACCCUAACCCACUAAACCACGCUCAAUUAAGGCCAUCAGAUUCUCCGGGCCCACAUUAAUCCAACUGCUCACAGAGACCGACAGCCUCUCUAUCUCCAUUUCAAGCUCCCUCUUCAACUGGCUUCUGCUACCGUCCUACUCUUUCUCGGCUUCGGAGUCCGUAUUUGCUCGGCCUGUCCCACGAAGCUCCCUCUCACUCCAAUUGUCGCCCCACAAGACCAAUUGCUUAAUCAAGACACCGAACAAGAAAAGGAUGAGAAGUUGAAACAAGAAUUUGAGAAUUGGAAAUAAAAACGUACGCAUUGACCGUGCCUUUGAGAGUCGUUUCUCUUCAGAACUCAGUGCCUCAAUCUUGGGUUAAGGAUUUUAUGCGAAGUCAGGGAAAGAGAUUGAAGUUUCAGAUGAAUUUGUGUGCUAGCAUUGAUGGGAUCUUUAACAAUUUAUCUGUGCCCUUUAACAAAGUUAAGGCUAAGUCAGCUUCUUAUAUGGCUGCUGAUUUGGUUAGUGUUGGUGAUUCAUGGCUUAGUUUUGCCAUUAAAAAGAGAUUGAUUGAGCCAAUGGCUGGAGCUGAAGACCAAGAUUGGUUCAAAUGCUUAAGUCACAAAUGGAAGGUAACAUCUUUGUCUUUGAUCCUCGAGGUAAAAUAUGGGCGGCACCGUACAGGUGGGGCACAACGGUGAUAGCCUACAAGAAAAGUAAAUUUCGAAAGCAUAAUUUGGCUCCGAUUGAGGUAAUAAUUUUCUUUAAACUCAUUUAGUUUUAUAUCAAACAAAAUCAAGACUGCCUUUCUCUUCAAUAUUUUUUAUGAUAAUAUCUUUAGAAGCAUCUCAUUGACGGGUAACAAUGGCAUCCCUGAAAGAGUCUAUAAACUCAAUGAUAUUAUCUUCUACAAAUGGUUCAUUAAACUUUGUCGUUGUACUCAAAUGUACACUCAGAUCAAUGAGAAGNNNNNNNNNNNNNNNNNNNNNNNNNNNNNNNNNNNNNNNNNNNNNNNNNNNNNNNNNNNNNNNNNNNNNNNNNNNNNNNNNNNNNNNNNNNNNNNNNNNNNNNNNNNNNNNNNNNNNNNNNNNNNNNNNNNNNNNNNNNNNNNNNNNNNNNNNNNNNNNNNNNNNNNNNNNNNNNNNNNNNNNNNNNNNNNNNNNNNNNNNNNNNNNNNNNNNNNNNNNNNNNNNNNNNNNNNNNNNNNNNNNNNNNNNNNNNNNNNNNNNNNNNNNNNNNNNNNNNNNNNNNNNNNNNNNNNNNNNNNNNNNNNNNNNNNNNNNNNNNNNNNNNNNNNNNNNNNNNNNNNNNNNNNNNNNNNNNNNNNNNNNNNNNNNNNNNNNNNNNNNNNNNNNNNNNNNNNNNNNNNNNNNNNNNNNNNNNNNNNNNNNNNNNNNNNNNNNNNNNNNNNNNNNNNNNNNNNNNNNNNNNNNNNNNNNNNNNNNNNNNNNNNNNNNNNNNNNNNNNNNNNNNNNNNNNNNNNNNNNNNNNNNNNNNNNNNNNNNNNNNNNNNNNNNNNNNNNNNNNNNNNNNNNNNNNNNNNNNNNNNNNNNNNNNNNNNNNNNNNNNNNNNNNNNNNNNNNNNNNNNNNNNNNNNNNNNNNNNNNNNNNNNNNNNNNNNNNNNNNNNNNNNNNNNNNNNNNNNNNNNNNNNNNNNNNNNNNNNNNNNNNNNNNNNNNNNNNNNNNNNNNNNNNNNNNNNNNNNNNNNNNNNNNNNNNNNNNNNNNNNNNNNNNNNNNNNNNNNNNNNNNNNNNNNNNNNNNNNNNNNNNNNNNNNNNNNNNNNNNNNNNNNNNNNNNNNNNNNNNNNNNNNNNNNNNNNNNNNNNNNNNNNNNNNNNNNNNNNNNNNNNNNNNNNNNNNNNNNNNNNNNNNNNNNNNNNNNNNNNNNNNNNNNNNNNNNNNNNNNNNNNNNNNNNNNNNNNNNNNNNNNNNNNNNNNNNNNNNNNNNNNNNNNNNNNNNNNNNNNNNNNNNNNNNNNNNNNNNNNNNNNNNNNNNNNNNNNNNNNNNNNNNNNNNNNNNNNNNNNNNNNNNNNNNNNNNNNNNNNNNNNNNNNNNNNNNNNNNNNNNNNNNNNNNNNNNNNNNNNNNNNNNNNNNNNNNNNNNNNNNNNNNNNNNNNNNNNNNNNNNNNNNNNNNNNNNNNNNNNNNNNNNNNNNNNNNNNNNNNNNNNNNNNNNNNNNNNNNNNNNNNNNNNNNNNNNNNNNNNNNNNNNNNNNNNNNNNNNNNNNNNNNNNNNNNNNNNNNNNNNNNNNNNNNNNNNNNNNNNNNNNNNNNNNNNNNNNNNNNNNNNNNNNNNNNNNNNNNNNNNNNNNNNNNNNNNNNNNNNNNNNNNNNNNNNNNNNNNNNNNNNNNNNNNNNNNNNNNNNNNNNNNNNNNNNNNNNNNNNNNNNNNNNNNNNNNNNNNNNNNNNNNNNNNNNNNNNNNNNNNNNNNNNNNNNNNNNNNNNNNNNNNNNNNNNNNNNNNNNNNNNNNNNNNNNNNNNNNNNNNNNNNNNNNNNNNNNNNNNNNNNNNNNNNNNNNNNNNNNNNNNNNNNNNNNNNNNNNNNNNNNNNNNNNNNNNNNNNNNNNNNNNNNNNNNNNNNNNNNNNNNNNNNNNNNNNNNNNNNNNNNNNNNNNNNNNNNNNNNNNNNNNNNNNNNNNNNNNNNNNNNNNNNNNNNNNNNNNNNNNNNNNNNNNNNNNNNNNNNNNNNNNNNNNNNNNNNNNNNNNNNNNNNNNNNNNNNNNNNNNNNNNNNNNNNNNNNNNNNNNNNNNNNNNNNNNNNNNNNNNNNNNNNNNNNNNNNNNNNNNNNNNNNNNNNNNNNNNNNNNNNNNNNNNNNNNNNNNNNNNNNNNNNNNNNNNNNNNNNNNNNNNNNNNNNNNNNNNNNNNNNNNNNNNNNNNNNNNNNNNNNNNNNNNNNNNNNNNNNNNNNNNNNNNNNNNNNNNNNNNNNNNNNNNNNNNNNNNNNNNNNNNNNNNNNNNNNNNNNNNNNNNNNNNNNNNNNNNNNNNNNNNNNNNNNNNNNNNNNNNNNNNNNNNNNNNNNNNNNNNNNNNAGAGAGAGAGAGAGAGAUCACACGUGUGUGAUUUCCUUUUGCCAAUAGGAUAUGCAGAGAGCUUGAUCUUACCCAAUAGCGAAACAAACUUCCUAAUAAGUGAAGGUAUAGUAUAAAUACUUAUACUUUCAUGUUAUUUUGUUCAUCAGUAGCUUGAUUAUUUUAUAUGCGUCUUCGAUUUUAAUUUUCUUUCCCUAUAAUCGCUAUUAUCUUUGAACUGGUCAUAAUUUGCCUAUAAGAUUUCUCAUGUUGUUUUGAGGUGCAACGGAUUUUGAAUUUAGUGACAAGCAGUGGAAGCCAGAAGGCAAAUUAUGAAAAUGGAUAAAGAUCUAUAAUUAGCUGUUAUGGGAUGUCACAUAUCAUAUUGAUGGUAACGUUAUAUAUAUGUACAUAUAAUUAAUGGGGUUGGCUCACGAGCCCAUUAAUAAUGGUAUAUUAGCUUAUAUACUUCAAACAAUGUACUAUGAAGCAAUUUCACAAAUACUUGUUAGCUUAUGUUGAGCUUUAUUGAAUCAGUAGUUCACAGUUCAAUAAAAUGCAGGUUUGCUAUUUGAAGUACAUGGUUAUGGUGCGUACAUUCUUCAUAAGGCUAACUACUAAUUUUCAUUGAAACUUGAAAAAUGUGAUAGAGAGUAGAUAACAGCCGCAAAACACUGAGAUUGAAAAUCAGGGCUACUAAAUUCUAUUAAAAGUCCUUAAAAAUAGACAGCGAUCACCCUGAAAUGUAUAUACUGAAACUAAGAAAUAUUAAUCGCAAAGUUAUGCAUUAAUAGAACUAUUGACUACUUAUCUUUAGCAUAAAGUAUAUUUUUAACUACAGCUUUCUGCUUUGUUCUAAGAACUAGGCAAAAGUGGUGUAUCUUCAAUCCAAUCAACAUAUAUACCACUUAUCUUCCUCUUCACUUCUGUCUAUUUUGAUUUGCACUUCAUAUCCUGCACUUGCUGCUUAGAAAUAGUCUUUAUUCUGGACAUUGAAAGUAGAAAAAGUACUUGAAACAAUCAUUGGCACAGCCCGAGAUUCCAUUGAAUCGUGGACUCCAAGCUUUCAUAGUUCUAUAAAGAAGAUGACAAAACUUCAUACAACUGGCAUUCUGCUUUUAACAUUUGCACAACCUGAGCGAGUUAGCAAGCCCCUUGUUGCGUUCCCAUUGAAUAGACCUACUUCUGUUAUCCGCAGAAGAUCCACCACUCAAAAUGUUUAUCCAGGCUAUUCUUAAACUGAGCCUAAACUGAGUAGAAACUUCCGCACAUCUCUCAGCAUUUACAUGAAGAAAUCGACAACUAUCCUCAUCUCUCAUCUCUCAGCAUUCUACAAAGUUGCAUUUCACUAAGCAAUCUAUCCUCUCCAUUCCUAGCAAAGUGACAUUGAUUCCCGUAUUUGUAAUCGCCUAACUUGGGUUUUGGGCAUAGCGUGGUCUUAAAAUUACCACCCAAUACUUUGUUCAGUGCCACUGGCAUCCACAAGCUCUAGCCCUGUUAGUUGAAUCAUAUUCAAUGGACAGUGAGGCAGCAUUUCACUAACAUAUUCAAUUUGACUACUUAUAUUGACGCAAAUAUUAGAAUUUGAAAUCACUUCUUUUAUUGGAAUAUUAUAUUAAUAUGACCCCAAAUGAAAGUUCUUGAAUGGAAAUGAUUUUUAUUUACUUUUCGACAGAUUCAAGAAAACCCAGAGAACACAAAAUUUACACAGUAAUAUGAUUAAGAGCUGAGAACGUAUAUGUAGUAAAUGUCUAUCAAAAAACACCAAGGGUUUCUUUAAAAUUAGUAACUAGUAAACAAAAAGAAAGAAUCAUUUUACAUUUUUAGCAACUUUGGGUGAGUGAGUGAGUGAGAAAUUGAAACCCUCAAGUGAUGACAACAGUAAGAUUCAGUAUGAAGUGAAACCCCCAAUUUGAAAUGUAGGCAUGAGUUGCUGAGUCAGUAGAUGAAGCUAUAAAUAGGCAUUCGGUUUCCUUCUUUUCGGUUUGGAGGGCCAUGGAAUAGUGUAUUGGAGUGGGCUCCAAGUAAUAGCCUCUAUCACUGGAACGACACAUCUAUAAAAUGUGAUACAUGGGGAAGGAUUGGGCAUUUUAUUCUUAGAUUAGCCCCUUAUUUAGGGUGUAUAUUAAGCAGAUUAUAUAUUACAUGGAGAUGGAGUUUAUGAAAUAGAUUAAAAAGAAAAGGAAAUUUUGGUGCCUAAAGUUUGCCACUUGGAAUAUUUCGUGUCUAAAAAUUCACUCACCACUUAUUUCAUGUUUGAUUAUAUGUUGAAAAGAUAUUAAAAUAGUAUAAUGCUAUUAAGGCUUAACGUAUAUUUUUUAUUAGUAGAGUGUAGAAUUUUUAAGAAAUAAAUUAUUAAAUUAUUAUAACUAACAUAUUAUUUUAAAGUUGUGUUAUGAAAAAAAUGAAAUAAAAAUGUACAGUAAAUAAGAAUAUUUUAAAACUUUUAUCUUUUUAAAAUUAGUUUUUAACAUAAGGUGAACUAUUUUUUUUUUUAAAAUCACAUAUUCUAGUUAAAAUCAAAUAUGUAUUUAUACGAAGCUUGUAAAUUUUUUUUUUAGUACUGAUAUUUGAAUAUUAUCAAUAAAAAAAAGGGUAAUGUUCAUGCUGCAUUAUUUUUGUAGCACACAAAAGGACAACACCGUUUAUGUUAUAAUACUAUCGCUUCUGUUAUGAUAAUUUUUUUUGUGGCCAAAUAUCUUUUUUUUUUUUAAGUAAAAAAAAGUGGACAAAAUGCAAAUCAGUUUUUAAUCCUCAAUCUCUCCCAAAAUAUAUAUUUCGGUGUCUAAAAAUUCACUCACAAAACUAUAGCUGACAAAAAGUUACUAACAAAAAGUUAGGUCCAUGGGUUGUUAAAACUAUAGCUGACAAAAAUUACUAACAAAAACAGAAUGUCCAUUUUAUAACUUUCUUAAAAAACUUUCCUUAACUUUUUUAAACAAAAAGUUAUUUUCCAAUUUUAUUUUGUUAUAAUUUUAUAACAAAAAUUCGUAGUUAACUAAACUCUUCUUAUACCCUUUCUCAACUGCCAUACCCUAACCCACUAAAACCACGCUCAAUAAGGCCAUCAGAUUCUCCCGGCCCACAUUAAUCCAACUGCUUCACAGAGACCGACAGCCUCUCUAUCUCCAUUUCAAGCUCCCUCUUCAACUGGCUUCUGCUACCGUCCUACUCUUUCUCGGCUUCGGAGUCCGUAUUUGCUCGGCCUGUCCCACGAAGCUCCCUCUCACUCCAAUUGUCGCCCCACAAGGACCAAUUGCUUAAUCAAGACACCGAACAAGAAAAGGAUGAGAAGUUGAAACAAAAGAAUUUGAGAAUUGGAAAUAAAAAACGUACGCAUUGACCGUGCCUUUGAGAGUCGUUUCUCUUCAGAACUCAGUGCCUCAAUCUUGGGUUAAGGAUUUUAUGCGAAGUCAGGGAAAGAGAUUGAAGUUUCAGAUGAAUUUGUGUGCUAGCAUUGAUGGGAUCUUUAACAAUUUAUCUGUGCCCUUUACAAAGUUAAGGCUAAGUCAGCUUCUUAUAUGGCUGCUGAUUUGGUUAGUGUUGGUGAUUCAUGGCUUAGUUUUGCCAUUAAAAAAGAGAUGAUUGAGCCAAUGGCUGGAGCUGAAGACCAAGAUUGGUUCAAAUGCUUAAGUCACAAAUGGAAGGUAACAUCUUUGUCUUUGAUCCUCGAGGUAAAAUAUGGGCGGCACCGUACAGGUGGGGCACAACGGUGAUAGCCUACAAGAAAAGUAAAUUUCGAAAGCAUAAUUUGGCUCCGAUUGAGGUAAUAAUUUUCUUUAAACUCAUUUAGUUUUAUAUCAAACAAAAUCAAGACUGCCUUUCUCUUCAAUAUUUUUAUGAUAAUAUCUUUAGAAGCAUCUCAUUGACGGGUAACAAUGGCAUCCCUGAAAGAGUCUAUAAACUCAAUGAUAUUAUCUUCUACAAAUGGUUCAUUAAACUUGUCGUUGUACUCAAAUGUACACUCAGAUCAAUGAGAAGCUAUGCUACGUUAGCAUGUAGUGAUGCACUUAAUAAGUGAGUUGCCUAGGAUGUGAACUAGAAAAAUUAAAUAUGUCUCCUUGGGUAUGCUAGCUGGUAAGUCAGGGUUAAUAUCAGAGCUUAAGAUAGUAUAACCGUGAGAACCUAUUGACUGCCAAUUAAAAUAUCCAUUGAAAUGUCUAGGGAGUUAUGAAGGUGGAGGUAACUUCCAAUUUCUAAGGCCACAGAGUAGACAUCAUCCAGGAUCCUAGGAAAGUCCAGUUAACCUCCUGCUCGAUGCAAUUAAUAAAUUUGGUCAAUGCCACUGAAACCUGCUAACUGACGUCACAAUGCGACAUGAGCACUUCAAAAUGGGACAGACGGUCAGUAGCACUAAAUUUUUCUUGCCAAAUGAGCAAUUGGUCUAACUACUAAUCCCUAUUGUAGGUUGAUCAUUAUUUUUUCAAUUAUGUUCAGUUUGACCCAAAAAGUUGCAGAAUCUUGAGCUAAAUAUUGUCACUGAACACUGUCAAUGUCAUUUAGCAUAGCCAACUAACUUGAUGUUAAAACAAACACACAGUGUGUCUCAUGUCUCACAAUUCAAAUUAUCAUCUGUAAUGUUGGAGAAUUUUUCCAAUGUAUGAAGUAUGCUUUGAUACGUGGGUUACCUUGGAGAAGAUAUCUCAAAAUAAAGAAUAUGGGGAGAAAACAGUUCAGUAGUUUAUUAUUCUGUAGUCAAGUUUUGUCUCGAAAAUGGUCAAAAUUUAAAUGAAUAAAGGACAGGGGAUCUUCAUUCUUUUUUCCCUUUUUUAUACCAAGAUAUCUCUCAACCUUUAUAUAAUCCCCACUGGAUAUCUGCUUCUAAUAAUUAAAAUAAAAAUUUCACCGCUCUAACAAUAAAAAGUAAACAUCUUUCCUCAAAUAAUUUACAGUUCCUCAUCAUCUUAGUGUGAGAAUAUCAGUACAUUCCAAAAACAUAAUAAAACUGGUUUGAUCCUGUUUAUUGAUGUUUAAAUGUUGUUCAUUGUGACAGGUAGAAAUGAUGAGGCGAAGUUUAUUUGGACAUCAAUUAGUAAGAUCUUGUUGAAGUUGUUUUCUGAAAUGAACUGCCAAAUGGUAGUUUUUUGGGGCAUUUGAUGGCUCUUUUUUUUUCCUCAUUUUCAACAUGUGCCUGCUUGGAACAUGAAGGAUUAGGCUGCCAGAGUUGUUAUAUAUUUUGAGAUGCUCUGGUCAUUGCACAAUUUGUCACACUGGAAAUUAGAAUGAGAAAUUUGUUGAUGCUGUUUUGAGAGAUCUGCAUUCUAUGCACAAUAACAUGAUUAAUGAAAUGCAUUGUAGGACUGGAAAGAUCUGUGGCAGCCUGAGCUCGCAGGAAGAAUUUCAAUGGUUAAUUCUCCCCGAGAGGUUAUUGGUUCAGUUUUGAAGUAUAGGGGAACAUCAUACAAUUCAAACUAUAUUGAUUCGCAAGUUGCUGGUGGGAAAGAUUGCUGUUCAGCAGAAUCUGGCAUUACUGGCAAACCAGGUACUCUUACAGAAAUCAUAUCUGGUCAUUGCAUGUUAUUGCCUGACAACUGAUUUGUUUGUAAAAGUCUGCUUCUUCAUACAUAUGAAUGCAUAUGUUAGUGUUUUCUUCUCCUUUUCAUACAUAUAAAUGCAUAUGUUAGUGUUGUCUUUUCCUUUUCACACAUAUUAAUACAUAUGUUGGUGUUCUCUCCUGAGAUGGAUGCAAUAAAGCUUUUGCUCCUAAAUUUAGCUGAAGAAAUGCAAGGGAUGUGAGAUUCUGUCUCAUUAAAUUAACAAAAACCCAAAACAAUGAAAAUCCAUAAUAAUGUGUGUGGGUAAAUGGCUCCAUUUGGUUCGUUUCCUUAAUGUGAAUGCGCGAGCAAUAGAGACUAACAAAAUGAAGUGACAACAAGAAGUCAGUGUCCUUUGAUGGAUGCAUUUUUAGGCAGAAAUAUGUUUGUAAUUGACCAAAUUUGUCUGGCAUGCCAAUUUCAAAAAAAUUAAAUUAUGUGGUUAUUAGCUGUAAUGAAGGGGAUAGUAGGUGCAAUCAGGUGUAUCCAGGAAAGUUCAACAAAGUUUUGGUAUGGCGUAGUGAAAUUGGUUUGUGCAACUCAGGAGUCUUUCAGGUGAACGAUGAUAGGUUUUGAUUUAUGAAUAUUAUAAAUCUACUGUGCAUAGUAUUCUAGUAGAAUCAUCUAUAAGUUCUAGUUAUUGUAUACUUUGCCUGGUUUGAGUUAAGGGCACAUGUAAUAUGAAAGAUAGUUGUCGCAUCUUUUAGGUUACCUAACAUUUGAUCAAUCCUAUUAUGGGGCUUCAAGAUGUCUAACAAUAUGUAGAAUGCCCAUGCUCCUCCCCAUUGUUUAUCUUCUACAAUAAUUUGUUUUAGAUGCUAAUAUCUUUGUCGAUACGUAACAAUAUUACAAUAUCUGCGUUUAUUGGGUUUUACAUAGGUUCGACUGUUUGACAGUACACACUAUCUGAAGGCAUUUGCAAUUGGAGAUGUAUGGGUUGCUGUUGGGUGGAUUAGUGAUGUUCUUCCUGCUGUCAAACAUAUGUCUAAUGUUGCUGUUGUUGUUCCCAAGUCUGGUGCUAGCUUAUGGGCUGAUCUUUGGGUAUACCCAUGCCUGCCAUUCUACUUCAAUAUUCACAUUGUUAUCUCCUUCAUAUUAGUGAUCAGUAAACACGAUAAUGUGACUAAUAAGUUCGUAUUCUCUUUAUAGGCAAUCCCUGCUGCCUCAAGACUUGAAACAAAACAAAUUGGAGGCGAGUCAGAGGUGCAUUUCCAUUAAUCCAUCAAUGGAUAGAAUUCUGCUUGCAAACAGCGAGAGCAUUGCCUUUCAAGCAAGAGGUUAUCCCGAGCGCAUCUCCCUCUGCCCUUGAGAGUACUCUGGUUAAGUUGCCUGAAGAACUUUUCAAGGGUAAACCAAGUCUGGAUACUAACUUAAUUGCUGGAGUACCCCCGACUGAAAUUCUGGCCAGAUGUGAGUUUUUGGAGCCUUUAUUUGAAGCUACAUUGUCGGAUUAUGAGUGGCUGGUUACUAAUCUGCAAAAAUCCACUCCUGUACUGAUCAACAAGAUGCAACAUUACAUGUCAUCAUUGAUCUUUAGCUAAAGGUACAUUGAAAAGUUAAUGGCACUGCAUACCAGUCAUUAUAAUUGGGUCAGGGCAAUUAGGUCAGAGCAUAACUUCAUUAGGAAAAGAUGCUUCAGCUACGUUAAAUAUUACAGGAUGUACUGAGAUGGCUGAAGCUGUUGAGGUUUUACGAGAAUCGAAAGAUAGUGUUUGUUUGAACAAAGUUGUUGCCAAUCUUGCAGAGUUCGAGAAGAAAGAUCACGAAGUGAAUGCCACCGAUUUCUUCAUCAUUGUAGCCUCCAUAGUUGAAGUUUCCUCAUUUGAAGCUGUUUAUGCAUACGAUUUUCCCCUGCUCAAGUACAGGAAAUUGAAGAAUUAACCAGAUGUGAUAUGCUGAAAGAGGGAAGUUUUCUUCCUUGAAUGUGGUCUUUGUGAUUUGUCUUGAAGGAAUAGGGUGAUCACUGGCAAGAACCCUAUCAAGGUAGAUUUUAUGAUGUUAACAUAUCAUUAAGCAUUUUGUUACAUCAGCAAUGAUGCUUUCAUAGCAGCAUGAAAGUGUUUAAAUUUAACUGAAUGAUCUUGAUUGAUCAAUUAUGAGUUUUAAUCGAGUAAAAACUAAAUACAAUAAUCGUUAACAAAUAUUGAAAUUGGGUAAAUAUGAUCUUGAUAUUGAAGAAUUUGAAAUCACAACCCACACAGGAAAUCACCCUUCGCGUGGGGAUGGAGAUGUUUACUGCAGCGAUAUUGAAUAUGUCCACCGCUCUUUGGGUUAUGGUGCGACUUGCCCUGAAACAAUGGAAAAGAAUAAUUAAUAAUUUAACGCCAAGACAUAAAAUUAAAACGUGUGGACUCCGGUAGCUGCCCUACAAGUCUACAACUCUACAAACAUUAACUCUACAAACAUUAAAACGUGUGGACUCCGGUAGCUGCCCUACAAGUCUACAACUCUACAAGAAUAAUUUCUAGCCCUGUUGACUCCACUAACUAAAGAAAUUUCAAAACGUACAUAGAAUUCCACAACAAGCAAAACGUAUGGAAUUUAAUUUUUUGCCGUGUGGAACAAAAUACAAUUUAACAAAAAAGGAUAAGAAAAAUGGUAAGAUUUCUAAAAUGAGUGGAAGGUGAUUCAUAUUUUACUGAAAUGACUUGUCCUGAACAUUAAGACGAUUGAUUUUUUUUUUUUAAUAACAUCAACUUCCAUAUCUUUCUAACCCCUAGAAUAUGCUCACGUUCAAGUCUAUCUUGGUAAUUUGAAAAAGAAAAUCAAAUCAAAUCAACACCAAAACAAUGAAAAGUAAAACUUUUGAAUUUCAACUUUAAACUUUUGUUAACCCCUAGAAUAUUCAGCGUUUUCAAAUUCUUCCGAUUGCAUAUCUUCUUCCUCCAUCAAUGCAAUAUUUGAACGAUUAUGAAAGAGUUUAAGAACAUAAAAAAUCUCCAAGGUUUAUACGGUAUAACAAAUUUAAAUUCUCAAUUACAAUAGAUAAUAAUUAAACUAAUAAUUUUUUAUGUACUUAUUUUAGUAAUUUCACCUAAGAAUAAUAUUGUAAUUAGAAAAAAAAAUCUAAUAAGUAGGGUGGUCUUAUACAAAAUCAACUGUACUGUGAUGAGUUUCCUUUUGUUAAUAAUUUUAGUCUAAUUUCAAUUGUACUGUGAUCGCUUCUCAAGGUAAGUGAAAGUUACAGAUGUGGCAAAAUAAAUAAUUAAGUUAACAAAAUGCUAACUAAUUUUCCUCAAUACCUAGGGUUGUACAAUUUCACCAACCUGGAAGAAUUGACAUUAAUGGACUGGUCUCCUCCCCAUAUAAUUAUAAUCCUUCUAGAAAGCUAUUUUUUAUUAAAUAUUUGCUUUUAAGUUAAUUUCAAUUAAAAAAUGUUUUAAGUUAUAUAUACUCUAAUGAGAUUCUGAAUUCCUUUAUUCCAAUAAUAAUGAAAACGUAUUAAAUUAGAAAUGAAAAAAUUGGUGUUGAUGAUUCAACCUAUUUGGAUAGAUUACGUGAAUAAAAUUAAAAUUUUGAUUUAAUUUUUGUUUAUUGUUAAUUCUCAGGCUAUCUUAAUUUCAAGAAUUUAGAAUGUUAAUUUGGUCAUGGAUUUCAACCCGUGAGUGUCAUAUUCUAGACUUAAUGGUACCAUUCUUUGAUUGAGGGCAAUGACUCUCACUCCUCUUGUAAAAAAAUAUUUUCAACUAUUUUGAUGACUUAAAAAUUGAUAGAUUUAUUGUUGUCAUGACCAAAUUAUUCAUUUUAAUGAAAUAUAAUUAAUGCAUCAAAGUUACCAGGUUUAUGUUCUAUCUUAAUGCGCUUUUUUUUUUUUUCAGUUAUAGCUUCUGCUUACGUCUGUUUCAUUUUUUUUUAAUAAAAAAACAAGGGAAGGUUUUUCCGAGUCAUCCAUUAUUUGAUUUCCGUCAAUCAAGAAAACGACCAAAUUAAUUUCUCUCCAAAAUUUCCAAAAGCUAGAAAAUUUUGUUAUUUGAAAAUAACAUGAUUAAUUAUAGAGUGGAUCAAACCGCGUUAUUGUCUUUCAUAAAAUUGAUGUCUUUUUAAGAGUCAAUACUUUUUAUUUACGCAAACCAGUCGACAUCAAUUUAAACUUCCAUAUUUUUAUUAUUAUUAUGUUAUUUAUUUUAAUCGCCGAUUAUUUGAUUAGCCACUAUAUAUAUCAAGAAAGCGACAAAAUUUAUUUCUCAUGACUUCCAAAAACUAGAAAAACAACAUCAUUUAUUAUUUUUUUGCAACCCUAAUUGACAUCAACUUUAACUUUAUUAUGUUAUUAUUUCAAUCCCCCAUUAUGACCUUUCUAAUCCUCCAUUAUGCAUCUUUUAUAGUGCAAAUUUAAUUGCACAUCUAAAUAAAUUGAUUAUUGUUACUCCACCACCAAUAUUUCAAAUAGUCACUAGACCAUUUCUGCCUUUAAUUUUCCCUUAACUAUUGACUGUUUUUAGCAUCUUAAAAUAUACAUUUAUUCCUUGAUUAUGUGAUAAAAUUAUGAAAAUAUCCAUUUUAGCUUAAAUUAAUUGGAAUAACCAUAAGCGUAACAUAAAUUAAUAGAACAAAAUUAUCAAGUGUAUGUUCUAUCUUACUUUUUGAAGAAUUUAACAUAUAUAAUGCUAUACUAUUAAUAAAUUUUUCAUUUACUAUAUAUGUUCACAUAUUUUAUAUAUUUAUUAAUUGUUAUAUAGUCACAGGAUGAAUGAUUUUUCAGGUCUACAUGAGUUGGUGCACAUGCAAGACUCAAUUUUGACAACAAUGAUCUAAGGGGUAAUUUACCUUGGUGUUUGACAAACAUAACCUCUCUUCAUGAUUUACUUCCAAUCUACUUACUGUAAAUAUCUCCUCAUCUCCUCUCAUUUAUAUGAUAAGUGAUAACCCUUGAAGAUCUCACAUUUUCAAACGAUCAUAUUAGGGUUUUUAUUAUUAGCAUCAUUGUGUCAACAAAAUAUAUGUUGCAGUAAGAUUUUUUCAGACCAAUUCCCUUCUUCAAAUAAUAAUGGAAAAGUAUUAAUUUAAAAAUAAAAUGAAUAUGCAUUGAUUAUAUCCUGAUUUCCAUCGAUUAUAGCGAGAGUUUCUCCGAAUCAACUCCCUUAUUCAAAUAAUACAGAAAAAAUAGUAAUUUAAUAGUAAAAUUAGCAAGUGUUGAUUAUAUAUCCUAAGUUUCAUCGAUUAUGUGAUCAAAGUGGCAUUGUUGAUUUAUUUCUUGUUCAAUGUUAAUUUUUAGGUUAUCUAAAUUUCAAGGAUUUAAAAUCUUUGUUCAUGGAUUACACGCUUAUUAAUUUUUCUGCCAUUGACUGUCAUAUUCUAGACUUAAUGGUACCUUCCUUGAUCAAGGAUAAUUACUCUAUGUUCUCCUCUUAUAAAUUCCUCUUCCAUUAACAUCACUAGGAGUAUGUUGAUCUCUCAGACGUUAACUUUAGUGGAGAGUUUCCAAAUUGAUUGUUACAAAACAACACAAAAACUAGACACACUUGAUCUGUCUAAUAAUUCUCUUUCGAUAAAAUUAAUUAAUUUUAGGGGAAUAUUCGACCAACCUCUAUAAUUUCAUAUUGAUCAUUAAUUAAUUAGACGAAAAAAGUACUUGUGCUUUUGUGGCGACAAUUGAACUAGAGAAGUGAAGCUGUAAAGAUUUGGCAGUAGUAAAUUGUUAGAAAGACAUAAAGACAAUUUCCCAUUUUAUAAUUUUUUCAAAAAACUUUUUUACAACACAUGCACCUGGCCAAAAAUUUUAUUUUGCUAACUAACAAUAAUUGAGUAGCUGACCGUAUUGACUCCGCCUACUUGCUAAAGUAAAAAAAUAGAAAUAGAAUUUCCACAAAAUGUCAAACAUGUAAAAUCUAAUAUUUGGCCAUGUGGAACAAAAUACAAAUGAAAAAAAAAAUAGAAAAAAGGCCUAAAGACUUUUAAAAUGUGUGGAAAUCUUUCGGCCCUUUUAUAAUGGUGUGUUUUUCAAAGGAACAACUAAUAAUAAUGACACUUCUACGGUUUGUUUUGAUAAUUACACAUAUACUCUUUAAUUUGAUAAAUGGUUACACAAAUUUUGUUUACAAAAAUAUAUUAUUCAUGUUCUGUAUUAUUUUUUAACAUCAUAUUUUUAUUUAUUAUAAUUGUUUAAAGUUAAUUGUUAGGUUGAUAUAUAAUAAAAACGUAUAAUCGUUCUCUUACUAAACACACAUACUCGUAGUUUCUAUCCAUUUGUCAUCUCAAUCUCUCUCAUUUAUCCUUUCUUGAUAGCUCAAAACGCGUCACUGUGGAAAAUAAUAGCAAAACGACAAAUAUGGAAAGAAUGGGAAGAAAAUUAAUGCAUGAAAGAGUUGCAGAAGACAACCAAAUAAGUCAACUAUACGCUAGUUGGGUGUAUAAAUUGUUAGAUGUGUUAUAAACAAAUAGCAUAGAGCCUUGGUUGGUUACAGAGAUAGAAAAACUGUGUGUGUUUUUUAGAACUUAAAGAUACAGUUAGAAUGGGUGGUUCAAAAUCAAAAAUGGUGAUAAUGUUUGUUCUGUUAUUAAUAAUAUUAGAAGGUGGGUGGAGUGAAGGAUGUUUGGAUCAUGAGAGAUUUGCUCUUUUGCGACUCAAACAUUUCUUCGAUGAUACUGGUAGUUAUUUUUACUACUGGGCAGAUGGUGAGGGAGCUACUGAUUGUUGUCAGUGGGAAAGGGUUGAGUGCAGCAACACCACAGGCCAAGUGAUAGUGCUAGACCUUUUUGAAACGUAUUUGGGAGAGUACAGCUGGUAUCUGAAUGCUUCUUUGUUUACUCCCUUUCAACAACUUGAGUCACUUGAUUUAUAUGGCAACAAAAUAGUCGGUUUUGUUGAGAAUGAAGGUACUUCGUCUAAUUCAAUUAAUUUACAUUUCGCUCUCCUAAUUUAAGUCGAAUAUCAAGACUGAGCAGCUAUAUGCAUAUUCAUUCAAUUGACAAUUUUUACAUAUUUUUUAAAAUGUUUAAUUUUGAAAUUACACCAAACAUCAUAUGUGGUUUUGAUUUUACUUGCAGGUCUAGAAAGAUUGAACAACUUGAAGAGGCUUGAUUUAAGUUAUAACUUGUUCAACAAUAGCAUCUUAUCAUCUGUGGCUCAUCUUUCUUCACUAACAUCAUUAGAUUUAUCUGGAAAUAGAUUGGAAGGAAGUAUUAAUGUUAAAGGUACGUAAUUAAAACGUCAUCGCUUCUCUCAACUCUUUCAUUAACAUGCUAAAAUAAGAUUCAAGGCUUUGAAUUCAUUUUUUUUUAUGAGUAAAUAUUAGAAAAAUAGUUUUAAGCAAUUCAUAAAUACAAUUUUCAAUGUUUCUCAUAAUUUCAUCUUGUACUUUCGUAUGUCUUGACUUUAAGAUUAAAAAAAAAAAAUUACUCUAACUGUGAAGCAAAUACCCCAUGACUAAUUUAUCAUUUCGUCCAGUUAAAAAUGAUAAAAUUUAUCAUUUGUUUAUAUUGAUUAAUUAACUCUAUUUUAAGUCUUAAGUCUUGGCGUCUUGGCAUAUUUGCAGAAUUUGAUUCCUUGAGCAACUUAGAGGAGUUGGACAUGAGCGACAAUGAAAUAGACAAUUUAGAGGUUCCUCAAGGUAAACAAUUAAAAUAUUAUUCAAUUACAUUAAUUUAAUUCGUUUGAUUAGGGAAGACCCAAAAGGUACAAAAUAUAAUAAUAAUAAUAAAAGAAACAGAGAAUCUAUAUUAUUUCAAAAAAUAAAACGUAAUACUAUUAUUUCAAAAAUAGAUUGUAAUAAAGAUUUGAUUCCGGUUCUUUAAUCUUUACAGCAAUUGAAAAACGAUGUUGCUCUUUUCCUGAAGCAUAAAAUAUGAAAUGACUCCAAUACAAUUAAUCAUUUAUUUCGUUUACUCUAAAAUUAGACAAUGAAUCUUUAUUUUCUUCAGUCUUAUCCUAAUUAUUAUUAAUAAACAGGUUACAAAGGUUUGAGGAAGUUGAAUUAUCUUGAUCUAUCGAAUGUUGGAGUUAGAGAUGGAAGCAAGUUGUUACAGUCAAUGGGAUCAUUCCCAUCCCUCAACACUCUUUACCUGAAGGAUAAUAAUUUUACCGAUAUAGCGACAACUACUACUCAAGGUAAGUAAAAGAUACAGAUGUGGCCAAAUUUACAAAUAAAUUGUUAAUUAAUUAAUUUUUCCGUAUUAUUAAUAAAGCUAAAUUCGUCGCUCCUUCCUUCUAAUUCUAAACAGAGUUGGCAAUUUCACCAACUUGGAGUAUUUGACAUUGGACUUGUCCUCGCUCCAUUUAAGCCUUCUACAAUUACUUGAAGAAUGAAUUUAUUUAUUAUUAUUAUUGUUGUUGUUGUUGUUGUUGAAGUGAGGUGGGCAAGCGUUCACUCAAUUAAUAUGUGAGGAAUUAAUAAUUACAAUCCAAGGUAGAAUUGUGGAAAAUUAAAGCAAAAUGAGAAAUAUGGAAAGAAAGGAAGAAAGUUAAGGGCAUGAAAGACUAGGAGAAGACUAAAGACCACCAAAUAAGUCAACUGAAAACUAGCUGGGGCCUGGGUGUACAAAUUGUUAGAUGUGUUUGUUAUAAAUAACAUAGAGCCAUCUUGUUGGUUGCAGAGGCAGAGAGACACAGAGUGUGCAUUUUGUUAAUUAAAAAUAUAUAUAAAAUGGGUGGUUCAAAAUCCAAAAUGGUGAUAAUGUUAGUUUUGUUAGUAUUAAUAAUAUUAGAAGGGAGGUGGCGUGAGGGAUGUUUGGUGCAUGAGAGAUUUGGUCUUUCGAGACUUAAAACAUUUCUUCAAUUCUCCUUAUAAUUUUUGUCACGACUGACCGUUGUCAAUGGGAUGGGGCUGGGUGCAGGGUUGAUUUACGUUAGAACAAUAUAGCCGGUAGUGUUGAGAAUGAAGGUGUUUCAUUUAAUUUAAUUAAUUUACUUUCUCCCUCCUAAUUUAAGUGGAAUAUCAAGACUGAACAAUUAUAUGCAUCUUCGUUCAGUUGACAAUUUUGACAUUUUUUUUAAGUGAUUAAUUUUGAAAUUACACCAAACAUUAUUUGUGAUCUCUGUUUUGACUUUACUUGCAGCGCUAGAGACGUUAUCAAGAUUGAGCAACUUGACGAUACUUGAUUUAAGUUAUAACUUGUUCAAUAAUAGCAUCUUGUCAUUUGUUGCCCGUCUUUCAUCAUUAACAUCAUUAGAUUUAUCUUACAAUGGAUUGGAAGGAAGUAUUAAUGUUAAAGGUACGUAAUUAAAACGUCAUCGCUUCUCCCAACUCUUCCAUUAACAUGCUAAAAUAAGAUUCAAGGCUUUGAAUUCAAUUUUUUUUAUGAGUAAUAUUAGAAAAAUAGUUUUAAGCAAUUCAUAAAUACAAUUUUCAAUGUUUCUCAUAAUUUCAUCUUGUACUUUUGUAUGUCUUGACUUUAAGAUUAAAAAAAAAUUACUCUAACUGUGAAGCAAAUACCCCAUGACUAAUUUACAAUUUUGUCCAGUUAAAAAUGAUAAAAUUUAGGGAAAUUAUCAUUUGUAUACCCUUAGUUUACUCUAUUAUCAAAAAUACUACAACACUUUGAGGGUGUAUCAAUCGUCCACCCUAAGUUGACAAAAUGUAUUAGCCAACCACCAAACCGUUAGUUGCCGUUUAAAUAUGAUAACAUCAUAAGGGUAAUCUGGUCUUUUCAUAUGAUACAAGUGAUAAUUUAAGGGUAUACAAGUGAUAAAAAGAGAGUUUAAGGGGAUACAAGUGAUAAUUUUCAAGGGUAAAAUCGUCAAUUUACUGUAAUUCCGUUAACUUUCAAACGGCAAUUAACAGUUUGGUGGUCGGUUGAUACAUUUCAUCAACUUAGGGUGGACGAUUGAUACACCCUUAAAGUGUUGUAGUAUUUUUGAUAAUAAAGCAAAUAUAGGGUAUACGAAUGAUAAUUUCCCUAAAAUUUAUCAUUUGUUUAUAUUGAUUUAUUAACUCUAUUUUAAGUCUUAAGUCUUAAGUCUUGGCAUGUUUGCAGAAUUUGAUUCCUUGAGCAACUUAGAGGAGUUGGACAUGAGCGGCAAUGAAAUAGACAAUUUCAAGGUUCCUCAAGGUACACAAUUAAAAUAUUAUUUAAUUACAUUAAUUUAAUUCGUUUGAUUAGGGAAGACCCAAAAUGUACAAAAACAUAAUUAAAAAAAAAUAAAGAAACAGAGAAUUCAUAUUAUUUCAAAAAACAAAAGGUAAUACUAUUAUUUCAAAAAAAGAAUGUAAUAAAGAUUUGAUUCCGGUUCUUUAAUCUUUAUAGCAAUUGAAAAACAAUGUUGCUCUUUUCCUAAAGCAUAAAAUAUGAAAUGAGUCAUAAUUGAAUUAGUCAUUUAUUUUGUUUAGAUCUAAAUUUAGACAAUAAAUUUUGAUUUUUUUUUCAAUUCUAUCCUUAUUAUUAUUGUUAAACAGGUUACAGAGGUUUGAGGAAGUUGAAAAGCCUCUAUCUAUCGAAUGUUGGAGUUAGAGAUGGAAGCAAGUUGUUACAGUCUAUGGGAUCAUUCCCAUCCCUCAACACUCUUUACCUGAAGGAUAAUAAUUUUACCGAUAUAGCGACAACUACUACUCAAGGUAAGUAAAAGGUACAGAUGUGGCCAAAUUUAUAAAUAAACUGUUAAUUAAUUAAUUUUCUGUAUUAUUAAUAAAGCUAAAUUUUUGCUCAUUCCCUCUAAUUCUAAACAGAGUUGCACAAUUUCACCAACUUGGAAUAUUUGACAUUGCACGGUUCCUCUCUCCAUAUAAGCCUUCUGCAAAGCAUUGCAUCAAUAUUCCCUUCGUUAAAAAAUCUGUCGAUAUCUUAUUGUGAAGUCAAUGGUGUCGUACAUGGUCAAGGUAAAAGAAAAGUGUUGGUUGUGCACUCACUGAGUGUUGUCCUACGUAUUCAAUAUUUUUAUUUAUUUAUUUUAUUGUUUAAUGUUUCUGCUAGGUUUUCCUCAUUUCAAGAGUUUGGAACAUUUGGGCAUGAUGUCCACGCGCAUUGCACUCAACACCAACUUUCUUCAAGUCAUCAGUGAAUCGAUGCCUUCUCUUAAGUACUUAUCACUGUCAUAUUCUACUCUUGGCACUAACAGCAGCAGGAUUCUUGAUCGAGGUUAAUCAGAUGCUCCCACCCUCCAUUCUUAAUCUAUAAUAUUAAUUUUCAGUUAAAUAUUUAAUUACACAAACCAAUCACUUAUUAUAAAAGAACAAUACGCAUUCAUUAAUUUUUAUAUUAUAUUAAUUGAUGAAUUUAAUAAAUUCCAGGCCUCUGUUCGCCGGUGCAUCUGCAAGAGUUAUACAUUGGUUCUAACGAUUUAAGAGGUAGCUUGCCUUGGUGCAUGACAAAUUUGACAUCCCUCCGAAUAUUAGAUGUUUCUUCCAAUCAACUUACUGGAAGCAUCUCCUCGUCUCCCCUCAUUCAUUUGACAUCCAUUGAAAAGCUGUAUCUUUCAAACAAUCACUUCCAGAUCCCAAUUUCACUUGAACCACUUUUCAAUCAUUCAAGACUCAAGACUUUUUAUGCUGACAACAACGAACUAAAUGCAGAAAUAACUCAGUCACAUUCUUUGACCGCCCCAAACUUCCAAUUAUCACGUCUCUCAUUGUCUUCCGGUUAUGAAGAUGGCGUCACAUUCCCCAAAUUCCUUUACCAUCAACAUGAUCUGGAGACUGUUGAGCUCUCACAUAUAAAGAUGAAUGGAGAAUUUCCAACUUGGUUGUUGGAAAACAACACAAAAUUGAGACAACUUUCUCUCGUCAAUGAUUCUCUUGGAGGACCUUUCCGGUUGCCAAUUCAUUCACACAAGCGGUUAGGAAUGUUGGAUAUAUCCAACAACAACUUCCGAGGCCACAUUCCAAUAGAAAUUGGAGAUGUUUUACCAAGUCUAUACCUUUUCAACAAUUCCAUGAAUGCUUUAGACGGUAGCAUUCCCUCUUCAUUUGGUAAUAUGAAAUUCCUCCAAAUUCUGGACUUAUCCAACAAUCACUUGACUGGUGAAAUCCCCGAGCACUUGGCCGUUGGUUGCGUCAACUUGCAGUCUCUUGCAUUAUCAAAUAACAACCUACAAGGUCACAUGUUCUCUAGAAAUUUUAACUUGAUAAACUUGAAAUGGUUACAAUUGGAGGGCAAUCGCUUCAUAGGUGAGAUCCCACAAAGUUUGUCUAAAUGCUCCUCACUAGAAGGAUUGUAUCUUAACAAUAAUAGUCUUUCGGGUAAGAUUCCACGAUGGUUGGGUAAUCUCACAUGGUUACAAUAUAUUAUAAUGCCCAAUAAUCAUCUUGAAGGCCCUAUUCCAGUGGAGUUUUGUCAGCUUGAUUUGCUUCAGAUUUUGGACAUUUCAGACAACAACAUAUCUGGAAGUUUACCAUCUUGUUUCCAUCCUCUCUCUAUCAAACAAGUUCAUCUUUCAAAAAUAUGUUACAUGGACAGCUAAAAAGAGGUACAUUCUUUAAUUGCUCUUCCCUUGUGACAUUAGAUCUUAGCUAUAAUCGCUUGAAUGGCAGCAUUCCGGAUUGGGUUGAUGGGCUUUCUCAGUUAAGCCACCUUAUCUUAGGUCAUAAUAAUCUUGAAGGUGAAGUGCUAGUUCAAUUGUGCGAAUUGAACCAACUACAAUUGUUAGAUCUUUCUAAUAAUAAUCUUCACGGUCCUAUUCCUCCUUGCUUUGAUAACACCACACUUUAUGAAAGUUACAGCAAUAGUUCUAGUCUUGAUGAGCAAUUUGAAAUAUUUUUUUCCAUCGAAAGCCCUCAGGGAAAUGUAGAAAAGCAAAUCCAUGAAAUUUUUGAGUUCACAACAAAGAACAUUGUGUACAUUUACCAAGGAAAAGUGCUUAGCCUCCUAUCAGGACUUGAUCUUUCUUGCAACAAGCUAAUUGGUCCUAUUCUCCUCAAAUUGGAAAUUUUGACAAGGAUUCAAACAUUGAAUCUAUCACACAACGACUUGAUAGGAUUGAUCCCAUCAACAUUUUCAAACUUGAAGCAUGUCGAAAGUUUGGAUCUUUCCAACAACAAAUUGAAUGGGAAAAUCCCUCAUCAACUAGUGAGUUAAAGACAUUGGAGGUUUUCAGUGUGGCAUACAAUAACUUAUCAGGCGAAAUUCCAGAAUGGACUGCACAAUUUGCAACCUUCAAUGAGAGUAGCUAUGAGGGAAAUACUUUCUUUGUGGAUUGCCAUUGCCCAUUUGCAGAUCACCAGCAACUAUGUCGGAGGCUUCAAUUGGCAAUGAACGAGAUGAUAAUUUAAUUGACAUGGACAGUUUCUUUAUCACAUUUACAACAUCGUACGUAAUUGUGAUAUUUGCAAUUGUUAUUAUUUUAUAUGUAAAUUCUUAUUGGCGACGUAGAUGGUUUUACUUUGUUGAAAUGUGGAUAACUUCAUCUUACUAUUUUGUUGUAGACAAUCUUAUUCCAACAAGAUUUAUCAUUGAAAUUAAUUAGUAGUUUAAUUACGAUUCUUUAAGUACUAAUCAAGUUUGUUUAGGAAAUAUUUUUUUAUUAAAAUUGUAGUAGUAUUUAGCAUUAUAUAGCUUCCAACUUCCAAGCACUUCACAUUUGUCUCUACACUUAAAAAACUGAGUGAUCAUGUUUUGCAGAUCUGGAUUUGGAGCAGGAUGGAUCCAAACCCAUAUCUGUCCACCGUAACUUAUAGCUUCCCUAUACUGUGCAGCAUACUUAAAAUAAGAGAACCAUCUCCAAUGUUAAAAGCAUUCACUCUAUAACAUUCAUUUAGAAAACUAUAUUCAGAAUAUUUUAUAAUUAAACACAAGAAAUGAAAACACACAGAUACACUUGAUCGCCUAUUUUACUCUAAAAAAGAACGAUUAUUGUGCUAUCAUCAUCUUCUUCACUAGCAACAUUAACACCAAAUCGAUGGACCCAUACAUUUCAUCAAGAAAGGUCUAUAUCCAAUAAAGUUGAAGCCUAACAAAAAAUUCAAGAAGAUUCAUGCCUCGCCACAACAAGGGCACAACAACAUCAAAGUAGAGAUUAAGCAGUAAUUCUCAAAGCUAAAACUCUCAAAUCCACCCACCAGAAUUUCAUAUCUCCUCAACAAUUUAAGAACUAAAGAUAAUUAGGAUUUAACAUUAGUUUUUUAUAUAUUAGUCAUAAUUUACAAAUCAAUGAAGAUGAAGAUUAUGCUAAUAAAAUUCAAAUUAUACCAUACAUUCUCUAGAUGUUACCAAAAAUUUCUAAGUCAAUCCCACAUAUUUCAUAAUUUUAAGACUAGAAAAUUUCACUAGUUAGAAGUUUCAUUACCUUCAAGUGGAAGAUGAAGAACAUUAUACAAGUGAUUCAGAUUAUAUCAUACAUACUCCAAAUGCAACUAGAAAUUAACAAGUUCAUGCACACAUAUUUCAUAACAUUAUGAUUGAAAAGUUUCACAGAGAAAAUUCUAAAUUCAAUCUCUUGCAUGAAGGCAAUUUGAUUGAUUGAGUUACUUCUUAUCAAGCUACUAAUAUAACAUUCAAGUCAGGAGAAAAUAAAUUAAAACUGGGAAGAAAUAACAGUAAAAAAUUUGUUGCUCAACAUGAUGUGUAUUUUUUUUCAAGGCAAUUUGGAAACACAAUUGUUACCACAGAUAUUCUUCUCAAACUUGGAGAUAAAUACAAAUAUUAAAAUGCAUAUGAUCGCACAUAUUACUUCGAGUUUAGUAAGAUUUCAUUAAAAGAAGCAAUCAAACCACUUAUCAAUUGUCGCAGUCGUUCUAUAAACUAAAAUAGCAAUAUAAUACAAGAAAAAGAACAUAUAGAUACUUGGCAAGAGUUCAUUAAGAAGUCACAUCACAUUCAGGUGAGGAGUUUGCUUCUGAUAUCUUGCUAGCUGGGGCUUUUUCUUGUCUUUCUACGUAUGCCGAGGGAAACCAACCAGCUUGGCCCUUGCAUUCACCUUCCGACCAUCCAAUAGGAGCCACCUUGAGAAGUUAUAACUAAAAUGGUGAAUUAAACAAAAGUUGACCGUUCAAAGACCUAAGGGGAAAACUAAUUCUUUUACGUAGGAGGAGUGAAUUAGUUGUGAUCACUGAAAUAACAGCAUAACUAUGGAAGCAUAACAAGAUAUAAAUUCACACGUCUAUAAGGGUAAACUGGGUGGUUGAGAACUGAGCUAGCAACCCUACUAUAUUCUGAUUUGCACUUCAAUGUAAAAGGGAAUAUAUGGUAGGAAGAAAGAAAACCAACCAUCAUUUGUUAACUCAUUGCUUUUCAAUCAAAAUUUUAAGAACAAAAUGCCAUGUGCUUUGAACAUCAAAUAAGUAUAAGCAUUAGUUCUAAAUUCCACAUAUCAUAAGUUGUUAGAAGGAUAAGUUAAUAGCAGAGUAGAAAAAUCUAUGUGUUGGUAUUUAGAGGGGAAAGUACCUGGCGAACCACAACAUAAUCAUCAAUUGAAAGACUUAGCUCUCCAUUUGCUUGAGCAUCAAAUGGAUGUAUAACCUGCAAGAUAAUGGGAUAAAUAGAACUUAAAAAAAGCAUAACAAAAGCGGCAACAGUAGCAGCAACGUUCAUUGUAACCACUAUGAUCAUGGCCAACAAGAUAUAUUAGAAACAAAAUUCCAUUUUUACUACGACAUUAAUAUGUACUAUACGAUAUCAUGACGAUUGGGUUACUAAGAGCUAUCAAAGUCUAAUAAGUUCUGUAUAACUUUAUGUAGUUAUUUAAAUUAUGGAUCAGAUUUUAAAUUUGAAAUUUUGACUGCUCUCCACAAAACAUGGCCUAUGCACAAGAAAGUCAUAGAUAAUGAGGAUUACAAGUGUCCGACAUCUUUUGAGUGAUGGAUUUAACAUGAGAGCUUAUGGUCAGUCAAUUUCCUCUGCCUAGCAAUAUAAGCUUUCUCGGCCAGAUUUAUCAUCAAAUACAUAGAUUGCCCCCAAGUCACAUCCAUAUAAACAUAGUUUUUCUAGGUAAACCAAGUAAGGAGUAUCAUAAUUCAGACAUAAUCAUAAAAAGGCCCAUCUAACUUAAGAGAAAAUCUCAAAAAGAGGGAUGCUGAGCUAUCAGUCUUGUAUCUAUAAGCAAUAUCAAGACUUUACGUCACCUGCUACAUCGUGAGUGGCUACACAACUUUCAGUGGUUUGUCUUUCUUUGGCACGCCUAACUCAGCUUUCAUGUUGCUGAGAUAUUGAUAGUAGAGACACAUGAUACUUCUAGCUCAUGCAUUCUAUCUAACUCAUCCAACAACUAUCUCUUUUUUAAUUCAUUAGUGUUUGCUAAACCUCAUGCUUAAAAGUCCUGUUCUCCUAAACAAAGUUUCCUAAGAAUGACUUCCUUAGCACCACAGUUGGACACUUUAGAGCAAUUUUAUUUGGGGGAAAAGAAUUUUCAAGGUGUUAACUAAUAAAUUUUAAAAAAUAAUUACAAUUUGUCCUACGAUCAUAUGACAAUUUAUCUGGGAUGAAAGGAUACAGAUAGACAUCUUCCACUUUCAAGACUAAUCACUACUUCCGUAGAUGUUGUGCAAUAAUACAAAUACUUGACCAGAUGGUAGUGAUGGUAGAAAAAAAUUUUAUUGCUCCAAAAUUAAAAUAAGAAUGCAAUAUGUUAAGCAAAAGGCUGUGCAACAUCAAAUUAAUUGAUAAGUUUGUAAUUCAGUAAAUUAACAACUUUCAUGGUAAAAUACAACAAAUUUCUUUUGAAAAAAAAUAAAUAAAUCUUAAAAGACAACAUUCAAUUUUGUGCACAUCUUAUUUCUUAAGAUUUUUCAGGAGGAGGGCAAUAGAGGGACUUUCACCUAUGCAAGAGAGCAGAAGCCUUACUUUCCCUAUAAAGUAGACGUCAUUCUGAUUAAUAUGCGUUUGCAAAUCAGCUCCGUUUGAAUCAGUAUUCUGAUAGACACACGAGGAAUUUACAUCCAUUUCCAAAGUCACAUGUUGCGAGGAGGACUCAUUUGAUUGCUCCUAUACGAUCAUCUAAUUCAAGUAGCAAGGGUUGGAAGAGAAUAAAAAGUCACAAUUAUUCUUUUGCAUAAGUGAGACGAAAAUGAUAAAUGCAAUAUUAUCAGCAGUAAACAAGAAGAGAACGCUCCAAGAAAUAGAUAGAUGCAGACAAGCAAGUUAAAAUGCAUAGUCCCAAACCUCCGCAUACAACUUCUCUAAAAUAGCAAUAACGUGUUGAUGCUAUGUUUUCUCAGCAUCUACCUGCAAAGGCCCGAGACCAGGAAAACAACAAUAAAACCACUAGCUGAAGGAGAAAGCAAAGAAAGAAAUACACUUGACAUAAAUCUUGACAAGAAGCACAAAUUAAGACAUAACAAACCCCAAUCAUAUUGUUUAGAACUACCAUUCGUUAUUUCGUUAUUGUAACAUUUCGAACAAGUGUUGACUUAAUUCAACAUUGUUGGAAAGAUAGGCUUUUAGAAGCAGAAGAAAGCCUCUCAAACCAAAGUGCUGGUCCUUGUAUUGAUCAAGGGAUGUAAACAUAUUACAUUUGCAGGAUGAGAUUUAAUCACUCCCCUGAUUUAUUCGGGUUGCAGUAAAACUAAGCGAGCAACUGUUUGACUUUCAAGCAACAGCUAAAUCAGCUAUUAAAAUUCAAAUAAAAUCAUAAUAGAAUAAUAACAGGCCAUCUUGCAUCAAAAAUUAAGUUUAAUUUGUGAAUUGUUUUCUAUAGACAUGUCAGUUUCUGCUAUUGAAAUGUUAAAAGCAUUGAAAAAUUAUUCAAUAAAUUAUGCAAGCAUUAAAAUAGAGGACAUAUUAAAAAGUUUCUAAUUACAAUGUUAAUAUUUCCUAUAUUUUAGCAUUUGCAUAUUUUAAUUUAUUUAAAAGCUACGUUGAUCAACUUUGGGCAUGAAGAUUUUAGCUUAUACGAGACUUGAUUGGAAUAUGCAUAAGAGUGUUAAAAUAUGAUGCAUCCAAUGAAAGACAAACCACGUGUAGUCUUUUAAUUAAGCCAAAGUAGCAGCUCAAACAAAUGACACUUGGACCAACAUGCAAUCAUGAAGUGGCCGGAAAAAGGACAAAUGCAACUUUGGCUUAAAUAAAAAAUAACAUGUGACUCGACUUUUGCUGGACAUGCAUCAUGUUAUCACAAGACAACAGAAAUCAGUAUGAUAGUACUAAAAGUUGACAAUAACAUGAAGAUAAGAGGCAGAAUGUCAACACAUGCAUAGGCACACACAAGAAAGUAUUAACUUAUAUACCAUAGCAAAAAGUCUUUGAUAUGUCAUCUGUUGCUGCUGUGAUUCAACUGACAGCAUGGCAGCUGUUGCUUCUCUACCAAGAGCCAUUAUUGUAGAUUUAAGCUCGGUCAAUCUUGCUUCUGCAUUUCGAAGCUUCACAGCACUCUCUGCUGAUAUAUCAGAUUCCUAAUCUUUGAUCGGCGCCUAAAUACUUCAGCUGCCUGGUGAAAAUAUUCAAUAUAAAUCUAACAUAAUUCUNNNNNNNNNNNNNNNNNNNNNNNNNNNNNNNNNNNNNNNNNNNNNNNNNNNNNNNNNNNNNNNNNNNNNNNNNNNNNNNNNNNNNNNNNNNNNNNNNNNNNNNNNNNNNNNNNNNNNNNNNNNNNNNNNNNNNNNNNNNNNNNNNNNNNNNNNNNNNNNNNNNNNNNNNNNNNNNNNNNNNNNNNNNNNNNNNNNNNNNNNNNNNNNNNNNNNNNNNNNNNNNNNNNNNNNNNNNNNNNNNNNNNNNNNNNNNNNNNNNNNNNNNNNNNNNNNNNNNNNNNNNNNNNNNNNNNNNNNNNNNNNNNNNNNNNNNNNNNNNNNNNNNNNNNNNNNNNNNNNNNNNNNNNNNNNNNNNNNNNNNNNNNNNNNNNNNNNNNNNNNNNNNNNNNNNNNNNNNNNNNNNNNNNNNNNNNNNNNNNNNNNNNNNNNNNNNNNNNNNNNNNNNNNNNNNNNNNNNNNNNNNNNNNNNNNNNNNNNNNNNNNNNNNNNNNNNNNNNNNNNNNNNNNNNNNNNNNNNNNNNNNNNNNNNNNNNNNNNNNNNNNNNNNNNNNNNNNNNNNNNNNNNNNNNNNNNNNNNNNNNNNNNNNNNNNNNNNNNNNNNNNNNNNNNNNNNNNNNNNNNNNNNNNNNNNNNNNNNNNNNNNNNNNNNNNNNNNNNNNNNNNNNNNNNNNNNNNNNNNNNNNNNNNNNNNNNNNNNNNNNNNNNNNNNNNNNNNNNNNNUAACCCUCUCUCCCUCUUCAAUCUCUCUCUAUUUUGUUCCCAUUGAUGACCCCAAUCUGCUUAGUUAUCCAGCUUUAUAGCUGCAUCAGUAACAAACCAGCAAACCCAGAUUGAGCAGAUUGACGACACGUGGAUAACGGCUUUAACGAACCUGGUUAAGAACUGCUCACAUGUUCGUCACGCGUGCUGCUUAAAUGAUGGCCAAAACGACUUCAAACAAAUGUCGUUUUGAGGCUUAUGAAUUACAAGUGAUAACACGAGCUUGUCUCAUGACUUUUAAAUGCAACAACGUGCCCACAACGCCGUCGUUUUACUCUGUUGAGUUUGAUUCAUUACUAAGCUUUUACGACUGGCAAUGGAGAAGAUGAUAAUUUAAUUGACACGGACAGUUUUUAUAUCACUUUUACAACAUCCUAUGCAAUUGUAAUAUUGGGAAUUAUUGAUGUUUUAUUCUGUGAAUCCUCAUUGGCAAAAACUAGUGUUUUAUCUUUGUUGAAAUAUAGAUGACCUCUCGUUACUGUUUUAUUAUAAACAUAUAGUUUCGUAAGUGAAUAUUUUAUUAUAAAAUUAACAUAUAGUUUUGUUACAUUUCUGCCUCAUUAAGAUUCUCAAAUACCAGUCAGGUUUGCUUAAGAAAUAAAUUUUUUCCAUUAAAAUUGCAGUAGUAUUUCCAAGCAUAUCGCAUUUUCUAUGAGUUUUCAUAAAUUAAUUAAUCUGCGGUGCCAAUAUCAGAUUUAGUUUUUCAAACUAAAUAAUCAAGAAAGCAAACAUACAAAUAUACAGUUUAGAGGGUAAACUAGGUAGGUGGUUUAGAUUUUAGAACUAAGCCAGCUACCUCGCUAAAUUCCGAUUCGUACAGUGAACUGCAAGAAACUGAGAAAACAAUGUAUUUAUAAUUUAAUAGAAUCAUAAGAAAACAAUGCAGUCAUUGCUCAAUAUAAGAUGAUGAUUUCGGAGAGGCACAUUGUUUUCAAGUUAAUUUGAUCCGUUUAUAAGAGAUGAAGUGGAAUGAAGUUGAAAGUUUAAAUAACAAAUCCUUGUUCUUGAGUUUUACGACGUCGUUACUCCUUCAAGUGGCAGAUUAUGCAAGUGAAUGCAGAAACACAAUGCAUCAUCCGCGGGGAUGAUACAUCAAAAGGCGGGAUUUGUUUAUGCCUGCAGAUUAGCAAUUUCACUCAUAUAGAAAAUUAAUUUUUUAUAUAUACUAAUCAACACUAAAUUGAUUAUGUGUUGUAUGUUUAUAUAUGCUAAUCAACACGAAAUUAUAUUGAAUUAUUAACAUUCAUAUUCCUAAUAAAAAUUAUUUUCCAUCAGUAUUCAAAAUUUUCACUUAUAGAAAAUGCGUUUUACGUGAAUACUAGUUAUUGUGUAAAUUUGAAUGAUAGCGAAAAAUAAACCUAUUUGAAAACUGUAAGGGUGUGUUGGGAUAUUUUACAACUGUCGGAAUCUGGUAGGAUAUUUGCACCAUUUGCCCAAUAUUUUUAGACGUACUCCAACCGGUAUUCAAGAUAAGUAAAAUUUACAAGCGUGGCAAAAAAAAAAAAUUAAAUUCGUAACUUGUAAACGAAUUUUCCUGACAUGUAUAGUAAAUGAAGUUGUUGAUCCUUUCUUUGGAUUAUUUCAGCUCUGGUUGUUGGUCACCGAUGAGCCGAAGUCUUAUUUUAAUUUUAUUUAAACUCAUCAUAAGAUUCGUGGAGCACCUAACUAACUUAACUGACUGCGCAGAUCAUCUCAACAUGGCAUAUUUAACCAUCAUUCAAGUGAUGGGUUUAAUAAGACUGCUUUUGUUCUAUCAACUAUCAAGUUCCUCUGCCUCUAAGCAGAAUUACUAUUGAAGGGCCAAAAGGAAAAUGAAAACGUGUGAGCUCCAACAACCACCCCACAAUGAAUGACGAUGCUCGGAGAGGGUUAGGUUGGGCCUCUGAGAAAAAAAAAUUAUUUUGUUAAAAAGUUACCCUUAUUGAAACCUGUAUAAAAAUUUUAUAUUAAUUAGUUAUGUCGCCUCUUCAACGAUGAUCAAAUUCUUAUCUGAGCUCAUCAUUUAAUGAGUAAACAUGUAUUUUAAUGAUCUCAAUUAAUAUUUAGAACAAAUAUUUUAAGAAGUAAAGCUCAUUAUAUCUUCCAUUAUUAUGUAUUUCUUUAAUUUCUUAUUUACAUAAUUAUAUUGUACAUUAAAAAUGUAUUGAAUUUGAAGAAAAAAAAAUUCAACUCAAAAAAAAAAAAAUGCUGGUAGCUUCGUAAUAAUUACUGUAUUGACUGCACCAGAUAAAGUUUUGUAAAAUAAUAAGUUCUCAUAAGUGGUUUUUCAUUUUUAAUUUUCUUUUCCGGCACACCUGAUCAAGAAUUCUAUUUUGUUAACUAAUCAAUUGCAAAGCAUAAGUGUUUGAACGGUACAAAAAUUUAAAAAAAAUACACUUAAAAACGUGGGGUGGGUAACGGCUCACUCAAAUCGUUAGGUAGAAUUGUGGAAAACUAAAGCGAAAUGAGAAAUAUAGAAAGAAAGGAAGAGGUGAUGUUUUUCUAUGAAUUUCUAUGGGUAACGGCUCACUCAUCCUUCUAUGAAUUUCUAGCUGUAUUGACCCCAACUGCUAAAGUUUUGUAAAAUAAAAAUAAAAUAAAAACUGGAAUUUCAACAAAAAUUCAAAAACGUUUGAAAUUUAAUUUUUGGCCAUGUGGAACAAAAUGUAAAUUAAGUAAAAAAUAUAAAUCUCAAUUGCUUAGUAUGGUUAGGAUUUUGUGAGCAUCACUAAAAAGUGAAAACUAUGAAUGAUAGAGGUGAUGUUUGCAACAUGAAUAAAUGAUGAACUGAAUCAAUUGAUGAUCGUAAUUACAUAAUGAACAAAAUUUACAAAAUCAACAAAAGUUAAUAAAAAAUUAUUUUAAUAAUAAAAAAUCAAUAAAACUUAUUAUUUAAGGGCGCUCUAACCAUGGAAUACCAUAAUCAUAAUCUUCUUUUAAGAAAAUUAUAAACUUAUUAUUUUACAGGAUUGAUCCAUUUGGAAUGAAGUGGUCUCAAGUUGAAAGUAAUUAAUUUAUUGAAUAACUUUCGACUUAUUAAUAGUUAUAUCAAAGGGUGUUUUACCUCAUCAUGUCUUCAAGUGGAAGAUGAAGACUAUGCAAGUGAAUUCAGGAAUAUUGCAUGCCUGUUGUCUAAAGCAUUACCUCACAAGGUUUCAUGAGAAACGAAAGAUGUGUUUGCUUUGAACAAUUAAAGUUACUGCUACGAACCUCCCCAAAGGUCAAGAAGACAGAACAGGAAGCUAAUGCCAUCAAUGUCUUGUUCAUUAUAGCUGCUGGGUAGUUAGGUGUAGUUUCCUCAUUUGAAGCUGUCUAUACAUAGGCAUUUCCCCUGCUUAUGUACAAAUAAAUGAACAACCUUGAAGCUUUAUUAUUCGCAACAAAAAGGGAUUACUAAUUGGAGAAGACAAUACAGAGUUUUCUCUCACACUUUCUCUCUGUCAAUUUCAUCCAGAAGUCCCUCUGAAAGCUUCUCCCAAAACAGUUAGUCAUCUUUUAUGCUCUGUUUUCUGAAAACAGAGUCCUAACUAAAUUAAUUGACUGUACAGUGCAUUUCAACAUAGCAUAUUUAACCGUUUUAACAGUUAUUUGGACCGUCUUCAGAGGUAACAUCAACAAACUCAUUCAUAUGCUUAAUAAUGAACGAAUAGUCUUGGAUCGAUGUUUUGCAGCAAGAGCAACACGACACAAUCUGGAUUCAACCUCCUCCUUUCUAACAGGGGAUUUCGAUUUGAGUUACUUUGUGCUCAAGCAAAUUCACAUCAUAGUUUUGAUUCUUUAGAUAUGAAUUCAUCUCAUUACAUAUAUCAGAUUAAGUGUAACAAAAUUUGUAAUUUACUGCGAAAAGAAUAUGCACUAAAAAAUGAUUUCAAGACUAUUUGACUACAAAAAGCAGCUGUCAGAGUGCACUAAAAAUUUCUGUAGGAUAUUUUGUAGCUGUUUAAUAUGUUAUGAUGGGCAUAUAAUUCUCAAAUUUUGAUGCCUCUCAGCGAAAAAUAUAUCAAAGUUACGGAUGAUAUCACGUAAAACAUGCAUGGCUCAGGCUCAGGCUCAGGUAAGAAAGCCACAGAAAAGGAAAAUCUCACUGUCACGACUCACGUCACGCAUCAUUCAAGUGAUGGAUUUAACAAGACUGCUUAUGUUCUAUCAAAUUCCUCUGCCUCUCAGAAGAUAACUUUUCUGGGCCAAAUUUCUCAUCUAAAGCAUAUUAUGCCCCAAAGUCACAGAUAACAAAAUGGGGCACUACCGAUUAUGAAAGAGAACUAGUAGUUGUCAGAAGCCUAAGCCAAAUUCCGGUAGUAAGAAGAGGCCUUUCUUGAGUUUAGAUUAUGUGUUCGAGUUUUAAUAAAUGCCUAAGUUAAUAAUAAUAACAACAGUAAUAAUAAACUAAAAAGCAUAAUUACUAUUGAAUGGUAAAAAAAAAAAAUGAAAAUGUGUGAACUCCAAUAACCACCCCAGUGGCGAAUUUUGGAGAGGGCUAGGCCGGGCUUCUUAGAAAUUAUUUUUAUUUAAUUACAAAAUCACCUUUACUGAAACCUAUAUAAAAUUUUUUAUAUUAAUUAAUUAUGUUGCCUCUUCAAUUAUCAUUAAAUUCUUGUCCGUUCAUAAUUUGAUGGACAAAUGUGUAUUUCAAUAAUUUCAAAUAAUGUCUAGAACAAAUAUUUUGAAUUAUAAAACUCAUUAUGUCCUGCAUUACUAGAUGUAUCUAUAAUUUAUUAUUUACAAAUUAUAUUGUAUGAUAAAAAUGUAUUGAAUUUUUUUUAAAAAAAAAGUUCGGCUCACUCAGAAAAAAAUGUUAUUAGCUUCGCCACUGCACAAAUCUAGAAUAAUAAUUAUUCCUUAUUAUAUUGACUGCACCAAGCAAUAAACUAAUAAGUUCUCAUCAGUGGUUUUUAAUCUUUUUAAUUCUUUUUACCGCACACCUGAUCAAGAAUUUUAUUUUGUUAACUAAUCAAUUGCAAAGCAUAUAUAAGUGUUGAACGGUACACAAGAUUGGAAAAAAAAAUCUUAAAAAACGUGCGGAUUCGGGUGGCCACACCAGAAAUCUAUUACAAUAAUUAGCUUUGAUGCUGGGAAUCUUUUAAUUUCUGGCCGUAUUGAAGUUUUUAAAAUAACAAGUUCCCCUUCUCGUUUUUUUUUUUUUUUAAAAUAUAUAUGCUUAUAACAAUUUUAGAAUAAUGAUUCAUUUGUAGAAGAACUUAUGAUUUCCCAUUAAUAUUAAUAUUGAAGUGGGGUGGGUCAAAUCUCAAUUGCUUGAAGAAUUUAUGUAUUAUUAAAUAUUACCAUCCAAGGUAGAAUUGUGGAAAAUUAAAGCAAAAUGACAAGUAUGGAAAGGAAGGCUGAAAGUAAGGCAUGACGAAAGGCUUUGAGAAGGCUGAAGACUACCAAAGAAGUCAACUGAAAACUAGCUGGGGCCUGAGUGUAUAAAUUGUUAGAUGCGUUUGUUAUAAAUAACAUAGAGCCCUUUUGUUAUUUAUAGUUAUAGAGAAAGAGAGAAUGUGUGUUUUUUAAUAGUUAGAGAUAUAGCUAGAAUGGGUUGCUCAAAAUCCAAAAUAGUGACAAUGUUAGUUCUCGUAUUGAUAAUAUUGGGGGGGGGGGGGGGGGGGGGGGGGGGGGGGGGGGGGGGGGGGGGGGGGGGGGUGUUGGGAGGUCGAGUGAGGGAUGUUUGGAGCAUGAGCAAUUUGAUCUUUUGCGGCUUAAACAUUUCUUCAAUUAAUAUCGAUCUGGAGAGUGGUAUCUGAAUGCUUCUCUAUUUACUUCCUUUCAACAACUUGGUAACAAAAUAGCCGGCUGCAUGCGUUGAGAAUGAAGGUGCUUCAUUUAAUUUAAUUUACUUAAUUUCUCCCUCCUAAUUAAUGUCUAUAAUCAUUAGGAGGAACAAGGGAUUUUAUUAACUCAAAUAUAUCUAAUGGAGCUCAUUCUUUGGUUUUACUUGCAGGGCUAGAAGCAGGUGUCAUCUAACAGCUGCUUUGAUAAUUUCCCUCCCCUUCAUCUUUGAUGGAAAGAUGAAAUAAAAACAAAUUGGUGAAAAUGGUAUUGGUACCUGAGGCUAUGUAAUCUAAUUCAAAAACUGCACCAUCAAAACGAUUACAUAAGUCUCAGAAGAAUCAAAUAUCAGUUUGCAAAAUAUCAAUUGCUGGAGGUUUGAUUCUAACUUCCGCUCUUCAUUUUUAUGGGCAUAUUGUGUUGUACUUGCAUCCGAAAAUCAUAUUUUAGUUUACUUGCACUCAAUGCUUGGAUUAAAGUUUUUUUUUGGGGGGGGGGGAUUGAAGAAGACUAAAAUUACACCAAAAAAGAGUUGAGCGAGAGCGGGUUUUGUCUUCAUUUAAGGAGCUCUUUAUAAAUUUUGGGAUUUUUUUCCUGAGAAAAUUUAUGCCAACUCAUUCUUUGCUUCUUUUCUGAAGGGACACAUGCAACCGAAAGUAUAUUCUUGAAUUCUCCAGGAUAAGAGACAUACGUUUAGAUUCUGGAGCAUUUAAAAACAAUGUCAAAUUUUAGAUUGCUGAAAUUUUAUAUAUCCGAGUAUGAUGGUGUUCCAAUUAUAAGCUCCAGGGUGCAACUUCACUGAGGUUUAGAAUGCCUUCCUAUAGAAUUGAGAAAUCUCCAUUGGCAUAAAUAUCUUUUGAAAAUACUGACAUCAGAUUUUGAAUUGGAGAACCUGAUUGGACUCAGCUUGCCCUGUAGUAAGGUUAAGCAAAUUUGGAAAAGAGAAAAGGUAUAAUGUAUUACUAUUACCAAAGUAUCUAUUUUUCUUUCUUUAAGUAUUUAUAAUGAAUAACUUUGAAAUUCAAUGAUGCUCAUUUAGUAUAGUUAUGUAUCUUUGGUUAUAGGAAGCUGUCAAGUUAAAAUCUAUAGACCUUCACCACCCCUUUAUCUCAAUAGGAUCCCAGAAAUACUAAAUCUUAAAAAAAUAAAUCUUUCAAAUUGUGAAAGCAUGCUUACGUUACCCCCGUAUAUCCACAAUUUCAACUAGCUGAGUAUGUUGUGUUUCAGGGAUGCAAAAUUCAUUUUGUUUCUCAUGAAAGGAUUGACUUGUCCGGAUGUAUUAGGGUUAGUAAACCAACUAAUCCCAUAAUUUGUUGAUGUAGGGUCCUAACAAAUUAUUGCAGUAGAUUGUAGAUCAGUACACUAUUCGAAAACGUAUUUGAUCCACACAGUGAAGUGGAUAUUGGACCAAUUUGAUGAUAAUGAAUUUCUUUCAAUCUCAAUCUUUUUUCUUUUUAGCAACAUGACUAGUCAUUGUGCAAAUUCAAACUCUGACAAUAAUUUCUCAAUCGGUUUCUAAGAUGAUGACCAUGCAUGUAUAUGUAUAUGCGUGUGUAUAUGUGUGUGUGUGUAGAGAGAGAGAGAGAGAUCACACGUGUGUGAUUUCCUUUUGCCAAUAGGAUAUGCAGAGAGCUUGAUCUUACCCAAUAGCGAAACAAACUUCCUAAUAAGUGAAGGUAUAGUAUAAAUACUUAUACUUUCAUGUUAUUUUGUUCAUCAGUAGCUUGAUUAUUUUAUAUGCGUCUUCGAUUUUAAUUUUCUUUCCCUAUAAUCGCUAUUAUCUUUGAACUGGUCAUAAUUUGCCCAUAAGAUUUCUCAUGUUGUUUUGAGGUGCAACGGAUUUUGAAUUUAGUGACAAGCAGUGGAAGCCAGAAGGCAAAUUAUGAAAAUGGAUAAAGAUCUAUAAUUAGCUGUUAUGGGAUGUCACAUAUCAUAUUGAUGGUAACGUUAUAUAUAUGUACAUAUAAUUAAUGGGGUUGGCUCACGAGCCCAUUAAUAAUGGUAUAUUAGCUUAUAUACUUCAAACAAUGUACUAUGAAGCAAUUUCACAAAUACUUGUUAGCUUAUGUUGAGCUUUAUUGAAUCAGUAGUUCACAGUUCAAUAAAAUGCAGGUUUGCUAUUUGAAGUACAUGGUUAUGGUGCGUACAUUCUUCAUAAGGCUAACUACUAAUUUAUCAUUGAAACUUGAAAAAUGUGAUAGAGAGAUGUAGAUAACAGCCGCAAAACACUGAGAUUGAAAAUCAGGGCUACUAAAUUCUAUUAAAAGUCCUUAAAAUAGACAGCGAUCACCCUGAAAUGUAUAUACUGAAACUAAGAAAUAUUAAUCGCAAAGUUAUGCAUUAAUAGAACUAUUGACUACUUAUCUUUAGCAUAAAGUAUAUUUUUAACUACAGCUUUCUGCUUUGUUCUAAGAACUAGGCAAAAGUGGUGUAUCUUCAAUCCAAUCAACAUAUAUACCACUUAUCUUCCUCUUCACUUCUGUCUAUUUUGAUUUGCACUUCAUAUCCUGCACUUGCUGCUUAGAAAUAGUCUUUAUUCUGGACAUUGAAAGUAGAAAAAGUACUUGAAACAAUCAUUGGCACAGCCCGAGAUUCCAUUGAAUCGUGGACUCCAAGCUUUCAUAGUUCUAUAAAGAAGAUGACAAAACUUCAUACAACUGGCAUUCUGCUUUUAACAUUUGCACAACCUGAGCGAGUUAGCAAGCCCCUUGUUGCGUUCCCAUUGAAUAGACCUACUUCUGUUAUCCGCAGAAGAUCCACCACUCAAAAUGUUUAUCACCAGGCUAUUCUUAAACUGAGCCUAAACUGAGUAGAAACUUCCGCACAUCUCUCAGCAUUUACAUGAAGAAAUCGACAACUAUCCUCAUCUCUCAGCACAUCUCUCAGCAUUCUACAAAGUUGCAUUUCACUAAGCAAUCUAUCCUCUCCAUUCCUAGCAAAGUGACAUUGAUUCCCGUAUUUGUAAUCGCCUAACUUGGGUUUUGGGCAUAGCGUGGUCUUAAAAUUACCACCCAAUACUUUGUUCAGUGCCACUGGCAUCCACAAGCUCUAGCCCUGUUAGUUGAAUCAUAUUCAAUGGGACAGUGAGGCAGCAUUUCACUAACAUAUUCAAUUUGACUACUUAUAUUGACGCAAAUAUUAGAAUUUGAAAUCACUUCUUUUAUUGGAAUAUUAUAUUAAUAUGACCCCAAAUGAAAGUUCUUGAAUGGAAAUGAUUUUUAUUUACUUUUCGAACAGAUUCAAGAAAACCCAGAGAACACAAAAUUUACACAGUAAUAUGAUUAAGAGCUGAGAACGUAUAUGUAGUAAAUGUCUAUCAAAAAACACCCAAGGGUUUCUUUAAAAUUAGUAACUAGUAAACAAAAAGAAAGAAUCAUUUUACAUUUUUAGCAACUUUGGGGUGAGUGAGUGAGUGAGAAAUUGAAACCCUCAAGUGAUGACAACAGUAAGAUUCAGUAUGAAGUGAAACCCCAAUUUGAAAUGUAGGCAUGAGUUGCUGAGUCAGUAGAUGAAGCUAUAAAUAGGCAUUCGGUUUCCUUCUUUUCGGUUUGGAGGGCCAUGGAAUAGUGUAUUGGAGUGGGCUCCAAGUAAUAGCCUCUAUCACUGGAACGACACAUCUAUAAAAUGUGAUACAUGGGGAAGGAUUGGGCAUUUUAUUCUUAGAUUAGCCCCUUAUUUAGGGUGUAUAUUAAGCAGAUUAUAUAUUACAUGGAGAUGGAGUUUAUGAAAUAGAUUAAAAAGAAAAGGAAAUUUUGGUGCCUAAAGUUUGCCACUUGGAAUAUUUCGGUGUCUAAAAAUUCACUCACCACUUAUUUCAUGUUUGAUUAUAUGUUGAAAAGAUAUUAAAAUAGUAUAAUGCUAUUAAGGCUUAACGUAUAUUUUUUAUUAGUAGAGUGUAGAAUUUUUAAGAAAUAAAUUAUUAAAUUAUUAUAACUAACAUAUUAUUUUAAAGUUGUGUUAUGAAAAAAAUGAAAUAAAAAUGUACAGUAAAUAAGAAUAUUUUAAAACUUUUAUCUUUUUAAAAUUAGUUUUUAACAUAAGGUGAACUAUUUUUUUUUUUAAAAUCACAUAUUCUAGUUAAAAUCAAAUAUGUAUUUAUACGAAGCUUGUAAAUUUUUUUUUUAGUACUGAUAUUUGAAUAUUAUCAAUAAAAAAAAGGGUAAUGUUCAUGCUGCAUUAUUUUUGUAGCACACAAAAGGACAACACCGUUUAUGUUAUAAUACUAUCGCUUCUGUUAUGAUAAUUUUUUUUGUGGCCAAAUAUCUUUUUUUUUUUUAAGUAAAAAAAAGUGGACAAAAUGCAAAUCAGUUUUUAAUCCUCAAUCUCUCCCAAAAUAUAUAUUUCGGUGUCUAAAAAUUCACUCACAAAACUAUAGCUGACAAAAAGUUACUAACAAAAAGUUAGGUCCAUGGGUUGUUAAAACUAUAGCUGACAAAAAGUUACUAACAAAAACAGAAUGUCCAUUUUAUAACUUUCUUAAAAAACUUUCCUUAACUUUUUUAAACAAAAAGUUAUUUCCAAUUUUUAUUUUGUUAUAAUGUUUAUAACAAAAUUCGUAGUUAACUAAACUCUUCUUAUACCCUUUCUCAACUGCCAUACCCUAACCCACUAAACCACGCUCAAUUAAGGCCAUCAGAUUCUCCCGGGCCCACAUUAAUCCAACUGCUCACAGAGACCGACAGCCUCUCUAUCUCCAUUUCAAGCUCCCUCUUCAACUGGCUUCUGCUACCGUCCUACUCUUUCUCGGCUUCGGAGUCCGUAUUUGCUCGGCCUGUCCCACGAAGCUCCCUCUCACUCCAAUUGUCGCCCCACAAGACCAAUUGCUUAAUCAAGACACCGAACAAGAAAAGGAUGAGAAGUUGAAACAAGAAUUUGAGAAUUGGAAAUAAAAAACGUACGCAUUGACCGUGCCUUUGAGAGUCGUUUCUCUUCAGAACUCAGUGCCUCAAUCUUGGGUUAAGGAUUUUAUGCGAAGUCAGGGAAAGAGAUUGAAGUUUCAGAUGAAUUUGUGUGCUAGCAUUGAUGGGAUCUUUAACAAUUUAUCUGUGCCCUUUAACAAAGUUAAGGCUAAGUCAGCUUCUUAUAUGGCUGCUGAUUUGGUUAGUGUUGGUGAUUCAUGGCUUAGUUUUGCCAUUAAAAAGAGAUUGAUUGAGCCAAUGGCUGGAGCUGAAGACCAAGAUUGGUUCAAAUGCUUAAGUCACAAAUGGAAGGUAACAUCUUUGUCUUUGAUCCUCGAGGUAAAAUAUGGGCGGCACCGUACAGGUGGGGCACAACGGUGAUAGCCUACAAGAAAAGUAAAUUUCGAAAGCAUAAUUUGGCUCCGAUUGAGGUAAUAAUUUUCUUUAAACUCAUUUAGUUUUAUAUCAAACAAAAUCAAGACUGCCUUUCUCUUCAAUAUUUUUUAUGAUAAUAUCUUUAGAAGCAUCUCAUUGACGGGUAACAAUGGCAUCCCUGAAAGAGUCUAUAAACUCAAUGAUAUUAUCUUCUACAAAUGGUUCAUUAAACUUUGUCGUUGUACUCAAAUGUACACUCAGAUCAAUGAGAAGCUAUGCUACGUUAGCAUGUAGUGAUGGCACUUAAUAAGUGAGUUGCUAGGAUGUGAACUAGAAAAAUUAAAUAUUGUCUCCUUGGGUAUGCUAGCUGGUAAGUCAGGGUUAAUAUCAGAGCUUAAGAUAGUAUAACCGUGAGAACCUAUUGACUGCCAAUUAAAAUAUCCAUUGAAAUGUCUAGGGAGUUAUGAAGGUGGAGGUAACUUCCAAUUUCUAAGGCCACAGAGUAGACAUCAUCCAGGAUCCUAGGAAAGUCCAGUUAACCUCCUGCUCGAUGCAAUUAAUAAAUUUGGUCAAUGCCACUGAAACCUGCUAACUGACGUCACAAUGCGACAUGAGCACUUCAAAAUGGGACAGACGGUCAGUAGCACUAAAUUUUUCUUGCCCAAGAUUGAGCAAUUGGUCUAACUACUAAUCCCUAUUGUAGGUUGAUCAUUAUUUUUUCAAUUAUGUUCAGUUUGACCCAAAAAGUUGCAGAAUCUUGAGCUAAAUAUUGUCACUGAACACUGUCAAUGUCAUUUAGCAUAGCCAACUAACUUGAUGUUAAAACAAACACACAGUGUGUCUCAUGUCUCACAAUUCAAAUUAUCAUCUGUAAUGUUGGAGAAUUUUUCCAAUGUAUGAAGUAUGCUUUGAUACGUGGGUUACCUUGGAGAAGAUAUCUCAAAAUAAAGAAUAUGGGGAGAAAACAGUUCAGUAGUUUAUUAUUCUGUAGUCAAGUUUUGUCUCGAAAAUGGUCAAAAUUUAAAUGAAUAAGGACAGGGGAUCUUCAUUCUUUUUUCCCUUUUUUAUACCAAGAUAUCUCUCAACCUUUAUAUAAUCCCCACUGGAUAUCUGCUUCUAAUAAUUAAAAUAAAAAUUUCACCGCUCUAACAAUAAAAAGUAACAUCUUUCCUCAAAUAAUUUACAGUUCCUCAUCAUCUUAGUGUGAGAAUAUCAGUACAUUCCAAAAACAUAAUAAAACUGGUUUGAUCCUGUUUAUUGAUGUUUAAAUGUUGUUCAUUGUGACAGGUAGAAAUGAUGAGGCGAAGUUUAUUUGGACAUCAAUUAGUAAGAUCUUGUUUGAAGUUGUUUUCUGAAAUGAACUGCCAAAUGGUAGUUUUUUGGGGGCAUUUGAUGGCUCUUUUUUUUUCCUCAUUUUCAACAUGUGCCUGCUUGGAACAUGAAGGAUUAGGCUGCAGAGUUGUUAUAUAUUUUGAGAUGCUCUGGUCAUUGCACAAUUUGUUCACACUGGAAAUUAGAAUGAGAAAUUUGUUGAUGCUGUUUUGAGAGAUCUGCAUUCUAUGCACAAUAACAUGAUUAAUGAAAAUGCAUUGUAGGACUGGAAAGAUCUGUGGCAGCCUGAGCUCGCAGGAAGAAUUUCAAUGGUUAAUUCUCCCCGAGAGGUUAUUGGUUCAGUUUUGAAGUAUAGGGGAACAUCAUACAAUUCAAACUAUAUUGAUUCGCAAGUUGCUGGUGGGAAGAUUGCUGUUCAGCAGAAUCUGGCAUUACUGGCAAACCAGGUACUCUUACAGAAAUCAUAUCUGGUCAUUGCAUGUUAUUGCCUGACAACUGAUUUUGUUUGUAAAAGUCUGCUUCUUCAUACAUAUGAAUGCAUAUGUUAGUGUUUUCUUCUCCUUUUCAUACAUAUAAAUGCAUAUGUUAGUGUUGUCUUUUCCUUUUCACACAUAUUAAUACAUAUGUUGGUGUUCUCUCCUGAGAUGGAUGCAAUAAAGGCUUUUGCUCCUAAAUUUAGCUGAAGAAAUGGCAAGGGAUGUGAGAUUCUGUCUCAUUAAAUUAACAAAAACCCAAAACAAUGAAAAUCCAUAAUAAUGUGGUGUGGGUAAAUUGGCUCCAUUUGGUUCGUUUCCUUAAUGUGAAUGCGCGAGCAAUAGAGACUAACAAAAUGAAGUGACAACAAGAAGUCAGUGUCCUUUGAUGGAUGCAUUUUUAGGCAGAAAUAUGUUUGUAAUUGACCAAAUUUGUCUGGCAUGCCAAUUUCAAAAAAAUUAAAUUAUGUGGUUAUUAGCUGUAAUGAAGGGGGAUAGUAGGUGCAAUCAGGUGUAUCCAGGAAAGUUCAACAAAGUUUUGGUAUGGCGUAGUGAAAUUGGUUUGUGCAACUCAGGAGUCUUUCAGGUGAACGAUGAUAGGUUUUGAUUUAUGAAUAUUAUAAAUCUACUGUGCAUAGUAUUCUAGUAGAAUCAUCUAUAAGUUCUAGUUAUUGUAUACUUUGCCUGGUUUGAGUUAAGGGCACAUGUAAUAUGAAAGAUAGUUGUCGCAUCUUUUAGGUUACCUAACAUUUGAUCAAUCCUAUUAUGGGGGCUUCAAGAUGUCUAACAAUAUGUAGAAUGCCCAUGCUCCUCCCCAUUGUUUAUCUUCUACAAUAAUUUGUUUUAGAUGCUAAUAUCUUUGUCGAUACCGGUAACAAUAUUACAAUAUCUGCGUUUAUUGGGUUUUACAUAGGUUCGACUGUUUGACAGUACACACUAUCUGAAGGCAUUUGCAAUUGGAGAUGUAUGGGUUGCUGUUGGGUGGAUUAGUGAUGUUCUUCCUGCUGUCAAACAUAUGUCUAAUGUUGCUGUUGUUGUUCCCAAGUCUGGUGCUAGCUUAUGGGCUGAUCUUUGGGUAUACCCAUGCCUGCCAUUCUACUUCAAUAUUCACAUUGUUAUCUCCUUCAUAUUAGUGAUCAGUAAACACGAUAAUGUGACUAAUAAGUUCGUAUUCUCUUUAUAGGCAAUCCCUGCUGCCUCAAGACUUGAAACAAAACAAAUUGGAGGGCGAGUCAGAGGUGCAUUUCCAUUAAUCCAUCAAUGGAUAGAAUUCUGCUUGCAAACAGCGAGAGCAUUGCCUUUCAAGCAAGAGGUUAUCCCGAGCGCAUCUCCCUCUGCCCUUGAGAGUACUCUGGUUAAGUUGCCUGAAGAACUUUUCAAGGGUAAACCAAGUCUGGAUACUAACUUAAUUGCUGGAGUACCCCCGACUGAAAUUCUGGCCAGAUGUGAGUUUUUGGAGCCUUUAUUUGAAGCUACAUUGUCGGAUUAUGAGUGGCUGGUUACUAAUCUGCAAAAAUCCACUCCUGUACUGAUCAACAAGAUGCAACAUUACAUGUCAUCAUUGAUCUUUAGCUAAAGGUACAUUGAAAAGUUAAUGGCACUGCAUACCAGUCAUUAUAAUUGGGUCAGGGCAAUUAGGUCAGAGCAUAACUUCAUUAGGAAAAGAUGCUUCAGCUACGUUAAAUAUUACAGGAUGUACUGAGAUGGCUGAAGCUGUUGAGGUUUUACGAGAAUCGAAAGAUAGUGUUUGUUUGAACAAAGUUGUUGCCAAUCUUGCAGAGUUCGAGAAGAAAGAUCACGAAGUGAAUGCCACCGAUUUCUUCAUCAUUGUAGCCUCCAUAGUUGAAGUUUCCUCAUUUGAAGCUGUUUAUGCAUACGAUUUUCCCCUGCUCAAGUACAGGAAAUUGAAGAAUUAACCAGAUGUGAUAUGCUGAAAGAGGGAAGUUUUCUUCCUUGAAUGUGGUCUUUGUGAUUUGUCUUGAAGGAAUAGGGUGAUCACUGGCAAGAACCCUAUCAAGGUAGAUUUUAUGAUGUUAACAUAUCAUUAAGCAUUUUGUUACAUCAGCAAUGAUGCUUUCAUAGCAGCAUGAAAGUGUUUAAAUUUAACUGAAUGAUCUUGAUUGAUCAAUUAUGAGUUUUAAUCGAGUAAAAACUAAAUACAAUAAUCGUUAACAAAUAUUGAAAUUGGGUAAAUAUGAUCUUGAUAUUGAAGAAUUUGAAAUCACAACCCACACAGGAAAUCACCCUUCGCGUGGGGAUGGAGAUGUUUACUGCAGCGAUAUUGAAUAUGUCCACCGCUCUUUGGGUUAUGGUGCGACUUGCCCUGAAACAAUGGAAAAGAAUAAUUAAUAAUUUAACGCCAAGACAUAAAAUUAAAACGUGUGGACUCCGGUAGCUGCCCUACAAGUCUACAACUCUACAAACAUUAACUCUACAAACAUUAAAACGUGUGGACUCCGGUAGCUGCCCUACAAGUCUACAACUCUACAAGAAUAAUUUCUAGCCCUGUUGACUCCACUAACUAAAGAAAUUUCAAAACGUACAUAGAAUUCCACAACAAGCAAAACGUAUGGAAUUUAAUUUUUUGCCGUGUGGAACAAAAUACAAUUUAACAAAAAAGGAUAAGAAAAAUGGUAAGAUUUCUAAAAUGAGUGGAAGGUGAUUCAUAUUUUACUGAAAUGACUUGUCCUGAACAUUAAGACGAUUGAUUUUUUUUUUUUUUUAAUAACAUCAACUUCCAUAUCUUUCUAACCCCUAGAAUAUGCUCACGUUCAAGUCUAUCUUGGUAAUUUGAAAAAGAAAAUCAAAUCAAAUCAACACCAAAACAAUGAAAAGUAAAACUUUUGAAUUUCAACUUUAAACUUUUGUUAACCCCUAGAAUAUUCAGCGUUUUCAAAUUCUUCCGAUUGCAUAUCUUCUUCCUCCAUCAAUGCAAUAUUUGAACGAUUAUGAAAGAGUUUAAGAACAUAAAAAAUCUCCAAGGUUUAUACGGUAUAACAAAUUUAAAUUCUCAAUUACAAUAGAUAAUAAUUAAACUAAUAAUUUUUUAUGUACUUAUUUUAGUAAUUUCACCUAAGAAUAAUAUUGUAAUUAGAAAAAAAAAUCUAAUAAGUAGGGUGGUCUUAUACAAAAUCAACUGUACUGUGAUGAGUUUCCUUUUGUUAAUAAUUUUAGUCUAAUUUCAAUUGUACUGUGAUCGCUUCUCAAGGUAAGUGAAAGUUACAGAUGUGGCAAAAUAAAUAAUUAAGUUAACAAAAUGCUAACUAAUUUUCCUCAAUACCUAGGGUUGUACAAUUUCACCAACCUGGAAGAAUUGACAUUAAUGGACUGGUCUCCUCCCCAUAUAAUUAUAAUCCUUCUAGAAAGCUAUUUUUUAUUAAAUAUUUGCUUUUAAGUUAAUUUCAAUUAAAAAAUGUUUUAAGUUAUAUAUACUCUAAUGAGAUUCUGAAUUCCUUUAUUCCAAUAAUAAUGAAAACGUAUUAAAUUAGAAAUGAAAAAAUUGGUGUUGAUGAUUCAACCUAUUUGGAUAGAUUACGUGAAUAAAAUUAAAAUUUUGAUUUAAUUUUUGUUUAUUGUUAAUUCUCAGGCUAUCUUAAUUUCAAGAAUUUAGAAUGUUAAUUUGGUCAUGGAUUUCAACCCGUGAGUGUCAUAUUCUAGACUUAAUGGUACCAUUCUUUGAUUGAGGGCAAUGACUCUCACUCCUCUUGUAAAAAAAUAUUUUCAACUAUUUUGAUGACUUAAAAAUUGAUAGAUUUAUUGUUGUCAUGACCAAAUUAUUCAUUUUAAUGAAAUAUAAUUAAUGCAUCAAAGUUACCAGGUUUAUGUUCUAUCUUAAUGCGCUUUUUUUUUUUUCAGUUAUAGCUUCUGCUUACGUCUGUUUCAUUUUUUUUAAUAAAAAAACAAGGGAAGGUUUUUCCGAGUCAUCCAUUAUUUGAUUUCCGUCAAUCAAGAAAACGACCAAAUUAAUUUCUCUCCAAAAUUUCCAAAAGCUAGAAAAUUUUGUUAUUUGAAAAUAACAUGAUUAAUUAUAGAGUGGAUCAAACCGCGUUAUUGUCUUUCAUAAAAUUGAUGUCUUUUUAAGAGUCAAUACUUUUUAUUUACGCAAACCAGUCGACAUCAAUUUAAACUUCCAUAUUUUUAUUAUUAUUAUGUUAUUUAUUUUAAUCGCCGAUUAUUUGAUUAGCCACUAUAUAUAUCAAGAAAGCGACAAAAUUUAUUUCUCAUGACUUCCAAAAACUAGAAAAACAACAUCAUUUAUUAUUUUUUUGCAACCCUAAUUGACAUCAACUUUAACUUUAUUAUGUUAUUAUUUCAAUCCCCAUUAUGACCUUUCUAAUCCUCCAUUAUGCAUCUUUUAUAGUGCAAAUUUAAUUGCACAUCUAAAUAAAUUGAUUAUUGUUACUCCACCACCAAUAUUUCAAAUAGUCACUAGACCAUUUCUGCCUUUAAUUUUCCCUUAACUAUUGACUGUUUUUAGCAUCUUAAAAUAUACAUUUAUUCCUUGAUUAUGUGAUAAAAUUAUGAAAAUAUCCAUUUUAGCUUAAAUUAAUUGGAAUAACCAUAAGCGUAACAUAAAUUAAUAGAACAAAAUUAUCAAGUGUAUGUUCUAUCUUACUUUUUGAAGAAUUUAACAUAUAUAAUGCUAUACUAUUAAUAAAUUUUUCAUUUACUAUAUAUGUUCACAUAUUUUAUAUAUUUAUUAAUUGUUAUAUAGUCACAGGAUGAAUGAUUUUUCAGGUCUACAUGAGUUGGUGCACAUGCAAGACUCAAUUUUGACAACAAUGAUCUAAGGGGUAAUUUACCUUGGUGUUUGACAAACAUAACCUCUCUUCAUGAUUUACUUCCAAUCUACUUACUGUAAAUAUCUCCUCAUCUCCUCUCAUUUAUAUGAUAAGUGAUAACCCUUGAAGAUCUCACAUUUUCAAACGAUCAUAUUAGGGUUUUUAUUAUUAGCAUCAUUGUGUCAACAAAAUAUAUGUUGCAGUAAGAUUUUUUCAGACCAAUUCCCUUCUUCAAAUAAUAAUGGAAAAGUAUUAAUUUAAAAAUAAAAUGAAUAUGCAUUGAUUAUAUCCUGAUUUCCAUCGAUUAUAGCGAGAGUUUCUCCGAAUCAACUCCCUUAUUCAAAUAAUACAGAAAAAAUAGUAAUUUAAUAGUAAAAUUAGCAAGUGUUGAUUAUAUAUCCUAAGUUUCAUCGAUUAUGUGAUCAAAGUGGCAUUGUUGAUUUAUUUCUUGUUCAAUGUUAAUUUUUAGGUUAUCUAAAUUUCAAGGAUUUAAAAUCUUUGUUCAUGGAUUACACGCUUAUUAAUUUUUCUGCCAUUGACUGUCAUAUUCUAGACUUAAUGGUACCUUCCUUGAUCAAGGAUAAUUACUCUAUGUUCUCCUCUUAUAAAUUCCUCUUCCAUUAACAUCACUAGGAGUAUGUUGAUCUCUCAGACGUUAACUUUAGUGGAGAGUUUCCAAAUUGAUUGUUACAAAACAACACAAAAACUAGACACACUUGAUCUGUCUAAUAAUUCUCUUUCGAUAAAAUUAAUUAAUUUUAGGGGAAUAUUCGACCAACCUCUAUAAUUUCAUAUUGAUCAUUAAUUAAUUAGACGAAAAAAGUACUUGUGCUUUUGUGGCGACAAUUGAACUAGAGAAGUGAAGCUGUAAAGAUUUGGCAGUAGUAAAUUGUUAGAAAGACAUAAAGACAAUUUCCCAUUUUAUAAUUUUUUCAAAAAACUUUUUUACAACACAUGCACCUGGCCAAAAAUUUUAUUUUGCUAACUAACAAUAAUUGAGUAGCUGACCGUAUUGACUCCGCCUACUUGCUAAAGUAAAAAAAUAGAAAUAGAAUUUCCACAAAAUGUCAAACAUGUAAAAUCUAAUAUUUGCAUGUGGAACAAAAUACAAAUGAAAAAAAAAAUAGAAAAAAGGCCUAAGACUUUUAAAAUGUGUGGAAAUCUUUCGGCCCUUUUAUAAUGGUGUGUUUUUCAAAGGAACAACUAAUAAUAAUGACACUUCUACGGUUUGUUUUGAUAAUUACACAUAUACUCUUUAAUUUGAUAAAUGGUUACACAAAUUUUGUUUACAAAAAUAUAUUAUUCAUGUUCUGUAUAUUUUUUAACAUCAUAUUUUUAUUUAUUAUAAUUGUUUAAAGUUAAUUGUUAGGUUGAUAUAUAAUAAAAACGUAUAAUCGUUCUCUUACUAAACACACAUACUCGUAGUUUCUAUCCAUUUGUCAUCUCAAUCUCUCUCAUUUAUCCUUUCUUGAUAGCUCAAAACGCGUCACUGUGGAAAAUAAUAGCAAAACGACAAUAUGGAAAGAAUGGGAAGAAAAUUAAUGCAUGAAAGAGUUGCAGAAGACAACCAAAUAAGUCAACUAUACGCUAGUUGGGUGUAUAAAUUGUUAGAUGUGUUAUAAACAAAUAGCAUAGAGCCUUGGUUGGUUACAGAGAUAGAAAAACUGUGUGUGUUUUUUAGAACUUAAAGAUACAGUUAGAAUGGGUGGUUCAAAAUCAAAAAUGGUGAUAAUGUUUGUUCUGUUAUUAAUAAUAUUAGAAGGUGGGUGGAGUGAAGGAUGUUUGGAUCAUGAGAGAUUUGCUCUUUUGCGACUCAAACAUUUCUUCGAUGAUACUGGUAGUUAUUUUUACUACUGGGCAGAUGGUGAGGGAGCUACUGAUUGUUGUCAGUGGGAAAGGGUUGAGUGCAGCAACACCACAGGCCAAGUGAUAGUGCUAGACCUUUUUGAAACGUAUUUGGGAGAGUACAGCUGGUAUCUGAAUGCUUCUUUGUUUACUCCCUUUCAACAACUUGAGUCACUUGAUUUAUAUGGCAACAAAAUAGUCGGUUUUGUUGAGAAUGAAGGUACUUCGUCUAAUUCAAUUAAUUUACAUUUCGCUCUCCUAAUUUAAGUCGAAUAUCAAGACUGAGCAGCUAUAUGCAUAUUCAUUCAAUUGACAAUUUUUACAUAUUUUUUAAAAUGUUUAAUUUUGAAAUUACACCAAACAUCAUAUGUGGUUUUGAUUUUACUUGCAGGUCUAGAAAGAUUGAACAACUUGAAGAGGCUUGAUUUAAGUUAUAACUUGUUCAACAAUAGCAUCUUAUCAUCUGUGGCUCAUCUUUCUUCACUAACAUCAUUAGAUUUAUCUGGAAAUAGAUUGGAAGGAAGUAUUAAUGUUAAAGGUACGUAAUUAAAACGUCAUCGCUUCUCUCAACUCUUUCAUUAACAUGCUAAAAUAAGAUUCAAGGCUUUGAAUUCAUUUUUUUUUAUGAGUAAAUAUUAGAAAAAUAGUUUUAAGCAAUUCAUAAAUACAAUUUUCAAUGUUUCUCAUAAUUUCAUCUUGUACUUUCGUAUGUCUUGACUUUAAGAUUAAAAAAAAAAAUUACUCUAACUGUGAAGCAAAUACCCCAUGACUAAUUUAUCAUUUCGUCCAGUUAAAAAUGAUAAAAUUUAUCAUUUGUUUAUAUUGAUUAAUUAACUCUAUUUUAAGUCUUAAGUCUUGGCGUCUUGGCAUAUUUGCAGAAUUUGAUUCCUUGAGCAACUUAGAGGAGUUGGACAUGAGCGACAAUGAAAUAGACAAUUUAGAGGUUCCUCAAGGUAAACAAUUAAAAUAUUAUUCAAUUACAUUAAUUUAAUUCGUUUGAUUAGGGAAGACCCAAAAGGUACAAAAUAUAAUAAUAAUAAUAAAGAAACAGAGAAUCUAUAUUAUUUCAAAAAAUAAAACGUAAUACUAUUAUUUCAAAAAUAGAUUGUAAUAAAGAUUUGAUUCCGGUUCUUUAAUCUUUACAGCAAUUGAAAAACGAUGUUGCUCUUUUCCUGAAGCAUAAAAUAUGAAAUGACUCCCAAUACAAUUAAUCAUUUAUUUCGUUUACUCUAAAAUUAGACAAUGAAUCUUUAUUUUCUUCAGUCUUAUCCUAAUUAUUAUUAAUAACAGGUUACAAAGGUUUGAGGAAGUUGAAUUAUCUUGAUCUAUCGAAUGUUGGAGUUAGAGAUGGAAGCAAGUUGUUACAGUCAAUGGGAUCAUUCCCAUCCCUCAACACUCUUUACCUGAAGGAUAAUAAUUUUACCGAUAUAGCGACAACUACUACUCAAGGUAAGUAAAAGAUACAGAUGUGGCCAAAUUUACAAAUAAAUUGUUAAUUAAUUAAUUUUUCCGUAUUAUUAAUAAAGCUAAAUUCGUCGCUCCUUCCUUCUAAUUCUAAACAGAGUUGGCAAUUUCACCAACUUGGAGUAUUUGACAUUGGACUUGUCCUCGCUCCAUUUAAGCCUUCUACAAUUACUUGAAGAAUGAAUUUAUUUAUUAUUAUUAUUGUUGUUGUUGUUGUUGUUGAAGUGAGGUGGGCAAGCGUUCACUCAAUUAAUAUGUGAGGAAUUAAUAAUUACAAUCCAAGGUAGAAUUGUGGAAAAUUAAAGCAAAAUGAGAAAUAUGGAAAGAAAGGAAGAAAGUUAAGGGCAUGAAAGACUAGGAGAAGACUAAAGACCACCAAAUAAGUCAACUGAAAACUAGCUGGGGCCUGGGUGUACAAAUUGUUAGAUGUGUUUGUUAUAAAUAACAUAGAGCCAUCUUGUUGGUUGCAGAGGCAGAGAGACACAGAGUGUGCAUUUUGUUAAUUAAAAAUAUAUAUAAAAUGGGUGGUUCAAAAUCCAAAAUGGUGAUAAUGUUAGUUUUGUUAGUAUUAAUAAUAUUAGAAGGGAGGUGGCGUGAGGGAUGUUUGGUGCAUGAGAGAUUUGGUCUUUCGAGACUUAAAACAUUUCUUCAAUUCUCCUUAUAAUUUUUGUCACGACUGACCGUUGUCAAUGGGAUGGGGCUGGGUGCAGGGUUGAUUUACGUUAGAACAAUAUAGCCGGUAGUGUUGAGAAUGAAGGUGUUUCAUUUAAUUUAAUUAAUUUACUUUCUCCCUCCUAAUUUAAGUGGAAUAUCAAGACUGAACAAUUAUAUGCAUCUUCGUUCAGUUGACAAUUUUGACAUUUUUUUUAAGUGAUUAAUUUUGAAAUUACACCAAACAUUAUUUGUGAUCUCUGUUUUGACUUUACUUGCAGCGCUAGAGACGUUAUCAAGAUUGAGCAACUUGACGAUACUUGAUUUAAGUUAUAACUUGUUCAAUAAUAGCAUCUUGUCAUUUGUUGCCCGUCUUUCAUCAUUAACAUCAUUAGAUUUAUCUUACAAUGGAUUGGAAGGAAGUAUUAAUGUUAAAGGUACGUAAUUAAAACGUCAUCGCUUCUCCCAACUCUUCCAUUAACAUGCUAAAAUAAGAUUCAAGGCUUUGAAUUCAAUUUUUUUUUAUGAGUAAUAUUAGAAAAAUAGUUUUAAGCAAUUCAUAAAUACAAUUUUCAAUGUUUCUCAUAAUUUCAUCUUGUACUUUUGUAUGUCUUGACUUUAAGAUUAAAAAAAAAUUACUCUAACUGUGAAGCAAAUACCCCAUGACUAAUUUACAAUUUUGUCCAGUUAAAAUGAUAAAAUUUAGGGAAAUUAUCAUUUGUAUACCCUUAGUUUACUCUAUUAUCAAAAAUACUACAACACUUUGAGGGUGUAUCAAUCGUCCACCCUAAGUUGACAAAAUGUAUUAGCCAACCACCAAACCGUUAGUUGCCGUUUAAAUAUGAUAACAUCAUAAGGGUAAUCUGGUCUUUUCAUAUGAUACAAGUGAUAAUUUAAGGGUAUACAAGUGAUAAAAAGAGAGUUUAAGGGGAUACAAGUGAUAAUUUUCAAGGGUAAAAUCGUCAAUUUACUGUAAUUCCGUUAACUUUCAAACGGCAAUUAACAGUUUGGUGGUCGGUUGAUACAUUUCAUCAACUUAGGGUGGACGAUUGAUACACCCUUAAAGUGUUGUAGUAUUUUUGAUAAUAAAGCAAAUAUAGGGUAUACGAAUGAUAAUUUCCCUAAAAUUUAUCAUUUGUUUAUAUUGAUUUAUUAACUCUAUUUUAAGUCUUAAGUCUUAAGUCUUGGCAUGUUUGCAGAAUUUGAUUCCUUGAGCAACUUAGAGGAGUUGGACAUGAGCGGCAAUGAAAUAGACAAUUUCAAGGUUCCUCAAGGUACACAAUUAAAAUAUUAUUUAAUUACAUUAAUUUAAUUCGUUUGAUUAGGGAAGACCCAAAAUGUACAAAAACAUAAUUAAAAAAAAUAAAGAAACAGAGAAUUCAUAUUAUUUCAAAAAACAAAAGGUAAUACUAUUAUUUCAAAAAAGAAUGUAAUAAAGAUUUGAUUCCGGUUCUUUAAUCUUUAUAGCAAUUGAAAAACAAUGUUGCUCUUUUCCUAAAGCAUAAAAUAUGAAAUGAGUCAUAAUUGAAUUAGUCAUUUAUUUUGUUUAGAUCUAAAUUUAGACAAUAAAUUUUGAUUUUUUUUUCAAUUCUAUCCUUAUUAUUAUUGUUAAACAGGUUACAGAGGUUUGAGGAAGUUGAAAAGCCUCUAUCUAUCGAAUGUUGGAGUUAGAGAUGGAAGCAAGUUGUUACAGUCUAUGGGAUCAUUCCCAUCCCUCAACACUCUUUACCUGAAGGAUAAUAAUUUACCGAUAUAGCGACAACUACUACUCAAGGUAAGUAAAAGGUACAGAUGUGGCCAAAUUUAUAAAUAAACUGUUAAUUAAUUAAUUUUCUGUAUUAUUAAUAAAGCUAAAUUUUUGCUCAUUCCCUCUAAUUCUAAACAGAGUUGCACAAUUUCACCAACUUGGAAUAUUUGACAUUGCACGGUUCCUCUCUCCAUAUAAGCCUUCUGCAAAGCAUUGCAUCAAUAUUCCCUUCGUUAAAAAAUCUGUCGAUAUCUUUGUGAAGUCAAUGGUGUCGUACAUGGUCAAGGUAAAAGAAAAGUGUUGGUUGUGCACUCACUGAGUGUUGUCCUACGUAUUCAAUAUUUUUAUUUAUUUAUUUUAUUGUUUAAUGUUUCUGCUAGGUUUUCCUCAUUUCAAGAGUUUGGAACAUUUGGGCAUGAUGUCCACGCGCAUUGCACUCAACACCAACUUUCUUCAAGUCAUCAGAAUCGAUGCCUUCUCUUAAGUACUUAUCACUGUCAUAUUCUACUCUUGCACUAACAGCAGCAGGAUUCUUGAUCGAGGUUAAUCAGAUGCUCCCACCCUCCAUUCUUAAUCUAUAAUAUUAAUUUUCAGUUAAAUAUUUAAUUACACAAACCAAUCACUUAUUAUAAAAGAACAAUACGCAUUCAUUAAUUUUUAUAUUAUAUUAAUUGAUGAAUUUAAUAAAUUCCAGGCCUCUGUUCGCCGGUGCAUCUGCAAGAGUUAUACAUUGGUUCUAACGAUUUAAGAGGUAGCUUGCCUUGGUGCAUGACAAAUUUGACAUCCCUCCGAAUAUUAGAUGUUUCUUCCAAUCAACUUACUGGAAGCAUCUCCUCGUCUCCCCUCAUUCAUUUGACAUCCAUUGAAAAGCUGUAUCUUUCAAACAAUCACUUCCAGAUCCCAAUUUCACUUGAACCACUUUUCAAUCAUUCAAGACUCAAGACUUUUUAUGCUGACAACAACGAACUAAAUGCAGAAAUAACUCAGUCACAUUCUUUGACCGCCCCAAACUUCCAAUUAUCACGUCUCUCAUUGUGCAUCCAACGAAAGACAAACCACGUGUAGUCUUUUAAUUAAGCCAAAGUAGCAGCUCAAACAAAUGACACUUGGACCAACAUGCAAUCAUGAAGUGGCCGGAAAAAGGACAAAUGCAACUUUGGCUUAAAUAAAAAAUAACAUGUGACUCGACUUUUGCUGGACAUGCAUCAUGUUAUUACAGACAACAAAAAUCAGUAUGAUAGUACUAAAAGUUGACAAUAACAUGAAGAUAAGAGGCAGAAUGUCAACACAUGCAUAGGCACACAAAGAAAGUAUUAACGUAUAUACCAUAGCAAAAAAGUAUUUGAUAUGUCAUCUGUUGCUGCUGUGAUUCAACUGACAGCAUGGCAGCUGUUGCUUCUCUACCAAGAGCCAUUAUUGUAGAUUAAGCUCGGUCAAUCUUGCUUCUGCAUUUCGAAGCUUCACAGCACUCUCUGCUGAUAUAUCAGAUUCCCUAAUCUUUGAUCGGUGCCUAAAUACUUCAGCUGCCUGGUGAAAAUAUUCAAUAUAAAUCUAAUAUAAAUUCUCAUCUUGCCUUAUGCAUGCAUAUGUUACCUCAAAGCUUACCUGGGCUUCAACUUCAUGUCGAAGUUUGUCAUAACGAUGAGUCAGGUGUCGAGCAUCUUCCAAAGGUGCUCCGUUGAUUAACGCCCGUAGUGGCUCAGAUACCUACAUGUCCAAAAACCUGUAACAUAGUUAGAAAAAUGAAAAGAAAGAGCGAAACCUCAAUUAAAAAGUCCUCCAACAUAAUCAUGGAAUUUGGCCUACUUCAAGGAUAUAUAUAUAGGAUAAUUUAUGCAAUUUUGGGUCUUAGGAUGAUUCAUAUUAGGUUAGUGUUCUUCUCUUCUGUAUUUAAGGUUAAAAUAGAAAUAAACCUAUGCAAAUAUAUAAAUUAGGGCUGUAAGAACACAUGCAACAUGGAUUUGAUUUUACUAUAGAUGCAAGUGUCUUUAUCGAAAAUGCUUGGAGUCAAUUGAGAGAACUCACGGCCAAUAACUUGUCACACGCUAGUCUUUGCUAGUGAUGUAAGAAGUCACAAGGUCUCUUCAGCAUUUGAACCAAUAAAAUUAUUAAGUCAUGGAUGUCACUAGCAAUGAUUUUAAUAUAAAAUAUUAAAUAUUUCAAGUUGUAACUUUAAAAUGGAUUCUUUUAUUCAAUAUCUUAGAACUAAGUUUCCUUAUGAGAAGAUAAUAGUUUCAGUAGUAAUGUACAUAUAAUUUUCUAUAUUGAAUUAUUUUCUAGUAGGGAUGAACUAACCUGAUCACGAAGAAUCCCAAGCAAAGUUUCCCUCUCAUUUUCCAUCAAAUCAUGUGAAGUGCCAAAUUGAAGAGCAGCUCUUGCAACGCAAGAAUUGUCACUUUGAUUCUCCACUCCAUACUUGCAACAAUCUUCGGCCAACUUUCUCGCUACAAUAUUUGAAUACAAAAAUAUUGUACACAAGAACUAGUCAAGAAAAUUAAAAAAAAAAUCAAAUAUUUAACGAGAGCAAGAGCAAACGAACAACCUAUUUCCAUUUGUUUCAAGCUUACUGCAACAAACACUUCAACGCCACGGACAACAUUCCUCUGACAAUAUUCCAAAUUAUUGUUCAGAUAAAACCAUAGAAACCAUCAUAAUUGUUCAACAUACAUUAAGCUAAAGGAGGAUGGUGCCUUAGCUGCCCUGGUGGAAUUGUAUAGAUUUUGAAGUUGUUGGUGACACUCAAUUUCAGAUUCAUCAACCGCAACAUUUUCAAUACCAAGAUGGAGCAGAUGCUUCAAUACUGCCUGUACAAAUCAUAAAAAAAUGAAAAAUAAAAUAAAAUCGAGAAAUUUCACUAACUAAAAGUCUAAAUUAAUUUUUUAAAAAGAAAAGAAACGGACUUGCUGCUGCUUGGCGACUUGUUCUCGGGCUUGAUUGCUGUUCUUGAUAGCUUCCAUACUGUUUCUUUCAAAAGCGACGACGGCUCGCUCAUGGGAGUGGAAAAAAAAGUGUGAUCGGGAAAAUAAAAAGGCAUGAAUAAUUUUUGAAAAAAAGCGAAAAUCAAGGAAGCCAGCUCUUUCCAGAAAUAAAAAAGAAAAAAAAAAGAAAUUAUAGUUUGAAGGAGAAGAUGAUGUGGAAGUGCGGUGUGGCUGACAGCUACUUGGAUUGUAUUGUCGGGUAGGUAAUAGUAGAGAAUUUUUUUUUAAGAAAAUAGUAGAGAAUUUUUUAGAAGCUAGAACAGAGCAUGACAUUAGACUUUUGUUGACCAAGGAUGUUGUUUUAUUCUUCUAUACUUUACGUUUGGUUUGGUUUUUCAAACUAAAUAAUCAGUAGCAAAAUACAAUUUAGAGAUUAGGGGGUGAACUAGCUAGGUGGUUUACAAAUAUUCUAUUUGUAAGGUGAAUUAAUUGAAUCAUGAGAAAACAAUGUGACCAUAGCUCAAUAUGAGAUGAUUUCGGAGAGGCAUAUUGUUUUCAAGUGAAUUUGAUCCAUUAAGAGAUGAAGUGGAUUGAAGUGGAAAGUUUAAAUAACAAAUCCUUGUUCUUGAGUUUUACGACGUUGUUACUCCUUCAGGUGGCAGAUUAUGCAAGUGAAUUCAAAAACACAAUGCAUCAAUCACGGGGAUGCUACAUCAAAGACGGGAUCAUAGUCUAUGCAUUGAACAGUUACAGUUGCUGCUACCAAUUGCCUCGGCAAAGAUCAAGAAGACUGAACGGGAAGUUAAUGCCAUCAAGGAGUUGUCUAGUGUUCUUUUCCUUAUGCUAUGAUCGGUGCUCUUGAGGCUGCCCUGAAACACAGGAAAAUACUUCGAUAUCCUCCAUUCGAUGAUGCAAAGAACGGUUAAUGUAUGAUUACCUAAUUGACUCAGGAUCAGGUAACAACAACAACAAUUUUUAAUAGUAAUAUCACAAACGAAGAAGAUUUCGGAGAGGAGAUGUAAGCGUAUACUGUUUACAGGUUUGAUCCACUGGGGAUGAAGUGGUCUCAAGUGGAAAGUGAUUUAUUAAACAACAAAUCAUUGUUCUUGGUUAUACCUCAUGAUGUCAUCAAGUGGAAGAUGAAGAUCGUUUGAUAUUGAAGAAUUUGAACAGAAAGCCCAUAGAAAGUACUUAAAUAAGCAUAUUUUGUUGGGGUAGAAUAUUAAGAAAGGAGUUGUCUACUGUGUGUUGCGUAAUUAUGCUAUGAUCGGUGCUUUCAACAUUGCCCUGAAAACAGUGGGAAAUACUUCAUACCCUCGACAUGAUGAUGAAAAAUUGGUUACCGAUUACCUAAUUGACUCAGGUGACAACAAUCCAUUAAUAGCACAAUUUGACGUGAUGCCGUUUAGGUAUAUGGUUUUCAAGUUUGAUUCAUCAGUGAUGAAGCGGACUAAAAUUAAAAGUUUAAAUGAUAAGUCAUUGUUCUUGGGCAUAUCGUCAUUACUACUUCCAGUGAUCAACGAUGAAGAUGAAGAUGAAAAUUGUGCGAGUUCAAGAUUACCAUUUAUCAUUACUUGGGAUAUUACUUCAACAUAGAUGGGGUUAUAAUUUACUCCCACGAACAUCAACUCAACUUUAUGAUUGGAGUGUCUCACCGUGACUCAGACAAAUUCUGAUUCAACCUCCUUCACCAAUGGAUUUUGAUUAGUUAUUUUGUGAUCAAGCAACUUAAUUAAACUCACAGUUUGUUAGUCUAAUUUUAGUUUUACUGUGACCACUAUUCAAGGUAAGCGAAAGUUACAGAUGUGGCAAAAUCAAUAAUUAAAUUCAUAAAAUGUUAAAAAUAAAACUUAUAAAUGUUGCAUGACUACUUACUAAUAAAUAAAUAAGUUAGAAUGUAGUUAGUUAAUUUUACACCAUAUUAUAUAUUAUUCGAUAAUAAUAUAAAAUAAAAAUAAUUAAAAAAUAAAUAAUUGAAUAAAUAAAUAUGGCUUUCUAAACAGUAAAAAUUCUAGAGUUAAAAUUUAUAUUAUUAUUUUAUUUUUUAAAAUUGACAUUUUUCUAUUGUCUUACAUGUACAAAGAUUUUGAGAGUUGAGAAGAAUAUAUUUAAUGAAGCUUGAUAACAUUUGAUGGGAUAGCAAGUAAGGGUAAAUAAGAUAUUUUUAUUUGUUAUUUAUUUGAAUUAUAUCUAUUUGUUCAAGUUAAAAUACUAAAUAUAAAUUGGAGGUAGACAUUUUAACAGAUCAUCUAAGCUCUCAAAUCUGAAAUUUUGUGUAGAUUUAAAUUCAUAAUCCCCAAUUAUUUGAUCAGCAACUAUCAAGAACUAACCAAAUUUAUUUCUUCAUGACUUCCAAACACUAGAAAAUUUUGUUAUUUGAUAAUAAUAUCAUUAAUUAGAGUUUAUCAAACCGCAUUAUUUUCUUUCAUAAAAUUGAUGCCUAUUAGUGUCACACUUUAUUUGUAUUACCUAGCGGACAUCAACUUUUUUUUUAAUUUUUUAAAUUAAAAAGACCAUUUGAUUUUAACCCAUGUUCUUGGCCUUAGGGAAGCUGACUUCUUUUAUAGUCAGGCGAUGAGUUAAGAAGUGACAUAGCAUUCAGGCGAUGAGUUUAUUUUUGUUAUCUUGCUAACAGUUUUAGUCUAAUUUUAGUUUUACUGUGACCACUAUUCAAGGUAAGCGAAAGUUACAGAUGUGGCAAAAUCAAUAAUUAAAUUCACAAAAUGUUAACUAAUUAAAUUCAUAGAGUUGCACAAUUUCAUCAACUUGGAAGAAUUGACUUUAAUGGACUGGCCUUCUCCCCUAUAAUUCUAAUGCUUCUAGGAAGCAAAUUUUUAUAAAUUAUUUAUUUUUGAGUUAAUUUCAAUUUCAAAAAACAAAUUUUUUAAGUUAUUGAUACUCUAAUGAGAGUAUCUUCAUAACAAUUCCCUUGCUCCAAUAAUAACAAAAAGGUGGUUACUUAGAAAUAAUUAAAAUAAAUAAGUGUUGAUUAUAUAUCCUAAUUUGCAUCGAUUUUUUUUUACCUUAAUUUCAGGAAUUUGGAAUAUAAGUUUGUGAAUGGAGGAUGAUCACGCGUGUGUUAAUUUUUCAGUCAUUGACUGUCGUAUUCUCGACUUAACGAUAGUGUUCUUGAUCAAGGGCAAUGACUCCCACCCCUCUUUUAAAAAUAUUGUCAAGUAUAUUGAUGACAAAAUCUCUUAUAGUUAAUAGUCUUUAAAAAUUUAUAGAUUUACUAUUGUCAUGACCAAAUUAUUCAUGUUUAAUGAAAUAUUAAUGCAUCAAAAUAGAUAUCUUCGGAAUCUAAUCCGAUCGGCUCAAUCCGUUUCAUUCGCAAAAGUGCAAUCCGCAAAAAUUUGAUCUGUGGAUUAGUGGAUUGGAUUGGAUUGAAAGUUUAAAAAUCCAUAGUCGAUAAAUUGGAUAUCGAUUUACUUCUCUAAAUAUGCAAAAAUUCAUGAAUUCGCAAAAAAAAAAUGUAUUUACUAAUAAAUAAAUAAGUUAAAAUGUAGUUAGUUAAUUUAACACCAUAUUAUAUCUUAUUCGAUAAUAAUAUAAAAUAAAAAUAAUUAAAAAAUGAAUAAUUGGAUAAAUAAAUAUGACUUUCUAAACAGUAAAACUUCUAGAGUUAAAAUUUAUAUUGUUAUUCUAUUUUUUUAAAUUGACAUUUUUCUAUUGUCUUACAUGUACAGAGAUUUUGAGAGUUGAAAAGAAUAUAUUUAAAUAAAAUAUUUUUAUUUGUUAUUUAUUUCAAUUAUAUCUAUUUUGUUCAAGUUAAAAUACUAAAUAUAAAUUGGAGGUAGGCAUUUUAACAGAUCAUCUAAGCUCUCAAAUCUGAAAUUUGUGUAGAUUUAAAUUCAUAAUUUUAGUUAAUUUUCAUAUAUUCAUAUAAACAAAUUUAUGAGAUUUUUUUCUUUUCAACAUGUUAUAUUUUUAAACUUUCAAUGUAUUAUUUUAGCUAUAUUUAAACAAUUAAUUUAUUUAAUUUUAAAUUUGAUCAGUAUAAAAUGUUUUUAUAUCAAAUUUUUUUAUUUAAAUAGUUCGUGGAUUGGACAAAAUUAAACAUUUUUAAUUCUUAAAUGAUGGAUUGGAUAUGAAUUGGAUCAAAUCCACAUUCGAUCCGCAGUUAUAUGGAUUGAAUUUGAAUUGAAUUUCAUCAAUCUAUGGAUUAUAUUGGAUUAAAAAUUUAUAAUCCACAAAAUCGUUGAUUAGAUAUGGAUUGAUGUCCAAUUCGCAAAAUCUAAUUGCCGAACACUCCACUAUCAAAAUUUUCAAAAUAUGUUUUAUCCUAUAAUUUUUUUUUAAAGUCAUAGUCUAAUGGCAGCUCAAUUUCUACUGCAUUCAUAUAAGCGGAGUUCAAAUCUCAUACCUCUUAUCUCCACACGAGAUUUAACCAGUUGAAAUAGCUAGCACCCACAAAUAUACUAGUACAGCAUCUCUUAACGUUUAACAUACGUAUAAUUAACGCCAUAGCUAUUGAUAAACACAUUGUUCAAUAUAUAUGAUCAAGAAUCUGAUCCUGCGAGCAACAGCAGUAAGAAGAACCAUUAUAAUGCCUAGCUCUUAUCCCGGUUAAUCCUCUGGCCCGAUGCUUCAUCAUAGUGAUUUAAAAAACAAACAACAGCUCUCUAAAAGAGAUGAAGAUAUCAUCUACGUAAAGAACAUGAAACGGAGAUUCACAACCCAUAAGAACUGAGAUAAAUUGGACCAGACCGGUAAUCUUGAGAUAAGUUAAACUGUGACCUAAGUUGAAAUCAGAGGACCAGAAUUUUAAAAUCUUUCGGCUAAGCCCCUGAGCAAUUUUCUAGAGUACGGCUUCUGCUUACCUCUGUUUAAUUUCUCUUUAUAUUUUUCUUUCAUUUCAUUAAUAAAGUCAAAUAAUAAAUCAAAGAACGAGGGAAGAUUUUUCCAAGUCAUGCAUUAUUUGAUUACCAUCAAUCAAGAAACCGACCAAAUUAAUUUCUCUCCGUGAUUUUUAAAAAUUAAAAAAAAAAUUAUUUGAACAUAACAUCAUUAAUUAUAGAGUGGAUCAAACUGCGUUAAUCAUGAAACUGAUACCUAUUAAGAGUCAAACUUUUUACUUAUGCAUACUAAAAGACAUCAAAUUGUUCCGAUCCCCAAUUAUUUGAUCAGCAACUAUCAAGAACUGACCAAAUUUAUUUCUUCAUGACUUCCAAACACUAGAAAAUUUUGUUAUUUGAUAAUAAUAUCAUUAAUUAGAGUUUAUCAAACCGCAUUAUUUUCUUUCAUAAAAUUGAUGCCUAUUAGUGUCACACUUUAUUUGUAUUACCUAGCGGACAUCAACUUUUUUUUUAAUUUUUUUAAAUUAAAAAGACCAUUUGAUUUUAACCCAUGUUCUUGGCCUUAGGGAAGCUGACUUCUUUUAUAGGUGAUAUCUGCUUGAACUUUGGUGUGUUAAUUAUUUCAAUCCCCAAUUAUGUAAUUUUUAAAUUAUAGCCUAACGGCGGUCUCAUCACCACGUGUGUGAUUUUCUUUUGCCAAUAGGAUCUGCAGAGAGCUUGAUCUCAUCCAAUAGCAAAAUAAACUUCCUAAUAAGUGAAGGUAUAGUAUAAAUAUUUCACCCCCAUAUUAUUUAUUAGCAGCUUGAUUAUUUUAUAUGCAUCUUUGAUUUUAAUUUUUUUUCCCAUAAUUGCUACUAUGUUCGAACUGGUCAUGAAUUAUCUAUAAGAUUUUUCAUGUUGCUUUUAGGUGCAUUGGAUUUUUUGAGUUUAGUGCAAGAGUAGAGGAAGGCAAAUUAAGAAAAAGGAUAAAGAUCUAUGAUUAGCUAUUUUGGGAUGUCUCAUAACAUAUUGAUGCUAACAUUAUACAUAUGUAUAUCUAAAUAAUGGGCUUGGAUCAAGAGCCCAUUAAUAAUCAUAGAUUAGCUUAUAUAGUUCAAAAAAUGUACCAUAAAGCAAUUUUACAAGCACUUGUUAGCCUAUGUUGAGCUUUAUUAUCAAUAGUUCAUAGUUCAUCAGUGCACUGCAAGUUUACUAUUUGAAGUAAAUGUUGUGGUGCGUGCAUUCUUCAUAAGGCCAACUAUUGAAUUUAGCAUUGAAACUUACAAAAUGUAAUAGAAAGAGGUAGAUAACAGCCAUAAAACACUAAGAUUGGAAAUCAGGGCAACUAAAUACUAUUACAAGCCCUUAGAAAAGACAGCGAUCAUCCUGAAAUAUAUAUACUGAAAGUAAGAAAUGUUAAUCGCAAAGUUAUGUGCCAACAGAACUAUUGACUACUUGUCUCUAGUAGAAAGUAAAUAUUUUUAACUUCAGCCCUCUACUUUGUUCUAAGAACAAGGCAAUAUAAGGAAACAUCGGUGUCUAAAAUUUGCCGCUUGGAAUAUUUCACUGUCUAAACAUUCACUCACCACUUAUUUCAUUAAUGAAUUUUGUCUAAUUAUAUGUUGAUAAAGAUAUUAGAGUAAUAUAAUACAUUUAAGGCUUAACUUAUAUUUUUUAUUAGUAGAGUGUAGAACUUUUAAGAAAUAAAUUAUUAAAUUACUAUAACUAACAUAUUAUUUUAAAGUUAUGUUAAGGAAAAGAAUGAAACAAAAAUAAAUAAAUAAAUAAGGGUAUUCUAAAACUUUGAUCUUUUUAAAAGUAGAUUUUGACAUAGAUAAAAUAAUUUUUAUAUUUUUUAAAUCACAUACUCUAGUUAAAAUCAAAUUUGUAUUUAUAAAGUUUGUAAAUUUUUUUUUUUUUUUAGCACUGAUAUUUGAACACUAUCAAGAUAAGAAAUAGGGCACUGGUCAUGCUACAACAUUAUUAUAGCACAUAAAAAGACAAUACCAUUUAUUUUAUUGUACUAUCAUUGUUGUUAUAAUAGUAUUUUGUUAGUGGUCAAAUAUUAUUUUUUUAAGUAAAAAAAGUGAACAAUGUAAAUUAACUUUUAAUCUCUCCUAAAAUUCUAAUUCCUAGUUACGAAACAAAAUUGUUUAAAACCAUAGGUGAUAGGUGAUAGAAGUUACUAACACAAGCAAAUUUGACGGUCCAUUUUAUAAAAUUUGUUAUUUACCAUUUUACCACCUAUAUAAGGAGUGCCGCAUCGACAUAUCAACUCAUUUGCAGAUUAUUUUAAUUUUGUAAAAUUCAUUUAACCUGCACUUGGUCGCCCCUAUUCUCUGAAUGGUUAUGGCGAUAUCAUCAUUAUCGUUACUUGUACCAACGCUAAACCCUUCUUAUUCCCUUUCUCGCCUGUCAUACCCUAACAUUAUAUCCCGUGUCCACACUAAAGACAAGUAGUCAAUUCAAGCCAUCAGAUUAUAGUGGACCCACAUCAAUCCAACUACUUACAAUGACCGACAGCCUCUCCAUCUCCAUUUCAGGUUUCCUCUUCAACUGGCUUCUGCUUCCGCUGUAUUUGCUCCAUUUCUUGGAUUCGGAGUCCGUAUUUGGUCGGUCGGUCCCGCACAGCUCCCUCUCACUCCAAUUGUCACCCAACAAGACCAAUUGCUUAAUCAAGGCACAGAACAAGAAGAGGAUGAGAAAUUGAAACAAGAAUUUGAGAAUUGGAAAUCGAAAACGUACGCAUUGACCGUGCCUUUGAGGGCAAUUACUUUUCUUGAGAAUUGAAGUUUGGUAAUGUAAUUUGUUCUCCAUCUGUGUUCCCUUUGUAGUCAUUUCAUUUAUUUGUUUGUUUGCUUUUAUUUGCACUUACGAAGUCUCAGGUAUACCUACGCAGGAAUGAUGCAGGAGAAAUUGAUCCUCGAGGUAACAUAUGGGCGGCGCCAUAUCGGUGGGGCACAGUGGUGAUAGCUUACAAGAAAAGUAAAUUUCGAAAGCAUAAUUUGGUUCCGAUUGAGGUAAUAAUUGUCUUUAAGCUCAUUUAGUUUUAUAUCAAACAAAAUCAAGACUGCCUUUCUCUUCAAUAGUUUUGAUGAUAAUAUCUUUAGAAGCAUCUCAUUGACAGGUAAUCGUGGUACCCCUUAAAGAGUCUAUAAACUCAAGGAUAUUAUCUUCUGCAAAUGGUUCAUUAAACUUCUUAGAUGUAGUUAAAUGUACACUGAGAACAACGAGAAGCUAUGCCACUGUAGCAUGUAGUGAUGGCACUUAAUGAGUGAGUUGCUAGGAUAUGAACUAGAAAAAUUAAAUAUUGUCUCCCUCUCCCUGGGUAUGCUAGCUCAUAAGUCAGGGUUAAUAUUAGAGCUUGAGAUACUAUAACCAUGAGAAGCUAUUGACCACCAGUUAAAAUAUCCAUUAAAAUGUCUAGGGAGUUAUGAAGGUGGAGGUAUCUCCCAAUUUCUAAGGCCAUAUAAUAGACAUCAUCCAGGAUCCUAUAGAGUGCAGUUAGCCUCCUGCUUGAUGCUAAUGUCAAACAAUUAAUAAAUUUGGUCAAUGUAACUGAAACUUGCUAAUUGACGUCAGAUUGCGACUUGAGCACCUUAAAAUGGGAUAGACGAUUAGUGGCACUGAAUUCUUCUUGCCUAAGAUUGAGCAAUUGUUUUAACUACUAUCUCCUAUUGUAGGUUGAUUAUUAUGUUUUAAUUAUGUCCAUUUUGACCCAAAAAAUUACACAAUCUUGAUCUGCAUUUUGUCACUGAGCAGUGUCAAUAUCGUCUAACAACUAACUUGAUUUUGAUAUGACAAACACACGGUGUGUCUCUCAUGUCUCACCCAUGUCUCACCAUGAUGGAGAAUUUUUCUAAUGCAUGAAGUAAGCUUUGAUAUGUGGGUUAGCUUGGAGAACAUAUCUCAAAAUGAAGAAGAUGGGGAGUUAAUGGGAAGAAACAGUCCAGUAGUUUAUAAUUCUGUCGACGAGCUGUAUCUCUAACAUGGUCAAAAUUUAUGUGAAUAAGGACAGGGAAUCGUCAUUCCUCUUUUCCUUUUUAUACCGGGAUAUCUCUCAACCUUUAUAUGUUGCCCGCUGGAGAUCUCCUUCUAAUAACUAAAAUAAAAAUUUCAUCCACUCAAAUAAAUGUUGACCAAGCUUUCACAAGAAAAAGUAACGUCUUUAGUGAAGUAAUUUACAGUUCCUUAUCAUCUUCGUGUGAGUCUAUCAGUAUGAUCCAAAAACAUAAUAAAUCUUGUUAGAUCCUGUUUAUUGAUGUUUAAAUGUUGUUCAUUGUGCAAUGUAGAAAUGAUGACGUGAAGUUUCUUUGGUCAUCAAUUAGUGAGAUCUUGUUUGAAGUUGUUUUCUGAAAUGAACUGCAAAAUGGUAGUUUUUUUUUUUUUCUUGGGUGCAUUUGAUGGCUCUUUUCUCCUCAUUUUAAGCAUGUGUCUGCUUGAAAUGGGAAGGAAUAGGCUUCAGAGUUGUUAUAUAUGUUGAUAUGCUCUGGUCAUUACACAAUAUGUUCAAAUUGGAAAUUAGAAUGAGAUAUUUGUUGAUGCUUUUUGAGAGAUCUGCAUUCUAUGCACCAUAACAUGAUUAAUGAAAACGGGUUUAAGGACUGGAAAGAUCUGUGGCAGCCCAAGCUUGCAGGAAGGAUUUCAAUGGUUAAUUCUCCUAGAGAGGUUAUUGGUACAGUUUUGAAGUAUAUGGGAGUAUCAUACAAUUCAAACGACAUUGGGAGGAUUGCUGUUCAGCAGAAUCUGGCAUUACUGGGAAACCAGGUACUCUUAAAGAAACGAUAUCUGGUCAAUGCAUAUUAUUGGGUGACGGCUGAUUUUGUUUGUAAAGUGUGCCUUUUCAUACCUAUGAAUGCAUAUGUUAGUGUUGUGUUCUCCUUUCCAUAAAUAUGAAUGCAUAUGUUGGUGUUCUUUUCUGAGAUGGAUGCAAUAAAGGCUUUUUCUUCUAAAUUUAGUUGAAGAAAUGGCAAGGAAUGUGAGAUUCUAUCUCAUUAAAUUAACAAAAACCCAAAACAGUGAAAACCCAUAUUAUGUGGAUGAAUUGGCGACAUUUGGCUUGUUUCCUGAACGUGAAUUAGCAAGCAAUAGAGACUAAAAAAAUGGAGUGAUAAUAACAAGUCAUUGUCAUUUGAUGAAUGCAUUUUUAAGCAAAAAUAGGUUUGUAACUGAAUAAAUUUGUCUGGCAUGCCAAUAUCAAAAAAUUAAAUUAUGUGGUUAUGAGCUGUAAUGAAGGGGGAUUGUAGGUGCAAUCAGAUCGAUCCAAGAAAGUUCAACAAAGUUCUGGUUUGGUGUAGUGAAAUUGGUUUGUGCAACUUGAGUCUUUCAGAUGAACAAUGACGAGUUUUCAUUUAAAAAUGUUAUAAAUCUGCCAUGCAUAGUAUUCUAGUAGAAUCAUCUAUAAAUUCAAGUUAUUGAAAUUGUCUAUUUGUCCAGUUUGAGUUAAGGACGCAUGUAAUAUGAAAAAUUGUUGUCGAAUAUUGUAGGUUAGCUAAUAUUUGAUCAAUCCUAUAGGGAGGGCUUUAAGAUGUCUAACAACAUGUAGAAUGCCCCUGCUUCCCCCACAAUUUUUAUCUUAUACAAUUUUUAUCUAUAAACAGUAUUUGCCAGACCUUAACCGUUCAGAUUCCCCUUCUCGACUAUCAUACCCUACGCCCCAUCUCCGUGUCUCCGAUAAACAGUGCUCAAUUAAGGCCAUCAGAUUAUCCCGGUCCCGCAUUGAUCAACGGCUCACAAUGGCCGACAACCUCUCUGUCUCCAUUACAAGCUCCCUCUUCAACUCGCUUCUGCUUCCACCUACUCUUUCUCGGAUUCGGAGCCCGUAUAUGCUCAGCUGGUCCCACAAAGCUCCCUCUCACUCCAGCUGUCAACCGACAAGACCAAUUGCCUUAUCAAGACACAGAACAAAAAGAGGAUGAGAAAUUGAAACAAGAAUUUGAGAAUUGGAAAUCGAAAACGUACGCAUUGACUGUACCUUUGAGAGUUGUUUCUCUUCAGAAUUCAGUGCCUCAAUCUUGGGUUAAGGAUUUUAUGCGAAGUCAAGGAAAGUGAUUGAAGUUUCAGAUGAAUUUGUGUGCUAGCAUUGGUGGGAUCUUUAACAAUUUAUCUCUGCCCUUUAACAAAGUCAAGGCUAAUUCAGCUACUUAUAUGGCUGCUGAUUUGGUUAGUGUUGGUGAUUCAUGGCUUAGUUUUGCCAUUAAAGAGAGAUUGAUUGAGCCAACGGCUGGAGCUGAAGACCAAGAUUGGUUCAAAUGCUUAAGUCACAAAUGGAAGGUAACAUCUUUAUCUUUGACCCGAUAAUUUUUAUUGUCUUACAUUGAAAUUUGGUAAUGUAAUUUGUUCUCUAUCUGUAUUACCCUUUUUAGUCGUUUUAUUUAUUUGUUUAUUUGCUUUUAUUUGCACUAACGAAGUCUCAGGUAUAUCUACGCAGGAAUGAUGCAGGAGAAAUUGAUCCUCGAUGUGAAAUAUGGGCGGCACCAUACAGGUGGGGCACAAUGGUGAUAGCCUACCAGAAAAGUAAAUUUCGAAAGCAUAAUUUGGCUCUGAUUGAGGUAAUAAUUGUCUUUAAAAUCAUUUAGUUUUAGAUCAAACAAAAUCAAGACUGCCUUUCUCUUCAAUAUUUUUAUGAUAAUAUCUUUAGAAGCAUCUUAUUGAUGGGUAAUAAUUGUAUCCCUGAGACAGUCUAUAAACUCAAUGAUAUUAUCUUCUACAAAUGGCUCAUUAAACUUUGUCGUUGUAGUCAAAUGUACACUCAGAGCAAUGACAAGCUAUGCCACUGUAGCAUGUAGUGAUGGCACUUAAUAAGUGAGUUGCUAGGAUGUGAACUAGAAAAAUUAAAUAUUGUCUCCCUGGGUAUGCUAGCUCAUAAGUCAGGGUUAAUAUUAGAACUCAAGAUACUAUAACCAUGAGAAGCUACUGACUGCCAAUUAAAAUAUUCUUUAAAAUGUCUAGGAAGUUAUGAAGGUGGAAGUAUCUUCCGAUUUCUAAGGCCACAUGGUAGAUAUCAUCCAGGAUCCUAGUACAGUGCAGUUAACCUCCUGCUUGAUGCAAUUAAUAAGUUUGGUCAAUGCCACUGAAACAUGCUAACUGACGUCACAAUGCGACAUGAGCACUUCAAAAUGGGACAGACGGUCGGUAGCACUAAAUUUUUCUUGCCUAAGAUUGAGCAAUUGGUCUAACUACUAACCCCUUUUGUAGGUUGAUCAUUAUUUUUUCAUAUUUUCAGUUUGACGGAAAACGUUACAGAAUCUUGAUCUGAAUAUUGUCACUGAACAUUGUCAAUGUCGUUUAGCGUAGCCAAUUAACUUGAGUUUGGUAAAACAAAUACACAGUGUGUCUCAUGUCUCACAAUUCAAAUUAUCAUUUGUAAUGAUGGAGAAUUUUUCCAAUGUAUGAAGUAUGCUUUGAUACGUGGGUUACCUUGGAGAAGGUAUCUCAAAAUAAAGAAUAUGGGGAGAAAACAGUUCAGUAGUUUAUUAUUAUGUAGUCAAGUUUUGUCUCAAAAAUGGUCCAAAUUUAAAUGAAUAAGGACAGGGGAUCUUCAUUCUUUUUUCCCUUUUUUAUACCGAGAUAUCUCUCAACCUUUAUUUAAUCCCCACUGGAUAUCUGCUUCUAAUAAUUAAAAUAAAAAUUUCACCCACACAAAUAAAUACUGACCAAGCUCUAACAAUAAAAAGUAACAUCUUUAGUCAAGUGAUUUACAGUUCCUCAUCAUCUUAGUGAGACUAUCAGUAUGUUCCAAAAACAUAAUAAAACUGGUUUGUUCCUGUUUAUUGAUGUUUAAAUGUUGUUCAUUGUGACAUGUAGAAAUGAUGAGGCGAAGUUUAUUUGGUCAUCAAUUUGUAAGAUCUUGUUUGAAGUUGUUUUCUGAAAUGAACUGCCAAAUGGUGGUUUUUUUGGGGCAUUUGAUGGCUCUUUUUUCCUCAUUUUAAACAUGUGCCUGCUUGGAACAGGAAGGAUUAGGCUGCAGAGUUGUUAUAUAUUUUGACAUGCUCUGGUCAUUGCACAAUUUGUUCACACUGGAAAAUAUAAUGAGAAAUUUGUUUCAUUCUAUGCACAAUAACAUGAUUAAUGAAAAUGGAUUGUAGGACUGGAAAGAUCUGUGGCAGCCUGAGCUCGCAGGACGAAUUUCAAUGGUUAAUUCUCCCUGAGAGGUUAUUGGUUUAGUUUUGAAGUAUAUGGGAGCAUCAUUCAAUUCAAACGAUAUUGAUUCGCAAGUUGCUGGUGGGAAGAUAGCUGUUCAGCAGAAUCUGGCAUUACUGGCAAACCAGGUACUCUCAAAGAAAUGAUAUCUGGUCAUCGCAUGUUAUUGCCUGACAACUGAUUUUGUUUGUAAAAGUCUGCUACUUCAUACAUAUGAAUGCAUAUGUUAUUGUUUUCUUCUCCUUUUCAUACAUAUGAAUGCAUAUGUUGCUUCUUUUCCUUUCCAUACAUAUUAAUACAUAUGUUGGUGUUCUCUCCUGAGAUGGAUGCAAUAAAGGCUUUUCUGAAGAAAUGGCAAGGGAUGUGAGAUUCUGUCUCAUAAAAUUAACAAAAACCCAAAAACAAUGAAAACCCAUAAUAAUGUGGUGUGGGUAAAUUGACGCCAUUUGGUUCGUUUCCUUGAUGUGAAUACGCGGGCAAUAGAGACUAACAAAAUGAAGUGACAACAAGAAGUCAGUGUCCUUUGAUGGAUGCAUUUUUAGGCAGAAAUAGGUUUGUAAUUGACCAAAUUUGUCUAGCAUGCCAAUUUCAAAAAAAUUAAAUUAUGUGGUUAUUAGCUGUAAUGAAGGGGGAUAGUAGGUCCAAUCAGGUGGAUCCAGGAAAGUUCAACAAAGUUCUGGUAUGGCGUAGAAAUUGGUUUGUGCAACUCAAGAGUCUUUCUGGUGAACGAUGAUGGGUUUUGAUUUAUAAAUGUUAUAAAUCUACUGUGCAUAGUAUUCUAGUAGAAUCAUCUAUAAGUUCUAGUUAUUGAAAUUGUCUACCUUGUUCAGUUUUAGUUAAGGGCACAUGUAAUAUGAAAAAUAGUUGUUGCAUCUUUUAGGUUUACCUAACAUUUGAUCAAUCCUAUUAUGAGGGCUUCAAGAUGUCUAACAAUAUGUGGAAUGCCCAUGCUCCUCCCCAUUGUUUAUCUUUAUAUAAUAAUUUGUUUUAGAUGCUAAUAUCUUUGUCGAUACCGGUAACAAUAUUAGAAUAUCUGCGUUUAUUGGGUUUUACAUAGGUUCGACUGUUUGACAGUACACACUAUCUGAAGGCAUUUGGAAUUGGAGAUGUAUGGAUUGCUGUUGGGUGGAGUAGUGAUGUUCUUCCUGCUGUCAAACGUAUGUCUAAUGUUGCAGUUGUUGUUCCCAAGUCUGGUGCUAGCUUAUGGGCUGAUCUUUGGGUAUACCCAUGCCUGCCAUUCUACUUCAAUAUUCACAUUGUUAUCUCCUUCAUAUUAGUGAUCAGUAAACAUGAUAAUGUGACUAAUAAGUUCGUAUUCUCUUUAUAGGCAAUCCCUGCUGCCUCAAGACUUGAAACAAAACAAAUUGGACGGUGAGUCAGAGGUGCAUUUCCAUUAAUCCAUCAAUGGAUAGAAUUCUGCUUGCAAACAGCGAGAGCAUUGCCUUUCAAGCAAGAGGUUAUCCCGAGCGCAUCUCCCUCUGCCCUUGAGAGUACUCUGGUUAAGUUGCCUGAAGAACUUUUUAAGGGUAAACCAAGUCUGGAUACUAACUUAAUUGCUGGAGUACCCGACUGAAAUUAUGGCCAGAUGUGAGUUUUUGGAGCCAUUAUCUGAAGCUACAUUGUCGGAUUAUGAGUGGCUGGUUGCUAAUCUGCAAAAAUCCACUCCUGUACUGAUCAACAAGAUGCAACAUUACAUGUCAUCAUUGAUCUUUAGCUAAAGGUACAUUGAAUAUUGAAGUAGGUCAGAGCAUAACUUCAUUAGGAAAAGAGGCUUCAGCUACGUUAAAUAUUACAGGAUGUACUGAGAUGGCUGAAGUUGUUGAGGUUUUACGAGAAACGAAAGAUAGUGUUUGUUUGAACAAAGUUGUUGCCAAUCUUGCAGAGUUCGAGAAGAAAGAUCACGAAGCGAAUGCCACCGAUUUAUUCAUCAUUGUAGCCUCCAUAGUUGAAGUUUCCUCAUUUGAAGCUGUUUAUGCAUAUGCUUUUUCCCUUCUCAAGUACAGGAAAUUGAAGAAUUAACCAGAUGUGAUGUGCUGAAAGAGGGAAGUUUUCUUCCUUGAAUGUGGCGAAGAACCCUAUCAAGGUAGAUGGCGAAGAACCCUAUCAAGGUAGAUUUUAUGAUGUUAACAUAUUAUUAAGCAUUUUGUUACAUCAGCAAUGAUGCUUUCAUAGCAGCAUGAAAGUGUUUAAAUUUAACUGAAUGAUCUUGACUGAUCAAUUAUGAGUUUUAAUCGAGUAAAAACUAAAUACAAUAAUCGUUAACAAAUAUUGAAAUUGGGUAAAUAAGAUCUUGAUAGUGAAGAAUUUGAAAUCACAACCCACACAGGAAAUCACCCUUCGCGUGGGGAUGGAGAUGUUUACUGCAGCGAUAUUGAAUAUGUCCACUGCUCUUUGGGUUAUGAUGCGACUUGCCCUGAAACAAUGGAAAAGAUUAACAUACCCUCCAAUGAAUGAAAACGGGUGGACUAAUUCUGAUUACCUAAUUGACUCAGGAUCGGCUGGUAAUAAUAACAGUUUAUUAACAAUGCACAGUCCGAGUACUUUUCCAGGAUCAGAUACGACGUGGUCUAAUGUUGAUAAUAAUAGAUUAUCAAAUGACAAAUCGUUGUUCUACUAUUGCAAGCCCCCAAAUUUAAGAAUCUUUUUCAGAAAUUAAAUACGUUCUGAGAGAUGCUGGUCUACUAUUGCAACUUGCCAGCCCCCAGAUUUAAGAAUCUUUUGAUGGUAAUUUAUCACCUGUAACUGUGCCGGAAGAUUCAACUAGCACUGAAAAAGAUGAUAAAUUAAUUGAUAUGGAGAGUUUCCAUAUCACUUUUAAAUCAUCUUAUGUAAUUGUGAUGUUAGGAAGCAUUAUUGAUCUGUAUGUGAAUUAUUAUUGGCGCCAUUGGUGGUUUUAUCUUGUUAAAAUAUGGAUGAAUUCCAGUUACUAUUUUGUUGCAGACAAUCUUCUUCAAUUAACAUAUAGUUUAAAAUCAUUAUGUAAAUCAAUCUAUUAAUUUUUAUGAUAUUUAACUGAGUUAAAACUAAGUGCACUCAAUAAAUCUCUUUUCCUUUAAAAAACGGUUACGCUUUGAUUUUAGUGCUUAAUAUUUAUUGAACUCCAAUACAGGGAAUUUGAAAUCAAACUCGUAACUACAUAUUAUCUAAUUGCAAGUUUCUGUCCAUAGCUGCUGAUUUGUAGUGAUUAUCUAAUUGACUGAGGUGACGACAAUUUUUUUUUUUAAUUUUCAAUAGCACAUUGUGGAAUUCAAUAAUUAAAUUCUCCUUUUUAAUUUGUUUCCAGUUAAAUUAUUAAUUACUUAAACUCUGUUUUAAGUCUUUAUGUUUAUGUGUUUAUGCAGAAUUGGAUUCUUGAGCGUGUUGGACACGACCAACAAUGAAAUUGACAGUAAAGAAACAUUACAACGUGUGGACUCCGGUAGAUGCCAUACAAGUCUACAACUUUACAAAUAAUAAUUGAGUAAGCAACUUUGAUUCUCGGGGCCCUUCAAUGAAUUUCUAGCCCCGUUGACUCCGCCAACUAAAGUUUUGUAAAAUAAAAAAAUACAUAGAAUUCCACCAAAUGCAAAACGCGUGGAAUUUAAUUUUCGGCCAUGUGGACCAAAACAUAAUUUAAUGAAAAAGGAAAAAAAUGAUAAGAUUUCUAAAAUAUGUGAAAGAUGAUCCAUAUGUUACUGAAACGACUUAUUAAAUUUUUCAAAAAUUUAGAAUAUUUAGUCAUAAAUUACGUGCAUGUUAAUUUUUCCGCCAUUGACUAUCAUAUUCUAAACUUAAUAGUACCUUUCUUGUUGAAGGGUACUUAGUCUCUCUUCUCCUCUUAUAAAAAUUAUAUUGAUGAAUUUCUUAUUAUAGUUAAUAGUCUUUAAGAACGGAUAACUUUAUUGUUUUCGUGACCAAAUUAUGUCUGCCUAAGGUUGUGACUAUUAAUAAAAUUAAUAUUUAAUGUUUAUGUUAAAAGAUAUAAGAUUUUAUGCGUUCAUUAAUUGUUAUUAGCUAAAGGAUGAAUUAUUUUUUCAACCCAAUCAGUUGAUGCAUCUGCAAGAAUUUUUUCUUUUAUUGACCCUAAUUAUGUUCCGGGUACAAUAAAUUGUCUUUGGUGCUUGGAAAAUAUGACUUCUUACUUCAAGUUUGAUAUGUCUCUCUCCAUAAACUUACUGGAAAUAUAUCCUCAUCUAUUAUCAUUUAUCUAAUAUCAAUUGAAGAUCGCACUUUUUCAAACUAUCACUUCCAAGUCUCAUUGUCACUUGGCCAUUCUUGGACCAUUCAGAACCAAUCAAGUGUUGAAAUAAUCAAAUAUAUGCAAAAUUAGAGUCACAAUUUUUGGUCCCCCAAAUUCUAAUUAUAUAACUUCUAUAUAUUUCAUUGCCAGGUCACGAACUUGUUGGCACAUUUUCCAAAUUCCUCUUCCAUCAGCUCUCACACGUUAACUUAAGUGGAAAGUUUCCAAGUUGAUUGCUAGAAAGCAACGCAAAAUCAGACACACUUGAUCUGUCCCCUAAUUCUCUUUUCUACGUUGAAAAAGAAAAAAAAAAAAUAUAUAUAUAUAUAUAUAUGUAAAAAUAAAUAAUAAACUGAGUAAAAAUACAUUUAUUUAAUUAACAUCUGAUCGGGGCAUUUUUGGUGUAAGCCACAACUAAAAUCAAACAGCCCCUUAGCAUACUUCUUCCAUUUUAUCUGCUACUUUUGUGGAUCUUAUAGGGUGGGCAUGUGGACAGAAUUUAAAAGUUUUAAUAGUCUCAAAGAAUAAGAUGUGUUAAAUCUAAAGUUGUUGCACCUUCUGAUUACCUUCUGAUUAAAUAAAGUUGCACAAUUUUACCAACUUGAAAGAAUUGACAUUAAUGAACUGGUCGCCUCUCCAUAUAUGAAGCCUUCUUAAAAGUUCAUUUUUAUUUCAGAAAAAAAAAGUUUAAGUUACAUAUAUUAUAGUAAGAUUUUUUUUCUUGAAAUAAUAAUGGAAAAGUAUUAAUUUAAAAAUAAAUUGAAUAUGUAUUGAUUAUAUCUUGAUUUUCAUCGAUUAUAGUGAGAGUUUCUCCAAAUCAAUUCCCUUAUUCAAAUAAUACCGAAAAAAUAGUAUUUUAAUAGUAAAAUAAACAGGUGUUGAUUAUAUAUUCUAAGGUUCAUCGAUUAUGUGAUCAAAGUGGCAUUGUUGAUUUAUUUCUUGUUCAAUGUUAAUUUUUAGGUUAUCUAAAUUUCAAGAAUUUAAAAUCUUUGAUCAUGGAUUACACGCUUAUUAAUUUUUCUGCCAUUGACUAUCAUAUUCUAGACUUAAUGAUACUUUUCUUGAUCAAGGGUAAUUACUCUCUCUUCUCCUCUUAUAAAUUCCUCUUCCAUUAACAUCACUAAGAGUAUGUUGAUCUCUCAUACGUUAACUUGAGUGGAGAGUUUCCAAAUUGAUUGUUACAAAACAACAAAAGAACUAGCCACACUUGAUCUGUCUAAUAAUUCUCUUUCGGUAAAAUUAAUUAAUUUUAGGAAAAUAUUCUGCCAACCUCUGUAAAUUCAGAGUGAUCAUUAAUUAAUUAAACGAUACAAAUAUCUAAAGUGAUUAGAUGUUUGCCGACAAUACAACCUUUGUGGCGAUAAUCGAACAAGUUCCCAUGAUUAUUAUUUUUCCAAAAACUUUUUUACAACAAAUUCAUCUCGCCAAAAAUUCUAUGUUGCUAACUAACAAUAAUUGAGCACUUGGCCGCAUUGACUCCACGUCUCCACCUCUUUCUAAAAACAUGGAAAUGUAAUUUCCACAAAAUGUCAAACGUGUGGAAUUUAAUUUUUUGCCUUGUGGAUCAAAAUACAAAUGAAAGAAACAGGAGAAAAAAAAGGCCCAAAGACUUCUAAAAGAUGAAGAAGUCUUUGGGCCUUCUUAUAAUGGUGAAUUUUUUAAAAGAAAAAAAUAACAACAUUUUUAUGGUUUGUUUUGAUAAUCAUAUUUACAAAUACUCUAAUUCUCAAAAUGGACACAUAAAUCUUUUUUUUUUUACAAAUAUAUAUUAUUCAUAUUUUUAUUUUUUAUUAUCAUAUUUUUAUUUAUUAUAAAUGUUUAGAGUAAAUUUUUAGGUUGAAAUAUAAUAAAAAGGUAUAAUCGUUCUCUUAUUAAACACACAUACUUUUAUUAGUUUCUAUCCAUUUGUCAUCUCAAUCUCUCUCAAUUAUUCUUUAUUGCGAGCUCAAAACGCGUUGUUGUUGCAAAUUAUAGCAAAAUGACAAAUAUGGAAAAAAAUGGAAGAAAAUUAAUGCAUGAAAGACUUGGAGAAAACAACAAAAUAAGCCAACUAUGAGCUAGUUGGGUGUAUAAAUUGUUAGAUGUGUUAUAUACAAAUAGCGUAGAGCCCUCUAGUUGGUUCCAGAGACAGAAAGAGCGUGUGUGUUUUUUCACAGUUAGAGAUAUAGUUAGAAUGGGUGGUUCAAAAUCAAAAAUGAUGAUAAUGUUUAUUAUGUUAUUAAUAAUAUUUAAAAGUAGGUGGAGUGAGGGAUGUUUGGAUCACGAGAGAUUUGCUCUUUUGCGAUUCAAACAUUUCUUCAAUGAUCGUCUUAAUUAUCUUUACGACUGGGUAGAUGGUGAGGGAGCUACUGAUUGUUGUCAGUGGGAAAGGGUUGAGUGCAGCAACACCACAGGCCGAGUGAUAGCGCUAGACCUUAUUGAUACGUAUGGGGGAGAGCACAGCUGGUAUCUGAAUGCUUCUUUGUUUACUCCUUUCCAACAACUUGAGUCACUUGAUUUACAUGGCAACAACAUAGCCGGUUUUGUUGAGAAUGAAGGUGCUUCAUUUAAUUUAAUUAAUUUACUUUCUCCCCCCUAAUUUAAGUUGAAUAUCAAGACCGAGCAAUGAUACGCAUAUUCAUUUAGUCGACAAUUUUGACUUUUUUUAAAUGAUUAAUUUUGAAAUUACACCAGUAUCUAUGAUUAUUUUUUUUAUUUUAUUUGCAGGCAUAGAGAGGCUAUCAAGAUUAAACAACUUGAAGGUGCUUGAUUUAAGUGAAAACUCGUUCAACAAUAGCAUCUUAUCAUCUCUAACUCGUCUUUCAUCAUUAAGAUCAUUAAAUUUAUAUGGGAAUAGAUUGGAAGGAAGUAUUGACGUUAAAGGUACAUAAUUAAAACUUCAUCCCUUCUCCAAGCUCUUUCAUUAACUUGCUAAAAUAAGAUUCAAGGCUUUGAAUUCAAUUUUUUUUAUGAUUAGUAUUAAAAAAAAAAACAGUUUUAAGCAAUUUAUAAAUACAAGUUUUAAUGUUUCUCAUAAUUUCAUCUUGUACUUUCAUGUGUCUUGAAUUUAAGAUUAAAAAAAAAUCUAAUAGCAAACCAAACACCUCCACAACUUAUUGUUAUUAUUAUUAUUAUUUGUGGUGAGGUUUGAAACAUUCAACUCAAUUUGUACUUAUUACAGAAUUUGAUUCUUUGAGAGAUUUAGAGGAGCUAGACAUUGGCAGGAACAAGAUUGACAAAUUUGUGGUCUCAAAAGGUACUACAAAUACCAUAAAAAAAAUGCUAACUUUUACAAAUUAGCUGGAUUCUUUGCCAUUUGGUUUAUUAUUUUACAGAUUUGAGUAAGUUGAAGUCUCUUGGUUUAAGUGGUGUCAAACUCAACCGUAGCAUCUUAUCUUCUCUGACUGUCUUUUAUUCGUUAAGAGAAUUAGAUAUAAGUGAAACCGGAUUCAAAGGAACAUUCGAUGUUCGAGGUAAGCCUAAACCCUGCUUUCUCAUUUUAUAUAUGCCAACUAGAUUUGUGUAUCAUCGACAUAAUUUAAUAUUUAAUUUGAUUAGUCUGAAGGAAUUACAUGCUAAUUUAAACAUACUUUUAUUUACUCUGUCAAUCAAUUAAUUAAUUAAUUACUAUUUGGCUUGGUUUGGACGAAAUUCUCAUGAUGUUUUAAUUUCUUUAAAUUGAUUAAUUAAUUAACUCUGUUUUUAAGUCUUAAGUCUGGGCAUGUUUACAGAUUUUGAUUCCUUCAAUAACUUAGAAGUGUUGGACAUGAGUGGCAAUGAAAUCGACAAUCUUGUGGUUCCUCAAGGUAAACAAUUAAAAUAUUAUUCAAUUACAUUAUUUUAAUUCAUUUGAUUAGGGAAGGCCAAACAGGUCCCAAAAAAUAAUAAUAAUAAAGAAACAGAUAAUUUGUAUUAAUUAAAAAACAAAAUGUAAUAAAGAUUUGAUUCCAGUUCUUUAAUCUUUAAAGCGAUUGAAAAACAAUGUUGCUCUUUUCCCAAAGCAUAAAAUACAAAUUGAAUGGCAAUUAACUUAAUCAUUCAUUUCGUUUAGCUCUAAAUUUAGACAAUGAAUUUUUAUAUUAUUUCAAAAACAGGACGUAAUAGAAUUUUUUAAAAAACAGAAUGUAAUAAAGAUUUGAUUCCAAUUCUUUAAUCUUUACAGUGAUUGAAAAACGAUACCAAUUAAAUUAAUCAUUUAUUUCGUUUAGGUCUAAAUUUAGAAAAAUGAAUUUUGAUUAUCUUCAAUCUUUUCUUAAUUAUUAUUAAUAAACAGGUUACAGAGGUUUGAGGGCUGAAAAGCCUUGAUCAUUCCCAUCCCUCAACACUCUUUACCUUUGGGAUAAUAAUUUUACAGAAACAGUGACUAGGCUAGCUAAGUGAAAAGGUACAGAUGUGGCCAAAUUUAUAAAUAAAUUGUUAAUUAAUUAAUUUUUCCGUAUUAUUAAUAAAGCGAAAUUCGUUGCUCCUUCCUUCUAAAUCUAAACAGAGUUGCACAAUUUCACCAACUUGGAAUAUUUGUCAUUGGACGAUUCCUCUCUCAAUUUAAGCCUUCUGCGAAGCAUUGCAUCAUUAUUCCCUUCAUCAUUAUUCCCUUCAUUAAAAAAUCUUUUUCUUCAUUAAAAAGAAAAGCGUUGAUUGUGAACUCACUCAAUGGUUUCCUACGUGUUCAACAUGUUUGUUUAUUUAUUUUAUUGUUUAAUGUUUCUGCUAGGUUUUCCUCAUUUCAAGAGUUUGGAACAUUUGGACAUGAUGUCCACGCGCAUUGCACUCAACACCAGCUUUCUUCAAAUCAUCGGUGAAUCGAUGCCUUCUCUUAAGUACUUAUCGCUGUCAGAUUCUAACAGCAGCAGGAUUCUUGAUCGAGGUUAAUCAGAUGCUCCCACCCUCCCUUCUUAAUCUAUAAUAUUAAUUUUCAAUUCAAUAUUCAAUUACACAAACCAAUCACUUAUUAUAAAUGAAUAAUACGCAUUCAUUAAUUUUUAUAUUGUAUUAAUAAUUGAUGAAUUUAAUAAAUUUUCAGGCCUCUGUUCGUUGGUGCAUCUACAAGAGUUGUACAUUGAUAAUAAUGAUUUAAGAGGUAGCUUGCCUUGGUGCUUGGCAAAUAUGACAUCCCUCCGAAUAUUAGAUGUUUCUUCCAAUCAACUUACGGGAAGCAUCUCCUCAUCUCCCCUCGUUCAUUUGACAUCCAUUGAAGAGUUGAUGCUUUCAAACAAUCACUUCCAGAUCCCAAUUUCACUUGAACCAUUUUUCAAUCACUCAAGACUUAAGUUUUUCUAUGCUGAAAAUAACCAAAUAAAUGCAGAAAUAACUCAGUCACAUUCUUUGAUCCCCCCAAAAUUCCAAUUAUCACGUCUCUCAUUGUCUUCCGGUUAUGAAGAUGGCGUCACAUUCCCCAAAUUCCUUUACCAUCAACAUGACCUGGAGUAUGUUGAUCUCUCACACAUAAAGAUGAAUGGAGAAUUUCCAACUUGGUUGUUGGAAAACAACACAAAGUUGAUACAACUUUCUGUCGUCAAUGAUUCUCUUGCAGGACCUUUUCGGUUGCCAAUUCAUUCACACAAGCAGUUAAGACUGUUGGAUAUAUCCACCAACAACUUCCGAGGCCACAUUCCAGUAGAAAUUGGAGAUGUUUUACCAAGUUUAUACGUUUUCAACAAUUCCAUGAAUGCUUUAGAUGGUAGCAUUCCCUCUUCAUUUGGUAAUAUGAAAUUCCUCCAAAUUCUAGACUUAUCCAACAAUCACUUGACUGGUGAAAUCCCCGAGCACUUGGCCGUCGGUUGCGUCAACUUGGAGUCUCUUGCAUUAUCAAACAACAACUUAGAAGGUCAUAUGUUCUCCAGAAACUUCAACCUGGCAAACUUGAAAUUGUUACAAUUGGAAGGCAAUCGCUUCGUAGGAGAGAUCCCACAAAGUUUGUCUAAAUGCUCUUCACUAGAAGGAUUGCAUCUUAAUAAUAAUAGUCUCUCGGGUAAGAUUCCACGAUGGUUGGGUAAUCUCACAUGGUUACAAUAUAUUAUAAUGCCCAAUAAUCAUCUUGAAGGCCUUAUUCCAGUGGAGUUUUGUCAGCUUGAUUCGCUUCAGAUUUUGGACAUUUCAGACAACAACAUAUCUGGAAGUUUACCAGCUUGUUUCCAUCCUCUCUCUAUCAAACAAGUUCAUCUUUCAAAAAAUAUGUUACAUGGACAGCUAAAAAGAGGUACAUUCUUUAAUUGCUCUUCCCUUGUGACAUUAGAUCUUAGCUAUAACCGCUUGAAUGGCAGCAUUCCGGAUUGGGUUGAUGGACUUUCUCAGUUAAGCCACCUUAUCUUAGGUCACAAUAAUCUUGAAGGUGAAGUGCCAGUUCAAUUGUGCGAAUUGAACCAACUACAAUUGUUAGAUCUUUCUAAUAAUAAUCUUCACGGUCCUAUUCCUCCUUGCUUUGAUAACACCACACUUCAUGAAAGUUACAGCAAUAGUUCUAGUCCUGAUGAGCAAUUUGAAAUAUUUUUUUUCAUCGAAGGCCCUCUGGGAGAUUUAAAAGAGCAAAUCCAUGAAAUUUUUGAGUUCACAACAAAGAACAUUGCGUACAUUUACCAAGGAAAAGUGCUUAGCCUCCUAUCAGGACUUGAUCUUUCUUGCAACAAGCUAAUCGGUGAUAUUCCUCCUCAAAUUGGAAAUUUGACAAGGAUUCAAACAUUGAAUCUAUCACACAACAACUUGACAGGAUUGAUCCCAUCAACAUUUUCAAACUUGAAGCAUAUCGAAAGUUUGGAUCUUUCCUACAAUAAAUUGAAUGGGAAAAUCCCUCAUCAACUUGUGGAGUUAAAGGCAUUGGAGGUUUUCAGUGUGGCAUACAAUAACUUAUCAGGCGAAAUUCCAGAAUGGGAAGCACAAUUUGCAACCUUCAACGAGAAUAGCUAUGAGGGAAAUACUUUUCUUUGUGGACUGCCAUUGCCCAUUUGCAGAUCACCAGCAACUACGCCGGAGGGUUCAAUCGGCAAUGAACGAGAUGAUAAUUUAAUUGACAUGGACAGUUUCUUUAUCACAUUUACAACAUCGUACGUAAUUGUGAUAUUCGGAAUUGUUAUUGUUUUAUAUGUAAAUUCUUAUUGGCGACGUAAAUGGUUUUACUUUGUUGAAAUGUGGAUAACUUCAUGUUAUUAUUUUAUUGUAGACAAUCUUAUUACAACAAGAUAUUGUCAUUGAAAUUAAUUAGC
rnacentral:lncRNA from 1 species